rnacentral:lncRNA from 1 species
AUCAUUUGAGCGUCGAAUGAAUUGAAGGGUCCAGAUUCACUCUUACAUUGAAUCUGAUGGCCAAGGUGGUACUCCAGCUGAGUAUGAUGAUGAUGAAGAAGAAGAAGAGGAACAUGACAGAGAAUUAGAAGAAGAAGAUGAAGAAGGGGAUGUUUAUGAGGCUGUAGAGGAAGAAGAAGUUUUUGAAGAAGAGGAGAGGAAUGAUGGGGCGGUUAAAGUCAAAGGAAUAGAGGGUAAUGAUGCAUGAGGAGUAUGGAGGGUGCAGUGGAAGUGAGUAAAGGGAAUAAUGAUAAUGGCUAACGAAGGACCACAGCUCAUUGGCUGCACUCAUGUGUAGCAAAGUAUUUGGACUCAAGACUGUUAGAAGGUCGUUACAGACGCAAGACUGCUGCUGUGUAACGGUAUGCCAUGCUGGCAAGUGGGGCACCAAAUAUUGUGAGCCAGUAUUCGUAAUUAGUGUAGAGUGUUCUGAUUUAUUCUAUAAGUAGCUCAUUCGUGCUUAAAACCUACAUGUAUUGUACGUUUCUAUCGGUAAUUUGAUUACCUUUCCGUACUUUAUCAAUCAUUGAAUGAUUUUACUGGUUUAAUUGCUUGAUUGUUUGAGUAUAAUCGGUAAUUUGAUCGUCUGUCAGCAAGUGAUUUACAAUUCACUCUCCAAUUUUCAUUAAUUUAGUGUAGCAAAGCUUUAACUAGAUAGGUAGAUAACGUGGACAUGAAAACUUGAUUAAGAGUUUAGAGCAAUCAAAUCUACUUUAAUGAUUAUUUAAUGCACGGAGAUUUAACAUCAAUUAUCAUCACGUUAUUCUAACAACGAGAUUGCAGAACUUGGAUCUUUACUCGAACAAUUUCAAUUCCUGUAUGAUCAUUUCCCCAACUAUUAUUUGAAUAAUUAUUUAAUGCCGUUCAUUCCAGCUCUGUUUGGCUGUUAACUUUAUUUAGUUAUUUAUGAGGAGAUUCAUUUCUCACCUGAAGCUAGAAAUUUACGAAUCAAUGACUUUUUAUUUUUUCUUUUAUAUGAUAGCUUGCAAUCCCUGGUGUGUGUUGAUAGUGCCUUACAUGAAUACAAAAAUGAACAUUUUUUUUUUUUUUUUUUUUUUGGGGCCAAUUGCAGUUUUGAUAACAACUAAAAUCUGUGUGGUCCGGUUGCUACAAAGCCUUGCCCCAGAUCCCUGCCAUUUUCUCCUCCACCUCCAUUUGGGGAAAUUACUACUUACUUUUUGCCAAUUUUUCUUGAAAUAUUUAUUUUAAGAAGAAAACCAACAAUACAUUUUAUGAUUUGGGCUGUUUCAAAGAUCUUCGCUUGAUGUCUCUGCUACUGGCUUUCAGCAGAGUGCCAAAAAUAAUCAGUGCACGCACUAUAGGCUCUAUUAUUAUCAGUAAAAGGCAUUAAUGAUAUAUUGGGAUCGACUUUUUUAUUUGGGAGUGGAAGGAUGCUUGAAAGAGUAGAGUGGUGCAUCUUGUUCAAACAUGCACCGUAGAGCCAAUUCCAUUUUAUGAAAUAGAAGUUAGACUGAACAACGUUAUGUCUUCGUUAUCAUUUCAGAAGGAAACAAAUCAAACAAUGCCGAAAUUGAGUGCCCACACAUUUUCAUGCCCAAAUUGAGUGCUGGAAUGGUGGUCAAAUCUCGAACGAAGACAGAUCUAUCAAACUCCAAAUCUCGAACAAGUAAUUGAAAUCUGAAGUUUACGAGCAAACAAACUGAAAUCUGAAGUUUACUGAAGUUAAGGGACGAGCGCAAAACAGAAACUCUGUCCACUACUGAUGAUAUAACAACGAACCUUUGUAUUUUUUUUAAAAAAUAAUAAUAAUAAUACAACUAAACUUUGUUUUUUUUUUUUUUUUUAAAAACAGUAACAAAAUAUCAUUAGACAAAUGAAAAUAUUUUUUCAUGUCGUUCAGAUAACUGAUUGAUAAAGUAUCAUUAGACAAAUGAACCUUUGUUACCUAAUUCAGACUUGUUUUCUUUGAACCAGCGCCUGAUUCACAAGAAUCCAGUAAUUUGGCUUUUGAUCAACUGAUUGAUAAAUGUUCAAUUUCUUUGGUGAUAAAUGUGUAUGUGAAGCAGGCGAUGGCGAUGCAAGUUUCGUCUUACUAUACAAAGUCUUUUUAAUCUCAUGUCAAUCUCAUGUAUUAAUUGUAACCCUUCCGUUACUGCAAUCUGCAAAUGUGUCAAAAUCGGUUAGCACGAAUUAUGGCAGAUUGUUGAAGAUAAAUAUUCCACAGAAUCAUCAUUCUUUGCUCCACAAACUUUUAACUUUUUAAAACAUUGAGUUUGUAGUUAAAUGUCAUAAUGAUGCUUUACGAAAUUACGAUUAUGUUUACUGCUUGCACCUUUUUGAUGAAUUUGAUUAUGAUGGCAUUUCUAAUCAUAAAUUAUGUUAUUAUUGUAUGAAUUUAUUAUUCUGAUGUUAUUUAUAGACGAAUGUCAAUAAAUAUUAACAUAUUUUUGGGGUUCUCUUUUUUGUAUUUAAAAAAAUGAAGUAUGUUGUUUGACAACAUUUUGGACCAAAUCAAAUUAAGGAGUCUUUAAGAGUUAUUAAACGUGGGUAUAAUAUGCGCAAGUUGGAGUGCAAGGGGGGCGCCAUUGGGAGCUCUCACACACGACUGUGGAAAAGAGAAGAUUUUAGUGAAAGGCGAGACUCAGAUAAUUCUACGCGUUUUGGCUGAUUUAUAUAAUUCGUGAAAUUUUAUUUCCAUCUGUUACAAGAUCAAACUGAAGCAUAACUCAGAAAAAUAUUCUAUUUCUUGCGGCAAUCUUGCCUUCAUUCAGACUAUGAACCAUUUCCUUUCACCAAGUUCUUCCUAAACAUUGAAUAAGUUUCAUGGUUGGACAUAGUUAGCUUCUGUAUCUUUUGGUGCAUUUAGGUGCUAUCAAGUGACAGCCGUAAGUAUGAUUGCAUUAUUGGGAAAUUUUACGAUUUGAUGGUUCCCCACGUUAUUGCCAAGAAAGAUGUCAGAAGCUGCGGUUCUUUUCAUCAGCCUGAACCCGAACCUGUCCCUAUGGAUAAUUCAGGUUUUUGUCAUCAACUAUAUCAUCUUUUUCACUGUUUUGAAACUCUUAAUAUUAAACUUCAGUAAACUUCAGAUUUCAGUUUGUUUGCUCGAAACUUGUAUGGUGACAAGGAUACUGGCAAGGAUAAUGAGAUAGUUUUUUGUGUGAGUGAAUUUUGAGAGCUCGAGUGUUCUGGGAUUUGCAAUUGCAAUCAUCCUCUGUUUCAGGUGAUUUCUUCUCCUGCUCUGUCUUUAUUUGCUCUCUAAUUGAAAAGCAUAAAGUAUUUCAAUCAAAUUCUGUACCAGGAAUACUUUAAAGUUACUGAUACUUUAUUUCCAUCUGUUUGCAUUGAUAACUUGGCGGCAUAUGUACUAGUUAAAAAACAAACAGAAGUAGAGAAGUAGAGUUCAGGAAAAAGCUUCUUCGGCCACCAUAUUUGAAAAUGAAACCAUUUCCUGGAAGCAGUUGGCAGCAAAUUCAUAUAAAGUGUAGACAAUGAUUAGCAGAAAGGUGAUUCACAAUUUCAUUUUUUUAAAAUGAAAUUAUUUGUUAAGUUGGAGCUGAUACUGUUAGAAGGCCAAUGAGCUAACCUAUGACACUGCUUGCCUAGUUUGCAGGAGGUCAAGGCUCAAAAGAAGCACUGAAUUUUAAAAGUCAUGCAAUAAUUCUUAGGGCCAUAUGUCAAUUCAUGUAAGUUUGAAUAAGUUUAAUGGUGGAACGCUUUUAGCUCCUUUUCCUUUCGUGCAUUUUGGGGUGCUAUCAAGUGACCGCCGUAUGUAUGGCUGCAUAUAGCUGCUGCUGGGAAAUUUGAGGAUUUGAUGGCUGCCCGUAUUAUUGUCUUAAAUUAGAUGUGAUAAGCUGUUGCUUAGAGAUUCUGUUGCCAAGACUUUGCUCACAUCAGAAGCUGUGGAACCUGAACCCUUCUCUAGAUAUCAUCUUUUUCAUUGUUUUAAAACUCUCAGGAUUAAACUUAAGUAAAUUUGUUCGGUUGUCUAUAUAAUCAGGUCAAGUAUACUGGGCAGGCAAAUGUCAGAACUCGGUUUAUUCGACAAAAACUUGUUUAAGAUUCUUGGCAAAGCUGCAUGGAGUGAAUUUUGGGAGCUUGAGAGUGAAAGAAGUUAGAGAAUGUAUUAGGAUUUGGGUUUAUUAGGAAGUUAUGUAUUUCAUUAUCAGUUUUUUUUUUCUUUUGUAAAAAGUAAGGAUGGGCCAAAUCCAAGUAGCUUUUAUUUUCCUCUUUUCUCCCUUAAGGCUCGAACCUCCUUUAUUAGAAAAAGUCUUAAGUGUUCUUACUCAAUGGUAGAAUCAUAAUUUUACUUCAAUGGAAGCCAUACUAAUUAGAGUAUACUCUUUUGAUUAAUUACUUAUUUGAUGUUGCUCUCUCUACCUUCAUCUCCUUCUUUAUGAAAAAUUUAUUGUAAUACAUGGAAGUAAAUAUUGUAUUGAAUAAAAUGAAAUUGUUCAAAAAUUAACAAAUUCAGCUUUAUUAUAAUCUAAAACAAAGUAAAUAAAAUAAUACCCAUCAAGUAAAAAUAAAAAAAUAAAAAAUUUUGUACCACUUUGAAUCUAUUUUAAAUUUUUUGGUAAAUCUCAAAAGCACAAACUUUGAACAAUAAUAAUAGGUAAAAACUAAUAAUCUUAUAAUAAAAAGUAAGAAAAAAAUAAAGUUGAUUUAGCAUGUAAGAAUAAAAAAAGAAGAAUAGAAAGAGAGAGAAAUUAGUUUAGGCUUUAACUAUUGUUAUAGUAGAGAAGUAAUUUUAUGACUUUUUAGAAAUGAGUGAAUUAAAAUAGUAAGUUAUAAUUUGAUAACUAUCUUAAUUAAAAAAGUGGGUGUUGAAAUAAAAUUAAUGGAUUCAAAUAGCCCACCCAAAAUCCAAAAUUGCAUGCCAAUUAUUUUCUAAUUUACAUAAAGUUCUUCAAUUUUUUUUAUAACAUUUGUUUCUCAAUUGGUCUAAUGGAGAAACAACCAGCAAAAAAAUAAAAUGAAUGCAAUUACAUGGAAAUUUGAAAAGAGCAGUAGAUGACAUUUAUGUGCAAGCAAAAUGCAAAAUUGCAUUCUGUUUGUGGGAUCCUGGAAAAAAUAAAAGAAAGAAAACAGAGUAAGACGCUGAGACCGGGGGCUUGCUUCCAUGGCAGAUUCUCGUUGGUUCAUUUUUCUUUACGCCUUAGAUUCUAAUCAUUCUAUGAUUCAAUUUCAAUAAAAUACGACAAACAAAAGAAGCUUUUAAGCCUGCAGCUGAAAUAGAUGGCACUUUAAUUUUCAGCUGAGAAUCAAAUGAAAUAGAUGGUAAGAUUAUCAUUAUUGAGCUUGAUAACUGAUAAGGCUAUAGAAAAUUCAAUAUCCAGAUCGGACAAGGAUCCAAUAAAUUAUAAAAUAUUGCGGCUCAAACCCCAUAUGAUCAUGGGCCACCGCUUGCUCAUGCUUUGAAUCAAAAUUUUCUAAUGAAGUGAGGUUGGAAGCUAAAAGGGGCAAGUAAUGAAAUGGGGUUCAUCAUAUAUUGAGCCCAAUGGGACAAGAUCAUCAUUUAAUUCCCUCCUCUUGUCGAUAGAUAUUUGCCGAAUUCUUUCAUUUAAAAAAUAUUAUAUUGGUUAAUAGAAUUUGAAGUUUUACAAAAUAUAAGUUUAAUUUUAAAAAAUUAUAUUUUUUAAUUUAAAAUUUUCAUUUGGUGGUUAUGUUUGAAAAAAAGUUUAGGUAUACUCGGACAUACUCUCUUAUUAUUCAUUGAAUUUGGGCAUUUAAACAUAUUAGUAUGCAGUAUUUCUAGGUAAUUAGCUGAGAAGUAUAGGUGACAAAAAUAUAACAUGUGAAACAAUACACAAUGAAAUUAUCUACAAUUUUCCAUUGACUUAGGUGGCGUUUGUUUUUUUGUUUGAAAUCUGAAUAGAUCUGAAUUAGUCUGAAUUCUGAAUAGGUCUGAAUGUCUGAAUCUGAAUAUUACGUUUGUUUUUUCGUCUGAAUCUCGGAAAAUAAGUAUUAAGUUGUUUGUUUUUUUCAACUUAAAAAGUUGAAAAUAUGUACUUUUACAUUUGUAUCCUUAUUAAAUUUAAAUGUCAAAUAAAUAAUAUAUUAAAUACCAUAAUAUUUUAACAUUUAUAAGUAAAACUAUAUUCAAGUUAAUACAUAAUUAUUUUAGAAUUUUAAUAUAUAAAAUAUCAUAAAUUUCAAAUUUUAUCAUAUAUAAUAUAAAAAAGAAAAAAUAUGGAUAUUUUUAUGUGGGGUAAAUAUCUAUAGGUGAGUUUUGGGAUAGACAUGAAAAAUAAAUUAUAAAACAGGGAUAUUUUUUACAUUAGCAAGUAAUUGACUUAAUUCAGAUUUCUCCAUUAAGUAAAAAGAUAAAAAAAUUAGCUUAUUUUAUUAAGUCAAAAUUAUCUAAAAAGUCUUAUUAAGUUAUAAAAACAAACACAUCUAAUUAACUUAAUUAAUUAAGUUAAGUCACUUUAAGUCAUUAAGUUAAAAAACAAACGCCACCUUAGUCAACUCUUCAUUGAUUUCAUUGACUUGAUCAACUCAUGAUCUAACUUGACAACUUAAAAAUUAAAUUAUGCUAGUAAUUCCGUAAAAUUAAAAUUUAUCUCUCAAAAUUGAUAAAUACUGUGUCACUUUGUCAAAUUACUUAGGGUAAAAGCUCUGUGGCUAAAAACUUUUAAGAUUAGAUGUAUGCUAAUUGAGAAGGACAAGACACAAAACACAAAAGAAUCAAUGAAUGCCACAUCAUGUAACACUAACACUACUUACUCUUAACAAAUUCUUACAAACGUGAUUCAUGAAAUUAACUUGACUUUUUGUCUAAAAAAGGCCUAAAGAAACAUGCCAAGCAACAAAUAAAGUAGUCCAAACGUGAUUCAUGAAACUUGAUAGGCGCUAUCUAAAUAGUAUUAAUAUGGCAACCGAAAACAUGCGCGCAAAGUAGACUUUCUUGGACAAUCCAUGCCAAUCAGCAAAUAAAGUAGUCCAAACGUGAUUCGUGAAACUUGACUUCUUGUCUAAAAAGGCCUAAGGAAACAAGACCAAAAGUUCCAUGCAAUAGCAAUAUGGUGGCCACAAUGCACUUUUUAAGCCAUUUUUCAAAACUAAGUUUCUUCGUUUCACAUGCACUAUUCAAGCAAUUUAACAUUUUCUCCUUCCCCUGAAAGCUAUUGGAGAAAAAUUAGUUUCUUAAAUUUUAAUAAAAACUUUUAGAACCGAUCUCAUACAAUAGAUAAGAAUUCGUAAUCUAAAAAUCGUACCUUGAAAAUAUGAGAAGAUGUACAAUCUUUGUUUUUUUUCCUCUGAACUGAUUUAGGCUCCCAGAUCACGAUUUGUCAUCACCACACCUGUUAGAUCACGAUCCGUCACCACCACGCCUGUUAGAUCACGAUCCGUCACCACCACGCCUAUUAGAUCAUGAUCUGUUACCACCAUACUUGUUAAAUCACGAUCUGUCACCAAAGAUCUUCCAAGUUAUGACUCAGAUUUGAUCUGCACUUGAUGUGUGGGCACCUUUAUCACUACUAAAGCAACUAGCAAGAGAAAAUUUUUCUCUUAAAAUUAAAGAGAAAAAUUCUUUUUCUCUGAAUUAUAUAAUACGACUCUAUCUUUUUUCUUUAAAGAAAAUAAAUCUUUUUAUAUCUCCCUUCAAUGAAAACGCUCCAAAUAAUAAAAACCAAUCCUUGAUUUUCUAGAGUACAGCUAUGCAGUUCUACAAACACGAAACUGCUGUUGGUCCAAUUACUUUCAAGAAACAACGUACUCUGUGGUUUAUUGACUUGUGACAUGGGCAAAUUAGUCACGGUCCGAUUCUCUCCUCUUCCACUGACUCUGUCAAUUCAUGACUUUGGCACACAGUAGAAGCCAGCUGCCUGCUCCAUUUGACGUGCAAAGAACUUUCUUGAGUCGGGAUAAAAUCGAUUAAUUAUUUUGUUUGGUGAUGAUGAGUUAGUUGUCAAUUCAUGAGUUUGAUGCAGUGAAACACUUAACGCUCUCUUGUGAUGAGUAGGAGAAAAGCCAGCGAUGAUGAAGAGGACUAAAAACAUUAUUUUGUUAUUUACAAUAAGGCUAUCAAUUAUAUAUUCCAAAAUAAUUGGGUUUGGAUGGUCAUUUUGUUUUCUAAAAUAUCCAAAUGGAAACAGAAUUUAUAAAGUGGGAAAAUCAAGAAAUUAAAUACUCUUCAUAUAGUGGAAGGAGAUUUGGUUGCCGUUAUACUAAAUAAAAGAAAAAUAAAGUAAAAUUACAAUACUUUAAUAAUCUCAUUCCCAAUCGUACCGGAAAUAAAAUUUUCUGUAUAUUUAUGAAAUAAUUACUGAUUGGUGCAAGAGAUUGGUGGGACUCAUUUGAUUCAAGAAAAACAAUCAGUCUCAUUUGGUACGCAAAGAGCUUUUCUACUCUGUAGCCAAUAUUUUGAUGAAUGUGACGUUACUGGUUUGUAUAAUUUUUUGGAUAUUAUCUCAAUUUUACUUCUGUAGGUUUGUGGUUUGUAUAUUAUCUCAAUUUUUUAAAAAAUGUAAUUGCAAUUAUCAAACACGACUAAUCCCAACAAUUUAUCCAAAAUUUUUUAUUUAAAGAAAUGUAGCAUUUAUGAUAGAAUGGCUAAUUUUUUCAAUCAACUUUCUGGAAAAUGAUAAUUUUUUGAUAGAAAUGUUACUUACUUAUUACAGGAAGAAAAUUAUAGAAUAAUUUUUUGAAUUAAUAGUAUUACUUUACGAUAACACUAUCACAAUCUUAAAAAAAAAAAAAGUUAUUCUUUAAAUUUCGCAUUACUAUUCCUACUUUUCUUGUUAUACUACUUAAUGGCACUAGUGAAUCCUCGAAUUAUCAAACAAAAGGCAAAAAUAGUUCAAUAUCUGCUGUCCCAUUGAGCAUUGUUAAAUUCAUACGAUAAAAUGAGUACUUAUAUUAAAAAAACAAUCGGUCUCAUUACGUGCUCUUUCACUGACAUAGGCAAGUUGCGGCCAACUUGUGGCACUUCUAUGAAUUUUCAAGACUGGUGAAUUUUUCAAAUUUCAAAGAAAAAUAUACAGAAAUGUAAUUUCAAUUUAUCCAAAAAUUUGAGUUUCAUGGAAUAUAGCAUUUAUUAUAUGUCAUGUUAAUAUAGAGAAGAAAAUUUUAAAAACUUCUUUUUGGAUGAAUAAAAGUAUUUUCUGAUAAAUAUUUCACAAUCAUAUUUAAAAAUUUUCACUCCUCUUGGUACAUAAUUUAAGAAUUUAACAUUAUAAAUUAAUCUUUUUAAUCAAAGUAAUAAUCUCUCCUCGGGUCUGCAAAUGCUAAAAUUUAAUAUUAUAUCCGUUGACGAUAUUUGCUCCAAAUUCAUGAAAAUAAAAUUUCGAACAGAAUUAUGAAAUUCGUUACUAGAAAUUUGUAUAAAAGUUGUGAGAAUAGAAGGUUUGAUCAUAGGAAAUUAAUAUAUCCCUAUCCGAUGCAAAAAUGAUUGUAAAGAAAAACAAAAGUCACGGGCUUAUUUAGAAGAAAAGAAAAAAUUACAUUCCAUUUUCUAGUUAUUAAAAUAACUAGAAAAUAGAACCGCGCUUCACGCGAUUUUUAAAAAAAAUUAGUAUUAUCUUUUUUUCUUAUUUUACACUUAAUAAAACUGAUAAAAAAUAUGAAUUAGUUUUUUUUAAGAUGAGGCAGCCUUAUAAAAAAUAAAAAAUAAAAAAUUUAUUAGCCAGCAAUACAAAUAAAGAAGCAAUGCAAGAUAAAAAAUAAAAUAAGAUAAUAUAUUAUAGAGUGAUUUUAUUCAUUCUAAUUGUGUGUGUACAAAACAAAAAGAUGAACUUUCCUUUUAUAGUUACAUAAUCACUCCAUGAAAUUAAUGAAAAAUUAUGGAUCAUAAUUUCUUGUGAGAUAGUGAGAGUUAUAGGGAAGCUAAAGGUUGCUAAUGGGAGAUAGUGGGGAGACUAAGAACUAUAUGUUAUGAACAUCUACAUUUAUUUUAAUAAAUUCAUAGCACUCCCUCUUGAAUGUUCAUUACAAAGAAUAUGACUCAUUAAAUUAUUUAUAUAAUUGUUAUUGCGUAAUAACAAUCAAAUUAAUUAUGAGAGGAUGAAAAGCCAAAUUUAAAAGAAAAUUUUCUAUUUAUUAGAUAAUAGAGAAUAUAUAAAGAUGACAAACGGUGAUGCAACAUCACCUCCUCAAGUCUCAACUUUAUAUAUAUAUAUAUAUAUAUAUAUAUAUAUAUAUAUAUAGAUUAAUUCAUGUAUUUUAUGCCACUAAAGUUUAAUUGCUAGCAUAAUAAAAUAAAUAAAUGUUUCAAAAGACUUAUAAUUAAUAUUAUUAAUGAUUACAUAUUGUUGAAUUUAAAUAGAAAGAGAAAAAAAUUACAAAGAAUAUCCACCAAUAUUUUAGAUAUUUUAGAUAAUAGAAAAUAUAAAAAGAUGAGGAAUGAUAUAUAUUAAUAAAGUUACUAUUUAUUAAAUGAGUUAAAUACAAUCAAAUUAAUUAUGAGAAGAUGAAAGGUCAAAUCUAAAAAAAAAUCUCUAUUUAUUAGAUAAUAGAGAAUAUACAAAGAAGCAAAAUGGUGAUGCCGCAUCACCUCCUCAAGUCCUAACUUUAUAUAGAUACUAGGAAAUAGAACCGCACUUUGUGCGGUUUUAAAAAAAGAAUUUAAUAUUAUCUUUUUUUAUUACUUUGCAUUCGAUGAAACUGAUAAAAAAUAUAAAUUUUUUUUUUUAAGAUGACGCAGCCUUAGAAAACUAAUGUUAUUUAUGAAAGUUUAUUAUUUUUUUGUUAACAUUAAAAAAAUAUAUUAAUGUGUAUAGUUAAGUGUACACAACUUUUUCAUCAAUAACAAUCAUGUUCAUACUAAUCAACUCUUUAUUUUUCUUGGUAUUAACAGACUCCCACAUCUUACAAAGCCUAACCCUUAUCAUCCAACAAUGUUUAUCAUUGUUUAACUCAUGAAGAAAAGAGUACUCAAUGAAGCACACAAUACUAAAAAUUUAAAUAAGUCAAAAAAUAAAAACACAAUAACAUUUUUAAAGAGGAUGUUCGUUAAAUAAUAAAAAAAAAAACUUAAACAUAACAAAUCUUAAAUGCUUAAUAUUUAUAGAGUUUGAAGAAGCCAAAAGACACUAAAUAAAAAGUUGCAUAAUUAAAUAUAGGAUUAUGACAUUAAAAUUAGGUCCUAAUGGCAUUGGUGAGGGAAGAUGAAGGAACCUUCCUUCCUAUAUUAAUUAGUUGAUGUAUUUUAAACCACUAAAAUUUAGUUGUUGGCUUAAUAAAAUAAAUGAAUGUUUCAAAACUUAUAAUUAAUUUAUUAUUAAUGGUUACAUAUUGUUGAAUUUAAAUAGAAAGAGGAAGAGACAUGUAAUCUUUUGUAAUCUAUUAAUUAUUUUCUAUUUUUAAUAUUUUGUCAUGUAAUUAUUUUUUAAUCUCAACCAAUAUAUUAGAUAAUAGAGAAUAAAAAAAGAUGAGAAAUAAUGAUGCCACAAAUCUUAACUAUUUAAUAUUUAUAGAGUUUGAAAAAGCCAAAAGGCACUAAACAAAAGAUUGAAUAAUUAAAUAUGAGAUUAUGACAUUAAAAUUAGGCUCUAAUGGCAUUGUUGAGGGAAGAUGAAGGAACCUUCCUUCCUAUUAAUUAAUUGAUAUAUUUAAGCCACUAAAGUUUAAUUGUUGGCAUAAUAAAAUAAAUAAAUGUUUCAAGAUUUAUAAUUAAUUAUUAUUAAUGGUUACAUAUUAUUGAAUUUAAAUAGAAAGAUGAAGAGACAUGUAAUCUUUUAUAAUCUAAUAAUUAUUUUUUAUUUUUAAUAUUUUGUAAUGUUUUAAUAUCAACCAAUUUAUUAGAUAAUAGAGAAUACAAGAAGAUGAGAAAUAAUGAUGCAAUAUCACCUCCUCUAGUCCUAACUUUAUAUAUAUAUAUAUACAUAGAUGAAUAUAGAUUUUUAAUAUUUUGUAAUGUAAUUAUUUUUUAAUCUCACCAAUAUAUUAGAUAAUAGAGAAUAAAAAAAAGAUGAGAAAUAAUGAUGCCACAAAUCUUAAAUAUUUAAUGUUUAUGGAGUUUGAAGAAGCCAAAAGGUACUAAACAAAAGAUUGAAUAAUUAAAUAUGGGAUUAUUUUAUUAAAAUUAGGCUCUAAUGGCAUUGUUGAGGGAAGAUGAAGGAACAUUCCUUCCUAUAUUAAUUAAUUGAUGUAUUUUAAGCCACUAAAAUUUAAUUGUUUGCAUAAUAAAAUAAAUGAAUGUUUCAAGACUUAUAAUUAAUUAUUAUUAAUGGUUACAAAUUGUUGAAUUUAAAUAGAAAGAGGAAAAGACAUGUAAUCAUUUAUAAUCUAAUAAUUAUUUUCUAUUUUAAUAUUUUAUAAUGUAAUUAUUUUUUAAUUUCAACCAAUUUAUUAGAUAAUUAUAUAUUAACUGAUAUCUUUAUUAUUAAUAUAUUUUUUAUCUUUAUUUUUUUGAGUGUCAUAAUAUGAUAUAUGUACAAAGAAUAUCCACCAAUAUUUUAGAUAUUUUAAAUAAUAGAGAAUAUAAAAAGAUGAGGUUGAAAGAAGAUGAAAGAACCUCUCUUCCUAUGUUAAUUAGGUGAUGUAUUUUAAGGCACUAAAGUUUAAUUGAUAGCAUAAUAAAUUUUGAAGAAGCCAAAAGACACUCAACAAAAAGUUGUAUAAUUAAAUAUGAGAUUAUGACAUUAAAAUUAGGCCUUAGUGGCAUUGUUGAGGGAAAAUGAAAGAACCUCUUUUCCUAUAUUAAUUAAUUCAUAUAUUUUAAGCCACUAAAGUUUAAUUGCUAGCAUAAUAAAAUAAAUAAAUGUUUCAAAAGACUUAUGAUUCAUUAUUAUUAAUGAUUACAUAUUGUUGAAUUUAAAUAGAAAGAGAAAAAAAAGUACAAAGAAUAUCUACCAAUAUUUUAGAUAUUUUAGAUAAUAGAAAAUAUAAAAAGAUGAUGAAUGAUAUAUAUUAAUAGAGUUACUAUUUAUUAAAUGAGUUAAAUAUAAUCAAAUUAAUUAUGAGAAGAUAAAAAGUCAAAUUUAAAAAAAUCUCUAUUUAUUAGAUAAUAGAGAAUAUACAAAGAAGUGAAAUGGUGAUGCCACAUCACCUCCUCAAGUCCCAACUUUAUAUAUAUAUAUAGAUAGAUAUAUAGAUAUAGAUAUAGAUAUAGAUAUAGAUAGAUAGAUAGAUUAAUGAUUACAUAUUGUUGAAUUUAAAUAGAAAGAGAAAAAAAAGUACAAAGAAUAUCCACCAAUAUUUUAGAUAUGUUAGAUAAUAGAAAAUAUAAAAAGAUGAGAAAUGAUAUAUAUUAAUAAAGUUACUAUUUAUUAAAUGAGUUAAAUACAAUCAAAUUAAUUAUGAGAAGAUGAAAGGUCAAAUCUAAAAAAAAAUCUCUAUUUAUUAGAUAAUAGAGAAUAUACAAAGAAGCAAAAUGGUGAUGCCGCAUCACCUCCUCAAGUCCUAGCUUUAUAUAUAUAUAUAGAUAUAGAUUCUAAAAUCGCUAGGAUCACAAAGGAUAGCCUUUGGUUGACUGAGGUCAGCCUUAACGCAUGCCGGUCUUUUUCUCCUCUACAUUCUUAGAAAUUUUGGUUUCACUAUAAAUACUCGGUAUAUAGCAAACUUAAGUGUUCUUGCAUUACCAAUCCAACUAAGCACACGCUUACAAUAUAAAUACUCUCAUCUCAUGGAAAGAGUUCAUUCUCUCAGGAUGAUGAGCAGAUUUCUCUUACUCCAUUGUUUGAUUAUUAUUUUCUUAUUUAUCUCGGCAGCAGCAGCCAACACAAGUUCUACUAUCACAGACCGAGAAGCUCUGUUAGCCCUGAAAGCUCACAUAACUCAUGAUCCGACCAAUUUCUUGGCUAAGAAUUGGAACACAAGUACUCCUGUCUGUAAUUGGACAGGUGUCACUUGUGAUGUCCAUAGCCAUAGAGUCACAGUCUUGAAUAUUUCAAGCUUAAAUCUCACAGGCACCAUCCCUUCUCAACUUGGGAAUCUUUCUUCUCUGCAAUCACUCAAUCUCAGUUUUAAUCGACUUUCUGGUUCCAUUCCCUCCGCCAUCUUCACCAUGUAUACACUGAAAAAUGUUACCUUCCGUGAAAAUCAGCUCUCUGGACAAAUUCCUGCAAAUAUUUGCAGUAGUCUUCCUUUUCUUGAAUUUCUUUCUUUGUCCCAAAACAUGUUCCAUGGCGGAAUACCGUCCACUCUAUCAAAUUGCACAUAUUUAAGAAUCUUAAGUUUGUCAUACAAUGAUUUCUCGGGAGCCGUACCUAGAGAAAUCGGUAAUUCGACCAAACUUAAGAUAUUAUACCUUGGUCGUAACAGACUCCAAGGUGCGCAUGAUCACGAAGUUUAAUUAUGAAAAUUGUUGCAUAAGUUGUGGUAUGAAUAAUGUUCCAUAAUACAGUUUACACACGUUGAUUAAUUUGCAGGAGAAAUUCCUCGAGAGUUUUGCAAUCUUACGGAAUUGGAGCAUAUGUCGUUGGCAGGCAACAAUCUCCAAGGCAUGAUUUUUAACUUUUUGCUAUUUUAUUUUAGCUAUGCUUGCUUCUGUAUUCAUUCGCUUGUUCUUUGAUUAUGCAAUGAUUUAUUGUUUUUCUUUCAGAUAGAGAUAAAGCUCCAUGUCUCCCCUCACUCAUUUCAUUCUUUAAAUUAUGCAGAUUAAAAAAAAAGAAUGUUCUGUAAUUUUCUUUUGUCAUAUUACCACUUCCAUUUUGAAGCUUCCAAUUAAGUCGAUGAAAAUAAAUGAUGUUUCAUUCUUAUUCUUGUCAGCCUAAUUCUUAUAUAAUUGAAGAGUAAAUUGUUAUUACGAUAUUCGUCGGCCAAUAAAUUCUUCUUUUUUUCCCCCAAAUAUGAGUGAUCAAAUUGUUUGCGCAUAUAUAAAUGUACUUAAUUUGCAGGAGGUAUUCCACAGGAAUUGGGGAAUCUUGCAAAAUUGGAGAUGUUACAGCUGUUCCAGAAUAACUUGACUGGUAACUUUCUUUACGAUAAAUAUAUGAGACAUCUUCCGCUUCUUAAUUAAUAGAUGUCUUAAUUAAAAGAUUUCAAGUCUCUCAUUAUAAAUUCUCAUAUGAGGAUGUGUAGUUACCACUAUCUAACGUUAUUCCUUUUUUAUUAGAAAUUAGUUUGUGUUAAUUCAAAAUUCUGUAGCAUUUAAAAAAAAUUAAGAACACGUGGAAUAAAUCAUCAAUCUUUCUACUUUACUGAAUUUGGAUUUCUCAAAAAUUAUCUUGACAAAUUUGCUUCACUAAUGAUAUGCAUGUGUGACAACUUCAUAAAAUAUUUUACUUGGAAUCACCAAUUAUCUUUAAAUAAUUGGAGAUGCCAUCAGCGAGACAUAAUUUCUUAACAAGCACCAUACCAAAAGAAAUUAAUAAUUUUAUUAAUCUUAAAGAGUUACAUCUUCACUGCAAUUAUGACAUAAAUUUUUAGUCAUCAAUCGCAUAAUAUUUUAUCUUAACGGAUGAUGUUCAGUCUUGGAAUUUAUAAUAUCUUGAAGGUUAGUAGCAUUGAAAAUAAGAAAUUGUUCAUGUGCUAAAAAGUUAACUUAGGAUUUAAGUUUUCCAAUAAAAGCGUUGAGAACUGGCGCUCCAUAGCAUUUCAUCAGAUAAAUAUGAAAAAUAGGCUAGAAGAAAUUAUUUUACUGAAAUAAGAGUUAAAAAGAGAGGAGAAGUACAGUACUCAUUACUUAGGUUUGCUGUGUGAGCUUAUUCUACUUGGGCUUUGGGCUUGAUUACACCCGUUAUAAUAAUAUGCUUUUACUUUCACCACACAUGAUGAUUUCUUUACCUUCCCAAUUAGGUUUUAGCAAUUUAUAUAUAAAUAACUAAAGCAUACUAAAGCUAGCAUUGAUGUACAGAUGAGUGGCGUAAAAAGUGUAUCUGUUUUCAUGUAUUAUUUAUUCUCUAAAACAUAUCUGAAUACAAUUCUUUCAAAAUACCGAGGAAAUAGCACAUGAAAUCGGAAAUAUUUUAUUGCGAUGAAAAUUCGUAUAUUCAUUGUAGUAGAACAUAUAAAAUAGAUUAUAAAUUUAUUAUUCUUUGAAACAAACCUGAUUAUAAUUCCUUCGAAAUUAAGUUUGUCAUUAAAUGAUUUCUCAGGAGCCCUACCAAAAGAAAUCGGGAAUUUGACCAAACUCAAGGAAUUAUCUCUUAACCAUAACAGGCUCCAAGGUGCGCACGAUCACAGAGUUUAAUUAUGAAAAUUGUUGCAUAAGUUGUAGUAUGAAUAAUGUUCCAUAAUACACUUUACACACGCUGAUUAAUUUGCAGGCGAAAUUCCUCGAGAGUUUGGCAAUCUUGCCGAAUUGGAGCUGAUGUGGUUAUCAGAAAACAAUCUCCAAGGUAUGAUUUUAAACUUAUUGCAAUUUUAUUCUAGCCUCUGCUUGCUUCUGUAUUCAUUCGUUUGUUCAUUAAUUAUGCUGUGAUUAAUUGUUUUUCUUUUAGAUAGAGAUAAAGCUCCAUGUCUCUCCUCACUCAUUUCCUUCUUUAAUUUAUGCAGAUAAAAAUUAAAAAAAUGUUUUGUAAUUUUCUUUUGUCAUAUUGCCACUUCCGUUUUGAAGCUCCCAAUAAGUCGAUGAAAAUGAAUGAUGUUUCAUUCUUAUUCUUGUCAGCCUAAUUCUUAUAUAAAUGAAGAGUAAAUUGUUAUUACGAUAUUCGUCAGCCAAUAAAUUCUUUUUUUUUCCCCCAAAUAUGAGUGAUCAAAUUGUUUGCGCAUAUAUAAAUGUACUUAAUUUGCAGGAGGUAUUCCACGGGAAUUGGGGAAUCUUACAAAAUUGGAGAUAUUACAUCUGUGGAAGAAUAACUUGACCGGUAACUUUCUUUACAAUAUAUAUAAGAGACAUCUUCCGCUUCUUAAUUAAUAGAUUUCAAGUCUCUCAUUAUAAAUUCUCAUAUGAGGAUGUGUCGUUACCUCUAUCUAACAUUAUUCCGUUUUUUAUUAGAAAUUAGUUUGUGUUAAUUCAAAAUUCUGUAGCAUUUAAAGAAAUUAAGAACACGUGGAAUAAAUCGUCAAUCUUUCUUCUUUACUGAAUUUGGAUUUCUCAAAAAUUAUCUCAACAAGUAUGCCUCACUAAUGAUAUGCAUGUGUGACAACUUCAUAAAAUAUUUUACAUGAAAUCACUAAUUAUCUUUAAAUAAUCAGAUAUGCCAUCACUGAUACAUAAUGUCUUAACAAGCAUCAUACCAAAAGAAAUCAACAAUUUUAUUAAUCUUAAAGAGUUACAUCUUCACUGCAAUUAUAACAUAAAUUUUUAGUCAUUAAUCGCAUAAUAUUUUAUCUUAACGGAUGAUGUUCAGUCUUUGAAAAUAAGAAAUUGUUCAUGUGCUAAAAAGUUAACUUAGUAUUUAAAGUUUUCCAAUUGAAAAUUUUGAAAAAAGCGUUGAGAACUGGCGCUCCAUAGUAUUUCAGCGGAUAAAUAUGAAAAAUAGGCUAGAAGAAAUUAUUUUACUGAAAUAAGAGUUAAAAAGAGAGGAGAAGUAUAGUAUUCAUGACUUCGGCUUUUUGUGUGUGCUUAUUCUACUUGGGCUUUGGGCUUGAUUACUCCCGUUAUAAUAAUAGGCUUUUACUUUCAGCACACAUGAUGAUUUCUUAACCUUCCCAAUUAGGUUAUAGCAAUUUAUAUAUAAAUAACUAAAGCAUGCUAAAGCUAGCAUUGAUGUACGGAUGAGUGGUGUCAAAAGUGUAUCUGUUUUUAUGUAUUAUUUAUUCUCUAAAACAUAUCUGAAUACAAUUCUUUCAAAAUACCGAGGAAAUAGCACAUGAAAUCGGAAAUAUUUUAUUGCGAUGAGAAUUCGUAUAUUCAUUGUAGUAGAACAUAUAAAAUAGAGUAUAAAUUUAUUAUUCUUUGAAACAAACUUGAUUAUAAUUCCUUCAAAAUUAAGUUUUUCAUUAAAUGAUUUCUUAGGAGCCAUACCAAAAGAAAUCGGAAAUUUGACCAAACUCAAGGAAUUACCUCUCUACAGUAACAGGCUCCAAGGUGCGCAUGAUCACAGAGUUUAAUUAUGAAAAUUGUUGCAUAAGUUGUAGUAUGAAUAAUGUUCCAUAAUACAGUUUACACACGAUGAUUAAUUUGCAGGCGAAAUUCCUCGAGAGUUUGGCAAUCUUGCCGAAUUGGAGAUGUUGUCGUUAUAUGAAAACAAACUCCAAGGUAUGAUUUUAAACUUUUUGCAAUUCUUAUAUUGUUGAAGAAUUAAUUGUUAUUAUGACAUUUUGAGAUUAAUUGUCAUAGGAGGAUGUGUUGUUAUUACUAUUUAACAUUAUCUCGUUUUUUAUUAGAAAUUAGUCUGUGUUUAUGCAAAAAAUUUUAGCUUCUAAAAAAAGUAUAAAAACACAUGGAAUAAAUCGAAAAUCUUUCUUCAUUACUGAAUUUGGAUUUCUCAAAAACUAUCAUGAUAGUUAUGUUAGUGUCUUACUAAUGAUAUGCAUGUGUGACAGCUUCAUAAAUUAUUUUAUAUGGAAAAUAUGAAAAAUAGACUUGAAAAAAAUUAUUUUACUGAAAUAAUAGUUAAAAAGAGUGGAGAAAUACAAUACUCAUGACUUAGGCUUGUUGUGUACUUAUUUUGCUUGGGCUUCGGGCUUGAUUACACAUGGUUGAACACUUACAUCCCCCCACAUAGGCUUUUAGGGAUGAGUGGCGUCAAAUGUGUAUCUACUUUUAUGUAUUAUUAUUCUUUGAAACAAAUCUGAUUAUAAUUCUUUUAAAAUACAGAUUAAAUAGCACGUGAAAUCGGAAAAUAUUUUACUGCGAUAAGAAUUCAUAUAUUCAUUGUACUAGCACAUAUAAAAUAGACUAUAAAUUUAGUUCCAAAAUACAUUCUUAUCUUCAUAUAAAUUUUACAUUAUUAAUUUAAAUUAAUAUUAAAAUAUGUUGUUUCUUUCACUAUGUUAUUUUAUUUACACAAUGAUGUGACUAUUGGAAUUAAUAAUACUUUUAAUGAUUUUGUAAAAAUAUAAAUUUAAUACUUUGUUAACAUUUUAUCUACAUAUAAUAAUUAAACUGAAACUUGUAUUUAAAAAAUUCUAGUUACACAUAUUCAUUUCAUGACAUAAAAGUGUAUAUUUAUGCUAAUUUACCAUUAUCAAAAAAAUGCUUUGAGACAAAUAAUCUAAUUUAUAUUUUUAUAUUUUAAAAUACUUGCAUUUAUUAUAUUUUGAAAAAAAUUUAUUUGCAAUUAUUUUAAACCGUUGGAUUCAAAUUUUCGUUGUUAUUAAAGUCAAAUGGUAUAAAUGUAUAAUAGUCAAAAACAUAUUUGUAUGAUCAUUUUUCAAUGUAUAAAUUUUCUUAGUUUGUAGGAAAAUUAGAAAUUGUUGAUUUACUCAUAAAUAAAUUUAAUGUUUAGCAUUUCAAUUUUGGAAAAUUUGAGCUACACUUUGAUAACUUUGAAUUGGUCGAGCCGAGUUUCGCUUCCUUGAUCCAUGGACCCAUUGAAAGUUCUAUCGAACUGAGUUUCCUGGUGCUUAUAAAAAGCAUUUCUUUUCCUUGUCGCAGUAAUUUAUUCACAAAUGAGUUGAUUAGCAUCGAAGUUACCUGAGAGUCUGAGACUAUGUUAAUAGGAGAAAUUUGAAAAGAAAUUAUUUUACUGAACUAAUUUAUUUUAUCUUGCUGUGACUGAAAUACUACUUUUUUUUUGGAGCAAUCACUGGGGCUUGAUUUACUUUAAUAGUAGCAGCCACCGACUUAGUCAUUUUUUACUUCUCACCACACAAUUUGAUCUUUUAAUUUGUUUUAACCAAUAAUCUAUCUAUCUAUUUCUCACCUAUUGCUUACUUAAAACACAUACAUAUUUUACCUACUAAUUUUUAUAAAUAUUAAUCAAAUAUAUUUUAUUACGUUUCCCUCGUAAUUGCUCCAAAUGUGUACAAUUAAUACUUAACCCUCCCUUUACUGUGCAAUCUAUCUAUCACUUAAGUCACAUAUAUAUUUUACCUAUAUUUUACCCUAAAAAAUAUAAAAAUAAAAGAAAAAGAAUAUGUGUAGCAAUUUGCAUAUAACUAACAAAGCAUUGACGGUGUGUAGCCUUUCAAUACUUCACGACUGGCUUUUCUUGUGUGUUAGUACUUGUAAUAAUUGUGUAGUGUAUAAAUGACAUUUUAUUAUUAAAGUGCGUCCAUUUUUAGAUAUUACUUAUUAUUUGAAAAAUAAACUGAAUAUAAUCAUUUAAAAUACAGGGGAGAUACCACUUGAAAUCAGUAAUCUCCAAAAACUGGAGGACUUGGGCCUUGGUCAAAACAAAUUAAUUGGUAUUGUCCCAGUUGCAAUCUUUAAUGUGUCAACACUCAAAUUUCUUGAGCUUCAAGAUAAUUCUCUCUCGGGAAGUCUUUCGUCCAUCGUAGACGUCCUACCAAAUCUUGAAAAGCUUCUUUUGUGGGGUAAUAAUUUUAGUGGCACAAUUCCUCAUUUCAUCUUUAAUGCUUCUAAGCUCUCUAUACUAGAGUUAUCACAGAACUCAUUCGCCGGUUUUAUUCCCAACACAUUUGGCAACUUAAGAAACCUUCAGCGGCUGAAAUUAUAUGAUAAUUAUUUGACAUCUUCAACUCCAGAAUUGAGCUUUCUAUUCUCGUUGUCAAAUUGCAAGUCUUUAACACAUCUUUCCUUAUCAAAUAAUCCACUAGAUGGCAUUCUUCCAAGGACGUCUGUCGGUAAUCUUUCUCAUUCUUUGAAAGAAUUUUACAUGUCCAAUUGUAAUGUUAGUGGCGGCAUCCCUGAAGAGAUCACCAACUUGACCAACUUGACAACCAUUUUUUUUGGGGGCAAUAAAUUGAAUGGAUCAAUUCCGAUUACUCUCGGCAAAUUACAGAAGCUUCAAGGUUUGGGUCUUGAAGAUAACAAAUUAGAAGGAUCAAUCCCAGACAAUAUUUGUCGUUUGACUGAACUGUAUGAGUUGGAGUUGGGUGGCAAUAAACUUUCUGGAUCAAUCCCUGCAUGCUUCAAUAAUCUGGCUUCUCUGAGGAUACUGUCGUUGGGUUCCAAUGAGUUAACUUCUAUUCCCUUAACUUUUUGGAACCUUAAGGAUAUCUUGCAACUCAAUUGUUCAUCAAAUUUUUUGACUGGCCAACUCCCAUCGGAGAUUGGAAAUUUGAAGGUUUUGGUUGGAAUUGAUUUUUCGAUGAAUAAUUUUUCAGGCGUUAUCCCAACAAAAAUUGGAGGCCUAAAAAAUCUAGAAUAUCUCUUCUUAGGAUAUAACAGAUUGCAAGGAUCAAUUCCUAAUUCAUUUGGUGACUUGAUAAGUUUGAAAUCCUUGAAUUUGUCUAAUAAUAAUCUCUCUGGAGCUAUUCCUGCAUCUUUAGAGAAACUGUCAUAUCUUGAAGAUCUAAAUCUUUCUUUCAACAAGCUGGAAGGAGAAAUUCCUACCGGAGGAUCUUUUGGAAACUUUUCAGCUGAAUCAUUUGAGGGAAAUGAAUUAUUAUGUGGUUCACCCAAUUUACAAGUCUCGCCAUGCAAAACUAGCAUCCACCGCACAUCAUGGAAAAAGUCUCUUCUCCUCGGGAUUGUCUUGCCAUUGAGUACUACAUUUAUGAUAGUAGUCAUUUUGUUGAUCCUAAGAUAUCGACAGAGAGGAAAACGACCAUCGAAUGAUGCUAGUAUGCCACUAGUAGCAAUGUGGAGAACGUUUUCAUACCUAGAACUCUGUCGAGCAACAGACGAAUUCAGUGAAAACAAUCUAAUCGGCAAAGGGGGUUUUGGCUCUGUUUAUAAGGCGAGACUUGGGGAUGGGAUGGAGGUUGUAGUGAAAGUUUUCAAUUUGCAAUGUGGAAGAGCAUUCAAGAGUUUCGAUGUUGAAUGUGAAAUGAUGAAAAGUAUUCGCCAUCGAAACCUUAUCAAAGUUAUUAGCAGUUGUUCAAAUGAAGAGUUUAAAGCGUUGGUAUUAGAAUACAUGCCUCAUGGAAGUUUGGAGAAGUAUUUGUAUUCAAGUAACUGCAUUUUGGAUAUUUUUCAAAGAUUGAACAUAAUGAUAGAUGUUGCAUCAGCUUUGGAAUAUCUGCACUUUGGUCAUUCAGCUCCAAUAAUUCACUGUGACUUAAAGCCAAGCAAUGUAUUGUUAGACGAUAAUAUGGUUGCUCAUUUGAGUGAUUUUAGCAUCGCAAAAUUGCUAACAGGAGACGAUCAAUCUAUGACUCAAACACAAACAUUUGCCACAAUAGGCUAUAUGGCACCAGGUUUGUCAAUAAAAAAAUUUUCUAUUUCUUGUAAACUUCCUAAUAAGUUGUUUAUGUUUCAUGAUCUUCAUUAGAUGAGGAAAUUCUUAUUGAUGAUAUAUCUUACUAUGUAACUAUUGCAAUUCAUAGAGUAUGGAAGAGAAGGACGAGUAUCCGCAAAUGGAGAUGUUUAUAGCUUCGGGAUUAUGUUAAUGGAAACUUUUACUGGGAAGAAACCCACAGAUGAAAUUUUUAACGAAGAAAUGACAUUAAAGCAAUGGGUUAAUGAUUGGCUACCCAUUUCCACAAUGGAAGUUGUUGAUGCUAAUUUGCUUAGUCAGGAGGACGUACAUUUUGUUGCAAAGGAGCAAUGUGUGUCAUUUGUCUUCAAUUUGGCUAUGGCGUGCACUGUGGAAUCUCCUGAGCAGAGAAUCAAUGCGAAAGAAAUUGUAACAAAGCUCUUAAAAAUUAGAGGCUCAUUACUUAGAAAUGUUGGAGGCAGAUGUAUAAGACAAUCAAAUUUAAAUUGAUUCUGCCACUCCAUUGCUUGCUAUCAUUUUCAGAGACUUGAAUGGUUAUCCUUCAUACCAGUUUUGUUGAUAUGUUUCGUUAUUGCUCUUGCUCAUGUUUGUUUCUCUAUUUCUUUAAUUUGCAUGCAUGUAUUUUUCGUUCUCUUUUAUGUUUUUGUUGGUUUGUAUGUAGUUUGUUUUUAGGGGUAAGGUUGAUUAUGUCCUCCCCUAAUUACAUGUAUCCUUUUUAUGUUUAUUCAAUAAAGCUUCUCUAAUACUAUCGAGGUUCAUCAAAAGAAAAUUUUUAAUUAAUUUUCUUUUCUUUGACAGGUAAUGAAAUUCUAAUCUUCAUAGUGAAUAACUUCAAUAAUAGAGUGUAAGAGUAUUAGUAGUUAUGGUUGUUUUUUUAACCUGGAGUCAAGAGCAAUUUAAUAGCAACAAACAAGUCUCUUGUAUUGUAGGCAAAAUUCUUUUCAUUAAUCUUGUUUGUCUACAUGUUCUCCUAUUUUCUCCAUUAAUCUUCGCUCUAGGUUUCAUGCUUCCUCUUUGAUAAAGGAAAAUAUUACUUGCGAAUAUUUCAAUUUGACAUAAGAGACUGUUUUGCCAACCAUUUGAUAAAAUGGAUAUGAGUGGAGCUUUCAAUCAUUACCUCCACCAAAAUCCUUACAACGCCACUUUUAAAUUUUAGUUUUUAAAAUACAUUCAGUUUAAUUUAUAAAAAAUAAAUCCAUUUGUUAAAAUUAAUCUUUUUCUCAUAAAUUUCAACCUAAAAAAUAUAUUUCUUUUAAAUUUUUAAUUAUAAAAUACAUACAAGUUCUAAAUUAUUAUAUUAUUUUCUUCUUAUUAUAUAGUUUAUAUCUCCCUAACUCUAAACUCCUAUAAUUUUUUUAAUUUAAAAUAUAAAUAUAAAAUAUAGAAUGGAGUGGGUAUAAAAAAACUUGUUAAAAGAAUAAUUCAUUUAAGUAUUUAACUGAAUUUAAAUUAAAAUAAAAAAUAAAUUAAUUUAUUUUUUAUUAGUUAAGUAAUUUUCAAUUGAAAAAGAGCUGUAUGCGUAAUAUUAUUGAAAUAUGAUUAAAAUUCUUAUAAAUUAAAUAUUUUCGUAUAAAUACUAGUGAUAAUUACAGAGAAAGGACGAGGAACCAAAGAAAACUUGAAUAUAAAUACUCCAAUGUAAUUUUACACAUGCAAAUUAUGAACCAGUGAUCUUUAGAGCAUCAUAAAAUUAUUUUGACAAAAUUAUUUAUUUUGAAAAAUUGCCAACAAUGUUUAAAGUGGGAUUGAAAAGAUUAUACUACUUAUAUAAGACAUGAUAUCAAUUAGACGGGCCCAGCUACCUUCCACCCGCUGGAAGGUAUAGCUUAUUUUGUCCUCUAUUGUUGUGGGCGUUGGAUAUUUGAGAAGUUGAUCUAACGGUUCUUGUUCGGCAGCGUGAAAUUGAAUUUCAAUUGGCAACCGUUUCAUGAACUUUGCAAGAGACAAUUAUCUACAAAAAUAUUAAAAAAAUAAAACCAAUUUUUCCCUUUCAUCAGCCGCCGCCGCCGCCAUCCACGAACCCUUAAUAUCAUCAUCACCAUCCCAAUCCUUAGUCGCCAUCCACAAGCUCUAACAACCACCAUGACUGCCAUCACAACCACCACUCCUCACAACCCCUAGCCACCACUACAAACAUUCACAAAUUCUAUCCAUCAUUGUCAGUUCACCAGCCUUAUCCUCCAUUGCCGCGGCCUACCAAUCAUCCACAACACCUAACCGUCGUCACCAACAAACUUUCGCCGCCGCUUCCUACAAGGAAGCCUCACCACCCACCGCCGCACACACUCAAAGCCACACCAACCUCCAUACUAUUGCGAAAGAGGCCACAAUGUAGAAAAAUUCCAGCAGAGGAAGGAUGUUUUCCUUCUCCAGCUGACUAUUCCUUUUUAUCCUUUUUUUGUUUUUUAAUUAUUAUAUUACUUUUAGUUAUUUUUAGUUUUUCUUUUAUUUUAUCUAUAUUUUGGUUGUUAGAAUGUUUUUGUUGUUGUUGUUGGCGGCAGUGCAGUUGUAGCUCGUGAUGAUGAUGGUGAUGUUGGUGUCAUUUUAAUCGAGAUUUGUUUCUUUUUACCGGCUACGUCAGUCAUCUUCAUUCACUACAUGUCCAUUUCUAACAUGUUAGAUUUUACUACUUUUUAAUCCAAGAGUUAGACCACAACGAGACAAAAGAUGGUGUACCUUCCAACGAGUGGAAGGUAGUUCGGCCCAAUUUAGACAGAGUCUAUGCAAUAAAAAUUUCAAAUUAAAAAAUAAACCCUUUAUUUUCUUUUAAUCAUAAGUGUGAUCUUAAUUAUUAAAGUCUUUCAAUGUCCAUUACUUAUUCAUUUUUUUAAUUACCUAAAUGACAUUGAAAACUCUACUCAAUAAUAAUUCGUUCAAAUGUUUUCUUUUAAAGUAAUCGGAAAUUGCAAAUGAAACAAAUGCUUGAAAUCACAAACGGCCUAAAAUUAGAUUUUCAUUUUUCAAUGUUGCAGUGACAUUGAUCUUGAUAUUGAAAUUUUAUUUGUAACUUAUAUAAAGGCCUCAAUUUUAUCAUAAUUGGUUAGUAAGGCUACGUAGGGAGCAUAGUCUGUUAGGACUAGCAACUUAGUCUAAAAUUAUUGAAAUUAUUAAUAUUUUAUACUAUAAUCUUUUCAUUCCCACUUUAAAUAUUAUUGGUAACUUAAAUCAUUUUUAAAAAUUAAAUAUAAAAAUUAAUUUAAUUAAAUAUAAAAAUCAUUUAAAUUAAAUAUUAACAUUAAUUUCAUAAUUUUUUUACCUAGAAUUUUAUACUAUAUUAAAUACUAAAAUUAUAUUCGAUAAUGUAUUAUCAUUUAUUUAAUAAAUGUUUAGGUUUUAGUAUGUUAUAUUAUUAUUUAAAUUAAUUUUGUAAUUUUAAUAUGGGCAAAUUAGAUAGUCCAGUGAACAAGAGACUGAUUCCCAACCAUCCUAAGAAUUAGUCCCUCAUUUUUUAUUUCUAAUUGGAUGUGGGUCCAGUUAUUUUGAUUUCUCUUGCAUUGAAUGAAUGGAUGAGUGCUAAUCCAUGCAAAGACUUCCAUGCAUACACAAUGAAUGCUUCAUCAAAGGUCUGGUAAAAUGUCAGCACGCUUGUUCAUCCGGAUUUUGGACCAUUUUCAUUGACAAUGAGAAAAGCUGCAAGAUCUGUAAAUCGGAAACUCAUUGAGGUGCCAAAAGAGAGAUGGAAGUGAAUUACUAGAGAGUUAGCGAAAAGAGGGUGCAGUGAUUGUGUGGGAAGCUUUGGGUAUACUUGGGGUUUGGAUGUGAGAUAAAAUAAUUUGAGAGAGAGGUUGUAACAAUUUUUCGGUAAUAGAGUUUUUCAGGUAAUUCUUGUGUUGUGUGAUUGGAGUAUUCUCUAUUGUAUUUUUUUUAUUUGUUAUUUAUUUGACGUAUUGCUAGCGGAGAUCUUGGGUGGGAACCAAAAAUUCCCAACAAUUGUCAAUUGUUUUAAACUCUAUUUCGAACAGAGCAUGAAGGGAUUCACUUAUCUGAUUAUGUCUUUUAUGCUUUAACUUCACUUGAUUUCAUCUUGUCUGUCACCUUUAUUAAAGUUGUAUAUGUUGGAGUAUUAGGUUCAUCACAAGGAUCAUAUUAUGGCUAAGGAAGGGGCACAGUUUAUCAGCUGCACUCAAGUGUAGCAGAGUAUUUGGAUUCAAGACUGUUAGAAGGUUGUUACAAUGCAAGGCUGUUGCUGUGUAACUGUAUGCCAUUCUCGCAAGUGCACUCUUAACAGAUUGCUGAGCUGGCACCGGAUGUUUUUAGCUAAUAUUAGUUAUUGGUCUAGAGUGUUCUGAUUUAUUCUAUAAAUAGCUCAUUUGAGCUUAGAACCUUUAUAGUGUAUCAUACGAUUCCCUCUCUUCUAUUAAUGAUUUUCUCUAUUCCUUUUUCUUUCACUUUCUCUUCCAUUUUCAUGAUCCCCAAACACCAUCAAUCCAUGAUUUUCUAGAGUAUUAGUUGUCUAUUUCUACAAACAUAGAAUUGUUGUUUUAAGAAACAAAGUACUCUGUCCUGUCACCCGCGGUAUCCUUGUUUAUCGACUUGUGAACAGGGCUAAAUAAACGGCAAAUAAGAUAUUGGGUCAAUGGGUCUAACGUGAAUCGAGGGGGCUUGGCUUGUACCAGGCUCUAAAAGAGUUUUCUACGAGCGAGCAGUCUUUCUAUCCUUUUUUUGGGGUUGCAUGCCUUAUAUUGAAUUAUUGCCCUUUUCUUUUCUCCACAAAUCUUUGGUUAAUUUUUUAGGUUCCCUCAACUUUUUUCCCCUUUAGCACUAAAAUUCAUAUUUGAUACUUUAUGCAAAAAUUAUGAUGAAAAUGAGUCACUUUAGAACAUCAAGAAAUUUUUAUUUUUACAUCCAAGAUAACGACAGUUACACUUAGAUCACUCUCAUUUAGUUGAAUUAUAUAGGUAAUAAAGUUGGCUUAACAAAAUAUGAUUCUUAACUGUUGUAAUUAAGGGCUAGUAUUCUUUGGUUUUAGUUGUAGGGCUCAUAAUGCCAUGGCUCAGUUCUUGGUGGGUUCGAAUUAUUAGACGAUCAUUCUCAAUUCUUUACGAUUCGUAAUUAAAAAUUCCUAUAUCACAAUUAGAACUUACAAACAAGUCAAAGUGGGUUAAAUCAUAUGUAUAAAUUCGAGGUCUAUUACAAACUUUUAAAAAAGAUUUUCUCUGUUUUUUUUUUCUUUCACCUUCUCUUCCAUUUUCUCAAUCCCCAAACACCACCAAUCCCUGAUUUUUUUAGUAUUAGCUGUCUAUUUCUACAAACAAGUUCUUGAAUUGAAUGGCUCCUCUUUUAUCCAUAGAUCUUUGCUUAAUAUUUUUGUUCCCUCAACCUUUUUCGGCCCUUUGCUCUAAAAUUCUUUUUUGAUACAUUACGCAAAAAUUAUGAUGAAAAUAAGUUACUUUAGAACAUCAAUAAAAUUUUAUUACAUCUAAGAUAAGACAAUUAUACUUAGAUUACUCUUAUUUAGUUGAAUUAUAUGUAAGAAAAUUAGUUCAAUAAAAUAUAAUCCGUAAAUAUUCCUUAUCACAUGAUUAACGUACUUAAAAAUUCUUAACUGAUCGGUCGCUUGUUUUACAAUUCUUUUAUAUAUCUUUGAAACUUUCAGCUUCCCAACACAUCAUAUUGUUCUCAAUUCGUCUAAUUUUUUUUUUUUCAAACACUGCAGCAACAACCAGUAUAAAAUAGUAUAAACUCAUUUAAUGGAAAUUUUCCUAGAUGCUUUCAUGGCAGAAUCUCAUUGGUCUAUUUCUCUUCGCAUCUUAGGUUCCUCUAACAAACCGGCCUCUUAACUCUCAUGUCCGAAUUUAAACUUAAAAGAUGUUCCCCGUCCCACGUGUCCCCAAAUCUUUGUAUUUCCAAACAAACCCCUGCCAACUAAGUCAAGUGAUAGGAUGGCUUUUAUUAUUUUUAAUCUCAUAUAUGAACGUUAUGGCCAUGGGACAUUGGAUAAAACUAAGUAAAGUGAUAGUGAUAGGAUGUCCCACUGUAUGAACGUUAUGGCCAUGGGACAUUGGAUAAAACUAAUGGAAUGUAAAGCAAAAUUACCGAUUAAACUAAAUUGAAAAUCCAACCAAUUGAAUCGGUUCAGUGUCACUCAAAAUAUGUGUGUGGUGGUGUGUGUAAAACAACACAAUUAUCAUAUUAAUGAGGCACUGUUAAAUUCAUUCAGCGAAUAUUUUUCUUUUUCAUUUUCAAUGAAUGCUUAAUAUGACAAACAAUCUGUCCCAUUGAGCACUGUUUAAGUCAUUCAAUGAAAAUGAAUACUUCUAUAACAAAACAAUAAUUCCCUUAUUUAUUUGAGACGCAAAGAACUUUCUUGCUCAGCUCGGCGGCCAAUCCUUUAAAUUUGUUAAAAUUCAGUUAAUUGAUGAACGAGAUAUAACCCAAUAAAUUGUUUAAUUUGUAUAAUUGAUAAAAAUUUGAACUUCAAAUAAUAUAGAUAGAAUGAUUAAUUUUUUUCAUAUUUAGAUAAUUGAUAUAUGUCAUGUUACUAUGAGUAAAAGAAUGAAGUGUAUGAUAGAAAACAUAAUGUUUAUGUUUGUAUUAAAAAUUUUAAGUGCAAAUCUAUUUAGUGUAGGUUAGACAUAGAAAUAGUUACCAACUUGUCUUGUUUCUCAUUUUGUUUAAUUUUCCUAAUUUGAAUAACUAUUAAUUAUGAGUCAAGGGUUUAUUGCGAAAAUAUGGUCUUCCAUUUACUAUAAAAAGAUUAGCGUGAUUUAAUUAUUUUUCUUUUUGCUUGGUGUCUGUAAAAUUAUGAAUACUUUGGUAAAUAAGAUAAUUAUAAAUACUAUUUUGAAAAUCCAUGGCCAUGGUUGUGAUGUAUCUUUAUCAAUCACGGAUACAAAAAUUAAUCAAAAUUAUCGAUUGUUUUAAAUUCUGUUUUUAACAAAGCAUGAAGAUGUUACUUAUCUAGAUUUAAUUUUUAUGCUUUCACUUCACUUAAUACAGCUUCUUCGCAGCAAGCAGAAGCGCUAUUGGUGACGAGAGGGAGAUCAACGGAACGCGGCCCCAGUGGGAGUCAAAAUCAGGGUAGAUCAAAAUCCAGAAGUAAGAAGAAUGUUAAAUGCUACAAAUGUGGCAAGAAAGGGCACGUCAAGAAAGAAUGUUGGAGUAACCAGAAGAGAAAAGAAGGCAAAGAAACUGAGUCAUCAAAUGCUCAGGGUUGUGUAGCAAGUACCUCGGAUGAUGGCGAAAUUCUUUACAGCUAGGCAACAACUGUUUCAGAAGGCAGAAAACGACUUUCUGAUGUCUGGCUUAUAGACUCAGGAGCUACCUGGCACAUGACCUCUAGGAGAGAAUGGUUCCACACAUAUGAACCUAUCUCAGGAGGAUCUGUAUAUAUGGGAGAUGAUCAUGCCUUGGAGAUCGCUGGUAUUGGUACUAUCAAAAUAAAAAUGUUUGAUGGUACAAUUCGCACAAUUGGAGAGGUACGACAUGUCAAUGGCCUGAAGAAAAAUCUAUUGUCUUUGGGACAAAUGGAUAGUCAUGGGUACAAAACUCAUGUGGAGAAUGGAAUUAUGAAGAUUGUUAAAGGCGCGCUUGUAUUGAUGAAGGCAGAAAAGAUCGGUGCUAAUCUAUUCAUGCUUAAAGGAGAAACACUACAGGAGGCUGAUGCGUGUGUCGCGUCAAAUGGAGAAGAAUCAACAAUGAUGUGGCAUCUCAAACUUGGUCACAUGUCAGAACAAGGUUUGAAGAUUCUCUCUGAGCGAAAAUUGCUUCCGGGGCUUAAAUCGGUAAGUUUACCAUUUUGCAAGCAUUGUGUUACAAGUAAGCAGCAUAGAUUAAAAUGAAGUAUUAUUUUCGACGAGGCGCCACCUAAUCAUUCGUUUUCUGGGUGAACAUAUUAUUUUCGCCAUCAUCUCUAUAACAAUGAAGUGAAAAUAGUUCUCAUUUAAAGUAUUGACAGCAAUGUUAUACUCAAUAUAACGUAUAAAGCACGCAUAAUUUAAUUAAUGGGGCAGCUGCUAGUACCUUCUUUAGAAGAGAAUUAUUGCGGCAAGGUAAUUGGAAGCUCAAAGAGUUUCCGUAUUAGCCGAAUCUAAGCGAUAAGUGUUUCCAUGUGAGCCAUAAUUUGCGAAAAAGACCAAUUCGAGUUAAAGAUCAGAAAACAAACACUGUCAACGAGCAUUAAUGUCAUUUGAUGCAUGAAAGACAAUUAGUCCCAUUUUUUGUCCUGUUUACUUGACUUGGGCAAUUUGCCGUCAACUUUUAUCAUCCACGUCAGGUAAUGUGGCUUUUAUUUGGUAUGAAAAAGCUAAUGCUUUACGAUAAAACUAUCACACACAUAUUUAUCCAUAUGUAAUGUUCAAAUGACACUCAAGUAUUGCCCAAAUUAGCCUUUUAAAAAUUCAUUUUCAAAAACCCAUGGUUGUGAUGUGUCUCUAUAAUUAAGAUCUAUCUGUUACCAACUGUUUUAACUAUGUUCUAAACAGAGCUUGAAAGGGUACAUUCACUUAUCUAGUUAUGUUUUUUAGGCUCUCACUUCUCACUUUACUUGAUUCACCUUAUCCCUCUUUUGAAACAAUUGUAUAUGUUGGGGUAUCAAGUGCAUCACAUCGAUCAUAAUCAUAUUAUUCACCUUAUCCGUCUUUUUAACAGACUGUUGAGAUGGCACCAAAGAUUGUAAAGUAAUUAGUACUGGAAAAUCAUGAGUUUGAUGAUGAAGAGGACGAAAAAUAUUAUUUUAUUAUUUAAAAUAAGACUAUCAAUUAUUUCCAUGGUCAUCUUGUUGUCCUCUUGAUCUUCAUAACAUCCAUAUUAAAUUACUGAGAAAUACGAAAGCGGAAGCGUACCUGAAUCCAUGAUGAUUCGUAGUGGUUCUUGAGUGUAGGAGACGGACUUCCAAUCUUCUCUUUCUCUUGAGUUUAGAAUUCUCUUUGAGAGGAUUAGAGAAUUGCAAAGGAUUAAAGAGAUUGGGGACCAUAACCCCUUUUAUAUAAAUAUCGUGACUAUUGGUAUUCUUUUAGAAAACCCAACAGUCACGUUAUUUAUGAUAAUAAUUAUCACUUCAGCCCCUCAUUAAAGUGAUGAUUAAAUUCUGGUAUCUAUGCAUUUAAUCCACAACAAUUAUACUCUUAGCCAUUUAAUUACCUUCAAAUAGAUCAUUUAAUUCUUGGCUUAUUAAAUAAUAGCACACACAUUUUAUUUAUUUCAUGUGUGGCCCCAAAUAUAUUAGAUUAAUAUAAAAUUGAUCUAACACAUCUUACUUUUUUUUUAUUAUUAAUUGGCCUAAAUAUUGUAUUUUUUGUCAGGAGUCUUGCAAUGCUGCGUAGCACCGUAAGUAAGAAGAAACGUGUCUAAGGUUGCCACGUGUAGUCUCAACAUGUGUGUGAAAACUGAAUUAACCAGUUUGCGUUCGACAACAAAGGAAAAUGCUUCUUGUUGCUGACCGAUUGCUAAGUAUUUCAAUACCUCCACCAAAAUCUUUAUAACACCCUUUUUAAUUUUAUUUUCUGAAAUACACUUAAUUUUUUAAAAAAAGAGCUUUAUGAGAAAUUUUCAAUCUGUCAAAAGGCCUACUUAAUGGACUGGAUCCCGACUCAUUAAUUUUAUAACCCGACUUACAAUCCGACUCAUUAUUCACAGAGAUUAAUUUGCUAUUGCUUAAGGUACAAUAUUUACUAAGCAAUUUAUCGGCAAUAAAACAUGUAUAUUAUAGUGGUUUGUAAUAAAAUUGGAAGAAGACAUCACGUACGAAUUGGAUUUAUCUCAUGAAAUUUGAUUAACGAAAGUGUAUGAAAAUAUAUAAAGAAAAUAGUAAAAAAAAUGUUGUGUAAAUGCUGUAUAGGUGAUAUAUUACUUUUAUAAUCCAUCAAGGUACAUUUGACUUUAAUGAUGAAACAAAUACAAAUAAAUCCAUGUACGUCAAUGCUAGAUGGCUCCAUAUUAAACUUGUGAAGUAUAGAAAAUAAGCGAGAUUCGUAAAAAAUAUUUUAGAUAAUACCACUGAAAAGUUAUAAAAAUAUUUUUUUAAGAAAAGAAAUACAUACUCGAGACACCAAGACCAACACGCACAAACUCACACAUUGACAUAUUAAUUGAGGGGAAAAUGAUAUUCUGAGUAAUAUUGUUGACAUAUGAUUAAAAUUCUUUUUAAUGAAACAUUUUCGCAUAAAUACUAGUGAUGUUUGUAGAGAAAGUAGAAUGAAGUGAAAAAAAUUUGAACAUAAAUGCUCCAAUAUAAUUUCGCCCAUGCAAAUUAUGAACUAGUGAAACUUUAAAUCAUCAUAAAAUUGUUUCCACAUAAGUAAUUAGUUUGAAAAAUUGCCAAUAAUGUUUAAAGUGGGAACGAAAAGAUUAUUCUAUAUGAGACACGAUAUUAUUUAAGACAGCUUACAAAUUAUGGGAAAUGUAUUGAUCUUACAAAUAAUAUUUAAUAAGUACAAAUUUCAAAUUAAAUAAUAAACCCUUGAUUUCCUUUUCAUCAGAAUUAUGAUCUUAAUAAUUAAAGUCAUUCAAUCUUAAUCACUUUUUCAUUUUUUUAAACUAUCUAAAUGACAUUGAAAACUUUACUCAAUAUUAAUUUAUUCGAAUGUUCUGUUUCAAAAUAAUUGAAAACUGUAAAUGAAACAAAUGCUUGCAAUCACAAAUGGCCUAAAAUGGGAUUUUUAUUUUUUAAUAUUGCAAUGACUUUGAUCUUGAUAUUGGAAAUUUAUUUGUAACUUAUACUAAGUCUUCAAUUUUAUCAAAAUUAGUUUCUAGAGAUGCAUUUGCCAUAAUGUGUAGUUGUAUUGUAUGAUGAUAUAUUACAUUAGGGUGCAUUGUAUUGAGCUGUAAUGCAAUACUAUUUUAUAUUAAUGUUAAAACUAAAUCAACCUUAUUUAAAUUUAUUAAUAUUUUAGGGUUUUAUUAGUAAUAUCUGAAAUUAAGUAUUAAAUAAUUAUUUUUAUAAUAUACAAAUUAUUUAAUAAUAUUCUACUAUUAAAUAAUAAAAUAUUACAAUAUUAUGUUAUAUUAUUAACAAUUAUUCUGUUAUAAUAUAAUUUAUUUUUAUAUAUUAGUUAUUAUAAUUCACUAACACGAAUUAAUUUCUACCAACAUUACCGAAUGAUUGUAUCGAUUUUUAAGCACGUAAACAUACCAGCUUUCUUUCUUUUACUCUCUAUUUCAUGUUUAUUCAAUUUCAAUCUUCUGCAAGUUUUUGGCUGUUUUAUUAGUUACAAAAUUCUCUAGGAUUGCAUGUAGAUUAUGGUUUUACGUGCAUUUUUUCUUCUUUUUUUUUUUUUUUUUGGGUAAACAUAUUAUUUUAUCAUCUAUCACUAUAAGAAUGAAAUGGAAAUAGUUCUCAUUUAAAGUAUUGACAGCAAUGUUAUACUCAACAUAACGUAUAAAGCACGCAUAAUUUAAUAAGGUUCUGUUUGGGAUUGAGGUGUUAUACUUUUUAAGUUACAGCUGCUGUGAAAAAAAAUUGUAACUCUAGAACAAAAGUUAAUAACAUUUAGUAAAUAUAAAUUUUAAAUAAUAAUUUUGAAAAAAUUAUUAAAGAUAUAAAGAUUUCCAUCAUAUAAGUGAAAAAUCAUAUCAACAUAGCUUCCAAGCUACAGCACUUAGUAUUUACCAAAUAUUCUAGUGCUGUACUUUUAAGUUACAACUGUCCAACCUCAAUCACAAACACACUCUAAAUGGGGUUGCUAAUAUCUUCUUUAAAAGAGAGUUAUCGCAGCCGCGUAAUUGGAAGCUCAAAGGGUUUCCAUAUUAGCCGAACCUAAGUGAUAAGUGUUUACAUAUGAGCCACAAUUUGGGGAAAAAAACAAUUCAAAGUUAAAGAUAAGAAAAGUGUGUCCCGGACGAAUACAAUAAUUCAAGCCACAGAUUUAUCAAACGCAUGGCAGAGACGCUUCAACAUGUUGUCUCAUGGAAAGAGAUCCUUCAGUCUUUGGCGUAAUACUUGGGGAAACGUAAAUUGACUUUACAUUAAAACAAAACAAAACAAACACUGUCGACAAACAUUAAUGUCAUGUAGUUAAGAAAAACUUACUUUAUCUUCGAUAAGUGCAAGAGAGGGGUGGGACAGUUGGACUCAUUUGAUGCAUGAAAGACAAUUAGUCCCAUUUUCUGUCUUGUUUACCUGACUUGGGCGAUUUGCCGUCAACUUUUCUCAUCUACGUCAGGUAAUAUGGCUUUUAUUUGAUAUGAAAAAGCCAAAACUUCGAUGAGCGGGACAUCACUGAUUUGUAUAAUUUUCAGGACUAGAAAAUUAUCUCAAUUUCAAAAUAUAUAAUUACAAUUAUCGAACACCACUAAUUCCAACAAUUUAUCCAAAGAUAUUUUUGAGCUUCAAGGAAUGUAACACUUAUGGUAGAAUGGUCAAAAUUUUCAACUUUUUAGAUAUUUGAUAUAUGCCAUGUUCUAACUUACAAUCAGAAUAAAAUUAUAGUAUAAUUUUUUUAAAUUAGUGGAAUUAUUUUACGAUAAAACUAUCACAAUAAAAUUUAAAUAUAAAGUUAUUCUUUAAUUUUUCACUACUAUUACUGAUAUUCUUAAACUCUUUGCUGAAUGGAGCAUGAAAGGACUACUUAUCUAGAUACGUUUUUUAUGCUUUCACUUCGCUUGAGCUUAGAACUUACAACUCGUAUUUUACGUUUCUCUUACUUUCUCUUCCAUUUUCCCGACACCCAAACACCAUCAAUCCUUGAUGUUGUAGAGUAUUGGCUGUCUAGUUCUACAAACAUGGACCUACUGUUAGUGCUUUAGAUCUUCAGACGGUUAGCUAACUAUUAUUUGAAUAUUAAAAUUAAUUUGUUAAAUAAAUAAAGAAAACAAGAGACAACUGCCAUAUCUAUUCCAUAUUAAUUAGUCACCGUCCCACUGACUCUGUCGAUUCACGCUUUGAUGAAGUGAAACGCUUAACGCACUAUUGUGAUGCGCAGGAGAGGAGGAAAACACAAUUUUAUUAUUGCAAUCCUGACACGCACAAAGAGCUUUCUUACAGGGCUUGGCAGCUAAUUCUUUAAAAUUUGUUAAAAUUCAUUUAAUUGAUGAAUGUGACAUAAAUCUCUAUAAAUAGUUUAAUUUGUAAAAUUGUUAAAAAUUUAAAAUUCAACUAGGGGUAGAUAAAAUGAUUAAUUUUCUCAAUAAUUAGAUAAUUGAUAUAUGUCAUGUUAUUAGGAGUGAAUGAAUGAAAUUUUCAAUAGAAAACACAAUGCUUGUAUUAACAAUUUUAAGUGCGAAUCUAUUUAGCGUAGGUUGUCCAUAAAAGUAGUUGCCGACUUGUCUUGUUUCUCAUUUUAUUUAAUUUUCAUAAAUUGGACUCACAAUCAAUUAUGAGUGAAGAGUUUGUUGGAAAAAUCUGCUCUUCCAUUUAUUGUAAUCAGAUGAGUGUAAUUUAAUCCUUUUUUUUUCUUUUGCUUGAUGUCCUGAAAAUUAUGAAUGGUUUGUACUACAAGAAAAACUAGAUAUAGCAACGAGUAUUUUACGUUUCUAAAACCAUUAACAACAUGCAUCCGCGUGCUGUGGAUCAAGAUGUUGUCUUUGGGUAAGUUACUUCUAACAAUAGCAAGACGCGUUGUUAAAACUCACGCGCUUGUAGUUAAAAAUGCUUUAAACAACGCAAAAUUUCUUUUAACAACAUGCAGUAUGAUCGUCGUGAAUUGUGUUACUUUAUUUUAUUUAUUUUAUAUCCACAUUUUGCUUACAAAAUCCUUUUAUUUAUUUUUUCCAAUAUUUCUUUUUUUUAAUAAAUAUUAAAAACUUACAGCUACAAACAAACUACUAAUUGAAUACAAAAAUUAUAGUUCAUAAAAAAAAUAGCAAUAAAUUUAUUUGAUAAUCACUACAAUUAAAACAAUUUAUAUUACAAAAUUCAAUACUCUCACAAAGAUAUCAUCAUUACAGUGAUCUCUUCAUCACAUACAAAGGCUUUGGAUGGAGCUUCUGAAUGCUGAUAACACCCAAAGCCUGCUUCAUAUAUCAUGUCAUUAGCAAUAAAAUCAAAUCUCCUAGACAAACAAAAUCAAGAUGAAUCGAAAUAUAUAGCCUAGCAAAUGAAAUUUCAAUUCACUCUCAAUAGAAUGAACUUUCUAAGAACUUAUCUUGUCCUAUUAUUAAAAUUAUAAAUUUUACAUAAAAUGAAAAGUUAAUUAUUGGCUAAAAAAUGAUACAUAAAAUGACCGUCCAAUUAAAUUGCAAGUGGGCAUUCCUACCAUUCUUGUCUCAUGCUUGUUAUAUUUAAAUUUACAAAUCACACCAUGUCAGUAUGGUGAUGAUGUAAAAUUGUUUCACCAAAUUUUUUAUCUUGAUAAUCUUGGUUAUAGAAAAAAUAUUGGGCGCUCCCAGUGGAUGCUUCUAUUGAGUGGCAGAAUCAGCAUUUUAUUUCGAUGGUAGCCAUAAUAAUUAAACUAUAAACUUAAGUUGAUUGUGAAAUAAAAUCAACGUUGUAAAUACUGCGUCCACAUUUUAUAUACAAACAUAUAUAUAUACAUACAUACAUACAUACAUAUAUAUAUAUGUAUGUAUGUAUGUAUGUAUUUUCGUUCAAUUAAUUAUUAUACCAUAUGAUGUAUUCAAUUAAUUAUUAUACCAUAUUAUUGUACAAAUUGAUGAUAAUAUGGUAUAAUAAUUUAUUUUAAUUUAUUUUCUUAAAAGAGAAUUCAUCAAUUUGUACAAUAAUAUGGUAUAAUAAUUAAUUGAACGAAAAUACAUACAUACAUACAUACAUACAUACAUACAUACAUAUAUAUAUAUAUAUAUAUAUAUAUAUAUAUAUAUAUUGUAUAAACUAACAUGGCAACAUAUGAUUGGUUAAUAAAAGAAUAAAUAUAUAUCAAGUGGGUUCUACCAUGUUUUUAAUUCAACUAAUGAUAAUAUGCCACAUCAAUUUGUACAACAAUAUUUGUGACUAUAUCAUUACUCGUUAAUUAAUAUGAACGCUAAUUUAUUUUCUUAAAAGAGAAUUCAUCAAUUUGUACAAUAAUAUUUUCACAAAAAUAUUUGUGACUGUAUCAAUACUCAUUAACUAAUAGACCGCUAUUUUAUUCUUCUUGAAAGAGAAUUACUGCAGCGAGGUUGGAGGCUCAAAGAGUUCUCAUUUAGCCAAACAUAAGAGAUAAGAGUUCACAAGAGACGUAAUUUGGAAAAUCAAUUCUAUCCAAUAGGCGAUAGGUCUCAAUGGAUUCGACUCAGUAUACGAUCAUUUGCGAUUUUUUAACGUCUUGUAAUUACAGAUUCCGAUAUCACAUUAUAAUUUUCAAACAAAUCAAAGUGAGUCAACUCAAAUUUAGAAAUUUGAGGUCUACUUUAAACUUUUGACAUUAAAUUUAAGAUAAUUAAGUAAAUGCUAGACAAAAUCUAACUUGUAAAUAUACCUUACUGCACGAUGAACGUUCUUAAAAAUCUUAACUGAUUGCUCACCAAUUAAUUGUUGUUUUAUAAUUUUGAUAUAUCCUUUCUUUUCCCUAAAACUUCUAGUUUCCUAACAUAUUGUUCUCAAUUGGUCUAAUUAUAAUGUAAUUUUUUUUUAAAUAUUAAAAAAAUGAAUUUAUUUAAUGGAAAUUAAAAAAAAAAAAAAGACACUUAUCUAUGCAAGCAAAGUUGCAUUCUGUUUGUGGGGACCUUAAAAGAAAAAGCAUAAUGAUACACUGAUGACGACAAUCCUUAAGUAUUUGUUUUCUUUAGUUACAGUUUGGUUCGAAUGGUUAAGUUCAAGUUCGAAUUUUCUUUAGUUACAUGUCAUAAGAUACUUUGCUCAAAGCUGCAAUUGGGCAACGCCGUGCUGUUCUUAUCGGCCAAUGCAAGCCAUUUACUAUUCUUUCUAAUGGAGCAAAAUAAGAUGAUUCUUACCUGCAUAGAGAAUUAGAAAAGAAAAGGAGGAUUACUGAUCCACAGAGCUGUCAUUUGCUAGAAGCACAUAAAUCUUACACUUAAUUCAUUAUCCAUAUGUAAUGUUCUAAUGAUACUUAAGUAUUACCUAAAUUAGCCUUUCAAAAUUUCACUUCGAAAAAAUCCAAGGUUGUGAUGUGUCUGUAUAAAUUCGCUAAUACAAGUUCUCUCUAUUCCCAAUUGUUUUAAACUCUGUUCUGAACAGAGCAUGAAAGGAUAUAUUCGUUUAUCUAGUUAUAUUUUUUAUGUUCUCACUUCACUUGAUUCACCUUCUCCAUCUUUUAAAACAGUUGUAUAUGUCGGAGUAUCAAGUUCAUCACAAGGAUCAUAUUAUGGCCAACAUAUACAACUGUUUUAAAAGUGUUAGUAGGUCGUAACACUAUAUGCCAUGCUGGCAAGCGUGCUAUGACUGAUUGCUAUUUGCACGUAAAAUUUGCCCAAAACAAAUAGAAUGAGAAUACUUGUACAAAAGGACGAGAUUAAUAAAGUGAAACCUAAGUGAUAAGAUUAAUGCUUGCCAAACCUAAGUGAUAAUAUGAGAUAUAAUUUGGAAAAAAAAAAAAAAUUCAAGUUAAAGAUAAAAAAUCUAUGUUCCUUAAAAAACAUAAUUCAAGCCACACAAUUUUUCUUGUUUUAUUUGAAAAAAAGAAAAUUGUGUUCCUCACAAAAACACUUUAACAUUUGUUGUCUCAUAGAGGGAAAUGUCCUUCACUCUUUGACGUAUCCCUGGGGCAAUGUAAGUUGACUUAAUUUUGACAAGUGCAAGAGAUUGGUGGGACUCAUUUGAUUCAAUUGAAACGUUGUCCACAAACUCUAUCACAAUCUAAUUUAAAAAAAAAAAGUUAUUCUUUAAAUUUCGCAUUACUAUUCCUACUUUUCUUGUUAUACUACUUAAUAGCACGGGUGAAGCCUCAAAUUAUCAAACAAAAGGCAAAAAUAGUUCAAUAUCUGCUGUCCCACUGAGCAUUGUUAAAUUCAUACGAUAAAAUGAGUACUUAUAUUAAAAAAAUAAUCAGUCUCAUUGCGUGCUCUUUCAUUGACAUAGGCAAUUUGCUGUCAACUUGUGGCAUUUUUAUGAAUUUUCAAGACGGGUGAAUUUUUCAAAUUUAAAAGAAAAAAAUGCAAAAAUGUAAUUUCAAUUUAUCCAAAAAUUUGAGUUUCAAGGAAUACAACAUUUAUUAUAUGUCAUGUUAAUAUAGAGAAGAAAAUUUUAAAAACUUAUUUUUGGAUGAAUAAAAGUAUUUUCUGAUAAAUAUUUCACAAUCAAAUUUAAAAAAUUUCACUCCUCUUGUUACAUAAUUUAAGAAUUUAACAUUAUAAAUUAAUCUUUUUAAUCAAAGUAAUAAUCUCUCCUCGGUCUGCAAAUGCUAAAAUUUAAUAUUAUAUCCAUUGACAAUAUUUGCUCCAAAUUCACGAAAAUAAAAUUUCUAACAGAAUUAUGAAAUUCGCUACUAGAAAUUUGUAUAAAAAUUGUGAGAAUAGAAGGUUUGAUCAUAGGAAAUUAAUAUAUCCCUAUCCAAAAUGAUUGUAAAGAAAAAAAAAAGUCAUGGGCUUAUUUAGAAAAAAAGAAAAAAUUACAUUCCAUUUUCCAGUUAUUAAAGUAAUUCUAAAAUCGCUAGGAUCACAAAGGAUAGGCUUUGGUUGACUGAGGUCAUGCCGGUCUUUUUCUUCUCUACAUUCUUAGAAAUUUUGGUUUCACUAUAAAUACUCGGUAUAUAGCAAACUUAUAAGUGUUCUUGAAUUACCAAUCCAACUAAGCACACGCUUACAAUAUAAAUACUCUCAUCUCAUGGAAAGACUUCAUUCUCUCAGGAUGAUGAGCAGAUUUCUCUUACUCCAUUGUUUGAUUCUUAUUUCCUUAUUUAUCGCGGCAGCAACAGCCAACACAAGUUCUACUAUCACAGACCGAGAUGCUCUGUUAGCCCUGAAAGCUCACAUAACUCAUGAUCCGACCAAUUUCUUGGCUAAGAAUUGGAACACAAGUACUCCUGUCUGUAAUUGGACAGGCGUCGCUUGUGAUGUCCAUAGCCAUAGAGUCACAGUCUUGAAUAUUUCAAGCUUAAAUCUCACGGGCACCAUCCCUUCUCAACUUGGGAAUCUUUCUUCUCUACAAUCACUCAAUCUCAGUUGUAACCGACUUUUUGGUUCCAUUCCCUCCGCCAUCUUCACCAUAUAUACACUGAAAUAUGUUAGUUUACGUGAAAAUCAGGUCUCCGGGCAAAUUCCUGCAAAUAUUUGCAGUAAUCUUCCUUUUCUGGAUUACCUUUCUUUGGGCAAAAACAUGUUUCAUGGAGGAAUACCGUCCGCUCUAUCAAAUUGCACAUAUUUGCAAAUCUUACAUUUGUCAUACAAUGAUUUCUCGGGAGCCGUACCUAAAGACAUCGGUAAUUUGAGCAAACUUAAGGAAUUAUAUCUUGGUCGUAACAGACUCCAAGGUGCGAAUAAUCACGGAGUUUAAUUAUGAAAAUUGUUCCACAAGUUGUAGUAUGAAUAAUGUUCCAUAAGACAAUUUGCACACGUUGAUUAAUUUGCAGGAGAAAUUCCUCGAGAGUUUGUCAACCUUACGGAAUUGGAGCGGAUGUCGUUAUCAGAAAACGAACUCCAAGGUAUGAUUAUGAACUUUUUGCAAUUUUAUUCUAGCCUCUGCUUGCAUCUGUAUUCAUUCGUUUGUUCGUCAAUUAUGCUCCAUGUUUUAUUGUUUUUUCUUUCAGAUAUAGAUAAAGCUCCAUGUCUCGCCUCACUCAUUUCAUUCUUUAAAUUAUGCAGAUAAAAAUUUUUAAAAAAUGUUUUGUAAUUUUCAUUUGUCAUAUUGCCGCUUCCGUUUUGAAGCUCCCAAUUAAGUCGAUGAAAAUGAAUGACGUUUCAUUCUUAUUCUUGUCAGCCUAAUUCUUAUAUAAAUGAAGAGUAAAUUGUUAUUACGAUAUUGGUCAGCCAAUAAAUUCUUCGUUUUUUUCCCCAAAUAUGAGUGAUCAAAUUGUUUGCGCAUAUAUAAAUGUACUUAAUUUGCAGGAGGUAUUCCACGGGAAUUGGGGAAUCUUACAAAAUUGGAGGGGUUACAGCUGUUUCGGAAUAAUUUGACUGGUAACUUUCUUUAGGAUAUAUAUAUAUGAGACAUCUUCCACUUCUUAAUUAAAAGAUUUCAAGUCUCUCAUUAUAAAUUCUCAUAUGAGGAUGUGUCGUUAGCACUAUCUAAUAUUAUUCUAUUUUUUUAUUAGAAAUUAGUUUGUGUUAAUUCAAAAUUCUAUAGCAUUUAAAAAAAAUUAAAAACACGUGGAAUAAAUCGUCGAUCUUUCUUCUUUACUGAAUUUGGAUUUCUCAAAAAUUAUCUCAACAAGUAUGCUUCACUAAUGCUAUGCACGUGUGACAACUUCAUAAAAUAUUUUACGUGGAAUCACUAAUUAUCUUUAAAUAAUUAGAGAUACCAUCAGUGAUACAUAAUUUCUUAACAAGCACCAUACCAAAAGAAAUCAACAAUUUUAUUAAUCUUAAAGAGUUACAUGCCUCUGUAUUAAUUCGUUUGUUCAUUAAUUAUGCUGUGAUUUAUUGUUUUUCUUUCAGAUAGAGAUAAAGCUCCAUCUCUGUCCUCACUCAUUUCAUUCUUUGAUUUAAGCAGAUAAAAAUAAAAAAAAAAUGUUUUGUAAUUUUCUUUUGUCAUAUUACCACUUCCAUUUUGAAGCUUCCAAUUAAGUCGAUGAAAAUGAAUGAUGUUUCAUUCUUAUUCUUGUCAGCCUAAUUCUUAUAUAAAUGAAGAGUAAAUUGUUAUUACGAUAAUCGUCAGCCAAUAAAUUCUUCUUUUUUUUUUGCCCCCAAAUAUGAGUGAUCAAAUUGUUUGCGCAUAUAUAAAUGUACUUAAUUUGCAGGAGGUAUUCCACGGGAAUUGGGGAAUCUUACAAAAUUGGAGAGGUUACAACUGUUCUGGAAUAACUUGACCGGUAGCUUUCUUUACAAUAUAUAUACGAGACAUCUUCCGCUUUUUAUUAGAAAUUAUAUAUUCAAGUUAAAUUAUUCCGUUUAUUAUUAGAAAUUAGUUUGUGUUAAUUCAAAAUUCUGUAGCAUUUAAAAAAAUUAAAAACACGUGGAAUAAAUUGUUAAUCUUUGCUCUUUACUGAAUUUGGACUUCUCAAAAAUAAUCUUGACAAGUAUGUUUCACUAAUGAUAUGCAUGUGUGACAACUUCACAAAAUAUUUUACAUGGAAUCACCAAUUAUCUUAAAAUAAUUGGAGAUGCCAUCAGUGAUACAUAAUUUCUUAACAAGCACCAUACCAAAAGAAAUCAACAAUUUUAUUAAUCUUAAAGAGUUACAUCUUCACUGCAAUUAUGACAUAAAUUUUUAGUCAUCAAUCGCAUAAUAUUUUAUCUUAACUGAUGAUGAUGUUCAAUCUUGGAAUUUAUAGUAUCUUGAAGGUUAGUAGCUUUGAAAAUAAGAAAUUGUUCGUUUGCUAAAAAGUUAACUUAGUAUUUAAGUUUUCCAAUUGAAAAUUUUGAAAAAAGCGUUGAGAGCUGGCGCUCCAUAGUAUUUCAGCGGAUAAAUAUGAAAAAUAGGCUAGAAGAAAUUAUUUUACUGAAAUAAGAGUUAAAAAGAUAGGAGAAGUACAGUACUCAUGACUUAGGCUUUCUGUGUGUGCUUAUUCUACUUGGGCUUUGGGCUUGAUUACGCCCGUUAUAAUAAUAGGCUUUUACUUUCACCACACAUGAUGAUUUCUUAACCUUCUCAAUUAGGUUAUAGCAAUUUAUAUAUAAAUAACUAAAGCAUACUAAAGCUAGCUUUGAUGUACGGAUGAGUGGCGUCAAAAGUGUAUCUGUUUUUAUGUAUUAUUUAUUCUCUAAAACAUAUCUGAAUACAAUUCUUUCAAAAUACCGAGGAACUAGCACAGGAAAUCGGAAAUAUUUUAUUGCGAUGAGAAUUCGUAUAUUCAUUGUAGUAGAACAUAUAAAAUAGAUUAUAAAUUUAUUAUUCUUUGAAACAAACCUGAUUAUAAUUCCUUCAAAAUUAAGUUUGUCAUUAAAUGAUUUCUCAGGAGCCAUACCAAAAGAAAUCGGGAAUUUGACCAAACUCAAGGAAUUAUCUCUUGACGGUAACAGGCUCCAAGGUGCGCAUGAUCACAGAGUUUAAUUAUGAAAAUUGUUGCAUAAGUUAUAUGGAUAUCCUUGAUAACCGCAGCAAGCAAACGAAAUCAAAUAAAAGCUAACUGAGACUCGAAUAUCCUAAACCCUGAAAAGGAAUGGUAAUGGUAUAAUAUGGAUUCUGUAGGCAUAUUUCACUGGACUCAACAUUUAUGGUUAAUUUACAACUCUUUGUUGGAAAGUCUGAGAAAUUGCUUUAUAUUAGGGGUGGGGAAAAUAAUGCUGGGCCACGAAUUUCAGGCAGAAUCCAGAUGGGGCCCUAUUAGACUUAUAGCUCAGCUCUGUGUCGAUAUCUGGGCCUUUACAAAUAAUUAAUGGGCCAAUUAAUAAUAAUAAAUAAAUUGAGAAGGGUGUGAGUGAAAUUAGAUAUGAAUGAAUCUGCCAGUGUAUGUACACAUUUUUCUAAUUAAUGCGUUAUGAGCCUGCCGCUGCUGGAAAUUAAAAAAUUUAAAUAUUUUAUAAUAUGGUAAUUAUUUUAUUUUAAGUCUCUAAUUUUUAAUUUAUUGAAAUCAUAUUUUUAUAUCUACUAUAAAAUAAGUAAAUGGGGAAUGGGGUGGGGAUGGGGGAAUCAUUCCCCACGUGGGGAUUCCUCAUCCCCAACUCACUAAAUUUAUUGGGGAAUGGGGUGAGGAAUGGAGGCAAAAAUUUUUAAUGGGAUGGGAAAUGGGGUAGGCAUCCCCACCCCCACCCCGCCCCAUUGCCAUCCCUAGCGUUAUGAGCCUGCCGCUGCCAGCAUGGAAAUUACAGCAACUAAGAAGAGAAUUGACCCAUUAAUUAAAUUAAAAAGAACACUGAAUAUAUAAGCAGUCAAAAUAUAGGUGAAGUAGGCAUGAAUUGUCACAUAACUAACUUUGAGAGUAAAACCGUGACUUGGGUUUGAAUGUUUGAUUAAGUUACUUCUAUUUCAAGUUGCUUAUUUUGCGUGGGCUUCCGGCUUAAUUACACACGGUCGAACACUUACACAGUUCCCCAGACAUAGGCUUUCACUUUUCACCACACAUUUGAUAAUUUCUUAGCCUUCCCAAUUAGAUUAUAGCAAUUUAUAUAUAAAUAACUAAAGCAUACAAAAGCCACCAUUGAUGUACGGAUGAGUGGUGUGAAAAGUGUAUCUUGUUUUAUUUAUUAUUGUUCUAUGAUACAAAUCUGAAUAAUGGAAUAUAAUGCUUUGAAAAUACCGAUGAAAUAGCACAUGAAAUCAGAAAAUAUUUUACUGCAAUAAGAAUUCAUAUAUUCAUUGUAGUAGCACAUAUAAAAUAGACUAUAAAUUUAAUUUUAAAAUACAUUCUUAUCUUCAUAUAAAUUUUACAUUACUAAUUUAAAUUAACAUUAAAAUAUGUUGUUUCUUUCACUAUGUUAUUUUAUUUACACAAUGAUGUGACUAUUGGAAUUAAUAAUACUUAUAAUUAUUUUGUAAAAAUAUAAAUUUAAUACUUUGUUAACAUUUUAUCUACAUAUAAUAAUUAAACUGAAACUUGUAUUUAAAAAACACUAGUUACGCAUAUUCAUUUCAUGACAUAAAAAUGUAUAUUUAUGCUAAUUUACCGGUAUCAACAAAAUGCUUUGAGACAAAUAAUCUAAUUUAUAUUUGUAUAUUUAAAAACUUGCAUUUAUUAUAUUUUGAAAAAAAUUUAUUUGCAAUUAUUUUAAACCGUUGGAAGUUGGAUUCAAAUUUUUGUAGUUAUUAAAGUCAAAGGGUAUAAAUGUGUAAUAGUCAAAAACAGAUUUGUAUGAUCAUUUUUCAAUGUAUAAAUUUUCUUAGUUAGUAGGAAAAUUGGAAAUUGUUGAUUUACUCAUAAAUAAAUUUAAUGUUUAGCAUUUCAAUUUUGGAAAACUUGACCCACGGACCCAUUGAAAGUUUUAUUCGAAUUGAGUUUCCCGGUGCUUACUCAUUUUAUUUACAAAUGAGUUGAUUAGCAUCGAAGUUACUUGAGAGUCUGAGACCAUGCUAGUAGGAGAAAUUUGAAAAGAAAUUAUUUUACUGAAUUAAUUUAUUUUAUCUUGUUGUAACUGAAAUACUACUUUUUUUUUGGGCUGUCACUGGGGCUUGAUUUACUUUAAUAGUAGCAGCCACCGACUUAGGCGUUUUUUACUUCUCACCAGACAAUUUGAUCUUUUAAUUCGUUUUAACCACAUAAUCUAUCUAUUUCUCACCUAUUGCUUACUUAAAUCGCAUACAUAUUUUACCUACUAAUUUUUAUAAAUAUUAGUCAAAUAUAUUUUAUUACGUUUCUCUCGUAACUGCUCCAAAUGUGUACUAUUAAUACUUAACCCUCCCUUUUAAUUUACUGUGCAAUCUAUCUAUCACUUAAGUCACAUAUAUAUAUUUUACCUAGAUUUUAACCCAAAAAAUAUAAAAAUAAAAGAAAAAGAAUAUGUGUAGCAAUUUGCAUAUAACUAACAAAGCAUUGAUGGCGUGUAGCCUUUCAAUACUUCACGAGUGGCUUUUCUUGUGUGUUAGUACUUGUAAUAAUUGUGUAGCGUAUAAAUGACAUUUUAUUAUUAAAGUGCGUCCAUUUUUAGAUAUUACUUAUUAUUUGAAAAAUAAUCUGAAUAUAAUUCUUUUAAAAUACAGGGGAGAUACCACUUGAAAUUAGUAAUCUCCAAAAUCUGGAGGAGUUGGACCUUCGUCACAACAAAUUAGUUGGUACUGUCCCAGCUGCAAUCUUUAAUAUGUCAAUGCUCAAAUUACUUCAUCUUCAAAAUAAUUCUCUCUUGGGAUGUCUUUCGUCCAUUGCAGACGUCCGACUACCAAAUCUUGAAGCGCUUUUAUUGUGGGGUAAUAAUUUCAGUGGCACAAUUCCUCGUUUCAUCUUUAAUGCUUCUAAGCUCUCUAUACUAGAGUUAUCACAGAACUCAUUCUCCGGUUUUAUUCCCAACACAUUUGGCAACUUAAGAAACCUUGAGUGGCUUAAUUUACGAGAUAAUUAUUUGACAUCUUCAACUCCAGAAUUGAGCUUUCUAUCCUCGUUGUCAAAUUGCAAGUCUUUAACAUUUAUUCACUUAUCAGAUAAUCCACUGGAUGGCAUUCUUUCUAAGACGUCUAUCGGUAAUCUUUCUCAUUCUUUGAAAGACUUUUACAUGUCCAAUUGUAAUGUUAGUGGCGGCAUCCCUGAAGAGAUCACCAACUUGACCAACUCGAUAACCAUUGAUUUAGGGGGCAAUAAAUUGAAUGGAUCAAUUCCGAUUACUCUCAGCAAAUUACAGAAGCUUCAAGGUUUGGGUCUUGAUGAUAACAAAUUAGAAGGAUCAAUCCCAGACAGUAUUUGUCGUUUGACUGAACUGUAUGAGUUGGAGUUGGGUGGCAAUAAGCUUUUUGGAUCAAUCCCUGCAUGCUUCAGUAAUCUGGCUUCUCUGAGGAUACUGUCGUUAAGUUCCAAUGAGUUAACUUCUAUUCCCUUAACUUUUUGGAACCUUAAGGAUAUCUUGCAACUCAACUUUUCAUCAAAUUUUUUGACUGGCCCACUCCCAUUAGAGAUUGGAAAUUUGAAGGUUUUGAUUGGAAUUGAUUUUUCGAUGAAUAAUUUUUCAAGCGUUAUCCCAACAGAAAUUGGAGGCCUAAAAAAUCUAGAAUAUCUAUUCUUAGGAUAUAAUAGAUUGGAAGGAUCGAUUCCUGAUUCAUUUGGUGAUUUGAUAAGUUUGAAAUUCUUGAAUUUGUCCAAUAAUAAUCUCUCUGGGGCUAUUCCUACAUCUUUAGAGAAACUCUCAUAUCUUGAAGAUCUAAAUCUUUCUUUCAACAAGCUAGAAGGAGAAAUUCCUAGGGGAGGGUCUUUUGGAAACUUCGCAGCUGAAUCAUUUGAGGGAAAUGAAUUAUUAUGUGGUUCACCCACUUUACAAGUCCUGCCAUGCAAAACUAGCAUCCACCAUACAUCAUGGAAAAAUUCUCUUCUCCUAGGGAUUGUCUUGCCAUUGAGUACUACAUUAUUGAUAGUAGUCAUUUGGUUGAUCCUAAGAUAUCGUAAGAGAGGAAAACAACCAUCGAAUGAUGCUAAUAUGCCACUAGUAGCAACGUGGAGAACAUUUUCAUAUCUAGAACUUUGUCGAGCAACAAACGGAUUCAGUGAAAACAAUCUAAUCGGCAGAGGAGGUUUUGGCUCUGUUUAUAAGGCAAGACUUGGGGACGGGAUGGAGGUUGCAGUGAAAGUUUUCAAUUUGCAAUGUGGAAGAGCGUUCAAGAGUUUUGCUGUUGAAUGUGAAAUGAUGAAAAGUAUCCGUCAUCGAAACCUUAUCAAAGUUAUUAGUAGUUGUUCAAAUGAAGAGUUUAAAGCGUUGGUAUUAGAAUACAAGCCUCAUGGAAGUUUGGAGAAGUAUCUGUAUUCCAGUAAUUGCAUUUUGGAUAUUUUUCAAAGAUUGAACAUAAUGAUAGAUGUUGCAUCAGCUUUGGAAUAUCUGCACUUUGGUUGUUUAGCUCCAGUAAUUCAUUGUGACUUAAAGCCCGACAAUGUAUUGUUAGAUGAUAAUCUGGUUGCUUAUUUGAGUGAUUUUGGCAUCGCGAAGCUCUUAAUUGGAGAAGAUCAGUCUAUGACUCAAACGCAAACACUUGCCACAAUAGGUUAUAUGGCACCAGGUUUGUUCAAUAUAAAUAUUUUCUAUUUCUUGUAAAUUUCCUAAUAAGUUAUUUAUGUUUCAUGAUCUUCAUUAGAUGAGGAAAUUAUUAUUAAUGAUAUAUCUUACUAUUUAACUGUUGCAAUUCAUAGAGUAUGGAAGAGAAGGACGAGUAUCCACAAAUGGAGAUGUUUAUAGCUUUGGAAUUAUGUUAAUGGAAACUUUUACCGGGAAGAAACCCACAGAUGAAAUUUUUAAUGGAGAAAUGACAUUAAAGCAUUGGGUUAAUGACUGGCUACCCAUUUCCACUAUGGAAGUUGUUGAUGCUAAUUUGCUAAGUCAGGAGGACAUACAUUUUGUUGCAAAGGAGCAAUGUGUGUCAUUUGUCUUCAAUUUGGCUAUGGCGUGCACUGUGGAAUCUCAUGAGCAGAGAAUCAAUGCAAAAGAAAUUGUAACAAAGCUCUUAAAAAUUAGAGACUCAUUACUUAGAAAUGUUGGAGGCAGACGUAUAAGUCAACCAAAUUUAAAUUGAUUCUACCCCUCCAUUGCUUGCUAUCCUUUUCAGAGACUUGAACGGUUAUCCUUCAUACCAGUUUUGUUGAUAUGUUUUGUUAUUGCUCUUGCUCAUGUUUGUUUCUCUAUUUCUUUAAUUUGCAUGCAUGUAUUUUUCGUUCUCUUUUAUGUUUUUGUUGGUUUGUAUGUAGUUUGUUUUUAGGGGUAAGGUUGAUUAUGUCCUCCCCUAAUUACACGUAUCCUUUUUAUGUUUAUUCAAUAAAGCUUCUCUAAUACUAUCAAGGUUCAUCAAAAGAAAAUUUUUAAUUAAUUUUCUUUUCUUUGACAGGUAAUGAAAUUCUAAUCUUCAUAGUGAAUAACUUCAAUAAUAGAGUGUAAGAGUGUUAGUAAUUAUGGUUGUUUUUUGAACCUGGAGUCAAGAGCAAUUUAACAGCAACAAACAAGUCUCUUGUAUUAUAGGCAAAAUUCUUUUCAUUAAUCUUAUUUGUCUACAUGUUCUCCUAUUUUCACCAUUAAUCUUCGCUCAAGGUUUCAUGCUUCCUCUUUGAUGAAGGAAAAUAUUACUUGCGAAUAUUUCAAUUUGACAUAAGAGACUGUUUUGCCAUCCAUUUGAUAAAAUGGAUAUGAGUGGAGCUUUCAAUCAUUACCUCCACCAAAAUCCUUACAACGCCACUUUUAAAUUUUAUUUUUUAAAAUACAUUCAGUUUAAUUUAUAAAAAAUAAAUCCAUUUGUUCAAAUUAAUCUUUUUCUCAUAAAUUUCAACCUAAAAAACAUAUUUCUUUUAAAUUUUUAAUUAUAAAAUACAUACAAGUUCUAAACUAUUAUAUUAUUUUCUUCUUAUUAUAUAGUUUAUAUCUCCAUAACUCUAAACUCCUAUAAUUUUUUAAAAAAUGUUUUUAAUUUAAAAAAUAUAUAUAAUAUAGAAUGGAGUGGGUAUAAAAAAAACUUAUUAAAAGAAUAAUUCAUUUAAGUAUUUAACUGAAUUUAAAUUAAAAUAAGAAAUAAAUUAAUUUAUUUUUUAUUAGUUAAGUAAUUUUCAAUUGAAAAAGAGUUGUAUGAGUAAUAUUAUUGAAAUAUGAUUAAAAUUCUUAUGAAUUAAAUAUUUUCGUAUAAAUACUAGUGAUAAUUACAGAGAAAAGACGAGGAACCAAAGAAAACUUGAAUAUAAAUACUCCAGUGUAAUUUUACAUAUGCAAAUUAUGAACUAGUGAUCUUCAGAGCAUCAUAAAAUUAUUUUGACACAAUUAUUUAUUUUGAAAAAUUGCCAACAAUGUUUAAAGUGGAUUGAAAAGAUUAUAAUACUUAUAUAAGACAUGAUAUCAUUUAAGACGGCUUAUAAAUUAUAAGAAAUAUAUUGAUCUUACAAAUAUUUAAUACGUCAAUUAGACAGGUCCAGCUACCUUCCACCCGCUGGAAGGUACAACUUAUUUUGUCCUCUAGUGUUGUGGCCAUUGGAUAUUUGAGAAGUUGAUCUAACGGUUCUUGUUCGGCAGCGUGAAAUUGAAUUUCAAUUGGCAACCAUUUCAUGAACUUUGUAAGAGAAUUAUCUACAUAAACAUUAAAAAAAGAAGGGAAAAGGACACAGAGACCCUCAACGUUUAAAUAAGGUACAUAAAACUCCCUAAUGUUUCAAAAAAGACACUCAGACCUCCAUUGCUUAACAGAAUCCGUUUCUUUUAACAGAAAUUAUAAUUUUAAAGUGCAAUUACCAUUAUACCCUUAUAGCAUAUUAAAACUAAUUGUUCAUUGUCCAAUUUAUCCCUAUAUUAUCAAUAAAAUUACGAAAAUAAAUUUGAUAAAGAUAUUUCCAUGCACAUCUAAAAAUUGAUAAAGAAAAAAAAUAACAAAAGUAAUUAGCAAGAAAUCUCCAAUAAACUGAACAAAUUAAGAACUCUGUUCAUCAAACAACCAUAAACCAAAAAAAAAAAAUUUCUCGUAAUCAUUUAUUUAUAUUCUUGCACAUACAUCACAUAUGCAUCAAACAUGCUAGAGAAGUUAAUUUAGUAAAAAAAAUGAAAAUUAAAGAGAAUUCAAUAGGCAAGAUCAGCAACCGAACGCGAGCACAAGCAGCAGCCAAAAGCGAGCACAAGCAGUAGCCAAACACGAGAUUCAACAAGCAAGAUCAGCAACCAAACGCGAGCACAAGCAGCAGCCAAACGUGAGCACAAGCAGCAGCCAAACGCAAGCAAUUCCAGCAGCCAAACGCGAGUAGUUCCAACAACCAAAUGCGAGAUUCCAGCAGUUCCAACAGCACAAGCAGUAGCCAAACGUCGAUCGCGAGCAGAUUCGGCAACCAGAUGCGGUCUCGAUUGACGCACGAGCAGUUCCAGCAACUUCCGGUAGCGUGAGCUGUUCCAGCAACUUCCGGCAGUCCCAGCAGCUUUCGGCAAGGCAAACCGUGAGUGUGUGUUAAAAGAUUUGUCUGGAAUCAAUGUGUGUGUGUGGGGUUUGUUUGUGCGUGUGAUGUGUGUGUGGGUUUUUAGUCAAUUCACUUGUUUUUAAUUUGUAAUUAUGAUAUAAACCUUGUAAUGAUUUAACGAAACGAUUUCCGAUAAGCAAUGGGGGUCUGAGUGUCUUUUUUGAAACAUUAGGGAGUUUUAUGUCCCUUAUUCAAACGUUGAGGGUCUUUGUGUCCUUUUCCCAAAAAAGAAAACCAAUUUUUCCCUUUCAUCAGCCGCCGCCGCCACCCACAACCCCUUAAUAUCAUCAUCACCAUCCCAAUCUUUAGCUGCCAUCCACAAGCUCUAACAACCACCAUGACCGCCAUCACAAUCACCACUCCUCACAACCCCUAGCCACCACUACAAACAUUUACAAACUCUAACCAUCAUUGACUCAUUGUCAGUUCACCAGCCUUAUCUUCCAUUGCCGCGGCCUACCAAUCAUUCACAACACCUAACCGUCGUCACCAACAAACUUUCGCCGCCGCUUCCUACAAGCAAGCCUCACCACCCACCGCCGCACACACACAAAGCCAUACCAACCGCCAUACUAUUGCAAUAGAGGCCACAAUGUAGACAAGAUCCAGCAGAUGAAGGAUGUUUUCCUUCUCCAGCUGACUAUUCUUUUUUAUCCUUUUUUUUGUUUUUUAAUUGUUAUAUUACUUUUAAUUAUUUUGGUUGUUAGAUUGUUUUUGUUAUUGUUGCCGGCGGCAAUGGAGUUGCAGCUCGUGAUGAUGAUGGUGAUGUUGGUGUCAUUUAAUCGAGAUGAGAGAGAUUCAGAGCUAAACAAAAAAGUGGAGGCUGUGGAUGAGUAUGAGAGCGAUCUAGAUGAAGUGAAACACUCUCUCGUUUUACGUAGAAUGGAAACAAGCAAUGAUGAGGAGGAGUAGACAGAAUUUGAGCGUCGAAUAAAUUGAAGGGUCCAGAUUCACUCUUACAUUGAAUCUGAUAGCCAAAGUGGUGCUCCAGCUGAGUAUGAUGAUGAUGAAGAGGACGAAGAGGAACAUGACAGAGAAUUAGAAGAAGAAGAUGAAGAAGGGGAUGUUUAUGAGUAUGAAGAGGAAGACGAUUUUUAUGAAGAAGUGGAAAGGAAUGACGAGGCGGUUAAAGUCAAAGAAAUAGAGGGUAAUGAUGCAAGAGGAGUACAGAGGGCGCAGUGGAAGUGAGUAAAGGGAAUUAUGAUAAUGGCAAUGGUGCUAAAACAAUGAUGCAGCGAAUGAGGGAAUAGAGGAAGGGGAGAAGGAGAGUAAUGAGCCUUUUGCACAGCAGCCGGGGCUUUUUAUAUGGGACAAUGUUGCAGGUCGACACAGGUAUUAUUUGAUUUGAGUGAUCUAUAAAUAACUGAUAGCUGUACUUUCGUUAGGCUUGUCGAUUAGUCUAGUCUCGUUUUUUGGUGCUGUCUAAUGAUUGUUUGCUGGAAUUUGUGUAGAAGGCUUUUGGCGUAGUAGGUUGAAAGGAGAGAAAGUUCUCAAGUAAAGAUCUGUGCUUUGUGGUGUCAAAAGCAGCCAUCUAGAUGGUCUAAAGCAGCCAUCUAAAUGGUCAGCAACAAUUUGUUCAAACAAGAAGAAUUUGGUAGCAGCAAAUAUGGAAUGAAGAAAAUUGAAAAAAAAAGAAGUUUGAAGAAGAAAAUGGGGAACACAAUUUUGACGAGAAAAAAAAAAUUAAUUAUUAUUUUAAUAGCCAAUUUUGGCUAUAUAAAGGGAGCUCUUCAUUUGGUUUUCUGCAUUCAAUUCCAUUGAGAGAGAAGCAUUGCCUUGCUUUAGAGUUGAGAGUAUUAAAGAGUUUAAUAAACUCUUGAGUGAUUAGUGUUAUGAGAGUUUGGGUGUAUUGGGGUUUUGGAAGUGAGCUAAAAUACUACAAUACUUGUAACUCCUUUUCACUAGUAAAAUAUUUCCUUUUGUCUUCGCCCGUGGAUGUAGGCUGAAAGCCGAACCACGUAAUUUCUGGUGUCCUCUAUUGUGCUUAUUCUUUAUUUUUCUACCAAUUUUGCUUUAGCUGCGGUCCUACUUCACCCAUCAAUUUCCUAACAGUGGUAUCAGAGCUAUUGGUUGUAUUUUUGGAGUCGGGAACUGUUCACGUAAGGGGUACUAUUCACGUAUAUGGUACUGUUCACGUAUACAAUACUGUUCACGUAUACGGUACUAUUCACGUAUACGAUACUGUUCACAUAUUUGGUACACUAACUUGUGUGCAGUAUUGAUCAACAAAAUGGCGACAAAGUAUGAAAUUGAGAAGUUUAACGGAAAUAAUUUUUCGUUGUGGAAAAUGAAGAUGAAAGCUGUAUUGAGGAAAAAUAAUUGCUUGGCAGCAAUUGGAGAAAGGCCCAUGGAGAUAACUGAUGACAAGUGGAACGAGGUAGACGGCAACGCCAUUUCUGAUCUACACUUGGCACUUGCGGAUGGAGUAUUAUCCAGUGUGGUAGAGAAAAAUAAGGCGAAGGAAAUAUGGGAUACUCUCACAAAAUUGUAUGAGGCCAAGUCACUACACAACAAAAUCUUCUUGAAGAGAAAACUCUAUAUUCUUCGAAUGGCGGAAUCUACAAUGGUGACCGACCAUAUCAACACAUUGAAGACUCUAUUUUCACAACUCACAAUGUUGGGUCAUAAUAUAGAGGAAAAUGAACGUGCAGAGCUUCUACUUCAAAGUCUACCAGAUUCGUAUGAUCAACUUAUCAUCAACCUGACGAACAACAAUCCAGUGGAGAGUCUAGUUUUCGAUGAUAUUGCAGCCUCCGUAUUAAAUGAGGAAAGCAGGCGAAAAAAUAAGGAAAAUAGACAAGCAAGUUCGCAGCAAGCAGAAGCGCUAUCGGUGACGAGAGGGAGAUCAAUGGAACGUGGCCCCAGUGGGAGUCAAAAUCUGAGUAGAUCAAAAUUCAGAAGUAAGAAGAAUGUUAAAUGCUACAAAUGUGGCAAGAAAGGGCACGUCAAGAAAGAAUGUUGGAGUAACUAGAAGAGAAAAGAGGGCAAAGAACCUGAGUCAUCAAAUGCUCAGGGUUGUGUAGCAAGCACCUCGGAUGAUGGCGAAAUUCUUUACAGCGAGGCAACAACUGUUUCAGAAGGCAAAAAACGACUUUCUGAUGUCUGGCUUAUAGACUCAGGAGCUACCUGGCACAUGACCUCUAGGAGAGAAUGGUUCCACACAUAUGAACCUAUCUCAGGAGGAUCUGUAUAUAUGGGAGAUGAUCAUGCCUUGGAGAUCGCUGGUAUUGGUACUAUCAAAAUAAAAAUGUUUGAUGGUACAAUUCGCACAAUUGGAGAGGUACGACAUGUCAAUGGCUUGAAGAAAAAUCUAUUGUCUUUGGGAUAAAUGGAUAGUCAUGGGUACAAAACUCAUGUGGAGAAUGAAAUUAUGAAGAUCGUUAAAGGCGCGCUUGUAUUGAUGAAGGCAGAAAAGAUCGGUGCUAAUCUAUUCAUGCUUAAAGGAGAAACACUACAGGAGGCUGAUGCGUGUGUCGCGUCAAAUGGAGAAGAAUCAACGAUGAUGUGGCAUCUCAAACUUGGCCACAUGUCAGAAUAAGGUUUGAAGAUUCUCUCUGAGGGAAAAUUGCUUCCGGGGCUCAAAUCGGUAAGUUUACCAUUUUGUGAGCAUUGUGUUACAAGUAAGCAACAUAGAUUAAAAUUCAGUAGAUCUAUUGCUAGAAGUAAAUGCAUUCUAGACUUGAUUCAUUCUGAUGUUUGGGAAUCACCGGAUAUAUCCAUGGGAGGUGCAAAGUACAUGGUGACUUUCAUUGAUGAUUAUUCCAGAAGAUGUUGGGUGUAUCCAAUUAAGAAAAAGUCAGAUGUAUUUAUAGUGUUUAAAGAAUACAAAGCGCGGGUGGAACUUGAAUCUGGUAAAAAGAUCAAGUGCUUGAGGACAGAUAAUGGUGGAGAGUAUACAGACGGCGAGUUUCUUGCUUUCUGUAAGCAAAAAGGUAUUCAGAGGCAGUUCACGGUAGCAUACACUCCUCAACAAAAUGGAGUGGCAGAGCGGAUGAACAGAACUCUUACAGAAAGAAUAAGAGCUAUGUUGAGGACUGCUGGUCUACCCAAUUCAUUCUGGGCAGAAGCAGCCAAAACUGCCUGUUAUAUAGUAAAUCGGUCGCCAUCUACAGCUAUUGGGUUGAAGACGGCAAUGGAGAUGUGGACUGGAAAGCCAACUGAUUAUUCCUACCUACAUGCAUUUGGAUGUCCUGUGUACGUGAUGUACAAUGCCCAAGAAAGAACAAAGCUGGAUGCAAAAUCUAGAAGAUGUAUCUUCUUGGGAUAUGCUGAUGGAGUAAAGGGGUAUCGUCUGUGGGACCCCACUGCCCACAAGAUCGUCAUCAGCAGAGAUGUUAUUUUUGUAGAAGAUCAACUGCAAAGAAAAGAUGGAGAUGACGACACUGUAAAAGAAAAGUCAAAAACUAUGCCGGUAUAUGUCGAAAAUAAUCCAGAAAAUUCAGAUUCUUCUAAAGCAGCACCAGAGCACAAGAACAAGAACCAGUCGAGUCUGAGGCUCUAGAAGUUCGUCGGUCAACUCGUGAGAGACGACCGCCGGCGUGGCACUCGGAGUAUGUCACAGAGAUCAACGUUGCAUACUGUCUUCUAACAGAGGAUGAAGAGCCUUCAACUUUUCAUGAAGCUUUAGAAAGCUCAGAUAUUGCUUUGUGGAUGACAGCAAUGCAGGAAGAAAUUGAAGCUCUACACAAGAACAAGACAUGGGAACUUGUACCACUACCACGUGGAAGAAAAGCCAUUGGAAACAAAUGGGUCUACAAGAUCAAGCGUGAUGGCAAUGACCAAGCGGAACGGUAUCGUGCAAGAUUGGUGGUGAAAGGAUAUGCUCAGAAAGAAUGUAUUGACUUCAACGAGAUAUUUUCUCCGGUGGUUCGACUCACAACAGUCAGAAUAGUCUUGGCGAUGUGUGCUACAUUUGAUCUACAUCUUGAGCAGUUAGAUGUGAAAACUGCAUUUCUUCAUGGAGAACUUGAAGAAGAAAUAUAUAUGCUCCAACCAGAAGGUUUUGCAGAAACAGGAAAGGAGAACUUGGUUUGCAGGUUGAACAAAUCUUUAUACGGUCUCAAACAGGCGCCGAGGUGUUGGUAUAAGAGAUUUGAUUCCUUCAUCAUGAGCCUUGGAUACAACAGACUCAGUUCAGACCAUUGUACAUAUUACAAGAGGUUUGAAGAUAAUGAUUUCAUUAUUUUGCUGUUGUAUGUGGAUGACAUGUUGGUAGCAGGUCCCAACAAAGAUCGAAUCCAAGAAUUGAAGGCACAUUUAGCUAGGGAGUUUGAAAUGAAGGACUUGGGACCAGCAAAAAGAUUCUAGGGAUGCAAAUUCACCGAGACAGAAAUAACAGGAAAAUUUGGCUUUCGCAGAAGAAUUACUUGAAGAAAAUCUUGCGACGCUUCAACAUGCAAGAUUGUAAGUCAAUUUCUACCCCACUUCCUGUUAAUUUCAAAUUAUCCUCAAGUAUGUGUCCUAGUAAUGAAGUAGAGAGGAAGGAGAUGUCUCGAGUACCGUAUGCAUCAGCAGUGGGAAGUUUAAUGUUCGCUAUGAUAUGUACAAGACCAGACAUUGCACAAGCAGUGGGAGCAGUCAGUCGAUACAUGGCGAAUCCUGGUGGAGAGCAUUGGAUAGCUGUGAAGAGGAUUCUGAGAUACAUUAGAGGAACCUCAGGUGUUGCAUUAUGUUAUGGAGGAUCAGAGUUUACUGUCAGGGGCUAUGUAGAUUCAGAUUUUGCAGGAGACCUUGAUAAAAGGAAAUCCACUACUGGUUAUGUGUUUACACUUGCGAGAGCAGCUGUAAGCUGGGUUUCAAAACUGCAGACCGUUGUGGCUUUAUCUACAACAGAAGCAGAGUACAUGGCAUCUACACAAGCUUGCAAGGAAGCUAUUUGGAUACAAAGGUUAUUGGAGGAGCUCGGGCACAAACAAGAGAAAAUUUCUGUGUUUUGUGACAGUCAGAGUGCUUUGCACAUUGCAAGGAAUCCAGCCUUUCAUUCCAGGACAAAGCACAUAGGAGUUCAGUAUCACUUCGUUCGAGAAGUAGUGGAAGAUAGAAGUGUGGAUUUACAGAAAAUCUAUACCAAAGAGAACUUAGCAGAUGUUUUGACCAAGCCGAUAAAUACUGAUAAGUUUGUCUGGAGUAGAUCCUCUUGUGGCCUAGCAGAAACGUAGGCAACAUGAUUAUGGCGAAGCAGAAAGGAUGGUGUGGAGAUUGAUUGAUUCUCAAUCUAAUCUCCAAGUGGGAGAAAUGUCAAAAGCAGCCAUCUAGAUGGUCUAAAGCAGCCAUCUAGAUGGUCAGCAACAAUUUGUUCAAACAAGAAGAAUUUGGCAGCAGCAAAUAUGGAAUGAAGAAAAUUGAAAAAAAAAGAAGUUUGAAGAAGAAAAUGGGGAACACAAUUUUGACGAGAAAAGAAAAAUUAAUUAUUAUUUUAAUAGCCAAUUUUGGCUAUAUAAAGGGAGCUCUUCAUUUGGUUUUCUGCAUUCAAUUCCAUUGAGAGAGAAGCAUUGCCUUCCUUUAGAGUUGAGAGAAUUAAAGAGUUUAAUAAACUCUUGAGUGAUUAGUGUUAUGAGAGUUUGGGUGUAUUGGGGUUUUGGAAGUGAGCUAAAAUACUACAAUACUUGUAACUCCUUUUCACUAGUAAAAUAUUUCCUUCUGUCUUCGCCCGUGGAUGUAGGCUGAAAGCCGAACCACGUAAUUUCUGGUGUCCUCUAUUGUGCUUGUUCUUUAUUUUUCUACCAAUUUUGCUUUAGCUGCGGUCCUACUUCACCCACCAAUUUCCUAACAUGUGGAAUAUAAUUAAUAGGGACAAAGUAUACUAAAUUACUUGAUAGAUAGAUGCCGAGCUAAUCAUGAGCUAUGAUAGCAUUAUUCGUGCUUUGUGUAUUUUUAUUAGGGCUUGUCUAUUUCAAAGUGUGGAGUAUAGAAUUUUUGGGUUAAGUUUGAGUGAUGAAGUGUUAGAUAGGUUUCUGUUUUGCAUAGUUAAGCCGUCAAUACGAGCUAUCGAAACAGAUAUGGAGCAGGAUAUCUAGUUUUGGGUUUGGUCUUAGUUUGAAGAUGGCUACUGAUUAUGCAGCUAGGUACGUAUUCGUGUUUGUGGAUUUCUAAAUGCUUUCUGUCAAAUGUGACUAGAUUAUUACUAAAAGUGCAUGGAUCUUACACUUAAUUAAUUAUAUAUCCAUUUGUAAUGUUCAAAAUGAUAAUGUACUUUUGCUUGAAAUUAUGCUUUCAAGACAUCAUUUUGAAAAUCCAUGGUUAUAAUGUGUCUCUAAAUUCAGUAAUACAAGUUCUGUCAAUUGCUGUUGGAUGCAGUGACCUGAAUAGUUUAAUAUUCAUUUGCAGAAAGGAGUUGAGAAAGAAAACUAAAAAUUUCUGUGCGUGCUGCUGGAAAUUUAAAUAGCUUCAUUUGAGCAUUAAUUGCCGGCAUGAUCUCUUAGACUUCUCUUGCAUUGAAUGAAUGGAUGAGUGCUAAUCCAUGCAAAGACUUCCAUGCAUGCACAAUGAAUGCUACAUCAAAGGUAUGGUAAAAUGUCAGCAAGCUUGGCCCAAAUUAUCAAGCUGGUUUGGUGGCUGCUAGAUUUGUUCAUCCGGAUUUUGGACCAUUUUCCUUGACAAUGAGAAAAGCUCCAAGAUCUGUAAAUCGAAAACUCAUUGAAAUGCCAAAAGAGAGAUGGAAGUGAAUAAGUAGAGUGUUAGUGAAAAGAGGGUGUAGUGAUUGUGUGGGAAGCUUUGGGUAUAACUGGGGUUUGGAUGUGAGAUAAAAUAUUUUGAGAGUGAAGUUGUAACAAUUUUGUACGUAGAUAAAUUUUUUGUCUCGUUGUCCUUGGCAACUGUGGUUUUUUAUUUGGGUAAUAGAGUUUUUCAGGUAACUCUUUUGUUGUGUGAUCCGAGUAUUCUCUGUUGUAUUUCUUUUAUUUGUUAUUUAUUUGACGUAUUGCUAGCAGAGAUCUUGGGUGGGAAUAAAAAAUUCCCAACAAUUGUCAGUUGUUUUAAACUCUAUUCCGAACAGAGCAUGAAGGGAUUCACUUAUCUAAUUAUGUCAUUUAUGCUUUAACUUCACUUCAUUUCAUCUUGUCCGUCACCUUUACUAAAGUUGUGUAUGUUGGAGUAUUAGGUUCAUCACAAGGAUCAUAUUAUGGCUAAGGAAGGAGCACAGUUUAUUAGCUACACUCAAGUGUAGCAGAGUAUUUGGAUUCAAGACUGUUAUAAGGUUGUUACAGAUGCAAUGCUGUUGCUGUGCAACUGUAUGCCAUGCUCGCAAGUGCGCUGUAACAGAUUGCUCAGCAGGCACCGGAUAUUUUAAGCUAAUUUUGGUAAUUAGUCUAGAGUGUUCUGAUUUAUUCUAUAAAUAGCUCAUUUGAGCGUAGAUAUCGUACAUUUCUGUUACUUCUAAUAAAGAAAUUCUUUAUUCCUUUUUCUUUCACUUUCUCUUUCAUUUUCAUGAUCCCCAAACACCAUCAAACAUAGAAUUGCUGUUUUAAUUCCCUCCUCUUGUCGAUAGAUGUUUGCCGAAUUUUUUCAUUUAAAAAAUAUUAUAUUGGUUAAUAGAAUUUGAAGUUUUACAAAAUAUAAGUUUAAUUUAAAAAAUAUAUAUUUGUUAAUUUAAAUUUUUUAUUUGGUGGUUGUGUUUGAGAAAAUUUUAGGUAUACUUGGAUAUACUCUCUUAUUAUUCAUUGAAUUUGGGCAUUUAAACAUACUAGUAUGCAAUAUUUUUAAGUAAUUACCAGAGAAGUAUACAUGAGAAAAAUAUAACACGUGAAACAAUACACAAUGAAAUUAUCUACAAUUUUCCAUUGACUUAGUCAACUCUUCAUUAAUUUCAUUGACUUGAUCAACUCAUGAUCUAACUUGACAACUUGAAAAUUAAAUUAUGCUAGUAAUUCUGUAAAAUAUGCUAGUAAUUCCGUAAAAUUAAAAUUUAUCUCCCAAAAUUGAUAAAUACUGUGUCACUUUGUCAAAUUACUUAGGGUAAAAGCUCUGUGGCUAAAAACUUUUAACAUUAGUUGUAUGCUAAUUGAGAAGGACAAGACACGAAAGAAUUCAAUGAAUGCCACAUCAUGUAACACUAAUACUAACACUACUUACUCUUAACAAAUUCUUACAAACGUGAUUCAUGAAAUUAACUUGACUUUUUGUCUAAAAAAGGCCUAAAGAAACAUGCCAAGCAACAAAUAAAGUAGUCCAAACGUGAUUCAUGAAACUUGAUAGGCACUAUCUAAAUAGUAUUAAUAUGGCAACCAAAAACAUGCGCGCAAAGUAGACUUUCUUGGACGAUCCAUGCCAAUCAGCAUAUAAAGUAGUCCAAACGUGAUUCGUGAAACUUGACUUCUUGUCUAAAAAGGCCUAAAGAAACAAGACCAAAAUUUCCAUGCAAUAGCAAUAUGGUGGCCACAAUGCACUUUUUAAGCCAUUUUUCAAAACUAAGUUUCUUCGUAUCACAUGCACUAUUCAAGCAAUUUUUCAACAUUUUCUCCUUCCCCUAAAAGCUACAUGCAUGAAUCAUGUCCCAAUCAAUUUCUUGGCAAAAAUUGGAACGCAAGAACCGAUUGGAGCAUAAGGACAAUGUCGCGAUUCAAGAUUCUCAGCAAGACCACGUCACAAUGCAUCACUUUUGGAAAGUAAUUUAGCAAUUUCCAAUGCCUUAGCUGAUUAAUGGCUUGACCAUGUGACGAUUGGUCCACCUUAUGCACAUGGCAAGAUCAAAGAAAAUAUCACAGCUAGCUCGACGACUACUAGCCAAAAUAACAAGACAAUGACGGCCAGUUACAAACUCUAUACGAAGGAAAUACCGAAAUAUGAAUAUCCCUCCUAAUCACUUUCUUAUAUUAUCAUUAUUUUGUACAUGUAACAGAACACGUUCUCUCUUGUAAUGAAGUCAAGAAAACGGUUUUAGUUUUUAUAUCAAUAAUGGAAUCCAAAAUCUUUCACAGCUUGCUUCUCCUUUGGACGCUUGAAAGACUUUCUUACCUGGCUAAAACUGUGAAAAUUGUUCAAACUAAUUUGAUUGAUAACUUUCUGACACUAUAUUGUAUAUGAAGGCUGCAUUUAAAUGUGAAAUAAAAAUGAGUGCUUAUAUUAAAAAACAAUCAGUCUCAUUGCGUCCUCUUUCAUUGACAUAGGCAAUUUUGCGGUCAACUCGAGGAGUUGUUUGAUUUUAUGUUUCAAAUUAAGUACCAUAGCAUUACUACUUCUAUAAAUAACUCAUUUGAGCUUCGAGCUUGUUAUUUGUAUUUUACGUUUCUGUUUCUCUUCAUAAAGAUUUUUUUUUUUCAUUCUCUUUUUCUUCCACUUUCCCGACUCCCAAACACCACCAGUCUUUGAUUUUCCUAGAGUAUUAACUGUCUGUUUACACGAACAUAGACCGACUGUUUGUCUAAUUACUGACAAGAAACAGCAUACUCUGUCUCGGGGUCUCAUCGUUUAUUGACAUGUCACUUGUGAACGGGCUAAUUAAAGGGCGUUCCUUCCUUCAAGAAAGAAUGCCAAGAAAGUACCAUCCAUUAGACACGUUAAGAAUUAUUUAACAUUAAAAAUGAUAAUAAUCAUAAUAAUCGGUUUAGUGUUACCCCGUUAUUAGGUAAUGACUGUCCGAUUGUCUUCGCUUUCAUUGACUUCGCAACUGUGAAUUCUAAGCCGGGUUAAGGAUUGACAAAAUGUUAUAACCCAUAAACACUACAACAAACAGUUAUAUCACCGACGAAAUAUUUCCGAGGGCGUAAAAUACCUUUGAUAAUAAGUACUUUUUUCUAAGGUGUAAGAUGGCCGUCGGAUAAGGAUGAAAAUAUGAUCAAUAUUUCCGAGGGCAAUUUGCCCUUGGUGAUAAUGAAUACUUCGUCGAAAAUGCCUGCUAGACUUAACUAGAAGCACCCCAGAAUUUACACACUUCGGGCCCGGCCUUUGGAGUAGAGUACUAAAACCACAAGCCCGCAGCCAUAACUUCCACUAAUUGUUUUUUUUAAGAGUAGCGUACUUGGAAAUUUUUUUUCUUGUAAAUUUAAUUACUCUUGGUAAAAUUAAAAACCUAAAAGAAUGAAAUACAAAUAAAAAGCUAAGAAAAUACAGAAGAAACGAAAAAAUAAACAAAAGGAAAAAAAUUAAAACAGAAGGGAAAGUUCAAAAGAAAACGAAAAAGAACAAAGUUAAAGAGAACGAAUAAGAAAGAAAAAGAAGGGGAAAGUUCUUCAAUCAUUGCAGCGCAAGCACUCACAUCUCUCACUUUUCAAUUUCUCAUUGUCUAUUGCUCGCCCAAUCGCUUUGGUAAUUAUUUCACUGUUGCUUUCUCUAUUUGCGCUAGAUUUCAUCUUUUUUUUUUCCUUCAAUUAACUUAGGGUUAGGUUAUAGUUUCCAUCAUUGAUGAUGAGUCUGAAGGCUAAUUAUUUCUCUUAAGUUUGUAAUUGUUACCAUCUCUUGCAUAAUCGCUCACUCUAUGCUUCUAAUUUUGUUUUUAAUUUGUUUUUGCUGCUUCCGAUUUUGUUUUAGGCCAAAUGGUAGCUUCCUAUAAGUUCGGUGAAGCUAUUGCAUUUUUUUUUUUUUAAUUUUUAUUUUGGAGCCCUUACUUGUGAUGCUAAUUAUUUAGAAUUCAUUGUUUGUUAUCUGAUUUGGAUUAAUUUUAAUGAUCUUUUUGCUGGAUUUCAUUAAUUUUUUUUUCCAUUUUUAAUGUUAUGUGAUGCUAAGUAUGGACUCUAAAGGAUGUUGAUAUUUUUUAAUUUUGAGGAGUUGUAGGGAGAUGAAGUGAAAUAAACAUUUAGGGGGUCAUGUGUAUAUAGAAUUGUUUGAUAGAGCUAACAUGACUAAAAAAUGUAAGUUAAUGCUAUACUAAAGCGAUGGUUAACUUUGUACUUUGAAUUUUGCAGCAUGAAUUUAGUAUAUUGGUAUUUUCAUUUUAUGUGUACUAAAAAACUAAAAAGGAAGAUAAAAAUAGAUGAGUUACCAGGGAGAUAAAAUUCAAUCUGCGGUGAACUAGUUGUAUUUCUUUUUCUCCUUUUUUUUUUUUUUUGCCCCACUUUCUAUGCAUCCUCAUUUUAAAUAGUUAGUAUUGCUGGUAUUGGUUUUAUCAUAAUCAUAACUUGUGAGAUGAAUUUUGUGCUUAAUUUUUUUUUUGUUUUGUUGAAAGGGUGUAUAAAAUUUAAUAGUAAUAUCAAGAACAAGUUUCUUAAGCUUUGAACUGAAUAUAUAUUAAGCUUUUAAACUUUUCCUGGCUUGCUGCAAUGAUUUCUUUUCUAAGCUUUUCCUUCCUUGUUAAAGCACUUAUUCACAUGUUUCAGGCUUUGAUUGUUGUACUACUAUAUGAAGUAGCUCUAUGCUUUGUAGGGGAUGCCUUCUUGAUGAUAUUCUGCAGGUUAGAAUCUGAUUCUCUAAAAAUUCUUAUACAUGUAGAGAACAGGAGCUUAAAGAUGUCGUAGAACUUCAUGUAAAAAUUCGUUUUUCAGAUUGGAUGUCAGAGCUGAGGAGGGGAAUUUUUAAGAAGUAUCCAACUGUUGGAGAGCAUUAUGCACAUGCUCCUGAGAAUGUGCCUCCAAGAAUAUUGAGACAAAUGGUUGACAAAUGGAUGGAUGAGGGGUGGAAGGUACCAAUAAUGACUAUUAGCAUAAUAUUUUUCUGUCCUUUUCUUUCCUAAGCUUUGCUGUUAUUUUAAUUCAUCAGUGAAUUAUAGUUGCUAGAAUCAUUAUAGAAAUAGGAACUGAUAAAUCUUAUCCAUGUGCUUUGUACAUGAGUUGUUCUUGGCGGGUUUAGAAUAACCAAGUUGAUUUUAUGUUUUUUUUUAACUUAUAUAUAGAAAACAAGCACAACAAACAAGAGGAACCGAACCAAGUCCAAACUUAUUCACACUAUAUAUUCCUAUAUUUAUUUUUUUUUUGGCAUGAUUUCAUUACUAUAUGCACUCAGACAAAUGUAUGUAUUUAUUAUAGGAAACAAUGGAAUCAAUAUGAUCAACUGUUAUAGAUCAAGGCUUGUCAGUUGAUGAAUGGAAAAUAUUUCGAGAAGUAACAGGAGAACCAGCACAUGGUCGUGUUGUUGGUUGGAGAGCCGGCAUCAAAGGCAAGGAUGUGUAUGGUUCUCCAGGUCAAGGAGGUAACAAGCAUCAAUGUACUAAUUUGGAAGUGAAAGUAAAAGACUUAGAGAAGAAGUCAAGAAGUUGAAAAGACUGAUAAAGCUCGUUCUUGGAAAAUCCGCACAAGAAUCAUCUCAAAAGGUAUAGGUUGUUUAUUUCAUUUUAUUAAUAGAUUAAGUGAAUGAGUAUGUUCUAUGUUUUGAGUUCUCAUGGAAAAUGAUUGGUGACUUGUCAUUGCUCUGUUAGUUAAUGAACUGAAGUGAUUAUGGACAAGCUUAUAAUAUAGGUGGAUGAUUGAAUAAUUAUUAGAUUUUUUUUUUUUGAAACAGAGACUGCAUUUAUAUAGAGUUUUUUUUUAUUGCACAAUUUUUCUCAUUAGUCUCAGCUUCUUUAUUAUAUUUUAUACCAGUUUUUGUUUUGGUAAUAAUAGUGCUUAAAAUUUUUUCUUUUACCUAGGAUAUUGUUUUGACGGAAGAAGAUGACAGGUAUGAGGAUGAUGAAGUUGAGCCAAACGAUUUAGAAAUUGAAGAAGUUGCUUUAGAGGAUGAUUGAACACAUUCAAGAUAUGAUGAUAUCAUUUUGUAUAUACAUUUGGUAUUUUUUUGCAUAAAAGAUACGAUAAAAUUGAAUUUUUUGUUGUAUUCUUGAAUGAUGAAUGUGAUUUUAUGAAUUUUUAAAAUUAAUGAAGUUACAUUUAGUAAUUUCGAAUAUUAUUAUUACUUUUGUUACAUCACUUCUCUAAUAUAGAUAUUUCAACAAUAAAAAUAAAAAAAUUAAUGAAAUAUUAUUAUUAAAUAAAAUAAAGGGGGCCAUUAAACAACAAAAUAAGUUUAUUUUCGACGGUAUAUCUUUUAUUUCCGAGGGCAAGUUGCAGAUGAAAAUAAAAAUAACCAGGUUUAUUUAUCUUUUUUCCGAGGGCAUUUAAUUCCAUUUCCGACGGCAAUGCGCUCGGAAAUAAUUUUUUUCUCUGACGACUCGUCGGAAAUUCGACAUUUCCGAUAAGACUUAAUACGGCGACGGUCGACGGCAUACCACGCUCGAAAAUGAGUUUUUCUAAGGGUUUUUGUGUAUUUCCGACUCCGAGGGUAUUUGCCCUUGGAAAUGACCCAUUUUCUUGUAGUGAAAGCACAGAUAAUUAAUCAAUGGGCCACUGAUUUCUUCUUUCAUAAAAGAGAACUUUUCCAGGGAGAUUGGAAUAAAAGGCUAAUUCUUGGUAAAGAUCAGAAAGUUCUCAAAUAAAAAUUCGGCUUUGUGGAAAUUAAAUUAAAAGCAAUUAAGCAUUAUAAAUUACUUAACAGCUUAAUCGAGUUUGGUUUUGAAAAAUAUAUCUUUAAAUCUCUUGUAAUUAAAGAUAAUUAUCAUAUUACCGUCUCAAAUGGACCGAUUUCAAUCAAAUGAAAUCUAGAAAAUUGAGCAGCUCAUUGAUGUAUUUGGUGGAAUUGUGACUUGUGUCAGAGUCUUCGUUUUAGAAGAGUGCACAGCAGCUGCCAGGUCCACUUGGCAGUUGGCACGCCAAAAUUUUUCUGUUGACCAAUAAUUUUGAAAGGGAUAUUAUUAAUUCACUAUCAAAUAUUUUCGAACACAUCACUUUACUAUCAAAAUUUUUUGACAAUAAUUUUUUGUCAUUUAAUAUUUCAAUUUUUAUCAUUUUAUCAUUAAAAAAAUAGUAAAUACAUGCUUAGCGUAAGUUAUCCAUAAAAAUGGUUGUUGAAUUGUCUUGUUUCUCAUUUGGUUUAAUUUUCAUAAAUUCGACUCACACAAUUCAAUUAUGAGUGAAGAGUUUUUUUGGGAAAAAUCUGGUCUUCCAUGUACUAGAAUCAGGUCUGUUUGAUUUUAUUAUUUUUCUUUUGUUUGAAAUAUACGUGGAAAAUGUUGAACACUUUGUAGGAUUUAGAAGAAUUUGAAAGUUUGAAUGCAUAUAGUUUACUAUCGAUCAGCUAGUGCAUAUUCUGUAUUUUAUGAAAUCAAAGCUGGUUGAUUGAGAAAUGGACCUUAUUACAUGUCAUAAGAUUUUACAGUGCUUUCUAAUGGAGCAAAAUAAAAUGAUUCUUACCUGCACAGAAAAUUAGAAACGAAAAGGAGGGUUACUGAUCCACAGAGUUGUUAUUUACGAGAAGCACAUAGAUAUUACACUUAAUUUAUUAUCCAUCUGUAUUGUUUGGAUGACACUGAAGUAUUACCUAAAUUAGCCUUUCAAAACUUCUUUUUCAAAAAUCUAUGGUUGUGAUGCGUCUCUAUAAACUCACUCGUACAAAUUCUGUCUAAUGCCAAUUGUUUUAAACCCUGUUCUGAACAGAGCAUGAAAGGAUAUGUUCACUUAUCUAAUUAUGUUUUUUAUGCCUUCACUUCACUUGAUUCACCUUGUCCCUCUUUUAAAACAGCUGUAUAUGCUGGAGUGCCAAAUCCAUCACAAGGAUCAUAUUAUAUCCUACGGAAGGAGCACAGUUCAUUGGCUGCACUCAGUUUACAGAGUAUUUCGGGAUUCAAGACUGUAGGUUGUUGCGGAUGCAACUUGCAAGGCUGUUGCUGUGUGACUGUAUGCCACGCUGGCAAGUGUGCUCUGACAGAUUGUGGAGAUGGCACCAAAGAUUGUAAACUAAUUAGUACUGAAAAAUCAUAUUUGCACAUAAAAUUGCACAAAAUAAAUAGAUUGAGAAAAGUUGUACAAAGAAAUAAGAUUAAUAAAGUAAAUAAAUUUAUCUUUUAACAAAAUAUUUCUAGUCUUUUGGCGUUUUUGUGUAUUUUUGUGUAAGUGCAAAUAGCAUUACUCAUUAGUGAUUAACCUAGAGUGUUCUGAUUUCUUCUAAUAAGUAGCUCGUUUUAGCCUAGGACCUGUAAUUAUGUUUUACCUUUCUGUUACUUUCUCUUAAAUAUUAUCUCAGUUCUUUUCUUCUUUUCUUUCACUUUCUCUUCCAUUUUCCUGACUCCCAAACACCACCAAUCCUUGAUUUUCUAGAGUAUCAGCUAUCUAUUUCUACAAACACAAAACUGUUAUUUUUUUUUUUUUUUGAAGUCUGUUAUACACAGAUAUUACUGACAUUACAUCAGACAUUACAAUUAAUAUUUACAAUCAUACUAUAUAACUGGGAUUACCAUCAUACAUUGACACACUGAAGUAUAUGCUCAGAUAUUUUAAACCCUCUCUAAUAUUCGAGGGAUGCCUAUCCACUCACAUUUCGUGAGAGAGAGACUGUCUCCACUCAAUUAAUUGAUAAUUGAGGAAGAACUGAAACUAACCUCCAUAAUGCUUUUAUAGAGGCUCGAACCCUUACACUCAACAUUGUAAGUGCAAGGCUUCUCCCAUUGGACCAAAGGCCCAUUAGUACAAAAAAACAAAACUGCUAUUUACUUUCAAGAAAUAACAUAUUCUGUGGUUUAUUGGCUUAUGCCUCGUGAAUGGGGCUAAUGUUGGUCUAACUACUCCCGUGAAACAACGUACUCUGUGGCUUAUUGUCUCCUCUUCCAUUGACUCUGCCAAUUCACGACUUUGACACGCACACUAGAUGCUAACUGCCUUCUCCAUUCGACGUGCAAAAACUUUCUUGAGUCGGGUUAAAAUUAAUUGAUCAUUUUAUUUGGUGAUAAUGACUUAGUUGUCAAGUCAUGAGUUUGAUGAUGAAGAGGACGAAAAAUAUUAUUUUAUUAUUUAAAAUAAGACUAUCAAUUAUUUCGAUGGUCAUCUUAUUUUCUAAAAUAACUAAAUGGAAUCUUACAGAAUUAAAGUGCUUGACGUCUUCAUACCUUGCUUGACUUCUUUUUACAGAAUUAUAAAGUGAAAAAGGAAAUUAAGAAAUUAAAUACUUUUCAUGCGAGUGGAGAAGAUUGGGUAGCGAUUACAUUAAAUAAAAGAAAAUUAAUUUAAAAGUACAACACUUUAAUAAUCUCAUUCCCAAUCAUAUCGGUACAAAAAUUCUGUAGAUUUAUUGAAUAACUAUUUAUUUUACUUUGGUAAUUUCUUUCUAAAAGUGAGGUAAACAUUUUUAUUUUCUUUGCAUUCGAGCUUUCUUUCUUUUGCGCUGGCCUUCACUUUUGACCGUAUUUCAUGGGGCACAUUCAAUCUGAAUUUUCUGCAAGUUUGUGGCAGUUUUGUUAAUUACGAACAUUUGUAGGAUUUUAUGUAGAUGAUACAUUUUUCUUUUCUUUUUUUCUUCGGUGAACAAAUUAAAAUUUUAGUUUUUGUCAUCAUGACUAGUGAAAUGAAAAUAGUCCUCAUUUCAAGGAUAUACCGAUUAAUGGGGAACUAAUUUCGUCCUCUUAAAAAAGAAUUAUUUGCAGCGUGGUAAUUCGGAGAUUUCUGUAUUAUAUAGCCAAACCUAAGUGAUGAGAAAAAUGAGAAAUAAUUUGGAGGGAAACAAAAAAACUAAUUCAAGUUAAAGACCAGGAAUUGGUGUUCCUCACAAAAACAAUAAUUCAAGCCUCGCAAUAAUUUUUUUGAUUUAUUUAAAAAAAAGUUGUUUUCCUCACAAAACAUUUCAACGUCUAUUCUCUCGUACAGGGGAAUAUCCUUCACUCUUUGGCGUAUCCCUGGGGCAAUGUAAGUUGACUUUACAUUAAAACAAAAAAUAAUUACAAUCACAUAAUUACAAUUAUCAUCACUGAUUUGUAUAAUUUUCAGGACUAGUAAAUUAUCCCAAUUUUUAAAAAACAUAAUUACAAUUAUCGAUCGAACACCACUAAUUCCAACAAUUCAUCCAAGUUUUUCAACUUUUUAGAUAUUUGAUAUAUGUCAUGUUUUAACUUGGUACGAGAAAAAAAUUAUAGAAUAUUUUUUUUUCAAAUUAGUGGAAUUAUUUUGCGAUAAAACUAUCACAAUCACAUUUAAAAACAUUCUUUAAAUUUUCACUAUUUCUACUGUUAUUCUUUAAACUUUUUUCUGAACAGAGCAUGGAGGGUCGCUUAUCUAAAUAUGUUUUCUGAGCUUUCACUUCACUUGAUUCAUCUUGUCCCUCUUUUAUAGCUUCUAUCUCGUGUGAGCUUAGAACCUGCAACUCGUAUUUUACGUUUCUGUUACUUUCUCUUUCAUUUUCCCGACUCCCAAACACCAUCAGUCCUUGAUGUUAUAGAGUAUUAGCUGUCUAUUUGUACAGACAUAGAGCUACUGUUCCCACUGUAGAUCUUCAGAUGGUUAGCUCACUAUUGUUUGAAUAUUAAAAUUAAUUUGUUAAAUAAAUAAAGAAAACAAGAGACAAUUGCCAUAUAUAUUCCAUAUUAAUUAGUCACCGUCCGAUUGUCUCCACUUCCAUUGACUCUGUUGAUUCAUGCUUUCAUGAAGUGAAACGCUUAACACUCUGUUCUGAUCCGCAGGAGAGGAGGAAAAACAUAAUUUUAUUAUUUCAUUCCUGACACACGCAAAGAGCUUUCUUAAUUGAUGAAUGUGACAUGAAGCUCUAUAAAUAGUUUAAUUUGUAAAAUUGUUAAAAUUUGUUAAAUUUCAUUUAAUUGAUGAAUGUGACAUGAAGCUCUAUAAAUAGUUUAAUUUGUAAAAUUGUUAAAAAUUUAAAUUUCAAGGUAGAUAAAAUGAUUAACUUUUUUCAAUAUUUAGAUAAUUAACAUGUGCCAUGUAACUAUGAAUGAAUGAAUGAAAUUUUUGAAGUGCGAAUCCAUUUACAAGUUACAGACUUGUCUUAUUUCUCAUUUUACUUAAUUUUCAUAAAUUUGACUCACGAUCAAUUAUGAGUGAAGAGUUUGUUGGAAAAAUAUGGUAUUCCAUUUAUUGUAAUCAGAUGAGUGUGAUUUAAUUAUUUUUUCCUUUUGCUUGAUGUCCCGAAAAUUAUGAAUACUUUGUAGGAUGCAGAAGAUUAAAAAUUUUAACGCAUAUCUAUAGUCAAAACUGAGGAAACAGAACAUUAUUGCUUCUAUAAAUAGGUCAUUUCAACUUAAAACUUGUUACUUGUAUUUUAUAUAUUUUUUUUUUAACUUUUUCUUCCAUUUUCCCAAACACCACCAAUCCUUGAUUUUUUUCUUAGAGUAUUAGCUGUCGAUUGUUAUAAACGUAGACAUACUGUUUGUCUAAUUACUAUCAAGAAACAACAUACUCUAUCCUGGGGUCUCUUCGUUUAUUUAAUAUUUAGGUUUAUUAAUAUACUAUAUUAUUAAUUAAAUUAAUUAAUAUUAAUUAAUAAUUUAAAUUAAUUAAAUAAUAAAAGUUAAAUGAUUAUAUUGAAAAUCCAAGUAGUAUUUUAAUGUAAUGAAACCUAAAUCCCACCUCUAUACCACAUUUGUUACACAAUGUAAUUAUAUAAAAAUAAUAUUUUAAUACAAUAUAAUACAAGUAUAAGGCUGUGUAAGGCUGUAAUAUUAAUUAGCCUGUGUAAUAGUAUGCCAUGCUGGCAAGUGUGCUAUAACAGAUUGUCGAGCUGGCACCAAUUAUUUUAAACUAAUAUUAGUAAUUAGUUUAGAGUGUUUCGAUUUAUUCUAUAAAUAGAUCAUUUAAGCUUUGAACCUGUGAACUUGUAACGUGUACUGUACUUUUCUAUUACUUCUAAUAAAGAUUUUCUCUAUUCCUUUUUCUUUCACUUUCUCUUCUGUUUUCCCGACCCUCAAACACCGUCAAUCCUUGAUUUGAACUACUGUUUGUUUGUCUAAUUACUUUCAAGAACAAUACCCUCCAUCCCGCGGUCUCCUCGUUUAUUGACUUGUUACUUAUGAACAGGGCUAAAUAAAGGGCAAAUAAGAUGUUGGGCCAAUGGACCCAACGUCACAGAUCUUGAAUUGAUUGCCUCUUCUUUUCUCUACAAAUCUUUGCUUAAUUUUUAUGUUUCCUCAACUUUUUCCCCCCUUUUGUGCUAAAAUUAUUUUUCUGAUACUUUAUGCAAAAAAUAUGAUGAAAAUGAAUUAGUUUAGAUUAUCAAUAAAUUUUUAUUACAUUCAAGAUAAGGACAACUACUCUUAGAUCACUUUUAUUUAGUUGAAUUAUAGGUAAUAAAAUUGGUUUUAACAAAAUAUGAUUCUUAACCCUUGUAAUUAAAGACUGGUGUUAUUUAGUUUAGUUGUAACACCAUGCAACAGGUCAUCUUGGUGGGUUCAAAUUAAUAUACGAUCAUUCUCAAUAUUUAAUAGUUCGUAAUUAAAAAUUCCAAUAUCACAAUUAGAAUUUACAAACAUGUCAAAGUGAGUUAAAUCAAACCUAUAAAUUUAAGGUUUACUACAAGCUUCUAACAAAUUAAAAUUUAAAAUGAUUAAUUAAAUGCUAGACAAUAUUUAGCUUAUAAAUGUUCCCGACCACAUGAUGAAUGUACUUAAAACAUCCUAAUUGGUCGCUAAUUGAUUGGUUGUUAUUUUUUCAAUUUCUUUUUAUAUAUCUUUGAAGCUUCUAGUUUCAUAACAUGUUAUUUGCAAUUCGUGUAAAUUAUUAUUUUUUAAAUAUUAGAGCAACAACCAGUAUAAAAAUAAAAUGCACUCAUUUAAUGGAAAUUUUUCUAGAUGCUUCAAUGGCAGAAUCUCAUUGGUCUAUAACUCUCAAUAAAUUUUUCUAGAUGAUUCAAGAUUCAAUUUCAAACCAAUGCCGAACAAACAGUAUAAACCUUAAUAAGAUAGUUGAAUAACCAUCUCUUACGUCGGGUGACCGAAUAACCAUCGCUUACGUCGGAAUUUAAACUUAAACAAAGCUACAUCCCACGUGUUCCCCACUUUCUUCAUAUUUCCAAAAAACCCCUACCAGAUCCAGAUAAUCACCUUAACUUUUCUCGUAUAAAUAGAGAAGACGACGACGAUUCCUGCAAAGCCAGGUGAGUCACGUGAACGUUACGGCCAUGGGACAUUGGAAUUGGAUCAAACCACUGGAAUGCACAGCAAAAUUAACCCGAAUAAACUAGGUUGAGUUAAGAAUUACUUUUCUUUUCAUAAUAAAUUAGAUUGAGUUAAUAAUAUUUGCCUGUGUGAAAUGAAUAAUCAGUUUAGUGUCACCCCAUUAUUAAUUUGUGACUGUCCGAUUGUCUCCUUUUUCAUUGACUUUGCAACUGUGACUUCUGAACCGGGUUAAGAGUUGACAAAAAUGUUAAUGUUAAUAUGUUAUAAUUCAUAAAACACGCAUAAUUAAUUAAUGGCCCACCAAUUUCUUCUUCUCAAAAGAGAAUUUUUGCAGGAGAUUGAAAAAAGGCUAAUUCAUGUUAAAUAUCUUAGAUGAGUGUCUAUCACGGAUACAAGUCAAGCCACACGAUUUUUCUUGUUAUACUAUUUGUUGGCACUUGUGAAUCCUUGAAUUAUCAAAUGAAUAGCAACAACACUUCAAUAUCUAUUGUUACACGGAGAGAAAUCCGUUCUCUCUUUGAUGUACUACUUGGCAAUAUACAUUGAUCUUUCACUAAAACAAGCAUUCUCAUAUUGUUGAGAAAAACUCACGUUAAACUAUUCAAUUUAAUCAUUUAUUAAACGGAUAUUUGGUUUGAUUCAUUUUAUUCAUUUAGUAGAAUUAAUAAACGAAUCGAAUCGAAUCCAGAUUCAUUUAUUCUAUUACAAAUCUACAACGAAUUGAAUCGAAUCGAAUCAGAAUUCAUUUACAAUUCGUUUAGAAAAAUAUAAUUGAUAAACAAAAUUAAGCAAAAUAAAAUAUAAAAAAGCCGCAAAUUUAAUACCACUUCCUACACCAUAUUCCUAAUUAGCUAGGGAUAGUCUACCAUGCAAUGGCUGCUGUCUUCAUUAAAUAAAAUAUGUGCUUUUAUACGCCCUCUCAAAGAAUAUCGAUCUCCUCAAGACUUUACAUAUUUGUUUUUGAAUAUAAACACUUGUUCACUUCUACAUAUUUUUUUUUAGCUACAUCCAUAGAAUUGCUCUAGCCUCUACGUUGGACAUAGCUGCUGUCUUAAUUAAAUAAAAUAUGUACUUUCAUACGCCCUCUCAAAGAAUAUCGAUCUCGUGGAGGCUUUACAAGCUUCGGUGGGAUCUUUAGAAAACGUCUCGACGACUCAAAAGACUACACUCCCACUUUCAAAAGUGGCACGAUUUGAACUUAUCCUGCCAACCUUCUAGAAGAGUAGUGAUAAACUUCAAGAUCAUUCUUUUAAUUUUCUCCCUUUUAACAUUUUGGUUUCAGGUAAGGACCAAUCACUUGGACACUUCAAUUUUACUUUUGGACCUUUCUUAUAAUGACAACACCCUCCAUCCCUCGGUCUCUUCGUUUAUUGACUUAUUACUUGUGAACAGGACUAAAUAAAGGGCAAAUAAGAUGUUGGGCCAAUGGACCCAACGUCACAUAUCUUGAAUUGAUUGCCUCUUUUUUUCUCCAUAAAUCUUUACUUAAUUUUUAUGUUUCCUCAACUUCCCCCCCCCCCCCCCCCCUUUUGAUGAAUUAUUUUUCUGAUACUUUAUACAAAAAAUAUGAUGAAAAUGAAUUAGUUUAGAAUAUCAAUAAAUUUUUAUUACAUUCAAGAUAAGGACAACUACUCUUAGCUCACUUUUAUGAAAUUCGUUACUAGAAAUUUGUAUAAAAGUCGUGAGAAUAGAAAUUUUGGUAAAACAAAAGUCGCGGGCUUAUUUAGAAAAAAGAAAAAAUUACAUUCUAUUUUCCAAUUACUAAGGUCAGCCUUAACACAUGCCGGUCUUUUUCUCCUCUACUUUCUAGAAAUUUUGGUUUCACUAUAAAAACUCGGUAUAUAACAAACUUAUGAGUGUUCUUGCAUUACCAAUCCAACUAAGCACACGCUUACAAUCUAAAAUACUCUCAUCUCAUGGAAAGAGUUCAUUCUCUCAGGAUGAUGAGCAUAUUUCUCCUACUCCAUUGUUUGAUUAUUAUUUCCUUAUUUAUCGCAGCAACAACAGCCAACACAAGUUCUAAUAUCACAGACCGAGAUGCUCUGUUAGCCCUGAAAGCUCACAUAACUCAUGAUCCGACCAAUUUCUUGGCCAAGAAUUGGAACACAAGUACUCCUGUCUGUAAUUGGACAGGCGUCGCUUGUGACAUCCAUAGCCAUAGAGUCACAGUCUUGAAUAUUUCAAGCUUAAAUCUCAGAGGCACCAUCCCAUCUCAACUUGGGAAUCUUUCUUCUCUGCAAUCACUCAAUCUCAGUUGUAACCGACUUUCUGGUUCCAUUCCCUCCGCCAUCUUCACCAUAUACACACUGAAAAAUGUUAGUCUCGGUAAAAAUCAGCUCUCUGGGCAAAUUCCUACAAAUAUUUGUAGUAAUCUUCCUUUUCUUGAAUUUCUUUCUUUGUCCCUAAACAUGUUCCAUGGCGGAAUACCGUCCACUCUAUCAAAUUGCACAUAUUUAAGAAUCUUAAGUUUGGCAUACAAUGAUUUCUCGGGAGCCGUACCUAGAGAAAUCGGUAACUUGACCAAACUUAAGGUAUUAUAUAUUGGCGCGAAUAGACUCCAAGGUGCGUAUGGUCAUGGAGUUUAAUUAUAAACAUUGUUCCAUGAGUUGUAAUAUGAAUAAUGUUCCAUAAUACACUUCUGAGCCCGAAAUCCUUUCCUUUCCUCCUUGACUCUCCUAUCGUCGAGCUAAGUGACUCUGUCAUGCCGCUUCAAGUAAUACAAACGUUGAUUAAUUUGCAGGAGAAAUUCCUCGAGAGUUUGGCAAUCUUACCGAAUUGGAGCAGUUUUCGUUACCAACAAACAAUCUCCAAGGUAUGAUUUUAAACUUUUUGCAAUUUUAUUCUAGCUCUGCUUGCUUCUGUAUUCAUUCGUUUGUUCAUUAAUUAUGCUAUGAUUUAUUGUUUUUCUUUCAAAUAGAGAUAAAGCUCCAUGUCUCCCCUCACUCAUUUCGUUCUUUGAUUUAUGCAGAUAAAAAUAAAAAAAAAUGUUUUGUAAUUUUCUUUUGUCAUAUUGCCACUUCCCUUUUAAAGCUCCCAAUUAAGUCGAUGAAAAUGAAUGAUGCUUCAUUCGUAUUCUUGUCAGCCUAAUUCUUAUAUAAUUGAAGAGUAAAUUGUUAUUAUGAUAUUCGUCAGCCAAUAAAUUCUUUUUUUUUUCUCAAAAUAUGAGUGAUCAAAUUGUUUGCGCAUAUAUAAUUUUACUUAAUUUGCAGGAGGUAUUCCACAGGAAUUGGGGAAUCUUGCAAAAUUGGAGAUUUUACAGCUGUUCCAGAAUAACUUGACCGGUAACCAUCUUUACUAUAUAUAUAUGAGACAUCUUCCGCUUCUUAAUUAAAAGAUUUCAAGUCUCUCAUUAUAAAUUCUCAUAUGAGGAUAUGUCAUUACUACAAUCUAACAUUAUUCCCUUUUUUAUUAGAAAUUAGUUUGUGUUAAUUCAAAAUUUUGUAACAUUUAAAAAAAAAUUAAAAACACGUGGAAUAAAUCAUCAAUCUUUCUUCUUUAUUGAAUUUGGAUUUCUCAAAAAUUAUCUUGACAAGUAUACUUCACUAAUGAUAUGCAUGUGUGACAACUUCAUAAAAUAUUUUACAUGGAGUCACCAAUUAUCUUUAAAUAAUUGGAGAUGCCAUCAGUGAUACAUAAUUUCUUAACAAGCACCAUAUCAAAAGAAAUCAACAAUUUUAUUAAUCUUCAAGAGUUGCAUCUUCACUGCAAUUAUGACAUAAAUUUUUAGUCAUCAAUCGCAUAAUAUUUUAUGUUAACGGAUGAUGUUCAGUCUUGGAAUUUAUAAUACCUUGAAGGUUAGUAGCUUUGAAAAUAAGAACUGUUCAUUUGCUAAAAAGUUAACUUAGUAUUUAAGUUUUUCAAUUGAAAAUUUUGAAAAAAGUCUUGAGAACUGCCCUCCUUAGUAUUUCAGCUGAUAAAUAUGAAAAAUAGGCUAGAAGAAAUAUUGUUGUGUGUGCUUAUUCUACUUGGGCUUUGGGCUUGAUUACAAGGUCGAGCCUUGAUUACAAGGUCGAGCACUUACACCUGUCAUAAUAAUAGGCUUUUACUGUCACCACACGUUUAAUAAUUUCUUAACCUUCCGAAUUAAGUUAUAGCAAUUUAUAUAUAAAUAACUAAAGCAUACUAAUGCUAGCACAAAGUACUCAUGACUUAGGCUUGUUGUGUUACCUAUUACACACGGUCGAACACUUACAUCUAUUAGAAUAACAAUAGCAUCCGCGGAUCGACUAUCAGUGAUCAAAUUGUUUGCACAUAUGUAAUUUGCAGGACCAAUUCCACGGGAGUUGGGAAAUAUUACAGGAUUGGGGAUCUUAGCGCUGUCUGAUAAUUUUUUAACCGGUAUCAUUCCUUCAUCUAUCUACGAAUUGCUUUUCUCUAUUAAAUUUGGAACUGUCAUUUAAUAACUUAACAGGUAACUUCCCUUACAAAAUGUCUGUGUGACAUGUUUUGCUUCUAAAUUAAAAUAUUUCGCGUCUCUCAUUAUAAAUUCUCAUAGGCGGAUGUAUUGUUACUACUAUUUAACAUUAUCUCAUUUUUUUAUUAGAAAUUAAUCUGUGUUUAUGCAAAAAAAUUUAGCAUCUAAAAAAAGUAUAAAAACACGUGGAAUAAAUCGAAAAUCUUUCUUCAUUACUGAAUUCGGAUUUCUCAAAAAUUAUCAUGAGAACUUCAUAAAAUAUUUUACAUGGAAUCAGUAAUUAUCUUUAAAUAGUUGGAGAUGCCAUCACUAAUAAAUAGUUUCUUAAAAAGCAUCAUACUAAAAGAAUUCAAUAAUUUUAAUAAUCUUAAAGGGUUACAUCUUCACUGCAAUUAUGACAUAAUUUUUUAUCUAAAUAUAUUUUUAGUCAUCAAUCGCAUAAUAUUUUAUCUUGACGGAUGAUGUUCAAUCUUGGAAUUUAAAAUAUCUUGAAGGUUAGUAGCUAUGAAAAUUAGAAAAUUUUUAUUUGCUAAAAAAUUAACUUAGUAUUUAAGCUUUUCAAUUGGAAAAUUUGAAAUAAAUGUUGAGAACUGGCCCUCCUUAGUAUUUCAGCGGAUAAAUAUGGAAAAUAGGCUAGAAAAAAUUAUUUUACUGAAAUAAUAGUUAAAAAUAGAGGAGAAGUACAGUACUCAUGACUUAGGCUUGCUGUGUACUUUUUUUUACUUGGGGUUCGGGCUUGAUUACACACGGUCGAAUACUUACACAACUCCCCCCACAUAGGGUUUUACUUUCAUCCCACAUUUGAUAAUUUCUUAACCUUCCCAAUUAGAUUAUAGCAAUUUAUAAAUAAAUAAAUAACUAAAGCAUACUAAAGCUAGCAUUGAUGGAUGGAUGAGUGGUGUCAAAAGUGUAUCUGUUUUUAUGUAUUAUUGUUCCCUGAUACAAAUCUAAAUAAUGGAAAAUAUAAAUUUAAUACUUUAUUUAAUACUCUGUUAACAUUUUAUCUAUAUAUAAUAAUUAAACUGAAACUCGUACUUAAAAAAAUUUUGGUUACGCAUAUUCAUUUCAUGAUAAAAAAAUGUCUAUUUACACUAAUUUACCAUUAUCAAUAAAAUGCUUUGAGACAAAUAAUCUAAUUUAUAUUAGUAUAUUUAAAAUACUUGCAUUUAUUAUAUUUUGAAAAAAAACUAUUUGCAAUUAUUUUAAACCUUUGAAUUCAAAUUUUCUUAGUUAUUAAAGUCAAAGGGUAUAAAUGUAUAAUAGUCAAAAACAGAUUUGUAUGAUCAUUUUUCAAUGUAUAAAUUUUCUUAGUUAGUAGGAAAUUAAAAAUUGUUGAUUUACUCAUAAAUGAAUUUAGUGUUUAGCAUUUCAAUUUUGGAAAACUUGAACUAAAUGUUGAUAACUUCGAAUCCAUCGAGCCAAGUUUCGCUUCCUUGACACACAGACCCAUUCGAAUUGAGUUUCCAAGUGCUUAGAAAAAGCAUUUCUUUUCCAUGUCACUAUAAUUUAUUCACAAAAGAGUUGAUUAGCGUCGAUGUUGCUGCAGAGUCUGAGACCAUGUUAGUAGGAGAAAUUUGAAAAGAAAUUAUUUUACUAAAUUAACUUAUUUUAUCUUGCUGUAACUGAAAUACUACCUUUUUUUUUUUUUUGUUAUCACUGGGGCUUGAUUUACUUUAAUAAUAGCAGCCACAAGCUUAGGCUUUUUUACUUUUCACCACACAAUUUGAUCUUUUAAUUCGUUUUAACCACAUAAUCUAUCUAUCUCACACCUAUUGCUUACUUAAAUCGCAUACAUAUUUUACCUACUAAUUUUUACAAACAUUAGUGAAAUAUAUUUUAUUACAUUUCGCUUGUAACUGCUCUAGUUGUGCACUAUUAAUACUUAACCCUCCCUUUUAAUUUACCGUGCAAUCUAUCAACAACUUAAAUUACAUAUAUAUUUUAUCUAUAUUUUUCCCGAAAAAAAAUAUAAAAAUAACAGAAAAAGAAUAUGUGUAGCAAUUUGUAUGGAACUAACAAAGCAUUAACGGUGUGUAGCCUUUCAAUACUUCAUGAGUGGCUUUUCUUGUGUGUUAGUACUAGUAAUAAUUGUGUAGUGUAUAAAUGACCUUUUAUUAUUAAAGCGCGUCCGUUGUUAGAUAUUAUUUAUUAUUUGAAAAAUAAUCUGAAUAUAAUUCUUUCAAAAUACAGGGGAGAUACCAACUGAAAUCAGUAAUCUCCGUAAUCUGGAGGAGUUGGACCUUGCUCGAAACAAAUUAGUUGGUAUUGUCCCAGCUGCAAUCUUCAAUGUGUCAACACUCCAGCAUCUUGGUCUUCAAGAUAAUUCUCUCUUGGGAUGUCUUUCGUCCAACGGAGACGUCCGACUUCCAAAUCUUGAAGGGCUUUAUUUGUCGGGUAAUAAUUUCAGUGGCACAAUUCCUAGAUUCAUCUUUAAUGCUUCUAAGCUCUUUAAGCUAUCGUUGCAAAGGAACUCAUUCUUUGGUUUUAUUCCCAACACAUUUGGCAACUUAAGAAACCUUAAGUGGCUGUCUUUAUAUGAUAAUUAUUUGACAUCUUCAACUCCAGAAUUGAGCUUUCUAUCCUCGUUGUCAAAUUCCAAGUCUUUAACAUUUAUUGACUUAUCAAAUAAUCCACUAGAUAGCGUUCUUCCAAAGACAUUUGUCGGUAAUGUUUCUCAUUCUUUGGAAUUCUUUGUCAUGUCGUAUUGUAACAUUAGUGGCGUCAUCCCUGAAGAGAUCACCAACUUGACCAAAUUGACAACCAUUAUUUUAGGAGGCAAUAAAUUGAAUGGAUCAAUUCCGAUUACUCUCAGCAAGUUACAAAAGCUUCAAUAUUUGGGUCUUGACGAUAACAAAUUAGAAGGAUCAAUCCCAGACAGUAUUUGUCGUUUAGCUGAACUGUAUGAUUUGGAGUUGGGUGGUAAUAAGCUAUCUGGAUCAAUCCCUGCAUGCUUCAGUAAUCUGGCUUCUCUGAGGACACUGUCGUUGGAUUCCAAUGAGUUAACUUAUAUUCCCUUAACUUUUUGGAACCUUAAGGAUAUCUUGUACCUCAACUUUUCAUCAAAUUUUUUGAUUGGUCCACUCCCAUUAGAGGUUGGAAAUUUGAAGGUUUUAGUUGGAAUUGAUUUUUCGAUGAAUAAUUUUUCAGGCGUUAUCCCAACAGAAAUUGGAGGCCUACAAAAUCUAGAAUAUCUCUUCUUAGGAUAUAACAGAUUGCAAGGAUCGAUUCCUGAUUCAUUCGGUGAUUUGAUAAGCUUGAAAUCAUUGAAUUUGUCUAAUAAUAAUCUCUCUGGGGCUAUUCCUGCAUCUUUAGAGAAACUCUUAUAUCUUGAAGAUCUAAAUCUUUCUUUCAACAAACUAGAAGGAGAAAUUCCUAGGGGAGGGUCUUUUGGAAACUUCUCAGCUGAAUCAUUUGAGGGAAAUGAAUUAUUAUGUGGUUCACCCAAUUUACAAGUCCCGCCAUGUAAAACUAGCAUCCACCACACAUCAUCAAAAAAUUCUCUUCUCCUGGGGAUCGUCUUGCCAUUGAGUACUACAUUUAUGAUAGUAGUCAUUUUGUUGAUCCUAAGAUAUCGACAGAGAGGAAAACGACCAUCGAAUGAUGCUAAUAUACCACUAGUAGCAACAUGGAGAAUGUUUUCAUACCUAGAACUCUGUCAAGCAACAGACGAAUUCAGUGAAAAUAAUCUAAUUGGCAAAGGUGGUUUUGGCUCUGUUUACAAAGCAAGACUUGGGGACGGGAUGGAGGUUGCAGUGAAGGUUUUCAAUUUGCAAUGUGGAAGAGCAUUUAAGAGUUUCGAUAUUGAAUGUGAAAUGAUGAAAAGUAUUCGCCAUCGAAACCUUAUCAAAGUUAUUAGCAGUUGUUCAAAUGAAGAGUUUAAAGCGUUGGUAUUAGAAUACAUGCCUCAUGGAAGUUUGGAGAAGUAUUUGUAUUCAAGUAACUGCAUUUUGGAUAUUUUUCAAAGAUUGAACAUAAUGAUAGAUGUUGCAUCAGCUUUGGAAUAUCUGCACUUUGGUCAUUCAGCUCCAAUAAUUCACUGUGACUUAAAGCCCAGCAAUGUAUUGUUAGACGAUAAUAUGGUUGCUCAUUUGAGUGAUUUUAGCAUCGCAAAAUUGCUAACAGGAGAAGAUCAAUCUAUGACUCAUACACAAACACUUGCAACAAUAGGCUAUAUGGCACCAGGUUUGUUUAAUAUAAGUUAUUUAUAUUUCAUGAUCUUGAUUAGAUGAGGAAAUUAUUAUUAAUGAUAUAUCUUACUAUGUAAUUGUUGCAAUUCAUAGAGUAUGGAAGAGAAGGACGAGUAUCCGCAAAUGGAGAUGUUUAUAGCUUUGGGAUUAUGUUAAUGGAAACAUUUACUGGGAAGAAACCCACAGAUGAAAUGUUUAAUGGAGAAAUGACAUUAAAGCAUUGGGUUAAUGAUUGGCUACCCAUUUCCACUAUGGAAGUUGUUGAUGCUAAUUUGCUAAGUCAGGAGGACAUACAUUUUGUUGCAAAAGAGCAAUGUGUGUCAUUUGUCUUCAAUUUAGCUAUGAAGUGCACUGUGGAAUCCCCUGAGCAAAGAAUCAAUGCAAAAGAAAUUGUAGCAAAACUCUUAAAAAUUAGAGACUCAUUACUUAGAAAUGUUGGAGGCAGAUGUAUAAGACAAUCAAAUUUAAAUUGAUUCUGCCCCUCCUUCAUUGCUUGCUAUCCUUUUCAGAGACUUGAACAGUUAUCCUCCAUAGAAGUUUUGCUGAUAUGUUUUGUUAUUGCUCUUGCUCAUGUUUAUUUCUCUCUUUCUUUAAUUUGCAUGCGUGCAUUUUAGUUCUCUUCCAUGUUUGUGUUGGUUUAUAUGUAGUUUGUUUUUUGGGAUAUGGUUUAUUAUGUCCUCACCCUAAUUAGAUGUAUCCUUUUGAUUUUUAUCAAUAAAGCUUCGCUAGUACUAUCGAGGUUAAUCGAAAGAAAAUUUUCAAUUGAUUUUCUUUUCUUUGACUAAUAAUGGAAAUUCUAAUCUUUAUAGUGAAUAACUUCAAUAAUAGAGUGUAAGAGUAUUAGUAGUUGUGGUUGUUUUCUGAACUUGGAGUUAGAGUAGUUUAACAGCAACAAAUAGGUCUCUUGUAUUAUAGGCAAAAUUCUUUUCAUUAAUCUUAUUUGUCUACAUUUUCUCCUAUUUUCUUCUUUAAUCUUCGCUCAAGGUUUCAUGCUUCCAUUUUGACAUGUGAGAUUGUUUGUCAUCCAUUUGCUAAAAUGGAUAUGAGAGGAGCUUUCAAUCAUUACCUCCACCAAAAUCCUUACAAUGCAACUUUUAAAUUUAUUUUUUAAAAUACGUUCAGUUUAAUUUAUAAAAAAUAAAUCCAUUUGUUAAAAUUAAUCUUUUUCUCAUAGAUUUCAACCUAAAAAAUAUAUUUCUUUUAAGUUUUUAUUUUAAAAUACAUACAAGUUCUAAACUAUUAAAUUAUUUUUUUCUUAUUAUAUAGUUUAUAUUUCCAUAACUCUAAACUCCUAUAAUUUUUAAAAAAUAUAUUUUUAAUUUAAAAUAUGAAUAUAAAAUAUAGAAUGGAGUGGGUAUACAAAGUUUUGUUAAAAGAAUAAUUCAUUUAAGUAUUUAGCUGAAUUUUAAUUUAAAAUAAGAAAUAAAUUAAUUUAUUUUUUAUUAGUUAAGUAAUUUUUAAUUGAAAAGAGCUUAUAUUAUGGACAUAUGAUUAAAAUUAUCAUGAAUUAAACAUUUUCAUAUAAAUACUAGUGAUAAUUACAGAGAAAGUACGAUGAACCGAGGAAAACUUGAAUAGAAAUACUCCAAUGUAAUUUUACACAUGCAAAUUAUGAACCAGUGAUCUUUAGAGCAUCAUAAAAUUAUUUUAACACAAUUAGUUAGUUUGAAAAAUUGCCAAUAAUGUUUAAAGUGGGAUUGAAAAGAUUAUACUAAAAAUAUAAGACAUGAUAUCAUUUAAGAGCUUACAGAUUAUGAGAAAUAUAUUGAUCUUACAAAUAAUAUAAAAUAUGUCAAUUAGACUGAGUCUAUGCAAUAAAAGUUUCAAAUUAAAAAAUAAACCUUUAUUUUCUUUUAAUCAUUAAUGUGAUCUUAAUUAUUAAAGUCAUUCAAUGUCCAUUACUUAUUUAUUUUUUUAAUUAUUUAAAUGACAUUGAAAACUCUACUCAAUAUUAAUUCAUUCUAGUGUUUUGUUUUAAAGUAAUCGGAAACUACAAAUGAAACAAAUGCUUGAAAUCACAAAUGGCCUAAAAUUAGAUUUUUAUUUCUUAAUGUUGUAGUGACUUUGAUCUUGAUAUUGAAAAUUUAUUUGUAACUUAUAUAAAGGCCUCGAUUUUAUCAUAAUUGAUUAGUAAGGCUAUGUACGGGAGCAUGGAUAAAUUUUGAGAUUGGAUUAUAUUUUUGGAACUAAAAAAUUAAUUUCAUCCAAUGUUAUGUAUAGCUGUUGGGACUAGCAAAUUAGUCUAAAAUUAUUGAAAUUAUUAGUCUUUUAAAUUAUAAUUUUUUCGUUCCCACUUUAAAAACAAAAAAUAUUUUGGUGGAAAACUGUACAAUGAUUAAAAACAAAAAAUUAUCAUUUUCCAAUGUUUACAAAGAAAACAAGAGACAUUUUAUUUCACUUUUACGCUCGGGCCUCACUAUCUUAACUUUUGUAACAUAGUGUAAUAAAUUACGUGGGCCCAUUUAAUAAAGAAAUAAUCUAAUAAAUAAACUAAUAUAACAAAAUUUAAAAAUAAUAGCAAGAGUUUAUUCCAUACCUUGGAGCUUAACUACUUAAUAGAUUACCCAAAUAGUUUUAAAUAAAAAGUAAUAUCAUAUAAUUAUUAUACUAAAUUAUUACAUUGUUCGACCAAUAUGCAGUUAUUUAAAAAUUAUUACAAAUUUUCAUAUAUUAAUGAAAAUAUUUCAAUAAUAAAGUUACUUCUUGACAGCUAAUAUAAAUAAAUAUAUGAUAAUUAUGAAAUAAUUUAAAAUUUUCUCAAUUAAUAUUAUCUUAUAACUACAAUUUAUUUACAUAAUUAAAAGUUUUUAAGAAAUCAUAAAAUAUCAUCGUACCUAUAUGCAUUUAUAAUAAUAUAUAAUACAUCAUAAUAUAAUAGCUAAAUAGAUAAAUUAUUAAUGAUAUAAAAUAUAUAUUUAUAUUCACUGUAUUAUAUUAUUCUUUCAUAAUUGUUUCAUUAAAUAAUUCCCUAUUCUCUCUCUCUUUUUGUCUUCAUUUUUUCAGAUAAGCAACCAAAAAUCAUUUCACCUUUUUUAUUUUAUUUUCAAGUACUGUUUUUAAAAUAAGGUACCAAACAUGUUUUUAUUUUUAAUAAAAACUAAUCAUUCUUAUUUCAUAAAAUAAAUUCAAAAACACCAUUUAAAAAAUAAUACCAAAUGCACCCUUAGAAACUAUGAGAAAUAUACUGAUUUUGCAAAUAAUAUUUAAUACGUCGAUUAGACUGAAUCUUUGGAAUAAAAAUUUCAAAUUAAAUAAUAAACCCUUAGUUUCCUUUUAAUCGUAAUUAUAAUCUUAAUUAUUAAAGACAUUUUAUUUUGUGCUUGUCUUUUUUUAUUCACUUUUUUUUAAUGAAAAAUAUUGCUCUGCAUGCAAGUCUUUGGUCGCGGGCCUAGGCGUCCCAAACAUCCAGCUGACAGCGACGUUUCCACUUUGAUUAUCCGCACUUCCCAGAAGUCGCAAGGAAAGACUUAUUCGAGUAGUUUGAUUGGUUUGAAGAUUCAUGAGACUGCUUUUCACUAGAAUUCCACGGCCUCAUUCAUUUUUUUUUUUAAUAAUCUAAAUGACAUCGAACACUCUACUCAAUAUAAAUUUAUUCGAAUGUUCUGUUUCAACCUAAUCGGAAAUUACAAAUGAAACAAAUGCUUGCCAUCACAAACGGCCUAAAUGGGAUUUUUGUUUUUAAAUGUUGCAAUGACUUUGAUCCUGAUGUUGAAAAUUUAUAAUGGCUUCAAUUUUAUCAUAAUUGGUUUAUAAUGCUCUGUUAGGAAGCAUGGAUAAACUGUUGGAUUAGAUUAGAUUUUAGGACUAAAAAUUAAUUUCAUCCAAUGUCAUAUUUAGCUGUCGUGACUAAUAAAUUAGUCCAAAAUUAAGAUAAGAUUUAUAAUAUUAAAUGAAAUAUUUUUGUUCUCUUUAUCACUCUUUUCUUUUUCAUUUAAAUUAAAUAUAAACAAUAAUUUCAUAAUUUUUUAUGUAGAAUUUUAUAUUAUACUAAAUAUCGAAAUUCUAUUCAAUAAUUUAUUUUAAGUUGUAUUUACUUAAGAUUAGUUAUCUAAGUUUAAUACAAUAAUUUAUUUGAAUAGUAUUGAAUAUUAAACAUUAAAAAUUAUUCAAUUAUUUGUUUAAAAUAAAAUUGAAUAUUAAAUAUUGAAAUAAUUAUUUAAUAGCAUAUUAUAUUAUUUAUAUAAUUAUUUAAUAGUCCAAUCUAAUGUUGUACAAAACAUGCACAAUACUAUAUAUAAUCCAAACUAAUCCAAUUCAAUCUUAAUUAAUAAUUCAAUCCAAUCUUGUGAGUCAAAAUUGGCCUAAGGUUACCAAUUGUGCAAUAAUCUUUAUAGCCCGUUUCCCAGCCACACACCCUUUUGUAUUAGUAUUCUCACAGCCAUUGGAAAUAUGGCUCGUAAUCUAACAAAUGACAUUAUACGGCUGUUACUUGCUAGUUUUUAUAAGGUGGCCAAGGCCUUUUAUCAAACACUAUAGGAUCAACUAGUACAAAAUGAAUUCAUUUGGGAUGCAUUUAACGUACUGUGUUAGCUAUAUCGUAUUAUAAUGUAUUGCAUUAACAUGCAUUAUAUUAAGUUAUAAUGUUAUACUUUGAUAUAGUAUAAAUUGUAUUAUAUAAGGUAAUGUUUUAUAUUAAUGUUAAAACUAAAUUAAUAUUAUUUAAAUUUAUUAAUAUUUUAGGAUUUUUAUUAAUUUUUUAAAUUAAGUAUUAAAAAUUAUUUUAUAGUAUAUAAAUGAGUUAAUAAUAUACUAUUAUUAAAUGAUAAAAUAUUAAAGUACUAUGUUAUAUUAUUAAAAAUUAUUAUAUUAUAAUAUAAUUUAUUUCUAGAUAUUAAUUAUUAUAAUAUAGUAUAAUCAUAUAAUAAUAUAAUAUAAGUUAAUAUUAUAUUGUAAAAAUAUAAUAUUGUACAAUUAUUUAAUGUAAUAUAAAUUAAUUUAUACUAUAAUAUUAAAUUAUAAAUUUAUUUUUAUUAAUUAAAUAAAAUUAAAAUACUUUUAUGUAUUUAAACUAAAUAAUUAAAAUAAUUUAUGUAAUAGAAGUAUGAUAAUGUAUUAUCAUUUUCUCAUUAAAUAUUUUAGGUUUAUUAAUUUGUUAAAUUAUUAUUUAAAUUAAAAUUAAUUGUUUAAAUGUAAAUAUAAAUAUAAAUGAAUGUUUAAUAAAAUCUACUCCUAUGGAUCUAUUUUAUACACUUUUUAUUCUAUAAAUCACGCUUAUAAUGUAGUUGUAUAAUAGAAACUGGAUAUUUAAUGGAAGCAAAAUCGCGCACGGUUUGUGGGUUAAAAGGGUCAGGAUUCUCUCCUGAUCUGAUCUUCAUUUGAGCAAAUUCUGUUAAUAUGAUUAGUGGUUAAUAAGUUAAAAAGAAAAAGUAGUUAAAUCAUAAUCAUCCAAUUUGAUACACUGAUUUUGUCCUCUUUAAUAUUUUUCUAGAUGCUUCCAUGUCAUAAUCUCAUUGGUCCAGUUUUCUUCACUGCUUAGAUUCAACUUCAAAAAUCAAUUUGAAGCAAACACAACAAUUCAACAAAUAUAAUAAGCGUCGAUAAGCUUGUGGCUGACUGGCUGUGGCCAAGCAAAACGUACCUCAUGGUUACCGAAUCAUAUCUUACGUCAGAAUUUUUAACUUAAACUAUGUUACCGUUCCACGUGUCACUCUCCAAAAAAUCCCCAAACUUUUAUCGUAUUUCCAAAGAAACCCCUAACAAAUCAAGGUAAUUACCGUCACUCUGCUCAUAUAAAUAGUCUCCUUGAUUCAACUGAUGUAGGGAUGGCAAUGGGGUGGGUUGGGGUGGGGGUGCGGAAUGGGGUACAUUAAAAUUUUUUGUCUCCAUUCCCCACCUAUUCCCUAAUAAAUUUAGUGGGUUGGGGAUGGGGAAUCCCCACAUGGGGAAUGGUUUCCCCAUCCUCACCCCAUUCCCCAUUUACCUAUUUUAUAGUAAAUAUAAAUAUAUUAUUUCAGUAAAUUAAAAAUUAGAAACUUAAAAUAAAAUCAUCACCAUAUUAUGAAGUAUUUAUUUUUUUUUUAAAAAAUCUCUAAAAGUUUGAAACAAUAUCUUAAAAUGAUAUUAAAAGUGAAAAAUAUUUAAAGACAGCAACACCUUAAAAGAGAAAAGAAAACAUAAUAAUGUUUUAGAAUUGAAAAAUAUUGUAGGAUUUUCUUUUAUUCAUAUCUUGUUUAUAUUACAUAAAAAUUUAAAAAAAUUAUUAAUUGACAUUAUAGUUGAUAAAAUAAAAAUUACUAAAUAAGAAUUAAAAAUAUAUUUAUAUAUAAUGGGGAUUGGGGUAGGGGUGGGGUGGGGAGUGCAAUACCAAACCCCACUCCGUUAAUAAUUUGAGAAUUAUUUUUCCCCCACUCCCCACCCCAUUCCCCAAAAAUUAUUAAAAAAAUUUUCUAUUUGGGGUGGGGCUUCAUGGGGUCUCAAACCCGUGGAGGAUUUUGCCAUCCCUAAACUGAUGACAUAUCCUCAUAUAAAUAAAGACUAUGACGACAUUUAUUUAGAAGGGAAAAUUAUAAAAAAAAUCUCCUCUUUCUCUGAAAAUAUAGGGUUUCUCAAGAAUAGCUAAACCUACAUCCCUAUCCUGCAAAAUCUCAAUUUAACCUCUCUAGGGUUUCGAUUGAAGAGCAUACGCUUCAAAAUUUAUUAUUCUUUUAGUGGAUUUUGGUUGUCGCGUAUCCUUCAGUUGUUAGUUCGGUUCGGAUAAUAAUUUGGAAUUCAGUUUGAAGGGUUAAGUGCAAUUUCUAAUUUUUUAUACAAUUUAAAUUGAAAUUGAUAGAACAAUUGGGCGGUUAAUAAUUAAUUGAUGGCUAGUGAUACUACAACGGCGCCCGCGCCCGCAGCUCCGGAAAAAGCGGAGGCGGUGGAGGAGUAUGAUAGCAAUCCAGAUGAAGUGAAACGCUGUCUUGGGACACGCAGAAGGGAAGCCAGCGAUGACGAGGACGUGGAGGAGGAGAGAGAUUGGGACACGCAGAAGGGAAGCCAGCGAUGACGAGGACGUGCAAUACCAAACCCCACUCCGUUAAUAAUUUGAGAAUUAUUUUUCCCCCACUCCCCACCCCAUUCCCCAAAAAUUAUUAAAAAAAUUUUCUAUUUGGGGUGGGGCUUCAUGGGGUCUCAAACCCGUGGAGGAUUUUGCCAUCCCUAAACUGAUGACAUAUCCUCAUAUAAAUAAAGACUAUGACGACAUUUAUUUAGAAGGGAAAAUUAUAAAAAAAAUCUCCUCUUUCUCUGAAAAUAUAGGGUUUCUCAAGAAUAGCUAAACCUACAUCCCUAUCCUGCAAAAUCUCAAUUUAACCUCUCUAGGGUUUCGAUUGAAGAGCAUUUGCUUCAAAAUUUAUUAUUCUUUUAGUGGAUUUUGGUUGUCGCGUAUCCUUCAGUUGUUAGUUCGGUUCGGAUAAUAAUUUGGAAUUCAGUUUGAAGGGUUAAGUGCAAUUUCUAAUUUUUUAUACAAUUUAAAUUGAAAUUGAUAGAACAAUUGGGCGGUUAAUAAUUAAUUGAUGGCUAGUGAUACUACAACGGCGCCCGCGCCCGCAGCUCCGGAAAAAGCGGAGGCGGUGGAGGAGUAUGAUAGCAAUCCAGAUGAAGUGAAACGCUGUCUUGGGACACGCAGAAGGGAAGCCAGCGAUGACGAGGACGUGGAGGAGGAGAGAGAUUGAGGGCUUCCAAUGGCGAAGUGUCCACAUUCCUGCGGGAGAAGCGGAGGCUGUGGAUGAGUACGAGAGCGAUCCAGAUGAAGUGAAAUACUCUCUUGUGAUGGGCAGAAUGGAAGCAAGCGAUGAUAAGGAGGAGGAGGAUAAAGAAUUUGAGCGUCGAAUGAACCGUAGGGUCCACAUUCAUUCUUACGAUGAAUCUGAUGGCCAAGGUGGUGUCCAGCUGAGUAUGGUGAGGUUGAUGAUGAAGAAGAUGACAGAGAAUUAGAAGAAGAAGAUGAAGAGGGGGAUGUGAUAUGACUUCAUAUCAUUUAAUUUGUAUAACCGUGACGCCAAUCCCAUUGAUCCUGGUCCGACCCGAACGGAUCUUGUUGAAUGAAUUGAUCCAUUGUUGUAUGCCUUACUUCUUAGUGAUUUUUUUCCUACUUGGAGCCGCCUUUGAGUACUCCUGGGAGAUAAAGUGGAAACGUUUUUUUAUGGUGAAGAGUGGGGAGUGAAAAGACCAAUUCAGCAGAGAACGACCGCAUGAAUCGGAAUCCAAGAAAGGCUCCACGUUCUCCAAGUGAUUGAUCUUAGCGUAGCGUGCUAGCCGCUGCUUCAUUUCGUAUAGUGAUAACGCUUUCUUAGCGCUCCGCCGCCCCCCCCCCCCCGGCGGCCGCGCCCGGGGUAUAGUAGGGGACUGGUUGCGCGGCUUUCUCUUAUAGGGGUCUAUUUUCCCUUACUUUACUCAACUUGAGUCGGUUAGAGUAUCGCUUUCAUACGGCAAGAGUUAUUGAUUCAAAUCCAAUAGUAGGUAAUAAUGCUGUCAAUGUCGGUUAGAGUAUCCAAGAGUUAUUGAUUCAAACGCAGUUGUCAACCACAUUCGAAUAACCCUUCUGCUACCUUCUAAAAACCCUUGCAUGGGCAUUAAUGCUGGCAUAAUCUCUUUGACUUCCCUUGCAUUUGAAUGAAUGGAUGAGCGUUGCAUUUGAAUGAAUGGAUCAGUGUCAAUGCAGGCUAAGAUUUUCUGGACUUUCAUGGAUGCACAAUAAAUGCUACGUCAAAGGCCUGGUAAGAUGUCAGCAAGCUGGUCGAAGAUAUCAACCUGAUUUGGUGGCUGCAAGAUUUGUUCAUCCAGGACCAUUUUCUUUGACAAUGAGAAAGCCCCAAUGUCUAUAAAUUGAGAACUCACUGAAUUGUAGAGAGAGGGGAAAGUGAAUAACGGGAGAGCCAGUGAAAAGAGAGUGUGGGAAUAUUUGUGCGUAAUUGGGGUUUGGGUGUGAGAUAAAAUAAUCAGAGAGUGGUUGUAAUAAUUUUUUAUAUAGUGAAAAUUUUUGUCUCCUUGUUUUUUGCAGUGGUGGUAAAUUUUGUCUCUAAUAAAGGAGUCUUCCAAGUAAAUUUUGUGUGUUAUGAUUGGGAUAUUCACCAUUUUAGUUUUUUAUUUAUUAUUUGUUUUACAUAUUGCUAGCAAAAAUCUGGGGCGGGAACCGAAAAUUCCCAACAAUUAUUAAUUAUUUUAAACUCUGUUCUGAACAGAGCAUGAAGGGUUUCACUUACCUAGUUACGUUUUUCAUUCUUUCACUUCACUUGAUUUCAUCUUGUCCCUCUCCUUUAUAGAAGUUGCAGAGCUUGGAUCUUUACUCGAACAGUUUCACUGGCUCUAUUUCUGACACAUUGGGCAAGCUGAAGGAAUUGCAAUUCCUGUAUGAUAAUUUCCCCAACUAUUAUUUGAAUAAUUAUUUAAUGCCGUUCAUUCCAGCACUGUUUGGCUGUCAACUUUAUUUUGUUAUUUAUGAGGAGAUUCAUUUCCCACCUGAAGCUAGAAAUUUACGGAUCAAUGACUUUUUUUUUUUCGGGGGCCAAUUGCAGUUUUGAUAACAACUAAAAUCUGUGUGGUCCGGUUACCACAAAGCCUUGCCCCAGAUCCCUGCCAUUUUCUCCUCCACCUCCAUUUGGGGAAAUUACUACUUACUUUUUGCAAGUUUUUCUUGAAAUAUUUAUUUUGAUAAGAAAACCAAUAAUACAUUUUAAGAUUUGGGCUGUUUCAAAGAUUUCGCUUGAUGUCUCUGCUACUGGUUUUCAGCAGAGUGCCCAAAAAUAGUUUUCAGCAGUACAAAAAGUAUAUAUUUUGUACCUUCCAUACAUUUUGCUUUGUUAAUGUUAUUAUUUGAUAACAUGUUUGUCGAGUUGCACAGUGUAUAAAUGCUAUACAAAUACACUCCUUUCAUUUUAUACAACUUUGAUCGAUCAAGUUGUAUCUCUUUGAUAAUAUGUUCAAUCUCCUUUCAUUUUAAACUUCAAUUGAGUUGCUAUCUAUUUAACAUUGGCAAGUCAGAGAGAGGGAUGGGACUGUCCAAUUAAAAUUAAGUUCCAAGUGCCAAUCCCACCAUUGUCGUCUCUUGUUUGCCAAAUUCAAAUUUGAAAAUCUCACCAAGUCAGUAUGGUGAUGUUGUGGGAUUGUCUCGCCUAGGUUUUUAGCCUCAUGACCUCCUUUAUUAGAAAAUGUCUUAAGUGUUCUUACUCAAUGGUAGAAUCAUAAUUUUACUUCAAUGGAAGCCAUAAUGAUUAAAAUAUACUCUUUUGAUUAAUUACUUAUUUGAUGUUGCUCUCUCUACCUUCAUCUCCUUCUUUAUGAAAAAUUUAUUGUAAUACAUGGAAGUAUAUAUUGCAUUGAAUAAAAUGAAAUUGUUCAAAAAUUAACAAAUUCAGCUUUAUUAUAAUCUAAAACAAAGUAAAUAAAAUAAUACCCAUCAUGUAAAAAUUAAAAAAAUAAAAAAUUUUGUACCACUUUGAAUCUAUUUUAAUUUUUUUGGUCAAAUCUCAGAAGCACAAAAUUUGACCAACAAUAAUAGGUAAAAACUAAUAAUCUUAUAAUAAAAAGUAAUAUUUAAAAAUUGAAAAUUAAAUUAUGCUAGUAAUUCCGUAAAAUUAAAAUUUAUCUCCCAAAAUUGAUAAAUACUAUGUCACUUUGUCAAAUUACUUAGGAUAAAAGUUAUGUGGCUAAAAACUUUUAAGAUGAGUUGUAUGCUAAUGGAGAAGGACAAGACACAAAAGAAUUCAAUGAAUGCUACAUCACGCAACAAUGCUUACUCUUAACAAAUUAUUACAAUUUACAAACGUGAUUCAUGAAACUUGACUUUUUUGUCUAAAGAAAGGACUAAAGAAACAUGCCAAGCAACAAAUAAAAAGUUGAUAGGCACUAUUUAAAUAGUAUUAAUAUGGCAACAAAAAACAUGCGAGCAAAGUAGCCUAUUCCUUUAUUCUAUAAAUAGCUCAUUUGAGCUUAGAACCUUUAAAGUGUGUCGUACGUUUCUGUUACUUCCAAUAAAGAUUUUCUCUAUUCCCUUUUCUUCCACUUUCUCUUCCAUUUUCACGAUCCCCAAACACCAUCAAUCCAUGAUUUUCUAGAGUAUUAGCUGUCUAUUUCUACAAACAUAGAAUUGCUGUUUUAAGAAACAAAGUAGUCUGUCCUGUCACCCAUGAUUGCCUCUUUCUUUUCUCCACAAAUCUUUGGUUAAUUUUUAUUUUCCCUCAACUUUUUUCCCCUUUAGCACCAAAAUUGAUUUUUGAUACUUUAUGCAAAAAUUAUGAUGAAAAUGAGUCACUUUAGAACAUCAAUAAAUUUUUUUUUACAUCCAAAAUAACGACAAUUACACUUAGAUCACUCUUAUUUAGUUGAAUUAUAUAUGUAAUAAUGUUGGCUUAACAAAAUAUAAUUCUUGAUCGUUGUAAUUACGAGCUGGUAUUCUUUGGUUUUAGUAGUAGGGCUUAUAACGCUGUGCAACAAUUCUUGGUGGCUUCGAAUUAUUAUACGAUCAUUCUCAAUUCUUUACGGUACGUAAUUAAAAAUUCCUAUAUCACAAUUAGAACUUACAAACAAGUCAAAGUGAAUUAAAUCAAACGUAUAAAUUCGAGGUCUAUUACAAACUUCUAAAAAAAAUUUUCUCUGCUCUUUUUUCUUUCACUUUCUCUUCCAUUUUGCCAAUCCCCAAACACCGCCAAUCCUUGAUUUUUUAAGUAUUAGCUGUCAAUUUCUACAAACAUAGAACUGCUGUUUGUUUGUCUAAUUACUUUCAAGAAACAAAACUCUCUGUCAUGUGGUCUCUUCGUUUAUUGGCUUGUGAGCAAAUAAGAUAUUGGGCCGAUGGGCUUAACGUGACAAGUUCUUGAAUUGAAUGGCUCCUCUUUUUUUCAUAAAUCUUUGCUUAACUUUUUUGUUUCCUCAACCUUUUUUGGCCUUUCGCGCUAAAAUUCUUUUUUUGAUACAUUAUGCAAAAAUUAUGAUGAAAAUGAGUUACUUUAGAACAUCAAUAAAUUUUUAUUACAUCUAUAAUAAGACAACUGUAGUGAGAUUUCUCUUAUUUAGUUGAAUUAUAUGUAAUAAAAUUAGUUUAACGAAAUCUAACCCGUCAAUAUUCCAUAUGACAUAAUUAACGUAUUUAAAAAAUCUUAGCUGUUCCGUCGCUUGUUUUACAAUUCUUUUAUAUAUCUUUGAGACUUUCUGCUUCCUGACACAUCAUAUUGUUCUCAAUUCGUCUAAAUUAAUUUUUUCUUCAAACACUGCAGCAACAACCGGUAUAAAAUAGAAUGAACUCAUUUAAUGGGAAUUUUUCUCAUUGGUCUAUUUCUCUUCGCACCUUAGGUUCCUCUAACAAACUUAAAAGAUGUUCCCCAUCCCACGUGUCCCCAAAUCUUCGUAUUUCCAAACAAACCCCUGCCAAAUAGAGAAGAGGAUGGCUUUUAUUGCAACCUGUAUGAACGUUAUGGCCAUAGGACAUUGGAUCAAAAUCAAACCAAUGGAUUGUAAAGCAAAAUUACCAAUUAAAAAUUCAACCAAUUGAAUCGGUUUGGUGUCACUUAAAAAAUAAAUAAUAUAUAAAACAACACAAUUAAAUUCAUUCAGUCAGUAUUUUUCUUUUCUCAUUUUCAAUGAAUGCUUAAUAUGGAAAACAAUCUGUCCCAUUGAGCACUGUUUAAAUCAUUCCCUAGUUUGUUCAACAAGCAAAGAAUAUUCUUAUUCGGCUCGGCAGCCAAUCCGUUAAAAUUUGUAAAAAUUCAUUUAAGUGAUGACUGUGAUAUGACUCGAUCAAUCGUUUAAUUUAUAUAAUUUAUAAAAAUUUGAGCUUCAAGUAAUGUAGAUAGAAUGGUUAAUUAUUUUAAUAUUCAGAUAAAUUGAUAUAUGUCAUUAUAUUAUGAGUGGAUGAAAUAUCCAAUAGAAAAAAAAAAAAAUGUUUGUAUUCGUCAUUUUUAAUGGGAAUCUAUUUAGUUUAACUUAUCCAUAAAAAUGGUUGCCAGACUUAUCUUGUUUCUCAUUUUGUUUAAUUUUCAUAAAUUUGACUCACGAUUAAUUGUGAGUGAAGAAUUUUUUGAAAAAAAUCUGGUCUUCCAUUUAUUUUGUAGGAUUUAAAAGAUUAAAAAACUUUAAUACAUAUAAUUUUAUGCUCGAAACUAAAUACUCGUAGCAUUGCUGCUUCUAUAAAUAACUCAUUUGUGCUUCCAACUUGUUAUUUGUAUUUUACGUUUUUGUUUCUCUUCAUAAAGAUUUUCUUUUUUUUCUUUUUUCCUUUCACUUUUUCUUCCAUUUUCCCGACUCCCAAACACCACUAAUCCUUGAUUUUCUAGAGUAUUAACUGUCCGUUUCUACGAACAUAGACCUACUGUUUGUCUAAAUACUAUCAAGAAACAAUAUACUCUGUCGCGGGAUCUCUUCGUUUAUUGACUUUUGACUUGUGAACGGGGCUAAUUAAAGGGCAUUCCUUUCUUCAAGAAAGAAUGCAAAGAAAGUACUAUCCAUGAGACACGUUAAAAAUUAUUUUACAUAAAAAAUGAUAAUAAUCAUAAUAAUCGGUUUAGUGUAACCCCGUUAUUACUUAGUGACUGUUCGAUUGUCUUCUCUUUCAUUGACUUCGCAACUGUGACUUCUAAAUUGGGUCAAGGAUCGACAAAAAAUGUUAUAACCUAUAAAGCAUGGAUAAUUAAUUAAUGGGAAUGCACCUCUCAUCUUUACCAUUCUCUUUGUCAUUUUCAUAAUUCAGCUGUUUAUUAAUAAAGUGAAUAAAUUUAUCUUUUAAUAAUAUGUUUCUUGGCUGUUUUUUGUGUAUUUUUGCGUACAAUUUUGUGUGCAAAUAGCAUUAUUCAUUAGUAAUAAGUCUGGAGUGUUCUAAUUUCUUCUAACAAGUAGCUCAUUUUAGCUUAGGACAUGUAACUAGUAUUUUAUGUUUCUGUUAAUCUUUAAUAAAGAUUUUCUCUAUUUUUUUUUUUCCUUUCACUUUCUCUUCCAUUUUCCCCGACUCCCAAACACCACCAAUCCUUGAUUUUCCAGAGCAUUAGCUCUCUAUUUCGACAAAGGCAUAAUUAGUCACGGUCCGAUUGUCUGACUUCUCCGUUGACUCGGUCAAUUCACGACCUUGACCUGCACAGUUGAUACAAACGGACUUCUCCAUUUGAUGUGCACAAAACUUUCUUGGGUCAUUUUGUUUGGUGAUGAUGAAUUGGAUGUCAGUUCAUGAGUUUCAUGAUGAAGGGGACCAAAAACAUUAUUUUAUUAUUUAAAGAAGACUAACAAUUAUUUCGAUGGUCAUUUUAUUAUUAUUUUUUAAAUAUCCAAAUGGUGAAAUUUUAAAGAAUUAAGGUGGUUGACUUCUUUACACAGAAUUACAAAGCAAAACAAUUAAGAAAUUAAAUACUCGUCAUCCAAGUGAGAAGAGAUUGGGUUGUUGAUACAUUAAAUAAAAGAAAAAUCAAUUAAAAGCACAACAAUUCAAUAAUUUCAUUCUCAAUCAUAUCAAAAAUAAAAUUUACUGUACAUUGUUGUUCGGUUCUGUAAAAAAAAAAAAAUUAUUAGGGAUUUGCAGUUUUUUUUAGUGUAAUUCUCGUUAAUUAAAGUUUAGUCUGAAGGGUUAAGCACAUGGAUCAUAAUCAUAUUAUGGCCUAAGGAAGGAGCACAGUUCAUUGGCUGCACUCAGUUUACAGAAUAUUUUGGGAUUCAAGACUGUAGGUUGUUCCGGAUGUAACUUGCAAAGGCUGUUGCUGUGUAACUGUAUGCACUGCUGGCAAGUGUGCUAUACACAUAUUGUUGAGAUAGCACCAAAGAUUGUAAACUAAUUAGAACCGGAAAAUCCUAUUUGCACAAAAAAUUGCACAAAAUAAAUAGAAUGAGAAUACUUAUGCAAAAAAAAAUAAGAUUAAUAAAGUGAAUAAAUUUAUCUUUUAAUAAAAUAUUUCUAGUCUUUUAGUGUUUUCGUGUAUUUUUGUGUACGUGCAAAUAACAUUACUCAUGAGUAAUUAUGUUUUAUGUUUCUAUUACUUUCUAAUAAAGAUUUUCUCUGUUUUUGUUUUUUUUUUUCCCCUUUUACCUUCUCUUCCAUUUUUCCAACUCCCAAACACUACUAAUCCUUGUUUUUGGUUUUUUUUUCCAACUCCCAAACACUGCUUUCAUGAAACAACGUACUCUGCGGUUAAAAUUAAUUGAUCAUUUUAUUUGCUGAUAAUGAAUUGGUUGUCAAGUCAUGAGUUUGAUGAUGCACAGGACGAAAAACGUUAUUUUAUUAUUUAAAAUAAUACUAACAAUUAUGUUGAUGGUCAUUUUAUUUUUUAAAAUAUGCAAAUGGAAUCUUACCGAACUAUAGUGCUUGACUUCUUCAUACAGUGAUUGACUUCUUUGUACAGAAUUAUAAAGUGAAAGAAAUUACGAAAUUAAAUACUUUUCGUGCGAGUGGGGGAGAAAUUCUGUAAAUUUAUGAAAUAACUAUUGAUUUCACUUUGGUAAUUACUUUUUAAAAGUAACGUAAACAUUUUUAUUUUAUUUGCAUUCGAGCUUUCUUUCUUUUUCGCUGGCCUUUACACUUGACCGUAUUUCAUGGGGCAUAUUCAAUCUGAAUCCUCUGCAAGUUUGUGGCAGUUUGGUUAGUUACGAACUUUUGUAGAAUUGCAUGAAGAUGACGCUUUUAUAGACAUUUUUUCUUUUUUCAUUUUUUCUUCAGUGAACAUAUUAAAAAUUUAGUUUUUUGUCAUCGUGACUAGAACAGUAAAAUGAAAAUAGUCCUCAUUUCGACGAUUGACAAAAAUGUUGUACUCAUACCGAUUAAUGGGCCACUGAUUUCGUCUUCUUAAAAAAUUAUUAUUGCAGUGAGGCAAUUGAAUCGAAGAUGGACGAUUUCCAUAUUUGCCUAACCUACGUGAUAAGAAUUUUCAUAUGAGACAUAAUCUGAUUUAUUUUGCUUGACUGUAUGCCAAGAGACAGUCAUAUCUACUAAAUGAAACAAAUCUUGCUUUUCUAGAGAAAUAAUGCAAUAUGCAAUUAUGCAUGAAGGUACGCAUCCAUGUGAGAAAGUUGACGAAAGCUUCUUUUUCAGUAUUGGAAGUGCAAUCCACUGCGGAACAUUGGAUAAAACCAAUGGAAUGUAAAGCAAAAUUACCGAUUAAACUAAAUUGAAAAUCCAACUACUUGAAUCAGUUCAGUGUCACUCAAAUAUAUAUAUAUAUAUAUAACAACACAAUUAUCAUAUUAAUGAGGCACUGUUAAAUUCGAAUAUUUUUCUUUUUCAUUUUUAAUGAAUGUUUAAUAUGACAAACAAUCUGUUCCAUUGAGCACUGUUUAAGUCAUUCAAUGAAGAUGAAUACUUCUAUAACAAAACAAUUAUUCCCUUGAUUAUCUGACACACAAAGAACUUUCUUGCUCAGCUCGGCGGCCAAUCCUUUAAAGUUUGUUAAAAUUCAGUCAAUUGAUGAACGAGACAUAACCCGAUAAAUCGUUUAAUUUGUGUAAUUGAUAAAAAAAUUGAACUUCAAAUAAUAUAGAUAGAAUGAUUAAUUUUUUUCAAUAUUUAGAUAAUUGAUAUAUGUCAUGUUAUUAUGAGUGAAAGAAUGAAGUGUCUAUAGAAAACACAAUGUUUAUGUUUGUAUAAAAAAUUUUAAGUGCGAAUCUAUUUAGUGUAUAGGAUAUAAAUAAAAAUAGUUACCAACUUGUCUUGUUUCUCAUUUUGUUUAAUUUUCAUAAUUUGACUAAGGAUUAAUUAUGAGUCAAGGGUUUAUUGGAAAAAUAUGAUCUUUCAUUUACUAUUAAAGAUUAGCGUGAUUUAAUUAUUUAAUGGUCGUUCAAUUUUAUUGGUUACCAAAUUCUCUAGGAUCGCAUGUAGAUUAUACUUUUAUAUAUAAAAUAUAUAUAAAAACAAACACUGUACCAAUAAAGUGUUGGCUCCACUGGCAAUGGAGUCCCCUUAAGUGGCUUGACUGUGUUUGCUCCUCAGUUCGAGUCGCAGGGAAGUCGCCUUUGUUGGGAGAACCUGUGCCUCCCGGUUCGAGCGGGGACUUCUAGUCUGGGUUGUGGUACGGGCUUAAAGGUGCCUCCCACAGUUGGGGCCCUCCCCAAGAUACCUCGUGAUUAAGAUCAAAAAAAAAAAAAAAACAAACACUGUCAACAAGCAUUAAUGUCAUUUGACGCAUGAAAGACAAUUAGUCCCAUUUUUUGUCCUGUUUACUUGAACACCACUAAUUCCAACAAUUUAUCCAAAAAAAAAUAUAGUUACUCUUCUUCUUUUUUUUCCGAUCUGUUAAUGAAUGCUCCUACUCCUAUCAGUUCUAUAUCCAACUCGACCUCGGAAGCUAAUUCGCGUGGGCUUUGUUGGAAUAAUGGUAUCGAUUGGAAUUGUAAGGAAAGAGGUCUUCGUGUCGUGGACAGCUCAACCGAAGAGAGCAGAUGAAUAUCUUAUGUGAAAUUCAUUGAUGAAUGCCCUUUGCAGAAGCAGGAAAUAAGCUGCCUAAAAGUAAGCAUUAGAUGAAUGCCCGAUCGAACACCACUAAUUCCAACAAUUUAUCCAAAAAUAUCUUUGAGUUUCAAGGAAUGAAUGUAGCACGAAUGGCCAAGUUUUUCAAGUUUUUAAAUAUUUGAUAUAUGUCAUGUUCUGACUUAGUACGAGAAGAAAAUUAUAGAAUUUUUUUUAAAUUAAUGGAAUUAUUUUACGAUAAAACUAUCACAAUCACAUUUAAAAAUAUUCUUUAAAUUUUCACUAUUUCUACUGUUAUUCUUUAAACUCUUUCUGAACAGAGCAUGAAGAGUCACUUAUCUAAAUAUAUUUUUUUGUGCUUUCACUUCACUUGAUUCAUCUUAUCCCUCUUUUAUAGAACCUGCAACUCGUAUUUUACGUUUCUGUUACUUUCUCUUCCAUUUUCCCGACUCCCAAACACCAUCAAUCCUUGAUGUUACAGAGUAUAUUAAUUAAUUAAUGGGCCACUAAUUCUUCUUCUUAAAAGAAAAUUUUUGUAGGGAAAUUGGAAAAAAGGCUAAUUCAAUUUAAUUUUGAUAGGUGCGAGAGAAGGAUAGGACCGUCCAAUUAAAUUGCAAGUGGGCAUUCCCACCAUUCGUGUCACAUGCUUGUCAUAUUUAAAUUUAAAAAUCACACCAUGUCAGUAUGGUGAUGAUGUGGAAUUGUUUCACCGAAAUUUUUAUCUUCGUAACUGUUGUAGAAAAAAGCGUGCUCCCAGUGGAUGCUUCUAUUGAGUGGCAGAAUCAGUAUUUUAUUUCGAUGGUGGCCAUAAUAAUUAAACUACUGAUUAAGUUGGUUGUGACAUAAAAUCAAUGUUGUAUAAUUUUUUGGAUAUUAUCUCAAUUUUACUUCUGUAGGUUUGUUGUUUGUAUAUUAUCUCAAUUUUUAAAAAAAUGUAAUUGCAAUUAUCAAACACGACUAAUCCCAACAAUUUAUCCAAAAAUUUUUUAUGAUAGAAUGGCUAAUUUUUUUAAUCGACUUUCUGGAUAAAUGAUAAUUUUUUGAUAGAAAUGUUACUUAAGUAUUACAGGAAGAAAAUUAUAGAAUAAUUUUUUGAAUUAAUAGUAUUACUUUACGAGAACACUAUCACAAUCUAAUUUUAAAAAAAUAAAGUUAUUCGUUAAAUUUCGAAUUAUCAAGCAAAAGGCAAAAAUAGUUCAACAUCUGCUGUCCCACUGAGCAUUGUUAAAUUCAUACGAUAAAAUGAGUACUUAUAUUAAAAAAACAAUCAGUCCCAUUGCGUGCUCUUUCAUUGACAUAGGCAAGUUGCGGUCAACUUGUGGCACUUUUAUGAAUUUUCAAGAUGGGUGAAUUUUUCAAAAUUAAAAGAAAAAAAUAAAGAAAUGUAAUUUCAAUUUAUCCAAAAAUUUGAGUUUCAAGGAAUACAGCAUUUAUUAUAUGUCAUGUUAAUAUAGAGAAGAAAAUUUUAAAAACUUCUUUUUGGAUGAAUAAAAGUAUUUUCUGAUAAAUAUUUCACAAUCAUAUUUAAAAAUUUUCACUCCUCUUGGUACAUAAUUUAAGAAUUUAACAUUAUAAAUUAAUCUUUUUAAUCAAAGUAAUAAUCUCUCCUCGGUCUGCAAAUGCUAAAAUUUAAUAUUAUAUCCGUUGACGAUAUUUGCUCCAAAUUCACGAAAAUAAAAUUUGUAACAGAAUUAUGAAAUUCGUUACUAGAAAAUUGUAUAAAAGUUGUGAGAAUAGAAGGUUUGAUCAUAGGAAAUUAAUAUAACCCUAUCCGAUGCAAAAAUGAUUGUAAAGAAAAACAAAAGUCACGGGCUUAUUUAGAAAAAAGAAAAAAUUACGUUCCAUUUUCCAGUUAUUAAAGUAAUUCUAAAAUCACUAGGAUCACAAAGGAUAGGCUUUGGUUGACUGAGGUCAGCCUUAACGCUUUUCUCCUCUACAUUCUUAGAAAUUUUGGUUUCACUAUAAAUACUCGGUAUAUAACAAACUUAUAAGUGUUCUUGCAUUACCAAUCCAACUAAGCACACGCUUACAAUCUCAUGGAAAGAGUUCAUUCUCUCAGGAUGAUGAGCAGAUUUCUCUUACUCCAUUGUUUGAUUCUUAUUUCCUUAUUUAUCGCAGCUGCAACAGCCAACAGAAGUACUAUUACCACAGACCGAGAUGCUCUGCUUGCCAUGAAAGCUCACAUAACUCAUGAUCCAACCAAUUUCUUCACCAAAAAUUGGAAUACAGGUACUCCUGUCUGCAACUGGACAGGCGUCACUUGUGAUGUCUAUAGCCAUAGAGUCACAGUCUUGAAUAUUUCUCGUUUAAAUCUCACCGGCACCAUCCCUUCUCAACUCGGGAAUCUUUCGUCUCUACAAUCACUCAAUCUGAGUUUUAAUCGACUUUCUGGUUCCAUUCCCUCCGCCAUCUUCACCACGUAUACACUGAAACAUGUUAGUCUCAGUGAAAAUCAACUCUCUGGGCAAAUUCCUACAAAUAUUUGUAGUAAUCUUCCUUUUCUUGAAUUUUUUUCUUUGACCGGAAACAUGUUCCAUGGCGGAAUACCGUCCACUCUAUCAAAUUGCACAUAUUUGCAAAAAUUAGGUUUGGUAAACAAUAAUUUCUCGGGGGCCAUACCUAAAGAAAUCGGCAAUUUGACCAAACUUAAGAUAUUAUAUCUUGGCGGUAACAGGCUCCAAGGUGCGCAUGAUCACGAAGUUUAAUUAUGAAAAUUGUUGCAUAAGUUGUAGUAUGAAUAAUGUUCCAUAAUACAGUUUACACACGUUCAUUAAUUUGCAGGAGAAAUUCCUCGAGAAUUUGGCAAUCUUACGGAAUUGGAGCGGAUGUCGUUGGCAGGCAACAAUCUUCAAGGCAUGAUUUUAAACUUUUUGCAAUUUUAUUUUAGCGAUGAUUUAUUGUUUGAUUAUGCGAUGAUUUUAAACUUCUGUAUUCAUUCGCUUGUUCUUUGAUUAUACGAUGAUUUAUUGUUUUUCUUUCAGAUAGAGAUAACGCUCCAUGUCUCCCCUCACUCAUUUCAUUCUUUGAUUUAUGCAGAUAAAAAUUAAAAAAAAAAAAUGUUUUGUAAUUUUCUUUUGUCAUUGCCACUUCCGUUUUGAAGCUCCCAAUUAAGUCGAUCAAAAUGAAUGAUGUUUCAUUCUUAUUCUUGUCAGCCUAAUCUAUAUAUCUAUCUAUCUAUAUAUAUAUAUAAAGUUGAGACUUGAGGAGGUGAUGUGGCAUCACCAUUUCUCUUCUUUGUAUAUUCUCUAUUAUCUAAUAAAUUGAGAAAUUUUCUUUUAGAUUUGACUUUUCAUCUUCUCAUAAUUAAUUUGAUUGUUAUUAUACAAUAACAAUUAUGUAAAAAUUUUAAUUUUAAUGAGACAUAUUCUUUGUAAUGAAUAUCCAAAGAGAAGUGUUAUGAAUUUAUUAAAAUAAAUGUAAAUGUUCAUAACAUAUAUCUCUUAGUCUCCCCACUAUCUCUCAUUAGCAACCUUUAGCUUCCCUAUAACUCCCACUAUCUCACAAAGAAUUAUGAUCCAUAAUUUUUUAUUAAUUUCAUGGAGUGAUUAUAUAACUAUAAAAGGAGAGCUCAUCUUUUUGUUUUGUACACACACAAUUGGAAUGAAUAAAAUCACUCUAUAAUAAAUUAUCUCAUUGUAUUUUGUAUCUUGCAUUGCGUAUUUAUUUGUAUUGCUGGCUAAUAGCUUUUUUUGUUUUUUAUAAGGUUGCCUCAUCUUAAAAACAAUCAAUUCAUAUUUUUUAUCAGUUUCAUCAAGUGUAAAGUAACAAAAAAAAAAGAUAAUACUAAAUUCUUUUUUCAAAGCCGCGUGAAACGCGGGUAUAUUUUCUAGUUCUUAUAUAAAUGAAGAGUAAAUUGUUAUUACGAUAUUCGUCAGCCAAUAAAUUCUUCUUUUUUUUUCCCCCCAAACAUGAGUGAUCAAAUUGUUUGCGCAUAUAUAAAUGUACUUAAUUUGCAGGAGGUAUUCCACGGGAAUUGGGGAAUCUUACAAAAUUGGAGUGGUUACAGCUGUUCCGGAAUAACUUGACCGGUAACUUUCUUUACAAUAUAUAUACGAGACAUCUUCCGCUUUUUAUUAGAAAUUAUAAGUUCGAGUUAAAUCUUAAUUAAAAGAUUUCAAGUCUCUCAUUAUAAAUUCUCAUAUGAGGAUGUGUCGUUACCACUAUUGAUCUAACAUUAUUCCGUUUUUUAUUAGAAAUUAGUUUGUGUUAAUUCAAAAUUCUGUAGCAUUUAAAAAAAUUAAAAACACGUGGAAUAAAUUGUUAAUCUUUCUUCUUUACUGAAUUUGGAUUUCUCAAAAAUAAUUUUGACAAGUAUGCUUCACUAAUGAUACGCAUGUGUGACAACUUCAUAAAAUAUUUUACAGGGAAUCACUAAUUAUGUUUAAAUAAUUAGAGAUGCCAGCAGUGAUACAUAAUUUCUUAACAAGCACCAUACCAAAAGAAAACAACAAUUUUAUUAAUCUUAAAGAGUUACAUCUUCAUUGCAAUUAUAACAUAAAUUUUUAGUCAUCAAUCGCAUAAUAUUUUAUCUCAACGGAUGAUGUUCAGUCUUGGAAUUUAUAAUAUCUUGAAGGGUAGUAGCUUUGAAAAUAAGAAAUUGUUCAUUUGCUAAAAAGUUAACUUAGUAUUUAAGUUUUCCAAUAAAAAGCGUUGAGAACUGGCGCUCCAUAGUAUUUCAGCAGAUAAAUAUGAAAAAUAUGUUAGAAUAAAUUAUUUUACUGAAAUAAGAGUUAAAAAGAGGGAAGUACAAUACUCAUGACUUAGGCUUGUUGUGUGUGCUUAUUCUACUUGGGCUUUGGGCUUGAUUACCCCCGUUAUAAUAAUAGGCUUUUACUUUCACCACACAUGAUGAUUUCUUAACCUUCCCAAUUAGGUUAUAGCAAUUUAUAUAUAAAUAAUAAAGCAUACUAAAGCUAGCAUUGAUGUAUGGAUGAGUGGUGUAAAAAGUGUAUAUGUUUUCAUGUAUUAUUUAUUCACUAAAACAUAUCUGAACAGGGGUGGAUCUAGGAAUUUGUAUUACCCCGGGCUAAAUUAAAAAAUUUAUAUUUUAAAGUGAACAUAAAAAUUUAUAAGUAGAAAAAACUGCAUCAAAUAAGGGGGGCACGAAAAAUCUUAUCGCUAUAAGUUAUAAACAAAAAUAGUUAUAUAAAAAGAGUAGAAAACAAAAGCAAUUAAAAAAAUAAAACACUAUUUUACAAUUAUGAAAUCUGACUCUAAUAAAAUGUGAUUAUACAAGGAUUAUAUAAGGUUUAAUAUAUUAAUUAAGGAUUUUAAGCUGAAAAAAAUGAAUACAUGUAAUUACAAUCAAUUAAAAAUUGAAGUAAAACUUUAAUGUUUGAAGUCAAGUACUUAAUUACCAGGUUUCAAUAAAUUAAACAAUUCAAAUUUAUUCCUCUUUUUAAAUUAUAAAAAUAUUAUUAGUCAAAAGUUUCAAUUAUAAACUAAAUUCAACCUAACAAAAAUGUAUUUGGGUGUUGUUGUUUCUUUGCCAAACGCUCUAACUCUCUUUAAAGAACCAGUUGUUGAUGAUUUUUCUAUCAAAUUAAAGCUCCUCAAAAUAUUCAAAUUUUAUCUUAGUUAAUAUAACUAAUAAAUAAAAUCUCAAAAUUUACAUAAAAAGUUUAUGAAAAUGUUGAUAAUUGUUACUACAUGUUUUUUUUAAGUUGUUUAAUACUAGUGACAAUUUUAUAUUAGAUUGACAUACUUUUUUUCAAUUAGAAUUUUUUUAAAAUAAAUUAAAGUAAUAACAUUUUACCCCCUAAUGUUUUUUAUCUACAUUGUAAAUAUAUAAUUUACUCAUUUUAUAAAAUAAGUCACUAAUUUCAAUUGGAAAAAAAUAUAAUUGAAUUAAGGACAUAUUUAAAAAUAAAAUAAAAACUCUAUUAUAGUAUAAAAUUAAUGAAAAUAUAAGGAUAAUUAUAUUAGGGACAUGCAUGAAAACAAAAUAAAAUCUCUAUUAUUGUCUAUAAUUGAUAGUAAAAUAAGGGGUAUGAAUGAUUGUUUCCUAAGUUUGACCAGGCUACAGCCCGGUCUAGCCUUGCUGCAGGUCCGCCACUGUAUCUGAAUACAAUUCUUUCAAAAUACGGAUGAAAUAGCACAUGAAAUCGGAAAUAUUUUAUUGCGAUGAGAAUUCGUAUAUUCAUUGUAGUAGACUAUAAAUUUAUUAUUCUUUGAAACAAAUCUGAUUAUAAUUCCUUCAAAAUUAAGUUUGUCAUUAAAUGAUUUCUCAGGAGCCCUACCAAAAGAAAUCGGGAACUUGACCAAACUCAAGAAAUUAUCUCUUGGCGGUAACAGACUCCAAGGUGCGCAUGAUCACGAAGUUUAAUUAUGAAAAUUGUUGCAUAAGUUGCAGUUUGAAUAAUGUUCCAUAAUACACUUUACACACGUUGAUUAAUUUGCAGGCGAAAUUCCUCGAGAGUUUGGCAAUCUUGCCAAAUUGGAGGUGAUGUUGUUAUGGGAAAACAAUCUCCGAGGUAUGAUUAUAAACUUUUUGCGUUUUUUAUUAGAAAUUAAUUUGUGUUAAUUCAAAAUUCUGUAGCAUCUAAAAAAAUUAAAAACACAUGGAAUAAAUCGUCAAUCUUCUAAUUUGGAUUUCUCAAAAAUUAUAUUGACAAGUAUGCUUCACUAAUGAUAUACAUGUGUGACAACUUCAUAAAAUAUUUUACAUGGAAUCACCAAUUACCUUUAAAUAAUUGGAGAUGCCAUCAGUGAUACAUAAUUUCUUAAUAAGCAUCUUAUCAAAAGAAAUCAACAAUUUUAUUAAUCUUAAAAAGUUACAUCUUUACUGUAAUUAUGAAAUAAAUUUUUAGUCAUCAAUCACAUAAUAUUUUAUCUUAACGGAUGAUGUUCAGUCUAAGAAUUUAUAAUACCUUGAAGGUUAGUAGCUUUGAAAAUAAGAAAUUGUUCAUUUGCUAAAAAGUUAACUUAGUAUUUAAGUUUUUCAAUUGAAAAUUUUGAAAAAAGUCUUGAGAACUAGCCCUCCUUAGUAUUUCAGCGGAUAAAUAUGAAAAAUAGGCUUGAAGAAAUUAUUGUUGUGUGUGCUUAUUCUACUUGGGCUUUGGGCUUGAUUACACGGUCGAGCACUUACACCUGUCAUAAUAAUAGGCUUUUACUUUCACCACACGUUUGAUAAUUUCUUAACCUUCCGAAUUAAAUCUGAUUAUAAUUCUUUUAAAAUACAAAUUAAAUAGCACGUGAAAUCGGAAAAUAUUUUACAGCGAUAAGAAUUCAUAUAUUCAUUGUACCAGCACAUAUAAAAUAGACUAUAAAUUUAGUUCCAAAAUACAUUCUUAUCUUCAUAUAAAUUUUACAUUAUUAAUUUAAAUUAAUAUUAAAAUAUGUUGUUUCUUUCACUAUGUUAUUUUAUUUACACAGUUUACACACGUUGAUUAAUUUGCAGGAGAAAUUCCUCUAGAGUUUGGCAAUCUUGCCGACUUGGAGUGGAUGUCGUUGGCAGGCAACAAUCUCCAAGGCAUGAUUUUAAACUUUUUGCAAUUUUAUUUUAGCUAUGCUUGCUUCUGUAUUAAUUCGUUUGUUUAUUAAUUAUGCAAUGAUUUAUUGCUUUUCUUUCAGAUAGAGACAAAGCUCCAUGUCUCCCCUCACUCAUUUCAUUCUUUAAUUUAUGCAGAUAAAAAUAAAAAUAAAAUCUUUUGUAAUUUUCUUUUGUCAUAUUGCCACAUCCGUUUUGAAGCUCCCAAUUAAGUCGAUGAAUUAGAAUGAUGCUUCACUCUUAUUCUUGUCAGCCCAAUUCUUAUAUAAUUGAAGAGUAAAUUGUUAUUAUGAUAUUUGUCAGCCAAUAAAUUCUUUUUUUCCCCCCAAAUAUGAGUGAUCAAAUUGUUUGCGCAUAUAUAAAUGUACUUAAUUUGCAGGACGUAUUCCACGGGAAUUGGGGAAUCUUACAAAAUUGGAGAUAUUACAGCUGUUCACGAAUAACUUAUCCGGUAACUUUCUUUAUGAUAUAUAUAUAUAUGAGACAUCUUCCGCUUCUUAAUUAAUAGAUUUCAAGUCUCUCAUUAUAAAUUCUCAUAUGAGGAUGUGUCGUUACCUCUAUCUAACAUUAUUCUGUUUUUUAUUAGAAAUUAGUUUGUGUUAAUUCAAAAUUCUGUAGCAUUUAAAAAAAAUUAAAAACACGUGGAAUAAAUUGUUAAUCUUUCUUCUUUACUGAAUUUGGAUUUCUCAAAAAUAAUCUUGACAAGUAUGCUUCACUAAUGAUAUGCAUGUGUGACAACUUCGUAAAAUAUUUUACAUGGAAUCACUAAUUAUCUCUAAAGAUGCCAUCAGUGAUAAUAUUUUAUCUUAACCGACGAUGAUGUUCAGUCUUGGAAUUUAUAAUAUCUUGAAGGUUAGUAGCUUAGAAAAUAAGAAAUUGUUCAUUUGCUAAAAAGUUAACUUAGUAUUUAAGUUUUCCAAUUGAAAAUUUUGAAAAAAGCGUUGAGAACUGGCGCUCCAUAGUAUUUCAGCGGAUAAAUAUGAAAAUUUAUCCAAUUGUUCAUUUGCUAUAAAUUCAUUAUUCUUUGAAGCAAAUCUGAUUAUAAUUCCUUCAAAAUUAAGUUUGUCAUUAAAUGAUUUCUCAGGAGCCAUACCAAAAGAAAUCGGGAAUUUGACCAAACUCAAGGAAUUAUCUCUUGACCUUAACAGACUCCAAGGUGCGCAUGAUCACAGAGUUUAAUUAUGAAAAUUGUUGCAUAAGUUAUAUGGAUAUCCUUGAUAACCGCAGCAAGCAAACAAAAUCAAAUAAAAGCUAACUGAGACUCGAAUAUCCUAAACCCUGAAAAGGAAUGGUAAUGGUAUAAUAUGGAUUCUGUAGGCAUAUUUCACUGGACUCAACAUUUAUGGUUAAUUUACAACUCUUUGUUGUAGAGUCUGAGAAAUUGCUUUAUAUUAGGGGUGGGGAAAAUAAUGCUGGGCCACGAAUUUCAGGCAGAAUCCAGAUUGGGCCCAAUUAGACUUAUAGCUCAGCUCUGUGUCGAUAUCUGGGCCUUUACAAAUAACUAAUGGGCCAAUUAAUAAUAAUAAAUAAAUUACACACGGUCGAACACUUACACAGUUCCCUAGACACAUGCUUUCACUUUCACCACACAUUUGAUAAUUUCUUAGCCUUCCCAAUUAGUUUAUAGCAAUUUAUAUAUAAAUAACUAAAGCAUACUAAAGCUACCAUUGACGUACGGAUGAGUGGUGUCAAAAGUGUAUCUUGUUUUAUUUAUUAUUGUCCUAUGAUACAAAUCUGAAUAAUGGAAUAUAAUGCUUUGAAAAUACCGAUGAAAUAGCACAUGAAAUCGGAAAAUAUUUUACUGCAAUAAGAAUUCAUAUAUUCAUUGUAGUAGCACAUAUAAAAUAGACUAUAAAUUUAAUUUUAAAAUACAUUCUUAUCUUCAUAUAAAUUUUACAUUACUGAUUUAAAUUAACAUUAAAAUAUGUUGUUUCUUUCACUAUGUUAUUUUAUUUACACAAUGAUGUGACUAUUGGAAUUAAUAAUACUUAUAAUUAUUUUGUAAAAUUUAAUACUUUGUUAACAUUUUAUCUACAUAUAAUAAUUAAACUGAAACUUGUAUUUAAAAAAUUCUAGUUACGCAUAUUCAUUUCAUGACAUAAAAGUGUAUAUUUAUGCUAAUUUACCAGUAUCAACAAAAUUCUUUUGAGACAAAUAAUCUAAUUUAUAUUUGUAUAUUUAAAAUACUUGCAUUUAUUAUAUUUUGAAAAAAACUUUAUUUGCAAUUAUUUUAAACUGUUGGAUUCAAAUUUUCGUAGUUAUUAAAGUCAAAUGGUACAAAUGUAGAAUAGUCAAAAACAGAUUUGUAUAAUCAUUUUUCGAUGUAUAAAUUUCUUAGUUAGUAGGAAAAUUAGAAAUAGUUGAUUUACUCAUAAAUAAAUUUAAUGUCAAUUUUGGAAAACUUGAACUAAAUGUUGAUAACUUCGAAUCGGUCGAGCUGAGUUUCUCUUCCUUGACCCACGGACCCAUUGAAAGUUCUAUUCGAAUUGAGUUUCCCGGUGCUUAUAAAAAGCAUUUCUUUUCCUUGUUGCAGUAAUUUAUUCACAAAUGAGUUUAUUAGCAUCGAAGUUACCGGAGAGUCUGAGACCAUGCUAGUAGGAGAAAUUUGAAAAGAAAUUAUUUUACUGAAUUAAUUUAUUUUAUCUUCUUGUAACUGAAAUACUACUUUUUUUUUUUGGGCUAUCACUGGGGCUUGAUUUACUUUAAUAGUAGCAGCCACCGACUUAGGCAUUUUUUACUUCUCACCACACAAUUUGAUCUUUUAAUUCGUUUUAACCACAUAAUCUAUCUAUCUCUCACCUAUUGCUUACUUAAAUCUCAUGCAUAUUUUACCUACUAAUUUUUAUAAAUAUUAGUCAAAUAUAUUUUAUUACGUUUCUCUUGUAACUGCUCCAAAUGUGUACUAUUAACACUUAACCCUCCCUUUUAAUUUACCGUGCAAUCUAUCUAUCACUUAAGUCAGAUAUAUAUUUUACCUAUAUUUUACCCCAAAAAAUAUAAAAAUAAAAGAAAAAUAAUAUGUGUACCAAUUUGCAUAUAACUAACAAAGCAUUGACGGCGUGUAGCCUUUCAAUACUUCACGAGUGGCUUUUCUUGUGUGUUAGUACUUGUAAUAAUUGUGUAGCGUAUAAAUGACAUUUUAUUAUUAAAGUGCGUCCAUUUUUAUAUAUUACUUAUUAUUUGAAAAAUAAUCUGAAUAUAAUUCUUUUAAAAUAUAGGGGAGAUACCACUUGAAAUUGGUAAUCUCCAAAAUCUGGAGGAGUUGGACCUUCGUCAAAACAAAUUAAUUGGUACUGUCCCAGUUGCAAUCUUUAAUGUGUCAACACUCAAAUUACUUGGGCUUCAAGAUAAUUCUCUCUCUGGAAGUCUUUCGUCCAUCACAGACGUCCGACUACCAAAUCUUGAAGAGCUUGUUUUGUGGGGUAAUAAUUUCAGUGGUAGAAUUCCUCGUUUCAUCUUUAAUGCUUCUAAGCUCUCUAUACUAGAAUUGGAAGAGAACUCAUUCUCCGGUUUUAUUACCAACACAUUUGGCAACUUAAGAAACCUUGAGCGGCUUAAUUUACAAGAUAAUUAUUUGACAUCUUCAACUCCAGAAUUGAACUUUCUAUCCUCGUUGUCAAAUUGCAAGUCUUUAACAGUUAUUGGCUUAUCAAAUAAUCCACUAGAUGGCAUUCUUCCCAAGACGUCUAUCGGAAAUCUUUCUCAUUCUUUGGAAGAUUUUCAAAUGCACAAUUGUAACGUUACUGGUGACAUCCCUGAAGAGAUCGGCAACUUGACCAACUUGAUAACCAUUGAUUUAGGAGGCAAUAAAUUGAAUGGAUCGAUUCUGAUUACUCUUAGCAAAUUACAAAAGCUUCAAGGUUUGGUUCUUGAUGAUAACAAAUUAGAAGGAUCAAUCCCAGAUGAUAUUUGUCGUUUGGCUGAGCUGUAUAAAUUGGAGUUGGGUGGCAAUAAGCUUUCAGGAUCAAUCCCUGCAUGCUUCAAUAAUUUGAUUGCUCUGAGGAUACUGUCGUUGGGUUCCAAUGAGUUAACUUCUAUUCCCUUAACUUUUUGGAACCUUAAGGAUAUCUUGUACCUCAACUUUUCUUCAGCCCACUCCCAUUAGAGAUUGGAAAUUUGAAGGUUUUGGUUGGAAUUGAUUUUUCGAUGAAUAAUUUUUCAGGCAUUAUCCCAAAAGAAAUUGGAGGCCUAAAAAAUCUAGAAUAUCUCUUCUUAGGAUAUAAUAGAUUGCAAGGAUUGAUUCCUGAUUCAUUUGGUAAUUUGAUAAGUUUGAAAUUCUUGAAUUUGUCCAAUAAUAAUCUCUCUGGGGCAAUUCCUGCAUCUUUAGAGAAACUCUCAUAUCUUGAAGAUCUAAAUCUUUCUUUCAACAAGCUAGAAGGAGAAAUUCCUAGGGGAGGAUCUUUUGGAAACUUCUCAGCUGAAUCAUUUGAAGGAAAUGAAUUAUUAUGUGGUUCACCUAAUUUACAAGUCCCGCCAUGCAAAACUAGCAUCCACCACCCAUCAUGGAAUAUUUCUCUUCUCCUGGGGAUUGUCUUGCCAUUGAGUACUACAUUAAUGAUAGUAGUCAUUUGGUUGAUCCUAAGAUAUCGACAGAGAGGAAAACAACCAUCGAAUGAUGCUAAUAUGCCACUCGUAGCAAUGUGGAGAACGUUUUCAUACCUAGAACUUUGUCGAGCAACAGACGGAUUUAGUGAAAACAAUCUAAUCGGCAGAGGAGGGUUUGGCUCUGUUUAUAAGGCAAGACUUGGGGACGGGAUGGAGGUUGCAGUGAAGGUCUUCAAUUUGCAAUGUAGAAGAGCAUUUAAGAGUUUCGAUGUUGAAUGUGAAAUAAUGAAAAGUAUUCGCCAUCGAAACCUUAUCAAAGUUAUUAGCAGUUGUUCAAAUGAAGAGUUUAAAGGGUUGGUAUUAGAAUACAUGCCUCAGGGAAGUUUGGAGAAGCAUUUGUAUUCGACUAACUGCAUUUUGGAUAUUUUUCAAAGAUUGAACAUAAUGAUAGAUGUUGCAUCAGCUUUGGAAUAUCUGCACUUUGGUUGUUCAACUCCAGUAAUUCAUUGUGACUUAAAGCCCAGCAAUGUAUUGUUAGAUGAUAAUAUGAUUGCUUAUUUGAGUGAUUUUGGCAUCGCGAAGCUCUUAAUUGGAGAAGAUCAGUCUAUGACUCAGACGCAAACACUUGCCACAAUAGGUUAUAUGGCACCAGGUUUGUUCAAUAUAAAUAUUUUCUAUUUCUUGUAAACUUCCUAAUAAGUUAUUUAUGUUUCAUAAUCUUCAUUAGAUGAGGAAAUUAUUAUUAAUGAUAUAUCUUACUAUAUAAAUGUUGCAAUUCAUAGAGUAUGGAAGAGAAGGACGAGUAUCCACAAAUGGAGAUGUUUAUAGCUUUGGAAUUAUGUUAAUGGAAACUUUUACCGGGAAGAAACCCACAGAUGAAAUUUUUAAUGGAGAAAUGACAUUAAAGCAUUGGGUUAAUGAUUGGCUACCCAUUUCCACUAUGGAAGUUGUUGAUGCUAAUUUGCUAAGCCAGGAGGACGUACAUUUUGUUGCAAAGGAGCAAUGUGUGUCAUUUGUCUUCAAUUUGGCUAUGGCGUGCACUGUGGAAUCUCAUGAGCAGAGAAUCAAUGCAAAAGAAAUUGUAACAAAGCUCUUAAAAAUUAGAGACUCAUUACUUAGAAAUGUUGGAGGCAGACGUAUAAGACAACCAAAUUUAAAUUGAUUCUACCCCUCCAUUGCUUGCUAUCCUUUUCAGAGACUUGAACGGUUAUCCUUCAUACCAGUUUUGUUGAUAUGUUUUGUUAUUGCUCUUGCUUAUGUUUGUUUCUCUAUUUCUUUAAUUUGCAUGCAUGUAUUUUUCGUUCUCUUUUAUGUAUUUGUUGGUUUGUAUGUAGUUUGUUUUUAGGGGUAAGGUUGAUUAUGUCCUCCCCUAAUUAGACGUAUCCUUUUUAUGUUUAUUCAAUAAAGCUUCUCUAAUACUAUCGAGGUUCAUCAAAAGAAAAUUUUUAAUUAAUUUUCUUUUCUUUGACAGGUAAUGAAAUUCUAAUCUUCAUAGUGAAUAACUUCAAUAAUAGAGUGUAAGAGUAUUAGUAGUUAUGGUUGUUUUUUGAACCUGGAGUCAAGAGCAAUUUAACAGCAACAAACAAGUCUCUUGUAUUAUAGGCAAAAUUCUUUUCAUUAAUCUUAUUUGUCUACAUGUUCUCCUAUUUUCUCCAUUAAUCUUCGCUCAAGGUUUCAUGCUUCCUCUUUGAUAAAGGAAAAUAUUACUCGUGAAUAUUUCAAAUUUUCAAUUUGACAUGAGCGACUAUUUGCCAGCCAUUUGAUAAAAUGGAUAUGAGUGGAGUUUUCAAUCAUUACCUCCACCAAAAUCCUUACAACGCCACUUUUUAAUUUUAUUUUUUAAAAUACAUUCAGUUUAAUUUUAAAAAAUAAAUCCAUUUGUAAAAUUUAAUCUUUUUCUCAUAAAUUUCAACCUAAAAAAUAUAUUUCUUUUAAAUUUUUAUUAUAAAAUACUUACAAGUUCUAAACUAUUAAAUUAUUUUCUUCUUAUUAUAUAGUUUAUAUCUCCAUAACUCUAAACUCCUAUAAUUUCUUAAAAAAAAAAUUUUAAUUUAAAAUAUAAAUAUAAAAUAUAGAAUGGAGUGAGUAUAAAAAAACUUGUUAAAAUAAUAAUUCUUUUAAGUAUUUAACUGAAUUUUAAAUUAAAAUAAGAAAUAAAUUAUUUUUUUGGGAAAUAUUUAACCUACCCCCAAAUAAAUUGACAUUUUGCACCGCGUCCCCAAAAAAUUUGAUUUGUUGCACCGCGCCUCCAAUUCCGUUAUUUUCUCAGUUAAGUUUAACGGUGAGGGGGUAAAAUUGGAAGUUUAUUCCUCAAAUUACUUUUAAUAGGAAUUCUCUUUAUUGCAAUUGAAAUAAAAAUCUUUAAAAAUUAAAGGAAAAAUAAUAGUGGUGACAAUGUACAUGUAACAAGAAAUUUUUUUUAUUGCAAUUGAAAUAAAAAUCUUAAAAAAAUUAAAGGAAAAAUAAUAGUGGUGACAAAUGUACAUGUAACAAGAAAUUUUUUUUAUUGCAAUUGAAAAUUAAAGGAAAAAUAAUAGUGGUGACAAUGUACAUGUAACAUCAAUAAAUUUUUAUUACAUCUAUAAUAAGACAACUAUAGUGAGAUUACUCUUAUUUAGUUGAAUUGUAUGUAAUAAAAUUAGUUUAAAAAAAUCUAACCCGUCAGUAUUCCAUAUCACAUGAUUAACGUAUUUAAAAAAUCUUAGCUGUUCCGUCGCUUGUUUUAAACACUGCAGCAACAACCGGUAUAAAAUAGACUGAACUCAUUUAAUGGGAAUUUUUCUCAUUGGUCUAUUUCUCUUCGCACCUUAGGUUCCUCUAACAAACUUAAAAGAUGUUCCCCAUCCCACGUGUCUCCAAAUCUUCGUAUUUCCAAACAAACCCCUGCCAAAUAGAGAAGAGGAUGGCUUUUAUUGCAAACUGUAUGAACGUUAUGGCCAUGGGACAUUGGAUCAAAAUCAAACCAAUGGAUUGUAAAGCAAACUUACCGAUUAAAAAUUCAACCAAUUGAAUCGGUUUGGUGUCACUUAAAAAAUAAAUAAUAUAUAAAACAACACAAUUAUCAUAUUAAUGAGCCACUGUUAUAUUCAUUCAGUCAGUAUUUUUCUUUUCCCAUUUUCAAUGAAUGCUUAAUUUUCCAUAUGGAAAACAAUUUGUCCCAUUGAGCACUGUUUAAAUCAUUCCCUAGUUUGUUUAACACGCAAAGAAUAUUCUUAUUUGUAAAAAUUCAUUUAAGUGAUGACUGUGAUAUGACUUGACCAAUCGUUUAAUUUGUAUAAUUUAUAAAAAUUUGAGCUUCAAGUAAUGUAGAUAGAAUGGUUAAUUAUUUUAAUAUUCAGAUAAAUUGAUAUAUGUCAUUAUAUUAUGAGUGGAUGAAAUAUCCAAUAGAAAAAAAAAUAUUUGUAUUCGUCAUUUUUAGUGGGAAUCGAUUUAGUGUAACUUAUCCAUAAAAAUGGUUGCCGACUUAUCUUGUUUCUCAUUUUGUUUAAUUUUCAUAAAUUUGACUCAUGAUUAAUUGUGAGUGAAGAAUUUUUUGGAAAAAAUCUGGUCUUCCAUUUAUUUUGUAGGAUUUAAAAGAUUAAAAAACUUUAAUACAUAUAAUUUUAUGUUCGAAACUAAAUACUCGUAGUAUUGCUGCUUCUAUAAAUAACUCAUUUGAGCUUCCAGCCUGUUAUUUGUAUUUUACGUUUCUGUUUCUCUUCCUCUUCAUAAAGAUUUUUUUUUUUCCAUUCUCUUUUUCUUCCACUUUCCCGACUCCCAAACACCACCAGUCUUUGAUUUUCCUAGAGUAUUAACUAUCUGUUUACACGAACAUAGACCGACAGUUUGCCUAAUUACUAUCAAGAAACAACAUACUCUGUCUCGGGGUCUCUUCGUUUAUUGACUUGUCACUUGUGAACGGGCUAAUUAAAGGGCGUUCCUUCCUUCAAGAAAGGAUAACGUUACCCCGUUAUUCGGUAAUGACUGUCCGAUUGUCUUCGCUUUCAUUGACUUCGCAACUGUGAAUUCUAAGCCGGGUUAAGGAUUGACAAAAUGUUAUAACCCAUAAAGCACGGAUAAUUAAUUAAUGGGCCACUGAUUUCUUCUUUAAAGGCUAAUUCUUGGUAAAGAUCAGAAAGUUCUCAAAUAAAAAUUCGGCUUUGUGGAAAUUAAAUUAAAAGCAAUUAAGCAUUAUAAAUUACUUAACAGCUUAAUCGAGUUUGGUUUUGAAAAAUAUAUCUUUAAAUCUCUUGUAAUUAAAGAUAAUUAUCAUAUUACUGUCUCAAAUGGACCGAUUUCAAUCAAAUGAAAUCUAGAAAAUUGAGCAGCUCAUUGAUGUAUUUGGUCGAAUUGUGACUUGUGUCAGAGUCUUCGUUUUAGAAGAGUGCACAGCAGCUGCCAGGUCCACUUGGCAGUUGGCACGCCAAAAUUUUUCUGUUGACCAAUAAUUUUGAAAGGGAUAUUAUUAAUUUAAUAUCAAAUAUUUUCUAACACAUCACUUUACUAUCAAAAUUUUUUGACAAUAAUUUUUUAUCACUUAAUAUUUCAGUUUUUAUCAUUUUAUCAUCAAAAAAUAGUAAAAGCAUACUUAGUGUAAGUUGUUCAUAAAAAUGGUUGUUGAAUUGUCUUGUUUCUCAUUUGGUUUAAUUUUCAUAAAUUCGACUCACACAAUUCAAUUAUGAGUGAAGAGUUUUUUUGGGAAAAAUCUGGUCUUCCAUUUACUAGAAUCAGGUCUGAAUGAUUUUAUUAUUUUUCUUUUGUUUGAAAUAUACGUGGAAAAUGUUGAACACUUUGUAGGAUUUAGAAGAAUUUGAAAGUUUGAAUGCAUAUAGUUUACUAUCCAUCAGCUAGUGCAUAUUCUGUAUUUUAUGAAAUCAAAGCUGGUUGAUUGAGAAAUGGACCUUAUUACAUGUCAUAAGAUUUUACAGUGCUUUCUAAUGGAGCAAAAUAAAAUGAUUCUUACCUGCACAGAAAAUUAGAAACGAAAAGGAGGGUUACUGAUCCACAGAGUUGUUAUUUACGAGAAGCACAUAGAUAUUACACUUAAUUUAUUAUCCAUCUGUAUUGUUUAGAUGACACUGAAGUAUUACCUAAAUUAGGCUUUCAAAACUUCUUUUUCAAAAAUCUAUGGUUGUGAUGCAUCUCUAUAAACUCACUCGUACAAAUUCUAUCUAAUGCCAAUCAUUUUAACUCUGUUCUGAACAAAGCAUGAAAGGAUAUGUUCACUUAUCUAGUUAUGUUUUCUAUGCUUUCACUUCACUUGAUUCACCUUGUCCCUCGUUUUAGAAGAGUGCAGAGCAGCUGCCUUGUCCAUUAGGCACAGUUUCUUUUCUGGAAUUAGAAAAGAAAAGGAGGAUUACUGAUCCACAGAGGUGUCAUUUACUAGAAGCACAUAAAUCUUACACUUAAUUCAUUAACCAUAUGUAUGUUCUAAUGAUACUUAAGUAUUACCUAAAUUUGCCUUUCAAAACUUCACUUCGAAAAAGUCCAAGGUUGUGAUGUGUCUGUAUAAAUUCGCUAAUACAAGUUCUCUCUAUUCCCAAUUGUUUUAAACUCUGUUCUGAACAGAGCAUGAAAGGAUAUAUUCGUUUAUCUAGUUAUAUUUUUUAUGCUCUCACUUCACUUGAUUCACCUUCUCCAUCUUUUAAAACAGUUGUAUAUGUCGGAGUAUCAAGUUCAUCACAAGGAUCAUAUUAUGGCCCAAGGAAGGAGCACAGUUCAUUGUCUGCACUCAAGCUUAGCAGAGUAUUUUGGGAUUCAAGAGUGUUAGUAGGCCGUUACAGAUGCCAUGCUGGCAAGCGUGCUAUGACUGACUGCUAUUUGCACGUAAAAUUUGCCCAAAACAAAUAGAAUGAGAAUACUUGUACAAAAGGACAAGAUUAAUAAAGUGAAUAAAUUUUAUCUUUUAGUGAAUGCUUCUUGUCUUUUAGAGUUUUAGUGCAUUUUCGUGUGUAAUUUUAUGUGCAAAUAGCAUUACGCAUUAGUAAUUAGUCUAGAGUGUUCUAAUUUCUUCUAAUAAGUAGCUGAUUUGAGCUUAAGACUUGUAUUUUAUGAUUUUGUUACUUUCUAAUAAAGAUUUUCUCUGUUCUUUUUUUACUUUCACUUUCUCUUCCAUUUUCCCGACUCCCAAACACCACCAAUCCUUGGUUUUCUAGAGUAUAGCUAUGUAGUUCUGCAAACACGAAACUGCUGUUUGUCCAAUUACUUUCAAGAAACAACGUACUCUGUGGUUUAUUGACUUGUGACUUGUGGACGGGGCAAAUUAGUCACGGUCCGAUUGUCUCCUCUUCCACUGACUCUGUCAAUUCAUGACUUUGGCACACAGUAGACGCCAGCUGGCUUCUCCACUUGACGUGCAAAAAACUUUCUUGAGUCGGGUUAAAAUCGAUUGAUUAUUUUGUUUGGUGAUGAUGAGUUAUUUGUCAAUUCAUGAGUUUGAUACAGUGAAACGCUUAACGCUCUCUUGUGAUGCGCGGGAGAAAAGCCACCAGCGAUGAUGAAGAGGACGAAAAACAUUAUUUUGUUAUUUAAAAUAAGACUAUCAAUUAUAGGGUAAUGCUAAGUUACAUGCAUGUACCUUACAUCCCUCUCACAUGAAUAGUGUAUGGAUACUAUUCAUGUGAGAGGGUUGUAAGGUACAUGCAUGUAACUUAGAGGGAUCCUCAAUUAUAUAUUCCAAAAUAAUUGAGUUUGGUUAACCAAAGUUGGUUGAUGUGAGUGGUUCGGCACUCUCACUCCUUAAGAGAGAUCAGGGGUUCAAACCCCACUCUCGUAUGGAGUCACCACUUUGGCCAGCACUUUACCCCUUACGGGCCGACUCGGUGCAAGCGGGGAUUAGUCUGGGUUGUGGUACGAGCUUAAAGAUGCCUCCCAUAGUUAGGGUCCACUCAGGACUACCUCGUGGUUCAGACAAAAAAAAAUAAUAAUAAUUGGGUUUGGAUGGCCAUUUGGUUUUUUAAAAUAGCCAAAUGGAAUCUUACCGAAUUAGAGUGCUCGACUUCUUUAUACAGAAUUUUGAAAGUGUGAAAAUCAAGAAAUUAAAUACUCUUCAUAUGGUGGGAGGAGGUUUGGUUGCCGUUAUGCUAAAUAAAAGAAAAAUAAAGUAAAAGUACAAUACUUCAAUAAUCUCAUUCCCAAUCAUACCCGAAAUAAAAUUUUCUGUAUAUUUUUAUGAAAUAAUUAUUUAUUUUACUUUGGUAAUUUUUUUUAUUUAAAGUAAGGUAAACAUCCUUUGCUUUGGCCUUUACUCUUGACUCUAUUUCAUGGUCAUAUUCAAUCUCAUUCUUCUGUAGGUUUGUGGCUGCUUUAUGAGUUACGAUUUUUUAUAGGAUUGCAUGUAGAUGAUACAUUUAUAUACAUUUUUUCUUUUUUCUUUUCUUCUUCGGUGAGCAUAUAAAAAAUUUAGUUUUUGUUACUAUGUGAAAUGAAAAUAGUCCUCAUUUCAAGGAUUAAUGGGCCACUAAUUUCGUCUUCUUAAAAGAAAAUUAAUUAUUUUCAGCGAGGUAAUUGGAAGCUUGAGCAUUUCUAUAUUAUACAGCCAAACAAACCUAAUGGUGCGUUUACUUGCCGGAUUGGGGAAUCGGAAUCAGGAAUCGGAAUGACUGAUGGUGUUUACUUCAUAAAUAUGGAACAUGAAUCGGAAUCGGAAUAGUGGGGCCCACCACUAUUUGGGAAUGGAGAAUGAGAGAUUGAUUCCCAUGGGGGAGGUGGGAAUGUGUCUCCUAUUCCCGGGAUUGACCAUUUUGCCCUUCCCCAAAAUGGAAAAUGCCCACUUUGUCCUCUUUUAUAAUUAAUUAAUAUAAUAUUAUAAUCAAUUAAUUAAUAUAUUAUGAUAAAUAAAUAAAUAAAUAUAUUAUUAACUAUAAUUAUUAAAAAUUAUAGUUCUUGAAUAAAUAAUCACAAUAAUUAAUAUAUUAUUAUUAUAGUUAAUUAAUUAAUUAUUACUAUUAAUUAAUUAAUUAUUACUAUUAAUUAAUAUAUUAACAUAUUAUUAAUAAUAAUUUAUUAUUAUUAUUUUUGAAUAAAUAAUCACAAUAAUUAAUUUAUUAUUAUUAUAAUUAUAAUUAAUUAAUUAAUGUACUAUUACAAUAAUUAUUAAUAUAAUUAAUUUAUAUAUUAUUAUUAAUGAAUCAAUAUAAUUAUUACUAUUAAUUAAUAUAUUAAUAUAUUAUUAACAAUAAUAUAUUAAUAAUUAUUGUUCCUGAAUAAAUAAUCACAAUAAUAUAUUAAUAAUUAUUGUUCCUGAAUAAAUAAUCACAAUAAUUAUUAUUAAUAUUUUUAAUUAAUUAAUAUACUAUUAUAAUUAUUAUUAUAAUUAAUUCAUAUAUUAUUAUUAAUUAAAUAAUAUAUUUAUUACUAAUAAUUAAUAUAUUAUUAACAAUAAUUAUUAUAAUUAAUUCAUGUAUUAUUAUUAAUUAAUUAAUUAAAUUAAUAUUAUUAAAUAAAUAAAUAAUUUAAUUAUUACUACUAAUUAAUAUAUUAAUAUAUUAUUAACAAUAAAUAUUAAUAAUUAUAUUUUUUGAAUAAAUAAUCACAAUAAUUAAUAUAUUUUUAUAAUAAUUUUUAUUACAGUUAUUAUGAUUAAUUAAAAAAUUUUACAAGUAGUUAAUAUAUUAGUUAAUAAUAAUUAUGAAAAUAAUCCAUUAAGUACUUUUUAGUAAUUUGUUACAAUUUAAUUCAUUCCGAUUCUGAUUCCAAGACAAAGUAAACACAUUAAUGACAAUUCAACUCAUUCCGAUUUCGAUUCCUACAGUUCAAGUAAACAAUUUAUUUUGAUUCCCAUUCCAGCUCAUUCUCAUUCUUGUCCAUUUCGAUGCCAGCUCAUUCCAAUUCCAAUUUAGUAAACACAGCAUAAGUGAUAAGAAUUUCCAUAUGAGAUAUAAUUUGGAGGGAAAAAAAAUACUAAUUCAAGUUAAUAGAAAGAUUACAGCAAUAUAAUUUCAAUUUAUCCAAAAAUUUGAGUUUCAAGGAAUAUAGCAUUUAUUAUAUGUAUAGAGAAGCAAUUUUUAAAUAUUUCUUUUUUGAAUGAAUAAAAGUUUUUUUGAUAAAAAUUUCACAAUCAUAUUUAAAAAAAAGUUUAUUUUUUUUUAAAAAAAGUCACUCCUCUUCCUACAUAAUUUAGGAAUUUAACAUUACUUUCUUAGAAAUUUUGGUUUCACUAUAAAUACUCGGUAUACAGCAAACUUAUGAGUGUUCUUGCAUUACCAAUCCAAUUAAGCACACGCUUAAAAUCUAAAAUAAUCUCAUCUCAUGGAAAGUGUUCAUUCUCUCAAUAUUAUGAGCAGAUUUCUCUUACUCCAUUGAUUGAUUCUUAUUUCCUUAUUUAUCACAGCCAGUGGCGGACCUACACGUGGGCUACAGCCCGGUCUAGUCCAGAAAAAAUCGUUUAUACCCCUUAAUGUUUCAUUAAUUUAGUAAAAUUAUAGAGUUUUAAUUUUAUUUUCAUAUAUGUCCCUAACUCAAUUACCCUUAUAUUUUCAUCAAUUUAGUAUAACAAUAGAGUUUUUAUUUUAUAUUCAAAUAUGUCCCUAACCCAAUUACCCUUGUGUUUUCAUCAAUUUUAUAUAACAAUAGAGUUUUUAUUUUAUUUACAAAUAUAUCCCUUAUUCAAUUAUAUUAUUUUCAAUUGAAAUUAGUGACUUAUUUUAUAAAAUGAUUAAAUCAUAUAUUUAUUGAAUAGAUUGAAAACAUUAGGGAGCUAAAAUUUUAUUACUACUUUAAUUUAUUUUAAAAAACUUCUAAUUGAAAAAAAAAAUAUGUCAAUGUAAUAUAACAUUGUCACUAGUAUUAAAAGUACUUACAGAAACAACAUGCAGUAACAAUUAUCAAUAUUUUAUAAAAUUUUUAUGUGAAUUUUCAGAUUUUAUUUAUUAGUUAUAUUAACUAAGAGGGCAAGUUAGAAAAUAAAAUUUGAGUAUUUUAAGGAGCUUUUGAUAGAAGAAUUAUCAACAUCUAGUUUUUUAAAGAGAGCUAGAGCGCCUGACAAAGAAACAACUGCACCCAAAUACAUUUUUGCUGAAUUGAGUUUAGUUUAUUAUUGAAACUUUUGACUAAUAAUACCUUUACAAUUUGAAAGGAUGAAUAAAUUUUAAUUGUUUAAUUUAUUAAGUUUAGUAAUUAAGUACUUCACCUCAAACAUAAAAGUGUUACUUGUAAUUUUUAAUUGAUUGUAAUUACAUGUAUUGAUCUAUUUUAAUUUGAAAUUCUUAAUUGAUUUUUUAAUCCUUAUAUAAUUAUAUAUUAUUAUAGGCUGCAAUGUCAGAUUCUAUAAUUGAAGAAUAGUGUUUUCAUAUUCGAGUUACCUUUUGUUUUUUACUCUUUUUCUAUAAUUAUUUUUGUUUAUAGUUCAUAUUUAGAGAGAGAAAAUUUUUGGUAUUCCUCCUUAUUUAAUAUACUUAUUUUUAUAUAUAAAUUUUUAUGUUCGCUUCAAAAUAUAAAUUUUAAAAUUUAGCCCGGGGUAAUAUUAAGUCCUGGAUCCGCCCCUGAUCGCAGCUGCAACAGCCAACACAAGUACUAUUACCACAGACCGAGAUGCUCUGCUUGCCCUGAAAGCUCACAUAACUCAUGAUCCAACCAAUUUCUUCGCCAAAAAUUGGAACACGAAUAUCUCUUUCUGUAAUUGGACAGGCGUCGCUUGCGAUGUCCAUAGACAUAGAGUCACAGUCUUGAAUAUUUCUGGCUUAAAUCUCACGGGCACCAUCCCCUCUCAACUUGGGAAUCUUUCUUCUCUGCAAUCACUCAAUCUAAGUUUUAACCGACUUUCUGGUUCCAUUCCCUCCGCCAUUUUCACCACGUACACACUAAAAUAUGUUAAUCUCCGUCAAAACCAGCUCUCCGGCGCUUUACCUUCUUUCAUCUUCAACAAGUCUUCUUUACAACAUCUUGAUUUCACUUUCAAUACAUUGUCUGGUGAAAUUCCUGCAAAUAUUUGUAGUAAUCUUCCUUUCCUUGAAAUUCUUUCUUUACAAGAAAACAUGUUCCAUGGAGCAAUACCGUCCAAUCUAUCAAAUUGCACAUAUUUAAGAAUCUUAAGUUUGGCAUACAAUGAUUUCUCGGGAGCCAUACCUAGAGAAAUCGGCAAUUUGACCAAACUUAAGGGAUUAUAUCUUGGCGCUAACAGGCUCCAAGGUGCGUAUGAUGAUGGAGUUUAUGAAAAUUGUUGCAUAAGUUGUAAUAUGAAUAAUGUUCCAUAAUACAGUUUACACCCGUUGAUUAAUUUGCAGGAGAAAUUCCUCGAGAGUUUGGCAAUCUUGCCGUAUUGGAGCUGAUGUCGUUAGCAGGAAACAAUCUCCAAGGUAUGAUUUUAAACUUUUUGCAAUUUUAUUCUAGCCUCUGCUUGCUUCCGUAUUCAUUAGCUUGUUCUUUAAUUAUGCUAUGAUUUAUUGUUUUUCUUUCAGAUAGAGACAAAGCUCCACGUCUCCCCUCACUCAUUUCAUUCUUUAAUUUAUGCAGAUAAAAAAAAAAAAUGCUCUGUAAUUUUCUUUUGUCAUAUUGCCAUUUCCAUUUUGAAGCUUCCAAUUAAGUCGAUGAAAAUGAAUGAUGUUUCAUUCUUAUUCUUGUCAGCCUAAUUCUUAUAUAAUUGAAGAGUAAAUCGUCAUUAUGAUAUUCGUCAGCCAAUAAAUUCUUUUUUUCUUUUCCCAAAUAUGAGUGAUCAAAUUGUUUGCACAUACAUAUAUGUACUUAAUAUGCAGGAGGUAUUCCACAGGAAUUGGGGAAUCUUACAAAAUUGGAGGGGUUAGAGCUGGUCCAGAAUAACUUGACCGGUAACUUUCUUUACGAGAUAUAUAUAUAUAUAUAUAUAUGAGACAUCUUCCGCUUCUUAAUUAAUAGAUUUCAAGUCUCUCAUUAUAGAUUCUCACAUGAGGGUGUGUCGUUACCUCUAUCUAACAUUAUUCCGUUUUUUAUUAGAAAUUAGUUUGUAUUAAUUCAAAAUUCUGUAGCAUUUAAAAAAAAUUAAAACACGUGGAAUAAAUCGUCAAUCUUUCUUCUUUACUGAAUUUGGAUUUCUCAAAAAUUAUCAUGACAAGUAUUCUUCACUAAUGAUAUGGAUGUGUGACAACUUCAUAAAAUAUUUCACUAAUUAUCUUUAAAUAAUUGGAGAUGCCAUCAGUGAUACAUAAUUUCUUUGCAAUCACCAUACCAAAAGAAAUCAACAAUUUUAUUAAUCUUAAAGAGUUAUACCUUCACUGCAAUUAUGGCAUAAUUUUUUAUCUAAAGAAAUUUUAGCCAUCAAUCGCAUAAUAUUUUAUCUUAAUGGGUGAUGAUCAAUCUUGGAAUUUAUAAUAUCUUGAAGGUUAGUAGCUAUUAAAAUUAGAAAUUGUUUAUUUGCUAAAAAGUUAACUCAGUGUUUAAGCAUUUCAAUUGAAAAUUUUGAAACAAACGUUGAGAACUGGUCCUCCUUAGAAUUUCAGCGGAUAAAUAUGAAAAAUAGACUUGAAAACAAAAUAUUUUACUGAGAUAAUAAUUAAAAAGAGAGGAGAAGUACAAUACUCAUGACUUAGGGUUGCUGUGUACUUAUUUUACUUGGGCUUCGGGCUUGAUUACACGCGGUCGAACACUUACUUUUGGGGAUGAGUGGUGUCAAAUGUGUAUAUGCUUUUAUGUAUUAUUUAUUAUUCUUUGAAACAAAUCUAAUUAUAAUUCUUUCAAAAUACAGAUGAAAUAACAAGUGAAAUCGGAAAAUAUUUUUCUGCGAUAAGAAUUCAUAUAUUCAUUGUAGUAGCACAUAUCAAAUAGACUAUAAAUUUAGUUCAAAAUACAUUCUUAUCUUCAUAUAAAUUUUACAUUACUAAUUUAAAUUAAUAUUAAAAUAUGUUGUUUCUUUCACUAUGUUAUUUUAUUUACACAAUGAUGUGACUAUUGGAAUUAAUAAUACUCGUAAUUACUUAGCAAGAAUAUAAAUUUAAUACUUUGUUAACAUUUUAUCUACAUAUAAUAAUUAAACUGAAACUUGUAUUUAAAAAAUUUUAGUUACGCAUAUUCAUUUCAUGAUAUAAAAGUGUAUAUUUAUACUAAUUUACCAUUAUCAAUAAAAUGCUUUGAGACAAAUAAUCUAAUUUAUAUUAGUAUAUUUAAAAUACUUGCUUUUAUUAUAUUUUGAAAAAACUUUAUUUGCAAUUAUUUUAAACCUUUGGAUUCAAAUUUUCUUAGUUAUGUAUAAAUGUAUAAUAGUCAAAAACAUAUUUGUAUGAUCAUUUUUCAAUGUAUAAAGUUUCUUAAUUAGUAGGAAAAUUAGAAAUUGUUGAUUUACUCAUAAAUAAAUUUAGUGUUUAGCAUUUCAAUUUUGGAAAACUUGAACUAACUGUUGAUAACUUCGAAUCGGUCUAGCCGAGUUUCACUUCCUUGUCCCAUGGACCCAUUGAAAGUUCUAUUCGAAUUGAGUUAGUACUUGUAAUAAUUGUAUAGUGUAUAAAUGACCUUUUAUUAUUACAGUGCAUCCGUUUUUAGAUAUUAUUUAUUAUUUGAAAAAUAAUCUGAAUGUAAUUCUUUCAAAAUACAGAGAAGAUACCACCUGAAAUCGGUAAUCUCCGAAAUCUGGAGGAGUUGAACCUUGGUGAUAACAAAUUAGUAGGUACUAUCCCAACUGCAAUCUUCAAUGUGUCAAAACUCAAAGCACUUAAGCUUUAUAGUAAUUCUCUCUUGGGAAGUCUUUCGUCCAUCCCAGACUUCCGACUUCCAAAUCUUGAAGUGCUUCUUUUGUGGGGUAAUAAUGUUAGUGGCACAAUUCCUUGUUUCAUUUUUAAUGCUUCUAAGCUCUCUAAACUAGAUCUGGAAAACAACUCAUUCUCAGGUUUUAUUCCCAACACAUUAGGCAACUUAAGAAACCUUGAGCGGCUUAAUUUAGGUGAUAAUUAUUUGACAUCUUCAACUCCAGAAUUGAGCUUUCUAUCCUCGUUGUCAAAUUUCAAGUCUUUAACACAUAUUGUGUUAUCAAAUAAUCCACUAGAUGGCAUUCUUCCAAAGACGUUUUUCAGUAAUCUUUCUUAUUCUUUGGAAGAAAUUCAAAUGCACAAUUGUAACAUUAGUGGCGGCGUUCCUAAAGAGAUCGGCAACUUGACCAAUUUGACAACCAUUAUUUUAGGAGGCAAUAAAUUGAAUGGAUCGAUUCCGAUUACUCUCGAAAAAUUACAAAACCUUCAAUAUUUGGGUCUUAAAGAUAACAAAUUACAAGGAUCAAUCCCAGACAGUAUUUAUCGUUUGACUGAACUGUAUGAGUUGGAGUUUGGCGGCAAUAAGCUUUCUGGAUCAAUCCCUGCAUGCUUCAGUAAUCUGGCUUCUCUGAGGAUACUUUCGUUGGAUUCCAAUGAGUUAACUUCUAUUCCCUUAACUUUUUGGAACCUUAAGGAUAUCUUGCAACUCAACCUUUCAUCAAAUUUUUUUACUGGCCCACUCCCAUUAGAGAUUGGAAAUUUGAAGGUUUUGGUUGGAAUUGAUUUUUCGAUGAAUGAUUUUUCAGGCGUUAUCCCAACAGAAAUUGGAGGCCUAAAAAAUCUAGAAUAUCUCUUCUUAGGAUAUAAUAGAUUGCAAGGAUCGAUUCCUGAUUCAUUUGGUGAUUUGAUAAGUUUGAAAUUCUUGAAUUUGUCCAAUAAUAAUCUCUCUGGGCCAAUUCCUGCAUCUUUAGAGAAACUCUCAUAUCUUGAAAAUCUAAAUCUUUCUUUCAACAAGCUGGAAGGGGAAAUUCCUAGGGGAGGAUCUUUUAGAAAAUUCUCAGCUGAAUCAUUUGAGGGAAAUGAAUUAUUAUGUGGUUCACCCAAUUUACAAGUCCCGCCAUGCAAAACUAGCAUCCACCGCACAUCAAGGAAAAAUGCUCUUAUCCUAGGGAUUGUCUUGCCAUUGAGUACUAUAUUUAUGACAGCAAUCAUUUUGUUGAUCAUAAAAUAUCGAAAAAGAGAAAAAAGGCCACCAAAUUAUCCUAAUAUGCCACCAAUAGCAACGUGGAGAAGGUUUUCAUACCUAGAACUCUGUCAAGCAACAGACAAAUUCAGUGAAAACAAUCUAAUCGGUAGAGGAGGUUUUGGCUCUGUCUACAAAGCAAGAAUUAGGGAUGGGAUGGAGGUUGCAGUGAAGGUUUUCAACCUGCAAUGUGGAAGAGCAUUUAAGAGUUUCGAUGUUGAAUGUGAAAUGAUGAGAAGUAUCCGCCAUUGAAACCUUGUCAAAGUUAUUAGCAGUUGUUCAAAUGAAGAGUUUAAAGCAUUGGUAUUAGAAUACAUGCCUCAUGGAAGUUUGGAGAAGUAUCUGUAUUCAAGUAACUACAGUUUGGAUAUUUUUCAAAGAUUGAACAUAAUGAUAGAUGUUGCAUCAGCUUUGGAAUAUCUGCACUUUGGUUAUUCAGCUCCAGUAAUUCAUUGUGACUUAAAGCCCAGCAAUGUAUUGUUAGACGAUAAUAUGGUUGCUCACUUGAGUGAUUUUGGCAUUGCAAAGCUCUUAACUGGAGAAGAUCAAUCUAUGACUCAAACACAAACACUUGCCACAAUAGGCUAUAUGGCACCAGGUUUGUUCAAUAUAAACAUUUUCUCUUUCUUGUAAACUUCCUAAUAAGUUACUUAUGUUUCAUGAUCUUCAUUAGAUGAGGAAAUUAUUAUUAAUAAUAUAUCUUAUGAUGUAACUGUUGCAAUUCAUAGAGUAUGGAAGAGAAGGACGAGUAUCCACCAAUGGAGAUGUUUAUAGCUUUGGGAUUAUGUUAAUGGAAACUUUUACUGGGAAGAAACUCACAGAUGAAAUUUUUAAUGGAGAAAUGACAUUAAAGGAUUGGGUUAAUGAUUGCCUACCCAUUUCCACUAUGGAAGUUGUUGAUGCUAAUUUGCUAAGUCAGGAGGACAUACAUUUUGUUGCAAAAGAGCAAUGUGUGUCAUUUGUCUUCAAUUUGGCUUUGGAGUGCACUAUGGAAUCUCCUGAGCAGAGAAUCAAUGCAAAAGAAAUUGUAGCAAAACUCUUAAAAAUUAGAGACUCAUUACUUAGAAAUGUUGGAGGCAUAUGUAUAAGACAAUCAAAUUUAAAUUGAUUUUGCCCCUCUUUCAUUGCUUGCUAUCUUUUUCAGAGAUUUGAACGAUUAUCCUUCAUACAAGUUUUGUUGAUAUGUUUUGUUAUUGCUCUUGCUCAUGUUUAUUUCUCUCUUACUUUAAUUUGCAUGCAUGCAUUUUCGUUCUCUUUCAUGUUUGCGUUGGUUUGUAUGUAGUUUGUUUUUUGGGGUAAGGUUCAUUAUGUCCUCACCCUAAUUACAUGUAUCCUUUUUAUUUUUAUUCAAUAAAGCUUCGUUAUUACUAUCGAAGUUUAUUGAAAGGAAAUUUUCAGUUGAUUUUCUUUUCUUUGACUAGUAAUGGAAAUUCUAAUCUUUAUAGUGAAUAACUUCAAUGAUAGAAUGUGUGAACAUAUUUAGUAUGUUGAAAAUGAUCAUUAGAGAAAACAACAAGUAUCAAGGAAUAAGAUGUAAUUAAAUUGAUUGGACAGUUAAGAUAUCGAUUUAAUUAAUGAUGUGGUACAAAAGAUUGAGCGGUAAAGAAAUCAAUGUGGCUUGGGACGAAUGAUUAUUCGAACAUACAAUUAUGGAGGUCAACUCCAAUCUUAUAGUGGAGUAUAGUUGGAAUUAAAUGAUUAGGCUUAUUUAAUUACAGGCUUAAUUGUUGUAGCCAAUAGUGUAUGUUCCCAAAUGAUCCCCGAGUUAGCUCAUUUAAUUGACUGCACCACUAUUGGAUUAAUAAGCAAGAUAACUAACUAUUUGGGUCAAAAGCCUAAAUAUAUCAUUUAGUGGGAGGCUCCAUUUAAUAUGCUUGUGUGUAAGGGGCCUUAUGUUAUUUUACAAGGUGGGCCCCCUAUAGAAAAAGCAAGUAACUUGAUUUUUUAUUUUUAUUAUUUAGAGCCUAGGGUUUUCACUAAAGGGAGAUAUAAAAAGACUUAUUUUCUCAAAAGAAAAAAGUGAGCCGCAAUACAUAGAUUAGAGAAAAAGAAUUUUUCUCUCUCUAAUUGAGAGGAAAAUUUUCUGUUGCUAGUUGCUUUUAGUAGUGAUAAAGGCGUCCACAAAUCAAGUGCAGAUCAAAUCUAAGUCAUAACCUGGAAGAUCAUUGGUGACAGAUCGUGAUCUAACAAGCGUGCUGGUGACGGAUCGUGAUCUAAUAGGUGUGGUGGUGACGGAUCGUGAUUAGGGAGCCUAGAUUAACUCAGCGAAAAAGCCAAAUCAAAUUGUCAAGGUAUGAUUUUCUAGAUUACGAAUUCCUAUAUAUUAUAUGAGAUCAAUCCUAAAAGCUUUUUUUUUAAAACUGAUUUUUCCCUGACAAGAAAUUCACGGAUCAAUGGCUUCUUAUUGUUUCUUUUAGAUGACAGCUUGCAAUCUCUGGGUGUGCAUUCAUAAUGCCUUACAUGAAUACAAGAAUGAAGGUUGCCCCCCCCCCCCCCCCCCCCCCCCCCCCUCUCUCUGGGCCAAUUGCAGUUUUGAUAACAACUCAAAUCGGUGUGGUAGAAAGCCUUGCCCCAGACCUCCGCCAUUUUCUCUUCCACCACAAUUUGGGGAACCUAAACUACUUACUUUUUGCCAGUUUUUCUUGAAAUAUUUUUGAGAAGAAAACCAACAAUACAUUUUAUGAUUUGGGCUGUUUUAAAGAUCUUUGCUUGAUACCUCUGCUACUGGUUUUCAGCAGAGUGCCCAAAAAUAAUCAGUGCACGCACUAUAGGCUCUAUUAUUAUCAGUAAAAAGUAUUAAUGAUAUAUAUUGGGAUCGACUUUUUUAUUUGGGAGUGGAAGCAUGCUUGAAAGAGUAGAGUGGUGCAUCUUGUUCAAACAUGCCAAUUCCAUCUUAUGAAAUAGGAGUUAGACUGAACAAUGUUAUGUCUUCAUUAUCAUUUCAGAAGGAAACAAAUCAAAUGCAGCAAUUGAUGUACGAGUUGCUGUUGGCGCUGCUAUAUUUUUUACAGACUCUCAUACCAUGGAAAAACUCAGCUUUAAAGAAUGGUAUGAUGCUUUGAUUUAUGAAGUAAUUGGUAUAUAUUUUGUACCUUCCAUACAUUUUGCUCUGUUAAUGUUAUUAUUUGAUAACAUGUUUGUCGAGUUGCACAGUGUCUAGAAUUUUGAGAUUAAGAAGAGUCUAAAUGCUAUACAAAUACACUCCUUUCAUUUUAUACAACUUUGAUUGAUCAUUGUUUUAAAUUUACCUCAGGCAUCAAUGGAGUCUAUCCGAGUCUCCUUUGCUGGGGAAUCAGUCAAAUAACAGCACAGGUGCAUAUGUUCUAUCUCUUUUCAUUUAAAACUUCAAUUGAGUUGCUAUCUAUUUAACUUUGGCAAGUGAGAGAGAGGGAUGGGACCGUCCAAUUAAAUUUAAGUUUCAAGUGGCAAUCCCACCACUGUCGUCUCAUGUUUGCCAAAUUCAAAUUUGAAAAUCUCACCAAGUCAGUAUGGUGAUGUUGUGGGAUUGUCUCGCCUAGGUUUUUAGCCUCAUGACCUCCUUUAUUAGAAAAAGUCUUAAGUGUUCUUACUCAAUGGUAGAAUCAUGAUUUUACUUCAAUGGAAGCCAUACUGAUUAAAAUAUACUCUUUUGAUCAACUACUUAUUUGAUGUUGCUCUCUCAACCUUAAUCUCCUUCUUUAUGAAAAAUUUAUUGUAAUACAUGGAAGUAUAUAUUGCACUGAGUAAAAUGAAAUUGUUCAAAAAUUAACAAAUUCAGCUUUAUUAUAAUCUAAAACAAAGUAAAUAGAAUAAUACCCAUCAUGUAAAAAUAAAAAAUAAAAUUUUUAUACCACUUGGAAUUUAUUUUAAAUGUUUUGGUCAAAUCUAAGAAGCACAAACUUUGAACAAUGAUAAUAGGUAAAAACUAAUAAUCUUAUAAUAAAAAGUAAGAAAAAAAAUAAAGUUGAUUUAGCAGCUAAGAAUAAAAAAAGAAAAAUAGAAAGAGAGAGAAAUUAGUUUAGGCUUUAACCAUUGUUAUAGUAGAGAAAAAAAUUAAUUAAGAGUAAUUAGUUUAGACACUAUAAUGUAUUAUGUAUACGAAGGCUACAUUUAAAUGUGAAAUAAAAAUGAGUGCUUAUAUUAAAAAACAAUCAGUCUCAUUGCGUCCUCUUUCAUCGACAUAGGCAAAUUUGCGGUCAACUCGUGGCACCCUUAUUGACACGCAAAGAACUUACAUCGAGGAGUUGUUUGAUUUUAUGUUUCAAACUAAGUACCAUAGCAUUACUACUUCUAUAAAUAACUCAUUUGAGCUUCGAGCCUGUUAUUUGUAUUUUACGUUUCUGUUUCUCUUCAUAAAGAUUUUUUUUUCCAUUCUCUUUUUCUUCCACUUUCCCGACUCCCAAACACCACCAGUCUUUGAUUUUCCUAGAGUAUUAACUGUCUGUUUACACGAACAUAGACCGACUGUUUGUCUAAUUACUGUCAAGAAACAGCAUACUCUGUCUCGGAGUCUCAUCGUUUAUUGACUUGUCACUUGUGAACGGGCUAAUUAAAGGGCGUUCCUUUCUUCAAGAAAGAAUGCCAAGAAAGUACCAUCCAUUAGACACGUUAAGAAUUAUAAUUUUACAUUAAAAAUGGUAAUAAUCAUAAUAAUCGGUUUAGUGUUACCCCGUUAUUAGGUAAUGGCUGUCCGAUUGUCUUCGCUUUCAUUGACUUCGCAACUGUGACUUCUAAGCCGGGUUAAGGAUUGACAAAAUGUUAUAACCCAUAAAGCACGGAUAAUUAAUUAAUGGGCCACUGAUUUCUUCUUUCAUAAAAGAGAACUUUUCCAGGGAGAUUGGAAAAAAAGGCUAAUUCUGGGUAAAGAUCAGAAACUUCUCAAAUAAAAAUUUGGCUCUGUGGAAAUUAAAUUAAAAGCAAUUAAGCAUUAUAAAUUACUUAACAGCUUAAUUCUGAGCUAAUCGAGUUUGGUUUUGAAAAAUAUACCUUUAAAUCUCUUGUAAUUAAAGAUAAUUAUCAUAUUACCGUCUCAAAUGGACCGAUUUCAAUUAAAUGAAAUCUAGAAAAUUGAGCAGCUCAUUGAUGUAUUUGGUCGAAUUGUGACUUGUGUCAGAGUCUUCGGUUUAGAAGAGUGCACAGCAGCUGCCAGGUCCACUUGGCAGUUGGCACGCCAAAAAUUUUCUGUUGACAAUAAUUUUAUUAAUUUACUAUCAAAUAUUUUCUAUCACAUCAUUUUACUAUCAAAAUUUUUUGACAAUAAUUUUUUGUCACUUAAUAUUUCAGUUUUUAUCAUUUUAUCAUCAAAAAAUAGUAAAUGCAUACUUAGUGUAAGUUAUCCAUAAAAAUGGUUGUUGAAUUGUCUUGUUUCUCAUUUGGUUUAAUUUUCAUAAAUUCGACUCACGCAAUUCAAUUAUGAGUGAAGAGUUUUUUUGGGAAAAAUCUGGUCUUCCAUUUACUAGAAUCAGGUCUGAAUGAUUUUAUUAUUUUUCUUUUGUUUGAAAUAUACGUGGAAAAUGUUGAACACUUUGUAGGAUUUAGAAGAAUUUGAAAGUUUGAAUGCAUAUAGUUUACUAUCCAUCAGCUAGUGCAUAUUCUGUAUUUUAUGAAAUCAAAGCUGGUUGAUUGAGAAAUGGACCUUAUUACAUGUCAUAAGAUUUUACAGUGCUUUCUAAUGGAGCAAAAUAAAAUGAUUCUUACCUGCACAGAAAAUUAGAAACGAAAAGGAGGGUUACUGAUCCACAGAGUUGUUAUUUACGAGAAGCACAUAGAUAUUACACUUAAUUAGCCUUUCAAAACUUCAUUUUCAAAAAUCUAUGGUUGUGAUGCGUCUCUAUAAACUCAUUUUAAACUCUGUUCUGAACAGAGCAUGAAAGGAUAUGUUCACUUUUCUAGUUAUGUUUUUUAUGCUUUCACUUCACUUGAUUCACCUUGUCCCUCUUUUAAAACAGCUGUAUAUGUUGGAGUGCCAAAUCCAUCACAAGGAUCAUAUUAUAUCCUACGGAAGGAGCACAGUUCAUUGGCUGCACUCAGUUUACAGAGUAUUUCGGGAUUCAAGACUGUAGGUUGUUGCGGAUGCAACUUGCAAGGCUGUUGCUUUGUGACUGUAUGCGACGCUGGCAAGUGUGCUCUGACAGAUUGUGGAGAUGGCACCAAAGAUUGUAAACUAACUAGUACUGAAAAAUCCUAUUUGCACAUAAAAUUGCAUAAAAUAAAUAGAUUGAGAAAAGUUGUAUAAAGAAAUAAGAUUAAUAAAGUAAAUAAAUUUAUCUUUUAGUGUUUUUGUGUAUUUUUAGGUACGUACAAGAAGCAUUACUCAUUAGAGUGCAAUUUAUGCACUAGUUUUGCAUUAUUUACUUCCCUUAAUAUCGAUGUUUUGCAUUUAAUAAUAGUGAUUUACUUGUAUUUUACUUUUGUAGGUGCAAUUCUAUUGAUUGGUGAUAAAAUUGAGCUACAAGAUUAUGUCUAAGGAUGAUUGUUCUCUUGGAGAAAUUAUGAGCGUCAGAAGAACUUUGUUGAUAAGGCGUGGGCGCGUGCUGUCAACUACGGACCUGUAGUUUUUAGUUUAACGUGUUUUGUAUUUUUGGUUAUUUUUGUAAUUACGAAUUUAAUAUUUCAGAUAUUAGUAUUUUAUUUUAAAUAGAACUAUAGAGGAGAAGAGAGAGAGAGUAUUUAAGGGAAGAAUCUAUUGUGAAAAAGGGGACUUUCGGGGGAUUUUGAAAAAAAAGAAAGAAACUCUGGAUCUAAAUUUUUCUCUUCUCUCUAUGAAGAACUAAACCUAUUAUUCUGGUUUAAGGUUAAUGAAGCUUUGAUUCAUCACUACUGUGAGAUCUUUCUUAUUAUCAUGAUUAUGUUUGUUAAUUAGAUAAUUGACCACUAUUUAAUUAACAAACAUAAUCAUGAUAAUAAUUAAGAGAAUAAACAAAUACCCAAAAAGUAAUAAAACAAUUAAAGCAUAAGAAAGAUCUCACAGUAGUGAUAAUUAUAUUUUUUUUAAAAUAUAAAUAAAAUGAAUUUAUUUAAUGGAAAUUUAAAAAAGAGACACUUAUCUAUGCAAGCAAAGUUGCAUUCUGUCUGUGGGGACCUUAAAAAAAAAAGCAUAAUGAUAAACUGAUGACGACAAUCCUUAAGUAUUUGUUUUCUUUAGUUACAGUUAGGUUUGAAUGGUUAAGUUCAAGUUCGAAUUUUCUUUUUGUAAUUUAAAUUAAAAUUGAUAGAACAAAUGGGCUAAUCAGUAUGAUGAAGAAGAAGAAGAACUUUUGGUCCAUUCAAUGGACCGAAUUCAAUCAAAUGAAAUCUAGAAAAUAGAGCAGCUCAUAGAUGUACGUCGCUAAGUGGAUGUUCAUUUGGAAGUACUUUUGGUCGAAUUGCGACUUGCGCCGGAGGCUUCGUUUUAGAAGAGUGCAGAGCAGCUGCCUUGUCCAUUAGGCACGCCAACGACUUUCUAUUGACCAAUAAUUUUGAAAGCGAUAUUAUUAAUUUACCAUCUAAUUUUUUUAUAUUAUCAUUUCACCAUCAAAAUUUUUUGAUAAUUAUUUUUUUCACUUUGUGUUUUAGUUUUUAUUAUUUUACUACCAAAAAAUAGUAAACACACCCCUAAGAUAGGUUAUCCACAAAAAUAGUUACCGAAUUGUCUUGUUUCUCAUUUUGUUUAAUUUUCAUAAAUUCGACUCAUGAUUCAAACGUGAGUGAAGAGUUUUUUUUUGGGAAAAAAAUCUGGUCUUCCAUUUACUAGAAUUAGGUAUGUGUGAUUUUAUUAUUUUUCUUUUGCUUGAUAUAUAUCUGGAAAAUUAUGAAUACUUUGCAGGAUUUAGAAGGAUUUGAAUAUUUGAAAGCAUAUGGCUUUCUGUCCAUCAGCUAAUGCAUAUUCUGCAUUUUAUGAAUAUCAGAGCUGGUAGAUUGAAAAAUGGACCUUAUUACAUGUCAUAAGAUACUUUGCUCAAAGCUGCAAUUGGGCAACGCCGUGCUGUUCUUAUCGGCCAAGGCAAGCCAUUUACUAUUCUUUCUAAUGGAGCAAAAUAAGAUGAUUCUUACCUGCAUAGAGAAUUAGAAAAGAAAAGGAGGAUUACUGAUCCACAGAGCUGUCAUUUACUAGAAGCACAUAAAUCUUACACUUAAUUCAUUACCCAUCUGUAAUGUUCUAAUGAUACUUAAGUAUUACCUAAAUUAGCCUUUCAAAAUUUCACUUCGAAAAAAUCCAAGGUUGUGAUGUGUCUGUAUAAAUUCGCUAACACAAGUUCUCUCUAUUCCCAAUUGUUUUAAACUCUGUUCUGAACAGAGCAUGAAAGGAUAUAUUCGUUUAUCUAGUUAUGUUUUUUAUGCUCUCACUUCACUUGAUUCACCUUCUCCAUCUUUUAAAACAGUUGUAUAUGUCGGAGUAUCAAGUUCAUCACAAGGAUCAUAUUAUGGCCUAAGGAAGGAGCACAGUUUAUUGUCUGCACUCAAGCUUAGCAGAAUAUUUUGGGAUUCAAGAGUGUUAGUAGGCCGUUACAGAUGCCAUGCUGGCAAGCGUGCUAUGACUGAUUGCUAUUUGCACGUAAAAUUGCCCAAAACAAAUAGAAUGAGAAUACUUGUACAAAAGGACAAGAUUAAUAAAGUGAAUAAAUUUUAUCUUUUAGUGAAUGCUUCUUGUCUUUUAGAGUUUUAGUGCAUUUUCGUGUGUAAUUUUAUGUGCAAAUAGCAUUACUCAUUAGUAAUUAGUCUAGAGUGUUCUAAUUUCUUCUAAUAAGUAGCUGAUUUGAGCUUAAGACUUGUAUUUUAAGUUUUUAUUACUUUCUAAUAAAGAUUUUCUCUGUUCUUUUUUACUUUCACUUUCUCUUCCAUUUUCCCGACUCCCAAACACCACCAAUCCUUGAUUUUCUAGAGUAUAGCUAUGCAGUUCUACAAACACGCAACUGCUGUUUGUCCAUUUACUUUCAAGAAACAACGUACUCUGUGGUUUAUUGACUUGUGACUUGUGACUUGUGACUGGGGCAAAUUAGUCACGGUCCGAUUGUCUCCUCUUCCACUGACUCUGUCAAUUCAUGACUUUGGCACACAGUAGACGCCGGCUGCCUGCUUCAUUUGACGUGCAAAAAACUUUCUUUGGUUUUUUUGUUUGGUAAAUUAAACUCAACCUAUGGGUUAUUUUGUUUGGUGAUGAUGAGUUAUUUGUCAAUUCAUGAGUUUGAUGCAGUGAAACGCUUAACGCUCUCUUGUGAUGCGCAGGAGAAAAGCCAGCGAUGAUGAAGAGGACGAAAAACAUUAUUUUGUUAUUUACAAUAAGACUAUCCAAAUGGAAUCUUGUUUUCUAAAAUAAUUGGGUUUCGAUGGUCAUUUUGUUUUCUAAAAUAUCCAAAUGGAAUCUUACAGAAUUAGAGUGCUCGACUUCUUUAUACAGAAUUUAUAAAGGGGAAAAAUCAAGAAAUUAAAUACUCUUCAUAUAGUGAGAGGAGAUUUGGUUGCCAUAAUGAGAAAUAAAAGAAAAAUAAAUUAAAAGUACAAUACUUCAAUAAUCUCAUUCCCAAACAUACCAGAAAUAAAAUUUUCUGUACAUUUAUGAAAUAACUAUUGAUUUUACUUUGGUAAUUUUUUUUUUUUUAAAGUAAGGUAAACAUCUUUAUUUUCUUUGCAUACGAGCCUUCUUUCUUUUGCUUUGGCCUUUGCUCUUGACUAUAUUUCAUGGUCAUAUUCAAUCAAAAUCUUCUGUAGAUUUGUGGCUGUUUUAAGAGUUACAAUAAAUAUGUUAUCUCAAUUUAAAAAAAAAUGCAAUCGCAAUUAUCAAACACGACUAAUCCUAACAAUUUAUUCAAAAAUUUGAGUGUCAAGAAAUGUAGUAUUUAUGAUAGCAUGGCUAGUUUCAGAUAAAUGAUAAAUCAAUAUAUGACAUGUUACUAACUUACUUUAGGAAGAAAAUUAUAGAAUAAGUUUUUGAAUUAAUAGAAUUAUUUUACGACAAAACUAUCACAAUCUAAUUUAAAAAUAAAGUUAUUCUUUAAAUUUCUCAUUACUAUUCCUACCUGUCUUGUUAUACUACUUAAUGGCACUGCUGAAGCCUUGAACUAUCAAACAAAAAGCAAAAACACAUCAACAUCUGUUGUCCCAGUGAGCACUGUUAAAUUCAUACGAUAAAAGGAGUCUUUAAUUGACAUAGGCAAUGUGCGGUCAACUUGUGGCACCCUUACUGACACGUAAAGAACUUUCUUACACCACAGCCAAUACUUUUAUGAAUUUUUAGGACAGGUAAAAUUUUCAAAUUUAAAAGAAAAAAAUACAGAAAAGUAAUUUCAAUUUAUCCAAAAAUUUGAGUUUCAAGGAAUGUAGCAUUUAUUAUAUGUCAUGUUAACAUAAAGAAGAUUUAAAAAUUUCUUUUUUGAAUGAAUAAAAGUAUUUUUUGAUAAAAAUUUGACAAUCAUAUUUACAAAAAAAAAUAAAAAAAAAUCGCUCCUCUUCCUACAUAAUUUAAGAAUUUAACAUUUUAAAUUAAUCUUUUUAAUCAAAGUAAUAAUCUCUCCUUCCGUCUGUAAAUGCUAAAAUUUAAUAUUAUAUCCGUUGACGAUAUUUGCUCCAAAUUCACGAGAAUAAAAUUUCUAAUAGAAUUGUGAAAUUCGUUACUCGAAAUUUGUAUAAAAUUCGUGAGAAUAGAAGGUUUGAUCAUAGGAAAUUAAAAUAUCACUAUCCAAUGCAAAAAUGGUUAUAAAGAAAAACAAAAGUCACGGGCUUAUUAUAGAAAAAAAAAUUACUUUCCAUUUUCCAAUAAUUAAAUUAAUUCUAAAAUCAUAGACUUUUGGAAAGUAUCACAAAGGAUAGACUUUUGGUGACCGAGGUCAAGCCUAACGCAUGCCGGUCUUUUUCUCCUCUACUUUCUUAGAAAUUUUGGUUUCACUAUAAAUACUCGGCAUUACCAAUCCAAUUAAGCACAGACUUACAAUCUAAAAUACUCUCAUCUCAUGGAAAGAGUUCAUUCUCUCAGUAUGAUGAGCAGAUUUCUCUUACUCCAUUGUUUGAUUCUUAUUUUCUUAUUUAUCACAACUGCAACAGCCAACACAAGUACUAUUACCACAGACCGAGAUGCUCUGCUUGCCCUGAAAGCUCACAUAACUCAUGAUCCAACCAAUUUCUUCGCCAAAAAUUGGAACACGAGUAUCUGUUUCUGUAAUUGGACAGGCGUCACUUGUGAUCUCCAUAGCCAUAGAGUCACAGUCUUGAAUAUUUCAAGCUUAAAUCUCACAGGCCCCAUCCCUGCUCAACUUGGGAAUCUUUCUUCUCUGCAAUCACUCAAUCUCAGUUGUAACCGACUUUCUGGUUCCAUUCCCUCCGCCAUCUUCACCAUAUACACACUGAAAAAUGUUAGUCUCCAUAAAAAUCAGCUCUCUGGGCAAAUUCCUGCAAAUAUUUGUAGUUAUCUUCCUUUUCUUGAAGUUCUUUCUUUGUCCCAAAACAUGCUUCAUGGCGGAAUACCGUCCACUCUAUCAAAUUGCACAUAUUUAAGAAUCUUAAGUCUGCCAUACAAUAAUUUCUUGGGAGCCAUACCAAAAGAAAUUGGGAACUUGACCAAACUUAAGCUAUUAUAUAUUGGCGUUAAUAGACUCCAAGGUGCGUAUGAUCAUGGAGUUUAAUUAUAAAAAUUGUUCCGCAAGUUGUAAUAUGUAUAAUGUUCCAUAAUGCAAUUUACACACGUUGAUUAAUUUGCAGGGGAAAUUCCUCGAGAGUUUGGCAAUCUUGCCGAAUUGGAGCGGAUGUCGUUAGCAACUAACAAACUCCAAGGUAUGAUUAUAAACUUUUUGCAAUUUGAUUCUAGCCUCUGCUUGCUUCUGUAUUCAUUCGUUUGUUCAUUAAUUGUUUUUCUUUCAGAUGGAGAUAAAGCUCCAUGUCUCUCCUCACUAAUUUCAUGCUUUAAUUUAUGCAGAUAAAAAUAAAAAAAAAUUUAAUUUUCUUUAUUCAUAUUGCCACUUCCGUUUUGAAGCUCCCAAUCAAGUCGAUGAAAAUGAAUGAUGUUUCAUUCUGAUUCUUGUCAGCCUAAUCUAUAUAUAUAUAUAAAGCUGAGACUUGAGGAGGUGAUAUGGUAUCACUAUUUCUCAUCUUUGUAUAUUCUCUAUUUUCUAAUAAAUAGAGAAAUUUUCUUUUAAAUUUAGUUUUUCAUCUUCUCACAAUUAAUUUAAUUGUUAUUACACAAUAACAAUUAUGUAAAGGUUUUAAUGAGGCAUAUUCUUUGUAAUGAACAUCCAAGGGGGAGUGUUAUGAAUUUAUUAAAAUAAAUGUAGAUGUUCAUAACAUAUAUCUCUUAGUCUCCCUACUAUCUCCCAUUAGCAACCUUUAACUUCCCUAUAACUCCCACUAUCUCACAAGAAAUUAUGAUCCAUAAUUUUUCCUUAAUUUCAUGGAGUGAUUAUGUAACUAUAAAAGGAGAGCUCAUCUUUUUGUUUUGUACACACAAUUGAAAUGAAUAAAAUCACUGUAUAAUAUAUUCUCUCAUUUUAUUCUUUAUCUUGCAUUACUUCUUUAUUUGUAUUGCUGGCUAAUAGCUUUUUUUAUUUUUUAUAAGGCUGCCUCAUCUUAAAAAAAAAAUCAAUUCAUAUUUUUUAUCAGUUUCAUCAAGUGUAAAGUAAAAAAAAAAGGAUAAUACUAAAUUCUUUUUUCAAAGCCGCGUGAAACGCGGUUAUAUUUUCUAGUUCUUAUAUAAUUGAAGAGUAAAUUGUCAUUAUGAUAUUCGUCAGCAAAUAAAUUCUUUUUUUCUUUUUUCCCCCCAAAUAUGAGUGAUCAAAUUGUUUGCGCAUAUAUAUAUAUAUAUAUAUAUAUAUAUAUAUAUAUAUAUAUAUAUGUAUGUAUGGAGAAAUGUUCCAGUCAGGGAUUUUAAAGUACGGGAAAGUACGGGAAACCUUUAAAACCGCAUGGUUUUAAAGGCUUAAAACUGUAAGCCUUUAAAGCUGUGUGGUUUUAAAGGUUUCCCAUACUUUCCCGCACCUUAAAAUCCCUGAUCAGAAAACUACUAUGUAUGUAUGUAUAUAUAUGUACUUAAUUCGCAGGAGGUAUUCCACAGGAAUUGGGGAAUCUUGCAAAAUUGGAGGGGUUACAGCUGUUCGGGAAUAACUUGACUGGUAACUUUCUUUACGAUAUAUAUAUAUGAGACAUCUUCCACUUCUUAAUUAAAAGAUUUCAAGUCUCUCAUUAUAAAUUCUCAUAUGAGGAUGUGUCGUUACCACUAUCUAACAUAUAUAUUUUUUAUUCAAAAUUAGUUUGUGUUAAUUCAAAAUUCUAUAGCAUUUAAAAAAUAUUAAAAACACGUGGAAUAAAUCGUCGAUCUUUCUUCUUUACUGAAUUUGGAUUUCUCAAAAAUUAUCUCAACAAGUAUGCUUCACUAAUGAUAUGCAUGUGAGACAACUUCAUAAAAUAUUUUACAUGGAAUCAAUAAUUAUCUUUAAAUAAUUGGAGAUGCCAUCAGUGAUACAUAAUUUCUUAAUAAGCACCAUACCAAAAGAAAUCAACAAUUUUAUUAAUCUUAAAGAGUUACAUCUUCACUGCAAUUAUGACAUAAAUUUUUAGUCACCAAUCACAUAAUAUUUUAUCUUAACGGAUGAUGUUCAAUCUUGGAAUUUAUAAUACCUUGAAGGUUAGCAGCUUUGAAAAUAAGAAAUUGUUCAUUUGCUAAAAAGUUAACUUAGUAUUUAAGUUUUUCAAUUGAAAAUUUUGAAAAAAGUAUUGAGAACUGGCCCUCCCUAGUAUUUCAGUGGAUGAAUAUGAAAAAUAGGCUUGAAGAAAUUAUUGUUGUGUGUGCUUAUUCUACUUGGGCUUUGGGCUUGAUUACAUGGUCGAGCACUUACACCUGUUAUAAUAAUAGGCUUUUACUUUCACCACACGUUUGAUAAUUUCUUAACCUUCCCAAUUAGGUUAUAGCAAUUUAUAUAUAAAUAACACUUACACCUGUUAUAAUAAUAAUAGCAUCCGCCGAUCGACUACGAGUGAUCAAAUUGUUUGCACAUAUGUAAUUUGCAGGAGCAAUUCCGCGGGAGUUGGGAAAUCUUACAGGAUUGGGGACCUUAGAGCUGUCUGAAAAUUUUUUGACCGGUAUCAUUCCUUCAUCUAUCUACAAAUUGCUUUUCUCUAUUAAAUUUGAAAUUGUCAUUUAAUAACUUAACAAGUAACUUCCCUUACAACAUCUAUCUACAAAUUACUAAUUUAAAUUAAUAUUAAAAUAUGUUGUUUCUUUCACUAUGUUAUUUUAUUUACACAAUGAUGUGACUAUUGGAAUUAAUAAUACUUAUAAUUAUUUUGUAAAAAUAUAAAUUUAAUACUUUGUUAACAUUUUAUCUACAUAUAAUAAUUAAACUGAAACUUCUAUUUAAAAAAUUCUAGUUACGCAAAUUCAUUUCAUGACAUAAAAGUGUAUAUUUAUGCUAAUUUACCAUUAUCAACAAAAUGCUUUGAGACAAAUAAUCUAAUUUAUAUUUGUAUAUUUAAAAUACUUGCAUUUAUUAUAUUUUGAAAAAAAAUUAUUUUACUGAAAUAAUAGGCUUUUACUUUCACCACACGUUUGAUAAUUUCUUAACCUUCCGAAUUAGGUUAUUGCAAUUUAUAUAUAAAUAACUAAAGCAUACUAAAGCUAGCAUACAGUACUCAUGACUUAGGCUUGCUGCAAUAUCCAUUAAACACGGUCGAACACUUACACAUGUUAUAAUAAUAUUAGCAUCCGCCGAUCGACUAUGAGUGAUCAAAUUGUUUGCACAUGUGUAAUUUGCAGGAGCAAUUCCACUGGAGUUGGCAAAUCUUACAGGAUUGGAGAUCUUAGGCCUGUCUGAGAAUUUUUUAACCGGUAUCAUUCCUUCAUCUAUCCACAAAUUGCUUUUCUCUAUUAAAUUUGGAACUGUCAUUUAAUAACGUAACAGUUAACUUCCCUUACAACAUGUCUGUGUGACAUGUUUUGCUUCUUAAUUAAAAUAUUUCACUUCUCUCAUUAUAAAUUCUCAUAGGAGGAUGUGUUGUUAUUACUAUUUAACAUUAUCUCGUUUUUUAUUAGAAAUUAAUCUGUGUUUAUGCAAAAAAAUUUAGCAUCUAAAAAAAGUAUAAAAACACGUGGAAUAAAUCGAAAAUCUUUCUUCGUUACUGAAUUUCAAUUUCUCAAAAAUUAUCAUGACAGCUAUGUUAGUGUCUUACUAAUGAUAUGCAUGUGUGACAGCUCCAUAAAAUAUUUUACAUGGAAAAUAUGAAAAAUAGACUUAAAAAAAAAAAUUAUUUUACUGAAAUAAUAGUUAAAAAGAGAGGAGAAGUACAGUACUCAUGACUUAGGCUUGCUGUGUACUUAUUUUACUUGGGCUUCGGGCUUGAUUACACACGGUUGAACACUUACAUCCCCCGACAUAGGCUUUGAGGGAUGAGUGGCGUCAAAUGUGUAUCUGCUUUUAUGUAUUAUUAUUCUUUGAAACAAAUCUGAUUAUAAUUCUUUUAAAAUACAGAUGAAAUAGCAUGUGAAAUCGAAAAAUAUUUUACUGCGAUAAGAAUUCAUAUAUUCAUUGUACUAGCACAUAUAAAAUAGACUAUAAAUUUAGUUCCAAAAUACAUUCUUAUCUUCAUAUAAAUUUUACAUUAUUAAUUUAAAUUAAUAUUAAAAUAUGUUGUUUCUUUCACUAUGUUAUUUUAUCUACACAAUGAUGUGACUAUUGGAAUUAAUAAUACUUAUAAUUAUUUUGUAAAAAUAUAAAUUUAAUACUUUGUUAACAUUUUAUCUACAUAUAAUAAUUAAACUGAAACUUGUAUUUAAAAAAAUUCUAGUUACGCAUAUUCAUUUCAUGACAUAAAAGUGUAUAUUUAUGCUAAUUUACCAUUAUCAACAAAAUGCUUUGAGACAAAUAAUCUAAUUUAUAUUUUUAUAUUUAAAAUACUUGUAUUUAUUAUAUUUUGAAAAAAAUUUAUUUGCAAUUAUUUUAAACCGUUGGAUUCAAAUUUUCGUAGUUAUUAAAGUCAAAGGGUAUAAAUGUAUAAUAGUCAAAAAUAGAUUUCUGUGAUCAUUUUUCAAUGUAUAAAUUUUCUUAGUUAGUAGAAAAAUUAGAAAUUGUUGAUUUACUCAUAAAUAAAUUUAAUGUUUAGCAUUUCAAUUUUGGAAACUUUGAAUCGGUCGAGCCGAAUUUCGCUUCCUUGACCCACAGACCCAAUGAAAGUUCUAUUCGAAUUGAGUUUCCCAGUGCUUACAAAAAGCAUUUCUUUUCCUUGUCGCAGUAAUUUAUUCACAAAUGAGUUGAUUAGCAUCGAAGUUACCUGAGAGUCUGAGACCAUGCUAGUAGGAGAAAUUUGAAAAGAAAUUAUUUUACUGAAUUAAUUUAUUUUAUCUUGUUGUAACUGAAAUACUACUUUUUUUUUUGGGCUGUCACUUGGGCUUGAUUUACCUUAAUAGUAGCAGCCACCGACUUAGGCGUUUUUUACUUCUCACCACACAAUUUGAUCUUUUAAUUUGUUUUAACCACAUAAUCUAUCUAUUUUUCACCUAUUGCUUACUUAAAUCGCAUACAUAUUUUACCUACUAAUUUUUAUAAAUAUUAGUCAAAUAUAUUUUAUUACGUUUCUCUCGUAACUGCUCCAAAUGUGUACUAUUAAUACUUAACCCUCCCUUUUAAUUCACCAUGCAAUCUAUCUAUCACUUAAGUCACAUAUAUAUUUUACCCCAAAAAAUAUAAAAAUAAAAGAAAAAGAAUAUGUGUAGCAAUUUGCAUAUAACUAACAAAGCAUUGACGGUGUGUAGCCUUUCAAUACUUCACGAGUGGCUUUUCUUGUGUGUUAGUACUUGUAAUAAUUGUGUAGUGUAUAAAUGACAUUUUAUUAUUAAAGUGUGUCCAUUUUUAGAUAUUACUUAUUAUUUGAAAAAUAAUCUGAAUAUAAUUCUUUUAAAAUACAGGGGAGAUACCACUUGAAAUUGGUAAACUCCAAAUUCUGGAGGACUUGCACCUUGGUCAAAACAAAUUAAUUGGUACUGUCCCAGUUGCAAUCUUUAAUGUGUCAACACUCAAAUUACUUCAGCUUCAAAAUAAUUCUCUCUCGGGAUGUCUUUCGUCCAUCGCAAACAUCCGACUACCAAAUCUUGAAAAGCUUCAUUUGUGGGGUAAUAAUUUUAGUGGCAUAAUUCCUCGUUUCAUCUUUAAUGCUUCUAAGCUCUCUACACUAGAGUUGGAAGAGAACUCAUUCUCCGGUUUUAUUCCCAACACAUUUGGCAACUUAAGAAACCUUGAGCGGCUUAAUUUAGGUGAUAAUUAUUUGACAUCUUCAACUCCAGAAUUGAGCUUUCUAUCCUCGUUGUCAAAUUGCAAGUCUUUAACACUUAUUAUCUUAUCAAAUAAUCAACUAGAUGGCAUUCUUCCUAAGACGUCUAUCGGUAAUCUUUCUCGUUCUUUGGAAGAAUUUUACAUGCACAAUUGUAACAUUAGUGGCGGCAUCCCUGAAGAGAUCAGCAACUUGACCAACUUGACAACCAUUAUUUUAGGAGGCAAUAAAUUGAAUGGAUCAAUUCCGAUUACUCUCGGCAAAUUACGAAAGCUUCAACGGUUGAAUCUUGAAGAUAACAAAUUAGAAGGAUCAAUCCCAAACGACAUUUGUCAUUUGGCUGAACUGUAUAGAUUGGAGCUGGGCGGCAAUAAGCUUUAUGGAUCAAUCCCUGCAUGCUUCGGUAAUCUGGCUUCUCUGAGGAUACUGUCGUUGGGUUCCAAUAAGUUAACUUCUAUUCCUUUAACUUUUUGGAACCUUAAGGAUAUCUUGCAACUCAACUUUUCAUCAAAUUUUUUGACUGGCCCACUCCCAUUAGAGAUUGGAAAUUUGAAGGUUUUGAUUGGAAUUGAUUUUUCGAUGAAUAAUUUUUCAGGCGUUAUCCCAACAGAAAUUGGAGGCCUGAAAAAUCUAGAAUAUCUCUUCUUAGGAUAUAAUAGAUUGCGAGGAUCGAUUCCUGAUUCAUUUGGUGAUUUGAUAAGUUUGAAAUUCUUGAAUUUGUCCAAUAAUAAUCUCUCUGGGGCUAUUCCUACAUCUUUAGAGAAACUCUCAUAUCUUGAAGAUCUAAAUCUUUCUUUCAACAAGCUAGAAGGAGAAAUUCCUAGGGGAGGAUCUUUUGGAAACUUCUCAGCUGAAUCAUUUGAGGGAAAUGAAUUAUUAUGUGGUUCACCCAAUUUACAAGUCCCGCCAUGCAAAACUAGCAUCCACCAUACAUCAUGGAAAAAUUCUCUUCUCCUAGGGAUUGUCUUGCCAUUGAGUACUACAUUAUUGAUAGUAGUCAUUUGGUUGAUCCUAAGAUAUCGACAGAGAGGAAAACAACCAUCGAAUUAUGCUAAUAUGCCACUAGUAGCAACGUGGAGAACAUUUUCAUACCUAGAACUUUGUCGAGCAACAGACGGAUUCAGUGAAAACAAUCUAAUUGGCAGAGGAGGUUUUGGCUCUGUUUAUAAGGCAAGACUUGGGGACGGGAUGGAGGUUGCAGUGAAAGUUUUCAAUUUGCAAUGUGGAAGAGCGUUCAAGAGUUUCGAUGUUGAAUGUGAAAUGAUGAAAAGUAUUCGCCAUCGAAACCUUAUCAAAGUUAUUAGUAGUUGUUCAAAUGAAGAGUUUAAAGCGUUGGUAUUAGAAUACAUGCCUCAUGGAAGUUUGGAUAAGUAUCUGUAUUCAAGUAAUUGCAUUUUGGAUAUUUUUCAAAGAUUGAACAUAAUGAUAGAUGUUGCAUCAGCUUUGGAAUAUCUGCACUUUGGUUAUUCAGCUCUAGUAAUUCAUUGUGACUUAAAGCCCAGCAAUGUAUUGUUAGACGAUAAUAUGGUUGCUCAUUUGAGUGAUUUUAGCAUCGCAAAAUUGCUAACUGGAGAAGAUCAAUCUAUGACUCAAACACAAACACUUGGCACAAUCGGCUAUAUGGCACCAGGUUUGUUCAAUAUAAAAUUUUUCUAUUUCUUGUAAACUUCCUAAUAAGUUAUUUAUGUUUCAUGAUCUUCAUUAGAUAAGGAAAUUAUUAUUAAUGAUAUAUCUUACUAAGUAACUGUUACAAUUCAUAGAGUAUGGAAGAGAAGGACGAGUAUCCACAAAUGGAGAUGUUUAUAGCUUUGGGAUUAUGUUAAUGGAAACUUUUACCGGGAAGAAACCCACAGAUGAAAUUUUUAACGAAGAAAUGACAUUAAAGCAAUGGGUUAAUGAUUGGCUACCCAUUUCCACUAUGGAAGUUGUUGAUGCUAAUUUGCUUAGUCAGGAGGACGUACAUUUUGUUGCAAAGGAGCAAUGUGUGUCAUUUGUCUUCAAUUUGGCUAUGGCGUGCACUGUGGAAUCUCCUGAGCAGAGAAUCAAUGCAAAAGAAAUUGUAAAAAAGCUCUUAAAAAUUAGAGACUCAUUACUUAGAAAUGUUGGAGGCAGAUGUAUAAGACAAUCAAAUUUAAAUUGAUUCUACCCUUCCUUCAUUGCUCGUUAUCCUUUUUAGAGAAUUGAACAGUUAUCCUUCAUAUAAGUUUUGUUGAUAUGUUUUGUUAUUGCUCUUGCUCAUGUUUAUUUCUCUGUUUCUUUAAUUUGCAUGCAUGUAUUUUUCAUUAUCUUUUAUGUUUUUGUUGGUUUGUAUGUAGUUUGUUUUUAGGGGUAAGUUGAUCAUGUCCUCCCCUAAUUAGACGUAUCCUUUUUAUGUUUAUUCAAUAAAGCUUCUCUAAUAUUAUGGAGGUUCAUCAAAAGAAAAUUUUUAAUUAAUUUUCUUUUCUUUGAUAGGUAAUGAAAUUUUAAUCUUCAUCGUGAAUAACUUCAAUAACAGAGUGUAAGAGUAUUAGUAGUUAUGGUUAUUUUUUGAACCUGGAGUCAAGAGCAAUUUAACAGCAACAAACAAGUCUCUUGUAUUAUAGGCAAAAUUCUUUUCAUUAAUCUUAUUUGUCUACAUGUUCUCUUAUUUUCUCCAUUAAUCUUCGCUCAAGGUUUCAUGCUUCCUCUUUGAUAAAGGAAAAUAUUACUUGAGAAUAUUUCAAUUUGACAUAAGAGACUGUUUUGCCAACCAUUUGAUAAAAUGGAUAUGAGUGGAGCUUUCAAUCAUUACCUCCACCAAAAUCGUUACAACGCCACUUUUAAAUUUUAUUUUUUAAAAUGCAUUCAGUUUAAUUUAUAAAAAAUAAAUCCAUUUGUUAAAAUUAAUCUUUUUCUCAUAAAUUUCAACCUAAGAAAUAUAUUUCUUUUAAAUUUUUAAUUAUAAAAUACAUACAAGUUCUAAACUGUUAUAUUAUUUUCUUCUUAUUAUAUAGAUUAUAUCUCCAUAUCUCCAUAACUCUAAACUCCUAUAAUUUUUUAAAAAUAUUUUUAAUUUAAGAUAGGAAAAUUAUCAUUUGUAUACCCUAUAUUUGCUCUGUUAUCAAAAAUACUACAACACUUUGAGGGUGUAUCAAUCGUCCACCCUUAGUUGACAAAAUGUAUCAGCUGACCACCAAACCGUUAGUUGCCGUUUGAAAGUUAACGGAAUUACAGUGAAUUGACGAUUUUACCCUUGAAAAUUAUCACUUGUAUACCCUUAAUUUCUCUUUUUAUCACUUGUAUACCCUUAAAUUAUCACUUGUAUCUUAUGAAAAGACCAAAUUACCCUUCUAACGUCAUCAUAUUUAAACGGCAACUAACGGUUUGGUGGUCAGUUGAUACAUUUUGUCAACUUUGGGUGGAUGAUUGAUACACCCUCAAAGUGUUGUAGUAUUUUUGAUAAUGGAGUAAACUAAGGGUAUACAAAUGAUAAUUUCCCUUUAAAAUAUAAAUAUAAAAUAUAAAAUGGAGUGGGUAUAAAAAAACUUGUUAAAAGAAUAAUUCAUUUAAGUAUUUAACUGAAUUUAAAUUAAAAUAAGAAAUAAAUAAAUUUAUUUUUUAUUAGUUAAGUAAUUUUCAAUUGAAAAAGAGCUGUAUGAGUAAUAUUAUUGAAAUAUGAUUAAAAUUCUUAUGAAUUAAACAUUUUCGUAUAAAUACUAGUGAUAAUUAUAGAGAAAGUAUGAUGAACCAAAGAAAACUUGAAUAUAAAUACUCCAAUGUAAUUUUACACAUGCAAAUUAUGAACCAAUGAUCUUUAGAGCAUUAUAAAAUUAUUUUGACAUAAUUAUUUAUUUUGAAAAAUUGCCAACAAUGUUUUAUUAAAGUGGGAUUGAAAAGAUUAUGCUACUUAUAUAAGACAUGAUAUCAUUUAACAUGGCUUGCAGAUUAUGAGAAAUAUAUUGAUCUUACAAAUAUUUAAUAUGUUAAUUAGACAGGUCCAGCUGCCUUCCACCCGCUGGAAGGUACAACUUAUUUUGUCCUCUAGUGUUGUGGCCAUUGGAUAUUUGAGAAAUUGAUCUAUCGGUUCUUGUUCAGCAGCGUGAAAUUGAAUUUCAAUCGGCAAACGUUUCAUGAACUUUGCAAGGGACAAUUAUCUACAAAAAUAUUUUUUAAAAAAAUAAUUUUUCCCUUUCAUCAGCCGCCGCUGCCACCCACAACUCCUUAAUAUCAUCAUCACCAUCCCAAUCCUUAGCCGCCAUCCACAAGCUCUAACAACCACCAUGACCGCCAUCACAACCACCACUCCUCAUAACCCCUAGCCACCACUACAAACAUUCACAAACCCUACCAAUCAUCCACAACACCUAACCGCCGUCACCAACAAACUUUCGCCGCCGCUUCCUACAAGCAAGCCUCACCACCCACCACCGCACACACACAAAGCCACACCAACCGCCAUACUAUUGUGACAGAGCCCACAAUGUAGACAAGAUCCAGCAGAGGGGGGAUGUUUUCCUUCUUCGGCUGACUAUUCUUUUUUUUUUAUUUUUUAAUUAUUAUAUUACUUUUAGUUAUUUUUAGUUAUUCUUUUAUUUUGUCUAUAUUUUGGUUGUUAGAUUGUUUUUGUUGUUGUUAUUGGCGGCAGUGGAGUUGCAGCUCGUGAUGAUGAUGGUGAUGUUGGUGUCAUUUUAAUCGAGAUUUUGUCUUUUUUUUACCGGCUACGCCAGUCAUCUUCAUUCAUUACGUGUCCAUUUCUAACAUGUUAGAUUUUACUACUUUUUAAUCCAAGGAUUAGACCACAACGAGACAAAAGAUGGGGUACCUUCCAAUGGGUGGAAGGUAGUUUCGGCCCAAUUAGACUGAGUCUAUGCAAUAAAAAUUUCAAAUUAAAAAAUAAGCCCUUUAUUUUCUUUUAAUCAUAAGUGUGAUCUUAAUUAUUAAAGUCAUUUAAUGUCCAUUACUUAUUCAUUUUUUUUAAUUACCUAAAUGACAUUGAAAGCUCUACUCAAUAAUAAUUCAUUCAAAUGUUUUAUUUUAAAGUAAUCGGAAACUGCAAAUGAAGCAAAUGCUUGAAAUCACAAACAACCUAAAAUUAGAUUUUCAUUUUUCAAUGUUGCAAUGACUUUGAUCUUGAUAUUGAAAAUUUAUUUGUAACUUAUAUAUAGGCCUCGAUUUUAUCAUAAUUGGUUAGUAAGGCUACGUAGGGAGCAUGGAUAAAUUUUGGGAUUGGAUUAUAUUUUUGGAACUAAAAAAUUAAUUUCAUCCAAUGUUAGUUUGGCUGUUAGGACUAGCAACUUAGUCUAAAAUUAUUGAAAUUAUUGAUGUUUUAUAUUAUAAUAUUUUCAUUACCACUUUAAACAUUAUUGGUAACUUAAAUCAUUUUUUAAAUUAAAUAUAAAUUUAAUUAAUUAUAAAAAUUAAUUUAAUUAAAUAUAAAAAUCAUUUAAAUUAAAUAUUAACAUUAAUUUCAUAAUUUUUUACCUAGAAUUUUAUAUUAUAUUAAAUACUAAAAUUCUAUUCGAUAAUUUAUUAUCAUUUAUUUAAUAAAUGUUUAGUAUGUUAUAUUAUUAUUUAAAUUAAUUUUUUAUUUACAUAUAAACAUAAAUUAAUAUUUACUAAUUUCAAAUUUUUUUAGUUUGUUUAAUAAUAAAAGCUAAAUUACUAUAUUGAAAAUAUAAAUAGUAUUCUAAUGUAUUAUAGUCUAAAUCUCACCCCAAUGAGUUUAUUUUAUACACCUUUUAUUAUAUUAACCACAUUUAUAAUGCAGUGCAAUGCAACAAAAUUUUUUUAACAAAUAUGAGUUAGCAUGAAAAUAAUAUUUUAGUACAAUGUAAUACAAUGUAAUGUAAGCUGACAAAUGGAUAUUUAAUGGAAGCAAAAAUUGCAGAUGGUUUGGUUUGUGGGUCUCUCAAAAGACAACAAAGAAACCAAUAUGAUAAACUAAUUCUAUCCUCUUUAAUGGUGUCUUUACUAAAUGGAAAUCAGAAGAGUUAGAAUUGAAAUAGGCUUGAAUCGAAAUAAGGAAUUAAAAUCAGAAUAAGUUGUUUAUUUAAGUUGUAUGAAUCAGAAUCGAAAUAAUUUUUAUUCAAAUUGAUGUGUUUAUUUUCUCUUGAAAUUAGAAUGGACUAUUACAAGUUACUAAAAAAUCAUUUGGUAAUUGUUGUCUCUAGUAUUAUUUGUAUCUGUUAUAAUGUUAAAAAUAAUACUAAAAAUGAAAAUAAUAAUAAUAAUAAUAAUAAUAAUAAUAAUAAAGACAAUUAUAAUAAAAUUAAUAAAUUAUUAUUAUUAUUAUUACUACUACUACUACUAGUACUGAAGACCGCCUAGUGAAGAUUGGAUAGUGAAGAUGAAGACAACGAUCCUGGCAACCAACUGUUGCUUCAAAGAUGAUGUGCCCAAAUGGAGACAACCAGCGAUGACCAGCCAACUAGAUCCCAAUCUCGAUGUUGUGAUCUCACAUGAUCACUGAUAAAGCGAUGUGCGAUGCCAGUGUUGUGAUUUCUUUUUAUUUAUAUUUUUUAAUUUAUUGGGGGUAUUUUCAAAAUUUAGUAAUUUUAAUAUGGGCAAAUUGGAUAGUUGAGGGAACAAGAGACUGAUUUCCAACCAUCCUAAGAAUUAGUCUCUCAUUCUCUAUUUCUAAUUUGAUGUGGGUCCUAUUAUUUCGAUUUCAAUUUUUACAUUUAUUUGUAAAGUAAAUGACGUUAAUGAUUUCAAUUUCUAAUUGGAGAAGAAAACACAUCAUAAUAAUUUUUUAGAUGCUUCCAUGGCAUAAUCUCAUUGGUCCGUUUUUCUUCACGCCUUAGAUUCAACUUCAAGAUUUAAGAUCCAAUUUGAAGCAAACACAACUACAAAACAAAUAUAAUAAGCGUUACUAAGCCUGCGGCUGACUGGCUGUGGCCAAGCAAAUGGAACUCAUAGUGACCGAACCAUAUCUUAUUAUCUUACGCCAGAAGUUAAACAAUGUUCCCAUUCCACGUGUCACUCUCUGACCAACCCCCAAACUUUCUACAUAUUUCCAAAGAAACCCUUACCAAGUCAAGAUAAUUACCUUCACUCUACUUAUAUAAAUACUGUCCUCGAUUCAACUGAUGACGACAUAUCCUUACAGUCUUUAUUUAAAAGGAAAAAUUAUAAAAAAUUAUCCUCGUUCCCUAAAACUCUAGGGUUUGUCAAGAAUCGCUAAACAUAUAUCCCAAUCAUUCAAAAUCUCAAUUUAACCUCUCUAGGGUUUUGAUUGUCGAGGAUUCGCUUGAAAAUUUAGUAUUUUUUAGUGGAUUUUGCUUGUCUCGUAUGCUUCAAUUGUUGUUCGGUUCUGAAAAUAAUUUGGAAUUUUAGGGAUUUUCAAUUGUUGUUCGGUUCUGAAAAUAAUUUGGAACCAAAAAUUCCCAACAAUUGUCAGUUGUUUUAAACUCUAUUCCGAACAGAGCAUGAAGGGAUUCACUUAUCUAAUUAUGUCAUUUAUGCUUUAACUUCACUUCAUUUCAUCUUGUCCGUCACCUUGACUAAAGUUGUGUAUGUUGGAGUAUUAGGUUCAUCACAAGGAUCAUAUUAUGGCUAAGGAAGUAGCACAGUUUAUUAGCUACACUCAAGUGUAGCAGAGUAUUUGGAUUCAAGACUGUUAUAAGGUUGUUACAGAUGCAAUGCUGUUGCUGUGUAACUGUAUGCCAUGCUCGCAAGUGCGCUGUAACAGAUUGCUCAUCAGGCACCGGAUAUUUUAAGCUAAUUUUGGUAAUUAGUCUAGAGUGUUCUGAUUUAUUCUAUAAAUAGCUCAUUUGAGCGUAGAACCUUUAAGGUGUAUCGUACAUUUCUGUUACUUCUAAUAAAGAAUUUCUUUAUUCCUUUUUCUUUCACUUUCUCUUUCAUUUUCAUGAUCCCCAAACACCAUCAAACAUAGAAUUGCUGUUUUAGGCCAAUGGACAUAACGUGACAAGUUUUUGAAGUGAAUGACUCCUCUUUUCUCCAUAAAUCUUUGCUUAAUUUUUUUGUUCCCUCAACCUUUUUUGGCCUUUUCUGCUAAAAUUCAUUUUUUUGAUACAUUAUGCAAAAAUUGAUGAAAAUGAGUUACUCUAGAACAUCAAUAAAUUUUUAUUACAUGAUAAGACAAUUAUACUUAGAUUACUCUUAUUUGGUUGAAUUAUAUGUAAUAAAAUUAGUUUAACAGAAUCUAACCCGUAAAUAUUCCUUAUCACAUGAUUAACGUACUUAAAAAAUAUAACUGGUCGGCCGCUUGUUUUACAAUUCUUUUAUAUAUCUUUGAAACUUUCAGCUUCCUAACACAUCAUAUUGUUCUCAAUUCGUCUAAAUUAUUUUUUUUGGUCAAACACUAUAGCAACAACCAGUAUAAAAUAGAAUGAACUCAUUUAAUAAAAAUUUUUCUAGAUGCUUUCAUGACAGAAUCUCAUUGGUCUAUUUCUCUUCAUGGCAAAAUUUUUCUGAAAUACACUUAGUUUUUUAAAAAAGAGCUUUAUGAGAAAUUUUCAGUGUGUCAAAAGGCCUACUUAAUGGACUGGAUCCCGACUCAUUAAUUUUAUAACCCGACUUACAAUCCGAAUCAUUAUUCACAGAGAUUAAUUUGCUAUUGCUUAAGGCACAAUAUUUACUAAGCAAUUUAUCAGCAAUAAAACAUGUAUAUUAUAGUGGUUUGUAAUAAAAUUGGAAGAAGACAUCACGUACGAAUUGGAUUUAUCUGAUGAAAUUUGAUUAACGAAAGUGUAUGAAAAUAUAUAAAGAAAAUAGUAAAAAAAAUUGUUGUGUAAAUGUUGUAUAGGUGAUAUAUUACUUUUAUAAUCCAUCAAGGUACAUUUGAUUUUAAUGAUGAAACAAAUACAAAUAAAUCCAUGUAUGUCAAUGCUAGAUGGUUCCAUAUUAAACUUGUGAAGUAUAGAAAAUAAGCGAGAUUCGUAAAAAAUAUUUUAGAUAAUACCACUGAAAAGUUAUAAAAAAUAUUUUUAAAAAAAAAAAGAAAUACAUACUCGAGACACCAAGACCGAUACGCACAAACUCACACAUUUACAUAUUAAUUGAGGGAAAAAAUGAUAUUCUGAGUAAUAUUGUUGACAUAUGAUUAAAAUAAAAUUCUAUUUAAUGAAACAUUUUCGUAUAAAUACUAGUGAUAUUUGUAGAGAAAGUAGAAUGAAGUAAAAAAAAAAAAACUUGAAUAUAAAUGCUCCAAUAUAAUUUUUCCCAUGCAAAUUAUGAACUAGUGAACUUUAAAGCAUCAUAAAAUUGUUUCAACAUAAGUAAUUAGUUUGAAAAAUUGCCAAUAAUGUUUAAAGUGGGGACGAAAAGAUUAUACUAUAUGAGACAUGAUAUUAUUUAAGAUAGCUUACAAAUUAUGGGAAAUGUAUUGAUCUUACAAAUAAUAUUUAAUAAGUACAAAUUUCAAAUUAAAUAAUAAACUCUUAAUUUCCUUUUAAUCAUAAUUAUGAUCUUAAUAAUUAAAGUCAUUCAAUCUUAAUCACUUUUUCAUUUUUUUAAACUACCUAAAUGACAUUGAAAACUCUACUCAAUAUUAAUUUAUUCGAAUGUUCUGUUUCAAAAUAAUUGAAAACUGUAAAUGAAACAAAUGCUUGCAAUCACAAAUGGCAUAAAAUGGGAUUUUUAUUUUUUAAUAUUGCAAUGACUUUGAUCUUGAUAUUGGAAAUUUAUUUGUAACUUAUACUAAGUCUUCAAUUUUAUCAAAAUUAGUUUCUAAAGAUGCAUUUGCCAUACUGUGUAGUUUUAUUGUAUGAUGAUAUAUUACAUUAGGGUGCAUUGUAUUGAGCUGUAAUGCAAUACUAUUUUAUAUUAAUGUUAAAACUAAAUCAACCUUAUUUAAAUUUAUUAAUAUUUUAGGGUUUUAUUAGUAAUAUCUGAAAUUAAGUAUUAAAUAAUUAUUUUUAUAAUAUACAAAUUAUUUAAUAAUAUUCUACUAUUAAAUAAUAAAAUAUUAUAAUAUUAUGUUAUAUUAUUAACAAUUAUUCUGUUAUAAUAUAAUUUAUUUUUAUAUAUUAGUUAUUAUAAUUUAUUAUAAUCAUAUUAUAAUAAUAUUAUGUUGUAAAAAUAUAAUACUAUAUAAUUGUAUGAUAUAAUAUGAAUUAAUUUAUAAUUUAACAUUAAAUUAUAAAUUUAUUUUAUUUAUUAAUGUCAAAUAUAAUUGUCUAAUUUAAAUUUAGUAUUUUUUUAAAAAUAAACUACUAAAUAAUUAAAAUAAUUUUAUAUAAUAAAGUAAAAUAAUGUAUUAUUAUUUAUUAAUUAAAUAUUUAGGUUUAUUAAUAUACUAUAUUAUUAAUUAAAUUUAAUGAAUAUUAAUUAAUAAUUUAAAUUUAUUAAAUAAUAAAAGUUAAAUGAUUAUAUUUAAAAUAUAAAUAAUAUUUUAAUGCAAUAAAACCUAAAUCCCACAUGUAUACCACAUUUGUUAUACAGUGUAAUGCAACAUUUGUUAAGUGUGAAGGAUUAAUUGCAAUUUCGAAUUUUUGAUAAAAUUUAAAUUAAAAUUGGGCGGUUAUUAAUUAAUUGAUGGCUAGUGAUACUACAACGGCGGCCGAAGCUCCGGAAGAAGCGGAGGCGGUGGAGGGUUAUGAUAGCGAUCCAGAUGAAGUGAAACACUAUCUCGUGAUGCGCAGAAUGGAAGCAAGCGAUGAUGAGGAGGAGGUGGAGAAAGAAUUUGAGCGUCGAAUAGGAUCUACAUUUACUCUUAAGAUGAAUCUGAUGAUGAAUUAGAACAUGACAUAUAAUUAGAAGAAGAAGAUGAGGACUAUAAUAGAAAUAUUUAUGGGACCCAUUUUCGCAUCCAAUUGAAGGUUAAGACAAGACAUCUAAUAAGGGCUGCUCUCCAAAUUAUGUUACCACACCUACGGUCAAAGCUCGCUAGCACUUUUAUAACGGGAUGGCAAUGAGGCGGCUUCGGGGCAGGAUGACGAUCCUCACCCCCAUCCCGAAUUAGAAGCAGUCUCCAAACCUGCCUUCCAUAUCCCUGAUAAUUCUCAAAAUGAGACAAGGAUUAAAACAGAGGCUCAAUUCUCAAUUAUUUAGUUUUUAAGUAAAAAAAGAGCUCUCAAUCUGGAUCUGAAUAAUUGUUUAUUAAGGACUAAUUUUGAAGCUAGAACAUUUAACAAUUCAAAUGAGGUUCCUUUUGUUUCAUCUGAUAUUUUCAAAAGUUUGAAAGCUACUUGGAAGAUAUCAUCAAUCUCAGUCUAUAAAAAUCCAAAUGUUAUUUGUGCGGAAAAUACAAGAUAAUUAACAAUCUACAUGCUCUCUCUUCCACUGGAAAAAUAUAUAUAGUCCAAUAUAUAUUAAAUAUUUCUAUUAUAUGAAGAGGAAGAAGAAGUUUAUGAACAAGAGGAGAGAAGGUUGUUACAGAUGUAAGGCUGUUACUGUGUAACAGUAUGCCAUGCUGGCAAGUUUGCUAUAACAGAUUGCCAAGCUGGCACUAAUUAUUUUAAACUAAUAUUAGUAAUUAGUCUAGAGUGCUCUAAUUUAUUUUAUUCUAUAAAUAGCUCAUUUGAGCUUUGAACCUGUAACGUGUACUGUACUUUUCUAUUACUUCUAAUAAAGUUUUUCUCUGUUCUUUUUUCUUUCACUUUCUCUUCCAUUUUCCCGACCCUCAAACAGCGUCAAUCCUUGAUUUUCUACAGUAUUAGCUGUUUGGUUCUACAAACAUAGAACUGGUCGUUUAUUGACUUGUUACUUGUGAACAGGGCCAAUAAAGGACAAAUAAGAUGUUGGGCCAAUGGGCCCAACGUCACAGAUCUUGAAUUGAUUGUCUCUUCUUUUCUCCACAAAUCUUUGCUUAAUUUUUAUGCUCCCUCAACUUUUUUCCCCUUUUUGUGCUAAAUUUAUUUUUUUGAUACUUUAUGCAAAAAUUAUGAUGAAAAUUAAUUACUUUAGAACAUCAAUAAAUUUUUGUUACAUUCAAGAUACGGACAAUUACACUUAGAUCACUCUUAUUUAGUUGAAUUAUAGGUAAUAAAAUUGGUUUUAACAAAAUACGAUUCUUAACCCUCGUAAUUAAAGGCUCGUGUUAUUUGGUUUAGUUAUAACACCAUGCAACAGGUCGUCUUGGUGGGUUCAAAUUAAUAUACGAUCAUUCUCAAUUUUUAAUAGUUCGUAAUUAAAAAGUCUUAUAUCACAAUUAGAAUUUGCAAACAUGCCAAAGUGAGUUAAAUCAAAACCUAUAAAUUUGAGGUGUACUACAAACUUCUGACAAAUUAAAAUUUAAAACGAUUAAUUAAAUGCUAGACAAAAUUUAGCUUAUUAAUGUUCCUGACCACAUGAUGAAUGUACUUAAAACAUCCUAACUGGUCGCUAAUUGAUUAGUUGUUAUUUUUUCAAUUUCUUUUUAUAUAUCUUUGAAACUUCUAGUUUCCUAACAUGUUAUUCGCAAUUCGUGUAAAUUAUUAUUUUUUAAAUAUUAGAGCAACAACCAGUAUAAAAAUGAAAUGCACUCAUUUAAUGGAAAUUUUUCUAGAUGCUUCAAUGGCAGAAUCUCGUUGGUCUAUAACUCUCACGCCUUUGAUUCAAGAUUCAAUUUCAAACCAACGCCGAACAAACAGUAUAAACCUUAAUAAGUCUGUGGCUGUAGCCCAACAAACCUACUUCCGGCUCACCGAAUAAUCAUCUCUUACGUCGGAAUUUAAACUUAAACAAAGCUACAUCCCACGUGUCCCCAACUUUCUUCAUAUUUCCAAAAAACCCCUACCAGAUCCAGAUAAUUACCUUCACUCUUCUCGUAUAAAUAGAGAAGACGACGGUUCCUGCAACGUGAGUCACGUGAACGUCAAUUUCAAACCAACGUGAGUCACGUGAACGUUACGGCCAUGGGACAUUGGAAUUGGAUCAAACCACCGGAAUGCACAGCAAAAUUAACCGAAUAAACUAAAUUAGAUCCAACCAAUUGAAUCGGUUUGGGGCCAAUUGCAGUUUUGAUAGCAACUAAAAUCUGUGUGGCCCAGUUACCACAGAGCCUUGCCCCAGAUCCCUGCCAUUUUCUCCUCCACCUCCAUUUGGGGAAAUUACUACUUACUUUUUGCAAGUUUUUCUUGAAAUAUUUAUUUUGAGAAGAAAACCAACAAUACAUUUUAUGAUUUGGGCUCUUUCAAAGAUCUUCGCUUGAUGUCUAUGCUACUGGUUUUCAGCAGAGUGCCCAAAAAUAAUCAGUGCACGCACUAUAGGCUCUAUUAUUAUCAGUAAAAAGCAUUAAUGAUAUAUUGGGAUCGACUUUUUUAUGGGAGUGGUAAAGUGGUGCAUCUUGUUCAUGCACCGUAGAGCCAAUUCCAUUUUGUGAAAUAGGAGUUGAAUAAAAUUUAUUGUAAUACAUGGAAGUAUUGUUAGAAACACGAACACAGUGAGUUGACAAUUUAAAUUGCAAUUAAUUGAAACAAAAUGUAAACCAGCAAUUGGAAACAGCAAAUUAAGAACAGAAGAGAAAUGAAACGGAAUAAGAAAUAUAAACCCGAGGCCUGCACAAGGCAGUUUCCUUAAAACAGAUUUACCACCUCUUUUCUUGUGCUUAAGGUCUGCUGGUAUCUAUUUCCCAGGAUACAACGAGUACGAAUUUCUAGUCAAGCACAGGCUGGAGAUUCCGGCGAACCACAACAGGUAACUCGAUUAGAGAAAGACGAAGAAGGAUGAAGGAAAAAACAAGUGUGUUUUGUGCUGGUUUUUAUGGUGUCCAAAAACAGAAGAAGAGAUGCCUUUUUAUAAUCAUGUGAGGAUGUAACAGCUAAUGUGUAUUGAAUUUCCGAAUUCAAAAUUGAAUUAAAAAAACGUGAACAACAGCUAAAAAUAAUUGUAAAAGCUGUUACACAUUCUUUGAAUUCAAAACAUCAAAUUGUUACAAUAAAAAAUUCAAAAGGAAAUUAAAAACGUGCCAAGCUUGCAUGGAUGAUUUUGGGCUUCUUUUUCCCAUGUGGGAUAAGCCUCAUUUCCUUUCAAUCUAACUUCAAGGGUGAACUUUGAGAGACAAUUUCUCAUUCACCCAAGCACCAUUUUGAGAAAAUAAGAUUAUACUAUUGAAGUAUCAAUGGAGUAGAAUUCGAACCUCACAAUAUUUUCCACUUUUGUUAAGUGGGACCCACUCAAAAUGUGCCCUCAAAAUAGCAUGUUAUGCUAUUUUUCCAACAAUCCCCCACAUGAAUGAAAAUUGGCAGUAAAAACAAGAAAACCGCUAAAUUUUGACAUCAAAACCAUUUUUGACUCUUAAUGAUCGAGUUUAUUGGAUUGAUACCUAGCACAUGAUAGGUAGGUGUUAUCCUUUGAACCUUUCCUUGUAAUAGUAUAAAUACUUUACUAGCUGAUCAGUAGACGCGAUGUCUUUGAACUGUUCUGCCAUUAGUGUAAAGGAUCAUAUACUACACAUAGGUAUUUCCCCUAACACUGUUGAGUUCUCAUGAUUAUGUUCGUUUUGGCCUUGAACAUCUGCCUGGUUCUGCAAGAGUUUCUAAGAGCUGAACCCUUUAUAGCUCCCUUUGAAGCGGCCCCACUUCUCUCUCACAUAGGUAAUAUUUUAAUUAAGAGUAACCCGCAUUACUCCGCUAGAAUUUUCGACGCAUAAGAAUCAUUAAGAGCCUAGCUCAACCUUAUUCCCCACGGGCAACACUGUUUCAUCAUAGGAAUGGUCAAUGAGGUAAUCCUCUCAAGAGAAUGACCCCCACAGUGAUCCAUCUUUAGUCUUUAACAAAUAGGUUGUCCAAUUGAACCUAGAUCUUAGGAUCUCCAGUCUACUAGGUUAGGUUUUCCUUCGUUAUUGACUAAUCAAUCUAUAGGUUUUAAUCACAUCCCCCUCGAUAAUUUUUCUACUAGCUCUCUAUUUAAUCCUUUGGUUAGCGGAUCCUCUAUGUUAUCCUUUGACCUUACAUAGUCAAUAGAAAUAACUCCAGUAGAAAUAAGUUGUCUAAUGGUAUUAUGUCUACUACGAUGUAUGUGUCUAGACUUACCAUUAUACAUAUUGCUUUGUGCCCUACCGAUAGCUGAUUGACUAACGCAAUGUAUACAAAUCGUAUACACAGGCUUUGGCUAUUUUGGAAUACCUUCUAAAAAAUUGCGUAGCCAUUCUGUUUCUUCACCACAUUUAUCUAAUGCAAUGAAUUCAGAUUCCAUUGUAGAUCUAGCAAUUACUGUCUGUUUAGAACAUCUCCAUGAUACAGCUGCACCUGCUAGUGUAAAUACAUAGCCGCUAGUAGAUUUUGAAUCUUUUACAUCUGAUAUCCAGUUAGCAUCACUAAAUUUUUCUAAUACUUCUGGAUACCUAGUAUAGUGCAGUCUAUAAUUACGAGUGUAUCGAAGAUACCUAAGUACUCUUACAAUAGCUUUCCAGUGAUCAGUUCCUGGAUUACUCGUAUAUCUACUAAGUUUGCUUACUGUAUAGGCUAGAUCUGGUCUGGUACAAUUUGUUAAGUACAUCAGACUACCUAUUAUUCUAGCAUAUUCAACUUGAGAAAUACUCUCUCCUCUGUUUUUCGAUAGAUGAAUACUAGUAUCUAAUGGAGUUUUAGACAUAGUAUUAUCCUCUUUAUUAAAUUUCCCAAGAAUUUUAUCUACAUAAUGAGUUUGACUUAAAAUAAGUCCAUUAGAAGUCCUUGAAAUUUUAAUUCCCAAAAUGACAUCUGCAAGACCCAUGUCUUUCAUGUCAAACUUAGACUUCAACAUAUUCUUGGUAGAUUUAAUCAUGUCAUCAUUACUCCCAACAAUAAGCAUGUCAUCAACAUAUAAACAUAAAAUGACAUAGCCAUUUUCUGUUUCUUUGACAUAAACACAUUUGUCACAUUCGUUGAUCUUAAAGCCACUAUUAUCAUCGUAUGAUCAAAUUUCUCAUGCCACUGUUUCGGUGCUUGUUUCAAGCCAUAUAAUGACUUAACCAAUUUACAAACUUUCUUUUCUUGUCUUGGAGCUAUAAAACCUUCAGGUUGCUCCAUGUAGAUUUCUUCAUCUAAAUCUUCAUUUAGAAAAGCCGUCUUUACAUCCAUUAGAUGUAUCUCGAGAUUGCGCAAAGCUGCAAUUGCUAUUAUCAUCCGUAUGGAAUUUAUUCUCGUAACAGGAGAAUAAGUAUCAAAAUAAUCAAGGCCUUCUCGUUGCCUAUAACAUUUAAUUACAAGCCUAGCCUUGUACUUAUCGAUUGAUCCAUCGGCUUUCAUUUUCCUUUUGAAAAUCCACUUAUACCCCAAAGGUUUAUAUCCUGGAGGAAGAUCUACUAGCUCCCAAGUAUGAUUUUGUAAAAUGGAUUCAACUUCACUGUUAAUGGCUUCUUUCCAUAAAGUGCCUUCAGCUGAAGUUACAGCCUCUUUGAAGCUUUGAGGUUCAUUUUCUAGCAAAUACGUCAGAAAGUUUGGACCAAAAGACUUUUUUAUUCUAGCUCUUUUGCUACGUCUAACCUCAAUUUCUUGUUCUUCUUCUUCUUCUGGUGCUUGAUCAUUUUCUUCAUUUUCAAGUGUUGUUUCAUGAAAUUGUUCCAAUUCUCUCGAUUCCACUCUAGAAUUGCAAGGAAACACAUGUUUGAAAAACGAUGCAUUUCUUGAUUCUAUUAUUGUAUUUUUGUGGACAUCUGGAAUUUUAGACUCAUGCACCAAAAAUUGAUAUGCACUACUAUUUUGUGCAUAACCAAUGAAAAUGCAGUCAACAGUUUUUGGUCCUAUUUUCACUCUUUUAUUUAAAGGAACUACUACUUUAGCAAGACACCCCCACACUCAUAAGAAUUUAUAUGAAGGUGAUCUACCUUUCCAUAGCUCAUACGGGAUUUUAUCUUCUUGCUUUCGGGGUAUCUUAUUUAAUAAAUAAUUAGCUGACAAAACAACUUCUCCCCACAUAUUCUGGGGUAACCCAGAACUUAUCAACAUUGCAUUCAUCAUUUCCUUUAAAGUUCGAUUCUUUCAUUCUGCAAUCCCAUUAGAUUGAGGUGAAUAUGGAGCUGUGACUUGAUGUAUGAUUCCACUUUGUUCACAUAGUGACAUAAACGGAACAACAUACUCACCACCACGGUCACUCUUUAAUUCUUUGAUUUUUCUAUUAAGUUGAUUCUCAACUUCAUUUUUGUAGAGAAUAAACUUUUCCAAAGCUUUAUCUUUACUUUUCAAUAAAUAUACAUAGCAAUAUUUUGUGCAAUCAUCUAUAAAGGUAAUAAAAUAUUUAUUACCACCUCUUGUUUGAAGGGAUUUAAAGUCACAAAUAUCACUAUGUAUUAAAUCAAGUGGUUCGGUGUUUCUUUUAAUUAUUUGAAAAGACGACUUAGUUAGUUUUGCCUCAACACAAGUUUCACACUUAUGUUUCAAAUCAAUUUGGAAAUUGGGAAUAUGCUUCAUGUUAAUUAAUUUACGCAAAGAAUUAAAAUUAACAUGUCCUAAUCUACCAUGCCAAAGAUUAGAAGACUCAACCAAAUAAGCAAAAGAUGUAGCUUUAUUAUUAAUUGUUGGUUUCAAAGUCAUUACAUUGAGCUUAAAUAGCCCAUCAUCAACAUAACCCUUUCCCACAUACAUCCUAUUUUUAGAUAAAACUACCAUAUUUGACUCAAACACCAUUCGAAAACCAUGUUUAUUCAGCAGCGAUCCAGACACCAAGUUCUUCCGAAUUUCUGGCACAUAUAGCACAUUGUUCAGAGUCAGUUCUUUCCCAGACGUCAUCUUCAAAACCACCUUCCCUUGACCCUCAAUCUCAGACGUAGCCGAAUUCCCCAUGAGUAGCUUCUCUCCAUUGCUAUCUGCUUCAAAUGAAGUGAACAACCCUUUUUCCGAGCAAACAUGUCUGGUUGCUCCUGUAUCUAUCCACCAUUCUCUUGGAUUAGAGCCAACCAGAUUCACUUCUGAAACCACUGCAGAGAGGUUUAUGUCUUAAACAUGUUGCGUGAUGUUUUACACCACAUUCGCCUCUCGCUUCUUUUUAGGCAACCUGCAAUCCGAAGCCUUGUGACCCAUCUUAUCACAAUUAUAACAUUUUCCUUGAAACUUUGUUUGUUUCUUGGAAAUUCCUCCUUUCGGGCCCAAUUUUUUAUUUUUUAUUUUUAGGUCCAUGUUCAACAAAAUUUGCAUUUGCCAUAGAAAUAGGCCCUCUUCUUUCUGCAUUUCUGUUGUCUUUCUCAAUUCUGAGCUUAACAACCAGCCCUUCAAUAUUCAUCUCCUUUCGUUUAUGCUUCAAAUAGCUCUUGAAAUCUUUCCAAGCAGGAGGCAAUUUUUCAAUAAUUGCAGCAACUUGAAAAGUUUCACUUAGAUGCAUCCCUUCCGCAAGGAUUUCAGAUAAUAUAAUUUGAAGUUCUUGUACUUGACUUAUUACAGUUUUAGAAUCCACCAUUUUAUAAUCUAGGAAGCGACCAACAACAAAUUUUUUGGUACCCGCGUCCUCGGUUUUAUAUUUUCGGUCUAAGGAUUCCCAUAGCUCCUUGGCUGUUUUCUUUCCUAUGUAUAUGUUAUACAAGGAGUCACUAAGACCAUUCAUUACAUAAUUUUUACACAAAAAAUCCGAAUGGUGCCAUGCAUCAAUUGCACUUGCAACUUGAAUAUCUGUUUCACCCUCUUUGGGUUUAGGAGCAUCCUCGGUCAAGAACCUCGCAAGGUUCAACGUGGUCAAGUAAAAGAACAUCUUUUGAACUUUUCAGGCCUUUCCGCAUGAUUGACAAGAAUCGCCACAGAGGCUGGUUCCUUCACAACAUUUGGUGCAGAAACCGGAACAUACGGAACAUCAUCACUGGUUUCAGUUGCCAUCUCAAUGAUAAUAAAUUCUGUUUUAAGAUUGUUAGAAAAACGAACACAGUGAGUUGACAAUUUAAAUUGUAAUUAAUUGAAACAAAAUGUAAACCAGCAAUCGGAAACAGCAAAUGAAGAACAGAAGAGAAAUGAAACGGAAUAAGAAAUAUAAACCCAAGGCCUACACAAGGCAGUUUCCUUAAAACAGAUUUACUACCUCUUCUCUUGUGCUUAAGGUCUGCUAGUAUCUGUUUCCCAGGAUACAACGGGUACGAAUUUCUAGUCAAGCACAGGCUGGAGAUUCCGGCGAACCACAACAGGUAACUCGAUUAGAGAAAGACGAAGAAGGAUGAAGGAAAAACAAGUGUGCUUUGUGCUGGUUUUUCUGGUGUCCAAAAACAGAAGAUGAGAUGCCUUUUUAUAAUCAUGUGAGGAUGUAACAGCUGAUGUGUAUUGAAUUUCCGAAUUCAAAAUUGAAUUAAAAAAACGUGAACAAUAGCUAAAAAUAAUUGUAAAAGCUGUUACACAUUCUUUGAAUUCAAAACAUCAAACUGUUACAAUAAAAAAUUCAAAAGGAAAUUAAAAACGUGCCAAGCUUGCAUGGAUGAUUUUGGGCUUCUUUUUCCCAUGUGGGAUAAGCCUCAUUUCCUUUCAAAUUUCUAACUUUAAGGGUGAACUUUGAGAGACAAUUUCUCAUUCAUUCAAGCACCAUUUUGAGAAAAUAAGAUUAUACUAUUGAAGUAUCAAUGGAGUAGAAUCCGAACCUCAUAAUAUUUUCCACUUUCGUUAAGUGGAACCCACUCAAAAUGUGCCCUCAAAAUAGCAUGUUAUGCUAUUUUUCCAACAAGUAUAUAUUGCAUUGAAUAAAAUGAAAUUGUUCAAAAAUUAACAAAUUCAGCUUUAUUAUAAUCUAAAACAAAGUAAAUAGAAUAAUACCCAUCAUGUAAAAAUAAAAAAUAAAAUUUUUUAUACCACUUGGAAUUUAUUUUAAAUGUUUUGGUCAAAUCUAAGAAGCACAAACUUUGAACAAUGAUAAUAGGUAAAAACUAAUAAUCUUAUAAUAAAAAGUAAGAAAAAAAAUAAAGUUGAUUUAGCAGCUAAGAAUAAAAAAAGAAAAAUAGAAAGAGAGAGAAAUUAGUUUAGGCUUUAACCAUUGUUAUAGUAGAGAAAAAAAAUUAAUUAAGAGUAAUUUUAUGACUUUUUAGAAAUGAGUGAAUUAAAAUAAUAAAUUAUAAUUUGAUAAUUAUCUUAAUUAAAAAAUGGCUGUUGAAAUAAAAUUAGUGAAUUUAAAUAGGCCGCCCAAAAUCCAAACUCGCAUACCAAUAAUUUUCUAAUUUACAUAAAGUUUUUCUAAAUGUUUGAUAAAAUUUGAUUCUCAAUUGGCCUAAUGGAGAAACAACCAGCAAAAUGCAAAAUUGCAUUCCGUUUGUGGGAUCCUGGAAAAAAUAAAAGAAAGAAAACAGAGUAAGACGCUGAUACCGGGGGCUUUAAUAUUUUUCUAGGUGCUUCCAUGGCAGAUUCUCGUUGGUUCAUUUUUCUUUACGCCUUAGAUUCUAUGAUUCAAUUUCAAUCAAAUACGACAAACAAAAGAAGCUUUUAAGCCUGCAGCUGAAAUAGAUGGUACUUUAAUUUCGGCUGAACAUACAUAUGGCAAGAUUAUUAUUCAAUAUCGAGAUCGGAUAAGGGUCCAUAUGAUCAUGGGCCAGGCCACUACUUGCUCAUGCUUUGAAUCAAAAUUAGUGACGUUGGAAGCUGAAAGGGGCAAAUGAUGAAAUGGGGUUCAUCAUAUACUAUGCCCGACGGGAUAAGAUCAUCAUUUAAUUGCCUCCUCUUGUCGAUAGAUAUUUGCCGAAUUUUUCUAUUUAAAAAAUAUUAUAUUGGUUAAUAUAAUUAGAAGUUUUACAAAAUAUAACUAUAAUUUUAAAAAAAAUUUAUACUUAUUAAUUUAAAUUUUUCAUUGAGUUCUGCUAUUUAUCCCGGGUUAAAUUUCGGGUCAAACCCUGAAUUAAACAAAACGACGUCGUUUUCGCUUCUUUUUUUGGUCAUUUUUGCUUCUAUGGAACGAAGUCGUUUCAGCCAAACAAAAGCGAAUGUCUUCGUUUUCUGCAACAAAACCUCACUCUUCUUGAUCCCAUAUCUCUCCUACUUUCUCAGAACUCCAAUUCUCAAAACCCACCAGUCACACUGAAACUCAUUACAGAGAAUUACUUCAUGGAGAGGGGACCCAGAUUCCAUGAAUACGCUGAACUGAGAGAAUCAAGACUGAGAAGGAAGGUUAUACGAGUAGAAGAUGAAACUGAUGAAGCGUAUGAGCCAAAGCGAUCGCCUUUAAAGAAACAAGUGAAGUUUCGGGGGAUUUUGACUGGUUCAAGAAAAGGGUCCUCUGUUUCCUCUGUUUUGGCUCAGUCAGUGCCUGACUUUUCAGCAACUUUGCGGAAAGAAAAUCGGAGGCCGGCGGGUAGGGCGCUUGAGUUGACUCCUCCGGCUAAGAAUUGGUCGAAAAUGAAUGGGAAUUUGUCGAAUUCCAGAGGAAGUAAGUCGGCAAAUGCGGGGUAGAAGAAGGGAAUGAUGGCAAGAAAGAGUUAUGCGAGUAUUGAAGAAUUGAAGGGCAUGUCAAUGGGAGUGGCAAAGGACAAAAGUGAAAGAAUUAUAAAUAAUAGAAAGCAAGUUAAUUAGAAGCACAAAAGCAGAUUUUGUGGACACCAAAAUAGUCCAGAAUCAGCAGCUUUAUUGCCUUCUAUAAGCAUGAGAAAAAUGACACACACACACACACACACACACAUCACUGCUGCUGUUCAAGCUUUUGUUCGGGUGAUGAAUCGAAGAGGAAGAAGAAGAGAAAGAAAAGCAGCUGCGUUUUUUUCUGUUUUCACUGAGUUGAAACGACUACGUUUCAUGGAAGCAAAGAGAAAAAAAAAAAAAAAAAGAAACUAAAACGGCAUCGUUUUGAUUUGAUUCGGGAUUUGACCUGGGAAAAGUAGCAUUUUCCUUUUUCAUUUGGUAGUUGUGUUUGAGAAAAAGUUGAUAGGCACUACUUAAAUAGUAUUAAUAUGGCAACAAAAAACAUGCGAGCAAAGUAGACUAUUGCUUUAUUCUAUAAAUAGCUCAUUUGAGCUUAGAACCUUUAAAGUGUGUCGUACGUUUCUGUUACUUCUAAUAAAGAUAUUCCCUAUUCCCUUUUCUUCCACUUUCUCUUCCAUUUUCACGAUCCCCAAACACCAUCAAUCCAAGAUUUUCUAGAGUAUUAGCUGUCUAUUUCUACAAACAUAGAAUUGCUGUUUUAAGAAACAAAAUAGUCUGUCCUGUCACCCAUGGUCUCCUCAUUUAUCGGUUUGUGAACAGGGCUAAAUAAAGGGCAAAUAAGAUAUUGGGGCAAUGGGCCUAAUGUGACAAGAUCUUGAAUUGAUUGCCUCUUUCUUUUCUCCACAAAUCUUUGGUUAAUUUUUAUGUUCCCUCAACCUUUUUGCCCUUUAGCACCAAAAUUCAUUUUUGAUACUUUAUGCAAAAAUUAUGAUGAAAAUGAGUCACUUUAGAACAUCAAUAAAUUUUUUUGACAUCCAAGAUAACGACAAUUACACUUAGAUCACUCUUAUUUAGUUGAAUUAUAUAUGUAAUAAUGUUGGCUUAACAAAAUAUGAUUCUUAAUCGUUGUAAUUACGGGCUGGUAUUCUUUGGUUUUAGUAGUAGGGCUUAUAACGCCGUGCAACAGUUCUUGGUGGGUUCGAAUUAUUAUACGAUCAUUCUCAAAUCUUUACGGUAUGUAAUUAAAAAUUCCUAUAUAGCAAUUAGAACUUACAAACAAGUUAAAGUGAGUUAAAUCAAAUGUAUAAAUUCGAGGUCUAUUACAAACUUCUAAAAAAGAUUUUCUGUUCUUUUUUCUUUCACUUUCUCUUCCAUUUUGCCAAUCCCCAAACACCGCCAAUCCUUGAUUUUUUUAGUAUUAGCUGUCAAUUUCUACAAACCUAGAACUGCUGUUUGUUUGUCUAAUUAUUUUCAAGAAACAAAACUCUUUGUCAUGUGGUCUCUUCGUUUAUUGGCUUGUGAGCAAAUAAGAUAUUGGGCCGAUGGGCUUAACGUGACAAGUUCUUGAAUUGAAUGGCUCCUCUUUUUUUCAUAAAUCUUUGCUUAAUUUUUUUUGUUCUCUCAACCUUUUUUGGCCUUUCGCGCUAAAAUUCUUUUUUUGAUACAUUAUGCAAAAAUUAUGAUGAAAAUGAGUUACUUUAGAACAUCAAUAAAGUUUUAUGACAUGUAUAAUAAGACAACUAUAGUGAGAUUAGUUGAAUUAUAUGUAAUAAAAUUAGUUUAACAAAAUCUAACCCGUCAGUAUUCCAUAGCACAUGAUUAACGUAUUUAAAAAAUCUUAGUUGUUCCGUCGCUUGUUUUACAAUUAUUUUAUAUAUUUUUGAAACUUUCUGCUUCCUGACACAUCAUAUUGUUCUCAAUUCGUCAAAAUUAUUUGUUUCUUCAAACACUGCAGCAACAACCGGUAUAAAAUAGACUGAACUCAUUUAAUGGGAAUUUUUCUCAUUGGUCAAUUUCUCUUCGCACCUUAGGUUCCUCUAACAAACUUAAAAGAUGUUCCCCAUCCCACGUGUCCCCAAAUCUUCGUAUUUCCAAACAAACCCCUGCCAAUUAUCAUAUUAAUGAGCCACUGUUAAAUUCAUUCAGUCAGUAUUUUUCUUUUCCCAUUUUCAAUGAAUGCUUAAUAUGGAAAACAAUCUGUCUCAUUGAGCACUGUUUAAAUCAUUCCCUAGUUUGUUUAACACGCAAAGAAUAUUCUUAUUCGGCUCGGCAGCCAAUCCGUUAAAAUUUGUUAAAAUUCAUUUAAGUGAUGACUGUGAUAUGACUCGAUCAAUAGUUUAAUUUGUAUAAUUUAUAAAAAUUUGGGCUUCAAGUAAUGUAGAUAGAAUGGUUAAUUAUUUUAAUAUUCAGAUAAAUUGAUAUAUGUCAUUAUAUUAUGAGUGGAUGAAAUAUCCAAUAGAAAAAAAAAAUGUUUGUAUUCAUCAUUUUUAGUGGGAAUCUAUUUAGUGUAACUUAUCCAUAAAAAUGGUUGCCGACUUAUCUUAUUUCUCAUUUUGUUUAAUUUCAUAAAUUUGACUCCCGAUUAAUUAUGAGUGAAGAAUUUGUUGGAAAAAAUCUGGUCUUCCAUUUAUUUUGUAGGAUUUAAAAGAUUAAAAAACUUUAAUACAUAUAAUUUUAUGUUCGAAACUAAGUACUCGUAGCAUUGCUGCUUCUAUAAAUAACUCAUUUGUGCUUCCAACUUGUUAUUUGUAUUUUACGUUUUUGUUUCUCUUCAUAAAGAUUUUCUUUUUUUUUCUUUUUUCCAUUCACUUUUUCUUCCAUUUUCCCGACUCCCAAACACCACUAAGCCUUGAUUUUCUAGAGUAUUAACUGUCCGUUUCUACGAACAUAGACCUACAGUUUGUCUAAAUACUAUCAAGAAACAACGUACUCUGUCGCGGGAUCUCUUCGUUUAUUGACUUUUGACUUGUGAACGGGGCUAAUUAAAGGGCGUUCCUUUCUUCAAGAAAGAAUGCAAAGAAAGUACUAUCCAUGAGACACGUUAAAAAUUAUUUUACAUAAAAAAUGAUAAUAAUCAUAAUAAUCGGUUAAGGAUCGACAAAAAUGUUAUAACCUAUAAAGCAUGGAUAAUUAAUUAAUGGGAAUGCACCUCUCAUCUUUACCAUUCUCUUUGUCAUUUUCAUAAUUCAGCUGUUUAUUAAUAAAGUGAAUAAAUUUAUCUUUUAAUAAUAUGUUUCUUGGCUGUUUUUUUGUGUAUUUUUGUGUACAAUUUUGUGUGCAAAUAGCAUUAUUCAUUAGUAAUUAGUUUGGAGUAGCUCAUUUUGAGCUUAGGACCUGUAACUAGUAUUUUAUGUUUCUGUUAAUCUUUAAUAAAGAUUUUCUCUAUUUUUUUUUCCCUUUCACUUUCUCUUCCAUUUUCCCCGACUCCCAAACACCACCAAUCCUUGAUUUUCCAGAGUAUUAGCUCUCUAUUUCGACAAACGCAUAACUGUUGUUUGUCUAACUACUUUCAAGAAAUAACGUAGUCUGUGGUUUAUUGACUUGCGAACGGGGCUAAUUAGUCACGGUCCGAUUGUCUGACUUCUCCAUUGACUCGGUCAAUUCACGACCUUGACCUGCACAGUUGAUACAAACGGACUUCUCCAUUUGAGGUGUACAAAACUUUCUUGAGUCAUUUUGUUUGGUGAUGAUGAAUUGGAUGUCAGUUCAUGAGUUUCAUGAUGAAGAGGACCAAAAACAUUAUUUUAUUAUUUAAAGAAGACUAACAAUUAUUUCGAUGGUCAUUUUAUUUUUUAUUUUUAAAUAUCCAAGGUGCUUGACUUCUUUACACAGAAUUACAAAGCAAAAUAAUUAAGAAACUAAAUACUCGUCAUCCAAGUGAGAAGAGAUUGGGUUGUUGAUACAUUAAAUAAAAGAAAAAUCAAUUAAAAGCACAACAAUUCAAUAAUUUCAUUCUCAAUCAUAUCAAAACUAAAACAAAUUAUUAGGGAUUUGCAGUUUUUUUUAGUGUAAUCCUCGUUAAUUACAGUUUGGUCUGAAGGGUUGAGCACAUGAGAAUAGAAGGUUUGAUCAUAGGAAAAUAAUAUAUCCCUAUCCGAUGCAAAAAUGAUUGUAAAGAAAAAAUUACAUUCCAUUUUCCAGUUAUUAAAGUAAUUCUAAAAUCACUAGGAUCACAAAGGAUAGGCUUUGGUUGACUGAGGUCAGCCUUAACGCAUGCCGGUCUUUUUCUCCUCUACAUUCUUAGAAAUUUUGGUUUCACUAUAAAUACUCGGUAUAUAGCAAACUUAUAAGUGUUCUUGCAUUACCAAUCCAACUAAGCACACGCUUACAAUAUAAAUACUCUCAUCUCAUGGAAAGAGUUCAUUCUUUCAGGAUGAUGAGCAGAUUUCUCUUACUCCAUUGUUUGAUUCUUAUUUCCUUAUUUAUCGCGGCAGCAACAGCCAACACAAGUUCUACUAUCACAGACCGAGAUGCUCUGUUGGCCCUGAAAGCUCACAUAACUCAUGAUCCGACUAAUUUCUUGGCUAAGAAUUGGAACACGAGUACUCCUGUCUGUAAUUGGACAGGUGUCGCUUGUGAUGUCCAUAGCCAUAGAGUCACAGUCUUGAAUAUUUCAAGCUUAAAUCUCACAGGCACCAUCCCUUCUCAACUUGGGAAUCUUUCUUCUCUGCAAUCACUCAAUCUCAGUUGUAACCGACUUUCUGGUUCCAUUCCCUCCGCCAUCUUCACCAUAUAUACACUGAAAUAUGUUAGUUUCCGUGAAAAUCAGCUCUCCGGCGCUUUCUCUUCUUUCAUCUUCAACAAGUCUUCUUUACAACAUCUUGAUUUUAGUCACAAUACACUGUCUGGUGAAAUUCCUGCAAAUAUUUGCAGUAGUCUUCCUUUUCUGGAUUUCCUUUCUUUGCAAGAAAACAUGUUCCAUGGCGGAAUACCGUCCACUCUAUCAAAUUGCACAUAUUUGCAAAAAUUAGGUUUGGUAUACAAUAAUUUCUCGGGGGCCAUACCUAAAGAAAUCGGCAAUUUGACCAAACUUAAGAUAUUAUAUCUUGGCGGUAACAGGCUCCAAGGUGCGCAUGAUCACAAAGUUUAAUUAUGAAAAUUGUUGCAUAAGUUGUAGUAUGAAUACUGUUCCAUAAUACAGUUUACACACGUUGAUUAAUUUUCAGGAGAAAUUCCUCGAGAGUUUGGCAAUCUCGCCGACUUGGAGCGGUUGUCGUUGGCAGGCAACAAUCUCCAAGGCAUGAUUUUAAACUUUUUGCAAUUUUAUUUUAGCCAUGCUUGCUUCUGUAUUCAUUCGCUUGUUCUUUAAUUAUGCGAUGAUUUAUUGUUUUUCUUUCAGAUAGAGAUAAAGCUCCAUGUCUCCCCUCACUCAUUUCAUUCUUUAAUUUAUGCAGAUAAAAAUAAAAUAAAAAUGUUUUGUAAUUUUCUUUUGUCAUAUUGCCACUUCCGUUUUGAAGCUCCCAAUUAAGUCUAUGAAAAUGAAUGAUGUUUCAUUCUUAUUCUUGUCAGCCUAAUUCUUAUAUAAUUGGAGAGUAAAUUGUUAUUAUGAUAAUCGUCAGCCAAUAAAUUCUUUUUUUUUUUACCCCAAAUAUGAGUGAUCAAAUUGUUUGCGCAUACAUAUAUGUACUUAAUUUGCAGGAGGUAUUCCACAGGAAUUGGGGAAUCUUGCAAAAUUGGAGAUGUUACAGCUGUUCCAGAAUAACUUGAUCGGUAACUUUCUUUACGAUUUAUAUCUGAGACAUCUUCCACUUCUUAAUUAAUAGAUGUCUUAAUUAAUAGAUUUCAAGUCUCUCAUUAUAAAUUCUCAUAUGAGGAUGUGUAGUUACCACUAUCUAACGUUAUUCCUUUUUUAUUAGAAAUUAGUUUGUGUUAAUUCAAAAUUCUGUAGCAUUUAAAAAAAUUAAAAACACGUGGAAUAAAUCAUCAAUCUUUCUUCUUUACUGAAUUUGGAUUUCUCAAAAAUAAUCUUGACAAGUAUGUUUCACUAAUGAUAUGCUUGUGUGACAACUUCAUAAAAUAUUUUACAUGGAAUCACUAAUUAUCUCUAAAGAUGCCAUCAGUGAUACAUAAUUUCUUAACAACACCAUACCAAAAGAAAUCAACAAUUUUAUUAAUCGUAAAGAGUUACAUCUUCAUUGUAAUUAUGACAUAAAUUUUUAGUCAUCAAUCGCAUAAUAUUUUAUCUUAACUGAUGAUGAUGUUCAGUCUUGGAAUUUAUAAUAUCUUGAAGGUUAGUAGCUUUAAAAAUAAGAAAUUGCUCAUUUGCUAAAAAGUUAACUUAGUAUUUAAGUUUUUCAAUUGAAAAUUUUGAAAAAAGCGUUGAGAACUGGCGCUCCAUGGUAUUUCAGCGGAUAAAUAUGAAAAAUAGGCUAGAAGAAAUUAUUUUACUGAAAUAAGAGUUAAAAAGAGAGGAGAAGUACAGUACUCACGACUUAGGCUUUCUGUGUGUGCUUAUUCUACUUAGGCUUUGGGCUUGAUUACGCCCGUUAUAAUAAUAGGCUUUUACUUUCAGCACACAUGAUGAUUUCUUAACCUUCUCAAUUAGGUUAUAGCAAUUUAUAUAUAAAUAACUAAAGCAUACUAAAGCUAGCAUUGAUGUACGGAUGAGUGGCGUCAAAAGUGUAUUUGUUUUUAUGUAUUAUUUAUUCUCUAAAACAUAUCUGAAUACAAUUCUUUCACAAUACCGAGGAAAUAGCACAUGAAAUCGGAAAUAUUUUAUUGCGAUGAGAAUUCGUAUAUUCAUUGUAGUAGAACAUAUAAAAUAGACUAUAAAUUCAUUAUUCUUUCAAGCAAACCUGAUUAUAAUUCCUUCAAAAUUAAGUUUGUCAUUAAAUGAUUUCUCAGGAGCCCUACAAAAAAAAAUCGGGAAUUUGACCAAACUCAAGUAUUUAUCUAUUGGCGGUAACAGGCUCCAAGUUGCGCAUGAUCACAGAGUUCAAUUAUGAAAAUUGUUGCAUAAGUUAUAUGGAUAUCCUUGAUAACCGCAGCAAGCAUACAAAAUCAAAUAAAAGCUAACUGAGACUCGAAUAUCCUAAACCCUGAAAAGGAAUGGUAAUGGUAUAAUAUGGAUUCUGUAGGCAUAUUUCACUGGACUCAACAUUUAUGGUUAAUUUACAACUCUUUGUUGUAAAGUCUGAGAAAUUGCUUUAUAUUAGGGGUGGGGAAAAUAAUUGUUGGGCCACAAAUUUCAAGCAGAAUCCAGAUUGGGCCCAAUUAGACUUAUAGCUCAGCUCUGUGUCGAUAUCUGGGUCUUUACAAAUAAUUAAUGGGCCAAUUAAUAAUAAUAAAUAAAUUGAGAAGGGUAUGAGUGAAAUUAGAUAUGAAUGAAUCUGCUAGUGUAUGUACACAUUUUUCUAAUUAAUGCGUUAUGAGCCUGCCGCUGCCAGCAUGGAAAUUACAGAAACUAAGGAGAGAAUUGACCCAUUAAUUAAAUUAAAAAGAAUACGGAAUAUAUAAGCAGUCAAAAUAUAGGUGAAGUAGGCAUGAAUUGUCACAUAACUAAAUUUGAGAGUAAAACCGUGACUUGGGUUUGAAUGUUUGAUUAAGUUACUUCUAUUUCAAGUUGCUUAUUUUGCGUGGGCUUCAGGCUUAAUUACACACAGUCGAACACUUAUACAGUUCCCCUGACAUAGGCUUUCACCUUCACCACACAUUUGAUAAUUUCUUAGCCUUCCCAAUUAGAUUAUAGCAAUUUAUAUAUAAAUAACUAAAGCAUAGAAAAGCCACCAUUGAUGUACGGAUGAAUGGUGUCAAAAGUGUAUCUUGUUUUAUUUAUUAUUGUUCUAUGAUACAAAUUUGAAUAAUGGAAUAUAAUGCUUUGAAAAUACCGAUGAAAUAGCACAUGAAAUCGGAAAAUAUUUUACUGCAAUAAGAAUUCAUAUAUUCAUUGUAGUAGCACAUAUAAAAUAGACUAUAAAUUUAAUUUUAAAAUACAUUCUUAUCUUCAUAUAAAUUUUACAUUACUAAUUUAAAUUAACAUUAAAAUAUGUUGUUUCUUUCACUAUGUUAUUUUAUUUACACAAUGAUGUGACUAUUGGAAUUAAUAAUAAUUAUAAUUAUUUUGUAAAAAUAUAAAUUUAAUACUUUGUUAACAUUUUAUCUACAUAUAAUAAUUAAACUGAAACUUGUAUUUAAAAAAUUCUAGUUACGCAUAUUCAUUUCACGACAUAAAAGUGUAUAUUUAUGCUAAUUUACCAUUGUCAACAAAAUGCUUUGAGACAAAUAAUCUAAUUUAUAUUUUUAUAUUUAAAAUACUUGCAUUUAUUAUAUUUUGAAAAAAAAAUUAUUUGCAAUUAUUUUAAACCGUUGGAUUCAAAUUUUUGUAGUUAUUAAAGUCAAAGGGUAUAAAUGUAUAAUAGUCAAAAAUAGAUUUGUAUGAUCAUUUUUUAAUGUAUAAAUUUUCUUAGUUAGUAGGAAAAUUAGAAAUUGUUGAUUUACUCAUAAAUAAAUUUAAUGUUUAGCAUUUCAAUUUUGGAAAACUUGAAGUAAAUGUUGAUAACUUUGAAUCGGUCGAGCCGAGUUUCUCUUCCUUGACCCACAGACCCAUUGAAAGUUCUAUUCGAAUUGAGUUUCCCGGUGCUUAUAAAAAGCUUUUCUUUUCCUUGUCGCAGUAAUUUAUUCACAAAUGAGUUGAUUAGCAUCGAAGUUACCUGAGAGUCUGAGACCAUGCUAGUAGGAGAAAUUUGAAAAGAAAUUAUUUUACUGAAUUAAUUUAUUUUAUCUUGUUGUAACUGAAAUACUACUUUUUUUUGGGCUAUCACUGGGGCUUGAUUUACUUUAAUAGUAGUAGCCACCGACUUAGGCUUUUUUUAAUUGUCACCACACAAUUUGAUCUUUUAAUUUGUUUUAACCACAUAAUCUGUCUAUCUAUCUCUCACCUAUUGCUUACUUAAAUCGCAUACAUAUUUUACCUACUAAUUUUAUAAAUAUUAGUCAAAUAUAUUUUAUUACGUUUCUCUCGUAACUGCUCCAAAUGUGUACUAUUAAUACUUAACCCUCGCUUUUAAUUUAACCCAAAAAUAUAAAAAUAAAAGAAAAAGAAUAUGUGUAGCAAUUUGCAUAUAACUAACAAAGCAUUGACGGUGUGUAGCCUUUCAAAACUUCACGGGUGGCUUUUCUUGUGUGUUAGUACUUGUAAUAAUUGUGUAGUGUAUAAAUGACAUUUUAUUAUUAAAGUGCGUCCAUUUUUAGAUAUUACUUAUUAUUUGAAAAAUAAUCUGAAUAUAAUUCUUUUAAAAUACAGGGGAGAUACCACUUGAAAUUGGUAAUCUCCAAAAUCUGGAGGAGUUGGAGCUUGCUCAAAACAAAUUAAUUGGUAUUGUCCCAGUUGCAAUCUUUAAUGUGUCAACACUCAAAAUACUUCAGCUUCAAAUUAAUUGUCUCUCGGGAAGUCUUUCAUCCAUCACAGACGUCCAACUACCAAAUCUUGAAAAGCUUGAUUUGUGGGGUAAUAAUUUCAGUGGCACAAUUCCUCGUUUCAUCUUUAAUGCUUCUAAGCUCUCUAUACUAAAUUUGGGAGGGAACUCAUUCUCCGGUUUUAUUCCCAACACAUUUGGCAACCUAAGAAACCUUAAAUACCUUUAUUUAGAAAACAAUUAUUUGACAUCUUCAACUCUAGAAUUGAGCUUUCUAUCCUCGUUGUCAAAUUGCAAGUCUUUAACACAUAUUGACUUAUCAAAUAAUCCACUAGAUGGCAUUCUUCCUAAGACGUCUGUCGGUAAUCUUUCUCAUUCUUUGGAAGAUUUUCACAUGUACAAUUGUAACAUUAGUGGCGGCAUCCCUGAAGAGAUCAGCAACUUGACCAACUUGAUAACCAUUGAUUUAGGAGGCAAUAAAUUGAAUGGAUCGAUUCUGAUUACUCUUAGCAAAUUACAAAAGCUUCAAGGUUUGGUUCUUGAUGAUAACAAAUUAGAAGGAUCAAUCCCAGAUGAUAUUUGUCGUUUGGUUGAGCUGUAUAAAUUGGAGUUGGGUGGCAAUAAGCUUUCAAGAUCAAUCCCUGCAUGCUUCAAUAAUCUGAUUGCUCUGAGGAUACUGUCGUUGGGUUCCAAUGAGUUAACUUCUAUUCCCUUAACUUUUUGGAACCUUAAGGAUAUCUUGUACCUCAACUUUUCAUCAAAUUUUUUGACUGGCCCACUCCCAUUAAAGAUUGGAAAUUUGAAGGUUUUGGUUGGAAUUGAUUUUUCGAUGAAUAAUUUUUCAGGCGUUAUCCCAACAGAAAUUGGAGGCCUAAAAGAUCUAGAAUAUCUCUUCUUAGGAUAUAAUAGAUUGCAAGGAUCGAUUCCUGAUUCAUUUGGUAAUUUGAUAAGUUUGAAAUUCUUGAAUUUGUCCAAUAAUAAUCUCUCUGGGGCAAUUCCUGCACCUUUAGAGAAACUCUCAUAUCUUGAAGAUCUAAAUCUUUCUUUCAACAAGUUAGAAGGAGAAAUUCCUAGGGGAGGAUCUUUUGGAAACUUCUCAGUUGAAUCAUUUAAAGGAAAUGAAUUAUUAUGUGGUUCACCUAAUUUACAAGUCCCGCCAUGCAAAACUAGCAUCCACCACACAUCAUGGAAAAUUUCUCUUCUCCUAGGGAUUCUCUUGCCAUUGAGUACUACAUUAAUGAUAGUAGUCAUUUGGUUGAUCCUAAGAUAUCGACAGAGAGGAAAACAACCAUCGAAUGAUGCUAAUAUGCCACUAGUAGCAAUGUGGAGAACAUUUUCAUACCUAGAACUUUGUCGAGCAACAGACGGAUUCAGUGAAAACAAUCUAAUCGGCAGAGGAGGGCUUGGCUCUGUUUAUAAGGCAAGACUUGGGGACGGGAUGGAAGUUGCAGUGAAGGUCUUCAAUUUGCAAUGUAGAAGAGCAUUUAAGAGUUUCGAUGUUGAAUGUGAAAUAAUGAAAAGUAUUCGCCAUCGAAACCUUAUCAAAGUUAUUAGCAGUUGUUCGAAUGAAGAGUUUAAAGGGUUGGUAUUAGAAUACAAGCCUCAGGGAAGUUUGGAGAAGCAUCUGUAUUCAAGUAAUUGCAUUUUGGAUAUUUUUCAAAGAUUGAACAUAAUGAUAGAUGUUGCAUCAGCUUUGGAAUAUCUGCACUUUGGUUGUUCAACUCCAGUAAUUCAUUGUGACUUAAAGCCCGACAAUGUAUUGUUAGAUGAUAAUCUGGUUGCUUAUUUGAGUGAUUUUGGCAUCGCGAAGCUCUUAAUUGGAGAAGAUCAGUAUAUGACUCAAACGCAAACACUUGCCACAAUAGGUUAUAUGGCACCAGGUUUGUUCAAUAUAAAUAUUUUCUAUUUCUUGUAAAUUUCCUAAUAAGUUAUUUAUGUUUCAUGAUCUUCAUUAGAUGAGGAAAUUAUUAUUAAUGAUAUAUCUUACUAUUUAACUGUUGCAAUUCAUAGAGUAUGGAAGAGAAGGACGAAUAUCCACAAAUGGAGAUGUUUAUAGCUUUGGAAUUAUGUUAAUGGAAACUUUUACCGGGAAGAAACCCACAGAUGAAAUUUUUAAUGGAGAAAUGACAUUAAAGCAUUGGGUUAAUGAUUGGCUACCCAUUUCCACUAUGGAAGUUGUUGAUGCUAAUUUGCUAAGUCAGGAGGACGUACAUUUUGUUGCAAAAGAGCAAUGUGUGUCAUUUGUCUUCAAUUUGGCUAUGGCGUGCACUGUGGAAUCUCCUGAGCAGAGAAUCAAUGCAAAAGAAAUUGUAACAAAGCUCUUAAAAAUUAGAGGCUCAUUACUUAGAAAUGUUGGAGGCAGAUGUAUAAGACAAUCAAAUUUAAAUUGAUUCUGCCACUCCAUUGCUUGCUAUCUUUUUCAGAGACUUGAACGGUUAUCCUUCAUACCAGUUUUGUUGAUAUGUUUUGUUAUUGCUCUUGCUCAUGUUUGUUUCUCUAUUUCUUUAAUUUGCAUGCAUGUAUUUUUCGUUCUCUUUUAUGUUUUUGUUGGUUUGUAUGUAGUUUGUUUUUAGGGGUAAGGUUGAUUAUGUCCUUCCCUAAUUACACGUAUCCUUUUUAUGUUUAUUCAAUAAAGCUUCUCUAAUACUAUCGAGGUUCAUCAAAAGAAAAUUUUUAAUUAAUUUUCUUUUCUUUGACAGGUAAUGAAAUUCUAAUCUUCAUAGUGAAUAACUUCAAUAAUAGAGUAUAAGAGUAUUAGUAGUUAUGGUUGUUUUUUGAACCUAAAGUCAAGAGCAAUUUAACAGCAACAAACAAGCCUCUUGUAUUAUAGGCAAAAUUCUUUUCAUUAAUCUUAUUUAUCUACAUGUUCUCCUUUUUUCUCCAUUAAUCUUCGCUCAAGCUUUCAUGCUUCCUCUUUGAUAAAGGAAAAUAUUACUUGCGAAUAUUUCAAUUUGACAUAAGAGACUGUUUUGCCAACCAUUUGAUAAAAUGGAUAUGAGUGGAGCUUUCAAUCAUUACCUCCACCAAAAUCCUUACAACGCCACUUUUAAAUUUUAUUUUUUAAAAUACAUUCAGUUUAAUUUAUAAAAAAUAAAUCCAUUUGUUAAAAUUAAUCUUUUUCUCAUAAAUUUCAACCUAAAAAAUAUAUUUCUUUUAAAUUUUUAAUUAUAAAAUACAUACAAGUUCUAAACUAUUAUUUUAUUUUCUUCUUAUUAUAUAGUUUAUAUCUCCAUAACUCUAAACUCCUAUAAUUUUUUUUAAAAUGUUUUUAAUUUAAAAUAUAAAUAUUAAGUAUAUAAUGGAGUGGGUAUAAAAAAAUUUGUUAAAAGAAUAAUUCAUUUAAGUAUUUAACUAAAUUUAAAUUAAAAUAAGAAAUAAGUUAAUUUAUUUUUUAUUAGUUAAGUAAUUUUCAAUUGAAAAAGAGCUGUAUGAGUAAUAUUAUUGAAAUAUGAUUAAAAUUCUUAUGAAUUAAAUAUUUUCGUAUAAAUACUAGUGAUAAUUACAGAGAAAGGACAAGGAACCAAAGAAAAUGUGAAUAUAAAUACUCCAAUGUAAUUUUACACAUGCAAAUUAUGAACCAGUGAUCUUUAGAGCAUCAUAAAAUUAUUUUGACAGAAUUACUUAUUUUGAAAAAUUGCCAACAAUGUUUAAAGUGGGAUUGAAAAGAUUAUACUACUUAUAUAAGACAUGAUAUCAUUUAAGAUGGCUUACGAAUUAUAAAAAAUAUAUUGAUCUUACAAAUAUUUAAUAUGUCAAUUAGACGGGCCCAGCUACCUUCCACCUGCUAGAAGGUACAUCUUAUUUUGUCCUCUAGUGUUGUGGGCGUUGGAUAUUUUAGAAGUUGAUCUAACGGUUCUUGUUCGACAGCGUGAAAUUGAAUUUCAAUUGGCAACCGUUUCAUGAACUUUGCAAGAGACAAUUAUCUACAAAAAUAUUAAAAAAAUAAAACCAAUUUUUCCCUUUCAUCAGCCGCCGCCGCCACCCACGAACCCUUAAUAUCAUCAUCACCAUCCCAAUCCUUAGUCGCCAUCCACAAGCUCUAACAACCACCAUGACCGCCAUCACAACCACCACUCCUCACAACCCCUAGCCACCACUACAAACAUUCACAAACUCCAACCAUAAUUGUCAGUUCACCAACAUUAUCCUCCAUUGACGCGGCCUACCAAUCAUCCACAACACCUAACCGUCGUCACCAACAAACUUUCGCCACCGCUUCCUACAAGGAAGCCUCACCACCCACCACCGCACACACACAAAGCCACACCAACCGCCAUACUAUUGCGACAGAGGCCACAAUGUAGACAAAUUCCCUAAGAGGAAGGAUGUUUUCCUUCUCCAGCUGACUAUUCUUUUUUAUCCUUUUUUUUGUUUUUUAAUUAUUAUAUUACUUUUAGUUAUUUUUAGUUUUUCUUUUAUUUUGUCUAUAUUUUGGUUGUUAGAAUGUUUUUGUUGUUGUUGUUGGCGGCAGUGCAGUUGUAGCUCAUGAUGAUGAUGGUGAUGUUGGUGUCAUUUUAAUCGAGAUUUUGUUUUUUUUUUACCGGCUACGCCAGUCAUCUUCAUUCAUUACAUGUCCAUUUCUAACAUGUUAGAUUUUACUACUUUUUAAUCCAAGGGUUAGACCACAACGAGACGAAAGAUGGGGUACCUUCCAAUGGGUGGAAGGUAGUUCGGCCCAAUUUAGACAGAGUCUAUGCAAUAAAAAUUUCAAAUUAAAAAAUAAACCUUUUAUUUUCUUUUAAUCAUAAGUGUGAUCUUAAUUAUUAACGUCUUUCAAUGUCCAUUACUUAUUUAUUUUUUUAAUUACCUAAAUGACAUUGAAAACUCUACUCAAUAAUAAUUCGUUCAAAUGUUUUAUUUUAAAGUAAUCGGAAACUGCAAAUGAAACAAAUGCUUGAAAUCACAAACGGCCUAAAAUUAGAUUUUCAUUUUUCAAUGUUGCAGUGACUUUGAUCUUGAUAUUGAAAAUUUAUUUGUAACUUAUAUAAAGGCCUCAAUUUUAUCAUAAUUGGUUAGUAAGGCUACGUAGGGAGCAUGGAUAAAUUUUGGGAUUGGAUUAUAUUUUCGAAGCUAAAAAAUUAAUUUCAUCUAAUGUUAUGUUUGGUUGUCAAGACUAGCAACUUAGUCUAAAAUUAUUGAAAUUACUAAUCUUUUAUAUUAUAAUCUUUUCGUUCCCACUUUAAACAUUAUUGGUAACUUAAAUCAUUUUUUAAAUUAAACAUAAAAAUCAUUUAAAUUAAAUAUUAACAUUAAUUUCAUAAGUUUUUUACCUAGAAUUUUAUAUUAUAUUAAAUACUACAAUUCUAUUCAAUAAUGUAUUAUCAUUUAUUUAAUAAAUGUUUAGGUUUUCAGUAUGUUAUAUUAUUAUUUAAAUUAAUUUUUUAUUUACAUAUAAACAUAAAUUUAUAUUUACUAAUUUAUAUUUAUUAUAAUUUAUUAAAUAAUAAAAUCUAAAUGAUUAUAUUUAAAAUAUAAUUUGUAUGUUAAUGUAUUAUAGCCUAAAUCUUACCCCUAUGAGUUUAUUUUUUCCACCUUUUAUUCUAUUAACCACAUUUAUAAGGCAGUGCGAUGCAACUAAAAAUUAUAACCAAAUAUAAGUUAGCAUGAAAAUAAUAUUUUAGUACAAUACAAUACAAUGUAAUAUAAGCUGACAAAUAGAUAUUUAAUGGAAGCAAAAAUUGCAUAUGGUUUGUCGGCCUCUCAAAAGACAGCAAAGAAACCAAUAUGAUACACUGAUUCUGUCCUCUUUAGCAGUGCCUUUACUAAAUAGGAAUAAAAAUGAAUUAGAAUCGGAAUAGAUUAUAAUCGAAAUGAGGAAUUAGAAAAAGAAUAAGUUAUUUAAUUAAGUUGUAUGAAUUAGAAUUGAAAUAAACUUCAUUCUAAUUGAUGUGUUUAUUUUCUCUUGAAAUUAGAAUGGACUAUUACAAGUUACUAAAAAAUCAUUUGGUAAUUGAUGUCUCUAGUAUUAUUUGUAUUUGUUAUAAUGUUAACAAUAAUAAGAAUAAAACUAAUACUAAAAAUGAAAAUAAUAAUAAUAAUAAUAGAGACAAUAAUAAUAAAAUUAAUAAAUUAUUAUUAUUAUUAUUAUUAUUAUUAUUAUUAUUAUUAUUAUUAUUAUUAUUAUUAUUAUUACUACUACUACUACUACUACUACUACUACUACUACUACUACUACUACUACUACUACUACUACUACCACCACCACCACUACUAUUAGUACUGAAGACCGCCCGGUAAAGAUUGGAUAGUGAAAAUGAAGACGACGAAGAUCCCGGCAACCACCUGCUACUCCAAAGAUGAUGUGCCCAAAUGGAGACAACCAGUGAUGACUAGCCAACUAGAUCCAAAUCUCGAUAUUGUGAUCUUGCAUGACCAUUGAUAAAGCGAUGUGUGAUGUCGGUGUUGUGAUUUCUUUUUUAUUUAUAUUUUUUAAUUAAUCAGGGGUAUUUUCAAAAUUUAGUAAUUUUAAUAUGGGCAAAUUGGAUAGUCUAGUGAACAGGAGACUAAUUCCCAAUCAUCCUAGAAAUUAGUCUCUCAUUCUUUAUUUUUAAUUUAAUGUGGGUUCCACUAUUUCGAUUCCAAUUCUUACAUUUAUUUAUAAAGUAAAUAAUGUUAAUGAUUUCAAUUUCCAAUUCGAAAAAUAAACACAUCAUAAUAUUUUUUUAGGUGCUUCCAUGACAUAAUCUCAUUGGUCCAUUUUUCUUCAUGCCUUAUAUUCAACUUCAAGAUUCAAGAUUCAAUUUGAAGCAAACACAACUACAAAACAAAUAUAAUAAGCGUUAAUAAGCCUGUGGCCAAGCAAAUGUAACUUGUAGUGACCAAUCAUAUCUUAUUAUCUUCCGCCAGAAGUUAAACAAUGUUCCCAUUCCACGUGUCACUCUCUGACCAAUCCCCGAACUUUCUUCAUAUUUCCAAAGAAACCCUCACCAAGUCAACAUAAUUACCUUCACUCUACUCAUAUAAAUACUGUCCUCGAUUCGACUGAUGUCUGAUGACGACAUAUCCUUGGUCUUUAAUUAAAGAAAAAAGGACACAGAGACUCCCAACGUUUGAAUAAGGGACAUAAAAUUUUUUAAUGUUUUAAAAAAGACACUCAGACCCCCAUUUGUUAAUAAUAAAUUAUAAUUUUACCAUUAUACCCUUAUAGCAUAUUAAAAAUUAAUUGUUCAUUAUCCAAUUUAUUUCCAUAUUAUUAAUAAAAAUUACGAAUAUAACUUCAUUACCCUAUUUUUCCAUUUAUUUUUUAUCAAAUUUUAUCUUCAAACUAAAUAAAUUUAAUCCAUUGCUCAAAAAUAAAAAUAAAUUAAAUUGAUUAUUAAUAUAAUACAAAUAACAAUUCUCCAUAUGUUAUUUCUUAUAAUUUCUUAUAUAUAAAUUAAAUUGAUAAUUUCUUAAAAAUAACAAUUCUCCAUAUAUAAAUUAAAUUUAUUUUAAUUUAAUAUAUGUUAUUUUUAUAUUAAAUAUAUGUUAUUUUUAUUAUAUUAGUAAUCAAUUUAUUUUUAUUCUUGAGCAAUGGAUUAAAUUUAUUUAGUUUGAAGAUAAGAUUUGACAAAAAUUAAAUGAAAAAAUUGAAUAAUGAAGUUAUAUUCGUAAUUUUAUUAAUAAUAUAGGAAUAAAUUAGAUAAUGAAUAAUUAUUUUUUAAUAUGUUAUAAGAGUAUAAUGAUAAAAUUAUAAUUUACUAUUAAUAAAUAGGGGUCUGAGUGUCUUUUUUAAAACAUUAAAAAAUUUUAUGUCCCUUAUUCAAACAUUAGGGACCUCUAUGUCAUUUUCCCUUAUUUAAAAGUGGAAAUUAUAAAAAAUUCUCCUCGUUCCCUAAAGAUCUAGGGUUUCUCGAGAAUCGCUAAACCUAGAUCCCAAUCCUUCAAAAUCUCAAUUUAACCUCUCUAGGGUUUCGAUUAUCGAGGAUUCGCUUCAAAAUUUAGUAUUUUUUAGGGGAUUUUGCUUGUCUCGUAUCCUUCAAUUGUUGUUCGGUUCUGAAAAUAAUUUGGAAUUUUAGGGAUUUUCAGAUUAUUUGGUUUUGCUUGAGUGCAAUUUCCUCUAGUUACGGUUUCAGUUUGAAGGGUUAAGUGCGAUUUCGAAUAUUUUUAUAAAAUUAAAAUUAAAAUUCAUAAAACGACUGGGCUUUUAAUAAUUAAUUGCUGGCUAGCGAUACUACAACGGCGGCCGCAGCUGCAGAAGAAGCAGAGGCGGUGGAGGAGUAUGAUAGCGAUCCAGAUGAAGUGAAACGCUCUCUUGCGAUGCGCAGAAGGGAAGCCAGCGAUGAGGAGGUUGAGGAGGAUAAAGAUUCAGAGCUUCCAAUAGUUCAAAGUGUCCACAUUCCUGCGGGAGAAGCGGAGGCUGUGGAUGAGUAUGAGAGCGAUCCAGAUGAAGUGAAACACUCUCUCAUUAUGCGCAGAAGGGAAACAAGCGAUGAUGAUGAGGAGGAGACAUAAUUUGAGCGUCGAAUGAAUUGAAGGGUCCAGAUUCACUCUUACAUUGAAUCUGAUGGCCAAGGUGGUGCUCCAGCUGAGUAUGAUGAUGAUGAUGAUGAAGAAGAGGAACAUGACAGAGAAUUAGAAGAAGAAGAUGAAGAAGGGGAUGUUUAUGAGGCUGUAGAGGAAGAAGAAGUUUAUGAAGAAGAGGGGAGGAAUGAUGGGGCGGUUAAAGUCAAAGGAAUAGAGGGUAAUGAUGCAUAAGGAGUACGGAGGGUGCAGUGGAAGUGAGUAAAGGGAAUAAUGAUAAUGGCAAUGGUGCUAAAAGAAUGAUGCAGCAGAGGAGAGAAUGGAGAAAGAGAAGAAGGAGAGUAAUGAGCCUUUUGUACAGCAACUGGGGCUUUUUGCACAGCAACUGGGGCUUCUUAUAUGGGACAAUGUUGCAGGUCGACACAGGUAUUAUUUGAUUUGAGUGACAAUUUAUAAAUAGCUAAUAGCUGUACUUUCAUUAGUGCUUGUCAAUUAAUCCAGUCUCGUUUUUUGGUGCUGUAUAAUGAUUGUUUGCUGGAAUCUGUGUAGAAGGCUUUUGGCCUAGUAGGUUGAAAGGAGAGAAAGUUCUCAAAUAAACAUCUGUGCUUUGUGGAAUAUAAUUAAUAGGUACAAAGCAUACUAAAUUACUUGACAGAGAGAUGCCGAGCUAAUCAUGAGCUAUGAUAGCAUCAUCCGUGCUUUGUGUAUUUUUAAUAGGGCUUGUCUAUUUCAAAGUGUGUAGUAAUUUUUGGGUUUAGUUUGAGUGAUGAAGUGUUAGAUGGGUUUCUGUUUGGCAUAGUUAAGUGGUUAAUACGAGCUAUUGAAGCAAAUAUGGAGUAGGAUAUCUAGUUUUGGGUUUGGUCUUAGUUUGAAGAUGGCUACUGAUUAUGCAGCUAGGUACUAAUUAGUGUUUGUGGAUUGCUAAAUGCUUUCUGUCAAAUGUGACUAGAUUAUUACUUGAAGUGCAUGGAUCUUACACUUAAUUAAUUAUAUAUCCAUUUGUAAUGUACAAAAUGAUCAUGUACUAUUGCUUAAAAUUAUGUUUUCAAGACAUCAUUUUGAAUCCAUGGUUGUAAUGUGUCUCUAAAUUCAGUAAGACAAGUUCUGUCAAUUGCUGUCGGAUGGCAGUGACUUGAAUAGUUUAAUGUUCAUUUGCAGAAAAAAAUUGAGAAAGAAAACUAAAAAUUUCUGUGCGUUCUGCUGGAAAUUUAAUUAGCUUCAUUUGAGCAUUAAUUGCUGGCAUUAUCUCUUAGAUUUCUCUUGCAUUGAAUGAAUGGAUGAGUGCUAAUCCAUGCAAAGACUUCCAUGCAUACACAAUGAAUGCUUCAUCAAAGGUAUGGUAAAAUGUCAACACGCUUGGCCCAAAUUAUCAAGCUGGUGUGGUGGCUGCUAGAUUUGUUCAUCCGGAUUUUGGACCAUUUUCAUUGACAAUGAGAAAAGCUGCAAGAUCUGUAAAUCGGAAACUCAUUGAAGUGCCAAAAGAGAGAUGGAAGUGAAUAACUAGGGAGUUAGUGAAAAGAGGGUGCAGUGAUUGUGUGGGAAGCUUUGGGUAUAUUUGGGGUUUGGAUGUAAGAUAAAAUAAUUUGAGAGAGAGGUUGUAACAAUUUUUCGGUAAUAGAGUUUUUCAGGUAACUCUUGUGUUGUGUGAUUGGAGUAUUCUCUAUUGUAUUUUUUUAUUUGUUAUUUAUUUGACAUAUUGCUAGCGGAGAUCUUGGGUGGGAGCCAAAAAUUCCCAACAAUUGUCAAUUGUUUUAAACUCUAUUUCGAACAGAGCAUGAAGGGAUUCACUUAUCUGAUUAUGUCUUUUAUGCUUUAACUUCACUUGAUUUCAUCUUGUCUGUCACCUUUAUUAAAGUUGUAUAUGUUGGAGUAUUAGGUUCAUCACAGGGAUCAUAUUAUGGCUAAGGAAGGGGCACAAGAGUAUUUGGAUUCAAGACUGUUAGAAGGUUGUUACAAUGCAAGGCUGUUGCUGUGUAACUGUAUGCCAUUCACGCAAGUGCACUCUUAACAGAUUGCUGAGCUGGCACCGGAUGUUUUUAGCUAAUAUUAGUUAUUGGUCUAGAGUGUUCUGAUUUAUUCUAUAAAUAGCUCAUUUGAGCUUAGAACCUUUAUAGUGUAUCAUACGUUUCCGUUACUUCUAAUAAUGAGUUUCUCUAUUCCUUUUUCUUUCACUUUCUCUUCCAUUUUCAUGAUCCCCAAACACCAUCAAUCCAUGAUUUUCUAGAGUAUUAGUUGUCUAUUUCUACAAGGGGAAAUAUCCACCGUCCACCUGAUUUUGUUUACUUUUUUAAAAAUAUACAAAUCCUAAAUUUUUUAGCUGCGCUCCACCUGAACUUAUAAUUUUUUUCACAUUUCCACCUCCGUCUGCAAACCGUCAAGGCGUUGCUGAUGUCAUAAGGCUAAAAUGAUAAUUUCACUUGGGCUUAAAAAACGACGUCGUUUAAGAUCUGUAAUAAGCAAAAAAAAAAGUUAUUUCAGUUUCAAGAAUCCAAACAAAAGCUUUGAUAAACUCGAAGCUCAAAGCUUAAUUAUUCUCUGGUCUCUACUCACCACAUUCGCAUUCAUGGCUGCACAAGACACACAAAUUGAGAGCGAAAAUAAAGACUCAAAAGAACCCAAAAACCUGUUCGCACACUUUAUAAACUUAUUAUUUUCUGCUCCAAUAUUUAAUAAUAAGCAAGAGAGAAAUAAAAGUGAAGGUGAAGAAAGAGAAGCUGCAGAGGCAAGCAAGAAACGAGAGGUGGUGAAAUUUUCGCUUUUAAAAAAAUAAAAAAAAGAAAGAAAAAGCAAAGGCAAAGCCAAAAUCUUCUACUCUGAAAGUCAUCGACCAUAGUCAUGGCGGAAAACACAGAAAUUGCUUCCAGUCCCAGAAAACAAGAAAACAAAAGCAUACUCUCGCGGUUGCCGAAAUUCCAACUCAAUCUCCAUUUCUUCUUUAAUCAACAACCUAAGAAAGUAGAAGAAACUGUUGUUUCUAAAGGGACUGCCAAAACGUCAACGGUUAGUGAAGCCGAUGACGGUAAUGCUAGUAGUGUGAAGCCGAGCUUGGCUAGGUUUCCAGACGCCACACGUCCGAUUCUUCCGCUGCCGAUUGAGCUCGAGGCCCAAGAGCCCGCCGGGCGGACUUCCAAUCCUGUCGUUCUCUGGCAGGUUCGCUUUCUUCCGUCUGUUCCUGUUUGGUUCCCGAGAAAAUGUGGGGUCCUUUUGUGUUGCGAGAUUGCGAGAUUUUAUAAUAUUUGUUUAAAAAAUAAAAUUUUUGAAAGGAUUUCAAGAUUUUCAGUCUUUAUCUAGGGCUACAAUACUCACAAAGUUAAUAUUUUGGCGUUUAUUGAGGGUAAAUAUAUAAUUUUUUAUUUUCGGGGUUAAAAAGUAAUUUGGACAAAAUUCCGUUAGUUUUAUUGACGGUUUACAGACGGAGGUGGAAAUGUGAAAAAAAUUAUAAGGUCAUGUGGAGCGCAGCUAAAAAAAUUAGAAUUUGUGUAUUUUAAAAAAAGUGGACAAAAUCAGGUGGACGGUGGAUAUUUUCCCUUUCUACAAACAUAAAAUUGUUGUUUUAAGAAACAAAGUACUCUGUCCUGUCACCCGCGGUCUCCUCGUUUAUCGACUUGUGAACAGGGCUAAAUAAACGGCAAAUAAGAUAUUAGGUCAAUGGGUCUAACGUGACAAGAUAUUGAAUUAUUGCCCUUUUCUUUUCUCCACAAAUCUUUGGUUAAUUUUUAGGUUCUCUCAACUUUUUUCCCCUUUAGCACUAAAAUUCAUUUUUGAUACUUUAUGCAAAAAUUAUGAUGAAAAUGAGUCACUUUAGAACAUUAAUAAAUUUUUAUUUUUACAUCCAAAAUAACGACAGUUACACUUAGAUCACUCUCAUUUAGUUGAACUAUAUAGGUAAUAAAGUUGGCUUAACAAAAUAUGAUUCUUAACUGUUGUAAUUAAGCACUAGUAUUCUUUGGUUUUAGUUGUAGGGCUUAUAAUGCCGUGGCUCAGUUCUUGGUGGGUUCAAAUUAUUAGACGAUCAUUCUCAAUCCUUUACGAUUCGUAAUUAAAAAUUCUUAUAUCACAAUUAGAACUUACAAACAAGUCAAAGUGGGUAAAAUCAUAUGUAUAAAUUCGAGGUUUAUUACAAACUUUUAAAAAAGAUUUUCUCUGUUUUUUUUUUCUUUCACAUUCUCUUCCAUUUUCUCAAUCCCCAAACACCACCAAUCCCUGAUUUUUUGAGUAUUAGCUGUCUGUUUCUACAAACAAGUUCUUGAAUUGAAUGGCUCCUCUUUUAUCCAUAGAUCUUUGCUUAAUAUUUUUGUUCCCUCAACCUUUUUCGGCCCUUUGCUCUAAAAUUCUUUUCUGAUACAUUAGCAUUACGCAAAAAUUAUGAUGAAAAUAAGUAUGCCAUGCCGGCAAGUGUAUUGUACAGAUUUCUAGAGUAUUACCUGUCUAUUUUUUUCACCGAUGACGAAGCUAAUUAUUAGUAAUCAAUCUAAAGUCUACCUAUAAAUACAAUAGGUUGCUUAGGUGGCACCAAUAUCCUAACUUUAUGCCAUGUUUCUGGUGUGUCUUCACAAAUUCACCGAUACAAAUUAAUUUCUACCAAUAUUACCAAAUGAUUGUAUUUUACGUUUCUAUUUACUUGUAAUAAAGAUCUUCAAUUUUAUUGGUUACAAAAUUCUCUAGGAUUGCAUGUACAUUAUACUUUUAUAUACAUAUUUUCUUCUUUCUCAUUCGUUUUCUGGGUGAACAUAUUAUUUUCGUCAUCAUCUCUAUAACAAUGAAGUGAAAAUAGUCCUCAUUUAAAGUAUUGACAGCAAUGUUAUACUCAAUAUAACGUAUAAAGCACGCAUAAUUUAAUUAAUGGGGCAGCUGCUAGUACCUUCUAUAGAAGAGAAUUAUUGCAGCAAGUUAAUUGGAAGCUCAAAGAGUUUCCGUAUUAGCCGAAUCUAAGCGAUAAGUGUUUCCAUGUGAGACAUAAUUUGGGAAAAAGACCAAUUCGAGUUAAAGAUCAGAAAACAAACACUGUCAACAAGCAUUAAUGUCAUUUGAUGCAUGAAAGACAAUUAGUCCCAUUUUUUUGUCCUGUUUACUUGACUUGGGCAAUUUGCCGUCAACUUUUCUCAUCCACGUCAGGUAAUGUGGCUUUUAUUUGGUAUGAAAAAGCCAAUGCUUUACGAUAAAACUAUCACACACAUAUUAUCCAUCUGUAAUGUUCAAAUGACACUCAAGUAUUACCUAAAUUAGCCUUUUAAAAAUUCAUUUUCAAAAACCCAUGGUUGUGAUGUGUCUCUAUAAAUUAAGAUCUAUCUGUUACCAACUGUUUUAACUCUGUUCUGAACAGAGCUUGAAAGGGUACAUUCACUUAUCUAGUUAUGUUUUUUAGGCUCUCACUUUAUUUGAUUCACCUUAUCCCUCUUUUGAAACAAUUGUUCACUGGCUGCACUCAGUUAACAGAAUAUUUUGGGAUUCAAAAUAACAUCUUAUUUUCUAAAAUAACUAAAUAGAAUCUUACAGAAUUAGAGUGCCUGACUUCUUCAUACAGUGCUUGACUUCUUUUUACAGAAUUAUAAAGUGAAAAAAUAAAUUAAGAAAUUAAAUACUUUUCAUGCGAGUGGAGAAGAUUGGGUGGCGAUUACAUUAAAUAAAAGAAAAAUAAUUUAAAAGUACAACCCUUUAAUAAUCUCAUUCCCAAUAAAUCGUUGAAACGUCUUGCUUCAUAUUGUUCUUUUUUUUUUUUUUGAUUAAUUGGCCUAAAUAUUGUAUUUUUGUCAGGAGUCUUGCAAUGCUGCGUAACACCGUAGUAAGAAGAAACGUGUCUAAGGUUGCCACGUGUUGUCUCAACAUCUGUGUGAAAACCGAAUUAACCAGUUUGCGUUCGACAACAAAGGAAAAUCUUUAUAACACCCUUUUUAAUUUUAUUUUCUGAAAUACACUCAGUUUUAUUUGUAGCAUAUAAAUCUAUUUAUUAAAAUUAAUCAUCUUUCCAGAAAAUAUCAAUCUAAAAAAUAUUUUUUUAAAUUUUUUUAUAAAAUACAGAUAAAUUCUAAUUAUAAAAUUUAUAUCUCUAUAACUCUAAACUCAUUUAAUUUUUUAAAAUUAUUUUUUAAAUUUAAAAUAUAAAUGUAAAAUAUAAAAUAAAUCCAUGUAUGUCAAUACUAGAUGGUUCCAUAUUAAACCUGUGAAGUGUAGAAAAUAAGCGGGAUUCGUAAAAAAUAUUUUAGAUAAUAACAUUGAAAAGUGAUAAAAAUAUUUUUUUUAAAAAAAAGAAAUACAUACUCGAGACACCAAGACCGGCACGCACAAACUCACACAUUUAUAUAUUAAUUGAGGGGGAAAAUGAUAUUCUAAGUAAUAUUGUUGACAUGUGAUAAAAAUUCUUUUUAGUGAAACAUUUUUGUAUAAAUACUAGUGAUAUUUGUAGAGAAAGUAGAAUGAAGUGAGAAAAACUUGAAUAUAAAUGCUCCAAUAUAAUUUCUCCCAUGCAAAUUAUGAACUAGUGAACUUUAAAGCAUCAUAAAAUUGUUUCAACAUAAGUAAUUAGUUUGAAAAAUUGCCAAUAAUGUUUAAAGUGGGAACGAAAAGAUUAUACUAUAUGAGACACGAUAUUAUUUAAGACAACUUACAAAUUACGGGAAAUGUAUUGAUCUUACAAAUAAUAUUUAAUAAGUACAAAUUUCAAAUUAAAUAAUAAACCCUUAAUUUCCUUUUAAUCAUAAUUAUGAUCUUAAUAAUUAAAGUCAUUCAAUCUUAAUCACUUUUUCAUUUUUUUAAACUAUCUAAAUGACAUUGAAAACUCUACUCAAUAUUAAUUUAUUCGAAUGUUCUGUUUCAAAAUAAUUGAAAACUGUAAAUGAAACAAAUGCUUGCAAUCACAAAUGGCCUAAAAUGGGAUUUUUAUUUUUUAAUAUUGCAAUGACUUUGAUCUUGAUAUUGGAAAUUUAUUUGUAACUUAUACUAAGUCUUCAAUUUUAUCAAAAUUAGUUUCUAGAGAUGCAUUUGCCAUACUGUGUAGUUGUAUUGUAUGAUGAUAUAUUACAUUAGAGUGCAUUGUAAUGAGAUGUAAUGCAAUACUAUUUUAUAUUAAUGUUAAAACUAAAUCAACCUUAUUUAAAUUUAUUAAUAUUUUAGGGUUUUAAUAGUAAUAUCUGAAAUUAAGUAUUAAAUAAUUAUUUUUAUAAUAUACAAAUUAUUUAAUAAUAUUCUACUAUUAAAUAAUAAAAUAUUACAAUAUUAUGUUAUAUUAUUAACAAUUAUUCUGUUAUAAUAUAAUUUAUUUUUAUAUAUUAGUUAUUAUAAUUUAUUAUAAUCAUAUUAUAAUAAUAUUAUAUUGUAAAAAUACAAUACUAUAUAAUUGUAUAAUAUAAUAUGAAUUAAUUUAUAACUUAACAUUAAAUUAUAAAUUUAUUUUAUUUAUUAAUGUCAAAUAUAUUUGUCUAAUUUAAAUUUGGUAUUUUUUUAAAAAUAAACUAUUAAAUAAUUAAAAUGAUUUUAUAGAAUAAAGUAAAAUAAUGUAUUAUUAUUUAUUAAUUAAAUAUUUAGGUUUAUUAAUAUACUAUAUUAUUAAUUAAAUUAAUGAAUAUUAAUUAAUAUAAAUAGUAUUAAAUAGUAUAUUAAUACUAUAUUAUUAAUAUACUAUAUUAUUAAUUAAAUUAAUGAAUAUUAAUUAAUAAUUUAAAUUUAUUAAAUAAUAAAUUUAAAUGAUUAUAUUUAAAAUAUAAAUAGUAUUUUAAUGUAAUAAAACCUAAAUCCCACAUGUAUACCACAUUUGUUAUACAGUGUAAUGCAACUAUAAAUUAUAAUUAUAUAAAAAUAAUAUUUUAAUACAAGUAUAAUGCCACUUGAGAAAUUGAUAUUUUAAUGGAACCAAAAUUUGCAUUUGGUUUGUGGGUCUCUCAAAAAAUAAUAAUAAAAACCAAUAUAAAACACUGAUUCUGUCCUCUUUAAUAUUUUUCUAAAUGCUUCCAUGGCAUAAUCUCAUUGGUCCAUUUUGUUUCACAGCUUAGAUUCAACUUCAAGAUUUUCAAUUUGAAGCAAGCUGUGGUCGACUGGCCGUGGCCAAACAAACGUGCCUCAUGGAGUCAUGGUGACUGAAUCAUCUCUUAUCUCAGAAUUUGAACUUAAACAAUUUGAACUUAGACUGUUUUUUUAUUGUCGAAGAUUCGCUUCAAAAAUUAGUAUUUUUUAGUGGAGUUUGCUUGUCUCGUAUCCUUCAAUUGUUGUUUGGUUCUGAAAAUAAUUUGUGAUUUAGGGAAUUUCGAUUAUCUGGUUUAGUUUGAGUGCAAUUUCCUCUAGUUACGGUUUCAGUGUGACGGAUUAAUUGCAAUUUCGAAUUUUUGAUAAAAUUUAAAUAUUUAUUUAUUUAUUUUGAGAAGGCUAGUGAUAAAAUUGGGCGGUUAUUAAUUAAUUGAUGGCUAGUGAUACUACAACGGCGGCCGAAGCUCCGGAAGAAGCGGAGGCGGUGGAGGAGUAUGAUAGCGAUCCAGAUGAAGUGAAACACUCUCUCGUGAUGCGCAGAAUGGAAGCAAGCGAUGAUGAGGAGGAGGUGGAGAAAGAAUUUGAGCGUCGAAUAGUUGGCGAUGAAUCUGAUGAAUCUGAUGCGCAGAAUGGAAGCAAACGAUAGGGCAGUUAAAGUCAUUGGCUGCACUCAAUUAUUAGAAGGUUGUUACAGAGGUAAGGCUGUUGCUGAGUAACAGUAUGCCAUGCUGGCAAGUUUGCUAUAGCAGAUUGCCAAGCUGGCACUAAUUAUUUUAAACUAAUAUUAGUAAUUAGUCUAGAGUGCUCUAAUUUAUUUUAUUCUAUAAAUAGCUCAUUUGAGCUUUGAACCUGUAACGUGUACUGUACUUUUCUAUUACCUCUAAUAAAGUUUUUCUCUGUUCUUUUUUCUUUCACUUUCUCUUCUAUUUUCCCGACCCUCAAACACCCUCAAUCGUUGAUUUUCUAGAGUAUUAGCUGUCUGGUUCUACAAACAUAGAACUGGUGUUUGUUUGUUUGUCUAAUUACCUUUAAGAAACAAUAUACUCCACCCUGCGGCCUCUUCGUUUAUUGACUUAUUACUUGUGAUCAAGGCUCAAUGAAGGGCAAAUAAGAUGUUGAGCCAAUCGGCCCAACAUCACAGAUCUUGAAUUGAUUGCCUCUUCUUUUCUCCACAAAUCUUUACUUAAUUGUUAUGUUUCCUCAACUUUUUUCCCCUUUUUGUGCUAAUUUUUUUUUUUGAUACUUUAUGCAAAAAUUAUGAUGAAAAUUAAUUAGUUUAGAACAUCAAUAAAUUUUUGUUACAUUCAAGAUAAGGACAAUUACACUUAGAUCACUCUUAUUUAGUUGAAUUAUAGGUAAUAAAAUUAGUUUUAACAAAAUAUGAUUCUUAACCCUCGUAAUUAAAGGCUCGUGUUAUUUGGUUUAGUUAUAACACCAUGCAACAGGUCGUCUUGGUGGGUUCAAAUUAAUAUACGAUCAUUCUCAAUUUUUAAUAGUUUGUAAUUAAAAAGCCCUACAUCACAAUUAGAAUUUGCAAACAUGCCAAAGUGAGUUAAGUCAAAACCUAUAAAUUUGAGGUCUACUACAAACUUCUGACAAAUUAAAUUUAAAACGAUUAAUUAAAUGCUAGACAAAAUUUAGCUUAUUAAUGUUCCUGACCACAUGAUGAAUGUACUUAAAACAUCCUAAUUGGUCACUAAUUGAUUAGUUAUUAUUUUUUCAAUUUCUUUUUAUAUAUCUUUGAAACUUCUAGUUUCCUAACAUAUUAUUUGCAAUUCGUGUAAAUUAUUAUUUUUUAAAUAUUAGAGCAACAACCAGUAUAAAAAUGAAAUGCACUCAUUUAAUGGAAAUUUUUCUAGAUGCUUCAAUGGCAGAAUCUCGUUGGUCUAUAACUCUCACGCCUUUGAUUCAAGAUUCAAUUUCAAACCAACGCCGAACAAACAGUAUAAACCUUAAUAAGUCUGUGGCUGUAGCCCAACAAACCUACUUCCGGCUCACCGAAUAAUCAUCUCUUACGUCGGAAUUUAAACUUAAACAAAGCUACAUCCCACGUGUCCCCAACUUUCUUCAUAUUUCCAUAAAACCCCUACCAGAUCCAGAUAAUUACCUUCACUCUUCUCGUAUAAAUAGAGAAGAUGAUGAUUCCUACAAAGCCACGUAAGUCAAGCGAACGUUACGGCCAUGGCACAUUGGAAUUGGAUCAAACCACCGGAAUGCAAAGCAAAAUUAACCAAAUAAACUAAAUUAGAUCCAACCAAUUGAAUCGGUUAAUGAAUCAGUUUAGUGUCACUCAAAAAACAAAUAAAUAUAUAAAACCACACAAUUAUCAUAUUAAUGGGGCACUUUUAUCAAACACUAUAGGAUCAACUAGUACAAAAUGAAUUCAUUUGGGAUACGUUUAACGUACUGUGCUAUGGUGUAUUGCAUUAACAUACAUUAUAUUAAGUUAUAAUGUUAUACUUUGAUAUAGUAUAAAUUGUAUUAUAUAAGGUAAUGUUUUAUAUUAAUGUUAAAACUAAAUUAAUAUUAUUUAAAUUUAUUAAUAUUUUAGGUUUUUAUUAUUAAUUUUUUAAAAUUAAGUAUUAAAAAUUAUUUUAUAGUAUAUAAAUGAGUUCAUAAUAUAUUAUUAUUAAAUGAUAAAAUAUUAAAGUACUAUGUUAUAUUAUUAAAAAUUGUUAUAUUAUAAUAUAAUUUAUUUCUAGAUAUUAAUUAUUAUAAUAUAGUAUAAUCAUAUAAUAAUAUAAUAUAAGUUAAUAUUAUAUUGUAAAAAUAUAAUACUGCACAAUUAUUUAAUAUAAUGUAAAUUAAUUUAUAAUAUAAUAUUAAAUUAUAAAUUUAUUAAAUAAAAUUAAAAUACUUUUUACGUAUUUAAAGUAAAAUAAUUAAAAUAAUUUAUGUAAUAGAAGUAUGAUAAUGUAUUAUCAUUUUCUCAUUAAAUAUUUUAGGUUUAUUAAUUUGUUAAAUUAUUAUUUAAAUUAAAAUUAAUUGUUUAAGUGUAAAUAUAAAUAUAAAUGAAUGUUUAAUAAAAUCUACUCCUAUGGAUCUAUUUUAUACACUUUUUAUUCUAUAAAUCACGCAUAUAAUGUAGUUGUAUAAUAGAAACUGGAUAUGUAAUGGAAGCCAAAUUGCGCACGGUUUGUGGGUCUGUCAAAAAAUGAUAAAAAGACCAAUAUGAUAGACUGACUCUGUCCUCUUUAAUAUUUUUCUAGAUGCUUCCGUGGCAUAGUCUCAUUGGUCCAUUUUUCUUCACGGCUUAGAUUCAACUUCAAAAAUCAAUUUGAAGCAAACACAACAAUUCAACAAAUAUAAUAAGCGUCGAUAAGCUUGUAGCUGACUGGCUGUGGCCAAGCAAAAUGUACCUCAUGGUUACCGAAUCAUAUCUUACGUCAGAAUUUUGAACUUAAACAAUGUUCUCAUUCCACGUGUCACUCUCUAACCAAUACCCAAACUUUUAUCAUAUUUCCAAAGAAACCCCUACCAAAUCAAGGUAAUUACCGUCACUCGGCUCAAAUAAAUGGUCUCCUCAAUUCAACUGAUGACGACAUAUCCUCAUAGUCUUUAUUUAGAAGGGGAAAUUAUAAAAAAAAGGGUUAUUUUUAGGAACUUUCCCUGAAGUUUAGUGUAUUAACAGUCUGAUAAAAAGUAUUUAUGUAAUUAUAAGUAUUUCCCUUAACAUUAGUAUAAAAAUACGUAAACGUCAGUAUAAAAAGGUAAACAAGUAAAAGUAAACUUGAAAUUUAAACAAAAUCAAAAUUCAAGCAAAAUAUGUUUCGAUGUCUGUGAAAUAGAGACUUAAACACACCAUUACCCAGUCCAAAGUCAUUAUCCAGUAGAUGAAAGAAAAUGAUUUUUUCACAAAGGGUACUUCUCCUCGUAAACACAGCUUACACUUGAACAAAACCCACCAUCAUUUUCAUCCAUGGAGAAGAAGCGUCUGCAACUCACAAAUAAUUUCUGAAAUCAUUGAUUUAUUUUCAUCUACUGCACAAGAUGACGUCGUGCGGUGGUCCAGAGCUUCCAAGAAGCGAGUAUUGCCAGCAUCUAGCAUCUACCGUGACUGGAAUUAGAUCGCAAGAAGAGGUCAGUCUUCGAAAACACAGCUUGCAUGCUUGAAUCAGUGGCUUACAAGAUAUUGUUGUUAUUUUAUUGAUUAAAAAUAACAAUGGGUCUGUUUUAAUGAAUGAAAAUGGUGUUGGAUGUUGUUUCUCUCUAGGGUUGUUAGUGUUGAGUUGAAAAAAACUAUUGGGUAAUGACUGAUAAGAGCAAUUUCCUAAUGAUUUAAGAGCUGUGUAAGUACUAGAUGUAGUUCAUCAAAGAUGGGUUUCGAUUUGCUUAUAAUCUGAUAAUCUUUUAGAGAACCCACAGUGGUUUAUGUGAUUGUUCAGUUUGGGGUCAUGACACUAAUUGAGUUGUGUGCUAGUUUCGGUUUGUGCAUGCCUUUGGUGUUCUUUUGCCUUAUUGUUGUAAUUCCUUCAAUAAUUUGGCGGUGUUGUUUUUUUUUUUUUUUUUGAGAAGGUAAUUUUGUAUUUGCUAAAUAAUGUGAUUGUAAUCAGAGGUAACUUAAGUAUAUUGUUCUACACACAAUUUUUGCUCCCACGUGAGAUGUUCUCUGUGUUUUUGUCUAAGGCUUUUGUUUGUUAUUCAAACUAGAAAAUAGUGGAUGCAAGACUAUGAAUUUGGCAUGUGAUAAACUUUGAAAUUGCCCUUUUUCUAGAUUAAAAAAUAUUGACUUGCCAUUUUCCUUGUUUGAUUCUAAUUUUCAAACAAGUGUGCCGAAAUCUUAAGUUCGAUUACAUGUUGUUUAUUGUAUUUCUUAUUUCAAAGUCUGUAAUCUAUCUGCGUGCAUCAUUUCAGAAGAAGAAUAAGCAGCUGCAGCAAGUCCAUUAGUUUAGGUGUUCCGAGUAUGACAGAGAUGAUGCUCUAGAUCCAGGUUUGAGGCACCAACAAAACUCGAAGAUAUCAAUUAUAGAGUGGGAUUUUCAGGACCUGAAAUCCAAUUUAAUAUUUACUUGAUCUGGGUUUAAAUAUGGAUGGAGCAAAGAUUGGUAUCAGAAGGGUUUUAUUGUCGGUGCCAACGCCUGUACUAUCAAGUUUACAAUAUGAAAAUCAUUUCUUUUAAUAGCUCUGCUCUUGUGGCAUGUAUUAGUUAUGAAGUAGUUUGUAAUAAAAAAAAAAUCACAAUAAUAAUAUGCAUGCAGGAUGCAGCUAUGCCGCCACACAUUAUUUCAAUUUUUUUAUUAUUUUGCAAUGUCAAUUUUUUUAUUAUUUUGCAAUGUCAAUUUUUUUAUUAAGCAAUUUCAUUUUUUUAUCCAAUGGAUAUUUUCAUCUUCUUAAGUAAUUUGUGAUUUUGGCACGAAUUACCCAUCAGUUCAUCAGCGAAUAAAGAAAUAUUUUGACAGGAAGGGUAUUUUUGGAUUUUCAAUAGUCAACUAACAGUCCACUUAACAGAAUACAAAUGUCAGGGGAGGUCUUUGUAAUUACGUGAAUACUUUCUAUCAGAAUGUUAAUACACCAAACUUCAGAGGAGGUCCUUAAAAAUAACCCUAUAAAAAAAUCCCCUCGUUCUCUAAAAAUAUGAGGUUUUCUCAAGAAUAGCUAAACCUCCAUCACAAUCCUGAAAAAUCUCAAUUUAACCUCUCUAGGGUUUCGAUUGUCGGGGAUUCGCUUCAAAAUUUUGUAUUAUUUUAGUGGAUUUUGCUUAUCUCGUAUCCUUCAAUUGUUAGUUCAGUUCUGAUAAUAAUUUGGAAUUCAGUUUGAAGGGUUAAGCGCAAUUUCGAAAUUUUUUAUACAAUUUAAAUUAAAAUUGAUAGAACAAUUGGGCGGUUAAUAAUUAAUUGAUGGCUAGUGACACUACAACGGCGCCCGCGCCCGCAGCUCCGGAAAAAGCGGAGGCGGUGGAGGAGUAUGAUAGCAAUCCAGAUGAAGUGAAACGCUGUCUUGUGACGCACAGAAGGGAAGCCAGCGAUGACGAGGACGUGGUGGAGGAGUACGAGAGCGAUCCAGAUGAAGUGAAACACUCUCUCGUGAUGCGCAGAAUGGAAGCAAGCGAUGAUAAGGAGAAGGAGGAUAAAGAAUUCGAGCGUUGAAUGAACCGUAGGGUCCACAUUCAUUCUUACGAUGAAUCUGAUGGCCAAGGUGGUGUCCAGCUGAGUAUGAUGAUGAUCACCUCUCUCGACCAGUUCAGGUUCAAGGGAAGGGUGCUCGAGGGGUACUUGUCUUGUUUAUCAUUUUUGUUUAAUUUUCAUAAAUUCGACGACCCACAAUUCAAUUAUGAGUGAAGAGUUUGUUAAAAAACUGUGGUCUUCCAUUUACUAUAACUAAGUCCGUGUGAUGUAAUUAUUUUUCUGUCACUUAAAUGUCUUGAAAAUUAUGAAUACAUUGUAGGAUUUAGAAGGAUUCUAAAGUUUUAAUGCAUAUGGGUUUUUUAUGUCCAUCCACUUAUGCGUAUGCUGCAUUUUAUGAUUAUCGUAGUUGGUAGAUUGACAAAUGGACCUUAAUUACAAGUCAAAUAACCUAAAUACUUAUCGGCCAAAGGAAGCCAUUUAUAGUAAUUUCUAGUGAAGCAAAGUAAAAUGAUUCAUACUGGCAAAGAAAAUUGGAAAAGAAAAGGAGGAUUACUGAUCCACACAGUGUCGUUUACUAAAGGUACGUUGAUCUUACACUUAAUUUAUUAUAUAUCCAUUUAUAAUGUUCAAAAUGAUAAUGUACUAUUUCUUAAAUUAGGCUUUCAAAACAUCAUUUUGAUAAUGCAUAGUUGUGAUGUGUCUCUAAAUUCAGUAAUACAAGUUCUUUCCUGUUACUAAUGGAUGAAGUGACUUGAAAUAGUUUAAUAUUUAUUUGCAGUAAAAAAGUUGAAAAAGGAACUAACAAUUUACAUGCGUUUUGCUGAAAAUUUAGUUAGUUUCAUUUGAAACUUGCAUGGGCAUUAAAUGCUGGCAUAAUCUCUUUGACUUCUCUUGCAUUUGAAUGAAUGGAUCAGUGUUAAUGCAGGCAAAGAUUUUCUGGACUUUCAUGGAUGCACAAUAAAUGCUACGUCAAAGGCCUGGUAAGAUGUCAGCAAGCUGGUCGAAGAUAUCAACCUGAUUUGGUGGCUGCAAGAUUUGUUCAUCCAGGAUCGUUUUCUUUGACAAUGAGAAAGCCCCAAUGUCUAUAAAUUGAGAACUCACUGAAUUGUAGAGAGAGAGAGGAAAGUGAAUAACGGGAGAGCCAGUGAAAAGAGAGUGUGGGAAGAUUUGGGUGUAAUUGGGGUUUGGGUGUGAGAUAAAAUAAUCAGAGAGUGGUUGUAAUAAUUUUUUAUAUAGUGAAAUUUUUUUGUCUCGUUAUUUUUUGCAGUGGUGGUUUUUUACUCUAAUAAAAGAGUCUUCCAAGUAAAUUUUGUGUGUUAUGAUUGGGAUAUUCACCAUUUUAGUUUUCUAUUUAUUAUUUGUUUUACAUAUUGCUAGUAAAAAUCUGGGGCGGGAACCGAAAAUUCCCAACAAUUAUUAAUUAUUUUAAACUCUGUUCUGAACAGUGCAUGAAGGAUCAUAUUCACUUCACUUCACUUCACUUGAUUUCAUCUUGUCCCUCUCCUUUAUAAAAGUUGCAUAUAUUGGAGUAUCAAGUUCAUCACAAGGAUCAUAUUCUGGCUAACGAAGGAGCACAGUUCAUUGGCUGCACUCAUGUGUAGCAAAGUAUUUGGAUUCAAGACUGUUAGAAGGUCGUUACAGACGCAAGACUGCUGCUGUGUAACGGUAUGCCAUGCUGGCAAGUGGGGCAGUGCGCUAUAACAGAUUGCGGAGGUAGCACCAAAUAUUGUGAACUAGUAUUCGUAAUUAGUGUAGAGUGUUCUGAUUUAUUCAUUUGUGCUUAAAACCUACAUGUAUUGUACGUUUCUAUCGGUAAUUUGUUCUGAUUUUUUUUUGGGGCCAAUUGCAGUUUUGAUAACAACUAAAAUCUGUGUGGUCCGGUUACCACAAAGCCUAUAAUGAUUGCAAUUACUGUAUGAUCAUUUCCCCAACUAUUAUUUGAAUAAUUGGUCCAGUUACCACAAAGCCUUGCCCCAGAUCCCUGCCAUUUUCUCCUCCACCUCCAUUUGGGGAAAUUACUACUUACUUUUUGCAAGUUUUUUGUGAAAUAUUUAUUUUGAGAAGAAAACCAACAAUACAUUUUAUGAUUUGGGCUGUUUCAAAGAUCUUCGCUUGAUGUCUCUGCUACUGGUUUUCAGCAGAGUGCCCAAAAAUAGUUUUCAGCAGUACAAAAAGUAUAUAUUUUGUACCUUCCAUACAUUUUGCUUUGUUAAUGUUAUUAUUUGAUAACAUGUUUGUCGAGUUGCACAGUGUAUAAAUGCUAUACAAAUACACUCCUUUCAUUUUAUACAACUUUGAUUGAUCAAGUUGUAUCUCUUUGAUAAUAUGUUCUAUCUCCUUUCAUUUUAAACUUCAAUUGAGUUGCUAUCUAUUUAACUUUGGCAAGUCAGAGAGAGGGAUGGGACUGUCCAAUUAAAAUUAAGUUCCAAGUGCCAAUCCCACCAUUGUCGUCUCUUGUUUGCCAAAUUCAAAUUUGAAAAUCUCACCAAGUCAGUAUGGUGAUGUUGUGGGAUUGUCUGGCCUAGGUUUUUAGCCUCAUGAACUCCUUUAUUAGAAAAAGUCUUAAGUGUUCUUACUCAAUGGUAGAAUCAUAAUUUUACUUCAAUGGAAGCCAUAAUGAUUAAAAUAUACUCUUUUGAUUAAUUACUUAUUUGAUGUUGCUCUCUCUACCUUCAUCUCCUUCUUUAUGAAAAAUUUAUUGUAAUACAUGGAAGUAUAUAUUGCAUUGAAUAAAAUGAAAUUGUUCAAAAAUUAACAAAUUCAGCUUUAUUAUAAUCUAAAACAAAGUAAAUAAAAUAAUACCCAUCAUGUAAAAAUAAAAAAAUAAAAAUUUUUGUACCACUUUGAAUCUAUUUUAAAUUUUUUUGGUCAAAUCUCAGAAGCACAAACUUUGAACAAUAAUAAUAGGUAAAAACUAAUAAUCUUAUAAUAAAAAGUAAGAAAAAAAUAAAGUUGAUUUAGCAUGUAAGAAUAAAAAAAGAAAAAUAGAAAGAGAGAGAAAUUAGCUUAGGCUUUAACUAUUGUUAUAGUAGAGAAGUAAUUUUAUGACCUUUUAGAAAUGAGUGAAUUAAAAUAGUAAGUUAUAAUUUGAUAACUAUCUUAAUUAAAAAAGUGGGUGUUGAAAUAAAAUUAAUGGAUUCAAAUAGCCCACCCAAAAUCCAAAAUUGCAUACCAAUUAUUUUCUAAUUUACAUAAAGUUCUUCUAUUUUUUUUUUAUAACAUUUGAUUCUCAAUUGGUCUAAUGGAGAAACAACCAGCAAAAAAAUAAAAAAUAAAAAAUAAAAAAUAAAAUGAAUGCAAUUAAACCGAAAUUCGUAAAAGAGCCGUAUGACAUUUAUGUGCAAGCAAAAUUGCAUUCUGUUUAUGGGAUCCUGGAAAAAAUAAAAGAAAGAAAACAGAGUAAGACGCUUUCGCUGUGGGCUUUAAUAUUUUUCUAGAUGCUUCCAUGGCAGAUUCUCGUUGGUUGAUUUUUCUUUACGCCUUAGAUUCUAUGAUUCAAUUUCAAUCAAAUACGACAAACAAAAGAAGCUUUUAAGCCUGCAGCUGAAAUAGAUGGUACUUUAAUUUUCAGCUGAACAUAUAUAUGGUAAGAUUAUUAUUAUUGAGCUUGAUGAGGCUAUAGAAAAUUCAAUAUCGAGAUCGGAUAAGGGUCCAAUAAAUUAUAAAAAUAAAGCAGCUCAAAGCCCAUAUGAUCAUGGGCCAGGCCACUACUUGCUCAUGCUUUGAAUCAAAAUUAGUGACGUUGGAAGCUGAAAGGGGCAAAUGAUGAAAUGGGGUUCAUCAUAUAGUAUGCCCAACGGGGUAAGAUCAUCAUUUAAUUGCCUCCUCCUCUUGUCGAUAGAUAUUUGCCUAAAUUUUUCUAUUUAAAAAAUAUUAUAUUGGUUAGUAUAAUUAGAAGUUUUACAAAAUAUAAGUAUAAUUUUUAAAAAAAAUUAUAUUUGUUAAUCUAAAUUUACAUCCAAGAUCACGACAAUUACACUUAGAUCACUCUUAUUUAGUUGAAUUAUAUAUGUAAUAAUGUUGGCUUAACAAAAUAUGAUUCUUGAUCGUUGUAAUUACGAGCUGGUAUUCUUUGGUUUUAGUAGUAGGGCUUAUAACGUUGUGCAACAGUUCUUGGUGGGUUCGAAUUAUUAUACGAUCAUUCUUAGUUCUUUACGAUACGUAAUUAAAAAUUCUUAUAUCACAAUUAGAACUUACAAACAAGUCAAAGUGAGUUAAAUCAAACGUAUAAAUUCGAGGUCUAUUACAAACUUCUAAAAAAGAUUUUCUUUGUUCUUUUUUCUUUCACUUUCUCUUCCAUUUUGCCAAUCCCCAAACACCGCCAAUCCUUGAUUUUUUAAGUAUUAGCUGUCAAUUUCUACAAACAUAGAACUGCUGUUUGUUUGUCUAAUUACUUUCAAGAAACAAAACUGUUUGUCAUGUGGUCUCUUCGUUUAUUGGCUUGUGAGCAAAUAAGAUAUUGGGCCGAUGGGCUUAACGUGACAAGUUCUUGAAUUGAAUGGCUUCUCUUUUUUUCAUAAAUCUUUGCUUAAUUUUUUUUGUUCUCUCAACCUUUUUUGGCCUUUCGCGCUAAAAUUCUUUUUUUGAUACAUUAUGCAAAAAUUAUGAUGAAAAUGAGUUACUUUAGAACAUCAAUAAAUUUUUAUUACAUCUAUAAUAAGACAACUAUAGUGAGAUUAUUCUUAUUUAGUUGAAUUAUAUGUAAUAAAAUUAGUUUAACAAAAUCUAACUCGUUAGUAUUCCAUAUCACAUGAUUAACGUAUUUAAAAAAUCUUAGUUGUUCCGUCGCUUGUUUUACAAUUCUUUUAUAUAUCUUUGAAACUUUCUGCUUUCUGACACAUCAUAUUGUUCUCAAUUCGUCAAAAUUAUUUGUUUCUUCAAACACUGCAGCAACAAUCGGUAUAAAAAAGAAUGAACUCAUUUAAUGGGAAUUUUUCUCAUUGGUCUAUUUCUCUUCGCACCUUAGGUUCCUCUAACAAACUUAAAAGAUGUUCCCCAUCCCACGUGUCUCCAAAUCUUCGUAUUUCCAAACAAACCUCUGCCAAAUAGAGAAGAGGAUGGCUUUUAUUGCAAACUGUAUGAGCGUUAUGGCCAUGCAUGGGACAUUGGAUCCAAAUGAAACCAAUGGAUUGUAAAGCAAAAUUACCGAUUAAAAAUUCAAACAAUUGAAUCGGUUUGGUGUCACUUAAAAAAAUAAAUAAUAUAUAAAACAACACAAUUAUCAUAUUAAUGAGCCACUGUUAAAUUCAUUCAGUCAGUAUUUUUCUUUUCCCAUUUUCAAUGAAUGCUUAAUAUGGAAAACAAUAUGUCCCAUUGAGCACUGUUUAAAUCAUUCCCUAGUUUGUUUAACACGCAAAGAAUAUUCUUAUUCAGCUCGGCAGCCAAUCCGUUAAAAUUUAUUAAAAUUCAUUUAAGUGAUGACUGUGAUAUGACUCGAUCAAUCGUUUAAUUUGUAUAAUUUAUAAAAAUUUGAGCUUCAAGUAAUGUAGAUAGAAUGGUUAAUUAUUUUAAUAUUAAGAUAAAUUGAUAUAUGUCAUUAUAUUAUGAGUGGAUGAAAUAUCCAAUAGAAAAAAAAAUGUUUAUAUUCGUCAUUUUUAGUGGGAAUCUAUUUAGUGUAACUUAUCCAUAAAAAUGGUUGACGACUUAUCUUGGUUCUCAUUUUGUUUAAUUUUCAUAAAUUUGACUAAUGAUUAAUUGUGAGUGAGUGGGGCUAAUUAUCCGUGGGGCGGCAUCAGUUGCUGCUUGAGUGGAGCUGCGCUUUAUCCAUAAAUCUGGUCUUCCAUUUAUUUUGUAGGAUUUAAAAGAUUAAAAAACUUUAAUACAUAUAAUUUUAUGUUCGAAACUAAAUACUGGUAGCAUUGCUGCUUCUAUAAAUAACUCAUUUGUGCUUCCAACAAUAAUUCACGUUUUUGUUUCUCUUCAUAAAGAUUUUCUUUUUUUUUCUUUUUUCCAUUCACUUUUUCUUCCAUUUUCCCGACUCCCAAACACCACUAAUCCUUGAUUUUCUAGAGUAUUAACUGUCCGUUUCUACGAACAUAGACCUACAGUUUGUCUAAAUACUAUCAAGAAACAACGUACUCUGUCGCGGGAUCUCUUCGUUUAUUGACUUUUGACUUGUGAACGGGGCUAAUUAAAGGGCGUUCCUUUCUUCAAGAAAGAAUGCAAAGAAAGUACUAUCCAUGAGACACGUUAAAAAUUAUUUUACAUAAAAAAUGAUAAUAAUCAUAAUAAUCGGUUAAGGAUCGACAAAAAUGUUAUAACCUAUAAAGCAUGGAUAAUUAAUUAAUGGGAAUGCACCUCUCAUCUUUACCAUUCUCUUUGUCAUUUUCAUAAUUCAGCUGUUUAUUAAUAAAGUGAAUAAAUUUAUCUUUUAAUAAUAUGUUUCUUGGCUGUUUUUUUGUGUAUUUUUGUGUACAAUUUUGUGUGCAAAUAGCAUUAUUCAUUAGUAAUUAGUUUGGAGUAGCUCAUUUUGAGCUUAGGACCUGUAACUAGUAUUUUAUGUUUCUGUUAAUCUUUAAUAAAGAUUUUCUCUAUUUUUUUUCCCUUUCACUUUCUCUUCCAUUUUCCCCGACUCCCAAACACCACCAAUCCUUGAUUUUCCAGAGUAUUAGCUCUCUAUUUCGACAAACGCAUAACUGUUGUUUGUCUAACUACUUUCAAGAAAUAACGUAGUCUGUGGUUUAUUGACUUGCGAACGGGGCUAAUUAGUCACGGUCCGAUUGUCUGACUUCUCCAUUGACUCGGUCAAUUCACGACCUUGACCUGUACAGUUGAUACAAACGGACUUCUCCAUUUGAGGUGUACAAAACUUUCUUGAGUCAUUUUGUUUGGUGAUGAUGAAUUGGAUGUCAGUUCAUGAGUUUCAUGAUGAAGAGGACCAAAAACAUUAUUUUAUUAUUUAAAGAAGACUAACAAUUAUUUCGAUGGUCAUUUUAUUUUUUAUUUUUAAAUAUCCAAGGUGCUUGACUUCUUUACACAGAAUUACAAAGCAAAAUAAUUAAGAAACUAAAUACUCGUCAUCCAAGUGAGAAGAGAUUGGGUUGUUGAUACAUUAAAUAAAAGAAAAAUCAAUUAAAAGCACAACAAUUCAAUAAUUUCAUUCUCAAUCAUAUAAAAAAUAAAAUUUACUGUACAUUGUUGUUCGGUUCUGUAAAAAAAAAAAAUUAUUAGGGAUUUGCAGUUUUUUUUAGUGUAAUUUUCGUUAAUUACAGUUUGGUCUGAAGGGUUAAGCACAUGGAUCAUAAUCAUAUUAUGGCCUAAGGAAGGAGCACAGUUCAUUGGCUGAACUCAGUUUACAGAAUAUUUUGGGAUUCAAGACUUCAGGUUGUUAAAAAUGCAACUUGCAAGGCUGUUGCUGCGUAACUGUAUGCAAUGCUGGCAAGUGUGCUAUAACAGAUUGUUGAGAUAGCACCAAAGAUUGUAAACUAAUUAGUACUGGAAAAUCCUAUUUGCACAAACAAUUGCACAAAAUAAAUAGAAUGAGAAUACUUAUGCAAAAAAAAUAAGAUUAAUAAAGUGAAUAAAUUUAUCUUUUAAUAAAAUAUUUCUAGUCUUUUAGUGUUUUCGUGUAUUUUUGUGUACGUGCAAAUAACAUUACUCAUGAGUAAUUAUGUUUUACGUUUCUAUUAUUUUCUAAUAAAGAUUUUAUCUGUUUUUGUUUUUUUCCCCCCUUUGAACGGGGCUAAUGUUGGUCUAACUGCUUUCAUGAAACAACGUACUCUGCGGUUAAAAUUAAUUGAUCAUUUUAUUUGGUGAUAAUGAAUUGGUUGUCAAGUCAUGAGUUUGAUGAUGCACAGGACGAAAAACGUUAUUUUAUUAUUUAAAAUAUGACUACCAAUUAUGUUGAUGGUCAUUUUAUUAUUUAAAAUAUGCAAAUGGAAUCUUACCGAACUAUAGUGCUUGACUUCUUCAUACAGUGCUUGACUUCUUUGUACAGAAUUAUAAAGUGAAAGAAAUUACGAAAUUAAAUACUUUUCAUGCGAGUGGGGGAGAAAUUCUGUAUAUUUAUGAAAUAACUAUUGAUUUCACUUCGGUAAUUACUUUUUAAAAGUAACGUAAACAUUUUUAUUUUAUUUGCAUUCGAGCUUUCUUUCUUUUUCGCUGGCCUUUACUCUUGACCGUAUUUUCAUGGGGCAUAUUCAAUCUGAAUCCUCUGCAAGUUUGUGGCAGUUUGGUUAGUUACGAACUUUUGUAGAAUUGCAUGAAGAUGACGCUUUUAUAGACAUUUUUUCUUUUUUCUUUUUUUCUUCAGUGAACAUAUUAAAAAUUUAGUUUUUUGUCAUCAUGACUAGAACAGUAAAAUGAAAAUAGUCCUCAUUUCGACGAUUGACAAAAAUGUUGUACUCAUACCGAUUAAUGGGACACUGAUUUCGUCUUCUUAAAAAAUUAUUAUUGCAGUGAGGUAAUUGGAUCGAAGAUGGACGAUUUCCAUAUUUGCCUAACCUAAGUGAUAAGAAUUUUCAUAUGGGACAUAAUCUGAUUUGUUUUGCUUGACUGUAUUCCAAGAGACAGUCAUAUCUACUAAAUGAAACAAAUCUUGCUUUUCUAGAGAAAUAAUGCAAUAUGCAAUUAUGCAUGAAGGUGCGCAUCCAUGUGAGAAAGUUGACGAAAGCUUCUUUUUCAGUAUUGUUGGAAUAAUGGUAUCGAUUGGAAUUGUAAGGAAAGAGGUCUUCGAGUCGUGGACAGCUGAACCGAAGAGAGCAGAUGAAUGCCCUUUGCAGAAGCAGGAAAUAAGCUGCCUAAAAGUAAGCAUUAGAUGAAUGCCCGAUCGAACACCACUAAUUCCAACAAUAUAUCAAAAAAAAUCUUUGAGUUUAAGGAAUUAAUUUUUUAAAUAUUUGAUAUAUGUCAUGUUCUGACUUAGUACAAGAAGAAAAUUAUAGAAUUUUUUUUUAAAUUAAUGGAAUUAUUUUACGAUAAAACAAUCACAAUCACAAUUAAAAAUAUUCUUUAAAAUUUCACUAUUUCUACUGUUAUUCUUUAAACUCUUUCUGAACAGAGCAUGAAGAGUCACUUAUCUAAAUAUGUUUUUUUUGUGCUUUCACUUCACUUGAUUCAUCUUAUCCCUCUUUUAUAGAACCUGCAACUCGUAUUUUACGUUUCUGUUACUUUCUCUUCCAUUUUCCCAACUCCCAAACACCAUCAAUCCUUGAUGUUACAGAGUAUAUUAAUUAAUUAAUGGGCCACUAAUUCUUCUUCUUAAAAGAAAAUUUUUGUAGGGAAAUUGGAAAAAAGGCUAAUUCAAUUUAAUUUUGAUAGGUGCGACAGAAGGAUAGGACCGUCCAAUUAAAUUGCAAGUGGGCAUUCCCACCAUUCGUGUCUCAUGCUUGUCAUAUUUAAAUUUAAAAAUCACACCAUGUCAGUAUGGUGAUGAUGUGGAAUUGUUUCACCGAAAUUUUUAUUUCGAUGGUGGCCAUAAUAAUUAGACUACUGAUUAAGUUGGUUGUGACAUAAAAUCAACGUUGUAUAAUUUUUUGGAUAUUAUCUCAAUUUUACUUCUGUAGGUUUGUUUUUUUGUAUAUUAUCUCAAUUUUUAAAAAAAUGUAAUUGCAAUUAUCAAACACGACUAAUCCCAACAAUUUAUCCAAAAAAAUUUUAUGAUAGAAUUGGCUAAUUUUUUUAAUCGACUUUCUGGAUAAAUGAUAAUUUUUUUGAUAGAAAUGUUACUUAAGUAUUACAGGAAGAAAAUUAUAGAAUAAUUUUUUGAAUUAAUAGUAUUACUUUACGAUAACACUAUCACAAUCUAAUUUUAAAAAAAUAAAGUUAUUCUUUAAAUUUCGCAUUACUAUUCCUACUUUUCUUGUUAUACUACUUAAUGGCACUGGUGAAGCCUCGAAUUAUCAAACAAAAAAGCAAAAAUAGUUCAAUAUCUGCUGUCCCACUGAGCAUUGUUAAAUUCAUACCAUAACAUGAGUACUUAUAUUAAAAAAAACAAUCGGUCUCAUUGCGUGCUCUUUCAUUGACAUAGGCAAUUUGCUGUCAACUUGUGGCACUUUUAUGAAUUUUCAAGACGGGUGAAUUUUUCAAAUUUAAAAGAAAAAAAUACAGAAAUGUAAUUUCAAUUUAUCCAAAAAUUUGAGUUUCAAGGAAUACAACAUUUAUUAUAUGUCAUGUUAAUAUAGAGAAGAAAAUUUUAAAAACUUCUUUUUGGAUGAAUAAAAGUAUUUUCUGAUAAAUAUUUCACAAUCAAAUUUAAAAAAUUUCACUCCUCUUGGUACAUAAUUUAAGAAUUUAAGAUUAUAAAUUAAUCUUUUUAAUCAAAGUAAUAAUCUCUCCUCGGUCUGCAAAUGCUAAAAUUUAAUAUUAUAUCCAUUGACAAUAUUUGCUCCAAAUUCACGAAAAUAAAAUUUCUAACAAAAUUAUGGAAUUCGUUACUAGAAAUUUGUAUAAAAGUUGUGAGAAUAGAAGGUUUGAUCAUAGGAAAUUAAUAUAUCCCUAUCCGAUGCAAAAAUGAUUGUAAAGAAAAACAAAAGUCAUGGGCUUAUUUAGAAAAAAAGAAAAAAUUACAUUCCAUUUUCCAGUUAUUAAAGUAAUUCUAAAAUCGCUAGGAUCACAAAGGAUAAGUUUUGGUUGACUGAGGUCAGCCUUAACGCAUGCCGGUCUUUUUCUCCUCUACAUUCUUAGAAAUUUUGGUUUCACUAUAAAUACUCGGUAUAUAGCAAACUUAUAAGUGUUCUUGCAUUACCAAUCCAACUAAGCACACGCUUACAAUAUAAAUACUCUCAUCUCAUGGAAAGAGCUCAUUCUCUCAUGAUGAUGAGCAGAUUUCUCUUACUCCAUUGUUUGAUUCUUAUUUCCUUAUUUAUCGCGGCAGCAACAGCCAACACAAGUUCUACUAUCACGGACCAAGAUGCUCUGUUGGCCCUGAAAGCUCACAUAACUCAUGAUCCGACCAAUUUCUUGGCCAAGAAUUGGAACACAAGUACUCCUGUCUGUAAUUGGACAGGCGUCGCUUGUGAAGUCCAUAGCCAGAGAGUCACAGUCUUGAAUAUUUCAAGCUUAAAUCUCACAGGCACCAUCCCUUCUCAACUUGGGAAUCUUUCUUCUCUGCAAUCACUCAAUCUCAGUUUUAACCGACUUUUUGGUUCCAUUCCCUCCGCCAUCUUCACCACAUAUACACUGAAAUAUGUUUGUCUCCGUGGAAAUCAGCUCUCCGGCACUUUCCCUUCUUUCAUCUCCAACAAGUCUUCUUUACAACAUCUUGAUCUUAGUAGCAAUGCACUGUCUGGUGAAAUUCGUGCAAAUAUUUGCAGUAAUCUUCCUUUUCUGGAGUACCUUGCUUUCUUCAAAAACAUGUUGCAUGGCGGCAUACCGUCCACGCUAUCAAAUUGCACAUAUCUGCGAACGUUAGAUUUUUCAUACAAUGAUUUCUCGGAGGCCAUACCUAAAGACAUCGGCAAUUUGACCAACCUUAAGGAAUUAUAUCUUGGCCGUAACAGACUCCAAGGUGCGAGUAAUCACGGAGUUUAAUUAUGAAAAUUGUUCCAUAAGUUGUAUUAUGAAUAAUGUUCCAUAAGAUAAUUUGCACGCGUUGAUUAAUUUGCAGGAGAAAUUCCUCGAGAAUUUGGCAAUCUUCCCGAAUUGGAGCUGAUGUCGUUAGCAGCAAACAAUCUCCAAGGUAUGAUUAGAAACUUUUUGCAAUUUUUUUCUAGCCUCUGCUUGCUUCUGUAUUCAUUCGUUUGUUCAUUAAUUAUGCUAUGAUUUAUUGUUUUUCUUUCAGAUGGAGAUAAAGCUCCAUGUCUCUCCUCACUCAUUUCAUUUCUUAAUUUAUGCAGAUAAAAAAAAAAUUGUUUUGUAAUUUUCUUUUGUCAUAUUGCCACUUCCGUUUUGAAGCUCCCAAUUAAGUCGAUGAAAAUGAAUGAUGUUUCAUUCUUAUUCUUGUCAGCCUAAUUCUUAUAUAAUUGAAGAGUAAAUUGUUAUUAUGAUAUUCGUCAGCCAAUAAAUUCUUUUUUUUUUCCCCCCAAAUAUGAGUGAUCAAAUUGUUUGCGCAUAUAUAUAUGUACUUAAUUUGCAGGAGGUAUUCCACACGAAUUGGGGAAUCUUGCAAAAUUGGAGAUCUUAGAGCUGUUCGAGAAUAACUUGACCGGUAACUUUCUUUACGAUAUAUAUAUGAGACAUCUUCCGCUUCUUAAUUAAAAGAUUUCAAGUCUCUCAUUAUAAAAUAUAAAUUCUCAUAUGAGGAUGUGUAGUUAUCACUAUCUAACAUUAUUCCGUUUUUUAUUAGAAAUUAGUUUGUGUUAACUCAAAAUUCCAUAGCAUUUAAAAAAAAAUUAAAAACACGUAGAAUAAAUCGUCAAUCUUUCUUCUUUACUGAAUUUGGAUUUCUCAAAAAUUAUCUGCACAAGUAUGGUUCACUAAUGAUAUACAUGUGUGACAACUUCAUAAAAUAUUUCACUAAUUAUCUUUAAAUAAUUGGAGAUACCAUCAGUGAUACAUAAUUUCCUAACAAGCACCAUACCAAAAGAAAUCAACAAUUUUUUUAAUAUUAAAGAGUUACAUCUUCACUGCAAUUAUGGCAUAAUUUUUCAUCUAAAAAAAUUUUUAGUCAUCAAUCGCAUAAUAUUUUAUCUUAACGGUUGAUGUUCAAUCUUGGAAUUUAUAAUAUCUUGAAGGUUAGUAGCUAUUAAAAUUAGAAAUUGUUUAUUUGCUAAAAAGUUAACUUAGUGUUUAAGCUUUUCAAUUGAAAAUUUUGAAACAAAUGUUGAGAACUGGUCCUCCUUAGAAUUUCAGCGGAUAAAUAUGAAAAUAGACUUGAAAAAAAAUUAUUUUACUGAAAUAAUAGUUAAAAAGAGAGGAGAAGUACAGUACUCAUGACUUGGGCUUGCUGUGUCCUUAUUUUAUCUGACUAUUGGUACUAAUAAUAUUUAUAAUUACUUAGUAAAAAUAUAAAUUUAAUACUUUGUUAACAUUUUAUCUACGUAUAAUAAUUAAACUGAAACUUGUAUUUAAAACAUUUGAGUUACGUAUACUCAUUUCAUGACAUAAAAGUGUAUAUUUAUACUAAUUUACCAUUAUCAAUAAAAUGCUUUGAGACAAAUAAUCUAAUUUAUAUUAUUAUAUUUAAAAUACUUGCUUUUAUUAUAUUUUGAAAAAAAAUUAUUUGCAAUUAUUUUAAACCUUUGGAUUCAAUUUUUCUUAGUUAUAAAUGUAAAAUAGUCAAAAACAUAUUUGUAUGAUCAUUUUUCAAUGUAUAAAUUUUCUUGGUUAGUAGGAAAAUUAGAAAUUGUUGAUUUACUCAUAAAUAAAUUUAGUCUUUAGCAUUUCAAUUUUGGAAAACUUGAACUAAUUGUUGAUAACUUCGAAUCGGUCGAGCUUCGCUUCGCUUCCUUGUCCCACGGGCCUAUUGAAAGUUCUAUUUGAAUUGAGCUUCUUUUCAGCGUCACCACAAUUUAUUCACAAAUGAGUUGAUUAGAGUCGAAGUUGCCUGAGAGUCUAAGACCAUGUUAGUAGGAUAAAUUUGAAAAGAAAUUAUUUUACUGAAUUAAUUUAUUUUAUCUUGCUGUAAUUGAAAUACUACUCUUUUUUUUUGGGCUAUCACUGGGGCUUGAUUUACUUUAAGAGUCGCAGCCACCGACUUAGGCUUUUUUACUUCUCACCACACAAUUUGAUCUUUUAAUUCGUUUUAACCACAUAAUCUAUCUAUCUCUUACUUAAAUCGAAUACAUGUUUUACCUACUAAUUUUUACAAAUAUUAAUCAAAUAUAUUUUAUUACAUUUCUCUCGUAACUGCUCUAAAUGUGCACUAUUAAUACUUAACCCUCCCUUUUAAUUUACCGUGCAAUCUAUCUACACUUAAAUCACAUAUAUAUUUUACCUAUAGUUUACCCAAAAAAAAAAUAUAAAAAUAAAAAUAAAAGAAUAUGUGCAGCAAUUUGUAUAUAACUAACAAAGCAUUGAUGGUGUGUAGCCUUUCAAUACUUCAUGAGUGGCUUUUCUUGUGUGUUAGUACUUGUAAUAAUUGUGUAGUGUAUAAAUGACCUUUUAUUACGAAAUUGCGUCUGUUUUUUGAAUUAUUUAUUAUUUGAAAAAUAAUCUAAAUAUAAUUCUAUUAAAAUACAGGGAAGAUACCACUUAAAAUCGGCAAUCUCCGAAAUCUGGAGAAGUUGGACAUUGGUGAUAAUAAAUUAGUUGGUAUUGCCCCAAUCGCAAUCUUCAAUGUGUCAACACUCAAAAUUCUUGGCCUUCAGGACAAUUCUCUCUCGGGAUGUCUUUCGUCCAUUGGAUACGCCCGACUUCCAAAUCUUGAAAUCCUUUCUUUAUGGGGUAAUAAUUUCAGUGGCACAAUUCCUCGUUUCAUCUUUAAUGCUUCUAAGCUCUCUAUACUAGAUUUGGAAGGUAACUCAUUCUCCGGUUUUAUUCCCAACACAUUUGGCAACUUAAGAAACCUUAGUUGGCUGGUUUUAUCUGAUAAUUAUUUGACAUCUUCAACUCAAGAAUUGAGCUUUCUAUCCUCGUUGUCAAAUUGCAAGUUUUUAAAAUAUUUUGACUUAUCAUAUAAUCCAUUAUAUAGAAUUCUUCCAAGGACGACUGUCGGUAAUCUUUCUCAUUCUUUGGAAGAAUUUAAAAUGUCCAAUUGUAACAUUAGUGGUGGCAUCCCUGAAGAGAUAAGCAACUUGACCAACUUGAGAACCAUUUAUUUAGGGGGCAAUAAAUUGAAUGGAUCAAUUCUGAUUACUCUCAGCAAAUUACAAAAGCUUCAAGAUUUGGGUCUUAAAGAUAACAAAUUAGAAGGAUCAAUCCCAUAUGAUAUUUGUAAUUUGGCUGAACUGUAUAGAUUGGAUUUAGAUGGGAAUAAGCUUUCUGGAUCAAUCCCUGCAUGCUUCAGUAAUCUGACUUCUCUGAGGAUAGUGUCGUUGGGUUCCAAUGAGUUAACUUCUAUUCCCUUAACUUUUUGGAACCUUAAGGAUAUCUUGAACCUCAACUUUUCAUCAAAUUUUUUGACUGGCUCACUCCCAUUAGAGAUUGGAAGUUUGAAGGUUUUGGUUGGAAUUGAUUUAUCGAGGAAUAAUUUUUCAGGCGUUAUCCCAACAGAAAUUGGAGGCCUAAAAAAUCUAGAAUAUCUCUUUUUAGGAUAUAAUAGAUUGCAAGGCUCGAUUCCUAAUUCUUUUGGUGAUUUGAUAAGUUUGAAAUUCUUGAAUUUGUCCAAUAAUAAUCUCUCUGGGGUUAUUCCUGCAUCUUUAGAGAAACUCUCAUAUCUUGAAGAUCUAAAUCUUUCUUUCAACCAGCUAGAAGGAAAAAUUCCUAGAGGAGGAUCUUUUGGAAAUUUCUCAGCUCAAUCAUUUGAGGGAAAUGAAUUAUUAUGUGGUUCACCCAAUUUACAAAUCCCGCCAUGCAAAACUAGCAUCCACCACAAAUCAUGGAAAAAAUCUAUUCUCUUAGGGAUUGUCUUGCCAUUGAGUACUACAUUUAUGAUAGUAGUCAUUUUGUUAAUCCUAAGAUAUCGACAAAGGGGAAAACGACCAUCGAAUGAUGCUAAUGGGCCACUAGUAGCAUCAAGGAGAAUGUUUUCAUACCUAGAACUAUGUCGAGCAACAGAUGGAUUCAGUGAAAACAAUCUAAUCGGCAGAGGAGGGUUUGGCUCUGUUUAUAAGGCAAGCCUUGGGGACGGGAUGGAGGUUGCAGUGAAGGUCUUCACUUCGCAAUGUGGAAGAGCAUUUAAGAGUUUCGAUGUUGAAUGUGAAAUCAUGAAAAGUAUUCGCCAUCGAAACCUUAUCAAAGUUAUUAGCAGUUGUUCAAAUGAAGAGUUUAAAGCAUUGGUAUUAGAAUACAUGCCUCAUGGAAGUUUGGAGAAGUACUUGUAUUCAAGUAACUGCAUUUUGGAUAUUUUUCAAAGAUUGAACAUAAUGAUAGAUGUUGCAUCAGCUUUAGAAUAUCUGCACUUUGGUUACUCAGCUCCAGUAAUUCAUUGUGACUUAAAGCCCAGCAAUGUGUUGUUAGACGAUAAUAUGGUUGCUCAUUUGAGUGAUUUUAGCAUCGCAAAAAUGUUAACUGGAGAAGAUCAAUCUAUGAUUCAAACACAAACACUUGCCACAAUAGGCUAUAUGGCACCAGGUUUGUUCAAUAUGAAUAUUUUAUAUUUCUUGUUAACUUCCUAACAAGUUAUUUAUGUUUCAUGAUCUUUAUUAGAUGAGGAAAUUCUUAUUAAUGAUAUAUCUUACUAUGUAAAUGUUGCAAUUCAUAGAGUAUGGAAGAGAAGGACGAGUAUCCGCAAAUGGAGAUGUUUAUAGCUUUGGGAUUAUGUUAAUGGAAACUUUUACUGGGAAGAAACCCACAGAUGAAAUUUUUAAUGGAGAAAUGACAUUAAAGCAUUGGGUUAAUGAUUGGCUACCCAUUUCCACUAUGGAAGUUGUUGAUGCUAAUUUGCUAAGUCAGGAGGACAUACAUUUUGUUGCAAAAGAGCAAUGUGUGUCAUUUGUCUUCAAUUUGGCUAUGGAGUGCACUAUGGAAUUUCCUAAGCAGAGAAUCAAUGCAAAAGAAAUUGUAACAAAACUCUUAAAAAUUAGAGACUCAUUACUUAGAAAUGUUGGAGGCAGAUGUGUAAGACAAUCAAAUUUAAAUUGAUUCUGGCCCUCCUUCAUUGCUUGCUAUCCUUUUCAGAGACUUGAACGGUUAUCCUUCAUACAACUUUUGUUGAUAUGUUUUGUUACUGCUCUUGCUUUCUUUAAUUUGCAUGCAUGUAUUUUUCGUUCUCCUUUAUGUUUUUGUUGGUUUGAAUGUAGUUUGUUUUUAGGGGUAAGGUUGAUUAUGCCCUCUCCUAAUUACACGUAUCCUUUUUAUGUUUAUUCAAUAAAGCUUCUCUAAUACUAUUGAGGUUCAUCAAAAGAAAAUUUUAAAUUAAUUUUCUUUUCUUUGACAGGUAAUGAAAUUCUAAUCUUCAUAGAGAAUAACUUCAAUAAUAGAGUGUAAGAGUAUUAGUAGUUAUGGUUGUUUUCUGAACCUGGAGUCAAGAGCAAUUUGACAGCAACAAACAAGUCUCUUGUAUUAUAGGCAAAAUUCUUUUCAUUAAUCUUAUUUGUCCACAUGUUCUCCUAUUUUCUCCAUUAAUCUUCGCUCAAGGUUUCAUGCUUCCUCUUUGAUAAAGGAAAAUAUUACUCGCGGAUAUUUCAAAUUUUCAAUUUGACACGAGAGACUGUUUUGCCAGCCAUUUGAUAAAAUGGAUAUGAGUAGAGUUUUCAAUCAUUACCUCCACCAAAAUACUUACAACGCCACUUUUAAUUUUUUUUUAAAAUACAUUCAGUUUAAUUUAUAAAAAAAUAAAUCCAUUUGUUAAAUUUAAUCUUUUUCUCAUAAAUUUCAACCUAAAAAUAUAUUCCUUAUCUAUUUUUAUUAUAAAAUUCAUGCAAGUCCUAAACUAUUAAAUUAUUUUCUUCUUAUUAUAUAGUUUAUAUCUCCAUAACUCUAAACUCCCAUAAUUUUUUAAAAAUAUAUUUUUUAAUUUAAAAUAUAAAUAUAAAAUAGAGAAUGGAGUGGGUUAAAAAAUUGUUAAAAGAAUAAUUCAUUUAAGUAUUUAACUGAGUUUUAAAUUAAAAAUAAGAAAUAAAUUAAUUUAUUUUUUAUUAGUUAAGUAAUUUUCAAUUGAAAAAGAGCAUGAGUAAUAUUAUUGAAAUAUGAUUAAGUUCGUAUGAAUUAAACAUUUUUGUAUAAAUACUAGAGAUAAUUAUAGAGAAAGUACAAUGAAGUGAAAAAACUUAAACAUAAAUACUCUAGUAUAAUUUUACACACGCAAAUUAUGAACCAAUAAUCUUUGGAGCAUCAUAAAAUUGUUUUAACACAAUUAAUUAGUUUGAAAAAUUGCCAAUAAUGUCUAAAGUGGGAUUUAAAGGAUUAUACUACAUAUAUAAGACAUGAUAUCAUUUAAGACGACUUACAGAUUAUGAGAAAUAUAUUUAUCUUACAAACAUUUAAUAUGUUAAUUAGAUUGAGUCUAUGCAAUAAAAUUUUCAAAUUAAAAAAUAAACCCUUUAUUUUCUUUUAAUCAUAAGCGUGAUCUUAAUUAUUAAAGUCAUUCAAUGUCCAUUACUUAUUAUUUUUUUAAUUACCUAAAUGACAUUGAAAACUCUACUCAAUAGUAAUUCAUUCAAAUGUUUUGUUUUAAAGUAAUCGGAAACUGCAAAUGAAACAAAUGCUUGAAAUCACAAACGGCCUAAAAUUAGAUUUUUAUUUUUUCAAUGUUGCAGUGACUUUGAUCUUGAUAUUGAAAAUUUAUUUGUAAUUUAUAUAAAGGCCUCAAUUUCAUUAUAAUUGGUUAGUAAGGCUACGUAGUGAGCAUGGAUAAAUUUUGGGAUUGGAUUAUAUUUUUGGAACUAAAAAAUUAAUUUAAUCAAAUGUUAUAUUUGGCUGUCAGGACUAGCAACUUAGUCUAAAAUUAUUGAAAUUGUUAAUCUUUUAUAUUAUAAUCUUUUCGUUCCCACUUUAAACAUCAUUGGUAACUUAAAUAAUUUUUUUAAAAUUAAAUAUAAAAAUUAAUUUAAUUAAAUAUAAAAAUCAUUUAAAUUAAAUAUUAACAUUAAUUUCAUAAUUUUUUACCUAGAAUUUUAUAUUAUAUUAAAUACUAAAAUUCUAUUCGAUAAUGUAUAAACAUUUAUUUAAUAAAUGUUUAGGUUUUUAGUAUGUUAUAUUAUUAUUUAAAUUAUUUUUUAUUUACAUAUGAACAUAAAUUAAUAUUUACUAAUUUAAAUUUAUUAUAAUUUGUUAAAUAAUAAAAGCUAAAUGAUUAUAUUGAAAAUCUAAAUAGUAUUAUAAUGUAUUAUAGUAUAAAUCUUACCCCCAAUGAGUUUAUUUUAUACACCUUUUAUUAUAUUAACACAUUUAUAAUGCAGUGCAAUGCAUCAAAAAAUUAUAACCAAAUAUGAGUUAGAAUGAAAAUAAUAUUUUAGUACAAUAUAAUACAAUGUAAUGUAAGUUGACAAAUAAAUAUUUAAUGGAAGCAAAAAUUGCAUAUGGUUUGUGGGUCUCUCAAAAGACAACAAAGAAACCAAUACGAUACAUUGAUUAUGUCCUCUUUAAUGGUGUCUUUACUAAAUGAGAAUUAGAAUGAGUUAGAAUUGGAAUGGACUUGAUUUGAAAUAAGGAAUUAUAAUCAAAAUAAGUUGUUUAUUUAAGUUGUAUGAAUCGGAAUCGGAAUAAAUUUUACUCAAAUUGAUGUGUUUAGUUUCUCUUAAAAUUAUAAUAGACUAUUACAUGUUACUAAAAAAUCAUUUGGUAAUUGUUGUCUCUAGUAUUAUUUGUAUAUGUUAUAUUGUUAAUAAUAAUAAGAAUAAAAAUAAUACUAAAAAUGAAAAUAAUAAUAAUAAUAAUAGAGACAAUAAUAAUAAAUUUAAUAAAUCAUUAUUAUUAUUAUUACUAGUAGUGAAGACCGCCCAAUGAAGAUUGGAUAGUGAAGCUGAAGACGAUGAAGAUCCCGGCAACCAAUUUCUGCUUCAAAGAUGAUGUGCCCAAAUGGAGACAACCAGUUAUGAUCAGCCAACUAGAUCCCAAUCUCGAUGUUGUGAUCUCACAUGACCACUGAUAAAGCAAUGUGUGAUGCUGGUGUUAUGAUUUCUUUUUUAUUUAUAUUUUUUAAUUUAUUGGGGUGUAUUUUCAAAAUUUAGUAAUUUUAAUAUGAGCAAAUUGUAUAGUUCAGUGAACAAGAGACUGAUUUCCAACCAUCCUAAAAAUUAAUCUCCCAUUCUCUCUCUCUAAUUUGAUGUGGAUUCCAGUAUUUCGAUUCCAAUUCUUACAUUUAUUUGUCAAGUAAAUGAUGUUAAUGAUUUCAAUUUUUAGUUCGAGAAGUAAACACAUCACAAUAUUUUUUUAGAUGCUUCCAUGGCAUAAUCUCAUUGAUCCAUUUUUCUUCACGCCUUAGAUUCAACUUCAAGAUUCAAGAUUCAAUUUGAAGCAAACACAACUACAAAACAAAUAUAAUUAGCGUUAAUAAGCCUGUGGCUAACUGGCUGUGGCCAUGCAAUUGUAACUCAUAGUGACCGAAUCAUAUCUUAUUAUCUUACGCCAGAAGUUAAACAAUGUUCUCAUUCCACGUGUCACUCUCUGACCAAUCCCCAAACUUUCUUUGUAUUUCCAAAGAAACCCUUACAAAGUCAAGAUAAUUACCUUCACUCUACUCGUAUAAAUACUAUCCUCGAUUCGACUGAUGACGACGUAUCCUUACAGUCUUUAUUUAAAGGGAAAAUUAUAAAAAUUUCUCCUCGUUACCUAAAAAUCUAGGUUUCUCAAGAAUCGCUAAACCUAGAUCCCAAUCCUUGAAAAUCUCAAUUUAACCUCCCUAGCGUUUCGAUUGUCGAGGAUUCGCUUCAAAAUUUAGUAUUUUUUAGUGGAUUUUGCUUGUCUCGUAUCCUUAAAUUGUUGUUCGGUUCUGAAAAUAAUUUGGAUUUUUAGGGAUUUUCAGAUUAUUGGGUUUUGUUGAGUACAAUUUCGUCUAGUUACGGUUUCAGUUUGAAGGGUUAAAUGCAAUUUCGAUUUUUUUUUAUAAAAUUAAAAUUAAAAUUCAUAAAACGAUUGGGCGUUUAAUAAUUAAUUGAUGGCUAGCGAUACUACAACGGCGGCCGUAGCUCCGGAAGAAGCAGAGGCGGUGGAGUAUGGUAGGGUUCCAGAUGACGGGAAACGCUCUCUUGUGAUGCUCAGAAGGGAAGCCACUGAUGAGGAGGAGGCGGGGGAUGAGAGAUAUUCAGAGCUUCCAAUCGCUCAAAGUGUGCAUAUUCCUGCGGGAGAAGCGGAGGCUGUGGAUGAGUAUGAGAGCGAUCCAGAUGAAGUGGCACACUCUCUCGUUCUGCGCAGAAGGGAAACAAGCGAUGAGGAGGAGGAGACAGAAUUUGAGCGUCGAAUUAAUUGAAGGGUCCAAAUUCAUUCUUACGAUGAAUCUGAUGGCCAAGGUGGUGCUUCAGCUGAGUAUGAUGAUGAUGAAGAAGGCGAAGAGGAACAUGACAGAAUUAGAAGAAGAUGAUGAAGAAGGGGAUGUUUAUGAGGAUGAAGAGGGGGCGGUUAAAGUCAAAGGAAUAGAGGGUAAUGAUGCAAGAGGAGUACGGAGGGGGCAGUGGAAGUGAGUAAAGGGAAUAAUGAUAAUGGCAAUGUUGCUAAAAAAAUGAUGCAGUGGAGGGAAUGGAGGAAGAGAAGAAGGAGAGUAGUGAGCCUUUUGCACAGCAGCUGGGCUUUUUAUAUGGGACAAUGUUGCAGGUCGACACAGGUAUUAUUUGGUUUGAGCGACAAUUAAUAAAUAACUGAUAGUGUACUUUCAUUAGGGCUUGUCAGUUAGUCUAGUCUCGUUUUUUGGUGCUGUAUAAUGAUUGUUUGCUGGAAUCUGUCUAGAAUGCUUUUGGCCUAGUAGGUUGAAAGGAGAGAAAGUUCUCAAAUAAACGUCCGUGCUUUGUGGAAUGUAAUUAAUAGGUACAAAGCAUACUAAAUUACUUGACAGAUAGAUGCCGAGCUAAUCAUGAGCUAUUAUAGCAUUAUCCGUGCUUUGUGUAUUUUUAUUAGGGCUUGUCUAUUUCAAAGUGUGCAGUGUAGAAUUUUUGGGUUAAGUUUGAGUGAUGAAGUGUUAGGUAGGUUUCUGUUUGGCGUAGUUAAGUGGUUAAUAUGAGCUAUCGAAGCAAAUACAGAGUAGGAUAUCUAGUUUUGGGUUUGGUCUUAGUUUGAAGAUGGUACUGAUUAUGCAGCUAGGUACGUAUUAGUGUUUGUGGAUUUCUAAAUGCUUUCUGUCAAAUGUGACUAGAUUAUUACUAGAAGUAUAUGGAUCUUACACUUAAUUGAUUACAUAUCCAUUUAUAAUGUUCAAAAUGAUAAUAUACUAUUACUUAAAAUUAUGCUUUCAAGACAUCAUUUUGAAAAUCCAUGGUUGUAAUGUGUCUCUAAAUUCAGUAAUACAAGUUCUGUCAAUUACUGUUGGAUGCAGUGACCUGAAUAGUUUAAUAUUCAUUUGCAGAAAAAAGUUGAGAAAGAAAACUAAAAAUUUCCGUGCGUUCUGCUGGAAAUUUAAUUAGCUUCAUUUGAGCAUUAAUUGCCGGCAUGAUCUCUUAGACUUCUCUUGCAUUGAAUGAAUGGAUGAGUGCUAAUCCAUGCAAAGACUUCCAUGCAUGCACAACGAAUGCUAAAUCUAAGGUAUGGUAAAAUGUCUAGCAAGCUUGGCCCAAAUUAUCAAGCUGGUUUGGUGGCUGCUAGAUUUGUUCACCCGGAUUUUGGACCAUUUUCCUUGACAAUGAGAAAAGCUCCAAGAUCUGUAAAUUGAAGACUCACUGAAAGAUCCAAGUUUCAGGUAACUCUUGUGUUGUGUGCUCGGAGUAUUCUCUAUUGUAUUUUUUUUGUUUGUUAUUUAUUUGACAUAUUACUAGCAGAGAUCUUGGGUGGGAACCAAAAAUUCCCAACAAUUGUCAAUUGUUUUAAACUCUAUUCUGAACAGAGCAUGAAGGGAUUCACUUAUCUAAUUAUUGCUUUUAUGCUUUAACUUCGCUUGAUUUCAUCUUUUCCGUCACCUUUAUUAAAGUUGUAUAUGUUGGAGUGUUAGGUUCAUCAUAAGGAUCAUAUUAUGGCUAAGGAAGGAGCACAGUUUAUCAGCUGCACUGAAGUGUAGCAGAGAAUUUGGAUUCAAGACUGAUGCAAGGCUGUUGCUGUGUAAUUGUAUGCCAUGCUUGCUAGUGCACUCUAAUAGAUUGCUGAGCUGGCACCGGAUGUUUUUAGCUAAUAUUAGUAAUUAGUCUAGAGUGUUCGAUUUAUUCUAUAAAUUGCUCAUUUGAGCUUAGAACCUUUAAAGUGUAUCACACGAUUCUGUUACUUCUAAUACAGAUUUUCUCUAUUCCUUUUUCUAUCACUUUCUCUUCCAUUUUCAUGAUCCCCAAACACCAUCAAUCCAUGAUUUCUAGAGUAUUAGCCGUCAAUCCAUGAUUUUCUUGUUAUUUUUUCUUUCACUUUCUCUUCCAUUUUCCCACUCCCCAAACACCACCAAUCCCUGAUUUUUUGAGUAUUAGCUGUCUAUUUCUACAAACAUAGAAGUGCUGUUUGUUUGUCCAAUUACUUUCGAGAAACAAAACUCUCUGUCCUGUGGUCUUUUCGUUUAUUGACUUGUGAGUAAAUAAGAUAUUGGGCCAAUGGACUCAACGUGACAAGUUCUUGAAUUGAAUGGCUCCUCUUUUCUCCAUAAAUCUUUGCUUAAUUUUUUUGCUCCCUCAACUUUUUGGGCCUUUUGCGUUAAAAUUCUUUUUUUGAUACAUUAUGCAAAAAUUAUGAUGAAAAUGAGUUACCUUAGAAGAUCAACAAAUUUUUAUUACAUGACAAGACAAUUAUACUUAGAUUACUCUUAUUUAGUUGAAUUAUAUGUAAUAAAAUUAGUUUAACAAAAUCUAAUCCGUAAAUAUUCCUUAUCACAUGAUUAACGUACUUAAAAAUCUUAACGGAUUGGUCGCUUGUUUUACAAUUCUUUUAUAUAUCUUUGAAACUUUCAGCUUCCUAACACAUCAUUUGUUAGAGUGCAAUUUAUGCACUAGUUUUGCAUUGUUUACUUCCCUUAAUAUCGAUGUUUUGCACUUAAUAAUAUUGAUUUACUUGUGUUUUACUUUUGUAUAAUGAUGGCAAUGGGGUGGGGUGGGGGUGGGGAGGCCUACCCCAUUCCCCACCCCGUUAGAAAUUUUUACCUCUAUUCCCCACCCCAUUCCCCAAUAAAUUUAGUGGGGUGGGGAUGGGGAAUCCCCAUGUGGGGAAUGCUUUCCCCAUUCCCACCCCAUUCCCCAUUUAUCUAUUUUAUAUUAUGUAUAAAUAUAUGAUUUCAGUAAGUUAAAAAUUAGAGACUUAAAAUAAAAUCAUCACCAUAUUAUAAAGUAUUUAAAUUCUUUUUAAAAAAAUAUCUAAAAGUUUGAACCAAUAUCUUAAAAUAAUAUUAAAAGUAAAAAAAUAUUUAAAGAGCGUAGCACUUUAAAAGAGAAAAGAAAAUAUAACAAUGUUUCAUAGUUGAAAAAUAUUAUAGGGUUUUUUUUCAUUCAUAUCCUGUUUAUAUUGCAUAAAAAUUAAAAAAAUAUUAAUUGACAUUAUAAUUCAUAAAAUAAAAAUUAUUAAAUAAGAAUUAAAAAUAUAUUUAUAUAUAAUGGGGAUUGGGGUGGGGGUGGGGGUGGGGUGGGGAGUGCAAAACCAAACCCCACCCCAUUAAGAAUUUGGGGAUUAUUUUUCCCCCACUCACCACCCCAUUCCCCAUAAAUUAUUCAAAAUUUUAUCCAUUUGGGGUGGGGCUCCAUGGGGCCCCAAACCCGUGGAGGAUUUUGCCAUCCCUACUUUUGUAGGUGCAAUUCUAUUGAUUGGUGAUAAAAUUGAGCUAUAAGAUUAUGUUUAAGGAUGAUUGUUCUCUUAGAGAAAUUAUGAGCGUCAGAAGAACUCUGUUGAUAAGGCGUGGGCGCGUACUGUCAACUGCGGACCUGCAGUUUUUAGUUUAACGUGUUUUGUAUUUUUGGUUAUUUUUGUAAUUACGAAUUUAAUAUUUCAGAUAUUAGGAUUUUAUUUUAAAUAGAAUUAUAAAAGAGAAGAGAGAGAGAGUAUUUAAGGGAGGAAUCUAUUGUGAAAAAGGGGGAUUUUUGGAUUGGAGAAAAAGAAAGAAACCCUAGAUCUAAUUUUUCUCUUCUCUCUAUGAGGAACUAAACCCAUUUUUCUGGUUGAAGGUUAAUGAAGCUUUGAUUCAUCACUACUGUGAGACCUUUCUUGUGCUUUAAUUGUUUUAUUGCUUUUUAGAUAUUUGUUUAUUCUCUGAAUUAUUUUCAUGAUUAUGUUUGUUAAUUAGGUAAUUGGCCACUAUUUAAUUAUCAACUUAAUCUAUUGUCAAUUAAAGGAUUCAUCGUAUGAAGAAUUUAAUGUUUGUGACAAAUAACAUAGCAGAGAGUUGUGUUGUGAGAAUAAAAAAUCUAAUUUAAAUGAAUCAUCAUAUGUGUUGAUUAGGAUUUGGGUCUCUCUGAUUUUUCAGGCUGUCAAUUGAUUAAAUCCUAUGAUCGUAUCUAGGGUUGUCUAUUGAUUAGGGAAAUAACCAACGGUCGUACCUUGGUUAUCGACUAGUUAAGGAGAGAUUGGCUAUUAGAGGGUCUCAGUAGCUAUAAUCGGUCUAUUCAUGAGUAAUAAUAAUCUAUAUUUGAAUCAAUGAUCAGUAGUCGAAUCAAGCUGAGUUAAUUCCUUCAACCAGAGCUUUCUCCAAUUUGAAUUACAACUUUAAUUUGCAUUCUUGUUAUUUUUAAUUUGAUUUUUAUUAUUGUCAACAAUUCCCCCAUUUUACGUUUUACGUUUCAAAAGGAUUUAAAUAAUUACCGAUCUCUGUGGACACGACCCUGCUCAAUCACUAUACACAAUUUAUUUAGAGUAGGAAUUUAUUUUUGUUGGCUUCGACACCCAUCAAAUUUUGGCGCCGUUGCCGGGGAUUGGUGUCAUUUAUUUAAUCAUUUUUACGUUUUACUUGGUGUAUGGUUCGUUCUUCUCGUACAGGUACACUUUCAUUUGAUCCUGAAAUUGAGAAGACAGCUCGCCAGCUGAGACAAUAGACUAAGCGAGCUAAGCAAGGAUCCUCGUCGCCUUUGCUUUUUGAAACAGAUACGGUGCCUAAUUUAGUUGAAUCAUCUAGCGAUUCGGAAGAACAAGUGAUGGAUAGACCUGCACCUGUAGAAAGAACUCUUAGAGAGUUAGUUGAACCAGACUUGAAUCAGCAACCACUCUGCAUUCAAUAUGUAGAUUUGGAGGUAAAUUUUGAAUUAAAGUCUGGUCUUAUUCAUUUAUUACCCAAGUUUCAUGGUUUUGCAGGUGAAGAUCCUCAUAAACAUCUUAAGGAGUUUCAUGUUGUGUGUUCAAGUAUGAGACCACAAGGCAUGACUGAAGAGCAGAUUAAGCUGCGUGCUUUUCCGUUCUCUGUAGAUGGGCUAGCUAAAGACUGGUUGUAUUACUUGCCUCCUGGAUCGAUUACAACAUGGAAUGAUUUGAAGAAGCAGUUCCUCGAGAAGUACUUUCCUGCUUCAAGAGCUGCUAACAUCAGAAAAGACAUUUGUGGGAUCAGACAACUUCCUGGGGAGACUUUGUAUGAGUAUUGGGAGCGAUUCAAAUAAUUGUGUGCCAACUGUCCUCAACAUCAGAUUUCUGAUCAACUUCUUAUUCAAUAUUUUUACGAAGGACUGUCAUUGAUGGAUAGGAGUAUGAUAGAUGCUGCUAGUGGAGGCGUGUUGGUGAACAAGACCCCUACUCAAGCAAGGGAGUUGAUAUCAAAUAUGGCUGCCAAUACACAACAAUUUGGCAACAAGCAAGAUUUCACUUCAAGAACGGUGAAUGAGGUAAAUAUUUCUUCUGUUGAACAACGUUUAGAUAAACUUACUUCUCUUGUGGAAAAGUUUGUUGUAGGUAAUGUGCAACAGGUGAAGACUUGUGGCAUUUGUUACAAUAUGGGUCAUUCAACCGAUAUGUGUCCUACACUUCAAGAAGAACCCGUUGAACAAGCCAAUGCAGUUGGAGGAUUUCCAGGUAUGCCUCAGAGGAGGUAUGAUCCUUAUGCACAAACAUACAAUCCGGGAUGGAAGGAUCAUCCUAACUUCAGCUAUGGAGUUAGGCCGUCAAGAUUCCCACAACAGUAUCCACCAAGACAACCAACACCUCCACAGUCAAACUCCAAGUCAGGUGUAUCUCUUGAAGAAAUUGUUAAAUCACUUGCGACUAACACUCAACAAUUUCAGCAGGCAACUACAGCAAGCAUUCAGAACUUGGAGAACCAAAUGAGUCAAUUGGCGACUACAGUGAGCCGUCUGGAGUCUCAAGUAUUAGAAAGAUUGCCUUCACAAUCUGAGGUGAAUCCAAAGCAAAACGUUAGUGCUGUCAUCCUUAGAAGUGGGAAGGAGUUGCAAGAGCCUAGUAAGAAAGUGACAAAGCAUGUAGAAGAUGAGCUUGAGAAGAAUGAAUUGAUGCCUAAAUCUCAAGAUGCGCAACCCACCAAAGCGAAACCCGUACCUAUUGUGAUACCUCCUCCUUUUCCAAGCCGGUUUACAAAAUCCAAGAAGGAGGAACAAGAGAAAGACAUCCUUGAGACAUUUCGCAAGGUUGAGGUAAAUAUUCCUUUAUUAGAUGCUAUAAAACAAAUACCUCGAUAUGCUAAAGUCCUUAAGGAACUGUGCACCUCCAAAAGAAAAUUAAGAGGAGAUGAAAAAGUUCAUAUGGGGGAGAAUGUUUCAGCAGUUCUCCAAAAGAAACUACCUCCUAAGUGCAAGGAUCCAGGUAUGUUUACUAUCCCUUGUAAAAUUGGUAGUGUUAGAGUUGAAAAGGCUAUGUUAGAUCCAGGAGCUUCUAUUAAUGUCAUGCCUCGUUCCAUUUAUUCAUCUUUGAAUUUUGGUCCAUUAAAAGAAACUGGCGUGAUAAUUCAACUAGCUGAUAGGUCUAAUGCAUAUCCUGAUGGGGUAUUAGAAGAUGUCUUAGUACAAGUUAAUGAGUUGGUUUUUCCUGCUGAUUUUUAUGUACUUGAUAUGGAAGAUGAUAACUCCUCUAAUUCUGUCCCAAUUUUGCUAGGAAGACCUUUUCUUAAGACUGUUAGGACUAAAAUGGAUGUACAUAAAGAGACUCUCACUAUGGAGUUUGAUGGAGAGGUUAUAGAAUUCAAUAUGAAUGAUACCAUGAAAUAUCCUAGUGAGGAACAUUCGGUAUUUUCUAUGGAUGUUAUUAACCCUAUAGCGCAGGAAAUUUUCUACAAGGAAAAGACGAAGACAUUUCAUGAUAGAAUGAUUUUGAGAAAGGAGUUCUCUGUUGGUCAAAAAGUUCUUCUUUUUCAUUCUAAGCUUAAACUUUUUCCGGGUAAAUUACGUUCUUGCUGGGUUGGACCUUUUAUUGUUACUAAUGUUUUUCCUCAUGGUGCAGUUGAGAUUCGGAGUCCGACCUCUGACAAAGUUUUUAAGGUUAAUGGUCAUCGCUUAAAACCUUUUUAUGAAGGUUUUUCGGUGAAUAUUGUGGAGGAUGUGGCUCUCGAGAGUCCCAAUUAUGGAGAUUGAUGCAUAAAUGUGUCUAGCCAAAGACAUAAAACAAAGGCGCUUUUUGGGAGGCAACCCAAUUGAUUUAUUUAUUUUGGUUUUUGUCAUAUCUUCUUUUAAUUUUGAUUCAGAUUUUUUUUUUUAAAUAAUGUGUUUGCUUAUUUUGGUCAGAAGAAAAUUUUUGAUAAGGCGUGCCCACAUCUUAACUAAUAAGUACUUCUAUGAUUUUUAAAAUAAAAUGGUUUUAAGGCAUGCCCACGUGCUUAUUAGAAAAGUACUUCUGAAAUUUUUAGUGCCUCAAGUGAUUCAUCACUAAAAAAAAGAAAAAAUUAAAUUAAAAAAAUUAUUUUAUUUUAUUUUUUUUUCUAUUUAUUUAUUUUAAAAAAACAAAAAAAGAGAUUUUCUUUUGUUCUUUCUUUUAUAUAUUUAUUUAUUAAAAAAAAUUUCAAAAAUCACUGUUCAAAAAAAAAAAAAAUUUUUUUUCACUGUUCACAAAAUCCCUAAUUUUCCAGAACUUGUUUUCUUCUCCAACCGCUUGCAGCACACCAGCAGCACCUGCGCGCGCAGCACCAGCAUCCCGUGUCUCGCAGCCCAGCAGCGCGCAACGCAGCGCAGCACCCGCAAAGCAAGCCUCAACAGCGUGCAGCGCGAACCAGCCCCAGCCCGAGCACGCAACGCAACAAGCGUCACCAGCGCGCGCACCAGCAAUCCCCCAGCGCGCAGCAACAGCCGCAGCACGCUGAUCCAGCGUCACCAGUUCGCAGCAUCAGUCCCAUCCACGCGCAACUGAACCAGCAGCUGUGUACUCGCAAGCUCCAGUCGAGCAGCAAUAGUCCGCAACCAGCCUACGACCUGCAUUCCAGCCACAUGAAUCGAAAUCCGUGACAAGAUGAAGCAGAAUUUGGCCGCAUACUUCAAGAGUGUGGGAUUUAUCCCACCAUUCCCGCCAAGCCCAUAGACGUUAUGUGGAUCAAAGCUCACAAUUCAGGGAAGUUUUUGCCUUUAAUCUUUUAUCCUUACGCUUUAAUUUUUAUGUGAGCUUUGAUUAUCUUACAUUGGGGACAAUGUAAGUUAUUGGUGUGGGGGAGGGAUUUUUGCAUUAUUGAUGUCUGGAAUUAUUAUUUUCACUCUACUUAUUUUUUUUUCACUCUACUCAUCCUUAAAUGAUUUUGGAGUUAGUAUGCUUCAUAUAUUAUUAAUUUUCUUUUCAUUUCUCUCUCACUACUCUUUUCCCAUCUAUCUCAAAUUAUUUACAUCUAUUUUUUUUUUCUUUCUAUCAUACUCUUUCAUCACUCACAUUUUUUUUUACCUUUCCUUUUAUAUCUCACUCAUACCUUCUUCUCAUUGUACACCACUAUUUAUGGUUAAUUCAUUUAAAGAGUGUACAUGAUUUGAUGGCAAAUUUACCAACUUUGUGAGGAUUUGAGCCUAUGAGCAACCACUUUGCUCUAAUUAUUUUUUGUUAUGUGAAUAUCAAUCCUAGUUUGUUUAUUCUAGAACUUGCUUUGAUAUGCAUGUUGAAGCCACAUUACGGGAUUUUAUGCAUUAAAAUGAUAAGGGCAAACCAUUUACCAUUUUUCUAUUCUCGCAUUUUCCUUUUUCUCUACUCGAAGACCUUUAUUUGCUACCUUUGUUUGAGCCUUAACAAUUACCCAUCCAUUUUUCUUCUUUUUUGAGCCUCAAUUUAAGGAUAUUUUUGGACUCAUUGUGUGGAUAUAUUUUGUUGCUUUUUCUACCUUGUAGUAAAGCUUCUCAAUUAGAUCAACAAGCAUUAUGCUUGAAUUAAAUUGUGCAAGGUUCGUUUCUUUUGUUUGAUUCAAAAACAAAAACAAAAACAAAAACAAAAACAAAAAAGAAAAAAAAAAGAAAAAUCACAAAAAAAAAGAGAAAAAAAAAGGAAAAAAAAUGUUUACAUUCUUGGUGACUUGAGUAGAAAUAAGCAUUUUGAUAUCAUAAGUUCAUUCAAUGAGUUCAUUCUUCUCGUUUUGAUCUCUUUUUCUUUCAUAAACCUUUCUUUUUCAUUUAACCCAUUUAACCCCAUUACAACCCUUUUAAGACCCUUAGAUUUUUGCAUUUUAUUCAUGUUUUGUGGAUUGAGAUGUGAUAUAUGAGCAAGCUUAUGGUAAUAGCAUUCUUUGAUUUGAUUUGAGUGGAUAAAUGACAUCCUAAACACUUUCAGUGCAUGGAGUGAAGUUAUUGAGAGGGCUAUUACAUCUUGUUGCACUUGAAUUUUGAAUGGAUCUUCUUGGUGGUUGAAUGUUCUUAUUCUAUCUUAUGAAAUUCUAUGCUUUAAAAUCCUUGUCUCUCGAACGUUGAACGACUUAAUUUCUUGAGGUAUGCUUGCUUAAAAUUGUUUUUGGAUGAGUUGAGAUGAGAAUUGAGUGGAGAUUUGGGAUUAAUCUUGAGUUAUAUGCUUGAGGACAAGCAUCAUCUUAACGUGACAAGUUCUUGAAUUGAAUGGCUCCUCUUUUCUCCAUAAAUCUUUGCUUAAUUUUUUUGCUCCCUCAACUUUUUGGGCCUUUUGCGUUAAAAUUCUUUUUUUGAUACAUUAUGCAAAAAUUAUGAUGAAAAUGAGUUACCUUAGAAGAUCAACAAAUUUUUAUUACAUGACAAGACAAUUAUACUUAGAUUACUCUUAUUUAGUUGAAUUAUAUGUAAUAAAAUUAGUUUAACAAAAUCUAAUCCGUAAAUAUUCCUUAUCACAUGAUUAACGUACUUAAAAAUCUUAACGGAUUGGUCGCUUGUUUUACAAUUCUUUUAUAUAUCUUUGAAACUUUCAGCUUCCUAACACAUCAUUUGUUAGAGUGCAAUUUAUGCACUAGUUUUGCAUUGUUUACUUCCCUUAAUAUCGAUGUUUUGCACUUAAUAAUAUUGAUUUACUUGUGUUUUACUUUUGUAUAAUGAUGGCAAUGGGGUGGGGUGGGGGUGGGGAGGCCUACCCCAUUCCCCACCCCGUUAGAAAUUUUUACCUCUAUUCCCCACCCCAUUCCCCAAUAAAUUUAGUGGGGUGGGGAUGGGGAAUCCCCAUGUGGGGAAUGCUUUCCCCAUUCCCACCCCAUUCCCCAUUUAUCUAUUUUAUAUUAUGUAUAAAUAUAUGAUUUCAGUAAGUUAAAAAUUAGAGACUUAAAAUAAAAUCAUCACCAUAUUAUAAAGUAUUUAAAUUCUUUUUAAAAAAAUAUCUAAAAGUUUGAACCAAUAUCUUAAAAUAAUAUUAAAAGUAAAAAAAUAUUUAAAGAGCGUAGCACUUUAAAAGAGAAAAGAAAAUAUAACAAUGUUUCAUAGUUGAAAAAUAUUAUAGGGUUUUUUUUCAUUCAUAUCCUGUUUAUAUUGCAUAAAAAUUAAAAAAAUAUUAAUUGACAUUAUAAUUCAUAAAAUAAAAAUUAUUAAAUAAGAAUUAAAAAUAUAUUUAUAUAUAAUGGGGAUUGGGGUGGGGGUGGGGGUGGGGUGGGGAGUGCAAAACCAAACCCCACCCCAUUAAGAAUUUGGGGAUUAUUUUUCCCCCACUCACCACCCCAUUCCCCAUAAAUUAUUCAAAAUUUUAUCCAUUUGGGGUGGGGCUCCAUGGGGCCCCAAACCCGUGGAGGAUUUUGCCAUCCCUACUUUUGUAGGUGCAAUUCUAUUGAUUGGUGAUAAAAUUGAGCUAUAAGAUUAUGUUUAAGGAUGAUUGUUCUCUUAGAGAAAUUAUGAGCGUCAGAAGAACUCUGUUGAUAAGGCGUGGGCGCGUACUGUCAACUGCGGACCUGCAGUUUUUAGUUUAACGUGUUUUGUAUUUUUGGUUAUUUUUGUAAUUACGAAUUUAAUAUUUCAGAUAUUAGGAUUUUAUUUUAAAUAGAAUUAUAAAAGAGAAGAGAGAGAGAGUAUUUAAGGGAGGAAUCUAUUGUGAAAAAGGGGGAUUUUUGGAUUGGAGAAAAAGAAAGAAACCCUAGAUCUAAUUUUUCUCUUCUCUCUAUGAGGAACUAAACCCAUUUUUCUGGUUGAAGGUUAAUGAAGCUUUGAUUCAUCACUACUGUGAGACCUUUCUUGUGCUUUAAUUGUUUUAUUGCUUUUUAGAUAUUUGUUUAUUCUCUGAAUUAUUUUCAUGAUUAUGUUUGUUAAUUAGGUAAUUGGCCACUAUUUAAUUAUCAACUUAAUCUAUUGUCAAUUAAAGGAUUCAUCGUAUGAAGAAUUUAAUGUUUGUGACAAAUAACAUAGCAGAGAGUUGUGUUGUGAGAAUAAAAAAUCUAAUUUAAAUGAAUCAUAGCAGAGAGUUGUGUUCAAGUAGUUCUUCUGCGAAAGCCAAAUUUUCCUGUUAUUUAUGUCUCGGUGAAUUUGCAUCCCUAAAAUCUUGUUUGCUGGUCCCAAGUCCUUCAUUUCAAACUCCCUAGCCAACUGUGCCUUUAAUUCUUGGAUUCGAUCUUUAUUGGGACCUGCUACCAACAUGUCAUCUGUUGAGUGUUAGAAAAUGCAUAUUUAUAAAGGAGAAAACCGUCAUUUUACAUUUCAAGUCUUAUUAACAACCCUUACUUUUAUGUAUUUAACCUUCUUGUGAUUUAAUUACAUGUGUUUUAUUUUAAUUAAGUAUUUUAUGUAUUUUAGGGGCAUUAUAGUCAUUUCACAAUAAAGGAGAGAUCAGACGGAAAAACGGACAUCACUUUUGAACUCAGGACGGUCGAAAAUCUUAGGAGGAGCAUAAAAGGAAAAAUGGCCCUAUUCAUAUGUACGGUACUAUUCACGUGUACGGUACUAACUACGUUACUGUUCACAACACUGUUCACAUAGACGAAUCGAUGACGUGGCAUUGACCGAUGAUGUGGCAUUGACUGAUGAGAUGUCACGAUCUUGUUGGGCUAAAAUUCUUAUGUACUGUUGAUGGUGACGUGGCAGCAUAUCAGUGGAUGAAAAAUCUCGCGUACGGUACAUGCAUCACACAGGAUUAUUUUCAACCAAACCGCGUUACUGUUCAUCCGAGUCAAACCGCGUUACUGUUCAUCCGAGUCAAACCGUGUUACUGUUCAUCCACGUGGUCAAACCGUGGACUGUUGACUGAUGACGUGGCGCAAUCCUGAGCGUCCAAACUGUUUUUAAUCCGAUGGCCAUGAUUUACUCCAUGUAUCUAUAAAAAGGGGGCCUCCCCCCCCUAAUUUGAUAGCUCUGAAUCUAUUUUUUGGAUCCAUUUUCUGUAAUUCCCUCUCCAUCUUGUAUUUUCUUUGUAUUUUAAUAAAUUUUCAUUUUGCCCCUAGUUCAAUUAUGAGGAGCUAAUUUCCUUUCAAGCUUGGGUUGAAGGUGAAGUCUCAACAUGUGUCAUGGGCUUUAUUUGGUAAAUUUAUUUCCUUUUCCCCUCUAGUUUUUGUGGAUGAUUUGACUUAUCGUCGACAAAUAAUACUGAUCUUGUCUAGAUACCGCCUUGGUUACACCGGCUCUCUAGUAUAAGGUUAUUAUUAUUUGGCACGAUAAGCCCUUAGCACCAUAUUGAUUAGAGCGUGGUUCAUGAGGUGUGGAUUCCCCCCUCAUGAUUUAAUUGGCAUUAAUAAGGAAUAUUUAGCCCAUGAUGCAUGUUGAUACGGAUCCAGAUACCCAAGUACGUCAUUUCAAUAGAAUUCUCUUCAAUUUAUUCUCGCUAUUUCAAUUCCAAUUUUAGAAUUUAUUCUCGCCAUUUUAAUUUAAGUUUUAGUAUAUUCCAAAUCAUUUCCACCACAAAUCCAAUCACCCAUUUACAGAAUUAAUUCUACACAUAAUUAAAAUCCACCUCCUCGUGGGAUCGACACUCGUCACCAUUGAUCUACACUACAAUAGAUUCGUGCGCUUGCGAGUACAUUAAAAUUUGCACAACAUCAUCCACAUACAACAGUAAAAUAAUGAAAUCAUUAUCUUCAAACCUCUUGUAAUAUGCACAAUGGUCUGAACUGAGUCUGUUGUAUCCAAGGCUCAUGAUGAAGGAAUCAAAUCUCUUAUACCAACACCUCGGCGCCUGUUUAAGACCAUAUAGAGAUUUGUUCAACCUGCAAACCAAGUUCUCCUUUCCUGUUUCUGCAAAACCUUCUGGUUGGAGCAUAUAUAUUUCUUCUUCAAGUUCUCCAUGAAGAAAUGCAGUUUUCACAUCUAACUGCUCUAGAUGUAAGUCAAAUGUAGCACACAUCGCCAAGACUACUCUGACUGUUGUGAGUCGAACCACCGGAGAAAAUAUCUCGUUGAAGUCAAUACCUUCUUUCUGAGUAUAUCCUUUCACCACCAAUCUCGCACGAUACCGCUUCACUUGGUCAUUGCCAUCACGCUUGAUCUUGUAGACCCAUUUGUUUCCAAUGGCUUUUCUUCCACGUGGUAGUGGUACAAGUUCCCAUGUCUUAUUCUUAUGUAGAGCUUCAAUUUCUUCCUGCAUUGUUGUUAUCCACAAAGCAAUAUUUGAGCUUUCUAAAGCUUUAUGGAAAGUUGAUGGCUCUCCAUCCUCCGUUAGAAGACAAUAUGCAACAUUAAUUUCUGUGACAUACUCCGAGUGCCACACCGGCGGUCGUCUCUCACGAGUUGACCGUCGAACUUCUGGAGCCUCAGACCCGACUGGUUCUUGUUCCUCGUGCUCUGGUGCUGCUUGAGAAGAAUCUGAAUCUUCUAGAUUAUUUUCCACAUAUACUGGCACGGUCUCUGACUUUUCUUUUGUAGUGCCAUCAUCCUCAUCUCUCAUUUGCAGUUGAUCUUCUACAAAGAUAACAUCUCUGCUGAUGACGAUCUUGUGGGCAGUGGGGUCCCACAGACGAUACCCCUUUACUCGAUCAGCAUACCCCAAGAAAAUACAUAUUCUAGAUUUUGGAUCCAGCUUUGUUCUUUCUUGGGCAUUGUACAUCACGUACACAGGACAUCCAAAUGCAUGUAGGUAGGAAUAAUCAGCUGGCUUUCCAGUCCAUAUCUCCAUCGCUGUCUUCAGCCCAAUAGCUGUAGAUGGCGAUCGAUUUACUAUAUAACAGGCAGUUUUGGCUGCUUCUGCCCAGAAUGAAUUGGGUAGACUAGCAGUCUUCAACAUAGCUCUUAUUCUUUCUAUAAGAGUUUUGUUCAUCCGCUCUGCUACUCCAUUUUGUUGAGGAGUGUAUGCUACCGUGAACUGCCUUUGAAUACCUUCUUGCUUACAGAAAGCAAGAAACUCACAGUCUGUAUACUCUCCACCAUUAUCCGUCCUCAAGCACUUGAUCUUUUUACCAGAUUCAAGUUCCACCUGCGCUUUGUAUUCUUUAAAUACUGGAAAUACAUCUGACUUUUUCUUAAUUGGAUACACCCAACAUCUUCUGGAAUAAUCAUCAAUGAAAGUCACCAUGUACUUUGCACCUCCCAUAGAUAUAUCCAGUGAUUCCCAAACAUCAGAAUGAAUCAAGUCUAAAAUGCAUUUACUUCUAGCAAUAGAUCUACUGAAUUUUAAUCUAUGCUGCUUACUUGUAACACAAUGCUCGCAAAAUGGUAAACUUACCGAUUUGAGCCCCGGAAGCAAUUUUCGCUCAGAGAGAAUCUUCAAACCUUGUUCUGACAUGUGGCCAAGUUUGAGAUGCCACAUCAUCGUUGAUUCUUCUCCAUUUGAUGCGACACAUGCAUCAGCCUCCUGUAGUGUUUCUCCUUUAAGCAUGAAUAAAUUAGCACCGAUCUUUUCUGCCUUCAUCAAUACAAGCGCACCUUUAACGAUCUUUAUAAUUCCAUUCUCCACAUGAGUUUUGUACCCAUGACUAUCCAUUUGUCCCAAAGACAAUAGAUUUUUCUUCAGGCCGUUGACAUGUCGUACUUCUCCAAUUGUGCGAAUUGUACCAUCAAACAUUUUUAUUUUGAUAGUACCAAUACCAGCGAUCUCUAAGGCAUGAUCAUUACCCAUAUAUACAGAUCCUCCUGAGAUAGGUUCAUAUGUGUGGAACCAUUCUCUCCGAGAGGUCAUGUGCCAGGUAGCUCCUGAGUCUAUAAGCCAGACAUCAGACAGUCAUUUUCUGCCUUCUGAAACAGUUGUUGCCUCGCUAUAGAGAAUUUCGCCAUCAUCUAAGGUACUUGCCACACACCCUUGAGCAUUUGAUGACUCAGGUUCUUUACCCUCUCUUCUCUUCUGGUUACUCCAACACUCUUUCUUGACGUGCCCUUUCUUGCCACAUUUGUAGUAUUUAACAUUCUUCUUACUUCUGGAUUUUGAUCUACCCUGAUUUUGACUCCCACUGGGGCCACGUUCCGUUAAUCUCCCUCUCGUCACCGAUAGCGCUUCUGCUUGCUGCGAACUUGCUUGUCUGUUUUCCUUAUUUUUUCGCCUGCUCUCCUCAUUUAAUACGGAGGCUGCAACAUCGUCGAAAACUAGACUCUCCACUGGAUUGUUGUUCGUCAGGUUGAUGAUGAGUUGAUCAUACGAAUCUGGUAGACUUUGAAGUAGAAGCUUUGCACGUUCAUUUUCCUCUAUAUUAUGACCCAACGUUGUGAGUUGUGAAAAUAGAGUCUUCAAUGUGUUGAUGUGGUCGGUCACCAUUGUAGAUUCCGCCAUUCGAAGAGUAUAGAGUUUUCUCUUCAAGAAGAUUUUGUUGUGUAGUGACUUGGCCUCAUACAAUUUUGUGAGAGUAUCCCAUAUUUCCUUUGCCGUAUUUUUCUCUGCCAUACUGGAUAAUACUCCAUCCGCAAGUGCCAAGUGUAGAUCAGAAAUGGCGUUGCCGUCUACCUCGUUCCACUUGUCAUCAGUUAUUUCCAUAGGCCUUUCUCCAAUUGCUGCCAAGCAAUUAUUUUUCCUCAAUACAGCUUUCAUCUUCAUUUUCCACAACGAAAAAUUAUUUCCGUUAAAUUUCUCAAUUUCAUACUUUGCCGCCAUUUUGUUGAUAAAUAUCGCACACAAGCUAGUGUACCACCUUGAAUAGUUGUGAGUAUGUGUGAGAAUGCACACCAGGAAAGUUCCCAGGAAAGACUGGAGGGGUCACAAUGGUCCUACUUAAAACCCAGACUCCUUAAGCUCUUAUCGCUUUUGUGACAGAACUUUCCUAGACAUGUACAAAACCACAAUUGUUUUACUCACACCACUAUUCCCUGCUUUGCAUCGCAAAAUUCUUGGAUCGCUCCCACCGCUUCUUGUGAAUAGUACCGUAUACGUGAACAGUACCGUAUACGUGAAUAGUACCCCUUACGUGAACAGUACCCGACUCCAAAAAAUACAACUAAUAGCUCUGAUACCACUGCUAGGAAAUUGGUGGGUGAAGCAGACACGUAGCUAAAAUAAAAUUGGAAGAAAAUAAAGAACAAGCACUCUAGAGGACACCAGAAAAUUACGUGGUUCGGCUUUUAGCCUACAUCCACGGGCGAAGACAGAAGAAAAUAUUUUACUAGUGAAAAGGAGUUACAAGUAUUGUAGUAUUUUAGCUCACUUCCCAAAACCCCAAUACACCUAAACUCUCUCAAUCACUGUAACAAGAGCUUAUAAAUGCAAGCUCUCUAAAUUCUCUCUAAAUACAAGAGAAAUCUUCUCAAAAUUGGAUGAUCAAAUGAGGGAAUGAGUCCCUCUAUUUAUAGCCAAAAUCUUGGCUACUAUUCACGUAUUUUUUUUAAUUAUUUAUUAUUGUUCAAAAUUCAAAAUUCAAAGUUUGAUAUUCAAACUUUGAAUAUCUAGAAUUUUGAAUUUGAUAUUCAAAGUUUGAAUAUCUAGAAGUUUGAUUUUGAUAUUCAAACUUUGAAUAUCAAGACACCCAAUCUUGACAUCGGAGGCUUCGUUUUAGAAGAGUGCAGAGCAGCUGCCUUGUCCAUUUGGCACGCCAACGACUUUCUAUUGACCAAUAAUUUUGAAAGCGAUAUUAGUAAUUUACCAUCUAAUAUUUUUUUUAUAUUAUCAUUUUACCAUAAAGUUUUUUAACAAUUAUUUUUUUCCUUAAUGUUUUAGUUUUUAUUAUAUUACUACCAAAAAUUGGCAAACGCACUCCUAGUGUAGGUUAUCCACAAAAUGGCUACCGAAUUGUCUUGUUUCUCAUUUUGUUUAAUUUUCAUAAAUUCGACUCACGAUUCAAAUGUGAGUGAAGAGUUUUUUUUUUGGGAAAAAAUCUGGUCUUCCAUUUACUAGAAUUAGGUAUGUGUGAUUUUAUUAUUUUUCUUUUGCUUUAUAUGUAUCUGGAAAAUUAUGAAUACUUUGCAGGAUUUAGAAGGAUUUGAAUGUUUGAACGCAUAUAGCUUUCUGUCCAUCAGCUAAUGCAUAUUCUGCAUUUUAUGAAUAUCAGAGCUGGUAGAUUGAAAAAUGGACCUUAUUACAUGUCAUAAGAUACUUUGCUCAAAGCUGCAAUUGGGCAACGUCGUGCUGUUCUUAUCCGCCAAUGCAAGCCAUUUACUAUUCUUUCUAAUGGAGCAAAAUAAGAUGAUUCUUACCUGCAUAGAGAAUUAGAAAAGAAAAGGAGGAUUACUGAUCCACAGAGCUGUCAUUUACUAGAAGCACAUAAAAUCUUACACUUAAUUCAUUAACCAUAUGUAUAUUCUAAUGAUACUUAAGUAUUACCUAAACUAGCCUUUCAAAAUUUCACUUCGAAAAAAUCCAAGGUUGUAAUGUGUCUAUUUGGUUGCUAAUACAAGUUCUCUCUAUUCCCAAUUUUUUAUGCUCUCACUUCGCUUGAUUCACCUUCUCCAUCUUUUAAAACAGUUGUAUAUGUCGGGGUAUCAAGUUCAUCACAAGGAUCAUAUUAUGGCCUAAGGAAGGAGCACAGUUUAUUGUCUGCACUCAAGCUUAGCAGAGUGUUUUGGGAUUCAAGAGUGUUAGUAGGCCGUUACAGAUGCCAUGCUGGCAAGCGUGCUAUGACUGAUUGCUAUUUGCACGCAAAAUUUGCCCAAAACAAAUAGAAUGAGAAUACUUGUACAAAAGGACAAGAUUAAUAAAGUGAAUAAAUUUUAUCUUUUAGUGAAUGCUUCUUGUCUUUUAGAAUUUUAGUGCAUUUUCGUGUGUAAUUUUAUGUGCAAAUAGCAUUACUCAUUAGUAAUUAGUCUCGAGUGUUCUAAUUUCUUCUAAUAAGUGGCUGAUUUGAGCUUAAGACUUGUAUUUUAAGUUUUUAUUACUUUCUAAUAAAGAUUUUCUCUGUUCUUUUUUACUUUCACUUUCUCUUCCAUUUUCCCGACUCCCAAACACCACCAAUCCUUGAUUUUCUAGAGUAUAGCUAUGCAGUUCUACAAACACGAAACUGCUGUUUGUCCAUUUACUUUCAAGAAACAACGUACUCUGUGGUUUAUUGACUUGUGACUUGUGACUUGUGACCGGGGCAAAUUAGUCACGGUCCGAUUGUCUCCUCUUCCACUGACUCUGUCAAUUCAUGACUUUGGCACACAGUAGACGCCAGCUGCCUGCUUCAUUUGACGUGCAAAAAACUUUCUUGAAUCGGGUUAAAAUCGAUUGAUUAUUUUGUUUGGUGAUGAUGAGUUAGUUGUCAAUUCAUGAGUUUGAUGCAGUGAAACGCUUAACGCUCUCUUGUGAUGCGCAGGAGAAAAGCCAGUGAUGAUGAAGAGGACGAAAAACAUUAUUUUGUUAUUUACAAUAAGGCUAUCAAUUAUAUAUUCCAAAAUAAUUGGGUUUGGAUGGUCAUUUUGUUUUCUAAAAUAUCCAAAUGGAAACAGAAUUUAUAAAGUGGGAAAAUCAAGAAAUUAAAUACUCUUCGUAUAGUGGAAGGAGAUUUGGUUGCCGUUAUGCUAAAUAAAAGAAAAAUAAAGUAAAAUUACAAUACUUUAAUAAUCUCAUUCCCAAUCAUACCGGAAAUAAAAAUUUUCUGUAUAGUUAUGAAAUAAUUAUUGAUUUUACUUUAGUGAUUUUUUUUUUAAAGUAAGGUAAGCAUCUUUAUUUUCUUUGCAAACGAGCCUUCUUUCUUUUGCUUUGGCCUUUACUCUAGACUGUAUUUCAUGGUCAUACUCAAUCUCAAUAUUUUGUAGGUUUGUGGCUGUUUUAUGAGUUACGAUUUUUUAUAGGGUUGCAUGUAGAUGAUACAUUUAUUUUUUUCUUUUUUCUUUUCUUCUUCGGUGAAGAUACUAAAAUUUAGUUUUUGUUAUCAUGUGAAAUGAAAAUAGUCCUCGUUUCAAGGAUUAAUGGGCCACUAAUUUCGUCUUCUUAGAAGAAAAUUUUUUGCAGCGAGGUAAUUCGAAGCUCGAAGAUUUCUAUAUUACAUAGCCAAACCUAAGUGAUAAGAAUUUCCAUAUGAGAUAUAAUUUGGAAAAAAAAAAAAAACCAAUUCAAGUUAAAGAUAAAAAAAUCUGUGUUCCUUAAAAAACAUAAUUCAAGCCACACAAUUUUUCUUGUUUCAUUUGAGAAAAAGAAAAUUGUGUUCCUCACAAAAACACUUUAACAUUUGUUGUCUCAUAGAGGGAAAUGUCCUUCAAAACAAUUGAAACGUUGUCCACAAACAUUGUCAUGUAGUUAAGAAAAACUUAAUUUUGAGAAGUGCAAGAGAUUGGUGGGACUCAUUUGAUUCAAGAAAAAUAAUCAGUCUCAUUUGAUACGCAAAGAGCUUUUCUACUCAUGCAGCCAAUAUUUUGAUGAAUGUGACAUUACUGGUUUGUAUAAUUUUUUGGAUAUUAUCUCAAUUUUACUUCUGUAGGUUUGUGGUUUGUAUAUUAUCUCAAUUUUUAAAAAAAUGUAAUGCAAUUAUCAAACACGACUAAUCCCAACAAUUUAUCCAAAAAUUUUUAUUUCAAGAAAUGUAGCAUUUAUGAUAGAAUGGCUAAUGUUUUCAAUCGACUUUCUGGAUAAAUGAUAAUUUUUUGAUAGAAAUGUUACUUAAGUAUUACAGGAAGAAAAUUAUAGAAUAAUUUUUUGAAUUAAUUGUAUUACUUUACGAUAACACUAUCACAAUCUAAUUUAAAAAAAAAAAGUUAUUCUUUAAAUUUCGCAUUACUAUUCCUACUUUUCUUGUUAUAGUACUUAAUGGCACUGGUGAAGCCUCAGAAUUAUCAAACAAAAGGCAAAAAUAGUUCAAUAUCUGCUGUCCCACUAAGCAUUGUUAAAUUCAUAUAAUAAAAUGAGUACUUAUAUUAAAAAAAAACAAUCGGUCUCAUUGCGUGCUCUUUCAUUGACAUAGGCAAUUUGCUGUCAACUUGUGGCACUUUUAUGAAUUUUCAAGAUUGGUGAAUUUUUCAAAUUUAAAAGAAAAAAAUACAGAAAUGUAAUUUCAAUUUAUCCAAAAAUUUGAGUUUCAAGGAAUACAGCAUUUAUUAUAUGUCAUGUUAAUAUAGAGAAGAAAAAUUAAAAAACUUCUUUUUGGAUGAAUAAAAGUAUUUUCUGAUAAAUAUUUCACAAUCAAAUUUAAAAAAAUUUCACUCCUCUUGGUACAUAAUUUAAGAAUUUAACAUUAUAAAUUAAUCUUUUUAAUCAAAGUAAUAAUCUCUCCUCGGUCUGCAAAUGCUAAAAUUUAAUAUUAUAUCCUUUGACAAUAUUUGCUCCAAAUUCACGAAAAUAAAAUUUCUAACAGAAUUAUGACAUUCGUUACUAGAAAUUUGUAUAAAAGUUGUGAGAAUAGAAGGUUUGAUCAUAGGAAAUUAAUAUAUCCCUAUCCGAUGCAAAAAUGAUUGUAAAGAAAAACAAAAGUCAUGGGCUUAUUUUGAAAAAAGAAAAAAUUACAUUCCUUUUUCCCGUUAUUAAAGUAAUUCUAAAAUCACUAGGCACACAAAGGAUAGGCUUUAGUUGACUGAGGUCAGCCUUAACGCAUGCCGGUCUUUUUCUCCUCUACAUUCUUAGAAAUUUUGGUUUCACUAUAAAUACUCGGUAUAUAGCAAACUUAUAAGUGUUCUUGCAUUACCAAUCCAACUAAGCACACGCUUACAAUAUAAAUACUCUCAUCUCAUGGAAAGACUUCAUUCUCUCAGGAUGAUGAGCAGAUUUCUCUUACUCCAUUGUUUGAUUCUUAUUUCCUUACUUAUCGCAGCUGCAACAGCCAACACAAGUACUAUUACCGCAGACCAAGAUGCUCUGCUUUCCCUGAAAGCUCACAUAACUCAUGAUCCAACCAAUUUCUUGGCCAAAAAUUGGAACACGAGUAUCUCUUUCUGUAAUUGGACAGGCGUCACUUGUGAUGUCCAUAGCCAUAGAGUCACAAUCUUGAAUAUUUCUGGCUUAAAUCUCACCGGCACCAUUCCUUCUCAGCUUGGGAAUCUUUCUUCUCUGCAAUCACUCAAAUCUCAGUUUUAACCAACUUUCUGGUUCCAUUCCCUCCGCUAUCUUCACCACGUAUACACUGACAUAUGUUAGUCUCUGUCAAAAUCAGCUCUCUGGGAAAAUUCCUGCAAAUAUUUGUAGCAAUCUUCCUUUCCUUGAAUUUCUUUCUUUGUCCAAAAACAUGUUGUAUGGCGGAAUACCGUCCACUCUAUCAAAUUGCACAUAUUUAAGAAUCUUAAGUUUGGCAUACAAUGAUUUCUCAGGAGCCGUACCUAGAGAAAUCGGGAACUUGACCAAACUUAAGGAAUUAUAUCUUGGCGUUAAUAGACUUCAAGGUGCGCAUGAUCACGAAGUUUAAUUAUAAGAAUUGUUCCCUGAGUUGUAGUAUGAAUAACGUUCCAUAAUACACUUUACACACGUUGAUUAAUUUGCAGGAGAAACUCCUCGAGAGUUUAGCAAUCUUGCCGACUUGGAGCAUAUGUCGUUGGCAGGCAACAAUCUCCAAGGCAUGAUUUUAAAGUUUUUGCAAUUUUAUUUUAGCGAUGCUUGCUUCUGUAUUCAUUCGCUUGUUCUUUGAUUAUGCGAUGAUUUAUUGUUUUUCUUUCAGAUAGAGAUAAAGCUCCAUGUCUCCCCUCACUCAUUUCAUUCUUUAAUUUAUGCAGAUAAAAAUUUAAAAAAAAUGUUUUGUAAUUUUCUUUUGUCAUAUUGCCACUUCCGUUUUGAAGCUCCCAAUCAAGUCGAUGAAAAUGAAUGAUGUUUCAUUCUUAUUCUUGUCAGCCUAAUUCUUAUAUAAUUGAAGAGUAAAUUGUUAUUAUGAUCAAAUUGUUUGCGCAUAUAUAAAUGUACUUUAUUUACAGGAGGUAUUCAACGGGAAUUGGGGAAUCUUACAAAAUUGGAGGGGUUACAGCUGUUCCAGAAUAACUUGAUCGGUAACUUUCUUUACAAUAUAUAUACGAGACAUCUUCCGCUUUUUAUUAGAAAUUAUAAAUUCAAGUUAAAUCUUAAUUAAAAGAUUUCAAGUCUCUCAUUAUAAAUUCUCAUAUGAUGAUGUGUCGUUACCACUAUCUAACAUUAUUCCCUUUUUUAUUAGAAAUUAGUUUGUGUUAAUUCAAAAUUCUGUAGCAUUUAAAAAAAUUAAAAACACGUGGAAUAAAUUGUUAAUCUUUCUUCUUUACUGAAUUUGGAUUUCUCAAAAAUAAUCAUGACAAGUAUGCUUCACUAAUGAUAAACAUGUGUGACAACUUCAUAAAAUAUUUUAUAUGGAAUCACUAAUUAUCUCUAAAGAUGCCAUCAGUGAUACAUAAUUUCUUAACAAGCACCGUACCAAAAGAAAUCAACAAUUUUAUUAAUCUUAAAGAGUUACAUCUUCACUGCAAUUAUGACAUAAAUUUUUAGUCAUCAAUCACAUAAUAUUUUAUCUUAACGGAUGAUGUUCAGUCUUGGAAUUUAUAAUAUCAUGAAGGUUAGUAGCAUUGAAAAUAAGAAAUUGUUCAUGUGCUAAAAAGUCAACUUAGUAUUUAAGUUUUUCACUUGAAAUUUUUGAAAAAAGUGUUGAGAACUAGCCCUCCUUAGUAUUUCAGCGGAUAAAUAUGAAAAAUGGGCUAGAAGAAAUUAUUUUAUUGUAAUAAGAGUUAGAAAGAGAGGAGAAGUACAGUACUCAUGACUUAGGCUUGCUGUGUGUGUGCUUAUUCUACUUGGGCUUUGGGCUUGAUUACACGGUCGAACGCUUACACCUGUUAAAAUAAUGGGCUUUUGCUUUCGCCGCACAUCUGAUAAUUUCCUAACCUUCCAAUUAGGUUAUAGCAAUUUAAAUAUAAAUAAUAAAGCAUGCUAAAGCUAGCAUUGGUGUAUGGCUGAGUGGUGUAAAAAGUGGAUCUGUUUUCAUGUAUUAUUUAUUCUCUAAAACAUAUUUGAAUACAAUUCUUUCAAAAUACCGAGGAAAUAGCACAUGAAAUCAGAAAUAUUUUAUUGUGAUGAGAAUUCAUAUACUCAUUGUAGUAGAACAUAUAAAAUAGACUAUAAAUUUAUUAUUCUUCGAAACAAACUUGAUUAUAAUUCCUUCAAAAUUAAGUUUGUCAUUAAAUGAUUUCUCAGGAGCCAUACCAAAAGAAAUCGGGAAUUUGACCAAACUCAAGGAAUUAUCUCUUGGCGGUAACAGGCUCCAAGGUGCGCAUGAUCACAAAGUUUAAUUAUGAAAAUUGUUGCAUAAGUUAUAUGGAUAUCCUUGAUAACCGCAGCAAGCAAACAAAAUCAAAUAAAAGCUAACUGAGACUCGAAUAUCCUAAACCCUGAAAAGGAAUGGUAAUGGUAUAAUAUGGAUUUUGAAGGCAUAUUUCACCGGACUCAACAUUUAUGGUUAAUUUACAACUCUUUGUUGGAAAGUCUGAGAAAUUGCUUUAUAUUAGGGGUGGGGAAAAUAAUGCUGGGCCACGAAUUUCAGGCAGAAUCCAGAUUGGGCCCAAUUAGACUUAUAGCUCAGCUCUGUGUAGAUAUCUGGGCCUUUACAAAUAAUUAAUGGGCCAAUUAAUAAUAAUAAAUAAAUUGAGAAGGGUGUGAGUGAAAUUAGAUAUGAAUGAAUCUGCCAAUGUAUGUACACAUUUUUAGCAAAAGAAAUCGGGAAUUUGACCAAACUCAAGGAAUUAUCUCUUGACCGUAACAGGCUCCAAGGUGCGCAUGAUCACGGAGUUUAAUUAUGAAAAUUGUUGCAUAAGUUGUAGUAUGAAUAAUGUUCCAUAAUACAGUUUAGACACGUUGAUUAAUUUGCAGGCGAAAUUCCUCGAGAGUUUGGCAAUCUUGCCGACUUGGAGCAGAUGUCGUUAUGGGAAAACAAUCUCCGAGGUAUGAUUCUAAACUUUUUGCGUUUUUUAUUAGAAAUUAAUUUGUAUUAACUAAAAAUUUUGUAGCAUCUGAAAAAAUUAAAAACACAUGGAAUAAAUCGUCAAUCUUCUAAUUUGGAUUUCUUAAAAAUUAUCUUGACAAGUAUGCUUCACUAAUGAUAUGCAUGUGUGACAACUUCAUAAAAUAUUUUACAUGGAAUCACCAAUUACCUUUAAAUAAUUGGAGAUGCCAUCAGUGAUACAUAAUUUCUUAACAAGCACCUUAUCAAAAGAAAUCAACAAUUUUAUUAAUCUUAAAAAGUUACAUCUUUACUGCAAUUAUGAAAUAAAUUUUUAGUCAUCAAUCGCAUAAUAUUUUAUCUUAACGGAUGAUGUUCAGUCUUGGAAUUUAUAAUACCUUGAAGGUUAGUAGCUUUGAAAAUAAGAAAUUGUUCAUUUGCUAAAAAGUUAACUUAGUAUUUAAGUUUUUCAAUUGAAAAUUUUGAAAAAAGUCUUGAGAACUAGCCCUCCUUAGUAUUUCAGCGGAUAAAUAAGAAAAACAGGCUUGAAGAAAUUAUUGUUGUGUGUGCUUAUUCUACUUGGGCUUUGGGCUUGAUUACACGGUUGAGCACUUACACCUGUUAUAAUAAUAGGCUUUUACUUUCACCACACGUUUGAUAAUUUCUUAACCUUCCCAAUUAGGUUAUAGCAAUUUAUAUAUAAAAAACGAAAGCAUACUAAAGCUAGCAAUUUUUUGACUGGUAUCAUUCCUUCAUCUAUUUCACGUCUUUCAUUAUAAAUUCUCAUAGGAUGAUAUCUCAUUUUUUAUUAGAAAUUAAUCUGUGUUUAUGCAAAAAAAUUUAGCAUCUAAAAAAAGUAUAAAAACACGUGGAAUAAAUCGAAAAUCUUUCUUCAUUACUGAAUUUGGAUUUCUCAAAAAUUAUCAUGACAGCUAUGUUAGUGUCUUACUAAUGAUAUGCAUGUGUGACAACUUCAUAAAAUAUUUUAUAUGGAAAAUAUUAAAAAUAGACUUGAAAAAAAUUAUUUUACUGAAAUAAUAGUUAAAAAGAGAGGAGAAGUAUUACCUAUUACACAUGGUCGAACACUUACACCUGUUAUAAUAAUAAUAGCAUCCGCCGGUCGACUAUGAGUGAUCAAAUUGUUUGCACAUGUGUAAUUUGCAGGAGCAAUUCCACGGGAGUUGGGAAAUCUUACAGGAUUGGGGUUCUUAGAGCUGGGUGAAAAUUUUUUAACCGGUAUCACUCCUUCAUCUCUCUCCAAAUUGCUUUUCUCUAUUAAAUUUGGAACUCUCAUUUAAUAACUUAACAGGUAACUUCCCUUACAACAUGUUUGUGUGACAUGUUUUGCUUCUCAAUUAAAAUAUUUCACUUCUCUCAUUAUAAAUUCUCAUAGGAGGAUGUGUUGUUAUUACUAUUUAACAUUAUCUCGUUUUUUAUUAGAAAUUAAUCUUUGUUUAUGCAAAAAAAUUUAGCAUCUAAAAAAAGUAUACAAACACGUGGAAUAAAUCGAAAAUCUUUCUUCGUUACUGAAUUUGAAUUUCUCAAAAAUUAUCAUGACAGCUAUGUUAGUGUCUUACUAAUGAUAUGCAUGUGUGACAGCUUCAUAAAUUAUUUUACAUGGAAAAUAUGAAAAAUAGACUUGAAAAAAAAUUAUUUUACUGAAAUAAUAGUUAAAAAGGGAGGAGAAGUACACUACUCAUGACUUAGGCUUGCUGUGUACUUAUUUUACUUGGGAUUCGAGCUUGAUUACACAUGGUCGAACACUUACAUCCCACGACAUAGGCUUUUAGGGACGAGUGGCGUCAAAUGUGUAUAUGCUUUUAUGUAUUAUUAUUCUUUGAAACAAAUCUGAUUAUAAUUCUUUUAAAAUACAGAUUAAAUGGCACGUGAAAUCGGAAAAUAUUUUACUGCAAUAAGAAUUCAUAUAUUCAUUGUACUAGCACAUAUAAAAUAAACUAUAAAUUUAGUUCCAAAAUACAUUCUUAUCUUCAUAUAAAUUUUACAUUAUUAAUUUAAAUUAAUAUUAAAAUAUGUUGUUUCUUUCACUAUGUUAUUUUAUUUACACAAUGAUGUGACUAUUGGAAUUAAUAAUACUUUUAAUUAUUUUGUAAAAAUAUAAAUUUAAUACUUUGUUAACAUUUUAACUACAUAUAAUAAUUAAACUGAAACUUGUAUUUAAAAAAUUCGAGUUACGCAUAUUCAUUUCAUGACAUAAAAGUGUAUAUUUAUGCUAAUUUACCAUUAUCAACAAAAAGAUUUGAGACAAAUAAUCUAAUUUAUAUUUUUAUAUUUAAAAUCUUGCAUUUAUUAUAUUUUGAAAAAAAUUUAUUUGCAAUUAUUUUAAACGGUUGGAUUCAAAUUUUCAUAGUUACUAAAGUCAAAGGGUAUAAAUGUAUAAUAGUCAAAAACAUAUUUGUAUGAUCAUUUUUCAAUGUAUAAAUUUUCUUAGUUAGUAGGAAAAUUAGAAAUUGUUGAUUUACUCAUAAAUAAAUUUAAUGUUUAGCAUUUCAAUUUUGGAAAACUUGAACUAAAUGUUGAUAACUUCGAAUCGGUCGAGCCGAGUUUCUCUUCCUUGACCCACGGACCCAUUGAAAGUUCUAUUCGAAUUGAGUUUCCUGGUGCUUAUAAAAAGCAUUUCUUUUCCUUGUUGCAGUAAUUUAUUCACAAAUGAGUUGAUUAGCAUCGAAGUUACCUGAGAGUCUGAGACCAUGCUAGUAGGAGAAAUUUGAUAAGAAAUUAUUUUACUGAAUUAAUUUAUUUUAUCUUGUUGCAACUGGAAUACUACUUUUUUUUUUGGGCCAUCACUUGGGCUUGAUUUACUUUAAUAGUAGCAUCCACCGACUUAGGCGUUUUUUACUUCUCACCACACAAUUUGAUCUUUUAAUUAGUUUUAACCACAUAAUCUAUCUAUUUCUCACCUAUUGCUUACUUAAAUCGCAUACAUAUUUUACCUACUAAUUUUUAUAAAUAUUAGUCAAAUAUAUUUUAUUACGUUUUUCUCGUAACUGCUCCAAAUGUGUACUAUUAAUACUUAACCCUCCCUUUUAAUUUACUGUGCAAUCUAUCUAUCACUUAAGUCAUAUAUAUUUGACCUAUAUUUUACCCCAAAAAAUAUAAAAAUAAAAGAAAAAGAAUGUGUAGCAAUUUGCAUAUAACUAACAAAGCAUUGAUGGUGUGUAGCCUUUCAAUACUUCACGACUGGCUUUUCUUGUGUGUUAGUACUUGUAAUAAUUGUGUAGUGUAUAAAUGGCAUUUUAUUAUUAAAGUGCGUCCAUUUUUAGAUAUUACUUAUUAUUUGAAAAAUAAUCUGAAUAUAAUUCUUUUAAAAAACAGGGGAGAUACCACUUGAAAUUGGUAAUCUCCAAAAUCUGGAGGAGUUGGACCUUCGUCAAAACAAAUUAGUUGGUAUUGUCCCCGCUGCAAUCUUUAAUGUGUCCACGCUCAAAUUACUUCAGCUUCAGAAUAAUUCUCUCUUGGGAUGUCUUUCGUCCAUCGCAGACGUCCGACUACCAAAUCUUGAAGAGCUUUCUUUAUGGGGUAAUAAUUUCAAUGGCACAAUUCCUCGUUUCAUCUUUAAUGCUUCUAAGCUCUCUAUACUAGAAUUGGUAGGCAACUCAUUCUCCGGUUUUAUUCCCAACACAUUUGGCAACUUAAGAAACCUUGAGCGGCUUAAUUUACAAGAUAAUUAUUUGACAUCUUCAACUCCAGAAUUGAGCUUUCUAUCCUCGUUGUCAAAUUGCAAGUCUUUAACACUUAUUGCCUUAUCAAAUAAUCCACUAGAUGGCAAUCUUCGUAAGACGUCUGUCGGUAAUCUUUCUCAUUCUUUGGAAAUCUUUCUCAUGUACAAUUGUAACAUUAGUGGCGGAAUCUCUGAAGAGAUUAGCAACUUGACCAACUUGACAACCAUUAAUUUAGGAGGCAAUAAAUUGAAUGGAUCAAUUCCGAUUGCCCUUGGCAAAUUACAAAAGCUACAAUAUUUGGGUCUUGAAGAUAACAAAUUAGAAGGAUCAAUCCCAGAUGAUAUUUGUCGUUUGGAUGAACUGUAUGAAUUGGAGUUGGGUGGCAAUAAGCUUUCAGGAUCAAUCCCUGCAUGCUUCGGUAAUCUGAUUGCUCUGAGGAUACUGUCGUUGGGUUCCAAUGAGUUAACUUCUAUUCCCUUAACUUUUUGGAACCUUAAGGAUAUCUUGCAACUCAACAUUUCAUCAAAUUAUUUUACUGGUCCACUCCCAUUAGAGAUUGGAAAUUUGAAGGUUUUAAUUGGAAUUGAUUUUUCGAUGAAUAAUUUUUCAGGCGUUAUCCCAACAGAAAUUGGAGGCCUAAAAAAUCUAGAAUAUCUCUUCUUAGGAUAUAAUAGAUUGCGAGGAUCGAUUCCUGAUUCAUUUGGGGAUUUGAUAAGUUUGAAAUUCUUGAAUUUGUCCAAUAAUAAUCUCUUUGGGGCUAUUCCUGCAUCUUUAGAGAAACUCUCAUAUCUUGAAGAUCUAAAUCUUUCUUUCAACAAGCUAGAAGGAGAAAUUCCUAGGGGAGGAUCUUUUGGAAACUUCUCAGCUGAAUCAUUUGAGGGAAAUGAAUUAUUAUGUGGUUCACCCAAUUUACAAGUCCCGCCAUGCAAAACUAGGAUCCACCACACAUCAUGGAAAAAAUCUCUUCUCCUGGGGAUUGUCUUGCCAUUGAGUACUACAUUAAUGAUAGUAGUCAUUUCGUUGAUCCUAAGAUAUCGACAGAGAGGAAAACAACCAUCGAAUGAUGCUAAUAUGCCACUAGUAGCAACGUGGAGAACAUUUUCAUACCUAGAACUUUGUCAAGCAACAGACGAAUUCAGUGAAAACAAUCUAAUCGGCAGAGGAGGUUUUGGCUCUGUUUAUAAGGCAAGACUUGGGGACGGGAUGGAGGUUGCAGUGAAAGUUUUCAAUUUGCAAUGUGGAAGAGCGUUCAAGAGUUUCGAUGUUGAAUGUGAAAUUAUGAAAAGUAUUCGCCAUCGAAACCUUAUCAAAGUUAUUAGCAGUUGUUCAAAUGAAGAGUUUAAAGCGUUGGUAUUAGAAUACAUGCCUCAUGGAAGUUUGGAGAAGUAUCUGUAUUCAAGUAAUUGCAUUUUGGAUAUUUUUCAAAGAUUGAACAUAAUGAUAGAUGUUGCAUCAGCUUUGGAAUAUCUGCACUUUGGUUGUUCAGCUCCAGUAAUUCAUUGUGACUUAAAGCCCGACAAUGUAUUGUUAGAUGAUAAUUUGGUUGCUUAUUUGAGUGAUUUUGGCAUCGCGAAGCUCUUAAUUGGAGAAGAUCAGUCUAUGACUCAAACGCAAACACUUGCCACAAUAGGUUAUAUGGCACCAGGUUUGUUCAAUAUAAACAUUUUCUAUUUCUUGUAAACUUCCUAAUAAGUUAUUUAUGUUUCAUGAUCUUCAUUAGAUCAGGAAAUUAUUGUUAAUGAUAUAUCUUACUAUGUAACUGUUGCAAUUCAUAGAGUAUGGAAGAGAAGGACGAGUAUCCACAAAUGGAGAUGUUUAUAGCUUUGGAAUUAUGUUAAUGGAAACUUUUACCGGGAAGAAACCCACAUAUGAAUUUUUUAAUGGAGAAAUGACAUUAAAGCAUUGGGUUAAUGAUUGGCUACCCAUUUCCACUAUGGAAGUUGUUGAUGCUAAUUUGCUAAGUCAGGAGGACAUACAUUUUGUUGCAAAGGAGCAAUGUGUGUCAUUUGUCUUCAAUUUGGCUAUGGCGUGCACUGUGGAAUCUCCUGAGCAGAGAAUCAAUGCAAAAGAAAUUGUAACAAAACUCUUAAAAAUUAGAGACUCAUUACUUAGAAAUGUUGGAGGCAGACGUAUAAGACAAUCAAAUUUAAAUUGAUUCUACCCCUCCACUACUUGCUAUCCUUUUCAGAGACUUGAACAAUUAUCCUUAAUACAAUUUUUGUUGAUGUGCUUUGUUAUUGCUCUUACUCAUGUUUAUUUCUCUAUUUCUUUAAUUUGCAUGCAUGUAUUUUUCGUUCUCUUUUAUGUUUUUGUUGGUUUGUAUGUAGUUUGUUUUUAGGUUGAUUAUGUCCUCCCCUAAUUAGACGCAUCCUUUUUAUGUUUAUUCAAUAAAGCUUCUCUAAUACUAUCGAGGUUCAUCAAAAGAAAAUUUUAAAUUAAUUUUCUUUUCUUUGACAGGUAAUGAAAUUCUAAUCUUCAUAGUGAAUAACUUCAAUAAUAGAGUGUAAGUGUAUUAGUAGUUAUGGUUGUUUUUUGAACCUGGAGUCAAAAGCAAUUUAAUAGCAACAAACAAGUCUCUUGUAUUAUAGGCAAAAUUAUUUUCAUUAAUCUUAUUUUUCUACAUGUUCUCCUAUUUUCUCCAUUUAUCUUCGCUCAAGGUUUCAUGCUUCCUCUUGGAUAAAGGAAAACUUACUUGCGAAUAUUUCAAUUUGACAUAAGAGACUGUUUUGCCAACCAUUUGAUAAAAUGGAUAUGAGCGGAGCUUUCAAUCAUCACCUCCACCAAAAUCCUUACUACGCCACUUUUAAAUUGUAUUUUUUAAAAUGCAUUCAGUUUAAUUUAUAAAAAAUAAAUUCAUUUGUUAAAAUUAAUCUUUUUCUCAUAAAUUUCAGCCUAAAAAAUAUAUUUCUUUUAAACUUUUAAUUAUAAAAUACAUACAAGUUCUAAACUGUUAUAUUAUUUUCUUCUUAUUAUAUAGUUCAUAUCUCCAUAACUCUAAACUCCUAUAAUUUUUUUUAAAAUAUUUUUAAUUUAAAAUAUAAAUAUAAAAUAUAAAAUGGAGUGGGUAUAAAAAAACUUGUUAAAAGAAUAAUUCAUUUAAGUAUUUAACUGAAUUUAAAUUAAAAUAAGAAAUAAAUAAAUUUAUUUUUAUUAGUUAAGUAAUUUUCAAUUGUAAAAGAGCUUUAUGAGUAAUAUUAUUGAAAUAUGAUUAAAAUUCUUAUGAAUUAAACAUUUUCGUAUAAAUACUAGUGAUAAUUAUAGAGAAAAUGUGAUGAACCAAAGAAAACUUGAGUAUAAAUACUCCAAUGUAAUUUUACACAUGCAAAUUAUGAACCAAUGAUCUUUAGAGCAUCAUAAAAUUAUUUUGACACAACUAUUUAUUUUGAAAAACUGGUAACAAUGUUUAAAGUGGGAUUGAAAAGAUUAUGCUACUUAUAUAAGACAUGAUAUCAUUUAAGACGGCUUACAGAUUAUGAGAAAUAUAUUCAUCUUACAAAUAUUUAAUAUGUUAAUUAGACGGGUCUAGCUGCCUUUCACCCGCUGGAAGGUACAGCUUAUUUUGUCCUCUAGUGUUGUGGCCGUUGGAUAUUUGAGAAGUUGAUCUAUCGGUUCUUGUUCGGCAGCGUGAAAUUGAAUUUCAAUCAGCAACCAUUUCAUGAACUUUCAGGAGACAAUUAUCUACAAAAAAAAUUUUUUAAAAAAUAAUUUUUCGCUUUCAUCAACCGCCGCUGCCACCCACAACCCCUUAAUAUCAUCACCACCAUCCCAAUCCUUAGCCGCCAUCCACAAACUCUAACAACCACCAUGACUGCCAUCACAACCGCCACUCCUCACAACCCUAGCCACCCCUACAAAUGACUGUAUUUUACGUUUGAGCAUUAAUUGCCGGCAUGAUCUCUUAGACUUCUCUUGCAUUGAAUGAAUGGAUGAGUGCUAAUCCAUGCAAAGACUUCCAUGCAUGCACAAUGAAUGCUAAAUCUAAGGUAUAGCAAAAUGUCAGCAACCUUGGCCCAAAUUAUCAAGAUGGUUUGGUGGCUGCUAGAUUUGUUCAUCCGGAUUUUGGACCAUUUUCCUUGACAAUGAGAAAAGCUCCAAGAUGUGUAAUGUUAGUGAAUCAGAUGAAGCUGGAGCAGAGCAUGAUGUUGCUGUGUAGCUGGAGCAGAGCAUGAUGUUGCUAUGUAGCUGGUUGUAUCAGAUCAAAUCAUUAAGCUGACUUGUCAAAGUUAGUUAACUGGUUGAGCUGAUGUGUCAAGUUAGUUAUACAGCAAAUGGUUAUGUGUUGCAACAAUCUCGUGUGUGUGUUAAGAGAUUGUAGCUCAAUAUAAAUAUCAAUUGGUAAUCAUUAAACUGUAAGCUUGGAAUAAUAAGAAGAUCUAACAGUUUUCUUUGCAAAGCUUUUCUUUUAUUUUCUUUCAUUUUCUAGCCUACCAAACAAUAUAGAACUAAGUUUCUUUCAUGGUAUCAGAGCCAUAAAUGGCAAAUAUAGUUCAAAACAACAACUCUUUUAGUUUUGUUACACCAGUAAAGCUAGAUCAAAACAACUUCAUUCUGUGGCGCACACAAAUUUUAACUUCAAUCAAAGGAAACGGUUUGGAAGGGUUUAUCAAUGGCGAUCGAGAAUGUCCUGAGCAAUUUCUUUCUUCUGGAAACAACAAUGGAGCUGAAGUUUUAACUGAGUCUGGAUCCAGAUCUGUUAAUCCAGAAUUCGAAGCUUGGAUGAAGACUGACCAACUCUUACUGAGUUGGAUGAUGUCAUCGAUACAGCAAAAUCUGCUUGCUACUGUGAUUGAUUCUACAACUUCAAAACAGCUUUGGGAGACUCUUGCUAGUAUGUUCAUCUCUCAAUCACAAGCUAGAAUUCAAACACUUAGAAUGCAGAUUCAAACUAUUAAGAAAGGUGCCAUGCAUAUUUCUGAUUAUUUUGUUAAAGUAAAACGCAUAGCUGAUACUUUAGCUCUAGCUGGAAAACCUAUUGAGUUAAAUGAUCUUGUGAUGCAUAUAUUAACUGGUCUUGAUUCAUCAGACUAUGAAUCUUUAGUCACAGCUAUGUUAGCUCGAGGUGAAAAGAUCACAUUAGAUGAACUAUAUUCUUUGUUGUUGAAUCAUGAAAAUAGAGUUGAGCAAAAGAAAGGGAAAAUUGCUAGUGAUGUGAUGCAUAACAUGACAGCAAAUAUUGCUCAGAAAAAUUCAUAUGCUGGAAAGAAUAAUGGAAAUUUUCAGAAAAAUUAUGGAAAUAACUAUCGAAGAGGUAAUAAUUCUGGAUAUGGAGGUUCUAAUGGAUAUGGAUAUGGUCAGUUUAAUACUAGCAGUAAUUCCUCUGAAGUUGUUUGUCAAAUUUGCUUUAUACCUGGUCAUGCAGCAAAUAGAUGUAGGAAUAGGUACAACUCAUCCUUUGUUCCACAGAGGAAUCAUGGUAGAGGAAAUAUGAAUGGUGGCAGAGGUUUUAAUCAAGGGCAAUAUGGCAGAGGAAGAGUCUAUAAUGGUAAUAGUGGAAGAGGAUUUGGAGGUUUUGGUUCAAAUGCUGGUUUUGGACAAAAUGCUAGUUUUGGUCAUGCACCCAGGGGUUUUGGCUAUUAAGGAAAUAUAGUGUAUCCAGAUAGCAAUCCUUCUGCCUAUUACUCUUUCACUCCUGGAUCAUCUAAUUUUGUUGCUGGUCAAGGAAACAACAAUCCUGGACAGUCAAGUGCUUCAUCUUCCUCAGCUAUGUCUUUUUCACUCCCAGAAUACAUUUAAGAUCCUUCCUGGUACAUUGACAGUGGAGCAACAAAUCACAUUACUAAUGAUCUAGGUAAACUUCUAGAUUCACAAGCUUAUACUGGUACUGAAAAGUUAUUUGUUGGGGAUGGAAAUGCAUUAGCUAUUACACAUAUAGGAUCAGUUGUGCUAAACACUUCCAAUUCUCAAUCUUUAUUUCUUAACCAUGUUCUUCAUGUCCCUUUUAUUACUAAGAAUUUGCUUAGUAUCUCAAAAUUAUUGGCUGACAAUCCAGUUACUGUUGAAUUUCUUGGUGAUUUCUGUUUUAUAAAGGCCAAGAACACAAGGAAAAUUUUACUUGAAGGUGUUGCUAAAGGUGGCUUGUAUAGAGUCUCUUCACAUGCUGCUGCUCACUCAGUCUUUCUCAGUUCAGUUGGUCAAAACAAAAUUUAGUCUCUCUUUGCUUGGUCUCCUGUUUUUACUUCUGAAAAACCUUCUGUUGUUAGUUCUUAUAAACUCAAUAAAAAGUCAUGUAUGUCAGUUGUUGCAAAGGGUUUAACUGAUGUAAAUCUUCUGCAUAGAAGAUUAGGACACCCAGCCCCUUAUACUCUCAAAAUUAUUCUCAAAGCUUGUAACAACUUUACUGCUCUUAAUAAAGUUGAAAGUUUGAAAUUUUGUUCAGCAUGUCAAUAUGGAAAAAUCAUAUGCUGCAUUUUAAUUCAGUUGAAACAAAAACUUCAGCACCUUUAGAAUUGAUAUAUGCAGAUUUGUGGGGUCCUUCUCAUGUUUGUUCUACCCAAGGAUAUAACUACUACCUAUCAAUCCUAGAUGAUUACAGUAGGUUUACCUGGAUAUUCCCUUUAUCAGCAAAAUCUGAUGCUCUUGAAGUGUUUAAAAAUUUCAAAACAUUCAUUGAAAAGCAUCUUCAACUUUCAAUCAAAACUGUCCAAACAGACUGGGGAGGGGAGUUCAAAUCUUUUUCCUCAUUACUCACUACUUCUGGUAUCCAUUUUAGACACCCUUGUCCACAUAUUCAUCACCAAAAUGGAAGAAUUGAGAGGAAGCAUAGACACAUAGUUGAUGUAGGUCUGACUUUAUUAGCUCAAGCACAUUUACCACUCAAAUUUUGGUGGAAUGCAUUCCACACAGCUGUCUAUUUGAUAAACAGACUUCUCACUCCAGUUCUAAAUAGCAUUUCUCCCUUUCAAAAGUUGUUUCAUUAUCAACCAGAUUAUUCAACACUUAAAACUUUCGACUGUGCUUGUUAUCUAACACUCAGACCAUACAAUAGAUAUAAGUUUGAUUUCAGAACUGCUAGAUGUAUAUUCAUUGGCUAUAGUUCACAACACAAGGGAUAUAUGUGUCUUCAUUCUUCUAGAAGGGUCUAUAUUUCUAAUCAUUUCACUUUUGAUGAAAAUUCCUUUCCUUAUGAGUCUGGGGUAGAUUUUUCUUUAACUUCUUUAAGUUGUCAGUCCACUUCACACUCUGAGUCCUCUUUUCAGUCUUCCCCUUCUUCUGUUACUCAGUUACAAGCACCUUUAGCAGCAUCAUCAGCACUUCAACCAACUCACCCUGCUGAUCAUCAAUCUAAUGCUUCUACUCCUGUUUAUUUUUCUGAUAACUCCAACUCAGCUUCUCAUUUCUCAUCUUCUCAUUCUUCACCUCCACAUACAUUACCCCAACCUGUACCAUCUGGUCAUCCAAUGGUAACCAGAUCAAAAGUAGGUAUUUUCAAGCCAAAAGUUUAUUUGUCAGCCUUGUUAGCCCAGCAAUCAGAACCAACUUCUGUUUCCAAAGCACUCUCUGAUCCUAUGUGGUAUAAGGCUAUACAAGAAGAGUAUCUAGCACUUAAAGCUAAUCACACCUGGGAUUUGGUUUUACAUACUACUCCAGUGAAGAUAGUUGGUAACAAGUGGGUGUUUCGAAUUAAGUAUAACUCAGAUGGCUCGGUUUCAAGGCACAAAGCCAGACUUGUUGCUAAGGGGUUUCACCAGACACAUGGGGUUGAUUACACAGAAACCUUCAGUCCAGUGGUUAAGUCUUCAACUAUCAGAGUUAUUCUUAGCUUAGCAAUAUUGAAUCACUGGGUUAUUCGGCAAGUGGAUGUUAAUAAUGCCUUCCUCAAUGGCAUUUUAAUUGAAGAUGUGUACAUGGCUCAGCCUCAAGGUUUUGUUGAUUCAACUAAACCUAAUCAUGUUUGCAAGCUGAAUAAGGCUUUAUAUGGUUUAAAACAGGCUCCUAGAGCCUGGUUUGAUAGAUUUAAGGAUGCAAUGCUCUCCUAGUGGCAUUUUCAGCAUUCAAGGUCUGAUAACUCUCUCUUUUAUACCUGGAACAAUGGUCAUGUAACUAUUGUUUUAGUCUAUGUUGAUGAUAUUAUCAUCACUGGCUCAAGUCCAUCACUAAUUCAGCAAGCUAUUCAGAAUAUGCAUCAAACUUUUGCUUUAAAAGAUCUGGGGGAACUUAACUAUUUUUUGGGGAUUGAAGUCAGCAAGUCCUCCACAGGGGUUUCUUUGACACAAGCAAAGUAUAUUGCUGAUGUUCUGGAAAAACAUGGCAUGAUUGAUUGCAGUCCCGUGCCAACUCCCAUGUCUACAGGUUAUUACUCACCAAAGACUCAGGGGAGCCAAUUGACAAUGUCUCUCAAUACAGGAGUGUUAUAAGAGCUCUUCAGUAUGUUACUCUUACCAGACCUGACAUUGUUUUUUCUGUCAAUAAGUUAAGUCAGUUCCUUUCCGAUCCUAGAACUCAACAUUGGGAAGCAUGCAAAAGGUUAUUGAGGUACUUAAAAGGUACUAUCCAUCUUGGGCUACAAUUCUACAACCAAGGAGCUCUGCAAAUCCAUUGUUUUUCAGACUCUGAUUGGGCUUGUGAUCAUGAUGAUAGGAAGUUAGUAGCUGGCUUUGCUGUUUAUCUAGGUCCUAAUCUUGUUUCUUGGUAGUCCAAGAAGCAAGCUAUUGUUUCUAGAUCCAGCACAGAGGCUGAGUACAGAUCUCUUGCUCAUGCUGCUUUAGAGGUUACCUGGAUUAAGUCUUUACUUGGUGAACUUAGCGUCAACUUGAGCUCUACUCCUAUGAUGUGGUGUGAUAAUCAAGGAGCUAUUGCUUUAGCUUAUAAUCCAGUCUAUCAUGCUAAAACUAAGCAUGUUGAAUUGGAUAUCCAUUUCAUCCGAGAUAAAGUUACUGCUAAAGAAGUUGCAGUCUGCUAUGUGCCUAGUCAAGAUCAAACAGCAGAUGUGUUGACUAAAGCUCUCUCUUUCAAACAGUUUAGUUACUUCCAAAGUAAGCUGAAUGUUCAUCCUAAACAUUUCAGCUUGAGGGGGGGUGUUAGUGAAUCAGAUGAAGCUGGAGCAGAGCAUGAUGUUGCUGUGUAGCUGGAGCAGAGCAUGAUGUUGCUAUGUAGCUGGUUGUAUCAGAUCAAAUCAUUAAGCUGACUUGUCAAAGUUAGUUAGCUGGUUGAGCUGAUGUGUCAAGUUAGUUAUACAGCAAAUGGUUAUGUGUUGCAACAAUCUCGUGUGUGUGUUAAGAGAUUGUAGCUCAAUAUAAAUAUUAAUUGGUAGUCAUUAAACUGUAAGCUUGGAAUAAUAAAAAGAUCUAACGGUUUUCUUUGCAAAGCUUUUCUUUUAUUUUCUUUCAUUUUCUAGCCUACCAAACAAUAUAGAACUAAGUUUCUUUCAUGUAAAUUGAAGACUCACUGAACGCUCCAAGUUUCAGGUAACUCUUGUGUUGUGUGCUCGGAGUAUUCUCUAUUGUAUUUUUUUUGUUUGUUAUUUAUUUGACGUAUUGCUAGCAGAGAUCUUGGGUGGGAACCAGAAAUUCCCAACAAUUGUCAAUUGUUUUAAACUCUAUUCUGAACAGAGCAUAAAGGGACUCACUUAUCUAAUUUUGUCUUUUAUGCUUUAACUUCACUUGAUUUCAUCUUUUCCGUCACCUUUGUUAAAGUUGUAUAUGUUGGAGUAUUAGGUUCAUCAUAAGGAUCAUUUUAUGGCUAAGGAAGGAGCACACUUUAUCAGCUACACUCAAGUGUAGCAGAGAAUUUGGAUUCAAGACUGUUAGAAGGUUGUUACAGAUGCAAGGCUAUUGCUGUGUAAUUGUAAUGCUGCGUAGCACCGUAAGUAAGAAGAAAAGUGUCUAAGGUUGCCACGUGUUGUCUCAACGUCUGUGUGAAAACCGAUUUGUUUAAUCAAAAUCAUAAACACCAUUUUGAAAAUCCAUGGCCAUGGUCGUGAUGUGUCUUUAUCAAUCACGGAUACCAAAUUUAAUCAAAAUUAUCGAUUGUUUUAAAUUCUGUUUUUAACAGAGCAUGAAGAUGUCGCUUAUCUAGAUUUACUUUUUAUGCUUUGACUUCACUUAAUACAGCUUCUUCCUCCUUUAUCUGUAUGCCAUGCCGGCAAGUGUAUUGUACAGAUUUCUAGAGUAUUACCUGUCUAUUUUUUUCACCGAUGACGAAGCUAAUUAUUAGUAAUCAAUCUAAAGUCUACCUAUAAAUACAAUAGGUUGCUUAGGUGGCACCAAUAUCCUAACUUUAUGCCAUGUUUCUGGUGUGUCUUCACAAAUUCACCGAUACAAAUUAAUUUCUACCAAUAUUACCAAAUGAUUGUAUUUUACGUUUCUAUUUACUUGUAAUAAAGAUCUUCAAUUUUAUUGGUUACAAAAUUCUCUAGGAUUGCAUGUACAUUAUACUUUUAUAUACAUAUUUUCUUCUUUCUCAUUCGUUUUCUGGGUGAACAUAUUAUUUUCGUCAUCAUCUCUAUAACAAUGAAGUGAAAAUAGUCCUCAUUUAAAGUAUUGACAGCAAUGUUAUACUCAAUAUAACGCAUAAAGCACGCAUAAUUUAAUUAAUGGGGUAGCUGCUAGUACCUUCUUUAGAAGAGAAUUAUUGCAGCAAGGUAAUUGGAAGCUCAAAGAGUUUCCGUAUUAGCCGAAUCUAAGCGAUAAGUGUUUCCAUGUGAGCCAUAAUUUGGGAAAAAGACCAAUUCGAGUUAAAGAUCAGAAAACAGACACUGUCAACAAGCAUUAAUAUCAUUUGAUGCAUGAAAGACAGUUAGUCCCAUUUUUUUGUCCUGUUUACUUGAGUUGGGCAAUUUGCCGUCAACUUUUCUCAUCCACGUCAGGUAAUGUGGCUUUUAUUUGGUAUGAAAAAGCCAAUGCUUUACGAUAAAACUGUCACACACAUAUUAUCCAUCUGUAAUGUUCAAAUGACACUGAAGUAUUACCUAAAUUAGGCUUUCAAAAAUUCAUUUUCAAAAACCCAUGGUUGUGAUGUGUCUCUAUAAAUUAAGAUCUAUCUGUUACCAACUGUUUUAACUCUGUUCUGAACAGAGCUUGAAAGGGUACAUUCACUUAUCUAGUUAUGUUUUUUAGGCUCUCACUUUACUUGAUUCACCUUAUCCCUCUUUUGAAACAAUUGUUCACUGGCUGCACUCAGUUGACAAAAUAUUUUGGGAUUCAAGACUGUAGGUUGUUACGGAUGCAACUUGCAAGGCUGUUGCCAUGCUGGCAAGUGUGCUGCUAUAACAGAUUGUUGAGAUGGCACCAAAGAUUGUAAACUAAUUAGUACUGGAAAAUCAUGAGUUUGGUGAUGAAGAGGACCAAAAACAUUAUUUUAUUAUUUAAAAUAAGACUAUCAAUUAUUUCCAUGGUCAUCUUUUUUUUUAUUUAUUAAUUGGCCUAAAUAUUGUAUUUUUUGUCAGGAGUCUUGCAAUGUUGCUUAACACCGUAAGUAAGAAGAAACGUGUCUAAGGUUGCCACGUGUUGUCUCAACAUAUGUGUGAAAACUGAAUUAACCAGUUUGCGUUCGACAACAAAGGAAAAUACUUCUUGUUGCUGACCGGUUGAUAAGUAUUUCAAUACCUCCACCAAAAUCUUUAUAACACCCUUUUUAAUUUUAUUUUCUGAAAUACACUUAGUUUUUUAAAAAAGAGCUUUAUGAGAAAUUUUCAGUGUGUCAAAAGGCCUACUUAAUGGACUGGAUCCCGACUCAUUAAUUUUAUAACCCGACUUACAAUCCGACUCAUUAUUCACAGAGAUUAAUUUUCUAUUGCUUAAGGCACAAUAUUUACUAAGCAAUUUAUCGGCAAUAAAACAUGUAUAUUAUUGUGGUUUGUAAUAAAAUUGGAAGAAGACAUCACGUACGAAUUGGAUUUAUCCAAUGAAAUUUGAUUAACGAAACUGUAUGAAAAUAUAUCAAGAAAAUAGUAAAAAAAAAUGUUGUGUAAAUGCUGUAUAGGUGAUAUAUUACUUUUAUAAUCCAUCAAGGUACAUUUGAUUUUAAUGAUGAAACAAAUACAAAUAAAUCUAUGUGCGUCAAUGCUAGAUGGCUCCAUAUUAAACUUGUGAAGUAUAGAAAAUAAGCAGGAUUCGUAACAAAUAUUUUAGAUAAUACCACUGAAAAGUUAUAAAAAUAUUUUUUAAAAAAAGAAAUACAUGCUCGAGACACCACGACCGACGCGCACAAACUCACAUAUUUAUAUAUUAAUUGAGGUAAAAAAUGAUAUUCUGAGUAAUAUUGUUGACAUAUGAUUAAAAUUCUUUUUGAUGAAACAUUUUCGUAUAAAUACUAGUGAUAUUUGUAGAGAAAGUAGAAUGAAGUGAAAAAAACUUGAAUAUAAAUGCUCCAAUAUAAUUUUUCCCAUACAAAUUAUGAACUAGUGAACUUUAAAGCAUCAUAAAAUUGUUUCAACAUAAGUAAUUAGUUUGAAAAAUUGCCAAUAAUGUUUAAAGUGGGAACGAAAAGAUUAUACUAUAUGAGACACGAUAUUAUUUAAGACAGCUUACAAAUUGUGGGAAAUAUAUCGAUCUUACAAAUAAUAUUUAAUAAGUACAAAUUUCAAAUUAAAUAAUAAACCCUUAAUUUCCUUUUAAUCAUAAUUAUGAUCUUAAUAAUUAAAGUCAUUCAAUCUUAAUCACUUUUUUAUUUUUUUAAACUAUCUAAAUGACAUCGAAAACUCUACUCAAUAUUAAUUUAUUCGAAUGUUUUGUUUCAAAAAAAUUGAAAACUGUAAAUGAAACAAAUGCUUGCAAUCACAAAUGGCCUAAAAUAGGAUUUUUAUUUUUUAAUAUUGCAAUGUCUUUGAUCUUGAUAUUGGAAAUUUAUUUGUAACUUAUACCAAGUCUUCAAUUUUAUCAUAAUUAGUUUCUAAAGAUGCAUUUGCCAUACUGUGUAGUUGUAUUGUAUGAUGAUAUAUUACAUUAGGGUGCAUUGUAUUGAGCUGUAAUGCAAUACUAUUUUAUAUUAAUGUUAAAACUAAAUCAACAUUAUUUAAAUUUAUUAAUAUUUUAGGAUUUUAUUAGUAAUUUCUUAAAUUAAGUAUUAAAUAAUUAUUUUUAUAAUAUACAAACUAUUUAAUAAUAUUUUACUAUUAAAUAAUAAAAUAUUACAAUAUUAUGUUAUAUUAUUAAUAAUUAUUCUGUUAUAAUAUAAUUUAUUUUUAUAUAUUAGUUAUUAUAAUUUAGUAGAAUCAUAUUAUAAUAAUAUUAUAUUUUAAAAAUAUAAUACUAUAUAACUGUAUAAUAUAAUAUGAAUUAAUUUAUAAUUUAACAUUAAAUUAUAAAUUUAUUUUAUUUAUUAAUGUCAAAUAUAAUUGUCUAAUUUAAAUUUAGUUUUAAAUUUAGUAUUUUUUUAAAAAUAAACUAUUUAGUAAAAUUUAAAAAUAUAUUUUUAUUUAUUAAAUAAAACUAAAAUAUACUUUUAUGCAUUUAAAGUAAAAUUACUAAAAUGAUUUUAUAUAAUAAAGUAAAAUAAUGUAUUAUUAUUUAUUAAUUAAAUAUUUAGGUUUAUUAAUAUAAUAUAUUAUUAAUUAAAUUAAUGAAUAUUAAUUAAUAAUUUAAAUUUAUUAAAUAAUAAAAGUUAAAUGAUUAUAUUUAAAAUAUAAAUAGUAUUUUAAUGCAAUAAAACCUAAAUCCCACAUGUAUGCCACAUUUGUUAUACAGUGUAAUGCAACUAUAAAUUAUAAUUAUAUAAAAAUAAUAUUUUAAUACAAUAUAAUACAAGUAUAAUGCCACUUGAGAAAUUGAUAUUUUAAUCAUAAAAACCAAUAUAAUACAAUGAUUCUGUCCUCUUUAUUAUUUUUCUAAAUGCUUCCAUGGCAUAAUCUCAUUGGUCCAUUUUGUUUCACAGCUUAGAUUCAACUGCAAGAUUUUCAAUUUGAAGCAAGCUGUGGUCCACUGGCCGUGGCCAAACAAACAUGCCUCAUGAAGUCAUGGUGACUGAAUCAUCUCUUAUGUCAGAAUUUGAACUUAAACAAUUUGAACAUAGACUGUUUUUUGAUUGUCGAAGAUUCGCUUCAAAAAUUAGUAUUUUUUAGUGGAGUUUGGUUGUCUCGUAUCCUUCAAUUGUUGUUUGGUUAUGAAAAUAAUUUUUGAUUUUAGGGAAUUUCGAUUAUCUGGUUUAGUUUGAGUGCAAUUUCCUCUAUUUACGGUUUCAGUGUGACGGAUAAAUUGCAAUUUCGAAUUUUUGAUAAAAUUAAAAUUAAAAUUGGGCGGUUAUUAAUUAAUUGAUGGCUAGUGAUACUGCAACGGCGGCCGAAGCUCCGGAAGAAGCGGAGGCGGUGGAGGAGUAUGAUAGCGAUCCAGAUGAAGUGAAACACUCUCUCGUGAUGCGCAGAAUGGAAGCAAGCGAUGAUGAGUGUUAAGGAAGCUCAUGUUGCAGUCAAAGGAGCAGCUCAGUUAGCACGUGUGAAUCAAAGCACUCAUUUAAUGGAAAUUUUUCUAGAUGCUUCAAUGGCAGAAUCUCGUUGGUCUAUAACUCUCACGCCUUUGACUCAAGAUUCAAUUUCAAACCAACGCCGAACAAACAGUAUAAACCUUAAUAAGUCUGUGGCUCACCGAAUAAUAUCUCUUACGUCAGAAUUUAAACUUAAACAAAGCUACAUCCCACGUGUCCCCAACUUUCUUCAUAUUCCCAGAAAACCCCUACCAGAUCCAGAUAAUUACCUUCACUCUUCUCGUAUAAAUAGAGAAGAUGAUGAUUCCUACAAAGCCACGUAAGUCAAGUGAACGUUACGGCCAUGGGACGUUGGAAUUGGAUCAAACCACCGGAAUGUAAAGCAAAAUUAACCGAAUAGACUAAAUUAGAUCCAACCAUUUGAAUCGGUUGAGUGUCACUCAAAAAACAAAUAAAUAUAUAAAACAACACAAUUAUCAUAUUAAUGGGGUUCAGUGGAUGCUUCUUUUUUUUCAUUUUCAAUGAAUGCUUAAUAUGCAUUCAAUAUGAAAAACAAUCUGUCCCAUUGAGCACUGUUGAAGUCAUUGAAUGAAAAUGAAUACUUCUAUAAGAAACAAUCAUUCCCCUAUUUAUUUGACACGCAAAGAACUUUCUUACUCAGCUCGGCGGCCAAACCUUUAACAUUUGUUGAAAUUCAGUUAAUUGGUGAAUGUGACAUAACUCGAUAAAUCGUUUAAUUUGUAUAAUUGAUAAAAAUUUGAACUUCAAAUAAUAUAUGUUUUCAAUUUUAGAUAAUGGAUAUAUGUCAUGAUACUAUGAGCAAAUGAAGCGUCUGAUAGAAAACAUAAUGUUUGUAUUAGAAAUUUUAAGUGUGAAUCUAUUUACUGUUGGUUUUAUAUAUAAAAAAUUAGUUACCAACUUGUCUUGUUUCUCAUUUUGUUCAAUUUUCAUAAAUUUGACUAACGAUUAAUUGUGAGCGAAGAGUUUGUUGUAAAAAUAUGGUCUUCCAUUUACUAUAAAAAGAUUAGUGUGAUUUAAUUAUUUUUUCCUUUUGCUUCAUUUCUAGAAAAUUAUGAAUACUUUGGCAAAUAAGAUAAUUAAUUAUAAACAUCGUUUUCAAAAUCCAUGACCAUGGUUGUGAUGCGUCUUUGUAAAUAGCUAAUACAAAAUUAAUUUCUAUCAAAAUUACGGUAAUUACCAUUUGUUUUAAACUCUGUUCUGAACAGAGCAUGAAAAUACCACUUAUCUAGAUUUGCUUUUCAUGCUUUCACUUCACUUAAUCCAGCUUGUCCCUCCUUUGACUGUAUGCCGUGCUGGCAAGUGUGCUAUGCAGAUUACUGAGCUGACUAAUCAAUUUGAAGUGUACCAAUAAUAGAUUGGUGCCAGCUACUAACCUUAUGCCAUGUUAGUGCACAAUAACAGAUUGCUUAAGUUGGCUGGCACCAAUCUACUAACCCUAUGCCAUGUUUCUAAUGUGUCUAUAAAUUCACUAACACGUAUUAAUUUCUGCCAACAUUACCGAAUGAUUGUAUCGAUUUUUAAGCACGUAAACAUACCAGCUUUCUUUCUUUUACUCUCUAUUUCAUGUUUAUUCAAUUUCAAUCUUCUGCAAGUUUCUUUUACAUGCAUUUUUUCUUCUCUCUUUUGUUUUUUUGGUAAACAUAUUAUUUUAUCAUCUAUUACUAUAAGAAUGAAAUGAAAAUAGUCCUCAUUUAAAGUUUUGACAGCAAUGUUAUACUCAAUAUAACGUAUAAAGCACGCAUAAUUUAAUUAAUGGGGCUGCUAAUAUCUUCUUUAAAAGAGAAUUAUCGCAGCCACGUAGUUGGAAGCUCAAAGAGUUUCCAUAUUAGCCGAACCUAAGUGAUAAGCGUUUCCUUAUGAGCCAUGAUUUGGGGAAAAAAACCAAUUCAAGUUAAAGAUCAGAAAAGUGUGUCCCUCACGAAUACAAUAAUUCAAGCCACACAUUUAUCAAACGCAUGGCAGGGACGCUUCAACAUGUUGUCUCAUGGAAAGAAAUCCUUGUCUUUGACUUAAUACAAUGUUACAGAAAAAAUAUUGGGUGCUCCCACUGGCUGCUUUUAUUGAGUGGCAGAAUCAGAAUUUUAUUUCGGGUAAAAUCUCGUUUAGUCCCUAUAUUUUGAGGUUAGUGUCCGUUCAGUCCCUAUAUUUUUAAAAAUAUCUCAAAACAUCCCUGACAUUAAAUUAUUAGCACAUUUCCUCUUAUUUUUUGUUGCUUUUGGCUUAAUUUUUACAAUAUUACCCUCUUAUAAUAUUUUUUUUGGACAUUAGUAAAAAGAAAAAAAUUAAUUAUCAAUUUAAUCUCAAAAAAUAAAAUAGUAACAAAAUUAAUAUAUCAUACUUUUUUGUAACACACUACUGAGGAAUUAAUAUAAUAAUUUUUUUAUUACUAAUGUCCAAAAAAAAGGUAAUUUAAUUAUUUUAUUUUUGGGGUUAAAUUGAUAAUUUAAAUUUUUUUCUUUUUAUUAAUUUUAUAACAAGAAACAUUAUUGUAAGAGGGUAAUAUUAUAAAAGGAAGUCAAAAGAAACAAAAAGUAACAGCAUGGAUGUCAAUAAUUUAAGGGUAAGGAUGUUUUGAGGUAUUUAUAAAAAUAUAGGGACUAAAUGGGCACUAAUCUUAAAUUAUAUGGAUGAAACGAGCCUUUACCCUUUUAUUUCCAUGGUGGCAAUAAUGAUUAAACUGUAAACUUAAUUUGGUUGUGACAUGAAAAUAACGUUGUAAAUACUGGCUCUGCAUUUUAUAAAAUGCAGAUAUCUGUACUAGAAAAGAACUAUGACACACACACACACACACACACACACACACACACAUAUAAUCAUUCUCAGGUGCAGACGUCCGGAUUUUUUUUAAUGCAAACAAAUUUUUAAACCGUGCAAUUUUAAAGAAUUAGUUGUUGAAUAAACUAUAAAAUCAUGCUGUUUAGAAGAGUUAAAAGCUAACUCUCUUAUACCAUGCAGUUUUAAAGUGUGUCCGCAUAAAAAAAAAUGAGGACGCUCACACUAGAGAAGACUAUAUAUAUAUAUAUAUAUAUAUAUAUAUAUAUAGGUAUUCUCAUUUUAUUUUCAUGCGGAUACACUGUAAAACCGUAGGGUUUAAAAGAGUUGGUUAAUUUUUAACUCUUUUAAACUGCAUGGAUUAAAAGUGUGUCCACAUUAAGAAAAAUAUGGACAUCCGCACCCGAUAAUGAUUAUAUAUAUAUAAUAGUUUUUUGGUCCGGAAUUUUAAAGUGCGGGAAAGGUUAGGGAAAUCUUUAAAACCACAGAAUUUUAAAGGCUUAAAACUUGAAGCACUUAAACUGCACAUUUUAUGCAUUUUCCCGGACGUCCCCGUAAUUUAAAAUUCUAGAUUAUAUAUAUAUAUAUAUAUAAAGUUUUUUUUUCAAUUAACUAUUAUACCAUAUGAUUAAUAGCUGAUCCACACGAAAUUUACAUUUAGGCAAUUACUAUCAAAUAUCGAUACGUGUUUGAAUAAACUCUUAAAAAUCGAUUUCCACCUUCAUUAUUACAGCCCUUGUAUAAACUAACGCGGCAACAUAUAAUCAGUUGGUAAAAGAAUAAAUAUAUGUCAAGUGGGUUCUACCAUGUUUUUAAUUCAACGAAUGACAAUAUGCCACCUCGAUUUAUACAAUAAUAUUUAUGACUAUAUCAUUACUCAUUAAUUAAUAGGAACACUAAUUUAUUUUCUUAAAAGAGAAUUCAUCAAUUUGUACAAUAGUAUUUUUACAAAAGUAUUUGUGACUGUAUCAAUACUUGUUAGCUAUUAAUAGACCACUAAUUUAUUCUUCUUAAAAGAGAAUUACUGCAGCAAGUUUGGAGGCACAAAGAUUUCCCAUAUUAGCCAAACAUAAGAGAUAAAGAGUUCAUAUGAGAGGUAAUUUGGAAAAUCAAUUCCAUGCAAUAGGUCUUAGUGGGUUCGACUCAGUAUACGAUUAUUUUCAAAUUUUUAACGUAUUAAAGAUUCCUAUAUCACAUUAUAAUUUUCAAACAAUCAAAAUGAGUCAAAUCAAAUUUAGAACUUUGAGGUCUACUAUAGACUUGGACGUAUUAAAUUUAAGACAAUUAAGCAAAUCCUAGACAAAAUCUAACUUGUAAAUAUACCUUACCACACGAUGAACGUACUGAUAAAUCUUAACUGAUUGCUCACCAAUUAAUUGUUAUUUUGCAAUUUUUAUGUAUCCUUUUUUUCCCUAAAACUUCUAGUUUCCUAACAUACGGUUCUCAAUUGGUCUAAUUAUACUGUAAAUUGUAUUUUAAAUAUAAAUAAAAUGAAUUUAUUUAAUGGAAAUUUGAAAAAGGGACACUUAUCUACGAAAGCAAAGUUGCAUUCUCUUUGUGGGGACCCUAAAAAAAAAAAACGAGCCAGAAUGAUACUCCGAUGACGAUAAUCCUUAAGCUUAAGCAUUAAUUUUCUUUGCUUACAAUUUGGUUUGAAGGGUUAAGUUCAAGUUCGAAUUGAUAGAAAGAAUGGGCUGGUCAGUAUGAUGAUGAUGAUGAAGAAGAAGAAGAGGGGGAUGUCUUUGAGGAUGAAGAGAAAGAAAGUUCUAAAAAAAAAAAUACAGAUUUGUGGAAAUUAAAUUAAAAGCAACUAAUUAAGCAUUAUAAAUUACUUAACAGAGUAAUGCUGAGCUAAUCAAGUUUGUUUUUGAAGAAGGUAUCUUUAAAUCUCUUGGAGUUAAAGAUAAUUAUCAUAUCGCCAUAUCAAACGGACCGAUUAAAAAAUAAACUUAAAUAUUAUUUAAAAUCAUUUAAAUUUAACUUAAUAUAAUCCAAUAUAGACAAUACUAUAUAUAAUCUAGUCUAAUCCAAUUCAAUUGUAAUAAAUAAUACAAUCCAAUCUUGCGAGACAAAAUUGGCCUAAGGGUACCAAUUGCGCAAUAAUCUUUAUAGCCCGUUUCCCAGCCACGCACCCUUUUGUAUUAGUAUUCUCACAGCCGUUGGAAAUAUGGUUCGUAAUCCAAUAAAUGACAUUUUAUGGCUGUUGCUUGCUAGUUUUUGUAAGGUGGCCAAGGCCUUUUAUCAAACACUAUAGGAUCAACUAGUACAAAAUGAAUUCAUUUGGGAUGCGUUUAACGUACUGUGUUAGCUAUAUGCCUAUUAUGAUGUAUUGCAUUAACAUGCAUUAUAUUAAGUUAUAAUGUUAUACUUUGAUAUAGUAUAAACUGUAUUAUAUAAGGUAAUGUUUUAUAUUAAUGUUAAAACUAAAUUAAUAUUAUUUAAAUUUAUUAAUAUUUUAGGAUUUUAUUAUUAAUUUUUUUAAUUAAGUAUUAAAAAUUAUUUUAUAGUAUAUAAAUGAGUUAAUAAUAUAUUAUUAUUAAAUGAUAAAAUACUAAAGUACUAUGUUAUAUUAUUAAAAAUUAUUAUAUUAUAAUAUAAUUUAUUUCUAGAUAUUAAUUAUUAUAAUAUAGUAUAAUCAUAUAAUAAUAUAAUAUAAGUUAAUAUUAUAUUGUAAAAAUAUAAUACUGUACAAUUAUUUAAUAUAAUGUAAAUUAAUUUAUAAUAUAAUAUUAAAUUAUAAAUUGAUUAAAUUAAAUUAAAAUACUUUUUACGUAUUUAAAGUAAAAUAAUUAAAAUAAUUUAUGUAAUAGAAGUAUGAUAAUGUAUUAUCAUUUUCUCAUUAAAUAUUUUAGGUUUGUUAAUUUGUUAAAUUAUUAUUGAAAUUAAAAUUAAUUGUUUAAAUGUAAAUAUAAAUAUAAAUGAAUGCUUAAUAAAAUCUACUCCUAUGGAUCUAUUUUAUACACUUUUUAUUCUAUGAACCACGCUUAUAAUGUAGUUGUAUAAUAGAAACUGGAUAUUUAAUGGAAGCAAAAUUGCGCACGGUUUGUGGGUCUGUCAAAAAAUGAUAAAAAGACCAAUAUGAUACACUGACUCUGUCCUCUUUAAUAUUUUUCUAGAUGCUUCCGUGGCAUAAUCUCAUUGGUCCAUUUUUCUUCACGGCUUAGAUUCAACUUCAAAAAUCAAUUUGAAGCAAACACAACAAUUCAACAAAUAUAAUUAGUGUAGAGUGUUCUGAUUUAUUCUAUAAGUAGCUCAUUUGUGCUUAAAACCUACAUGUAUUGCACGUUUCUAUCGGUAAUUUGAUUACCUUUCCGUACUUUAUCAAUUAUUGAAUGAUUUUACCGGUUUAAUCGCUUGAUUGUUUGAGUAUAAUCGGUAAUUUGAUCGUCUGUCAGCAAGUGAUUUACAAUUCACUCUCCAAUUUUCAUUAAUUUAGUGUAGCCAAGCUUUAACUAGAUAGGUAGAUAACGUGGUCAUGAAAACUUGAUUAAGAGUUUAAUGCAAUCAAAUCUACUUUAAUGAUUAUUUAAUGCACGGAGAUUUAACAUCAAUUAUCAUCACGUUAUUCUAACAACGAAAUUGUAGAGCUUGGAUCUUUACUCGAACAGUUUCACUGGCACUAUUUCUGACACAUUGGGCAAGCUGAAGGAAUUGCAAUUCCUGUAUGAUCAUUUCCCCAACUAUUAUUUGAAUAAUUAUUUAAUGCCGUUCAUUCCAGCUCUGUUUGGCUGUUAACUUUAUUUUGUUAUUUAUGAGGAGAUUCAUUUCUCACCUGAAGCUAGAAAAUUUAUUGUAAUACAUGGAAGUAUAUAUUGCAUUGAAUAAAAUGAAAUUGUUCAAAAAUUAACAAAUUCAGCUUUAUUAUAAUCUAAAACAAAGUAAAUAGAAUAAUACCCAUCAUGUGUAAAAAUAAAAAAUAAAAUUUUUUAUACCACUUGGAAUUUAUUUUAAAUGUUUUGGUCAAAUCUAAGAAGCACAAACUUUGAACAAUGAUAAUAGGUAAAAACUAAUAAUCUUAUAAUAAAAAGUAAGAAAAAAAAUCAAGUUGAUUUAGCAGCUAAGAAUAAAAAAAGAAAAAUAGAAAGAGAGAGAAAUUAGUUUAGUCUUUAACCAUUGUUAUACUAGAGAAAAAAAAUUAAUUAAGAGUAAUUUUAUGAAUUUUUAGAAAUGAGUGAAUUUAAAAUAAUAAAUUAUAAUUUAAUAAUUAUCUUAAUUAAAAAAAUGGGUGUUGAAAUAAAAUUAGUGAAUGACUCUUUAUUUUACGGAUCAAUGACUCUUUAUUUUUUCUUUUAUAUGAUAGCUUGCAAUCCCUGGUGUGUGUUGAUAGUGCCAUACAUAAAUACAAAAAUGAACAAUUUUUUUUUUUUUUUGGGGGGCCAAUUGCAGUUUUGAUAACUAAAAUCUGUGUGGUCCGGUUACCACAAAGGCUUGCCGCAGAUCCCUGCCAUUUUCUCCUCCACCUCCAUUUGGGGAAAUUACUACUUACUUUUUGCAAGUUUUUCUUGAAAUAUUUAUUCUGAUAAGAAAACCAAUAAUACAUUUUAAGAUUUGGGCUGUUUCAAAGAUCUUCCCUUGAUGUCUCUGCUACUGAUGAUAUAUUGGGAUCGACUUUUUUUAUGAAAUAGGAGUUAGACCGAACAACGUUAUAUUUUUUACGGACUCUCAUACCAUGGAAAAACUCAGCCUUAAAGAAUGGUAUGAUGCUUUGAUAUAUGAAGUAAUUGGUAUAUAUUUUGUACCUUCCAUACACGGUGUCUAGAAUUUUGAGAUUAAGAAGAGUAUAAAUGCUAUACAAAUACACUCCUUUCAUUUUAUACAACUUUGAUUGAUCAAGUUGUAUCUCUUUGAUAAUAUGUUCUAUCUUCUUUCAUUUUAAACUUCAAUUGAGUUGCUAUCUAUUUAACUUUGGCAAGUCAGAGAGAGGGAUGGGACUGUCCAAUUAAAAUUAAGUUCCAAUUGCCAAUCCCACCAUUGUUGUCUCAUGUUUGCCAAAUUCAAAUUUGAAAAUCUCACCAAGUCAGUAUGGUGAUGUUGUGGGAUUGUCUCGCCUAGGUUUUUAGCCUCAUGACCUCCUUUAUUAGAAAAAGUCUUAAGUGUUCUUACUCAAUGGUAGAAUCAUGAUUUUACUUCAAUGGAAGCCAUAAUGAUUAAAAUAUACUCUUUUGAUUAAUUACUUAUUUGAUGUUGCUCUCUCUACCAUCAUCUCCAUCUUUAUGAAAAAAUUUAUUGUAAUACAUGGAAGUAUAUAUUGCAUUGAAUAAAAUGAAAUUGUUCAAAAAUUAACAAAUUCAGCUUUAUUAUAAUCUAAAACAAAGUAAAUAGAAUAAUACCCAUCAUGUAAAAAUAAAAAAAAAUAAAAAUUUAUACCACUUUGAAUUUAUUUUAAAUGUUUGGUCAAAUCUCAGAAGCACAAACUUUCAACAAUGAUAAUAGGUAAAAACUGAUAAUCUUAUAAUAAAAAGCGAGAAAAAAAAUAAAGUUGAUUUAGCAGGUAAGAAUAAAAAAAGAAAAAUAGAAAGAGAGAGAAAUUAGUUUAGGCUCUAACCAUUGUUAUAGUAGAGAAAAAAAAAUUAAUCAAGAGUACUUUUAUGACUUUUUAGAAAAGAGUGAAUUAAAAUAAUAAGUUAUAAUUUGAUAAUUAUCUUAAUUAAAAAAAUAGGGGUUGAAAUAAAAUUAGUGAAUUUAAAUAGCCUGCCCAAAAUCCAAACUUGCAUAUCAAUUAUUUUCUAAUUUACAUAAAGUUUUUCUAUAUGUUUGAUAACAUUUGAUUCUCAAUUGGUCUAAUGGAGAAACAACCAGCAAAAAAAUAAAAUGAAUGAAAUUAAAUGGAAUUUUGAAAAGAGCAGUAGAUGACAUUUAUGUGCAAGCAAAAUGCAAAAUUGCAUUCUGUUUGUGGGAUCCUGGAAAAAAUAAAAGAAAGAAAACAGAGUAAGACGCUGGUACUGUGGGCUUUAAUAUUUUUCUAGAUGCUUCAAUGGCAGAUUCUCGUUGGUUCAUUUUUCUUUACGCCUUAGAUUCUAUGAUUCAAUUUCAAUCAAAUAAGACAAACAAAAGAAGCUUUUAAGCCUGCAGCUCAAAAAGAUGGCACUUUAAUUUUCGGCUGAACAUACAUAUGGCAAGAUUAUUAUUAUUGAGCUUGAUAAGUGGGGAUAGCAAAAUCCGAAUUCGGAUGUAGGUGCAUUCGGAUUUGGAUUCGGGAAAAAUUAUGUGGAUGUGGAUUUGGAUGCGGGUAAUAUCUGCACGAAUUGCGGGUGAAUAUUCUAAAUAUUUAGAUCCGCAUAAUAAUAAAUUUAAUUUUAAUUUUAAUAAUUUACAUAAUAAUAUUAAAUAUAAUAUAAUUAUACUUUAACAAUCAUUAAUUUAACAUCAAUUCAACAUAAAUACCAUACAACAACACCAUAAAUUCACAAACAAUAAUUUCACAAUAUAAAUCAAACAUAAAAAAUAAAAAUAAAAAUCUAUGGUAAACCGAUUUAUUACAAUAUUCUCUAAUUAUUAUUAUUAUUAUUAUUAUUUGUUUUUUAAUAUAUUCAUAGUUAAUGAAGAUUAUAGAGUUAAUUAUGCUUAUACAUUUAUAUAAAUAAUUUAAUUUAUAUAUUUUCAAUUGAAAUUUAAUUAAAUAAAUAAUUUAAUUAUAAAAUAAUGCAGAUCCGGAUAUCUAAUUUUUCGGAUGUAAAUGCAUCCGGAUCCGUACGGAUCUUAAUUUUUAAGAUUCGGAUUCUUUUUUUUUAACAUACAGAUUUAAAUUUUUUUGAAUUCGGAUCUUCUGAAUCUUUGCAGAUCCAGAGUUUAUUGCCAACCCUAAAUUGAUAAGGCUAUAGAAAAUUCAAUAUCCAGAUCGGAUAAGGAUCCAAUAAAUUAUAAAAUAUUGCGGCUCAAAGCCCAUAUGAUCAUGGGCCACCGCUUGCUCAUGCUUUGAAUCAAAAUUUUCUAAUGAAGUGAGGUUGGAAGCUAAAAGGGGCAAAUGAUGAAAUGGGGUUCAUCAUAUAUUGAGCCCAACGGGACAAGAUCAUCAUUUAAUUCCCUCCUCUUGUCGAUAGAUAUUUGCCGAAUUUUUUCAUUUAAAAAAUAUUAUAUUGGUUAAUAGAAUUUGAAGUUUUACAAAAUAUAAGUUUAAUUUAAAAAAAAAUUAUGUUUGUUAAUUUAAAAUUUUCAUUUGGUGGUUGUGUUUGAGAAAAAAUUUAGGUAUACUCGGAUAUACUCUCUUAUUAUUCAUUGAAUUUGGGUAUUUAAACAUACUAGUAUGUAGUAUUUUUAGGUAAUUAGCAGAGAAGUAUACGUGACAAAAAUAUAACACGUGAAACAAUACACAAUGAAAUUAUCUACAAUUUUCCAUUGACUUAGUCAACUCUUCAUUAAUUUCAUUGACUUGAUCAACUCAUGAUCUAACUUGACAACUUAAAAAUUAAAUUAUGCUAGUAAUUCCGUAAAAUUAAAAUUUAUCUCCCAAAAUUGAUAAAUACCAUGUCACUUUGUCAAAUUACUUAGGGUAAAAACUCUGUGGCUAAAAACUUUUAACAUUAGUUGUAUGCUAAUUGAGAAGGACAAGACACAAAAGAAUUAAAUUAAUGCCACAUCAUGCAACACUAACACUACUUACUCUUAACAAAUUCUUACAAACGUGAUUCAUGAAAUUAACUUGACUUUUUGUCUAAAAAAGGCCUAAAGAAUCAUGCCAAGCAACAAAUAAAGUAGUCCAAACGUGAUUCAUGAAACUUGAUAGGCACUAUCUAAAUAGUAUUAAUAUGGCCACCAAAAACAUGCGCGCAAAAUAGACUUUCUUGGACGAUCCAUGCCAAUCAGCAAAUAAAGUAGUCCGAACGUGAUUCGUGAAACUUGACUUCUUGUCUAAAAAUGCCUAAAGAAACAAGACCACAAUUUCCAUGCAAUAUCAAUAUGGUGGCCACAAUGCACUUUUUAAGCCAUUUUUCAAAACUAAGUUUCUUCGUUUCACAUGCACUAUUCAAGCAAUUUUUCAACAUUUUCUCCUUCCCCUAAAAGCUACAUGCAUGAAUCAUGUCCCAAUCAAUUUCUUGGCAAAAAUUGGAACGCAAGAACCGAUUGGAGCAUAAGGACAAUGUCACGAUUCAAGAUUCUCAGCAAGACCACGUCACAAUGCAUCACUUUUGGAAAGUAAUCUAGCAAUUUCCAAUGCCUUAGCUGAUUAAUGGCUUGACCAUGUCACGAUUGGUCCACAUUAUGCACAUGGCAAGAUCAAACAAAAUAUCACAGCUAGCUCGACGACUACUAGCCAAAAUAACAAGACAAUGACGGCCAGUUACAAACUCUUUACGAAGGAAAUACCGAAAUAUGAAUUUCCCUCCUAAUCACUUUCUUAUAUUAUCAUUAUUUUGUACAUAUAACAGAACACGUUCUCUCUUGUAAAGAAGUCAACAAAACGGUUUUAGUUUUCAUAUCAAUAAUAGAAUCCAAAAUCUUUCACAGCUUGCUUCUCCUUUGGACGCUUGAAAGACUUUCUUACCUGGCUAAAACUGUGAAAAUUGUUCAAACUAAUUUGAUUGAUAACUUUCUGACACUAUAAUGUAUUAUUUAUAUGAAGGCUACAUUUAAAUGUGAAAUAAAAAUGAGUGUUUAUAUUAAAAAACAAUCAGUCUCAUUGCGUCCUCUUUCAUUGACAUAGGCAGUUUGCGGUCAACCCUUUAUUAGGUCAUGACUGUCCGAUUGUCUUCGCUUUCAUUGACUUCGCAACUGUGAAUUCUAAGCCGGGUUAACGAUUGACAAAAUGUUAUAACCCAUAAAGCACGGAUAAUUAAUUAAUGGGCCACUGAUUUCUUCUUUAAAGGCUAAUUCUUGGUAAAGAUCAGAAAGUUCUCAAAUAAAAAUUCGGCUUUGUGGAAAUUAAAUUAAAAGCAAUUAAGCAUUAUAAAUUACUUAACAGCUUAAUCGAGUUUGGUUUUGAAAAAUAUAUCCUUAAAUCUCUUGUAAUUAAAGAUAAUUAUCAUAUUACCGUCUCAAAUGGACCGAUUUCAAUCAAAUGAAAUCUAGAAAAUUGAGCAGCUCAUUGAUGUAUUUGGUCGAAUUGUGACUUGUGUCAGAGUCUUCGUUUUAGAAGAGUGCACAGCAGCUGCCAGGUCCACUCGGCAGUUGGCAGCAAAUUAUCUAACACCACUUUACUAUCAAAAUUUUUUGACAAUAAUUUUUUGUCACUUAAUAUUUCAAUUUUUAUCAUUUUAUCAUCAAAAAAUAGUAAAUGCAUGUUUAGUGUAAGUUAUCCACAAACAUGGUUGUUGAAUUGUCUUGUUUCUCAUUUGGUUUAAUUUUCAUAAAUUCGACUCACACAAUUCAAUUAUGAGUGGAGUUUUUUUGGAAAAAAUCUGGUCUUCCAUUUACUAGAACCAGGUCUGAAUGAUUUUAUUAUUUUUCUUUUGUUUGAAAUAUACGUGGAAAAUGUUGAACACUUUGUAGGAUUUAGAAGAAUUUGAAAGUUUGAAUGCAUAUAGUUUACUAUCCAUCAGCUAGUGCAUAUUCUGUAUUUUAUGAAAUCAAAGCUGGUUGAUUGAGAAAUGGACCUUAUUACAUGUCAUAAGAUUUUACAGUGCUUUCUAAUGGGGCAAAAUAAAAUGAUUCUUAUCUGCACAGAAAAUUAGAAACGAAAAGGAGGGUUACUGAUCCACAGAGUUGUUAUUUACGAGAAGCACAUGGAUAUUACACUUAAUUUAUUAUCCAUCUGUAUUGUUUAGAUGACACUGAAGUAUUACCUAAAUUUAUUAUCCACAAAACUUCUUUUUCAAAAAUCUAUGGUUGUGAUGCGUCUCUAUAAACUCACUCGUACAAAUUCUAUCUAAUGCCAAUUGUUUUAAACCCUGCUCUGAAGAGAGCAUGAAAGGAUAUGUUCACUUAUCUAGUUAUGUUUUUUAUGCUUUCACUUCACUUGAUUAUAUCCAUCACAAGGAUCAUAUUAUAUCCUACGGAAGGAGCACAGUUCAUUGGCUGCACUCAGUUUACAGAGUAUUUCGGGAUUCAAGACUGUAGGUUGUUGCGGUUGCAACUUGCAAGGCUGUAGCUGUGUGACUGUAUGCCACGCUGGCAAGUGUGCUCUGACGGAUUGUGGAGAUGGCGCCAAAGAUUGUAAACUAAUUAGUACUGAAAAAUCCUAUUUGCACAUAAAAUUGCACAAAAUAAAUAGAAUGAGAAUAAUUGUACAAAGAAAUAAGAUUAAUAAAGUAAAUAAAUUUAUCUUUUAACAAAAUAUUUCUAGUCUUUUAGUGUUUUUGUGUACGUACAAGUAGCAUUACUCAUUCUAAUAAGUAGCUCACUUGAGCCUAGGACUUGUAACUAUGUUUUACCUUUCUGUAACUUUCUUAUAAAGAUUUUUUUUUUUUUUACAUUUUCAAUUUCUCUUCCAUUUUCCCGACUCCCAACACCACCAAUCCUCGGUUUUCUAGAGUAUCAGCUAUCUCUUUCUACAAACACAAAACUGCUAUUUACUUUCAAGAAACAACGUAUUCUGUGGUUUAUUGGCUUGAGCCUUGUGAACCGGGCUAAUGUUGGUCUAACUACUUUCACGAAACAACGUACUCCGUGGUUUAUUGACGCGCACGGUAGCUGCUAAGUGCUAACUGCCUUCUCCAUUUGACGUGCAAAACACUUUCUUGAGUCGGGUUAAAAUUAAUUGAUCAUUUUAUUUGGUGAUAAUGACUUAGUUGUCAAGUCAUGAGUUUGAUGAUGAAGAGGAUGAAAAAUAUUAUUUUAUUAUUUAAAAUAAGACUAUCAAUUAUUUCCAUGGUCAUCUUAUUUUCUAAAAUAACUAAAUGGAAUCUCACAGAAUUAAAGUGCUUGACUUCUUCAUACAGUGGUUGACUUCUUUUUACAGAAUUAUAAAGUGAAAAAGGAAAUUAAGAAAUUAAAUACUUUUCAUGCGAGUGGAGAAGAUUGGGUAGCGAUUACAUGAAAUAAAAGAAAAAUAAUUUAAAAGUACAACACUUUAAUAAUCUCAUUCCCAAUCAUAUCGGUAUAAAAAUUCUGUAGAUUUAUUGAAUAACUAUUGAUUUUACUUUGGUAAUUUCUUUCUAAAAGUGAGGUAAACAUUUUUAUUUUCUUUGCAUUCGAGCUUUCUUUCUUUUGCGCUGGCCUUCACACUCUUGACCGUAUUUCAUGGGGCACAUUCAAUCUCAAUCUACUGCAAGUUUGUGGCAGUUUUGUUAAUAACGAACAUUUGUAGGAUUUUAUGUAGAUGAUACUUUUACAUACAUUUUUCUUUUCUUUUUUUCUUCGGUGAACAAAUUAAAAAUUUAGUUUUUGUCAUCAUGACUAGUGAAAUGAAAAUUGUCCUCAUUUCAAGGAUUGACAAAAACGUUGUGCUCAUACCGAUUAAUGGGGAACUGAUUUCGUCUUCUUAAAAGAGAAUUAUUUGCAGCGCCGUAAUUCGGAGAUUUCUGUAUUAUAUAGCCAAACCUAAGUGAUAAGAAUUUCCAUAUGAGAUAUAAUUUGGAGGGAAACAAAAAACUAAUUCAAGUUAAAGACCAGGAAUUUGUGUUCCUCACAAAAACACUUCAACGUCUAUUCUCUCAUAGAGGGGAAUAUCCUUCACUCUUUGACGUAUCCCUGGGGCAAUGUAAGUUGACUUUACAUUAAAACAAAAAAUAAUUACAAUCACAUAAUUACAAUUAUCAUCACUGAUUUGUAUAAUUUUCAGGACUAGUAAAUUAUCUCAAUUUUUAAAAAACAUAAUUACAAUUAUCGAUCGAACACCACUAAUUCCAACAAUUCAUCCAAGUUUUUCAACUUUUUAGAUAUUUGAUAUAUGUCAUGUUUUAACUUAGUACGAGAAAAAAAAUAUAGAAUAAUUUUUUUUCAAAUUAGUGGAAUUAUUUUACGAUAAAACUAUCACAAUCACAUUGAAAAAUAUUCUUUAAAUUUUCACUAUUUCUACUGUUAUUCUUUAACCUUUUUUCUGAACAGAGCAUGGAGGGUUGCUUAUCUAAAUAUGUUUUCUGUGCUUUCACUUCACUUGAUUCAUCUUGUCCCUCUUUCAUAGCUUCUAUCUCGUGUGAGCUUAGAACCUGCAACUCGUAUUUUACGUUUCUGUUACUUUCUCUUUCAUUUUCCCGACUCCCAAACACCAUCAGUCCUUGAUGUUAUAGAGUAUUAGCUGUCUAUUUGUACAGACAUAGAGCUACUGUUCCCACUGUAGAUCUUCAGAUGGUUAGCUCACUAUUGUUUGAAUAUUAAAAUUAAUUUGUUAAAUAAAUAAAGAAAACAAGAGACAAUUGCCAUAUAUAUUCCAUAUUAAUUAGUCACCGUCCGAUUGUCUCCACUUCCAUUGACUCUGUUGAUUCAUGCUUUCAUGAAGUGAAACGUUUAACACUCUGUUCUGAUCCGCAGGAGAGGAGGAAAAACAUAAUUUUAUUAUUUCAUUCCUGACACGCGCAAAGAGCUUUCUUAAUUGAUGAAUGUGACAUGAAGCUCUAUAAAUAGUUUAAUUUGUAAAAUUGUUAAAAUUUGUUAAAUUUCAUUUAAUUGAUGAAUGUGACAUGAAGCUCUAUAAAUAGUUUAAUUUGAAAAAUUGUUAAAAAUUUAAAUUUCAAGUAAGGUAGAUAAAAUGAUUAAAUUUUUUCAAUAUUUAGAAAAUUAACAUGUGUCAUGUAACUAUGAGUGAAUGAAUGAAAUUUUUGAAGUGCGAAUCCAUUUACAAGUUACGACUUGUCUUGUUUCUCAUUUUACUUAAUUUUCAUAAAUUUGACUCACGAUCAAUUAUGAGUGAAGAGUUUGUUGGAAAAAUAUGGUCUUCCAUUUAUUGUAAUCAGAUGAGUGUGAUUUAAUUAUUUUUUCCUUUUGCUUGAUGUCCCGAAAAUUAUGAAUGCUUUUGUAGGAUGCAGAAGAUUAAAAAUUUUAAUGCAUAUCUAUAGUCAAAACUGAGGAAACAGAACAUUACUGCUUCUAUAAAUAGGUCAUUUCAACCUAAAACUUGUUACUUGUAUUUUACAUUUUUUUUUUUUAACUUUUUCUUCCAUUUUCCCAAACACCACCAAUCCUUGAUUCUUUUCCUAGAGUAUUAGCUGUCGAUUGUUACAAACAUAGACAUAUUGUUUGUCUAAUUACUAUCAAGAAACAACAUACUCUAUCCUGGGGUCUCUUCGUUUAUUUAAUAUUUAGGUUUAUUAAUAUACUAUAUUAUUAAUUAAUAAUUUAAAUUAAUUAAAUAAUAAAAGUUAAAUGAUUAUAUUGAAAAUCCAAGUAGUAUUUUAAUGUAAUGAAACCUAAAUCCCACCUCUAUACCACAUUUGUUAUACAAUGUAAUGCAACUAUAAAUUAUAAUUAUAUAAAAAUAAUAUUUUAAUACAAUAUAAUACAAAUUACAAGUGUAAGGCUGUAAUAUUAAUUAGCCUGUGUAAUAGUAUGCCAUGCUGGCAAGUGUGCUAUAACAGAUUGUCGAGCUGGCACCAAUUAUUUUAAACUAAUAUUAGUAAUUAGUCUAGAGUGUUCUGAUUUAUUCUAUUAAUAGCCCAUUUAAGCUUUGAACAUGUGAACUUGUAACGUGUACUGUACUUUUCUAUUACUUCUAAUAAAGAUUUUCUCUAUUCCUUUUUCUUCACUUUCUCUUCCGUUUUCCCGACCCUCAAACACCGUCAAUCCUUGAUUUGAACUGCUGUUUGUUUGUCUAAUUACUUUCAAGAACAAUACCCUCCAUCCCACGGUCUCUUCGUUUAUUGACUUGUUACUUGUGAACAGGGCUAAAUAAAGGGAAAAUACAACAAUUCAAGCCAGCCAUUUAUCAAACGCAUGACAGAGACGCUUCAACAGGUUGUCUCAUGGAAAGAAAUCCUUCAGUCUCUGACGUAAUACUUGGGGCAACGUAAAUUGACUUUACAUUGAACGAAACACUGGCCACAAACAUUAUCAAAAUUAAAUUGAUCGGUUUAACGUAAGUUUUUCUUCAAGAACGAAUGCCAAGAGCUCAAGAAAGUCCUAUCCUUUAGACACGUUAAGAAUUACUUUUCUUUUCAUAAUAAAUUAGAUUGAGUUAAUAAUAUUUGCCUGUGUGAAAUGAAUAAUCAGUUUAGUGUCACCCCAUUAUUAAUUUGUGACUGUCCGAUUGUCUCCUUUUUCAUUGACUUUGCAACUGUGACUUCUGAACCGGGUUAAGAGUUGACAAAAAUGUUAAUGUUAAUAUGUUAUAACUCAUAAAACACGCAUAAUUAAUUAAUGGCCCGCCAAUUUCUUCUUCUCAAAAGAGAAUUUUUGUAGGAGAUUGAAAAAAGGCUAAUUCAUGUUAAAUAUCUUAGAUGAGUGUCUAUCAGGGAUACAAGUCAAGCCACACGAUUUUUCUUGUUAUACUAUUUAUUGGCACUUGUGAAUCCUUGAAUUAUCAAAUGAAUAGCAACAACACUUCAAUAUCUAUUGUUACACGGAGAGAAAUCCGUUCUCUCUUUGAUGUACUACUUGGCAAUAUACAUUGAUCUUUCAUUAAAACAAGCAUUCUCAUAUUGUUGAGAAAAGCUCACGUUAAACUAUUCAAUUUAAUCAUUUAUUAAACAGAUAUUUGGUUUGAUUCAUUUAAUUCAUUUAGUAGAAUUAAUAAACGAAUCGGAUCGAAUCCAGAUUCAUUUAUUCUAUUACGAAUCCACAACGAAUUGAAUAGAAUCGAAUCAGAAUUCAUUUACAAUUCGUUUAGAAAAAUAUAAUUGAUUAACAAAAUUAAGCAAAAUAAAAUAUAAAAAAGCCGCAAAUUUAAUAUCCUACAACAAAAUACAAAUAACACAAACCAUAUUCUAGGAUUAAAUAUACAGUCAUCCAAAUUACAACAUUAACCUUCAAAUUUUAAAAUAAAUAAAUAAAUUUAAGGACAAAAAAAUAAUUUUAUUAAAUGAAUAAUAAACGAAUUUUAAACGAAUCGACAUGUAUUCGAUUUGUUUAUCACUUGUUUAUUAAACGAAUCCUAGACAAAUAUAACGAAUCAAUAUCUUCAAAGCUGGAUUUGAUUUGUUUAAUUAGCGAAUCGAAUCAAAUUAGCCCAUUUAUUAAACGAAUCAAUUUUUUCGAACCCAAACCCAUUUAAUUGGCAUCGAAUCAAAUAAACAAAUCCUGACCUAUAUUGUCACCCCUAGGCUUUUGGUGUUUCUUUGCGUAUUUUUGUGUACAAGUUUGUGUGCAAAUAGCAUUACUUAUCAAUAAUUAGUCUGGAGUGCUCUAAUUUCUUCUAAUAAGUAGCUCAUUUGGGCUUAGGACCUAUAACUAGUAUUUUACGUUUUUGUUAAUCUCUGAUAAAGAUUUUCUCUAUUCUUUUUUUUUUUCCUUUCACCUUCUCUUUCAUUUUCCGAGUCUCAAACACCACCAUUCCUUGAUUUUCUAGAGUAAUAGCUCUCUAUUUCGACAAUCGCAGAACUGUUGUUGAUCUAACUACUUUCAAGAAAUAACGUAUUCUGUGGCAUAUUGACUUGUGAACGGGCCUAAUUAGUCACGGUCCGAUUGUCUCCUCUUCCAUUGACUCGGUCAAUUCAUGACUUUGACCUGCACAGUUGAUACGAACUGACUUCUCCAUUUGACGUGCACAAAACUUUCUUUAGUCGGGUUCAAAUUAAUUGAUCACUUUGUUUGGUGAUGAUGAAUUGGAUGUCCAAUUCAUGAGUUUCAUGAUGAAGAGGACGAAAAACAUUAUUUUUUGAUUUAAAAAAGACAAACAAUUAUUUCGAUGGUCAUUUUAUUAUUAUUUUUUUAAAUAUCCAAAUGGUAGAAUCUUACAGAAUUAAGGUGCUUGACUUCUUUAUACAGAAUUACAAAGCGAAAAAAUAAAGAAAUAAAAUACUCAUCGUGCAAGUGAGAAGAGAUUGGGUUGUUGAUACAUUAAAUAAAAGAACAAUGAAUUAAAAGCAUAACAUUUCAAUAAUUUCAUUCUCAAUCAUAUCAAAAAUAAAAUUUACUGUACAUUGUUGUUCGGUUCUGCAAAAAAAAAAAAAAAAGGAUUUGCGGUUUUGCUUGAGUGUAAUUUUCGUUAAUUACAGUUUGAUUUGAAGGGUUAAGCGCACGUUCGGGUUUCUUUUAUGUAAUUUAAAUCAACAUUGAUAUAACAAAUGAGCUGAGUACGAUGAUGAAGAAGAGGAAGAGGGGUAUCAUCAAUUUAUUAUCAAAUCUUUUCUCAUACAUCACUUUAUCAUUAUAAGCUUUUGACAAUUAUUUUUAUCAAUCGGGGUUCUUGACUUUUUGUUUGAAGUCUAAAGCUUAAUAAUUUUAAAGCAUUUACCAUUUUUAUUUUGUUUUUUUAAUCACUUAUGUCUGAUUAUAAGAUGUUUAGGUAUGAAUAGAAAAAGUUAAAUAUUUUAACUUUUAUCUGAAUGACAAAAUAUAUAAAUGGAUUUUAAUAUUCUCUCUUGUUAAUACCCCUAUUCGAUAAAUUUAUUUCUUGUUAUAUAAAUUAUUGUUUUAUUUUUUUAUUUUUUUAUUUUUUUAUUUACCCCUCUCUUUUGUUAUAUACAUGCAUUCAACUAUCAUUUUUUUUUCUAUGAAUGAGAAUUUUAGACAUAAUAGAAAUUUAGGUGAGUAUGUUUUAUAAUAGAUCUAUCUCUUUGUAUUUACAUUUACUAUUUUAUAAUAAAAUUUUGAAUUUUAUUUACUACAUUAAUUUUAAUUCAAAUGAUAAAGCAAUUCUUGAUUGACUUAUAUAAUUAACAAGAAAAAAAUAUCAAUAUAAAAUACAAAAAAUAGCAUUAUAUUCAAUACUUUAAUAAUCUCAUUCCCAAUCAUACCGGAAAUAAAUUUUUCUGUAUAUUUAUGAAAUAACUAUUGAUUUUUUUUUUUAAAGGUAAACAUCUUUAUUUUCCUUGCACACGAGCCUUCUUUCUUUUGCUUUGGCCUUUACUGUUGAUUUCAAGGUCAUAUUCAAUCUCAAUCUUCUGUAGGUUUGUGGCUGUUUUAUGAGUUACGAUUUUUAUAGGAUUGCAUGUAAAUGACAUAUUUAUAUACAUUUUUUCUUUUCGGUGAAGAUAUUAAAAAUUUAGUAUUUGUUACCAUGUGAAAUGAAAAUAGUCCUCAUUUCAAGGAUUAAUGGGCCACUAAUUUCGUCUUCUUAAAAGAUAAUUAUUUGCAGCGAGAUAAUUGGAAGCUCGAAGAUUUCUAUAUUACAUAGCCAAACCUAAGUGAUAAGAAUUCCCAUAUGAGAUAUAAUUUUGGGAAAAAAAAAACCAAUUCUAGUUAAAGAUAAAAAAUUUGUGCUCCUCACAAAAACAAUAAUUCAAGCCACACAAUUUUUCUUGUUUUAUUUCAAAAACAAAAUUGUGUUCCUCACAAAAACACUUCAACAUCUGGAGAAAUUUUAGAAUAUAUCUGUUGUAACAUGUCAACCAUACAACAAACAAAUAAUUUCAUGACAUGUAUGUAUUUAUUUUAUAAGCUAUCAUUCAAGUGGUGGUUGUAUUAAACUCAAUUACACAUGUCAUGCAUGUAUUAAUUGGUUGUAAUACAACAGAUGUAUUAUAGAAUUAUUCCAACAUCUGUGGUCUAGUAAAGGGAAAAAUCCUUCACUCUUUGACGUGUCCCCAGGGCAAUGUAAGUUGACUUUACAUUAAAAAAAAAAAAAGAAACAUUGUCAUAUAGUUAAGAAAAACGUAAUUUUGACAAGUGCAAGAGAUGGGUAGGACUCAUUUGAUGCAAGAAAAACAAUGAGUAUACGCAAAGAGCUUUAUUACUCUGCAGCCAAUACUUUGAUGAAUGUGACAUUAUUGGUUUGUAUAAUUUUUUGGACUAAUAUUUUAUCUCAAUUUUUUUAAAAAAAUAUAAUUGCAAUUUUCAAACACGAUUAAUCCCAACAAUUUAUCCAAAAAUUUGAGUUUCAAUAAAUGUAGCAUUUAUGAUAGCAUGGCUAAUUUUUUUCAACCAACACUUUAGAUAAAUGAUAAAUCAAUAUUUGACAUGUUACUAACUUACUACAAGAAGGAAAUUAUAGAAUAAUUUUUUGAAUUAGCAGAAUUAUUUUACGAUAAACCUAACACAAUCUAAUUUAAAAAUAAAGUUAUUCUUUAAAUUUCCCGUUCCUAUUCCUACUUUUCUUGUUAUACUACUUUGGCACCGGUGAAGCCUUGAAUUAUCAAACAAAAAGCAAAAAACACUUCAACAACUGUUGUCCCACUAGGCAUUGUUAAAUUCAUACGAUAAAAUGAGUACUUGUAUUAAAAAACAAUGAGUCUCAUUGUGUCCUCUUUCAUUGAUAUAGGCAAUUUCCAGUCAAUUUGUGGCACCCUUACUGACACGUAAAAAACUUACUUACCCCUCACCCAAUACUUUUAUGAAUUUUCAGGACUAGCAAAAUUUUCAAAUUUAAAAGAAAAAAAAUGCAGAAAUAUAAUUUCAAUUUAUCCAGAUAUUUGGGUUUCAAGGAACAUAGCAUUUAUUAUAUGUCAUGUUAAUAUAGAGACUAAUUUUUUUUAAAAAAAAAUUGAAUGAAUAAAAGUAUUUUUUUGAUAAAAAUUUCACAAUCAUAUUUUUUUAAAAAAGUUUUUUUAAAAAAGAAAAUUCACUCCUCUUCUUACAUAAUUUAAUAAUUUAACAUUAUAAAUUAAUCUUUUUAAUCAAAGUAAUAAUCUCUCCUUCGGUGUGCGAAUGCUAAAAUUUAAUAUUAUAGUCGUUGAUGAUAUUUGCGUCAAAUUCACGUGAAUAAAAUUUCUAACAGAAUUAUGAAAUUCGUUACUAGAAAUUUGUAUAAAAGUAGUGAGAAUAGAAGGUUUGAUCAAAGGAAAUUAAUAUAUCCCUAUCCGAUGCAAAAAUUACAUUCUAUUUUCCAAUUACUAAGGUCAGCCUUAACGCAUGCCGGUCUUUUUCUCCUCUACUUUCUAGAAAUUUUGGUUUCACUAUAAAAACUCGGUAUAUAACAAACUUAUGAGUGUUCUUGCAUUACCAAUCCAAUUAAGCACACGCUUACAAUCUAAAAUACUCUCAUCUCAUGGAAAGAGUUCAUUCUCUCAGGAUGAUGAGCAUAUUUCUCCUACUCCAUUGUUUGAUUAUUAUUUCCUUAUUUAUCGCAGCAACAACAGCCACCACAAGUUCUACUAUCACAGACCGAGAUGCUCUGUUAGCCCUGAAAGCUCACAUAACUCAUGAUCCGACCAAUUUCUUGGCCAAGAAUUGGAACACAAGUACUCCUGUCUGUAAUUGGACAGGUGUCGCUUGUGACGUCCAUAGCCAUAGAGUCACAGUCUUGAAUAUUUCAAGCUUAAAUCUCAGAGGCACCAUCCCAUCUCAACUUGGGAAUCUUUCUUCUCUGCAAUCACUCAAUCUCAGUUGUAACCGACUUUCUGGUUCCAUUCCCUCCACCAUCUUCACCAUAUACACACUAAAAAAUGUUAGUCUCGGUAAAAAUAAGCUCUCUGGGCAAAUUCCUACAAAUAUUUGUAGUAAUCUUCCUUUUCUUGAAUUUCUUUCUUUGUCCCUAAACAUGUUCCAUGGCGGAAUACCGUCCACUCUAUCAAAUUGCACAUAUUUAAGAACCUUAAGUUUGGCAUACAAUGAUUUCUCGGGAGCCGUACCUAGAGAAAUCGGUAACUUGACCAAACUUAAGGUAUUAUAUAUUGGCGCGAAUAGACUCCAAGGUGCGUAUGAUGAUGGAGUUUAAUUAUAAAAAUUGUUCCAUGAGUUGUAAUAUGAAUAAUGUUCCAUAAUACACUUCUGAGCCCGAAGUCCUUUCUUUUCCUCCUUGACUCUUCUAUCGUCGAGCUAAGUGACUCUGUCAUGCCGCUUCAAGUAAUACACACGUUGAUUAAUUUGCAGGAGAAAUUCCUCGAGAGUUUGGCAAUCUUACCGAAUUGGAGCAGUUUUCGUUACCAACAAACAAUCUCCAAGUUAUGAUUUUAAACUUUUUGCAAUUUUAUUCUAGCUCUGCUUGAUUCUGUAUUCAUUCGUUUGUUCAUUAUUUAUGCUAUGAUUUAUUGUUUUUCUUUCAGAUAGAGAUAAAGCUCCAUGUCUCCCCUCACUCAUUUCGUUCUUUGAUUUAUGCACAUAAAAAUAAAAUAAAAAUGUUUUGUAAUUUUCUUUUGUCAUAUUGCCACUUCCCUUUUGAAGCUCCCAAUUAAGUCGAUGAAAAUGAAUGAUGUUUCAUUCGUAUUCUUGUCAGCCUAAUUCUUAUAUAAUUGAAGAGUAAAUUGUUAUUAUGAUAUUCGUCAGCCAAUAAAUUCUUUUUUUUUUUCAAAAUAUGAGUGAUCAAAUUGUUUGCGCAUAUAUAAUUUUACUUAAUUUGCAGGAGGUAUUCCACAGGAAUUGGGGAAUCUUGCAAAAUUGGAGAUUUUACAGCUGUUCCAGAAUAACUUGACCGGUAACCAUCUUUACUAUAUAUAUAUGAGACAUCUUCUGCUUCUUAAUUAAAAGAUUUCAAGUCUCUCAUUAUAAAUUCUCAUAUGAGGAUAUGUCAUUACUACAAUCUAACAUUAUUCCCUUUUUUUAUUAGAAAUUAGUUUGUGUUAAUUCAAAAUUUUGUAACAUGUAAAAAAAAUUAAAAACACGUGGAAUAAAUCAUCAAUCUUUCUUCUUUAUUGAAUUUGGAUUUCUAAAAAAUUAUCUUGACAAGUAUGCUUCACUAAUGAUAUGCAUGUGUGACAACUUCAUAAAAUAUUUUACAUGGAGUCAUCAAUUAUCUUUAAAUAAUUGGAGAUGCCAUCAGUGAUACAUAAUUUCUUAACAAGCACCAUAUCAAAAGAAAUCAACAAUUUUAUUAAUCUUAAAGAGUUACAUCUUCACCGCAAUUAUGAUAUAAAAUUUUAGUCAUCAAUCGCAUAAUAUUUUACCUUAACGGAUGAUGUUCAGUCUUGGAAUUUAUAAUACCUUGAAGGUUAGUAGCUUUGAAAAUAAGAACUGUUCAUUUGCUAAAAAGUUAACUUAGUAUUUAAGUUUUUCAAUUGAAAAUUUUGAAAAAAGUCUUGAGAACUGCCCUCCUUAGUAUUUCAGCUGAUAAAUAUGAAAAAUAGGCUAGAAGAAAUAUUGUUGUGUGUGCUUAUUUUACUUGGGCUUUGGGCUUGAUUACAAGGUCGAGCACUAACACCUGUCAUAAUAAUAGGCUUUUACUUUCACCACACGUUCAAUAAUUUCUUAACCUUCCGAAUUAAGUUAUAGCAAUUUAUAUAUAAAUAACUAAAGCAUACUAAAGCGAGCACAAAGUACUCAUGACUUAGGCUUACUGUGUUACCUAUUACACACGGUCGAACACUUACAUCUGUUAGAAUAACAAUAGCAUCCACGGAUCGACUAUCAGUGAUCAAAUUGAUUGCACAUAUGUAAUUUGCAGGAGCAAUUCCACGGGAGUAGGGAAAUAUUACAGGAUUGGGGAUCUUAGAGCUGCCUGAUAAUUUUUUAACCGGUAUCAUUCCUUCAUCUAUCUACGAAUUGCUUUUCUCUAUUAAAUUCGGAACUGUCAUUUAAUAACUUAACAGGUAACUUCCCUUACAACAUGUCUGUGUGACAUGUUUUGCUUUGAAAUUAAAAUAUUUCACGUCUCUCAUUAUAAAUUCUCAUAGGCGGAUGUAUUGUUACUACUAUUUAACAUUAUCUCAUUUUUUUAUUAGAAAUUAAUCUGUGUUUAUGCAAAAAAAUUUAGCAUCUAAAAAAAGUACAAAAACACAUGGAAUAAAUCGAAAAUCUUUCUUCAUUACUGAAUUCGGAUUUCUAAAAAAUUAUCAUGAGAACUUCAUAAAAUAUCUUACAUGGAAUCAAUAAUUAUCUUUAAAUAGUUGGGGAUGCCAUCACUAAUAAAUAGUUUCUUAAAAAGCAUCAUACUAAAAGAAUUCAAUAAUUUUAAUAAUCUUCAAGGGGUACAUCUUCGCUGCAAUUAUGACAUAAUUUUUUAUCUAAAUAUAUUUUUAGUCAUCAAUCGCAUAAUUUUUUAUCUUGACGGAUGAUGUUCAAUCUUGGAAUUUAAAAUAUCUUGAAGGUUAGUAGCUAUGAAAAUUAGAAAUUUUUUAUUUGCUAAAAAAUUAACUUAGUAUUUAAGCUUUUCAAUUGGAAAAUUUGAAAUAAAUGUUGAGAACUGGCCCUCCUUAGUAUUUCAGCGGAUAAAUAUGGAAAAUAGGCUAGAAAAAAUUAUUUUAUUGAAAUAAUAGUUAAAAAUAGAGACGUACAGUACUCAUGACUUAGGCUUGCUGUGUACUUUUUUUACUUGGGGUUCGGGCUUGAUUACACACGGUAGAAUACUUACACAACUCCCCCCAUAUAGGGUUUUACUUUCAUCCCACAUUUGAUAAUUUCUUAACCUUCCCAAUUAGAUUAUAGCAAUUUAUAAAUAAAUAAAUAACUAAAGCACACUAAAGCUAGCAUUGAUGGACAGAUGAGUGGUGUCAAAAGUGUAUCUGUUUUUAUUAGGGUUGGCAAUUUAAGGGCCUGGGCCGGGCUUUGCCAAGCCCAGGACCAGGCCCAUAUAAUGUUAAAUAAGUUCAGGGCCUCUCAAAGCCCAUCCAAGUUGGGCGGGCCGGGCCUUGACCGGCCUCGGGCCGGGCCCGGGCUUUUAUGAAUUUUCAAAUUUUUUUAAAAAAUAAAACUAUAAAUUUUCAAAACAUAAUUAUCCAAUACAUAAUACUACAAUAGGCUAAAAACUUAAAUAUAUUUCUCUAAUACAUGAUUAGCCAACACAAAAUAUAAAAAUACUAACAAUACAAGUACCGUACAUAACAUACAAAUCAACCACUAAUAUAAAAAAAAAAACUAAUAGAGAUUUACCAAUUUAGGAAUUUUGACAUUUUGUGACAAAACCUUUGCCCUUUCCCUUUGCCCCAUUUUUUUAUUGUUUUGUUUAAUUUUUUUUUUCAAUUUUAUAAUAUAUUAUACAUUUUUUUUAAAAUAUAUAUAUAUAUAUAUAAAGCCCUUAUCCAUAAUAUAUAAUAUAUAUAUUAUUUAUUAUAAAGCCCGGGCUUUUCAUUUAGGCCCUUGACUGAGCCCAUAUGUUAUGGGCUUUAUUAAUUAUGAGCCCUUACCCAUACUUUCAAGCCACGGGCCAGGCUUAAAGCCCGCGGGCCUGGGCCGGCCCGGGCUUUUCUGCCAACCCUAGUUUUUAUGUAUUAUUGUUCCCUGAUACAAAUUUGAAUAAUGGAAAAUAUAAAUUUAAUAUUUUAUUUAAUACUUUGUUAACAUUUUAUCUAUAUAUAAUAAAUAAACUGAAACUUGUACUUAAAAAAUUUUUUGGUUACGCAUAUUCAUUUCAUGAUAAAAAAAAUGUCUAUUUACACUAAUUUACCAUUAUCAAUAAAAUGCUUUGAGACAAAUAAUCUAAUUUAUAUUAGUAUAUUUAAAAUACUUGCAUUUAUUAUAUUUUGAAAAAACAUUAUUUGCAAUUAUUUUAAACCUUUGAAUUCAAAUUUUCUUAGUUAUUAAAGUCAAAGGGUAUAAAUGUAUAAUAGUCAAAAACAGAUUUGUAUGAUCAUUUUUCAAUGUAUAAAUUUUCUUAGUUAGUAGGCAAUUAAAAUUUGUUGAUUUACUCAUAAAUAAAUUUAGUGUUUAGCAUUUCAAUUUUGGAAAACUUGAACUAAAUGUUGAUAACUUCGAAUCCAUCGAGCCAAGUUUCGCUUCCUUGACACACAGACCCAUUCGAAGUUCUAUUCGAAUUGAGUUUCCAAGUGCUUAGAAAAAGCAGUUCUUUUCCAUGUCGCUAUAAUUUAUUCACAAAAGAGUUGAUUAGCGUCGAUGUUGCUUCAGAGUCUGAGACCAUGUUAAUUUAUUUUACUGAAUUAAUUUAUUUUAUCUUGCUGUAACUGAAAUACUACCUUUUUUUUUUUUUUGCUAUAACUGGGGCUUGAUUAACUUUAAUAAUAGCAGCCAUAGACUUAGGCUUUUUUACUUUUCACCACACAAUUUGAUCUUUUAAUUCGUUUUAACCACAUAAUCUAUCUAUCUCACACCUAUUGCUUACUUAAAUCGCAUACAUAUUUUACCUACUAAUUUUUACAAACAUUAGUGAAAUAUAUUUUAUUACAUUUUGCUCGUAACUGCUCUAGUUGUGCACUAUUAAUACUUAACUCUCCCUUUUAAUUUAUCGUGCAAUCUAUCAACCACUAAAAUUACAUAUAUAUUUUACCUAUAUUUUGCCCCAAAAAAUAUAAAAGUAAUAGAAAAAGAAUAUGUGUAGCAAUUUGUAUGUAACUAACAAAGCAUUGACGGUGUGUAGCCUUUCAAUACUUCAUGAGUGGCUGUUCUUGUGUGUUAGUACUGGUAAUAAUUGUGUAGUGUAUAAAUGACCUUUUAUUAUUAAAGCGCGUCUGUUGUUAGAUAUUAUUUAUUAUUUGAAAAAUAAUAUGAAUAUAAUUCUUUCAAAAUACAGGGGAGAUACCAACUGAAAUCAUAAUCUCCGUAAUCUGGAGGAGUUGGACCUUGCUCGAAACAAAUUAGUUGGUAUUGUCCCAGCUGCAAUCUUCAAUGUGUCAACACUCAAGCAUCUUGGUCUUCAAGAUAAUUCUCUCUUGGGAUGUCUUUCGUCCAUCGGAGACGUCCGACUUCCAAAUCUUGAAGGGCUUUAUUUGUCGGGUAAUAAUUUCAGUGGCACAAUUCCUAGUUUCAUCUUUAAUGCUUCUAAGCUCUUUAAGCUAUCGUUGCAAAGGAACUCAUUCUUUGGUUUUACUCCCAACACAUUUGGCAACUUAAGAAACCUUAAGUGGCUAUCUUUAUAUGAUUCUUAAGUGGCUAUCUUUAUAUGAUAAUUAUUUGACAUCUUCAACUCCAGAAUUGAGCUUUCUGUCCUCGUUGUCAAAUUGCAAGUGUUUAACAUUUAUUGACUUAUCAAAUAAUCCACUAGAUAGCGUUCUUCCAAAGACAUUUGUCGGUAAUGUUUCUCAUUCUUUGGAAUUCUUUGUCAUGUCCUAUUGUAACAUUAGUGGCGGCAUCCUUGAAGAGAUCACCAACUUGACCAAAUUGACAACCAUUAUUUUAGGAGGCAAUAAAUUGAAUGGAUCAAUUUCGAUUACUCUCGGCAGGUUACAAAAGCUUCAAUAUUUGGGUCUUGACGAUAACAAAUUAGAAGGAUCAAUCCCAGACAGUAUUUGUCGUUUAGCUUAACUGUAUGAUUUGGAGUUGGGUGGUAAUAAGCUUUCUGGAUCAAUCCCUGCAUGCUUCAGUAAUCUGGCUUCUCUGAGGAAACUGUCGUUGGAUUCCAAUGAGUUAACUUCUAUUCCCUUAACUUUUUGGAACCUUAAGGAUAUCUUGUACCUCAACUUUUCGUAAAAUUUUUUGAUUGGUCCACUCCCAUUAAAGGUUGGAAAUUUGAAGGUUUUAGUUGGAAUUGAUUUUUCGAUGAAUAAUUUUUCAAGCGUUAUCCCAAUAGAAAUUGGAGGCCUACCAAAUCUAGAAUAUCUCUUCUUAGGAUAUAACAGAUUGCAAGGAUCGAUUCCUGAUUCAUUCGGUGAUUUGAUAAGCUUGAAAUCCUUGAAUUUGUCUAAAAAUAAUCUCUCAGGGGCUAUUCCUGCAUCUUUAGAGAAACUCUUAUAUCUUAAAGAUCUAAAUCUUUCUUUCAACAAACUAGAAGGAGAAAUUCCUAGGGGAGGGUCUUUUGGAAACUUCUCAGCUGAAUCAUUUGAGGGAAAUGAAUUAUUAUGUGGUUCACCCAAUUUACAAGUCCAGCCAUGCAAAACUGGCAUCCACCACACAUCAUCAAAAAAUUCUCUUCUCUUGGGGAUUGUCUUGCCAUUGAGUACUACAUUUAUGAUAGUAGUCAUUUUGUUGAUCCUAAGAUAUCGACAGAGAGGGAAACGACUAUCGAAUGAUGCUAAUAUGCCAAUAGUAGCAACAUGGAGAAUGUUUUCAUACCUAGAACUCUGUCGAGCAACAUACAAAUUCAGUGAAAACAAUCUAAUCAGCAAAGGUGGUUUUGGCUCUGUUUACAAAGCAAGACUUGGGGACGGGAUGGAGGUUGCUGUGAAGGUUUUCAAUUUGCAAUGUAGAAGAGCAUUUAAGAGUUUCGAUAUUGAAUGUGAAAUGAUGAAAAGUAUUCGCCAUCAAAACCUUAUCAAAGUUAUUAGCAGUUGUUCAAAUGAAGAGUUUAAAGCGUUGGUAUUAGAAUACAUGCCUCAUGGAAGUUUGGAGAAGUAUCUGUAUUCAAGUAACUGCAUUUUGGAUAUUUUUCAAAGAUUGAACAUAAUGAUAGAUGUUGCAUCAGCUUUGGAAUAUUUGGACCUUGGUUAUUCAGCUCCAAUAAUUCAUUGUGACUUAAAGCCCAACAAUGUAUUGUUAGACGAUAAUAUGGUUGCUCAUUUGAGUGAUUUUAGCAUUGUAAAAUUGCUAACAGGAGAAGAUCAAUCUAUGACUCAUACACAAACACUUGCAACAAUAGGCUAUAUGGCACCAGGUUUGUUCAAUAUAAAUAUUUUCUAUUUCUCAUAAACUUCUGAUGGGUGUCGAAGCCAACAAAAAUAAAUUCCUACUCUAAAUAAAUUGUGUAUAGUGAUUGAGCAGGGUCGUGUCGACAGAGAUCGGUAAUUAUUUAAAUCCUUUUGAAACGUAAAACGUAAAAUGGGGGAAUUGUUGACAAUAAUAAAAAUCAAAUUAAAAUAACAAGAAUGCAAAUUAAAGUUGUAAUUCAAAUUAGAGAAAGCUCUGGUUGAAGGAAUUAACUCAGCUUGAUUCGACUACUGAUCAUUGAUUCAAAUAUAGAUUAUUAUUACUUAUGAAUAGACCGGUUAUAGCUACUGAGACCCUCUAAUAGCCAAUCUCUCCUUAACUAGUCGAUAACCAAGGUACGACCGUUGGUUAUUUCCCUAAUCAAUAGACAACCCUAGAUACGAUCAUAGGAUUUAAUCAAUUGACAGCCUAAAAGACCAGAGAGACCCAAAUCCUAAUCAACACAUACGAUGAUUCAUUUAAAUUAGAUUGUUUAUUCUCAUAACACAACUCACUGCUAUGUUAUUUGUCACAAACAUUAAAAUCUUCAUACGAUGAAUCCUUUAAUUAACAAUAGAUUAAGUUGAUAAUUAAAUAGUGGCCAAUUACCUAAUUAACAAACAUAAUCAUAAAAAUAAUUCAGAGAAUAAACAAAUACCCAAAAAGCAAUAAAACAAUUAAAGCAUAAGAAAGAUCUCACAGUAGUGAUGAAUCAAAGCUUCAUUAUCCUUCAACAAGAAAAAUAGAUUUAGUUCUUCACAGAGAGAAGAGAAAAGUUUAGAUCUAGGGUUUCUUUCCUUUUCUCCAAUCCCUUUUUUCACAAUAGAUUCCUCCUUAAAUACUUUCUCUCUCUUCUCAUUUAGAGUUCUAUUUAAAAUAAAAUACUAAUAUCUGAAAUAUUAAAUUCGUAAUUUCAAAAAUAACCAAAAAUACAAAACACGUUAAACUAAAAACUGCAGGUCCGCAGUUGACAGCACGCGCCCACACCUUAUCAAUAAAGUUCUUCUGACUCUCUAAAUUUCUCGAAGAGAACAAUCAUCUUUAAACAUCAUCUUAUAGCUCAAUUUUAUCACAAAUCAAUAGAAUUGCACCUACAAAAGUAAAACACAAGUAAAUCAUUAUUAUUAAGUGCAAAACAUCGAUAUUAAGGGAAGUAAACAAUGCAAAACUAGUGCAUAAAUUGCACUCUAACAAAUUCCCCUACACCAAGAUGAUGCUUGUCCUCAAGCAUAUAACUUAAGACUAAUCACAAAUCUCCACUCAAUUUUCAUCUCAACUCAUCCAAAAACAAUUUUAAGCAAGCAUACCUCAAGAAUUUAAGUCGAUCAACAUUCGAGAGCCAAGGAUUUUAAAGCAUAGAAUCUCAUAAGCUAGAAUAAAAACAUUCAACCAUCAAGAAGAUCCAUUCAAAAUUCAAGUGCAACAAGAUUUAAUAGCCCUCUCAUUGACUUCACUCGAUGCACUCAAAGUGUUUAGGGUGUCAUUUAUGCACUCAAAUCAAAUCAAAGAAUGCUAUUACCAUAAGCUUGCUUAUAUAUCAUAUCUCAAUCCACAAAACAUGAAUUAAAUGCAAAAAUCUAAGGGUCUUAAAAAGGUUGUAACGGGGUUAAAUGGGUUAAAUGAAAAAGAAAGGUCUAUGAAAGAAAAAAAGAUUAAAAUGAGAAGAAUGAACUCAUUGAAUGAACUUCUGAUAUCAAAAUGCUUAUUUCUACUCAAGUCACCAAGAAUGUAAACUUUUUUUUUCGAUUUUUCUUUUUCUUUUUUUUUUUUUAAUCAAACAAAAGAAACGAACCUUGCACAAUUUAAUUCAAGCAUAAUGCUUGUUGAUCUAAUUGAGAAACUUUAAUACAAGGUAGAAAAAGCAACAAAAUAUAUCCAUACAAUGAGUCCAAAAAUCUCCUUAAAUUGAGGCUCAAAAAGGAGAAAAAUGGUUAAGUAGACGGAGAGAAUUAGAUGGGUAAUGGUUAAGGCUCAAACAAAGAUAGCAAAUAAAGGUCUUCGAGUAGAGAAAAAAAAAUACGAGAAUAGAAAAUUGGAAAAUGGUUUGCCCUUAUCAUUUUAAUGCAUAAAAUCCCGUAAUGCGGCUUCAACAUGCAUAACAAAGCAAGUUCUAGAAUAAACAAACUAAGAUUGAUAUUCACAUAACAAAAAUAAUUAGAGCAAAGUGGCUGCUCAUAGGCUCAAAUCCUCACAAAGUUGGUAAAUUUUCCAUCAAAUCAUGUACACUCUUCAAAUGAAUCAACCAUCAAUAGUGGUGUAGAAUGAGAAGAAGGUAUGAGUGAGAUAUAAAAGGAAAGGUAAAAAGGAUAAUAAGCGAGAAAGAUGUAUGUAGUAAAAAAAAUGAAAGAUAAAAUGUGAGUGAUGAAAGAGUAUGAUAGAGAAAAAAAAUAGAUGUAAAUAAUUUGAGAUAGAUGGGAAAAGAGUAGUGAGAGAGAAGGGAAAAGAAAAUUAAUAAUAUAUGAAGCAUACUAACUCCAAAAUCAUUUAAGGAUGAGUAGAGUGAAAAUAGUACUUCUAGACAUCAAUAAUGUAAAAAUCCCUCCCCAACACCAAGAACUUACAUUGUCUCCAAUGUAAGAUAAUCAAAGCUCACAUAAAAAUUAAAGCGUAAGGAUAAAAGAUUAAAGGCAAAAAAAAUUCCCUGAAUUGUGAGCUUUGAUCCACAUAAUGUCUAUGGGCUUGGCAGAAAGGGUGGGGUAAAUCCCAUACUCUCGAAGUAUGCGGCCAAAUUCUGCUCCAUCUUGUUCAGCUUGUGCUCCAUCUUCUCUAACUGAAUGCUGGUAGUGCGGAUGUAGAAGGAAUAGUUGGCGGGCCAGCAGUGUCGUCUUCAAACUCGUCAUUAGAGGUAACACCACUCCUAGCAUAAAGCUUCUUUGGAGGUUGAGUGGGUCUUGGUUUAGUAAACUAAAAUCUCCCCUCCUUGAAUUCGACGACACCUGUUCUUUGAAACACAGACAUAUCCAAAAAUUCCUUUUUGCAAGCAGGAUGCAAAUCAUUAUUGUCAGGAUCAAGCACACAUAGGUUUAUAGCUAACAGAGUAAUGUAUGGACCAAGAAAGAAAGUCCGAUACCGUUUAAGCACACUUUGAAAUUUAUCCGCUAACCAAAAACCUAAAUUAGGCCUCACAUCAUUUAACAUGCACCAGAUAAAAUAAAAUUCAGUUUUAGAGAAAACUCCUGAGUGAUCUUUCUUUCCUAAAAAAUUAUAUGCUAAGAAUCGAUGCACACAUUUCAAAACAGGAUCACGUAAGAAAUAACUCUUUGAUUUACUCAGGUCAUAGGCAUUGUGAUCAACACAUAAAUUACGCCAAAGACCAUAAGGCUCAAAAUUGUCACUAAAGUCACAAGUUGUUCCUAAAUAUGCAUCACUAGAAGAAUAAUCAUCAUCAAGGAAUCCUAAAGCUAGGUUAAAAUCCGUGAUAGAGGUGAAAAAUUUUGUCCCAUUAACCUAAACUUUAUGACAUCUGGGGUAUGCAAAGUAAAAUCAUUCGGUAUAUUAAAUUGAAAAGUCGCAUAAGACUCCUUAAUCAACUCAACAUAACCCAAACAAUCAACAUCAACAAACUUACGCAACCCAAUCUUAUCUAUCAAAUAAUCAAAAUUAUCCUUAACAUUCAAUUUUUCAAGAGUCGGGUAAUUAAUAUACUUAGCUGGAAGUAUUUUGCACGUGGAAAUAUCUUUGUAUCUCUCUUUCUCUUGUUGAGUCGCGAAUGCAAGGCAUCCUCCGAGAUUGGAUUCCGCAAGUGGCAAAACACUCAUGCCUUUUUCAUGUUUCGAUCUUUGUCUCAUGGCUUGGCGUGAAUCUGAACUUGUGUUCCAUGGAACCGGAAUGCGAGCGACAAUCUUAGAUUUCUUUGUGACGGGUAUCUUUUUAGAUGACUUGGAAGUAGAUGCUUUCCUCUUCGGCAUUGUUACAAUAAUUGCACUCACGGAUUUCGAUUUACCCGGCUGGAAUACAGGGCGUAGGCUGGUUGCGUUGCACUUGCUGCUCGACUGGAGCUUGCUGCGCGGGUUGGGGUUGGUUGCGCGCGCAGCUGGUUUUGCAUGCUGGUGAUGCUAGUUGCGUUGCGUGCGCGAGCUGGAGACUCUGGAUCUGCGUUACGAGGCGUGCUCGUCUGCUGUUCGUUGGGACUGUGUUGCGCGCGCGGGAUUGAUGCGCUGCGUGAUGGUGAUGGCCAAAGCUUGCUGCGCGCGGGCUGGUUGUGUUGCAGGUGGGACUGAUACGACUGCUGCUGGUGAAAACAAUAAUCAACAGUGAAUUUUUUUUUUAAUUAGGGAAUUGUAAAUAGUGAUUUGUGGUUUUUGCUUUUUUUGUUUUUUUUCUUUUUUUUUUAAAUAAAUAAAUAAAAUAUAUAUAUAUAUAUAUAAAAGAAAGAAAAAAAGGAAAAAAAAAAUAAAUAAUUUUUUUUUAAGUGAUGAAUCACUUUGAGUCACUAAAAAUUUCAGACGUACUUUUCUAAUAAGCACGUGGGCACACCUUAAAACUAUUUUACUUUAAAAAUUAUAGAAGUACUUAUUAGUUAAGACGUGGGCACGCCUUAUCAAAAAUUUUCUUCUGACCAAAAUAAGCAAACACAUUAAUUUUUUUUUUAAAAAUCUGAAUCAAAACUAAAAGAAGACAUAACAAAAACCAAAAUAAAUAAAUCAUUUGGGUUGCCUCCCAAAAAGCGUCUUUGUUUUAUGUCUUUGGCUAAACACAUUUAUGCAACAAUCUCCAUAAUUGGGACUCUCGAGAGCCACAUCCUCCACAAUAUUCACCGAAAAACCUUCAUAAAAAGGUUUUAAGCGAUGACCAUUAACAUUCAAAACUUUGUCAGAGGUCGGACUCCGAAUCUCAACUACACCAUGAGGAAAAAUAUUAGUAACAAUAAAAGGUCCAACCCAGCAAGAACGUAAUUUACCCGGAAAAAGUUUAAGCUUAGAAUGAAAAAGAAGAACUUUUUGACCAAUAGAGAACUCCUUUCUCAAACUCAUUCUAUCAUGAAAUGUCUUCGUCUUUUCCUUGUAAAAAACUUCAUGCACUAUAGGGUUAAUAAUAUCCACAGAAAAUACUGAAUGUUCCUCACUAGGAUAUUUCAUGGCAUCAUUCAUAUUGAAUUUUAUAACCUCUCCAUCAAACUCCAUAGUGAGAGUCCCUUUAUGUACAUCUAUUUUAGUCCUAGCAGUCUUAAGAAAAGGUCAUCCUAACAAAAUUGGGACAUAAUUAGAGGAGUUAUCAUCUUCCAUAUCAAGUACAUAAAAAUCAGCAGGAAAAACCAACUCAUUAACUUGUACUAAGACAUCUUCUAAUACCCCAUCAGGAUAUGCAUUAGACCUAUCAGCUAGUUGAAUUAUCACGCUAGUUUCUUUUAAUGGACCAACAUUCAAAGAUGAAUAAGUGGAACGAGGCAUGACAUUAAUAUAAGCUCCUAGAUCUAACAUAGCCUUUUCAACUCUAACACUACCAAUUUUACAAGGAAUGGUAAACAUACCUGAAUCCUUGCACUUAGGAGGUAGUUUCUUUUGGAGAACUGCUGAAACAUUCUACCCCAUGUGAACUUUUUCAUCUCCUCUUAAUUUUCUCUUGGAGGUGCAUAGUUCCUUAAGGACUUUAGCAUAUCAAGGUAUUUGUUUUAUAGCAUCUAAUAAAUGAAUAUUUACCUCAACCUUGCAAAAUGUCUUAAAGAUGUCUUUCUCUUGUUCCUCCUUCUUGGAUUUUACAAACUAGCUUGGAAAAGGAGGAGGUAUCACAAUAGGUAGGGGUUUCGUUCUGGUGGGUUGCGCAUCUUGAGAUUUAGGCAUCAAUUCAUUCUUCCCAAGCUCAUCUUCUACAUGCUUUGUCACUUUCUUACUAGGCUCUUGUAACUCCUUCCCGCUUCUAAGGAUGACAGCACUAACGUUUUGCUUUGGAUUCACCUCAGAUUGUGAAGGCAAUCUCCUUAAUACUUGAGACUCCAGACGGCUCACUGUAGUCGCCAAUUGACUCAUUUGGUUCUCUAAAUUCUGAAUGCUUUCUGUAGUUGCCUGCUGAAAUUGUUGAGUGUUAGUCGCAAGUGAUUUAACAAUUUCUUCAAGAGAUAUACUUGACUUGGAGUUUGACUGUGGAGGUGCUGGUUGUCUUGGUGGAUACUGUUGUGGGAAUCCUGACGGUCUAACUCCAUAGCUGAAGUUGGGAUGAUCCUUCCAUCUCAGAUUGUAUGUUGUGCAUAAGGAUCAUACCUCCUCUGAGGCAUGCCUGGAAAUCCUCCAACUGCAUUGGCUUGUUCAACGGGUUCUUCUUGAAGUGUAGGACACAUAUCAGUUGAAUGACCCAUAUUGGAACAAAUGCCACAAGUCUUUACCUGUUGCAUAUUAUCUACAAUAAACUUUUCUACAAGAGAAGUAAGUUUAUCUAAACGUUGUUCAACAGAAGAAAUAUUUACCUCAUUCACCGUUCUUGAAGUGGCAUCUUGCCUGCUGCCAAAUUGUUGUGCAUUGGCAGCCAUAUUUGAGUUCAACUCCCUUGCUUGAGUAAGGGUCUUAUUCACCAACACACCUCCACUGGCAACAUCUAUCAUACUCCUAUCCAAUAAUGAUAGUCCUUCGUAAAAAUAUUGAAUAAGAAGUUGAUCAGAAAUCUGAUGCUGAGGACAGCUGGCACACAAUUGUUUGAAUCGCUCCCAAUACUCAUACAAAGUCUCCCCAGGAAGUUGUCUAAUCCUACAAAUAUCUUUUCUGAUGUUGGCAGCUCUUGAAGCAGGAAAGUACUUCUCGAGGAACUGCUUCUUUAAACCAUUCCACGUUGUAAUCGAUCCAGGAGGCAAGUAGUACAACCAAUCUUUAGCUAGCCCAUCUACAGAGAACGGAAAAGCACGCAACUUAAUCUGCUCUUCAGUCACGCCUUGUGGCCUCAUACUUGAACACACAACAUGAAACUCCUUAAGAUGUUUAUGAGGAUCUUCACCUGCAAAACCAUGAAACUUGGGUAAUAAAUGAAUAAGACCAGACUUUAAUUCAAAAUUUACCUCCAAGUCUACAUAUUGAAUGCAGAGUGGUUGUUGAUUCAAGUCUGGUUCAGCUAACUCUCUAAGAGUUCUUUCUACAGGUGCAGGUCUAUCCAUCACUUGUUCUUCUGAAUCGCUAGAUGAUUCAACUAAAUCAAGUAUUGUAUCAAUUUCAGAAAGCAAAGGCAACGAGGAUCGUUGCUUAGCUCGCUUUGUCUGCUGUCUCAACUGGCGAGCUGUCUUCUCAAUUUCAGGAUCAAACGAAAGUGUACCUGUACGAGAAGAACGAACCAUACACCAAGUAAAACGUAAAAAUGAUUAAAUAAACGACACCAAUCCCUGGCAACGGCGCCAAAAUUUGAUGGGUGUCGAAGCCAACAAAAAUAAAUUCCUACUCUAAAUAAAUUGUGUAUAGUGAUUGAGCAGGGUCGUGUCCACAGAGAUCGGUAAUUAUUUAAAUCCUUUUGAAACGUAAAACGUAAAAUGAGGGAAUUGUUGACAAUAAUAAAAAUCAAAUUAAAAUAACAAGAAUGCAAAUUAAAGUUGUAAUUCAAAUUAGAGAAAGCUCUGGUUGAAGGAAUUAACUCAGCUUGAUUCGACUACUGAUCAUUGAUUCAAAUGUAGAUUAUUAUUACUUAUGAAUAGACCGGUUAUAGCUACUGAGACCCUCUAAUAGUCAAUCUCUCCUUAACUAGUCGAUAACCAAGGUACGACCGUUGGUUAUUUCCCUAAUCAAUAGACAACCCUAGAUACGAUCAUAGGAUUUAAUCAAUUGACAUCCUGAAAGACCAGAGAGACCUAAAUCCUAAUCAACACAUACGAUGAUUCAUUUAAAUUAUAUUGUUUAUUCUCAUAACACAACUCACUGCUAUGUUAUUUGUCACAAACAUUAAAAUAUUCAUAUGAUGAAUCCUUUAAUUAACAAUAGAUUAAGUUGAUAAUUAAAUAGUGGCCAAUUACCUAAUUAACAAACAUAAUCAUAAAAAUAAUUUAGAGAAUAAACAAAUACCCAAAAAGCAAUAAAACAAUUAAAGCAUAAGAAAGAUCUCACAGUAGUGAUGAAUCAAAGUUUCAUUAUCCUUCAACCAGAAAAAUAGGUUUAGUUCUUUAUAGAGAGAAGAAAAAAGUUUAGAUCUAGGGUUUCUUUCCUUUUCUCUAAUCCCCUUUUUCACAAUAGAUUCCUCCCUUAAAUACUUUCUCUCUCUUCUCAUUUAGAGUUCUAUUUAAAAUAAAAUACUAAUAUCUGAAAUAUUAAAUUCGUAAUUUCAAAAAUAACCAAAAAUACAAAACACGUUAAACUAAAAACUGCAAGUCUGCAGUUGACAGCACGCGCCCACGCCUUAUCAACAAAGUUCUUCUGACUCUCUAAAUUUCUCGAAGAGAACAAUCAUCUUUAAACAUCAUCUUAUAGCUCAAUUUUAUCACAAAUCAAUAGAAUUGCACCUACAAAAGUAAAACACAAGUAAAUCAUUAUUAUUAAGUGCAAAACAUCGAUAUUAAGGGAAGUAAACAAUGCAAAACUAGUACAUAAAUUGCACUCUAACAACUUCCUAAUAAGUUAUUUAUAUUUCAUGAUCUUGAUUAGAUGAGGAAAUUAUUAUUAAUGAUAUAUCUUACUAUGUAAUUGUUGCAAUUCAUAAAGUAUGGAAGAGAAGGACGAGUAUCCGCAAAUGGAGAUGUUUAUAGUUUUGGGAUUAUGUUAAUGGAAACAUUUACUGGGAAGAAACCCACAGAUGAAAUGUUUAAUGGAGAAAUGACAUUAAAGCAUUGGGUUAAUGAUUGGCUACCCAUUUUCACUAUGGAAGUUGUUGAUGCUAAUUUGCUAAGUCAGGAGGACAUACAUUUUGUUGCAAAAGAGCAAUGUGUGUCAUUUGUCUUCAAUUUAGCUAUGGAGUGCAUUGUGGAAUCCCCUGAGCCAAGAAUCAAUCCAAAAGAAAUUGCAGCAAAACUCUUAAAAAUUAGAGACUCAUUACUUAGAAAUGUUGGAGGCAGAUGUAUAAGACAAUCAAAUUUAAAUUGAUUCUACCCCUCAUUCAUUGCUUGCUAUCCUUUUCAGAGACUUGAACAAUUAUCCUCCAUAGAAGUUUUGCUGAUAUGUUUUGUUAUUGCUCUUGCUCAUGUUUAUUUCUCUCUUUCUUUAAUUUGCAUGCGUGCAUUUUAGUUCUCUUCCAUGUUCGUGUUGGUUUAUAUGUAGUUUGUUUUUUGGGAUAUGGUUUAUUAUGGCCUCACCCUAAUUAGAUGUAUCCUUUUGAUUUUUAUCAAUAAAGCUUCGCUAGUACUAUCGAGGUUAAUCGAAAGAAAAUUUUCAAUUGAUUUUCUUUUCUUUGACUAGUACUGGAAAUUCUAAUCUUUAUAGUGAAUAACUUCAAUAAUAGAGUGUAAGAGUAUUAGUAGUUGUGGUUGUUUCUGAACCUAGAGUUAGAGUAGUUUAACAGCAACAAAUAGGUCUCUUGUAUUAUAGCCAAAAUUCUUUUCAUUAAUCUUAUUUGUCUACAUUUUCUCCUAUUUUCUUCUUUAAUCUUCGCUCAAGGUUUCAUGCUUCCAUUUUGAAAUGUGAGAUUGUUUGUCAUCCAUUUGAUAAAAUGGAUAUGAGAGGAGCUUUCAAUCAUUACCUCCACCAAAAUCCUUACAAUGCAACUUUUAAAUUUAUUUUUUAAAAUACGUUCAGUUUAAUUUAUAAAAAAUAAAUCCAUUUGUUAAAAUUAAUUUUUUUCUCAUAAAUUUCAACCUAAAAAAUAUAUUUCUUUUAAGUUUUUAUUAUAAAAUACAUACAAGUUCUAAACUAUUAAAUUAUUUUCUUCUUAUUAUAUAGUUUAUAUUUCCAUAACUCUAAACUCCUAUAAUUUUUAAAAAAUAUAUUUUUUAAUUUAAAAUAUGAAUAUAAAAUAUAGAAUGGAGUGGGUAUAAAAAGUUUUGUUAAAAGAAUAAUUCAUUCAAGUAUUUAGCUGAAUUUUAAUUUAAAAUAAGAAAUAAAUUAAUUUAUUUUUUAUUAGUUAAGUAAUUUCAAUUGAAAAAGAGCUUAUAUUAUGGACAUAUGAUUAAAAUUGUCAUGAAUUAAACAUUUUCAUAUAAAUACUAGUGAUAAUUACGGAGAAAGUACGAUGAACCAAAGAAAACUUGAAUAGAAAUACUCCAAUGUAAUUUUACACAUGCAAAUUAUGAACCAGUGAUCUUUAGAGCAUCAUAAAAUUAUUUUAACACAAUUAGUUAGUUUGGAAAAUUGCCAAUAAUGUUUAAAGUGGGAUUGAAAAGAUUAUACUACAAAUAUAAGACAUGAUAUCAUUUAAGAGCUUACAGAUUAUGAGAAAUAUAUUGAUCUUACAAAUAAUAUAAAAUAUGUCAAUUAGAUUGAGUCUAUGCAAUAAAAGUUUCAAAUUAAAAAAUAAACCUUUAUUUUCUUUUAAUCAUAAGUGUGAUCUUAAUUAUUAAAGUCAUUCAAUGUCCAUUACUUAUUCAUUUUUUUAAUUAUCUAAAUGACAUUGAAAACUCUACUCAAUAUUAAUUCAUUCUAGUGUUUUGUUUUAAAGUAAUCGAAAAUUGCAAAUGAAACAAAUGCUUGAAAUCACAAACUGCCUAAAAUUAGAUUUUUAUUUCUUAAUGUUUUAGUGACUUUGAUCUUGAUAUUGAAAAUUUAUUUGUAACUUAUAUAAAGGCCUCGAUUUUAUCAUAAUUGAUUAGUAAGGCUAUGUACGGGAGCAUGGAUAAAUUUUGAGAUUGGAUUAUAUUUUUGGAACUAAAAAAUUAAUUUCAUCCAAUGUUAUGUAUAGCUGUCGGGACUAGCAAAUUAGUCUAAAAUUAUUGAAAUUAUUAGUCUUUUACAUUAUAAUUUUUUCGUUCCCACUUUAAACGUUAUUGGUAACUUAAAUCAUUUUUUAAAUUAAAUAUAAAGUUAAUUUAAUUAAAUAUAAUUUAAUUAAAUAUAAAAAUUAAUUUUAUAAUUUUUUCACCUAGAAUUUUAUAGUAUAUUAAAUACUAAAAUUAUAUUCGAUAAUGUAUUAUCAUUUAUUUAAUAAAUAUUUAGGUUUAUUAGUGUAUCAUAUUAUUAUUUAAAUUAAUUUUUUAUUUUCAUAUAGACAUAAAUUAAUAUUUACUAAUUUAAAUUUAUUAUAAUUUAUUAAAUAAUAAAAGCUAAAUGAUUGUAUUUAAAAUAUAAAUUGUAUUUUAAUGUAUUAUAGCCUAAAUCUUACCCCUAUGAAUUUAUUUUAUCCAUCUUUUAUUGUAUUAACCACAUUUAUAAGGCAGUGCGAUGCAACCGAAAAUUAUAACCAAACAUGAGUUAGUAUGAAAAUAAUAUUUUAGUACAAUACAAUACAAUGUAAUAUAAGCAAACAAAUAGAUAUUUAAUUGAAGCAAAAAUUGCAUAUGGUUUGUCGUCUCUCAAAAGACAGCAAAGAAACCAAUAUGACACAUUGAUUUUGAAUUUGUUGUUUUUCGUGUUAUGAAAAGGAAAAUGCAGAAAACUUAUUUGGUGAGCUUAUUUUGGUGGAAAACUGUACAGUGAUUAAAAACAAAAAAAUUAUCAUUUUCCAAUGUUUACAAAGAAAACAAGAGACAUUUUAUUUCACUUUUACUCUCUGCCAAGGGUCUCACUAUCUUAACUUUUAUAAGAUAGUGUAAUAAAUUACGUGGGCCCAUUUAAUAAAGAAAUAAUCUAAUAAAUAAACUAAUAUAACAAAUAUUUAAAAAUAAUAGCAAUAGUUUAUUCCAUACCUUGCAGCUUAACUACUUAAUAGAUUACCCAAAUUGUUUUAAAUAAAAAGUAAUAUCAUAUAAUUAUUAUACUAAAUUAUUACAUUGUUCGACCCAAUAUGCAGUUAUUUAAAAAUUAUUACAAAUUUUCAUACACUAAUGAAAAUAUUUCAAUAAUAAAGUUACUUCUUGACAGCUAAUAUAAAUAAAUAUAUGAUAAUUAUGAAAUAAUUUAAAAUUUUCUCAAUUACUAUUAUCUUAUAAGUACAAUUUAUUUACAUAAUUAAAAGUUUUUAAGAAAUCAUUAAAAUAUCAUCGUACCUAUAUGCAUUUAUAAUAAUAUAUAAUACAUCAUAAUAUAAUAGCUAAAUAGAUAAAUUAUUUAAUGACAUAAAAUAUAUAUUUAUAUUCAUUGUAUUAUAUUAUUCUUUCAUAAUAAUUUCAUUAAAUAAUUCCCUAUUCUCUCUCUCUCUUUUUGUCUUCAUUUUUUCAGAUAAGCAACCAAACAUCUUUUCACCUUUUUUUAUUUUCAAGUACUGUUUUUAAACUAAGGUACCAAACAUGUUUUUAUUUUUAACAAAAACUAAUCAUUCUUAUUUCAUAAAAUAAAUUUAAAAACACUAUUUAAAAAAUAAUACCAAAUGCACCCUUAAAAACUAUGAGAAAUAUACUGAUUUUACAAAUAAUAUUUAAUAUGUCGAUUAGACUGAAUCUUUGGAAUAAAAAUUUCAAAUUAAAUACUAAACCCUUAGUUCCCUUUUAAUCGUAAUUAUAAUCUUAAUUAUUAAAGACAUUUUAUUUUGUGCUUGUCUUUUUUUAUUCACUUUUUUUUUAAUCAAAAAUAUUGCUCUGCAUGCAAGUCUUUGGUCGCGGGCCUAGGUGUCCCAAACAUCCAGCUGACAGCGACGUUUCCACUUUGAUUAUCCGCACUUCCCAGAAGUCGCAAGGAAAGACCGAUUGAGUAGUUUGAUUGGUUUGAAGAUUCAUGAGACUGCUUUUCACUAGAAUUCCACGGCCUCAUUCAUUUUUUUUUUUAAUAAUCUAAAUGACAUCGAACACUCUACUCAAUAUAAGUUUAUUCGAAUGUCCUGUUUCAACCUAAUCGAAAAUUGCAAAUGAAACAAAUGCUUGCUAUCACAAACAGCCAAAAUGGAAUUUUUGUUUUUCAUUGUUGUAAUGACUUUGAUCUUGAUGUUGAAAAUUUAUUUGUAACUUAUAUAAAGGCUCAAUUUUAUCAUAAUUGGUUACAUCCAUAUGCAGCUUAUAUAAUGUUUAUUACAUCCAUAUAAUCUUUCUUAUAUAAUGUUUUUGUUACAUCCAAGAGAAAGACAGUUACGCUUAGAUCAGUCUUAUUUAAUAGAAUUAUAGGAUAAUAAAAUUGGUUUAAAGAAAUGUGAUUCUUAACUCUUGUAAUUAAAGUUAGUGUUCUUUGAUUUUAGUGGUGUAGGGCUUAUAAGUCUAUGCAACAAUUCUUGGUGAGUUUGAUUCAAUAUACGAUCAUUUUCAGUUCUUUAAAGUCUCAUAAUUAAAAAUUCCGAAAUCAUAAUUAGAAUUUACAAACAAGUCAAAGUGAGUCAAAGCAAACCUAGAAAUUUAAGGUCUAUCAUAAACUUUUGACAAAUUAAAGUUAAGGUGAUUAAUUAAAUGCUAGACAAAACAAAACCUAUAAAUUUACCUUACCACAUGAUGAAGCUAUUUCAAAGAUCUCAAAUUACACACUAAUUAAUAAUUAAUCUACAUUUUUUUCCGUUGUAUAUCGUUGAAACUUCUAUCUUCACAACAUAUUGUUCUUAAUUGGCCAAAUGUAUUUUUGUCUAGAAAUUUGCUAUGAACAAAUUUCAGAAUUCAUCAGAGAUAAUACAAACAACUAAUGUAUUUAUAAUAUACAUAAUUAAACUUAAUAUAACCAUCACUUACAUGAUAGUUUUUCAAAAUAAAUAAACACAUAUUAUAACAUAUUUAUUUAUUAUAUAAUUAAUAUAGUACCUUUAAUAUAUUGUAGAAUUUCUUCUUCCUAUGUUACAGAAAAUGUAAGUAACGGACACUAAUUUAACAAGAAACGUAUAUAUAAGUUUGCCACGUGUAGUCUCAACAUGUGUGUAAAAACCGAAUUAACCGGUUUGCAUUCGACAACAAAGGAAAAUAUUACUUGUUGCUGAUCGAUUGCAUAAUAUUUUAAUUCGACAUGUCUGACUGCUUUGCCAGCUCGUGUGAUAAAAUGGAUAUGAGUGGAUCUUCAAUGCCUCCCGCAAAAUCCUUGUAACACCACUUCAAAAUUUUAUUUUCUAAAAUACACCGAGUUUAAAUUAUAAAAUAUAAAUCUGUUUAUAAAAAUUAAUCAUCUUUCCAUAAAAUUUCAACCUAAAAAUUAUUUUUCUUUUAAUUUUUAUUAUAAAAGGUAUACAAACUCUAUUAUUAAAUUGUUUUCUUCUUAUGAUAUAGUUUAUAUCUCUAUAACUCUAAACUUGUGUAAUUUUUUUUUAAAAAUAUUUUUCAAUUUAAAAUAUAAAAUGGCGUGGGUAUUAAAAAAUUUGUUAAAAGAAUAAUUUAUUUAAGUAUUUAACUGAAUUUAAAAUAAGAAAUAAAUUAAUUUAUUUUUGAUUAUUUAUGUAAGUUUCAAUUAAAAAAGAGUUUUAUGAGAAAUUGAGAGGGGAAAAUGAUAUUCUUAGUAAUAUUAUUAACAUAUGAUUAAAAUUCUUAUUAAUUAAACAUUUUCAUAUAAAAACUACUGAUAUUUAUAGAGAAAGCACAAUGAAGUGAAGAAAACUUGAAUAUACAUACUCCAAUAUAAUUUUACACAUGCAAAUUAUGAACCGAUGAUCUUUAAAUUAUCAUAAAAUUAUUUCAACAUAAGUAAUUAGUUUGAAAAUUUUCCAAUAAUGUUUAAAAUGGGAAUGAAAGGAUUAUACUAUAUAAGACACAAUAUCAUUUAAGGCGGCUUAGAAAUUAUGAGAAAUUUAUCGAUCUUACAAAUAAUAUUUAAUACGUCGAUUAGACUGAAUCUUUGGAAUAAAAAUUUCAAAUUAAAUAAUAAACCCUUAGUUUCCUUUUAAUCAUAAUUAUAAUCUUAAUUAUUAAGACAUCUUGUUUUUUGCUUGCCUAUUUUAUUAACUUUUUUUUAAUGAAAAAUAUUGCGCUGCAUGCAAGUCUUUGGUCGCCGGCCUACGCGUCCCAAGCAUCCAGUUGACAGCGAGGUUUCCACUUUGAUUAUCGGCACUCCCCAGAAGUCGCAAGGAAAGACUUGUUCGAGUAGUUUGAAGAUUCAUGAGACUGCUUUUCACUAGAAUUCCACGCCCUCAUUCCUUUUUUUCUUUUUUUUUUUUAAUUAUCUAAAUGACAUCGAACACUCUACUCAAUAUAAAUUUAUUCGAAUGUUCUGUUUCAACCUAAUCAGAAAUUGCAAACGAAACAAAUGCUUGCGAUCACAAACGGCCUAAAUGGGAUUUUUGUUUUUAAAUGUUGCAAUGACUUUGAUCCUGAUGUUGAAAAUUUAUUUGUAACUUAUAUAAUGGCUUCAAUUUUAUCAUAAUUGGUUUCUAAUGCUAUGUUAGAGGGCAUGGAUAAACUGUGGGAUUAGAUUAGAUUUUAGGACUAAAAAAUUAAUUUCAUCCAAUGUCAUAUUUAGCUGUCGUGACUAAUAAAUUAGUCCAAAAUUAGGAUAAGAUUUAUAAUAUUAAAUGAAAUAUUUUUGUUCUCUUUAUCACUCUUUUCUUUUUCAUUUAAAUUGAAUAUAAACAGUAAUUUCAUAAUUUUUUAUGUAGAAUUUUAUAUUAUACUAAAUAUCAAAAUUCUAUUCAAAAUUUAUUUUAAGUUGUAUUUACUUAAGAUUAAUUAUCUAAAUUUAAUCCAAUAAUUUAGUUGAUCUAGUAUUGAAUAUUAAACAUUAAAAAUUAUUCGAUUAUUUGUUUAAAAUAAAAUUGAAUAUUAAAUAUUGAAAUAAUUAUUUAAUAGCAUAUUAUAUUAUUAAUAUAAUUAUUAAUAAGAAACAUAUCAUUUAUUUGAUUACUAUUUAAAGAUAAACUUAAAUACUAUUUAAAAUCAUUUAAAUUUAACUUAAUAUAAUCCAAUCUAAAAUUGUACCAGACAUGCAUAAUACUAUAUAUAAUUCAGUCUAAUCCAAUUCAAUCUUAAUAAAUAAUACAAUCUAAUCUUGUGAGUCAAAAUUGGCCUAAGGUUACCAAUUGUGCAAUAAUCUUUAUAGCCCGUUUCCCAGCCACACACCCUUUUGUAUUAGUAUUCUCACAGCCGUUGGAAAUAUGGCUCGUAAUCUAACAAAUGACAUUAUACGGCUGUUACUUGCUAGUUUUUGUAAGGUGGCCAAGGCCUUUUAUCAAACACUAUAGGCCUUUUAGUGCUGAGCUAACAGAUUAGUGCUGUCUAUUUCUACAAACACAGAACUGCUAUUUGUUUGUCUAUCCCGUGGUCUCUUCGUUUAUUGACUUGAACUGUGAUAACUAAGGGGGCAUUCCUUUCUUCAAGAGAGUACUACCCAAUGGAGACGUUAAGUAUUAUUUUGUUUUUUUUUCGAAAUAAUAAUGAGUCAUAGUCAAUUGGAUUGAAUUAAUAAUGUUUGUGUCUGUGUGGUGUAAAUUGUAUAAGAAUGGAAUUUUUAUACAUAAAUAUAUUUCUCAUUCAAACUAACGCGACCAUAUUUUAACAAAUAAUUGUCUUGUAUUUCAUAUUAUUUAUUUUAUUAUAUUAUUUUCAUUUUAAUAUAUCAUCACGCUACUCUUCCCCAGUUUUCAUAUACACCAUAUCUGUUUGUGUGAGAUUAAUUUGUACACACUACAAAAAAGGCGGCCUGAUGCGAGGCCGGAUUUGACGAAUAUCUGAGCCGACGUAAAUGAUGAUCGUCUGUCGGUAAUUUGAUUACCUUUCCGUACUUUAUCAAUCAUUGAAUGAUUUUACUGGUUUAAUCGCUUGAUUGUUUGAGUAUGAUCGGUAAUUUGAUCGUCUGUCAGCAAGUGAUUCACCAUUCACUCUCCAAUUUUCAUUAAUUUAGUGUAGCAAAGCUUUAACUAGACAGGUAGAUAACGUGGUCAUGAAAACAUGAUUAAGAGUUUAAUGCAAUCAAAUCUACUUUAAUGAUUAUUUAAUGCACGGAGAUUUAACAUCAAUUAUCAUCACGUUAUUCUAACAACGAAAUUGCAGAGCUUGGAUCUUUACUCGAACAGUUUCACUGGCACUAUUUCUGACACAUUGGGCAAGCUGAAGGAAUUGCAAUUCCUGUAUGAUCAUUUCCCCAACUAUUAUUUGAAUAAUUAUUUAAUGCCGUUCAUUCCAGCUCUGUUUGGCUGUUAACUUUAUUUAGUUAUUUAUUUAUGAGGAGAUUCAUUUCUCACUUGAAUCUAGAAAUUUACGGAUCAAUGACAUUUUAUUUUUUCUUUUAUAUGACAGCUUGCAAUCCCUGGUGUGUACUCAUAGUGCCUUACAUGAAUAAAAAAAUGAUUUUUUUUUUUUUGGGGGGACAAUUGCAGUUCUGAUAACAACUAAAAUCUGUGUGGUCCGGUUACCAGAAAGCCUUGCCCCAGGUCUCUGCCAUUUUCUCCUCCACCUCCAUUUGGGGAAACUAAACUAUUUACUUUUUGCAAGUUUUUCUUGAAAUAUAUAUUUUUGAGAAGAAAACCAACAAUACAUUUUAUGAUUUGGGCUGUUUCAAAGAUCUUUGCUUGAUAUCUCUGCUACUGGUUUUCAGCAGAGCGCCCAAAAUAAUCAGUGCACGCACCAUAUGCUUUAUUAUUAUCAGCAAAAAUCACUGCUGAUAUGUUGGGAUCGACUUUUUUAUUUGGGAGAGGAAGCAUGCUUGAAAGAGUAGAGCGGUGCAUCUUGUUCAAACAUGCACCGUAGAGCCAAUUCCAUUUUAUGAAAUAGGAGUUAGACUGAACAACGUUAUGUCUUCAUUAUCAUUUCAGGAGGAAAUAGAUCAAAUACAGCAAUUGCUGUAGGAGUUGAUGUUUGUGCUGCUAUAUUUUCUUCAGACUCUCAUACCAAGGAAAAAUUUAGCUUCAAAGAAUGGUAUGAUGCUUUGAUUUAUGAAGUAAUUGUUAUACAUUUUGUACCUUCCAUACAUUUUGCUCUGUUAAUAUUAUUAUUUGAUAACAUGCUUGUCGAGUUGCACAGCGUUUAGAAUUUUGAGAUUAAAUAGAGUAUAAAUGCUAUCCAAAUGCACUCCUUUCAUUUUAUACAACUUUGAUUGAUCAUUGUUUCUAAUUUACCUCAGGCAUCAAUGGAGUCUGUCCGAGUCUCCUUUGCUGGGAAAUCAGUCAAAUGACAGCACAGGUGCAUAUAUUCCAAGAGCCAGUAAUGUAAUAGCUCACAAUUUAGCAAGACUAGCUUUGGAGCAAUCUGAAGUUGUACUUUGGAUGGAUAAUAUUCCAGCCCAACAUUUGUAUUUAUUCACUAGUUUUUUUUUUUUUUUUGAAGAGAAAGUAAAGCUUUCUAACUAAACAAACUUAGACAGUAACAAUAUGAUUUGAACUGGAAAGUCCUCCAGCCAAACUACAGGGCUUUCAAAAUCUAAGGCUACUUUGGCCAAUGAGUGAGCUGCUACAUUACAGUUUCUAGGAACGAAUUGAAUUGAUGCUCUGCUCUGGUUCUUUAGACAUGCUUGAAUCUCUUCCACUGCCCAGCAAAUUUCUGCCAUGCUGCUCUUCCUUUGCAGUGAUAGCUCCACCACUUCUAAAGAAUCUGACUCUAUAAUGAUUGGAUUACAUUUUGCUUGGCAGGCAACUUGAAUUCCAAACAACACGGCUUCCGCUUCCAUACAAGCCACAUCACCUCUGAAUCCAGUGCUCUGAACUGCUGCAGCCAAAAUUUUCCCGCUUGAAUCUCUAACCACUACACCUAGCCCAGCCUUCGAAUCUGCCAUUUGAAUUGCUGCAUCCACAUUCACUUUAUACCAACCAAUUGGAGGGGGAUUCCACACCUGUUGAUUAUUAUUGUGCUGACUUGGAACAACUUGGACAUUUGGACACUUAAUUCUCAAGUACGACUCUACAGUUGCUGCAGCCCCGGCUGCUGUCAUUUGGGGAUCUUCUUGCUUACCUUCAUUUACCACUCUAUUUCUUGCAUACCAGAUAGCCCAACAAGUUGCAAUUAUCAGCCCCAAAUCAUCUUUUUUCCUCUUCCCGGCUAAAUCUUGAAGAAUACUCAGCAUAUCCUGGUGAGCCAUUAGCUUUAUAUCCUCAUAAAAUUCUGUCAACUUCCACACCUUCCUAGUAGCUCUGCAUCCCACCAAUGCAUGAAAGACAUCACUAGUUGAAUGCUUAAAAGGGAGACAUUUUUAUCAAAAAAAGAAAAAAAACUUCAAUUGAGUUGCUAUCUAUUUAACUUUGGCAAGUGAGAGAGAGGGAUGGGACUGUCCAAUUAAAAUUAAGUUUCAAAUGGUAAUCCCAUCAUUGUCGUCUCAUGUUUGUCAAAUUCAAAUUUGAAAAUAUCACCAUGUUUGUAUGGUGAUGUUGUGGGAUUGUCUCGCCUAGGCUUUUAGCCUUACGACCUCCUUUAUUAGAAAAAAUCUUUGGUGUUCUUACUCAAUGGUAGAAUCAAAAUUUUACUUCAAUGGAAGCCAUAAUGAUUAAAAUAUAUUCUUAUUAAAUUUGAUCAAUUACUUAUUUGAUGUUGCUCUCUCUAUCUACAUCUCCUUCUUUAUGAAAAAAAUUAUUGUAAUACAUGAAAGUAAAUAUUGCAUUGAAUAAAAUGAAAUUGUUCAAAAAUUAACAAAUUCAGCUUUAUUAUAAUCUAAAACAAAGUAAAUAGAAUAAUAUCCAUCAUGUAAAAAUAAAAAAAAAUUGUACCACUUUGAAUCUAUUUUAAUUUUUUUGGUCAAAUCUCAAAAGCACAAACCUUGAACGAUAAUAAUAUGUAAAAGCUAAUAAUCUUAUAAUAAAAAGUAAGAAAAAAAUAAAAUUGAUUUAGCAUGUAAGAAUAAAAAAAGAAAAAUAGAAAGAGAGAGAAAUUAGUUUAGGCUUUAAGCAUUGUUAAGUUCGGAGAAAAAUAAUAAUUAACUAAGAGUAAUUUUAUGACUUUUUAGAAAUGAGUGAAUUAAAAUAAUAAGUUAAAAUUUAAUAAUUAUCUUAAUUAAAAAAAUAGGUAUUGAAAUAAAAUUAGUGGAUUCAAAUAGCCCACCCAAAAUCUAAACUUGCAUACCAAUUAUUUUCUAAUUUACAUAAAGUUUUUCUUUAUGUUUGAUAACACUUGUUUCUCAAUUGGUCUAACGGAGAAACAACCAGCUAAAAAAUAAAAUGAAUGCAAUUAAAUGGAAAUUUGAAAAAGAGCAGUAUGUCACGGGAUGAGUGUUUUGCGCAGCUAACCCGUGCGGCACUUAGACAACUUUGCCGAAUGUUGCUAAGUAAGCCUAGAGCUUCUCGAACUAGAGAAGAGAGCAAUUGAGCCAAAGAAGAAAACUUGUAUUGCACAAAGAGAGAAUACAAUGCUUGAGUUGCUUACAAAGCUUGUUGGAUACAAAUGCCUAAUGCCAUCCCAUAUUUAUAGGGGAGGCUUGCCAAGCUCUAGAGAUUCUAGAGAAUUCUACCACUUCCUAGCUAUUUACAUGUGCUGGAAUUCUAUGGAGAAUUCUAGAGUUGCUUAGAACUUUCCGGAAUUGAGCCAAGCUAACACUCUUGGCCUUGUGUUGGCUCUCUAGCCCAAAAUUGUGAGCAAUUGGGCUAGCGAUUUGGGCGGUCCGCAACAAGUAGGUGACAUUUUUGUGCAAGCAAAAUUGCAUUCUGUUUGUGGGAUCCUGGAAAAAGUAAAAGAGAAAACACAGAAUGACACUGAUAUUGUGUUCUUUAAUAUUUUUCUAGUUGCUUCCAUGGCAGAUUCUCAUUGGUCCAUUUUUCUUUACGCCUUAGAUUCUAUGAUUCAAUUUCAAUCAAAUACCACAACCAAAAGAAGCUUUUAAGCCUGCAGCUGAAAUAGAUGGCACUUUAAUUUUCAGCUGAACAUAUAUAUGGUAAGAUUAUUAUUAGUAUCGAGCUUGAUGAGGCUAUAGAAAAUUCAAUAUCGAGAUCGGAUAAGGGUCCAAUAAAUUAUAAAAAUAUUGCAGCUCAAAGCCCAUAUGAUCAUGGGCCACUACUUGCUCAUGCUUUGAAUUAAAAUUUUCUAACGAAGUGACGUUGGAAGCCGAAAUGGGCACAUGAUGAAAUGGUGUUCAUCAUAUAUUGAGCCCAACGGGACAAGAUCAUCAUUUAAUUGCCUCCUCCACUUGUCGAUAGAUAUUUGCCGAAUUUUUCUAUUUAAAAAAAUAUUAUACUGGUCAAUAUAAUUAGAAGUUUUACAAAAUAUAAAUAUAAUUUUAAAAAAAUUUAUAUUUGUUAAUUUAAAAUUUUCAUUUGGUGGUUAUGUUUGAGAAAAAUCUUAGAGAUACUAAGAUAUACUCUCUUAUUAUUUAUUAAAUUUAGGUAUUUUGACAUAUUAGUAUUCAGUAUUUUUUGGUAAUUAGCUGAGAAGUAUAUGUGACAAAAAUUUAACACAUGAAAGAAUACACAUCGAGAUUAUCUAAAAUUUUCCAUUGACUUAGUCAACUCUCCAUUAAUUUCAUUGACUUGGUCAACUUAUGAUCUAACUUGACAACUUGAAAAUUAAAUUAUGCUAGUACUUUUGUAAAAUUAAAAUUUAUCUUCCAAAAUUGAUAAAUACCGUGUCACUUUGUCAAAUUACUUAGGGUAAAAGUUCUAUAGCUAAAACAUUUAAGAUGAGUUAUAUGCUAAUUGAGAAGGACAAGACACAAAAGAAUUCAAUGGGGCAAAACUAUGUUACAACUGUGGUAUGGUACCACAGUUGCUUUCAGUCGGUAGAUCCACAGUUGUACAGUUACAUUAGUUAGAUCUAAUGGUUGAAAGUAACUGUGAUACCAUACCAUAGUUGCAACAUAGCUGGACCCAAUUCAAUGAAUGCCACGUUAAGUAACGUUGCUUACUCUUAACAAAUUAUUACAAACGUGAUUCAUGAAACUUGACUUUGUGUAUAAAGACGACCUAAAGAAACAUGCCAGGGCAACAAAUAAAGUAGUCCAAACGUGAUUCAUGAAAACUUGAUAGGCACUAUUUAAAUAGUAUUAAUAUGGCAACCAAAAACAUGCGAGCAAAGUAGACUUUCUUGGACGAUCCAUGCCAAUCAACAAAUAAAGUAGCCCAAACGUGAUUCGUGAAACUUGACUUUCUGUCUAAAAAGGCCUAAAGAAACAAGAUCAAAAUUCCAUGCAGAAGCAAUAUGGUGGGCACAAUGCACUAUUUAAGCCAUUUUUCAAAACUAAGUUUCUUCUUUUUCACAUGCACUAUUCAAGCAAUUUUUCAACAUUUUCUCAUUCCCCUAAAAGCUAACACGCAUGCGUGAAUCAUGUGCCAAUCAAUUUCUUGGCAAAAAUUGGAACGCAAGAACCGGUUCGAGCAUAGGGACAUUUUCACGAUUCAAGAUUCUCAGCAAGACGGCGAGACCAACGUGCAUCACUUUUGGAAAGUAAUUUAGCAAGUUCCAAUGCCUUAGCUGAUUAAUGGCUUGACCAUGUCACGAUUGGUCCCCUAAAAGCUAACACGCAUGCGUGAAUCAUGUGCCAAUCAAUUUCUUGGCAAAAAUUGGAACGCAAGAACCGGUUCGAGCAUAGGGACAUUUUCACGAUUCAAGAUUCUCAGCAAGACGGCGAGACCAACGUGCAUCACUUUUGGAAAGUAAUUUAGCAAGUUCCAAUGCCUUAGCUGAUUAAUGGCUUGACCAUGUCACGAUUGGUCCACAUUAUGCACAUGGCAAGAUCAAACAAAAUAUCACAGCUGGCUCGACGACUACCAGCCAAAAUAAGAAGACAAUUACGGCCAGUUACAUCAUUAUUGCUAGUAAACUCUUUACGAAGGAAAUGUGAAUAUCCCUCCUAAUCACUUUCUUAUAUUAUCAUUAUUUUGUACAUAUGACAGAACAUGUUCUCCCAUGUAAAGAAGUCAAGAAAAUGGUUUUAGUUUUCACAUCAAUAAUGGAAUCCAAAAUCUUUCACAGCUUGCUUCUCCUUUGGACGCUUGAAAAACUUUCUUACCUGGCUAAAACUGUGAGAAUUGUUCAAACUAAUUUGAUUGAUAACUUUCAGACACAAAAAUGUAUAUGAAUGCUACAUUUAAAUGUGAAACAAAAAGGAGUACUUAUAUUAAAAAACAAUCAGUCUCAUUGCGUCCUCUUCCAUUGACAUAGGCAAUUUGCGGUCAACUUGUGGCACCCUUAUUGACACGUAAAUAACUUACUUACCCUGCAGCCAAUACUUUUAUGAAUUUUUAGGGUUGGUAAAUUUUUCAAAUUUAAAAGAAAAAGUACAGAAAUAUAAUUUCCAUUUAUCCAGAAAUUUGAGUUUCAAGGAACAUAGCAUUUAUGUUAAUAUAGAGAAGAAAUUUUUUAAAAAAAAAUUGAAUGAAUAAAAGUAUUUUUUGAUAAAUAUUUGACAAUCAUAUUUAAAAAAAAAAGUUUUUUUAAAAAAAAAAAUUCACUCUUCCUACAUAAUUUAAUAAUUUAACAUUAUAAAUUAAUCUUUUUAUUCAAAGUAAUAAUCUCUCCUUCGGUCUGCAAAUGCUAAAAUUUAAUAUUAUACCAUAUGAUGUAAUAGCAAAUCUGCAUGAAAUCUGCAUUUAGUCAAUAACUAUGAAAUAUCGAUACGUGUUUGAAAAAACUCUUAAAAAUCGGUUUCCACCUUCAUUAUUAUAGCUCUUGUAUAAACCAACUUGGCAACAUAUGAUUGAUUAAUAUAAGAAUAAAUAUUUAUUAAGUGGGUUCUACCAUGUUUUUAAUUCACCUAAUGAUAAUAUGUCACAUCAAUUUGUACAACAAUAUUUGUGACUAUAUCAUUACUCGUUAAUUAAUAUGAACACUAAUUUAUUCUUCUUGAAAGAGAAUUACUGCAGCGAGGUUUGAGGCUCAAAGAGUUCUCAUUUAGCCAAACAUAAGAGAUGAGAGUUCACAGGAGACGUAAUUUGGAAAAUCAAUUCCAUCCAAUAGGCAAUAGGUCUCAGUGGGUUUGACUCAGUAUACGAUUAUUUUCAAUUUUUUAACGUCUUGUAAUUACAAAUUCCGAUAUCACAUUAUAAUUUUCGAACAAAUCAAAGUGAGUCAAAUCAAAUUUAGAAAAUUGAGAAAUUUAAGAUGAUUAAGUAAAUGCUAGACAAAAUCUAACUUGUAAAUAUACCUUACCACAUGAUGAACGUACUUAAAGAUCUUAACUGAUUGCUAACCAAUUAAUUGUUGUUUUACAAUUUUUAUAUAUCCUUUCUUUUCCCUAAAACUUCUAGUUUCCUAACAUAUUGUUCUCAAUUGGUCUAAUUAUAAUAUAAUUUUUUUAAAUAUAAAUAAAAUGAAUUUAUUUACUGGAAAUUUGAAAAAGAGGCACUUAUCUAUGCAAGCAAAGUUGCAUUCUGUUUGUGGGGACCUUAAAAAAAAGAAAAAAGAAAAAAGCAUAAUGACACACUGAUGACGACAAUCCUGAAGUAUUUGUUUUCUUUAGUUACAGUUUGGUUUGAAUGGUUAAGUUCAAGUUCGAAUUUUCUUUACGUAAUUUAAAUUAAAAUUGAUAGAACAAAUGGGCUGAUCAGUAAGAUGAUGAAGAAGAAGAAGAAGAAGAGGGGAUGUCUUUGAGGAUGAAGAGAAAGAAAGUUCUCGAAUAAAAAUCCGGCUUUAUGGAAAUUAAAUUAAAAGCUAUUAAGCAUUGUAAAUUACUUAACAGAUUAAUGCUGAGCUAAUCAAGUUUGUUUCUGAAGAUGAUACCUUUAAAUCUCUUGUAGUUAAAGAUAAUUAUCAUAUCACCAUAUCAAAUGGACCGAAUUCAAUCAAGUGAAAUCUAGAAAAUAGAGCAGCUCAUAGAUGUACGUGGCUAAGUCGGGGUUCAUUUGGAAGUACUUGGUCGAAUUGCGACUUGCAUCGGAGGCUUCGUUUUAGAAGAGUGCAGAGCAGCCGCCUUGUCCAUUUGGCACGCCAACGACUUUCUAUUGACCAAUAAUUUUGAAAGCGAUAUUAUUAAUUUACCAUCUAAUAUAUUUAUGAUAUUAUCAUUUUACUAUAAUAUUUUUUUGAUAUUAUCAUUUUACUAUCAAAGUUUUUUGACAAUUAUUUUGUUCACUUAAUGUUUUAGUUUUUGUUAUUUUACUAUCAAAAAAUGGUAAACGCACCCCUAGUAUCGGUUAUACACAAAAAUGGUUACCGAACUGUCUUGUUUCUCAUUUUGUUUAAUUUUCAUAAUUCGACUCACGAUUCAAACGUAGGUGAAGAGGUCUUUUGGGAAAAAUCUGGUCUUCCAUUUACUAGAAUAAGCUAUGUGUGAUUGUUUGACCGCAUAUGGCUUUCUGUCCAUCAGCUAAUGCAUAUUCUGCAUUUUAUGAAUAUCAGAGCUGGUAGAUUGAAAAAUGGACCUUAUUACAUGUCAUAAGAUACUUUGCUCAAAGCUGCAAUUGGGCAACGCCGUGCUGUUCGUAUCGGCCAAGGCAAGCCAUUUACUAUUCUUUCUAAUGGAGCAAAAUACGAUGAUUCUUACCUGCGUAGAGAAUUAGAAAAGAAAAGGAGGAUUACUGAUCCACAGAGCUGUCAUUUACUAGAAGCACAUAAAAUCUUACACUUAAUUCAUUAACCAUAUGUAAUGUUCUAAUGAUACUUAAGUAUUACAUAAAUUAGCCUUUCAAAAUUUCACUUCGAAAAAAUCCAAGGUUGUGAUGUGUCUGUAUAAAUUCGCUAAUACAAGUUCUCUCUAUUCCCAAUUGUUUUAAACUCUGUUCUGAACAGAGCAUGAAAGGAUAUAUUCGUUUAUCUAGUUAUAUUUUUUAUGCUCUCACUUCACUUGAUUCACCUUCUCCAUCUUUUAAAACAGUUGUAUAUGUCGGAGUAUCAAGUUCAUCACAAGGAUCAUAUUAUGGCCUAAGGAAGGAGCACAGUUUAUUGUCUGCACUCAAGCUUAGCAGAGUAUUUUGGGAUUCAAGAGUGUUAGUAGGCCGUUACAGAUGCCAUGCUGGCAAGCGUGCUAUGACUGAUUGCUAUUUGCACGUAAAAUUUGCCCAAAACAAAUAGAAUGAGAAUACUUGUACAAAAGGAUAAGAUUAAUAAAGUGAAUAAAUUUUAUCUUUUAGUGAAUGCUUCUUGUCUUUUAGAAUUUCAGUGCAUUUUCGUGUGUAAUUUUAUGUGCAAAUAGCAUUACUCAUUAGUAAUUAGUCUAGAGUGUUCUAAUUUCUUCUAAUAAGUAGCUGAUUUGAGCUUAAGACUUGUAUUUUAAGUUUUUAUUACUUUCUAAUAAAGAUUUUCUCCGUUCUUUUUUACUUUCACUUUCUCUUCCAUUUUCCCGACUCCCAAACACCACCAAUCCUUGAUUUUCUAGAGUAUAGCUAUGCAGUUCUACAAACACGAAACUGCUGUUGGUCCAAUUACUUUCAAGAAACAACGUACUCUGUGGUUUAUUGACUUGUGACAUGGGCAAAUUAGUCACGGUCCGAUUGUCUCCUCUUCCACUUACUGUCAAUUCAUGACUUUGGCACACAGUAGACGCCAGCUGCCUGCUCCAUUUGACGUGCAAAAAACUUUCUUGAGUCAUGUAGUUAAGAGAGACUUAAUUUUGAGAAGUGCAAGAGAUUGGUGGGACUCAUUUGAUUCAAGAAAAACAAUCAGUCUCAUUUGAUACGCAAAGAGCUUUUCAACUCUGCAGCCAAUAUUUUGAUGAAUGAGACAUUACUGGUUUGUAUAAUUUUUUGGAUAUUAUCUCAAUUUUACUUCUGUAGGUUUGUGGUUUGUAUAUUACCUCAAUUUUUAAAAAAAUGUAAUUGCAAUUAUCAAACACGACUAAUCCCAACAAUUUAUCCAAAAAAUUUUGUUUCAAGAAAUGUAGCAUUUAUGAUAGAAUGGCUAAUUUUUUCAAUCGACUUUCUGGAUAAAUGAUAAUUUUUUGAUAGAAAUGUUAAUUACUUAUUACAGGAAGAAAAUUAUAGAAUAAUUUUUUGAAUUAAUAGUAUUACUUUACGAUAACACUAUCACAAUCUAAUUUUUUUAAAAAUAAAGUUAUUCUUUAAAUUUCGCAUUACUAUUCCUACUUUUCUUGUUAUACUACUUAAUGGCAAAAAUAGUUCAUACGAUAAAAUGAGUACUUAUAUUAAAAAAAACAAUCGGUCUCAUUGCGUGCUCUUUCAUUGACAUAGGUAAUUGGCGGUCAACUUGUGGCACUUUUAUGAAUUUUCAAGACUGGUGAAUUUUUCAAAUUUAAAAGAAAAAAAUACAGAAAUGUAAUUUCAAUUUAUCCAAAAAUUUGAGUUUCAAGGAAUACAGCAUUUAUUAUAUGUCAUGUUAAUAUAGAGAAGAAAAAUUUAAAAACUUCUUUUUGGAUGAAUAAAAGUAUUUUCUGAUAAAUAUUUCACAAUCAAAUUUAAAAAAUUUCACUCCUCUUGGUACAUAAUUUAAGAAUUUAACAUUAUAAAUUAAUCUUUUUAAUCAAAGUAAUAAUCUCUCCUCGGUCUGCAAAUGCUAAAAUUUAAUAUUAUAUCCAUUGACAAUAUUUGCUCCCAAUUCACGAAAAUAAAAUUUCUAACAGAAUUAUGAAAUUCGUUACUAGAAAAUUGUAUAAAAGUUGUGAGAAUAGAAGGUUUGAUCAUAGGAAAUUAAUAUAUCCCUAUCCGAUGCAAAAAUGAUUGUAAAGAAAAAAUUACAUUCCAUUUUCCAGUUAUUAAAAUAAUUCUAAAAUUGCUAGGAUCACAAAGGAUAGGCUUUGGUUGACUGAGGUCAGCCUUAACGCAUGCCGGUCUUUUUCUCCUCUACAUUCUUAGAAAUUUUGGUUUCACUAUAAAUACACGGUAUAUAGCAAACUUAUAAGUGUUCUUGCAUUACCAAUCCAAUUAAGCACACACUUACAAUCUAAAAUACUCUCAUCUCAUGGAAAGGCUUCAUUCUCUAAGCAUUAUGAGCAGAUUUCUCUUACUCCAUUGUUUGAUUCUUAUUUCCUUAUUUAUCGCUGCAGCAACAGCCAACACAAGUUCUACUAUCACAGACCGAGAUGCUCUGUUAGCCCUGAAAGCUCGCAUAACUCAUGAUCCGACCAAUUUCUUGGCCCAGAAUUGGAACACAAGUACUCCUGUCUGUAAUUGGACAGGCGUCGCUUGUGAUGUCCAUAGCCAUAGAGUCACAGUCUUGAAUAUUUCAAGCUUAAAUCUCACAGGCACCAUCCCUUCUCAACUUGGGAAUCUUUCUUCUCUGCAAUCACUCAAUCUCAGUUUUAACCGACUUUCUAGUUCCAUUCCCUCCGCCAUCUUCACCAUAUACACACUUCAAAAUGUUAGUCUCCGUAAAAAUCAGCUCACCGGCACUUUCCCUUCUUUCAUCUUCAACAAGUCUUCUUUACAACAUCUUGAUUUUAGUUUCAAUACAUUGUCUGGUGAAAUUCCUGCCAAUAUUUGCAGUAAUUUUCCUUUUCUGGAAUAUCUUGCUUUGUCCAACAACAUGUUUCAUGGAGGAAUACUGUCCGCUCUAUCAAAUUGCACAUAUUUGCAAAAAUUAGAUUUGGUAUACAAUGAUUUCUCGGGAGCCGUACCUAGAGAAAUCGGUAAUUUGACCAAACUUAAGGAAUUACAUCUUGGCCGCAACAGAUUCCAAGGUGCGUAUGAUCACGGAGUUUAUGAAAAUUGUUCCACAAGUUGUAAUAUGUAUAAUGUUCCAUAAUACAAUUUACACACGUUGAUUAAUUUGCAGGAGAAAUUCCUCGAGAGUUUGGCAAUCUUGCCGAAUUGGAGCAGAUGUCGUUGGCAGAAAACAAUCUCCAAGGCAUGAUUUUAAACUUUUUGCAAUUUUAUUCUGUAUUCAUUCGUUUGUUCAUUAAUUAUGCUAUGAUUUAUUGUUUUUCUUUCAGAUAGAGAUAAAGCUCCAUGUCUCCCCUCACUCAUUUCAUUCUUUGAUUUAUGCAGAUAAAAAUAAAAAAAUGUUUUGCAAUUUUCUUUUGUCAUAUUGCCACUUCCAUUUUGAAGCUCCCAAUUAAGUCGAUGAAAAUGAAUGAUGUUUCAUUCUUAUUCUUGUCAGCCUAAUUCUUAUAUAAUUGAAGAGUAAAUUGUUAUUAUGAUAUUCGUCAGAAAAUAAAUUCUUUUUUUUUUCCACCCAAAUAUGAGUGAUCAAAUUGUUUGCGCAUAUAUAAAUGUACUUAAUUUGCAGGAGGUAUUCCACAGGAAUUGGGGAAUCUUGCAAAAUUGAAGACGUUACAGCUGUUCCAGAAUAACUUGACCGGUAACCAUCUUUACAAUAUAUAUAUGAGACAUCUUCCGCUUCUUAAUAAAUAGAUGUCAAGUCUCUCAUUAUAAAUUCUCACUAUCUAACAUCAUUCCGUUUUUUAUUAGAAAUUAGUUUAUGUUAAUUCAAAAUUCUGCAGCAUCUAAAAAUUAAAAACACGUGGAAUAAAUAAUCAAUCUUUCUUCUUUACUGAAUUUGGAUUUCUCAAAAAUUAUCUUGACAAGUAUGCUUCACUAAUGAUAUGCAUGUGUGACAACUUCAUAAAAUAUUUUACAUGAAAUCACUAAUUAUCUUUAAAUGUGUAUAUGCUUUUAUGUAUUAUUAUUCUUUGAAACAAAUCUGAUUAUAAUUCUUUUAAAAUACAGAUGAAAUAGCAAAUCGGAAAAUAUUUUACUGCGAUAAGAAUUCAUAUAUUCAUUGUAGUAGCACAUAUAAAAUAGACUAAAUUUUGUUCCAAAAUACAUUUUUAUCUUCAUAUAAAUUUUACAUUAUUAAUUUAAAUUAAUAUUAAACUAUGUUAUUUCUUUCACUAUAUUAUUUUAUUUACACAAUGAUGUGACUAUUGGAAUUAAUAAUACUUAUAAUUACUUUGUAAAAAUAUAAAUUUAAUACUUUGUUAACAUUUUAUCUACAUAUAACAAUUAAAUUGAAAAUUGUAUUUAAAAAUUUUUAGCUACGCAUAUUCAUUUCAUGAUAUAAAAGUGUAUAUUUAUACUAAUUUACCAUUAUCCAUAAAAUGUUUUGAGACAAAUAAUCUAAUUUAUAUUUGUAUAUUUAAAAUACUUGCAUUUAUUAUAUUUUUAAAAAAAAAAUAUUUGUAAUGAUUUUAAACCAUUGGAUUCAAAUUUUUGUAGUUAUUAAAGUCGAAGGGUAUAAAUGUAUAAUAGUUAAAAACAGAUUUGUAUGAUCAUUUUUCAAUGUAUAAAUUUUCUUUGUUAGUAGGAAAAUUACAAAUUGUUGAUUUACUCAUAAAUAAAUUUAAUGUUUAGCAUUUCAAUUUUGGAAAACUUGAACUAAAUGUUGAUAACUUCGAAUCGGUCGAGCCGAGUUUCACUUCCUUGACCCACGGACCCAUUGAAAGUUCUAUUCGAAUUGAGUUUCCCAGUGCUUAUAAAAAGCAUUUCUUUUCCUUGUCGCAGUAAUUUAUUCACAAAUGAGUUGAUUAGCAUCGAAGUUACCUAAGAGUCUGAGACCAUGCUAGUAGGAGAAAUUUGAAAAGAAAUUAUUUUACUGAAUUAAUUUAUUUUAUCUUGUUGUUGUAACUGAAAUACUACUUUUUUUUUUGGGCUAUCACUGGUACUUGAUUUACUUUAAUAGUAGCAGCCACCGACUUAGGCGUUUUUUACUUCUCACCACACAAUUUGAUCUUUUAAUUCGUUUUAACCACAUAAUCUAUCUAUUUCUCACCUAUUGCUUACUUAAAUUGCAUACAUAUUUUACCUAGUAAUUUUUAUAAAUAUUAGUCAAAUAUAUUUUAUUACGUUUCUCUCGUAACUGCUCCAAAUGUGUACUAUUAAUACUUAACCCUCCCUUUUAAUUUACCGUGCAAUCUAUCUACACUUAAAUCACAUAUAUAUUUUACCUAUAUUUUACCCAAAAAAAUAUAAAAAUUAAAGAAAAAGAAUAUGUGUAGCAAUUUGUAUAUAACUAACAAAGCAUUGACGGUGUGUAGCCUUCCAAUACUUCAUGAGUGGCUUUUCUUUUGUGUUAGUAUUUGUAAUAAUUGUGUAGCGUAUAAAGACUCUUUAUUGUAUAUGCGUGUCCGUUUAUAUAUAUCAUUUAUUAUUUGAAAAAUAAUCUGAAUAUAAUUCUUUCAAAAUACAGGGGAGAUACCACCUGAAAUCGGUAAUCUCCGAAAUUUAGAGGAGUUGGACCUUGGUCAUAACAAAUUAGUCGGUACUGUCCCAGCUGCAAUCUUCAAUUUGUCAACGCUCAAAGAAUUCUCCAUUCCAAAUAAUUCUCUCUCGGGAUGUCUUUCGUCCAUCGCAGACGUCCGACUACCAAAUCUUGAAGUGCUUAAUUUUUGGGGUAAUAAUUUCAGUGGCACAAUUCCUCGUUUCAUCUUUAAUGCUUCUAAGCUCUCUGCACUAGAUUUGGACGGCAACUCAUUCUCCGGUUUUAUUCCCAACACAUUUGGCAACUUAAGAAAUCUUAAGUGGCUCAUUUUAUCUGAUAAUUAUUUGACAUCUUCAACUCCAGAAUUGAGCUUUCUAUCCUCAUUGUCAAAUUGCAAGUCUUUAACAUAUAUUGACUUAUCAUAUAAUCCACUGGAUAGCAUUCUUCCAAGGACGUCUGUCGGUAAUCUUUCUCAUUCUUUGGAAGAUUUUGAAAUGAACAAUUGUAACGUUAGUGGUGGCAUUCCUGAAGAGAUCAGCAACUUGACCAACUUGACAACCAUUGAUUUAGGAGGCAAUAAAUUGAAUGGAUUGAUUCCAAUUACUCUCAGCAAAUUACAAAAGCUUCAAGGUUUGGUUCUUUAUGAUAACAAAUUAGAAGGAUCAAUCCCAGACGAUAUUUGUCGUUUGGCUGAACUGUAUGAAUUGGAGUUGGAUGGCAAUAAGCUUUCAGGAUCAAUCCCUGCAUGCUUAAGUAAUCUGAUUUCUCUGAGGAUACUAUCGUUGGGUUCCAAUGAGUUAACUUCUAUUCCCUUAAUUUUUUGGAACCUUGAGGAUAUCUUGUACCUUAACUUUUCUUCAAAUUUUUUGACUGGCCCACUCCCAUUAGAGAUUGGAAAAUUGAAGGUUUUGGUUGGAAUUGAUUUUUCGAUGAAUAAUUUUUCAGGCGUUAUCCCAACAAAAAUUGGAGGCCUAAAAAAUCUAGAAUAUCUCUUCUUAGGAUAUAACAGAUUGCAAGGAUCAAUUCCUGAUUCAUUUGGUGAUUUGACAAGUUUGAAAUCCUUGAAUUUGUCUAAUAAUAACCUCUCUGGGACUAUUCCUGCAUCUUUAGAGAAACUCUCAUAUCUUGAAAAUCUAAAUCUUUCUUUCAACAAGUUAGAAGGAGAAAUUCCUAGGGGAGGAUCUUUUGGAAAGUUCUCAGCUGAAUCAUUUAAGGGAAAUGAAUUAUUAUGUGGUUCACCUAAUUUACAAGUCCCACCAUGCAAAACUAGCAUCCACCACACAUCAUGGAAAAAUUCUCUUCUCCUAGGGAUUGUCUUGCCAUUGAGUACUACAUUUAUGAUAGUAGUUAUUUUGUUGAUCCUAAGAUAUCGACAGAGAGGAAAACAACCAUCGAAUGAUGCUAAUAUGCCACUAGUAGCAACGUGGAGAAUGUUUCCAUACCUAGAACUUUGUCGAGCAACAGAUGGAUUCAGUGAAAACAAUCUAAUUGGCAAAGGAGGUUUUGGCUCUGUUUACAAAGCAAGACUUGGGGACGGGAUGGAGGUUGCAGUGAAGGUUUUCAAUUUGGAAUGUGGAAGAGCAUUUAAGAGUUUCGAUGUUGAAUGUGACAUGAUGAAAAGUAUUCGCCAUCGAAACCUUAUCAAAGUUAUUAGCAGUUGUUCAAAUGAAGAGUUUAAAGCGUUGGUAUUAGAAUACAUGCCUCAUGGAAGUUUGGAGAAGUAUCUAUAUUCAAGCAACUGCAUUUUGGAUAUUUUUCAAAGAUUGAAUAUAAUGAUAGAUGUUGCAUCGGCUUUGGAAUAUCUGCACUUUGGUUAUUCAGCUCCAGUAAUUCACUGUGACUUAAAGCCCAGCAAUGUAUUGUUAGACGAUAAUAUGGUUGCUCAUUUGAGUGAUUUUAGCAUCGCAAAAUUGUUAACUGGAGAAGAUCAAUCUAUGACUCAAACACAAACACUUGCCACAAUCGGCUAUAUGGCACCAGGUUUGUUCAAUAUAAAUAUUUUCUAUUAUUUCUUGUAAACUUCCUAGUAAGUUCUUUAUGUUUCAUUAUCUUCAUUAGAUGAGGAAAUUAUUAUUAAUGAUAUAUCUUACUAUGUAAUCGUUGCAAUUCAUAGAGUAUGGAAGAGAAGGACGAGUAUCCGCAAAUGGAGAUGUUUAUAGCUUUGGGAUUAUGUUAAUGGAAACUUUUACUGGGAAGAAACCCACAGAUGAAAUUUUUAACGAAGAAAUGACAUUAAAGCAUUGGGUUAAUGAUUGGCUACCCAUUUCUACUAUGGAAGUUGUUGAUGUUAAUUUGCUAAGUCAGGAGGACAUACAUUUUGUUGCAAAAGAGCAAUGUGUGUCAUUUGUCUUCAAUUUGGCUAUGGCGUGCACUGUGGAAUCUCCGGAGCAGAGAAUCAAUGCAAAAGAAAUUGUAACAAAACUCUUAAAAAUUAGAGACUCGUUACUUAGGAAUGUUGGAGGCAGAUGUAUAAGACAAUCAAACUUAAAUUGAUUCUACCCCUCCUUCAUUGCUUGCUAUCAUUUUCAGAGACUUGAAUAGUUAUCCUUCAUACAAGUUUUGUUGAUAUGUUUUGUUAUUUCUCUUGCUCAUGUUUAUUUCUCUCUUUCUUUAAUUUGCAUGCAUGCAUUUUCGUUCUCUUCCAUGUUUGCAUUGGUUUGUAUUUAGCUUGUUUUUUGGGGUAAGGUUCUUUAUGCCCUCCCCUAAUUAGAUGUAUCCUUUUAAUUUUUAUUCAAAAAGUUUCGCUAGUACUAUCGAGGUUCAUCGAGGUUAAUCGAAAGAAAAUUUUCAAUUGAUUUUCUUUUCUUUGGCUACUAAUGGAAAUUCUAGUCUUUAUAGUUAAUAACUUUAGUAGUUAUGGCUGUUUUCUGAACUUGGAGUCAGAGUAGUUGAACAGCAACAAACAAGUCUCUUGUAUUAUAGGCAAAAUUCUUUUCAUUAAUCUUAUUUGUCUACAUUUUCUCCUAUUUUCUCCAUUAAUCUUCGCUCAAGGUUUCAAGCUUCCUCUUUGGCAAAGGAAAAUGUUAUUUGCUACUGACCGAUUGCGAGUAUUUCAAUUUGACAUGUGAGACUGUUUUGUCGGCCAUUUGAUAAAAUGGAUAUGAGUGGAGCUUUUAAUCAAUACCUCCACCAAAAUCCUUAUAACGCCACUUUGAAAUUUUAGUUUUUAAAAUACAUUCAGUUUAAUUUAAAAAAAAUAAAUUCAUUUGUUAAAAUUAAUCUUUUUCUCAUAAAUUUCAACCUAAAAAAUAUUUUUCUUUUAAGUUUUUAUUAUAAAAUACAUACAAGUUCUAAACUAUUAAAUUAUUUUCUUCUUAUUAUAUAGUUUAUAUCUUCAUAACUCUAAACUCCUAUAAUUUUUUUUAAAAAAUAUUUUUCAAUUUAAAAUAUGAAUAUAAAAUAUAGAAUGGACUGGGUAUAAAAAGUAUGUUAAACGAAUAAUUCAUUUAAGUAUUCAACUGAAUUUUAAUUUAAAAUAAGAAAUAAAUUAAUUUAUUUUUAUUAGUUAAGUAAUUUUCAAUUGAAAAAGAGCUUAUAUUAUGGACAUAUGAUUAAAAUUCCUAUGAAUUAAACAUUUUCGUAUAAAUACCAGUGAUAAUUAUAGAGAAAGUACGAUGAACCGAAGAAAACUUGAAUAUAAAUACUCCAAUGUAAUUUUACACGUACAAAUUAUGAACCAGUGAUCUUUAGAGCAUCAUAAGACAUGAUAUCAUUUAAGACGGCUUACAAAUUAUGAAAAAUACAUUGAUCUUAUAAAUAAUAUUUAAUAUGUCAAUUAGACUGAGGUGGCGUUUGUUUUUUAACUUAAUAACUUAAAGUGACUUAACUUAAUUAAUUAAGUUAAUUAGAGGUGUUUGUUUUAUAACUUAAUGAGACUUUUUAGAUAAUUUUGACUUAAUAAAAUAAGCCAAUUUUUUUGACUUUUUACUUAAUGGAGAAAUCUGAAUUAAGUCAAUUACUUGCUAAUGUCAAAAAUAUCCUUAUUUUAUAAUUUAUUUUUCAUGUCUAUCCCAAACUCACCCAUAGACAUUUACCUCAUAUAAAAAUAUCUCUAUUUUUUCUUUCUUAUAUUAUAUACAAUAAAAUUUAAAAUUUAUGGUAUUUUAUAUAUUAAAAUUCUAAAAUAAUUAUGUAUUCACUUGAAUAUAAUUUUACUUAUAAAUGUUAAAAUAUUGUGUUAUUUAAUAUAUUAUUUAUUUGACAUUCAAAUUUAAUAAGGAUACAAAUGUAAAAGUACAUAUUUUUAGUUUUUUAAGUCGAAAAAACAAACAACUUAAUAUUUAUUUUCCGAGAUUCAGACGAAAAAACAAACAUAUUAUUCAGAUUCAGACAUUCAGAUAUAUUCAGAAUUCAGACUAAUUCAGGUCUAUUCAGAUUUCAGAUAAAAAAAAAACGCCACCUGAGUCUCUGCAAUAAAAUUUUCAAAUUAAACAAUAAACCCUUUAUUUUCCUUUAAUUAUAAGUGUGAUCUUAAUUAUUAAAGUCAUUCAGAUGAAAAAUGAGAAGCUUGAAGCUUCUCUCGGUUAUUUACUAUAUUCUUAUCUCUUUUCUUUUGUUGCAUUUUUCUUCUGUCGUUAUAAAUUAUUUUUUUACAGAUAUACAAAUAGAAACUAUAUAAAUUUAUAACACCUUAUCAGGGGGUUUUUAAUUAAAUACCCUUUAAUAGUUUCAAAAUUAUUGAAAUACCCCCUCCCUUUUUGGUUUUCAUGGAUACCCUAACAAAUGUGAGUAAAGUCGGAAAUACCCUUAAUGAAUGCAUCAAAUUCACUCAAUGAAUUGUCUUCAUAUUCCUUUCCUCAUUUCUUUCACCCAACUCCAUUUUUGCUGCCGAUUCUUUCAAAAUCUCUUAGAAUCUCUCAAAAUCUCUCAUAAUUUCUUACACAAAUACAAUUAUGUAGUCAUUUCUUUAACACCCACUCUUUCUUUAAAGGUGCAUUGCUUAUUAAACAACCCAAUAAGGUAUGUUAAUGUUGUUGGGUUUUAAAUUUUUUAAUUUUUAGGAAAAUUUAGAAAUUUUCCUCACAUUACAAUGUUUUAUUUUCACCAUUUUUUCUUAUAUGUAGAAAUAUAUGCAAUGUAGGUUGUUUAAUUAUUUUUUUCAGCAAUAAAACUUAUUUAUGGCGAAAAUGUUUCGCGUCGUGCAUUCUUUUGAUACCGUGUACGUCAUAUAGUUAGUCAUGUAGGUCAUGUACUUACUUGUAUAUGAAAUUUGAUAUUAUUAUUUUUAUUGUAUCAUCAGAUAUGGUUUUGGUACGUGUGCCUAUUCUCUUCAAUGGUGAAUGAAUUGAGCAAAAUGACGAGUAUAAGUUCAAAGGUUUCAAGGCUAAAGGGAUAAUGAUACCACGAUCGACAAUAUAUGCCGAAUUGAUGGAGAAGAUAGUUGAAGUUAUUGAUAUAGAUACUUCGGAAUUCGAAAUCACAAUGAAGUUCAAACUUAAGACAUCUGAUCCUAUGCCACCAGUUACAAUUCAAACCAAUGAUGAUGUGGAAUUUUUCUUAGAGGAAGUAGCUAGUGGAAUGAAGUUUAGAAACCCGCUUUGCAUUACUUUUGAACGUAGAUCAAAUCGUGUGUUCAUAAAUUACAGCAAAAAAAAAAAAAAUUGCAUAUUCGACAAUUUGAGAAAUGAUGAGAUUAAUUAUUAUAAAUAAACAAAGUUAUCAGUUUACAAUGUCAAUAUUUGGAUAUGAUACACUAAUGGAUAUCGUAAUUAAACAUAUUACAACCAUUUAAAAAGUUUUUUUUUUUUUUUUAUCUUCAAACUGCUUUCUUCCUCUGCCGAAGCAUACAUGCAUACAUGAGGAAUGCCUGCAUAUAAUAAAUCCAUGAAAUCAAUUAGAAACAACUCUUAAAUCAAAGGCUAGUUGAAAACACAGUCGCAAGUGUGGCAAUACUCGGGUUAUCAUCAAAUGUUGUCAGAAUCUGCACAGCAGCAAAUAUUAAUAACUUUACACAAUUUGUACGUAGUUAAAAAUAAUAACAUACUUAGUUAAAAAUAAUAACAAAAUGAACCUUCACAUUAUUCUUAUUGGUUCUAACGAUGACAAAUUAGUAAUUUUCAGCUUUCGGUUUGCCACAUUUCAUUUUUUCCUGAAUACUUUUCGUUGACAUUUUCUGCAUAGCAACAAAUAUAAAUUCUUAGCAAAAAUUAAGUCUUUAAACAACUAAGUUAUUAUAAUGAAUUAACAACAGUGAAAAAAGUCGUGUAAUUUUGAGGUCGUGUAAUACAUGAAGGUCGUGCAAGUGCAAUACAUGAAGGUCGUGUAAUACACAACCUUGAAUCCUAAUAACCUGACACGACCAAAUCGUGUGUUACAUAAAAAAAUUAUAAUCGGCACAAUCCAUCAAUUUUUCACAAUUUGCAUGCAGCAAAACAACUAGAAAUUUGUUUUUGAACAUGUAAUGAGAGACCCGCAACUAAUUAAUCUAUUUUUUCUAUAUAAACCCUAACUUUUUUUUUCCCUGAAUAUCAACAAGAAAACUAUUUAUAGAGAAUUACUUACCUCAACUAGUUAAAUUAUGACCAUUUUGCAGUAAAGAAUCAGCUCUCGCCGCCGAUUAUGUGGCGACGAACUAGGCUUCUCUUUCUCAGUUGUGGUAGCUUCCCCUUCUCAAGGUUAGUUUGCUCGUGUUGAAGUUCGAUUUACCAUGUAUGGAGAAUGAAUAUUUGUUUCGGUAGAUGUGAUGCCGGUGAGUAGGGAUGGCAAUGGGGCGGGGUGGGGGUGGGGAUGCCUACCCCAUUCCCCACCCCAUUAAAAAUUUUUGCCUCCACUCCCCACUCCAUUCCCCAAUAAAUUUAGUGGGUUGGGGAUGGGGAAUCCCCACGUGGGGAAUGAUUCCCCCAUCCCCACCCCAUUCCCCAUUUACUUAUUUUAUAGUAGAUAUAAAAAUAUGAUUUCAGUAAAUUAAAAAUUAGAGACUUAAAAUAAAAUCAUUAUCAUAUUAUAAAGUAUUUAAUUUUUUUUUUAAAUCUCUAAAAGUUUGAAACAAUAUCUUAAACUGAUAUUAAAAGUGAAAAAUAUUUAAAGAGAGCAGCACCUUAAAAGAGAAAAGAAAAUAUAAUAAUAUUUUAAAAUUAAAAAAUAUUGUAGGGUUUUCUUUUACUAUCAUGUUUAUAUUACAUAAAAAUUAAAAAAUUAUUAAUUGACAUUAUAGUUGAUAAAAUAAAAAUUAUUAACAUAAUUAUAUAUAAUGGGGAUUGGGGUGGGAAUGGGGUGGGGAGUGCAAUACCAAACCCCACCCCGUUAACAAUUUGGGGAUUAUUUUUCUCCCACUCCCCACCCCAUUCUCUAAAAAUUAUUAAAAAUUUUUCCCAUUUGGGGUGGGGCUCCAUGGGGCCCCAAACCCGUGGAGGAUUUUGCCAUUCCUACCGGUGAGGGAAUUGCAGAGGUGAUGCCGAUGAGGGAAUUGCAGUGUUUAUUUGUUUGAGUUUGAUAAUGGAGGGAAUUGCAGCAGAUGAGUGUUUGUUUGCUUCAGUAGAGAAGGGAGAGGUGCUGUCCGUUGAGUUGAAAUGUUUUAAAAUGAGGAUACCUUAGUAAUUUCCUAUCAGUUUUUAAAGGGUAUCGAUGAAAAUUUUGGCAAAAACAGAUUUUUGGGUAUUAAGAUAAUUUUUGAAGUAUGGAGGUGUACCGGGCGCAAUUGGCUCCCUUAUCAGUGCGGUUAAGCCGAAUAAUAUAUCAAAACGAAGCUCUCCAUAAGCUGAGCUUUCUGCCACAAAAUUAUUGUUAUCGGAGUCCCUAGGCGUCGACAAUUGCCACCGAAAAACUUUGGUUUUAAGGGAUAGAAAUGCAUCACGAUCGGGUCGGGUCAAUCCGAAUUCCUACCCGAUUGUUGAGCCUGAUUCAGGCCACAUUACUGGCCGUGGAGGGUACCAAUCAAACCGCCAAAAGUCACCUGUCAUUCUCCAAGUCAUCAUGGUUGCCGGAAAUGACUGGAAAACCGCCGAACGAAGCUCGAAUAUCCGCAACAAAUCGACCCAAAUCGGCAUGAUAUCGCCGAUUUCAGGCCACGCCACCACCUGGGCUUUACUCCUCAUGUCGUCCUCUUUAAUAUUUGACUGAAAACCGGUGCCAAAAGCCACUGGUUUGCCACAAAUCAAGCCACCAAGUUUCACGAUCGUUGGGGCCCGAUCCACUGCCGUAGCAGCGCGUCGGAGCUCACUGUCGGUAUCUUUGGAUUCAGCACGACCUGAAGUCUCUAUCUCGAGCUUCUAAGCCACCGGGGCUUGAUUUCCGGGCACCGUUGAAUGGUUAGGGUAGUUUGGUAAUUUCGAAUUUUAAGGGCAUUCUGGUAAUUUCAAAUUUUCGAGGUUAAUAUCUUUUAGAUCCCUAAAAGUUAUUUAAAUUAUGAUAAAAUCCACAUAUAUUUUUAAUGGUGUUAAAAAAAAUUAGGGAAAUUAUCAGACAUAUACCUUUAAAUGACACUAGUAUCAAACGUGUUACAACACUUUUCAAGUGUAUAACUCGUAUAUCGUAAGUUGACAAAACACUUCUGCCGUCCACCAAUCCGUUAACUACCAUUUACAAGCGCUGACAUCAUAAGGGUAAUCUAUUUUUUUUAAAAAAUGACAUGACAUCUCAUUUACCUAGUAAAAAAUGACAUGUUAUAUGAUAUAUAUUGAUAAAAAUGACAUGUCAUAUGAUAUAUAUUGAUAAAAAUGACAUGUCAUAUGAUAUAUAUUGAUAAAAAUGACAUGUCAUCCCAUUUAUCGAAUAGUUGUUCAUAAUUGCUAAAAAAAAAAAAGCUACUUUACAACCGAAUCUACUCCUCCAAACUUAACCUAAAUUUUUGAAGAUUUACUCCUCCAAGCUCCAACUAAAAUUUUUUAUGGUAUAGUAUAUAUAAUUAUAAAUAAUAUGUUGUUAAUAUUUUUUUAUGGUAUAAUAUAGAUAUUUUUUACAAAUAAUUGUUAAUAAUAUGUACCAUUAAUAAUUCAUAUAUUUUUUAAUAAAAAAAUGUAUUGUUAUUAAAAAAAUUUAAAAAAAUUGUGUAUUGAAAAUUUAUAUUAAUUUUUUAGGUAAAUUUAUCUUUUUACCUCAUUUUGAGUUUUAAGGGCGAAAUAGUCAAUUUGCCAUAAUUCUGUUAACUUUCUAACGGAAGUUAACGGAUUGGUGGAUGGCAGAAGUGUUUUGUCAACUUAGGGUAUAUGAGUGAUACACUUGAAAAAUAUUGUAACACGUUUGAUACGAAUAUCAUUUAAGGAUAUAUGACUGAUAAUUUUCCUAAAAAUUAUUAAAGUCAUUCAAUGUACAUUACUUAUUCAUUUUUUUAAUUAUCAAAUGACAUUGAAAACUCUACUCAAUAUUAUUUCAUUCAAAUGUUUUGUUUUAAAGUAAUCGGAAACUGCAAAUGAAACAAAAUAACAAAUGCUUGAAAUCACAAACGGCCUAAAAUUAGAUUUUUUUUUUAAUGUUACAGUGACUUUGAUCCUGAUAUUAAAAUAAUCUGAAAAUAAUUUGGAAUUUUGGGGAUUUUGAAAUUUUUUGGUUUUGUUUGAGUGCAAUUUCCUCUAGUUACAGUUUCAGUAAGAAGGGUUAAGUGCAAUUUCGAAUUUUUUAUAAAAUUUAAAUUAAAAUUCAUAAAAAGAUUGGGCAUCUAAUCCUAAAUUGAUGGCUAGCGAUACUACAACGGCGGCUGCAGCUCCAGAAAAAGCAGAGGCGGUGGAGGAGUAUGAUAGGGAUCCAGAUGAAAUGAAACGCUCUCUUGUGAUGCGCAGAAGGGAAGCCACUGAUGAGGAGGAGGCGGAGGAUGAGAGAGAUUCAGAGCUUCCAAUCGCUCAAAGUGUGCAUAUUCCUGCGGGAGAGGCGGAGGCUGUGGAUAAGUAUGAGAACGAUCCAGAUGAAGUGAUACACUCUCUCGUUCUGCACAGAAGGGAAACAAGCGAUGAGGAGGAGGAGGAGACAGAAUUUGAGCGUCGAAUGAAUUGAAGGCUCCAGAUUCACUCUUACGAUGAAUCUGAUGGCCAAGGUGGUGCUUCAGCUGAGUAUGAUGAUGAUGAUGAUGAAGACGAAGAGGAACAUGACAGAAUUAGAAGAAGAUGAUGAAGAAGGGGAUGUUUAUGAGGAUGAAGAGGAAGAAGAAGUUUAUGAAGAAGAGGAGAGGAAUGACGGGGCGGUUAAAGUCAAAGGAAUAGAGGGUAAUGAUGCAAGAGGAGUACGAAGGGGGCAGUGGAAGUGAGUAAAAGGAAUAAUGAUAAUGGCAAUGGUGCUAAAAGAAUGAUGUAGUGGAGGGAAUGGAGGAAGAGAAGGAGAGUAAUGAGCCUUUUGUCUCACGUUAACCCUCACCUCUGUUUAUUUCUCUUUCUUUUCUUUUAACCCAAUUUUUACUUCAAUCUUCGUUUUUCUUCUUCCCCCAAAAUUAAACAGCGAUUACAUUCCUCAACAGCUACAAAGAAAAAAAGCCACGGCACUUUCAAGAUACCGAAACAUACCCACAUUUACUAAACAAAAGAGAUUUAAUUUAAAAAAAAUUGCAGAGCGGAUUAAGCACUGACCAAGUGAAAAGCUGACCAAGCGAAGUAAGAGCAAUAGAAUGAACUCCACCAAGAGCAAUACAACGAACAUGAUCAUCCAAAUAAGGAUUCAAAGUAGGCACAAACGCAGCAUCCUCAUGCCCAAAUCCAAGCCGCCCGCCAUCUCCUUUGCCCCAAAUCCACAACUUCCCGUUCACCACCAACCCAGAAUGAAACAACCCACAUGAUGAAGAAUUUGAAAAGCGCUCUGAAGAAGACGAAUCACGAGUUCUCAGAGGUAAAAUUCCUGAUCUUUCUAUGUGGUUAACUCCUGAAUCAGUCGAUUCUUGGUUUCAAUUGGUUCACUGAGUUAGGUGAUUUUGUCUUACGUCUGAUGCAGGGAAGGAGCUUGGCUGAAGGUCACAACUCACGAGUUCGAUUUUUGCUUUUGGCUGAAGGUCACGACGAGCAGCGGCCAGCGGGAACAGAAGAAGUUAUGACGAGCAGCGGCCAGCGGGAAGUCGGGAACCGAAGAAGACAGAAGUCAGAAGUUUAGAUUUAGAUUUUAGGCUUUUAGGUUUUAACUUUAGCUUUCAAAUCGGUUUAUUUGUGAUUUCGGUUCGGUUUUGCGGUUUUUUUUAAAUCAAAAACUGAACCGAUUGGUUUUACUGGACCCUUUUUUAUAUUACUAUUUCGGUUUUUUAGAGGUAAAAAAAUCGCACAAAAACCGAACCGAACCGAUCGAUUCGAUUUUUAAUUAAUCAAUUUUUUUUGCCCAUCUCUACAGCUAGGUACGUAUUGGUGUUUGUGGAUUUCUAAAUGCUUUCUGUCAAAUGUGACUAGAUUAUUAUUAGAAGUCUAUGGAUCUUACACUUAAUUAAUUAUAUAUCCAUUUAUAAUAUUCAAAAUGAUAAUGUACUAUUGCUUAAAAUUAUGCUUUCAAGACAUCAUUAUGAAAAUCCAUGGUUGUAAUGUGUUUCUAAAUUCAGUAAUACAAGUUCUGUCAAUUACUGUUGGAUGCAGUGACCUGAAUAGUUUAAUAUUCAUUUGCAGAAAAAAGUUGAGAAAGAAAACUAAAAAUUUCCAUGCGUUCUGCUAGAAAUUUAAUUAGCUUCAUUUGAGCAUUAAUUGCCGGCAUGAUCUCUUAGACUUCUCUUGCAUUGAAUGAAUGAAUGAGUGCUAAUCCAUGCAAAGACUUCCAUGCAUGCACAAUGAAUGCUAAAUCUAAGGUAUGGUAAAAUGUCAGCAAGCUUGGCCCAAAUUAUCAAGCUGGUUUGGUGGCUGCUAGAUUUGUUCAUCCGGAUUUUGGACCAUUUUCCUUGACAAUGAGAAAAGCUCCAAGAUCUGUAAAUUGAAGACUCACUGAAAGCUCCAAGUUUCAGGUAACUCUUGAGUUGUGUGCUGGAGUAUUCUCUAUUGUAUUUUGUUUGUUUGUUAUUUAUUUGAUGUAUUGCUAGCAGGGAUCUUAGGUGGGAACCAAAAAUUCUCAAUAAUUAUCAAUUGUUUUAAACUCUAUUCUGAACCGAGCGUGAAGGGAUUCACUUAUCUAAUUAUGUCUUUUAUGCUUUAAAUUCAGUUGAUUUCAUCUUUUCCGUCACCUUUAUUAAAGUUGUAUAUGUUGGAGUAUUAGGUUAAUCAUAAGGAUCAUAUUAUGGCUAAGGAAGGAGCACAGUUUAUCAGCUGCACUCAAGUGUAGCAGAGUAUUUGGGGCUGAUGCUACAAUACCUGCAUGUAUGUGAUACAUGCAUAAAAGAUGACCGUUGGAUUGAAUAUAAUGAAUCCAACGGUUGAGAUGAGUUUAAUUAACAAAUAAUUAAAAAUUUUCACAAAACCUGAAACCUAUAGAAACGGUAACAGGCACACAUCCCAACUGGCUAUAUAUAUUUGUGGGAAAAAAAAAAGAAAAAGAAAAAGAAAAAAGCUCUCACCUCACGCAAAGCUAGUUCUUCUCUUCUCUUCUUCUUCGACAAUGGUGAACGGCACGAUGAACGGCGGCAUAGCUAAUUAGUAAUUCCUCUCCUCUUCUGCUUCCACAACAGUCAACGGCGGCAUAGCUUCCACAACAGUCAGCGACGGAUUUGAUUUUCAGGUAUUUUGGUUAACUCUAAACUGAUUUCAUAGCCUUUCAAUUCUUUUUUUUGCUAAUUUUUUUCUUUUUUUGCCCACGCUGCAGAAUCCUUGUCAGUAAACAAACCCUCACAGCCACCAGCCACCACUGACAUGCAUGAACGUCCAAUCUCUUAGCCGCAAUCGCUAUUCUUUGUCGACGUCGCGAAGAAAUUGGGUAUGAUGUUGUUAAUCAAUUACACAUGCUACCAAAAAAUUGUAAGAACCAAUUUUUUAAAUUUUGUUAAUAUGAUUAUGAAAUUGGGCUUGCUUUUGUGUGAAAUUUUAGGGUUUGUUUGCUUUUGGAUGAAAAUUAAAAAUCAGAUUUUGAAAUUGUUUGUUCCUCAUUUUGUUGAGAUAUAUCUUGUCUUCGUUUAUUGAUUUGUGCAUGUCUGGAUAGAUAUGCCAACCUAAUCGAAUGCUUAUUAAAUUCAAUGAAAUGUGAUGCAUGGCCUUAAGCUUGCGGUGAAUAGCUUUAUUCGACAUAUAUAUUUUGGAAAUUAGUUUUCUUUUGUUUGAUUUAUUUUGCUUUAAAAAAAAGAGCCUAGUCAAAAUAAGUUUAUUUAAAAGUGGAUGGCAUUUGAUUAAAAGAAGAGGUAAGAUUUAAAGCCCUCCAAGUGUUUGAUAAAAUAUCUAAAUGAAACUUCAUGUUCUUAUUUUCCUUUCGCAACUGACUUAGGUUCUUCGUAAUCAAGGUGAAGGUGCUAUAGUGUUAGUAUUGGCACCUACUAGAGACUUAGCCGAUCAAAUUCAGGAAGAGGCUUUUAAAUUUUGGUCGUGCGCAAGUGUUAUAAAUACUUGUGUUUAUGGUACUGCUCCUAAAUGAUCUCAAAUAUUCGAAGAGGUGUUUUGAAUUCUUUUUUGGAGAAUUUAAUUGUUUUUAGAUUAAAAUUACAAGUCAAGUAUUUUUAUUUGGUGUAUCUUCCUCUUUAACUACAAUAUGAAAUUGGAGAAUUUGAUAGAACUUUAAUCAUUUGUCUAUACUUUACUAUUGCUUAAUUGUAUCAUAAGAGUGUGUUAAUUUGCUCUGUAAUUCUUUCAAGAUUCUUGAGCUAUAGUCUUUAUAUUUAUAAUUUGUUUUGAUAAAUUUCUCUUGGUUCUUUAAUUUUGAUCUAUUCCCCACUUUAAAGAUAUUUUAUUUUAAACAUAAGAUGUCAUUAAUUAUAUUGAUUUAAUCUUACAGGGUGAUGAGCUAAAUUAAUUAAUUAUAUUAUAUGUAGAUUUUAGUUUGCUCAAUAAUGGUAUACUAGGAAUGCAGUUUUAUUUUAAGCAUAAUAUGCAAUUUGUUUUGCUAUUGUUUAUGCAUAAAAACAGCACCUGAAAGUUUCCAGGUGCUGCUUAGCUGCUGUUAUGUAAUAAACAUAAACACAACACAUGGAAACUUUGGGGUGUUGUUUAUGCACAAAAAUAGCAUGUAGAAGCUUGAGGCGCUGCUUAGCUGCUGUUAUGUAGCAAAAACAAAACAUGGAAGUUUCUAGGUGCUGCUUAGCUGCUGUUAUGCAGCAAAAACAACAGCCGGAAGUUUCUAGGUGUUGUUUUGUUGCUGUUUGUGCAGAAAAACUACACUUGGAGAUUUCCAGGUGCUGGUUAGCUGUUGUUAUGCUGCAAAAACAACACCAGGAAAUUUACCGGUACUGUUUUACUAAUGUUUGUGUAGAAAGACUUUAACUGUUGCUUUAUAUACCUAUAAUUUGUAUUUCAAUAUGAUCUCCAUUUUGCUUUUAUUGUUUAAUUUUUAAAAUGGGAAGAUUCCCUUGUAUUUUAUCUCAAAUGCAAUUUUGUCUAGUAAUCGUUCUUGGGAUUAUAUCUUCUUUUACUUGUUUUUAGGGUGCGGCUCUCAGUUUCAAGUACUACCAACAUUGUUUCCCUUCCAUGAAAGAAUCUGUAGUUUUACCCAGUUAUGAACUGAGUUAGCCAUUGGUUAUUAGCAGUUUCUGGACAAGGAGCAAGAAGAUACCAAUGAGGACCUGGAUUUCAGAAGCAAUUCUCUUAUUUUUCUUUUAUUUUAAAUCAUUAGCAUUUUCUUUUUCUCGUUUGGUUUCAGAUAUUGGUGGUAUUGGGUAGUGGGUUUGUUUCUCGAAUCAUCAUGAUACCAAAUGUAAUUGCAAACAGCAGGGUCUAAAAUUUAUACGACCUGAUGAUUUGUCCUAUAUUUUUUUACUGAUGUUUGCUUAAUUUUCUUUUCCUUUUUGUUUUUUUAAGUGAUCUCCAUAAUUAAUCAAGAACCAAAAUAUCAAGUUUGUUAAUCUUUUAAUUUAAUAGUAUUUUGAGAAUUAUUGGCUUCCAUCUUACAUUAAAAUAAUCCCUCAAUGAAAAAUCAUUGUUUUAGCAUUAAAUUUAAUUUUGCAAUAUGUAAAUUACCAGAAUAAAAUUUUCAAAAUUAAAAAUUUUUUGUUAGAAGAAUUAUAAUGUUAUAUUUUAUAUAUCUAAAAAUUAACCAAAAAAAGUUUGUGUAUUUUAAAGUUAUAAUAAAUGUACCAUUAAAAAAAUCUAUAUCUAUCGUAAAAUACGAUUUUAUGAAAUGAGUUAUUAUGAAAGCUUAUGGACAAAAUAGAAAAUAUUUUAGAAAUUAACAAGUAUUAUUUGAAAUUUUGGAAAAUAGGUUUGAUUGAGUUUCAUAAUGUUUUUAAUAAAAUUGUAAUUUUUGGGGCACAAACGGCGAACUGCUAACACUUAAAUUGGCUAAUUGAUUCCAAUUUGGAGAGUUUUCAGAAUUAAAAAGGCGAACCACUAACUUUAAAUGGCAAAACGACUACGGUUGGGUGAGUUUAUUGUAUGGUGUGCGUUGAUCAUCCCCGAUCCUCCGAGUAAGAAAAUGUGCUAGUUCUUCCAUGUAAUAAGAAACUUAGUGGUAUUUGGGUUGGGUUUUUAAAGCAUUUAAUGUCACCAUUAAUGAAAGGAUUUGGUUGGUUUCUGAGUUGGUGUACAAAUAAAUUAACUGCGCUCAUAUGUUACGUAGAGCUAAAUCGACUAGUCUGUAGUGAAAAGGCGGUUAGCCAUUUGGAGUUGCAUGCUCUCUGGAAUGAAAGAGGCUAGCCUCUUUGUAGGAAACAAGUAGCCCUUUUCACGCCAGAGAGCAUGUUUCUCGAAAAGGGCUAGCCGUUUCCCACGAAGAGGCUAGUCCUUUCACUUCGCAUGCUCUCUGGAAUGAAAAAGGCUAGCCUCUUCGUGGGAAACAGCUAACCCUUUUCACUCCAGAGAGUAUGUUUCCCGAAAAUGGUUAGCCAUUUCAAUAAAGAGGAUGGGCGUUUGGAGUUGUAUGCUUUCUGGAUUGAAAAAGGUUAGACGCGAUAAAGCAAACGGCUAGCCCUUUUUACUCCAAAAAGCAUUUUGAUCGAAAACGGCUAGCCGCUUAUUUUAAAGAGGCUAGCCGUUUUCGAUCCAGAAUCUGUUACAUUUGUAAUGGCUAGCCUCUUUAACAAAAUGGCUACCUGUCUCCCUCACUAUUCAACUUCAACCCACGACCACCUCUCUCACCGUCGCAUGAAAUUCACGGCUUCUUCAGCCAUUAACGAGAAAAUAUACAACUCCUCAUCAUUUUCCUUCAUUUACGCAUCUAAAUUUCAUUAGCUAAAUACUCUUUAACCCUAUUUCACCGAAAAACCCAAUUAAAAACCCUAGGUUCGGCCGAGGUUGUUUCUCUAAAAUUGAGUCCUUGUUCACUUCUUAUUGCUGAAAUUACUCACCCACAUUGAUUUUAAACCCAUUUGCGUGCUAUUUAAUUGGUUCAUCUUGACCCAAAACACAAUAUUUGUUAUUCAAAGAAAGAUUUUGGUUUCCAUGGCAGGUGGUGAAACUUCUCGGGGGAAGCAAGGGAAACUAAAGGAACAUUACAUCAUUAACUUGAAACAAGAGAUAAUUUUCAUGGCAGGACCAUUAACUUGAUACCUGGACCACUAAACUUGAAACCUAGGGCAAUAAACAUGAAACAUGAGAUCAUUAACUUGCAACCUGAAAAUCAUUUACUUAAUGGACUAAUAAAUAUGAAAUCAUGACCAUUAACUUGAUACAUCGGCUAUUAAACAUGAAACCAAAAGAACUUGAAACUUAGGGCAAUAGACAUGAAACAUGUUAUCAUUAACUUGCAACCGUGAAAAUCAUUUAAUUAACGAACUUGAAACUUAGGGCAAUAAACAUGAAACAUGAGAUCAUUAACUUGGAACCUUGAAAAUUAUUUAAUUAAUGGACCAAUAAAUAUGAAAUCAUGACCAUUAACUUGAUAUCUAGACCAUUAAAGGUGAAACCAAUGGAACUUGAAAAUAAUGGCAAUAGACAUGAAACAUGUUAUCAUUAACUUGCAACCAUGAAAAUCAUUUAAUUAAUGAACUUGAAACUUAGAGUAAUAGACAUGAAACAUGAGAUCAUUAACUUGCAACCAUGAAAAUCAUUUAAUUGAUGGACCAAUAAACAUCAAACUGUGACCAUUAACUUGAUACCUCGACCGUUAAACUUGAAAUCAAAGGAACUUGAAACUGAGGGCAAUCAACAUGAAACAUGAGAUCAUUAACUUGCAACCAUGAAAAUCAUUUAAUUAAUGGACCAAUAAACAUGAAACCUUGACCAUUAACUUGACACCUGAACCAUUAAACUUGAAACCAAAAGAACUUGAAACUUAGGACAAUAGAUAUGAAACAUAUUAUCAUUAACUUGCAACCAUGAAAAUUAUUUAAUUAAUGAACUUGAAACUUAAGGCAAUAAAUAUGAAACAUGAGAUCAUUAACUUGCAACCAUGAAAAUUAUUUAAUUAAUGGACCAAUAAAUAUGAAAACAUGCCCAAUAACUUGAUAUCGGGAACAUUAAACUUGAAACCAAUGAAACUUGAAACUAAGGGCAAUAAGCAUGAAACAUAAGAUCAUUAACUUGCAACCAUAAAAAUCAUUUAAUUAAUGGACCAAUAAACAUGAAACUAUGACUAUUAACUUGAUACCUCGGCCAUUAAACGUGAAAUUAAAGGAACUUGAAACUUAGGACGAUAAAUAUGAAACAUGUUAUCAUUGACUUACAAUCAUGAAAAUCAUUUAAUUAAUGAACUUGAAACUUAGCGCAAUAAACAUGAAAAAUGAGAUCAUUAACUUGCAACCAUGAAAAUUAUUUAAUUAAUGGGCCAAUAAACAUGAAACCAUGACCACUAACUUGAUACCUAAACCAUUAAACUUGAAACCAGUGAACUUAAAACUUAAGGUAAUAAACAUGAAACAUGAGAUCAUUAACUUGCAACCAUGAAAAUUAUUUAAUUAAUGGACCAAUAAAUAUGAAACCAUAACCAUUAACUUGAUACCUGAACCAUUAAACGUGAAACCAAAGGAACUUAAAACUUACGGCAAUAAACAUGAAACAUGUUAUCAUUAAUUUGCAACCAUGAAAAUCAUUUAAUUAAUGAACUUGAAACUGAGGGCAAUAAACAUGAAACAUGAGAUCAUUAACUCGCAACCAUGAAAAUCAUUUAAUUAAUGGACCAAUAAACAUGAAACCAUGGCCAUUAACUUGAUACCUGAACCAUUAAACUGGAAACCAAAGGAACUUGAAAUUUAUGGCAAUGAAUAUGAAACUUGAGAUCAUUAAUUUGCAACCAUGAAAAUAAUGAAAUUAAUGGACCAAUAAACAUGAAAUCAAAACCAUUAACUUGAUACCUAUACCAUUAAACUUGAAAUUCUUUUUUUAUUAUUAUAAAAAUAAUUUUUUAUUUUUAUGUGUCCUUUAAUAUUAAAAUAAUAAUUAUUUUAUUAUUAUUUUAUUUAUUAUAAUUGAAUAUUAUUAUAUUUAUUAUUAUUUAAUUCAUUUAAGGGGCAAAAACCGGUUGCUCCCAGUUUUUUUUUUUUUUUCCAUUGCUCUAUUUUCUUUCUUUUUUUAUUGCUUGCAUGUAUCACAUACAUGCAUGUACUGUAGCCGUGCCCAGUAUUUGGUUGUUACAGAUGCAAGGUUGUUGCUGUGUAAUUGUCAUUUGAGCUUAGAACCUUUGAGCUUAGAACCUUUAAAGUGUAUCAUACGUUUCUGUUACUUCUAAUACAAAUUUUCUCUAUUCCUUUUUCUUUCACUUUCUCUUCCAUUUUCAUGAUCGCCAAACACCAUCAAUCCAUGAUUUUCUAGAGUAUUAGCCGUCUAUUUCUACAUACAUAGAAUCAUUGUUUUAAGAAAUAAAGUACUCUGUCCUGUCCCCGUGGUCUCCUCGUUUAUUGACUUCUGAACUAGGCUAAAUAAAGGGCAAAUAAGAUAUUAGACCAGUGGGCCUAACGUGACAAGUUCUGGAAUUGUUUGCCUCUUUCUUUUCUCCACAAAUCUUUGGUUAAUUUUUAUGUUCCCUCAACUUUUUUCCCCUUUAGCACUAGAAUUCAUUUUUGAUACUUUAUGCAAAAAUUAUGAGGAAAAUGAGUCACUUUAGAACAUCAAUAAAUUUUUUUUACAUCCAAGAUAAAGACAAUUACACUUAGAUCACUCUUAUUUAGUUGAAUUAUAUGUAAUAAAAUUAGUUCAACAAAAUCUAACCCGUCAAUAUUCCAUAUCAUAUGAUUAACGUAUUUAAAAAAUCUUUAUUGUUCGGUCGCUUGUUUUAUAAUUCUUUUAUAUAAUAUCUUUGAAACUCAUCAUAUUGUUCUCAAUUCGUCUAAAUUAUUUUUUUCUUCAAACACUGCGGCAACAACCGGUAUAAAAUAGAAUGAACUCAAUUAAUGGAACUUUUUCUAGAUGCUUUCAUGGCAGAAUCUCAUUGGUCUAUUUCUCUUCGCACCCUAGGUUCCUCUAACAAACCUGCCUCUUAACUCUCAUGUCCGAAUUUAAACUUAAAAGAUGUUCCCCAUCCCACGUGUCCCCGAAUCUUCGUAUUUCCAAACAAACCCCUGCCAAAUUGAGAAGAGGAUGAUUCCUACAAAGCCACGUAAGUCAAGUGAUAGGAUGGCUUUUAUUACAAACUGUAUGAACGUUAUGGCCAUGGGACAUUGGAUAAAGCCAAUGGAAUGAAAAGCAAAAUUACCGACUAGACUAAAAUGAAAAUCCAACCAAUUGAAUCGGUUCAGUGUCACUGUAUAUAUAUAUAUAUAUAUAUAUAUAUAACACAACACAACUAUCAUAUUAACGAGGCACUGUUAAAUUCAUUCCGUGAAUAUUUUUCUUUCUUUUCAAUGAAUGUUUAAUAUGACAAACAAUUUGUCCCAUUGAGCACUGUUUUAGUCAUCAAUGAAAAUGAAUACUUCUAUAACAAAACAAUAAUUCCCUUGUUUAUUUGACACGCAAAGAAUUUUCUUGCUCAGCUCGGCGGCCAAUCCUUUAAAAUUUGUUGAAAUUCAGUUAAUUGAUGAACGAGACAUAACCGGUAAAUCGUUUAAUUUGUAUAAUUGAUAAAAAUUUGAACUUCAAAUGAUAUAGAUAGAAUGAUUAAUUUUUUUAAUAUUUAGAUAAUUGAUAUAUGUCAUGUUACUAUGAGUAAAAGAAUCAAGUGUCUGAUAGAAAACACAAUGUUUAUAUUUGUAUUAAAAAUUUUAAGUGCGAAUCUAUUUAGUGUAAGUUAGACAUAAAAAUAGUUACCAACUUGUCUUGUUUCUCAUUUUGUUUAAUUUUCCUAAUUUGAAUAACGAUUAAUUACGAGUCAAGGGUUUAUUAGAAAAAUAUGGUCUUCCAUUUACUAUAAAAUUAUGAAUACUUUGGCAAAUAAGAUAAUUAUAAACACCAUUUUUGAAAAUUCAUGGCCAUGGUUGUGAUGUGUCUUUAUCAAUCACACAUACAAAAGUUAAUCAAAAUUAUCGAUUGUUUUAAAUUCUGUUUUUAACAGAGCAUGAAGAUGUCAAUUAUCUAGAUUUACUUUUUAUGCUUUGACUUCACUUAAUACAGGUUCUUCCUCCUUUAUCUGUAUGCCAUGCCGGCAAGUGUAUUGUACAGAUUUCUAGAGUAUUACCUGUCUAUUUUUUUCACCGAUGACGAAGCUAAUUAUUAGUAAUCAAUCUAAAGUCUACCUAUAAAUACAAUAGGUUGCUUAGGUGGCACCAAUAUCCUAACUUUAUGCCAUGUUUCUGGUGUGUCUUCACAAAUUCACCGAUACAAAUUAAUUUCCACCAAUAUUACCAAAUGAUUGUAUUUUACGUUUCUAUUUACUUGUAAUAAAGAUCUUCAAUUUUAUUGGUUACAAAAUUCUCUAGGAUUGCAUGUACAUUAUACUUUUAUAUACAUAUUUUCUUCUUUCUCAUUCGUUUUCUGGGUGAACAUAUUAUUUUCGUCAUCAUCUCUAUAACAAUGAAGUGAAAAUAGUCCUCAUUUAAAGUAUUGACAGCAAUGUUAUACUCAAUAUAACGCAUAAAGCACGCAUAAUUUAAUUAAUGGGGUAGCUGCUAGUACCUUCUUUAGAAGAGAAUUAUUGCAGCAAGGUAAUUGGAAGCUCAAAGAGUUUCCGUAUUAGCCGAAUCUAAGCGAUAAGUGUUUCCAUGUGAGCCAUAAUUUGGGAAAAAGACCAAUUCGAGUUAAAGAUCAGAAAACAGACACUGUCAACAAGCAUUAAUAUCAUUUGAUGCAUGAAAGACAGUUAGUCCCAUUUUUUUGUCCGGUUUACUUGAGUUGGGCAAUUUGCCGUCAACUUUUCUCAUCCACGUCAGGUAAUGUGGCUUUUAUUUGGUAUGAAAAAGCCAAUGCUUUACGAUAAAACUGUCACACACAUAUUAUCCAUCUGUAAUGUUCAAAUGACACUGAAGUAUUACCUAAAUUAGGCUUUCAAAAAUUCAUUUUCAAAAACCCAUGGUUGUGAUGUGUCUCUAUAAAUUAAGAUCUAUCUGUUACCUACUGUUUUAACUCUGUUCUGAACAGAGCUUGAAAGGGUACAUUCACUCUUUUAAAACAAUUGUACUAUAUGUUCUGAACAGAGCUUGAAAGGAUUAGCAAUAACUACUGUUUUAUCCCUCUUUUUAAAACAAUUGUUCACUAGCUGCACUCAGUUGACAGAAUAUUUUGGGAUUCAAGACUGUUGGUUGUUACGGAUGCAACUUGCAAGGCUGUUGCCAUGCUGGCAAGUGUGCUGGAAAAUCAUGAGUUUGAUGAUGAAGAGGACGAAAAAUAUUAUUUUAUUAUUUAAAAUAAGACUAUCAAUUAUUUCCAUGGUCAUCUUUUUUUUUUUUAAUUAAUUGGCCUAAAUAUUGUAUUUUUUGUCAGGAGUCUUGCAAUGUUGCGUAGCACCGUAAGUAAGAAGAACUAGUGAACUUUAAAGCAUCAUAAAAUUGUUUCAACAUAAGUAAUUAGUUUGAAAAAUUGCCAAUAAUGUUUAAAGUAGGAACGAAAAGGUUAUACUAUAUGAGACACGAUAUUAUUUAAGACAGCUUACAAAUUAUGGGAAAUGUAUUGAUCUUACAAAUAAUAUUUAAUAAGUACAAAUUUCAAAUUAAAUAAUAAACCUUAAUUUCCUUUUAAUCAUAAUUAUGAUCUUAAUAAUUAAAGUCAUUCAAUCUUAAUCACUUUUUCAUUUUUUUAAACUACCUAAAUGACGUUGAAACUUCUAAUCAACAUUAAUUUUUUUGAAUGUUCUGUUUCAAAAUAAUUGAAAACUAUAAAUGAAACAAAUGCUUGCAAUCACAAAAGGCCUAAAAUGGGAUUUUUAUUUUUUAAUAUUGCAAUGACUUUGAUCUUGAUAUUGGAAUUUAUUUGUAACUUAUACUAAGUCUUCAAUUUUAUCAAAAUUAGUUUCUAAAGAUGCAUUUGCCAUACUGUGUAGUUGUAUUGUAUGAUGAUAUAUUACAUUAGGGUGCAUUGUAUUGAGCUGUAAUGCAAUACUAUUUUAUAUUAAUGUUAAAACUAAAUCAACCUUAUUUAAAUUUAUUAAUAUUUUAGGUUUUUAUUAGUAAUAUCUGAAAUUAAGUAUUAAAUAAUUAUUUUUAUAAUAUACAAAUUAUUUAAUAAUAUUCUACUAUUAAAUAAUAAAAUAUUACAAUAUUAUGUUAUAUUAUUAACAAUUAUUCUGUUAUAAUAUAAUUUAUUUUUAUAUAUUAGUUAUUAUAAUUUAUUAUAAUCAUAUUAUAAUAAUAUUAUAUUGUAAAAAUAUAAUACUAUAUAAUUGUAUAACAGAAUAUGAAUUAAUUUAUAAUUUAACAAUAAAUUAUAAAUUUAUUUUAUUUAUUAAUGUCAAAUAUAAUUGUACAGGUGUAGAAUUAUGAGGAGGAGGUGGAGAAAGAAUUUGAGCGUCGAAUAGGAUCUACAUGUACUCUUAAGAUGAAUCUGAUGGCGAUGGUGCUCCUUCAGCUGAGUAUGCUGAUGAUGAAUUAGAACAUGACAUAUAAUUAGAAGAAGAAGAUGAAGAGGAAGAAGUUUAUGAACAAGAGGAGAGAAACGAUAGGACAGUUAAAGUCGUUGGCUGCAGACUAUUAGAAGGUUGUUACAGAUGUAACGCUGUUGCUGUGUAACAGUAUGCCAUGCUGGCAAGUUUGCUAUAACAGAUUGCCAAGCUGGCACUAAUUAUUUUAAACUAAUAUUAGUAAUUAGUCUAGAGUGCUCUAAUUUAUUUUAUUCUAUAAAUAGCUCAUUUGAGCUUUGAACCUGUAACGUGUACUGUACUUUUCUAUUACUUCUAAUAAAGAUUUUCUCUAUUCUUUUUUCUUUCACUUUCUCUUCCAUUUUCCCGACCCUCAAACAGCGUCAAUCCUUGAUUUUCUACAGUAUUAGCUGCCUGUUUCUAUAAACAUAGAACUGGUCGUUUUAAAGGGCAAAUAAGAUGUUGGGCCAAUGGGCCCAACGUCACAGAUCUUGAAUUGAUUGUCUCUUCUUUUCUCCAUAAAUCUUCACUUAAUUUUUAUGCUCCCUCAACUUUUUUCCCCUUUUUGUGCUAAAUUUAUUUUUUUGAUACUUUAUGCAAAAAUUAUGAUGAAAAUUAAUUAGUUUAGAACAUCAAUAAAUUUUUGUUACAUUCAAGAUAAGGACAAUUACACUUAGAUCACUCUUAUUUAGUUGAAUUAUAGGUAAUAAAAUUGGUUUUAACAAAAUAUGAUUCUUAACCCUCGUAAUUAAAGGCUCGUGUUAUUUAGUUUAGUUAUAACACCAUGCAACAGGUCGUCUUGGUGGGUUCAAAUUAAUAUACGAUCAUUCUCAAUUUUUAAUAGUUCGUAAUUACAAAGUCCUAUAUCACAAUUAAAAUUUGCAAACAUGUCAAAGUAAGUUAAAUCAAAAUCUAUAAAUUUGAGGUCUACUACAAACUUCUGACAAAUUAAAAUUUAAAAUGAUUAAUUAAAUGCUAGACAAAAUUUAGCUUAUAAAUGUUCCCGACCACAUGAUGAAUGUACUUAAAACAUCCUAAUUCGUCACUAAUUGAUUGGUUGUUAUUUUUUCAAUUUCUUUUUAUAUAUCUUUGAAACUUCUAGUUUCGUUACAUGUUAUUCUCAAUUCGUGUAAAUUAUUAUUUUUAAAUAUUAGAGCAACAACCAGUAUAAAAAUAAAAUGCACUCAUCUAAUGGAAAUUUUUCUAGAUGCUUCAAUGGCAGAAUCUCAUUGGUCUAUAACUCUCACACCUUAGAUUCAAGAUUCAAUUUCAAACCAACGCCGAACAAACAGUUUAAACCUUAAUAAGUCUGUGGCUGUAGCCCAACAAACCUACUUCCGGCUCACCGAAUAAUCAUCUCUUACGUCGGAAUUUAAACUUAAACAAAGCUGCGUCCCACAUGUCCCCAACUUUCUUCAUAUUUCCAUAAAACCCCUACCAGAUCCAGAUAAUUACCUUCACUCUUCUCGUAUAAAUAGAGAAGACAACGAUUCCCGCAAAGCCAGGUGAGUCACGUGAACGUUACGGCCAUGGGACAUACGGUUCUCAAUUGGUCUAAUUAUACUGUAAAUUGUUUUUUAAAUAUAAAUAAAAUGAAUUUAUUUAAUGGAAAUUUGAAAAAGGGACACUUAUCUACGAAAGCAAAGUUGCAUUCUCUUUGUGGGGACCCUAAAAAAAAAAAAAAAGAGAGCCAGAAUGAUACACCGAUGACGAUAAUCCUUAAGCUUAAGCAUUAAUUUUCUUUGCUUACAAUUUGGUUUGAAGGGUUAAGUUCAAGUUCGAAUUGGUACACUGAUGAUGAUGAUGAUGAAGAGGGGGAUGUCUUUGAGGAUGAAGAGAAAGAAAGUUCUAAAAAAAAAAUACAGCUUUGUGGAAAUUAAAUUAAAAGCAACUAAUUAAGCAUUAUAAAUUACUUAACAGAGUAAUGCUGAGCUAAUUAAAUUUGUUUUUGAAGAAGGUAUCUUUAAAUCUCUUGGAGUUAAAGAUAAAUAUCAUAUCACCAUAUCAAGCGGACCAAUUAAAAAAUAAAUUUAAAUAUUAUUUAAAAUCAUUUAAAUUUAACUUAAUAUAAUUCAAUCUAAUAUUGUACCAAACAUGCACAAUACUAUAUAUAAUCCAGUCUAAUCAAAUUCAAUCUUAAUAAAUAAUACAAUCCAAUCUUGCGAGACAAAAUUGGCCUAAGGGUACCAAUUGCGCAAUAAUCUUUGUAGCCCGUUUCCCAGCCACGCACCCUUUUGUAUUAGUAUUCUCACAGCCAUUGGAAUUAUGGCUCGUAAUCCAAUAAAUGACAUUAUAUGGCUGUUGCUUGCUAGUUUUUGUAAGGUGGCCAAGGCCUUUUAUCAAACACUAUAGGAUCAACAAGUACAAAAUGAAUUCAUUUGGGAUGAAUUAUGAUGUAUUGCAUUAACAUGCAUUAUAUUAAGUUAUAAUGUUAUAUUUUGAUAUAGUAUAAAUUGUAUUAUAUAAGGUAAUGUUUUAUAUUAAUGUUAAAACUAAAUUAAUAUUAUUUAAAUUUAUUAAUAUUUUAGGAUUUUAUUAUUAAUUUUUUAAUUAAGUAUUAAAAAUUAUUUUAUAGUAUAGAAAAAUUAUUUUAUAGUAUAUAGACUAUUAUUAAAUGAUAAAAUAUUAAAGUACUAUGUUAUAGACUAUUAUUAAAUAAUAAAAUAUUAAAGUACUAUGUUAUAUUAUUAAAAAUUAUUAUAUUAUAAUAUAAUUUAUUUCUAGAUAUUAAUUAUUAUAAUAUAGUAUAAUCAUAUAAUAAUAUAAUAUAAGUUAAUAUUAUAUUGUAAAAAUAUAAUACUGUACAAUUAUUUAAUAUAACGUAAAUUAAUUUAUAAUAUAAUAUUAAAUUAUAAAUUUAUUAAAUUAAAUUAAAAUACUUUUUAUGUAUUUAAAGUAAAAUAAUUAAAAUAAUUUAUGUAAUAGAAGUAUGAUAAUGUAUUAUCAUUUUCUCAUUAAAUAUUUUAGGUUUAUUAAUUUGUUAAAUUAUUAUUGAAAUUAAAAUUAAUUUUUUAAAUGUAAAUAUAAAUAUAAAUGAAUGUUUAAUAAAAUCUACUCCUAGGGAUCUAUUUUAUACACUUUUUAUUCUCUAAAUCACGCAUAAUGUAGUUGUAUAAUAGAAACUGGAUAUUUAAUGGAAGCAAAAUUGCGCACGGUUUGUGGGUCUGUCAAAAUAUGAUAAAAAGACCAACAUGAUACACUGACUCUGUCCUCUUUAAUAUUUUUCUAGAUGCUUCCGUGGCAUAAUCUCAUUGGUCCAUUUUACUUCACGGCUUAGAUUCAACUUCAAAAAUCAAUUUGAAGCACACACAACAAUUCAACAAAUAUAAUAAGCGUCGAUAAACUUGUAGCUGACUGGCUGUGGCCAAGCAAAAAUGUACCUCAUGGUUACCGAAGGGUAAUUAUUAGAAAUCUCCCCUAAGGUUUGGCGUAUUUUCAGUUUGAUAGAUUGUAUUCGUGUAUUUUCAAAAACCUCCCCUGACAUUGAUAUACUGUUAAUUUGACCGUUUGUUGCAUGAUAAAAUGACAAAUAUAACCCUAAUUCAAAAAAGGGUAAUUAUCAUAAAAUUCUGUUGUAGCCUUAUAGGAAUAGAAUUUAAAAUUCUGUUGCAUCUCCUGUACCAAAUACUAAUUUGCUGGCUAUAUAUAUGGGAAAUGGCAGCUUCAUCAUCUCAUUUCUUUGACGUGAGUAGUGUAACAUUAUCUAAAUUCAAAAGUAUUUCUAUCACUUGUGUAAAAAACAACCUACUAAAAAAAAAACAAAAUCUUCACCAAGAUUGAAAGAAGUUUGAUGAAGAAAGCUAAGCAAUGAGGCAAAGUGCAAAAAGCUUCCUUCUAAUUCUGCGAUAUUUGACUCAAAUCUUUUCUUUGUUUCAUUCAUCAAAGUCAUUUUGGAAAGUAACAGGGAUGAUUUGGUAUUUUCAUUCCUUGGUGCCAGAACAAACAUGCUAGUACGAACCAACAAUUUUUUAUUUUCAGUAUACAAACUAUGUUUUUUGAAUUAGGGGAGGCAUCUGAAUUAUCCUCACCAACCAAAUUAUACGAAACGGUAUACUAAUGUUAGGGGAGGCAUCUGAAAAUAGGUGAAUACAAUCUAUCAAACUGAGAAUAUGCUAAACUUCAGGGGAGGUUUAUGAUAAUUACCCGGUUACCGAAUCAUAUCUUACGUCAGAAUUUUGAACUUAAACAAUGUUCUCAUUCCACGUGUCACUCUCUAACCAGUCCCCAAACUUUUAUCAUAUUUCCAAAGAAACCCCUACCAAAUCAAGGUAAUUACCGUCACUCGGCUCAAAUGAAUAGUCUCCUCGAUUCAACUGAUGACGACAUAUCCUCAUAGCCUUUAUUUAGAAGGGGAAAUUAUAAAAAAAUCCCCUCGUUCUCUAAAAAUAUGGGGUUUCUCAAGAAUAGCUAAACCUACAUCCCAAUCCUGAAAAAUCUCAAUUUAACCUCUCUAGGGUUUCGAUUGUUGAUGAUUCGCUUCAAAAUUUUGUAUUCUUUUAGUGGAUUUUGCUUGUCUCGUAUCCUUCAAUUGUUAGUUCAGUUCUGAUAAUAAUUUCGAAAUUUUUUAUACAAUAUAAAUUAAUUUAAAUUAAAAUUGAUAGAACAAUUGGGCGGUUAAUAAUUAAUUGAUGGCUAGUGAUACUACAACGGCGCCCGCGCCCGCAGCUCCGGAAAAAGCGGAGGCGGUGGAGGAGUAUGAUAGCAAUCCAGAUGAAGUGAAACGCUGUCUUGCGACGCGCAGAAGGGAAGCCAGCGAUGACGAGGACGUGGAGGACGUGGUGGAGGAGUACGAGAGCGAUCCAGAUGAAGUGAAACACUCUCUCGUGAUGCGCAGAAUGGAAGCAAGCGAUGAUAAGGAGGAGGAGGAUAAAGAAUUCGAGCGUCGAAUGAACCGUAGGGUCCACAUUCAUUAUUACGAUGAAUCUGAUGGCCAAGGUGGUGUCCUGCUGAGAAUGAUGAUGAUCAUCUCUCUCGACCAGUUCAGGUUCAAGGGAAGGGUGCUCGAGGGGUACUUGUCUUGUUUAUCAUUUUUGUUUAAUUUUCAUAAAUUCAACGACCCACAAUUCAAUUAUGAGUGAAGAAUUUGUUAAAAAAAUGUGGUCUUCCAUUUACUAUAACUAAGUCCGUGUGAUGUAAUUAUUUUUCUGUCACUUAAUGUCUUGAAAAUUAUGAAUACAUUGUAGGAUUUAGAAGGAUUUUAAGUUUUAAUGCAUAUGGGUUUUUUAUGUCCGUCCACUUAUGCGUAUACUGCAUUUUAUGAUUAUCGUAGUUGGUAGAUUGACAAAUGGACCUUAAUUACAAGUCAAAUAACCUAAAUACUUAUCGGCCAAAGGAAACCAUUUAUAGUACUUUCUAGUGAAGCAAAGUAAAAUGAUUCAUACUGGCAAAGAAAAUUAGAAAGAAAAGGAGGAUUACUGAUCCACACAGUGUCGUUUACUAAAAGUACGUUGAUCUUACACUUAAUUUAUUAUAUAUCCAUUUAUAAUGUUCAAAAUGAUAAUGUACUAUUUCUUAAAUUAGGCUUUCAAAACAUCAUUUUGAUAAUGCAUAGUUGUAAUGUGUCUCUAAAUUCAGUAAUACAAGUUAUUUCUGUUACUAAUGGAUGAAGUGACUUGAAACUUGCGUGGUCAUUAAAUGCUGGCAUAAUCUCUUUGACUUCUCUUGCAUUUGAAUGAAUGGAUGAGCGUUGCAUUUGAAUGAAUGGAUCAGUGUUAAUGCAGGCAAAGAUUUUCUGGACUUUCAUGGAUGCACAAUAAAUGCUACGUCAAAGGCCUGGUAAGAUGUCAGCAAGCUGGUCGAAGAUAUCAACCUGAUUUGGUGGCUGCAAGAUUUGUUCAUCCAGGACCGUUUUCUUUGACAAUGAGAAAGCCCCAAUGUCUAUAAAUUGAGAACUCACUGAAUUGUAGAGAGAGAGAGGAAAGUGAAUAACGGGAGAGGCAGUGAAAAGAGAGUGUGGGAAGAUUUGGGCGUAAUUGGGGUUUGGGUGUGAGAUAAAAUAAUCAGAGAGUGGUUGUAAUAAUUUUUUAUACGGUGAAAUUUUUUUGUCUCGUUGUUUUUUGCAGUGGUGGUUUUUUACUCUAAUAAAAUAGUCUUCCAAGUAAAUUUUGUGUGUUAUGAUUGGGAUAUUCACCAUUUUAGUUUUCUAUUUAUUAUUUGUUUUACAUAUUGCUAGCAAAAAUCUGGGGCGGGAACCGAAAAUUCCCAACAAUUAUUAAUUAUUUUAAACUCUGUUCUGAACAGAGCAUGAAGGGUUUCACUUACCUAGUUACGUUUUUCAUUCUUUCACUUCACUUGAUUUCAUCACAAGGAUCAUAUUCUGGCUAACGAAGGAGCAAAGUUCAUUGGCUGCACUCAUGUGUAGCAGAGUAUUUGGAUUCAAGACUGUUAGAAGGUCGUUACAGAGUAUUUGGAUUCACUCUCCAAUUUUCAUUAAUUUAGUGUAGAUAACGUGGUCAUGAAAACUUGAUUAAGAGUUUAAUGCAAUCAAAUCUACUUUAAUGAUUAUUUAAUGCACGGAGAUUUAACAUCAAUUAUCAUCACGUUAGUCUAACAACGAAAUUGCAGAGCUUGGAUCUUUACUCGAACAGUUUCACUGGCUCUAUUUCUGACACAUUGGGCAAGCUGAUGGAAUUGCAAUUCCUGUAUGAUCAUUUCCCCAACUAUUAUUUGAAUAAUUAUUUAAUGCCGUUCAUUCCAGCUCUGUUUGGCUGUUAACUUUAUUUAGUUAUAUAUGAGGAGAUUCAUUUCUCACCUGAAGCUAGAAAUUUACGGAUCAAUGACUUUUUAUUUUUUCUUUUAUAUGAUAGCUUGCAAUCCCUGGUGUGUGUUGAUAGAGCCUUACAUGAUUACAAAAAUGAAUUUUUUUUUGGGGGCCAAUUGCAGUUUUGAUAACAACUAAAAUCUGUGUGGCCCAGUUACCACAAAGCCUUGCUCCAGAUCCCUGCCAUUUUCUCCUCCACCUCCAUUUGGGGAAAUUACCACUUACUUUUUGCAAGUUUUUCGUGAAAUAUUUAUUUUGAGAAGAAAACCAACAAUACAUUUUAUGAUUUGGGCUGUUUCAAAGAUCUUCGCUUGAUGUCUCUGCUACUGGUUUUCAGCAGAGUGCCCAAAAAUAAUCAGUGCACGCACUAUAGGCUCUAUUAUUAUCAGUAAAAAGCAUUAAUGAUAUAUUGGGAUCGACUUUUUUAUUUGGGAGUGGAAGGAUGCUUGAAAGAGUAGAGUGGUGCAUCUUGUUCAAACAUGCACCGUAGAGAAAUUAGUUUAGGCUCUAACCAUUGUUAUAGUAGAGAAAAAGAAAAUUAAUCAAGAGUAAUUUUAUGACUUUUUAGAAAAUAGUGAAUUAAAAUAAUAAGUUAUAAUUUCAUAAUUAUCUUAAUUAAAAAAAUGGGGGUUUGAAAUAAAAUUAGUGAAUUUAAAUAGCCUGCCCAAAAUCCAAACUUGCAUAUCAAUUAUUUUCUAAUUUACAUAAAGUUUUUCUAUAUGUUUGAUAACAUUUGAUUCUCAAUUGGUCUAAUGGAGAAACAACCAGCAAAAAAAUAAAAUGAAUGCAAUUAAAUGGAAAUUUGAAAAGAGCAGUAGAUGACAUUUAUGUGCAAGCAAAAUGCAAAAUUGCAUUCUGUUUGUGGGAUCCUGGAAAAAAUAAAAGAAAGGAAACAGAGUAAGACGCUGGUACUGUGGGCUUUAAUAUUUUUCUAGAUGCUUCAAUGGCAGAUUCUCGUUGGUUCAUUUUUCUUUACGCCUUAGAUUCUAUGAUUCAAUUUCAAUCAAAUACGACAAACAAAAGAAGCUUUUAAGCCUGCAGCUCAAAAAGAUGGCACUUUAAUUUUCGGCUGAACAUACAAAUGGCAAGAUUAUUAUUAUUGAGCUUGAUAAGUGGGAUAGCAAAAUCCGAAUUCGGAUGUGGGUGUAUUUGGAUUUGGAUCCGGAAAAAAAUAUGUAGAUGUGGAUUCGGAUGCGGGUAAUAUCUGCACGGAUUGCGGGUGAAUAUUCCGGAUAUUCAGAUCCGCAUAAUAAUAAAUUUGAUUUUAAUUUUAAAUUUAAUAAUUUACAUAAUAAUAUUAAAUAAAAUUCAAUUAUAAUUUAACAAUCAAUAAUUUAACAUCAAUUCAACAUAAAUAACAUACAACAACACCAUAAAUUCACAAACAAUAAUUUCACAAUAUAAAUCAAACAUAAAAAAUAAAAAAUAAUCUAUGGUAAACCGAUUUAUUAUAAUAUUCUCUAAUUAUUAUUAUUAUUUGUUUUUUAAUAUAUUCAUAGUUAAUGAAGAUUAUAGAGUUAAUUAUGCUUAUAAAUUUAAAUAAAUAAUUUAAUUUAUAUAUUUUCAAUUAAAAUUUAAUUACAUAAAUAAUUUAAUUAUAAAAUAAUUGAUAAGUGCAUAUUUUCCACAUAUUUUGCUUUUAAUUUCUCCAUCUUUUUCUUAUUUUGAUCUUAAAUAUUCUAGUUAUUUUAGUUAAUUUUUAAUUUAAUAGGGAAUUAAUUAAUAUACAUAUUUUAUUUUUUUAUAUAUUUGCUAGUUAUUUUUAUUUCUUAUUUUUAAUUCAUUGUAUUAUUUUAUUGAAUAGGAAAUUAAUUGGAGAUUGUGGAUAAUAAAAAGGCAUGAAGAAAUUCAAAUUGAGAAGGAAUGAAGAUUAAAUUGGAAGACAAAAAUCAAAGCAAUUAAUCCAAUUGAGAAAUGUUGAAUAAUUAAAAGAUUUAAUUUUUUCCAAUUGGCAAAUUGGAGUACACGUUCAUGGCAUUGCAAAAGUGGAAAGCAUUUAAACGGGCCCACAAUUGACUUUCAAAAGUUGGAAUUAAUGGCUUUGGGUGGCGUUAAAUUGGAAAAGGAUUUCAAUUAGAAUUGAAAAAGGAUUUCUUUGGAUUUGUUGGAGAAGAAUUCGGUCAACUAGCAUUAUAAAAAGAGAGCAGCUGCUGGACGGAAGAAAAAAAAAAGACAGGAGAGAGAGCAGGGGCUGAUCCAAUUCGGCAAGAAGAAGAAAAAAAUCAGCAGCCGGAAUUCAAUUGAAGAAAAACGCUGCCGCUUGAAUUAAUCUCCAUGAUUGGUUUUGUCAAUUCUCUUAUUCUCAAUUCAAUUAUGUUAGGCUAAAUUUUUAUUUGGUUGAGGGUGAAUUCAAAACCCUAAACAUGCUAUGCAAUUAAAUUUAAAUUCUAUCAUUCAAUUUAUUUAAUUGAGAUUGUCUAUAAUUAAUUUUCAUGGUUUAUUCUUGUUUUAUUUAAGUGGCCAAUUAGAUAGGACUUGAAUAAAUUUUAUUGCUAGAUUAAAAUUCUUGAUCCGUAAUUGUCUUGAUAUUUUAAUCAUUAGUAGCAGGUUGGAAUCAGUGAUUUCAAUUGAAGAACAUAACCUAGGUUAAAUAAUCCGAGCUUGUGUGUUUAUUGCCUAGAUCAACCUAAUAUCUUUCUCUGUUUAAUGCUUCCAUUAUCUUAAAUUUAAAGAGCUUGUUUUAAAUUAUUUAAUGGUUAGAGAUUAUGUGAAGAGCUUAUUUUGCCUAACGACACACUAAGGAAAGAUUGAGACUAACAGAGCUUAUUGUUGUCUACGGUUGAUAGUUUUAAUAUAAAUUGAUGGUAGAAUUGAUAUAUUAUGUGCAUGUUUGGUGGUGGCGAAUGAUCCUUUAACCAAAGUUUUCAUCAUUAUUAUUUCCUUCUCAUUUAAUUAGAGUUUUUAUUAAAUUCUUGUUCGUAGUUUUAAUUUCUUUAUUUCUUACUAUUUAGUUAAAAAUUCAUAAACCCCCAUUUUAUUUAUAAUUGGCAUUUUCUUUAGUUAGAUUAAUUUAUAUUAUUAUUACUAUUAUUAUUAUUACUAUUAUUUUAUUUUAAAUCUUGCUUUGGAGUUAAUAAUAAAUAUAACUAGCAUAGUCUCUGUGCGAUCGAUCCUUACUCGCUCUGUACUAAUUAUUUAUAUUAGUGGUAAGGUUUUAAAUUUGGUGCACCUUAACGACACUACCAAAUUUUUGGCGCCGUUGCCGGGGACUAGCGUCUAGUUUGUUUAUUAUCACUCGUUUUAUUUUUAUUUUUUUUUAUUUCUUUUCUCAUUUUAUUUAUUUAUUUUAUUUUAAUUAGUUAAUUUUUGUUCUAUAUUUAGAUUUUCAUGAGCAUAGAGGACAUUCGAUUGAAACUCGAACAACUUAGAGCAACCUCAUCAUAUUCAGAACUCGAUUUUGCCAUCCACAUUCCACUCCCGAAGACAGAACCAAGCAGCCCAGAACCCGAACCAAUGGCUCAGAAUAACAACCGAACACUUAAAGAGUUGGCAGCUCCUAACUUGGACCAGCAACCCUUAUGCAUUGAGAAUCCAAACCCUCAGGUAAACUUUGAACUCAAAUCUGGGAUGAUUCAUCUUCUUCCUACUUUUCAUGGUCUUGCAGGAGAGGAUCCAAAUAAGCACUUGAAGGAGUUCCAUGUGGUCUGCUCCACAAUGAAACCAGCCGGAGUUUCUGAAGAGCAAGUUAAGCUAAUGGCCUUCCCAUUCUCUUUGGCGGAUUCAGCCAAGGAAUGGUUGUACUAUCUUCCCUCCGGUACUAUCACUACAUGGAAUGAGAUGCGUCAGCUAUUUUUGGAGAAAUAUUUCCCAACAUCAAAAGCUGGCAGCAUUCGAAAAGAAAUUUGUGGAAUCCGACAGUAUAAUGGAGAGUCGCUCUACGACUAUUGGGAACGAUUCAAAAAGCUAUGUGCUAGUUGCCCUCACCAUCAGAUAAGUGAUCAACUUCUUAUUCAAUACUUUUAUGAGGGUCUACUACCUAUGGAUAGGAGUAUGAUUGAUGCCGCUAGUGGAGGAGCACUCGUGGAUAAGACACCAGAAGCAGCCCGAAAUCUCAUUGCUAACAUGGCUGCUAAUUCCCAACAGUUCAACACUAGGAACGAUCUACUGCCGCCACCUAAGCGAGUCAAUGAGGUAAGUACUACUUCUCUAGAAAAACAAGUUUCAAAUCUUACUUCUUUGGUGCAACAAUUAGCUCUAGGGCAACAAAUGAGACCGUGUGGCGUAUGUUCUAUGGUCGGGCAUGCAACUGAUAUGUGCCCUACUCUCCAAGAGGGUUCACAUGAGCAGACCAACGCAGUUGAGGGGUUCCUAGGCCAAUCAAGACAAAGGUAUAAUCCAUAUUCUAAUUUUUACAAUGAAGGGUGGAAGGAUCACCCUAAUUUUAGGUAUGGGAACCAACAACAAGGCAUUCCUAAUGUGGCACCAUCUCGACCACCGGGCUACCCCCAACAGCGGGUGCAACAACCUUAUCAAGAUCGGUCACCUCCACCUUCUCAAAAUCAAGGUACGUCUUUGGAAGAUCUUGUAAAAGCUCUCGCUACUAACUCUAUGCAAUUCCAACAGACUACCCAGACACAGCUCCAACAUUUAGAGAAUCAAAUUGGCCAAUUGGCCACAUCUAUGAGUAGGAUAGAGGCUAGAACUUCAGGAAAGCUACCUUCUCAACCAUAAAUUAAUCCAAAGGAGAAUGCUAGUGCUAUGUCUCUUAGGAGCGGAAAGCAAUUGGAACCAUUAUUAGCUAAGCCAUCAAAAGUGUCCACAACAUCAUCGCCCUCUGUGACAAUUCCUCCCCUGAGGCUCUUCCUUUAACAAGGAAAGACGAUUCCCACUCGGCAUUGCCAGUCGAUCCAUCUAGCCAGGUAAGUACCCCCUCACCUCGAAUUAAGACUCUUUCCAUUCCUCCACCAUUUCCUAGCAGAUUUAAACAAUCCAAGAAAGAGGAGCAAGAAAAAGAGAUCCUUGAGACCUUUCGUAAAGUAGAGGUAAAUAUUCCUCUACUUGAUGCUAUUAAACAAGUGCCACGUUAUGCAAAGUUUUUGAAGGAAUUAAGCAGCAACAAGCGAAAGUUGAGCGGUAACGAAAAAGUAAGUGUAGGAGAGAACAUUUCUGCUGUACUUCAAAGAAAACUUCCUCCUAAGUGCAAGGAUCCAGGUACUUUUACUAUCCCCUGCACUAUUGGCAAUACCAGAUUCGAAAGAUGUAUGCUAGAUUUAGGGGCCUCAAUUAAUGUUAUGCCAUAUUCGAUUUAUAACUCCUUGAAUUUAGGUCCAAUGGAAGAAACUGGUAUAAUUAUUCAAUUGGCUGAUAGAUCUAACGCUUACCCGAAGGGGGUUGUGGAAGAUGUUCUUGUGCAGGUCAAUGAAUUGGUCUUUCCAGCUGAUUUUUAUAUCCUUGAAAUGGACGAUGAAUCAUCGCCCAAUCCCACUCCUAUUCUGUUGGGGCGACCAUUCCUUAAGAUAGCCCGAACCAAGAUUGAUGUUCAUGAUGGAACCCUUACAAUGGAAUUUGAUGGUGAAGUGAUCCGCUUCAAUAUCUUUGAGGCAAUGAGGUAUCCUAGUGAUGUUCAUUCUGUUUUUGCCAUGGAUGAUAUUAAUACUUUGGUGCAAGAUUUCUUUGAAUUAUCCGGUAAUGACAGUUUUGAAAUUGCCAUAAGCAAAAAUCUUACGAAAGAUGAUUCUAAGGAACAUGCAAAUUUGAUAAAGUUGGAUGAUGAGGCACCUACCUUAGAACUUAAACCACUCCCAGAACACCUGCAAUAUAUUUACUUGGGUGAGAAUGAAACACUUCCAGUCAUAAUUGCUAAAACCCUCACCCCAGUUCAACAAGAAAAGUUAAUUAGGGUGCUUCGGGAUCACAAAACGGCGAUUGGCUGGACCAUUGCCGACAUUAAGGGAAUUAGUCCUUCCAUGUGCAUGCAUCGCAUUUUGCUAGAGGAAGGGUCUAAACCAACGAGAGAUGCACUUUGGGCAUGUAGGACCGCAUACAAAACUCCUAUUGGUAUGUCACCCUACAGGUUGGUAUAUGGUAAGCCUUGUCAUCUUCCAGUGGAACUUGAACAUAAAGCAUGGUGGGCUGUGAAACAAUGUAACAUGGAACUGGACGCCGCCGGCCAACACAGAAAGCUCCAAUUGCAAGAAUUAGAGGAAAUUCGAAAUGAUGCCUAUGAGAGUUCACGAAUCUAUAAGGAAAAGACUAAGGCUUUUCAUGAUAAGCAGAUCUUGAGAAAGAAUUUUGAAGUUGGACAGAAAGUUCUGCUAUUCCAUUCUCGCCUUAAGUUGUUUCCAGGUAAGUUAGGUUCUCGAUGGGUUGGGCCUUUUGUUGUUAUUAAUGUUUUUCAUCAUGGUGCAGUUGAGAUCAGGAGCUUAAAGACAGGUAAAGAGUUCAAAGUUAAUGGUCAUAGGUUGAAGCCUUACUAUGAAAAUUUUCAAACACUCAAUGUAGAGGAGGCUCCACUUUAUGAACCUGCGUACGUUGAUGAGUGAAACUUGAGAACCAGGUCAGGCUGAGGACAAUAAACCAAGCGCUUAUUGGGAGGCAACCCAAUGGUUGGAGAAAAGAAUUUGAGAGCACGCCAUAACAGAUUUGAUCUUUCUCCCUUUCAUUCUCAUUUACUUUAUCCACUAUGUUGAAUUUUGUUUGUUUCUGUUUGUGUGUCUCAUCUCCUUUCCCCAUGUUUAAUUCUUUUGUUAGUUUAGGCUUACAUUGAGGACAAUGUAAGAAUUAAGUGUGGGGGGGUGGAUUUCGAACUUAGUUUUUGUUGCUUUGUCUUUUUCUUUUUUAAAAAAAAAAAUUUGAAUAUUAGCCAGUGAUAAGAAUUUGAUUGACAAUAAAUAUGGUUCUUAGAAAGGGUUGAAUAUUACCUUAGUUUAUACUUGAUUCUUGUGUUGAUUUCCUCUUAAUUGAGAUUCUUUAAACCAUGAGCACUAAUAUCAAUUCUUUCAUAAUUUUGACUUAGAAUUUGAGAUUGACGCAGCCUGAGUUGAGAAUUUUAGAUUGAGUAAAUGACUGUUUGUCUUGAUUCUUAUCUCCACAAUACAGUGUAGUAUACACAGGCACCAUAGUCAGAAAUAGCUACCUAUAACCCUUAAGAGUGAAGCUAUCCUUGAGUAAUUUGGGCCUAUGUACCACCAGUAUGUAGAGGAUAAUCUACCAUGAGAAGAAGGCUACCUUAAGGGGUAGAGUGAAAGCUCCUGACUAAAAAAAAAAAAAAAAACCAAAAAAAAACCAAAAAAAAAAACAAAAAAAAAGAGAACUUCAAAAGAAAAUGCACACAAAUGCCUGUGAAAGAAAGAAAAUUUUUUUUUUGGAGAUCAAGAUGAUAAGAUUAGUUUGACCUACUCUUUUCUUUGUUCGAGGCAAAGGCUGUUGAUAUUGAAGAUUUUGGGAAUGGAUUUUAAUUGAAUUGAUUCACACACACACACAAUGAGAAUCAAAAGAGAGAUGUGAUUGAGUAUUGAAUUAAAGUUAGAACUUCGAUAAUAUUUGAAAUUUUCUUUGAGCUAUAUGAUUUAUGCAAUCUUUGAGGCUAGUUUUAUUUUAAAAUAAAAAAAAAAACAAAAAAAAAAAAAUUGCAAUGAUGUUUGUGGGUAUCAUCGUUGAAGCCCUCACGAGACUAUAACUCGUCCACUAGGGCCGCCUAGGGGUUUAAAGGCUUGUUGCAUACGCUAAAUGCAAUCGUGAUUUCCUACGAAAGUGGACUAGUUUAGGUUUUCUUUUUAUUUUUGUUCUAGGUUUACUCGAGGACGAGCAAAGGGUAAGUGUGGGGGAAUUUGAUAAGUGCAUAUUUUCCACAUAUUUUGCUUUUAAUUUCUCCAUCUUUUUCUUAUUUUGAUCUUAAAUAUUCUAGUUAUUUUAGUUAAUUUUUAAUUUAAUAGGGAAUUAAUUAAUAUACAUAUUUUAUUUUUUUAUAUAUUUGCUAGUUAUUUUUAUUUCUUAUUUUUAAUUCAUUGUAUUAUUUUAUUGAAUAGGAAAUUAAUUGGAGAUUGUGGAUAAUAAAAAGGCAUGAAGAAAUUCAAAUUGAGAAGGAAUGAAGAUUAAAUUGGAAGACAAAAAUCAAAGCAAUUAAUCCAAUUGAGAAAUGUUGAAUAAUUAAAAGAUUUAAUUUUUUCCAAUUGGCAAAUUGGAGUACACGUGCAUGGCAUUGCAAAAGUGGAAAGCAUUUAAACGGGCCCACAAUUGACUUUCAAAAGUUGGAAUUAAUGGCUUUGGGUGGCGUUAAAUUGGAAAAGGAUUUCAAUUAAAAUUGAAAAAGGAUUUCUUUGGAUUUGUUGGAGAAGAAUUCGGUCAACUAGCAUUAUAAAAAGAGAGCAGCUGCUGGACGGAAGAAAAAAAAAAAGACAGGAGAGAGAGCAGGGGCUGAUCCAAUUCGGCAAGAAGAAGAAAAAAAUCAGCAGCCGGAAUUCAAUUGAAGAAAAAGGCAGCCGCUUGAAUUAAUCUCCAUGAUUAGUUUUGUCAAUUCUCUUAUUCUCAAUUCAAUUAUGUUAGGCUAGAUUUUUAUUUGGUUGAGGGUGAAUUCAAAACCCUAAACAUGCUAUGCAAUUAAAUUUAAAUUCUAUCAUUCAAUUUAUUUAAUUGAGAUUGUUUAUGUUCUUCUAUAAUUAAUGUUCAUGGUUUAUUCUUGUUUUAUUUAAGUGGCCAAUUAGAUAGGACUUGAAUAAAUUUUAUUGCUAGAUUAAAAUUCUUAAUCCGUAAUUGUCUUGAUAUUUUAAUCAUUAGUAGCAGGUUGGAAUCAGUGAUUUCAAUUGAAGAACAUAACCUAGGUUAAAUAAUCCGAGCUUGUGUGUUUAUUGCCUAGAUCAACCUAAUAUCUUUCUCUGUUUAAUGCUUCCAUUAUCUUAAAUUUAAAGAGCUUGUUUUAAAUUAUUUAAUGGUUAGAGAUUAUGUGAAGAGCUUAUUUUGCCUAACGACACACUAAGGAAAGAUUGAGACUAACAGAGCUUAUUGUUGUCUACGGUUGAUAGUUUUAAUAUAAAUUGAUGGUAGAAUUGAUAUAUUAUGUGCAUGUUUGGUGGUGGCGAAUGAUCCUUUAACCAAAGUUUUCAUCAUUAUUAUUUCCUUCUCAUUUAAUUAGAGUUUUUAUUAAAUUCUUGUUCGUAGUUUUAAUUUCUUUAUUUCUUACUAUUUAGUUAAAAAUUCAUAAACCCCCAUUUUAUUUAUAAUUGGCAUUUUCUUUAGUUAGAUUAAUUUAUAUUAUUAUUACUAUUAUUAUUAUUACUAUUAUUUUAUUUUAAAUCUUGCUUUGGAGUUAAUAAUAAAUAUAACUAGCAUAGUCUCUGUGGGAUCGAUCCUUACUCGCUCUGUACUAAUUAUUUAUAUUAGUGGUAAGGUUUUAAAUUUGGUGCACCUUAACGACACUACCAAUAAUACAGAUCCGGAUAUCCGGUUUUCCGAAUGUAAGUGCAUCCGGAUCCGCAUGGAUCUUAAUUUUUAAGAUCCGGAUUCGCAUUUUUUAACGUACAGAUCUGAAUUUUUUGAAUUCGAAUCUUCUGAAUAUUUGCUGAUCCAGAGUUUAUUGCCAACCCUAAAUUGAUAAGGCUAUAGAAAAUUCAAUAUCCAGAUCGGAUAAGGAUCCAAUAAAUUAUAAAAUAUUGCGGCUCAAAGCCCAUAUGAUCAUGGGCCACCGCUUGCUCAUGCUUUGAAUCAAAAUUUUCUAAUGAAGUGAGGUUGGAAGCUAAAAGGGGCAAAUGAUGAAAUGGGGUUCAUCAUUUAUUGAGCCCAACGGGACAAGAUCAUCAUUUAAUUCCCUCCUCUUGUCGAUAGAUAUUUGCCGAAUUUUUUCAUUUAAAAAAUAUUAUAUUGGUUAAUAGAAUUUGAAGUUUUACAAAAUAUAAGUUUAAUUUUAGAAAAAAUUAUAUUUGUUAAUUUAAAAUUUUCAUUUGGUGGUUGUGUUUGAGAAAAAUUUUAGGUAUACUCGGAUAUACUCUCUUAUUAUUCAUUGAAUUUGGGCAUUUAAACAUACUAGUAUAGUAUGCAGUAUUUUUAGGUAAUUAGCGGAGAAGUAUACGUGACAAAAAUAUAACACGUGAAACAAUACACAAUGAAAUUAUCUACAAUUUUCCAUUGACUUAGUCAACUCUUCAUUAAUUUCAUUGACUUGAUCAACUCAUGAAUCAUGAUCUAACUUGACAACUUGAAAAUUAAAAUAUGCUAGUAAUUCCGUAAAAUUAAAAUUUAUCUCCCAAAAUUGAUAAAUACUGUGUCACUUUGUCAAAUUACUUAGGGUAAAAACUCUGUGGCUAAAAACUUUUAACAUUAGUUGUAUGCUAAUUGAGAAGGACAAGACACAAAAGAAUUCAAUGAAUGCGACAUCAUGUAACACUAACACUAUUUACUCUUAACAAAUUCUUACAAACGUGAUUCAUGAAAUUAACUUGACUUUUUGUCUAAAAAAGGCCUAAAGAAACAUGCCAAGCAACAAAUAAAGUAGUCCAAACGUGAUUCAUGAAACUUGAUAGGCACUAUCUAAAUAGUAUUAAUAUGGCAACCAAAAACAUCCGCGCAAAAUAGACUUUCUUGGACGAUCCAUGCCAAUCAACAAAUAAAGUAGUCCAAACGUGAUUCGUGAAACUUGACUUCUUGUCUAAAAAGGCCUAAAGAAACAAGACCAAAAUUUCCAUGCAAUAGCAAUAUGGUGGCCACAAUGCACUUUUUAAGCCAUUUUUCAAAACUAAGUUUCUUCGUAUCACAUGCACUAUUCAAGCAAUUUUUCAACAUUUUCUCCUUCCCCUAAAAGCUACAUGCAUGAAUCAUGUCCCAAUCAAUUUCUUGGCAAAAAUUGGAACGCAAGAACCGAUUGGAGCAUAAGGACAAUGUCACGAUUCAAGAUUCUCAGCAAGACCACGUCACAAUGCAUCACUUUUGGAAAGUAAUUUAGCAAUUUCCAAUGCCUUAGCUGAUUAAUGGCUUGAACAUGUCACGAUUGGUCCACAUUAUGCACAUGGCAAGAUCAAACAAAAUAUCACAGCUAGCUCGACGACUACUAGCCAAAAUAACAAGACAAUGACGGCCAGUUACAAACUCUUUACGAAGGAAAUACCGAAAUAUGAAUAUCCCUCCUAAUCACUUUCUUAUAUUAUAAUUAUUUUGUACAUAUAACAGAACACGUUCUCUCUUGUAAACAAGUCAAGAAAACGGUUUUAGUUUUCAUAUCAAUAAUGGAAUCCAAAAUCUUUCACAGCUUGCUUCUCCUUUGGACGCUUGAAAGACUUUCUUACCUGGCUAAGACUGAAAAUUGUUUGCGGUCAACUCGUGGCACCCUUAUUGACACGCAAAGAACUUACAUCGAGGAGUUGUUUGAUUUUAUGUUUCAAAUUAAGUACCAUAGCAUUACUACUUCUAUAAAUAACUCAUUUGAGCUUCCAGCCUGUUAUUUGUAUUUUACGUUUCUGUUUCUCUUCAUAAAUAUUUUUUUUUCCAUUCUCUUUUUCUUCCACUUUCCCGACUCCCAAACACCACCAGUCUUUGAUUUUCCUAGAGUAUUAACUGUCUGUUUACACGAACAUAGACCGACUGUUUGUCUAAUUACUGUCAAGAAACAGCAUACUCUGUCUCGGGGUCUCUUCGUUUAUUGACUUGUCACUUGUGAACGGGAUAAUUAAAGGGCAUUCCUUUCUUCAAGAAAGAUUGCCAAGAAAGUACCAUCCAUUAGACACGUUAAGAGUUAUUUUACAUUAAAAAUGAUAAUAAUCAUAAUAAUCGGUUUAGUGUUACCCCUUUAUUAGGUAAUGACUGUCCGAUUGUCUUCGCUUUCAUUGACUUCGCAACUGUGAAUUCUAAGCCGGGUUAAGGAUUGACAAAAUGUUAUAACCCAUAAAGCACGGAUAAUUAAUUAAUGGGCCACUGAUUUCUUCUUUAAAGGCUAAUUCUUGGUAAAGAUCAGAAAGUUCUCAAAUAAAAAUUCGGCUUUGUGGAAAUUAAAUUAAAAGCAAUUAAGCAUUAUAAAUUACUUAACAGCUUAAUCGAGUUUGGUUUUGAAAAAUAUAUCUUUAAAUCUCUUGUAAUUAAAGAUAAUUAUCAUAUUACCGUCUCAAAUGGACCGAUUUCAAUCAAAUGAAAUCUAGAAAAUUGAGCAGCUCAUUGAUGUAUUUGAUCGAACUUGUGUCAGAGUCUUCGUUUUAGAAGAGUGCACAGCAGCUGCCAGGUCCACUUGGCAGUUGGCACGCUAAAAAUUUUCUGUUGACCAAUAAUUUUGAAAGGGAUAUUAUUAAUUUACUAUCAAAUAUUUUCUAACACAUCACUUUACUAUCAAAAUUUUUUGACAAUAAUUUUUUGUCACUUAAUAUUUCAAUUUUUAUCAUUUUAUCAUCAAAAAAUAGUAAAUGCAUGCGUAGUGUCAGUUAUUCAUAAAAAUGGUUGUUGAAUUGUCCUGUUUCUCAUUUGGUUUAAUUUUCAUAAAUUCGACUCACACAAUUCAAUUAUGAGUGAAGAGUUUUUUUUUGGGAAAAAAUCUGGUCUUCCAUUUACUAGAAUCACGUCUGAAUGAUUUUGUUAUUUUUCUUUUGUUUGAAAUAUACGUGGAAAAUGUUGAACACUUUGUAGGAUUUAGAAGAAUUUGAAAGUUUGAAUGCAUAUAGUUUACUAUCCAUCAACUAGUGCAUAUUCUGUAUUUUAUGAAAUCAAAGCUGGUUGAUUGAGAAAUGGACCUUAUUACAUGUCAUAAGAUUUUACAGUGCUUUCUAAUGGAGCAAAAUAAAAUGAUUCUUACCUGCACAGAAAAUUAGAUGUUACACUUAAAUUUAUUAUCCAUCUCUAUUGUUUAUAUGACACUGAAGUAUUACCUAAAUUAGCCUUUCAAAACUUCAUUUUCAAAAAUCUAUGGUUGUGAUGCGUCUCUAUAAACUCACUCGUACAAAUUCUAUCUAAUGCCAAUCAUUUUAAACUCUGUUCUGAACAGAGCAUGAAAGGAUAUGUUCACUUAUCUAGUUAUGUUUUUUAUGCUUUCACUUCACUUGAUUCACCUUGUCCCUCUUUUAAAACAGCUGCAUAUGCUGGAGUGCCAAAUCCAUCACAAGGAUCAUAUUACAGAGUAUUUCGGGAUUCAAGACUGUAUGCCACGCUGGCAAGUGCGCUCUCACAGAUUGUGGAGAUGGCACCAAAGAUUGUAAACUAACUAGUACUGAAAAAUCCUAUUUGCACAUAAAAUUGCAUAAAAUAAAUAGACUGAGAAAUAAGAUUAAUAAAGUAAAUAAAUUUAUCUUUCUAGUGUUUUUGUGUACGUACAAGUAGCAUUACUCAUUAGCAAUUAGUCUAGAGUGUUCUGAUUUUUUCUAAUAAGUAGCUCACUUGAGCCUAGGACUUGUAACUAUGUUUUACGUUUCUGUAACUUUCUAAUAAAGAUUUUUUUUUUUUAAUUUUCAAUUUCUCUUCCAUUUUCCUGACUCCCAAACACCACCAAUCCUUGAUUUUCUAGAGUAUCAGCUAUCUAUUUCUACAAACACAAAACUACUAUUUACUUUCAAGAAACAACGUAUUCUGUGGUUUAUUGGCUUGUGCCUUGUGAACGGGGCUAAUGUUGGUCUAACUACUUUCACGAAACAACGUACUCCGUGGUUCAUUGACGCGCACGGGGCUAAUUGUCUCCUCUUCCAUUGACUCUGUCAAUUCAUGACUUUGACGCGCACGGUAGCUGCUAACUGCCUUCUCCAUUUGACGUGCAAAAAACUUUCUUGAGUCGGGUUAAAAUUAAUUGAUCAUUUUAUUUGGUGAUAAUGACUUAGUUGUCAAGUCAUGAGUUUGAUGAUGAAGAGGACGAAAAACAUUACUUUAUUAUUUAAAAUAAGACUAUCAAUUAAAUGGAAUCUUACGGAAUUAGAGUGCUUGACUUCUUUUUACAGAAUUAUGAAGUGAAAAAGGAAAUUAAGAAAUUAAAUACUUUUCAUGCGAGUGGAGAAGAUUGGGUAGCGAUUACAUGAAAUAAAAGAAAAAUAAUUUAAAAGUACAACACUUUAAUAAUCUCAUUCCCAAUCAUAUCGGUAUAAAAAUUAUGUAGAUUUAUUGAAUAACUAUUGAUUUUACUUUGGUAAUUUCUUUCUAAAAGUGAGGUAAACAUUUUUAUUUUCUUUGCAUUCGAGCUUUCUUUCUUUUGCGCUGGCCUUCACACUCUUGACCGUAUUUCAUGUAUUUAGUUUUUGUCAUCAUGACUGGUGAAAUAAAAAUAGUCCUCAUUUCAAGGAUUGACAAAAACGUUGUGCUCAUACCGAUUAAUGGGGAACUGAUUUCGUCUUCUUAAAAGAGAAUUAUUUGCAGCGCGGUAAUUAGAAGAUUUCUGUAUUAUAUAGCCAAACCUAAGUGAUAAGAAUUUCCAAAUGAGAUAUAAUUUGGAGGGAAACAAAAAACUAAUUCAAGUUAAAGACCAGCAAUUUCCAUAUGUGAUAUAUCCUUCACUCUUUGACGUAUCCCUGGGGCAAUGUAAGUUGACUUUAUAUUAAAACAAAACAUAAUUACAAUUAUCAUCACUGAUUUGUAUAAUUUUCAGGACUAGUAAAUUAUCUCAAUUUUUAAAAAACAUAAUUACAAUUAUCGAUCGAACACCACUAAUUCCAACAAUUCAUCCAAGUUUUUCAACUUUUUAGAUAUUUGAUAUAUGUCAUGUUUUAACUUAGUACGAGAAAAAAAUUAUAGAAUUUUUUUUUUUUCAAAUUAGUGGAAUUAUUUUACGAUAAAACUAUCACAAUCACAUUUAAAAAUAUUCUUUAAACUUUCACUAUUUCUACUGUUAUUCUUUAAACUUUUUUCUGAACAGAGCAUGGAGGGUCGCUUAUCUAAAUAUGUUUUCUGUGCUUUCACUUCACUUGAUUCAUCUUGUCCCUCUUUUAUAGCUUCUAUCUCGUGUGAGCUUAGAACCUGCAACUUGUAUUUUACGUUUCUGUUACUUUCUCUUUCAUUUUCCCGAUUCCCAAACACCAUCAGUCCUUGAUGUUAUAGAGUAUUAGCUGUCUAUUUGUUCAGACAUAGAGCUACUGUUCCCAGUCCCACUGUAGAUCUUCAGUGGUUAGCUCACUAUUGUUUGAAUAUUAAAAUUAAUUUGUUAAAUAAAUAAAGAAAACAAGAGACAAUUGCCAUAUAUAUUCCAUAUUAAUUAGUCACCGUCCGAUUGUCUCCACUUCCAUUGACUCUGUUGAUUCAUGCUUUCAUGAAGUGAAACGUUUAACACUCUGUUCUGAUCCGCAGGAGAGGAGGAAAAACAUAAUUUUAUUAUUUCAUUCCUGACACGCGCAAUGAGCUUUCUUAAUUGAUGAAUGUGACAUGAAGCUCUAUAAAUAGUUUAAUUUGUAAAAUUGUUAAAAUUUGUUAAAUUUCAUUUAAUUGAUGAAUGUGACAUGAAACUCUAUAAAUAGUUUAAUUUAUAAAAUUGUUAAAAAUUUAAAUUUCAAGUAAGGUAGAUAAAAUGAUUAACUUUUUUCAAUAUUUAGAUAAUUAACAUGUGUCAUGUAACUAUGAGUGAAUGAAUGAAAUUUUUGAAGUACGAAUCCAUUUACAAGUUACGACUUGUCUUGUUUCUCAUUUUACUUAAUUUUCAUAAAAUUGACUCAUGAUCAAUUAUGAGCGAAGAGUUUGUUGGUCUUCCAUUUAUUGUAAUCAGAUGAGUGUGAUUUAAUUAUUUUUUCCUUUUGCUUGAUGUCCCGAAAAUUAUGAAUGCUUUUGUAGGAUGCAGAAGAUUAAAAAUUUUAAUGCAUAUCUAUAGUCAAAACUGAGGAAACAGAACAUUAUUGCUUCUAUAAAUAGGUCAUUUCAGCUUAAAACUUGUUACUUGUAUUUUACAUUUUUGUUUUUUUAACUUUUUCUUCCAUUUUCCCAAACACCACCAAUCCUUGAUUCUUUUCCUAGAGUAUUAGCUGUCGAUUGUUACAAACAUAGACAUACUGUUUGUCUAAUUACUAUCAAGAAACAACAUACUCUAUCCUGGAGUCUCUUCGUUUAUUUAAUAUUUAGGUUUAUUAAUAUACUACAUUAUUAAUUAAAUUAAUUAAUAAUUUAAAUUAAUUAAAUAAUAAAAGUUAAAUGAUUAUAUUUAAAAUCCAAGUAGUAUUUUAAUGUAAUGAAACCUAAAUCCCACCUCUAUACCACAUUUGUUAUACAAUGUAAUGCAACUAUAAAUUAUAAUUAUAUGAAAAUAAUAUUUUAAUACAAUAUAAUACAAGUAUAAUAGUAUUACAAGUGUAAAGGCUGUAAUAUUAAUUAGCCUGUAUAAUAUUAUGCCGUGCUGGCAAGUGUGCUAUAACAGAUUGUCGAGCUGGCACCAGUUAUUUUAAACUAAUAUUAGUAAUUAGUCUAGAGUGUUCUGAUUUAUUCUAUAAAUAGCCCAUUUAAGCUUUUUUCUCUAUUCCUUUUUCUUUCACUUUCUCUUCCGUUUUCCCGACCCUCAAACACCGUCAAUCCUUGAUUUGAACUGCUGUUUGUUUGUCUAAUUACUUUCAAGAACAAUACCCUCCAUCCCGCGGUCUCUUCGUUUAUUGACUUGUGAAUAUCAAUAAAUUUUUAUUACAUUCAAGAUAAGGACUGACCAAAUUAUUAAAAUGUGAUGCCACGUGUGUGAGUAAUUGGAUUGGACUGACCAAUACUUUGACGUUCAUAUUGGUUUAGGACCAUUCAUAAUUAUGACUUAAAUAGUUUCCAUUAAUAUCGAUUUUUCUAGAUUCUAAUUUCUAAAUGGUUAGAAGUUUCAGCCACUUAAAGCAAAGGAAUAAUCGCCCUUCUUGCACGGAAGCACGGAUAUUCCAGGAUUAAAAUCCUAGCCUAACUCCAACGCCAGGGAUUGGCAUCUAUUCCUAAGACAAAUUAACUAAUUACAACCGCUUAAUAAUAAUAAUAAUAUAUUAUUGUUGAGAUGAUGCGCUGGCAAAUCAUACAGGUGUACGUCCUAACCAAUAUGCUACGUUUCCCCACAUUAUAUAUUGUUUGAGGGAAAUGCUUCGAUGAGACCAGAAGUGAUGAGCAGAUAUUUGGUGGCAGAGUUCUGCGAACAGGUGCGUCCUGUAAGAGCCUGGUAGCAGGGGAACAGGAGCAGGAAUAUUCUGCUCGUCCAAGAACAUGCCAUUCACGAGGACGAACUCCUGUUAGAGGCAUGAGGCCAUUCCUGCUAGGGGUCGAGGCAAGGAGGCCCGGUCAACGACAGUUGGUAAGGCGUGCAUUCCUCCCCGAGAAUCAAGGCGCGAAGUCCAUCUCCAUUUGCCCACAAUGGCGAUAAUGGGGCAUCCACAUCCGAGAGUGGGGAGAAUAACGGGCGUGGACUACAGAAGACUGGGAUUCAGAGGAAGCCUAUAAAAAGGUAGCCAACGAAGGUAAAAGGGUUGGACUUUUUGCUAUUAGAACUAAGAAAAGAAAACUCUAAGAACUGAGAUUGAAAAGACACCAUAGGAUUCGUGGCAAACAUUCCCAGAACCUUCAUAUCUGACUUGAGCGUCAGAUGGUUUACGCCGGGAAAACAACCGGCGUACUCUGACCUGCUUCUGUGUACGCAGGAACUUUUGGAGAAGAAACCUUACGAGGAGAGAUCCUGGUCGUGGUAGAGUUGAUCGAGCCGAGUUCCUGGUCUUGGUAGAGAAGGCAACCAGAAUCUCGCAUCAACAUUUUGGCGCCGUCUGUGGGGAGCUGAGAAAAAAGCUUCUGCUGAUAGCAAGAAGAGGAGUGAAGCAAGUGAAAAGCAAUGGAGACAGGAGGAAGUAGUGCACAAGGGGGUGAUAUAAGGCUUAAUGAUUCCGUGACGUUGAGGGAGAUAGCCAGUGAAGCGCGGGAAAAAGCCAUGUUCGACCGGAUGGAACGGAUGGAAAAGCAAAUGGAGACCCUGACAACCAUCCUGCAUGAGUUGCGGAGUGAACGAAGAGUAACCCAGGAGGAAAGGGUGAGAAGUGGUGGAGUGGCACCAGGUCCCGAUAGUACGAGGAGAAGUCGAACCACCGUGAGAUUUGGUGGUGAGAGAGGUAACAUACCUCUGCGGGGAGAAUUUCAUAGAGAGGAAGAGCAAUCCCCGGCGAGACAGAUUUUUGAGGAGGACGACGGGGUGGCGAAUGCAGAGGAAACAGAGUUGAGGCAACACUUGCAUGAUUUAGAGCAAGAGCGGGAUCAAGUUGCAGCACGUGACCCUGGUCGUGCAGUGCAGCUGGAGGAGGAAGUGCGCAGGCUAGCGCAGAUAAUUGACGACAUGCAAGGAAGGAGUAGAGCUCCUGGUUGGAGGAUAAUGCUGGACGGAGAAUCACCGCUCGCAGCAGAGAUCAUGAGGGCAGUUAUUCCGAGAGAUUUCCGCCUCCCAGAUCUUAGAUAUUCGGGACGAACUGAUCCGCUGGUGCACAUAGAGCGCUUCAAUGACAUAACUGGGGUACAAGGAUUAUCUCAAUCCCAAAGGUGCAGGGUGUUCCCACUAUCCCUUGAGGGACGUGCACGAGAGUGGUACAUGAAACUUCCUCGGGGGAGCAUUAAAACCUUCGAGCAGAUGUGCCAGGAAUUUGCAGAGCAGUUUCGUGGGGCAAUGGCACCAGAAGAUGACAUGAUGGAGUUGAAAAGCAUGAAGCAGAGGGAACAAGAAACACUUCGGGAAUUCAUCAAGAGGUUUCACCGUGCUGUCCUUGAUUUGGGAGCCUUCAACCAUCCUCAAGCAUUAAGGGGACUGAAAGAAGGGGUGAAGAUAGGAAGACUAUGGUACAAUUUGAGAAGCCCAGUUAUUCAGACGUAUACAGCCGCAUACGAGCAGGCUAAGAAGGACAUUGAGAUUGAAGAGGAAAAGACAGCACGAAUCAAGACAGACCAGUUAGAAGGGUUGGGGAAGAAAGAAAAGAAAGCAUUGCCAGGGAAUGGGCCGAUCAGGAGGAGGGACCACUAGGCCUCAGGUAGUGGAGCAGGAGGUCGGGUAACUACUUACCAGCCUCAUCAGAGGCCACCAUAAUAUCAGCGCAGCAGGGUGCAACCUCCUCGUUCCCCAGCUAGGGAACUUUGGAGAAGGCAUGACUCGGCAUAUGGUGGUCUUCAUCAACACUCCCACGGUAGUAGAGUGGGCAGACCAGAAGUGCUGCCACCGCCUCCAACUCAGAACGGAGCAAACAGAGAAAGGGCAGUGCACCUGAUCGACCAGAACCAAGACUAUGGGCGGUAUACUUCCUUGAAGAUGUCCCUGGACGAGGUGUACGAGGCCAUAAAGGAUCGAGGGUUGCUAUACCUCCUUGCCCCAAUAACAAAGCUACCCAGCAGGAGGGAUAAGGGACGCUAUUGUAAGUUCCAUGGCACUCAUGGCCACACCACAGUAGAUUGCAGGGAUCUCAAGACCCAGGUUGAAGAUUUGGUGAGAAAUCGGUACCUGCACGAGUUUAUAGAUGGGACCUUCCCAAUGGUAGCCUCGACAAGCGAAAGGGAGCAGAGUGACAGAAACUUGAGGCGCGAGCCGCCUGCAGUAAGGGUGAUAGCUGGGGGCCCAACAUUGGCUGGAGAUUCCAACAGGUCGAGGAAGAAUUAUGCUAGAUACGCCAUGACUAGCAAAGAUGUGUUCUUCAACACCCCAGCAGCCAAACGUGCAAGAGUCAGGCAAGUGCCAAUCAUGUGGACAGAUGAGGAUGAAGAAGGGAUUCUAUACCCCCACGAGGAUGCUUUGGUCAUCAAGGCCACUGUUGCCAGCAAGAAGUUUGACAGGAUACUGGUUGACAUAGGGAGCUCAGUUGAUGUGUUGUUUAAGUCAACCCUUGAGGAGAUGGGAAUAGCAGACCUGAAGUUGGAUUACACCAAUACCUCAUUGAAGGGGUUUGGAGGAGGAAAGUUGGUCCCUCUAGGCGUAGUCGAGCUGCCUAUCACGAUUGGGAGCUCCCCGACAGAAAGGACAAUGAUACUGGACUUUGUGGUAGUGGAUGAGGAAGGUCCUUACCAGAUGAUCCUAGGCCGGCCAUUUCUGAGGAUGAGCAAAGCGGUGCUGUCCAACCAUUAUCUAGCUCUCAAGUACCGGGUGAAUGGGGUAGUUGGACUGGUACGAGGAGACCAGAGGAUCGCAAGAAGCUGCUACUCCUCGGCAACAAGGGAAGCAAUGCAGAUAACAUCGCUUGAUACCCGAGUGGAAAACAAGAAUGGCAGACAAGAACCUGUGGAGGAUCUAGAGACAGUAAGCCUGGGACUAGAGAAUCCGGGAAAGACGAUCAGAAUCGGGUCGAAGCUUAAGGAAGAGCAAAAGCAGGAGUUGGUGAAAUGCUUACAGGCUCAUGCAGAUGUGUUUGCUUGGACACAUGAAGACAUGCCAGGGAUUAAUCCUGAGGUAGCAUGUCAUAAGCUGGCAAUAAAGAAAGGUGCUCGGGCAGUAAGGCAGAAGAGGAGGUGCUUUAACCAGGAGAGGUAUGAGGCUAUAAAUGGCGAGGUGGAAAAGCUCUUGAGAGCAGGAUUCAUUCGAGAAGUCAAUUAUCCCGAGUGGAUUUCGAAUGUGGUGUUGGUAAAGAAGGCAAAUGGCAAGUGGAGGAUGUGUGUGGAUUUUACAGAUCUCAAUAAAGCAUGCCCGAAAGACAGCUUCCCUUUGCCAAAAAUCGACCAGCUAGUAGAUUCAACAGCUGGGCACGGCCUGCUUAGCUUCAUGGACGCGUUCUCGGGAUAUAACCAAAUCCCCAUGUACGAGCAGGAUGAGGAGAGCACUGCUUUUAUCACUAACCAGGGUUUAUUCUGUUACAGGGUAAUGCCAUUUGGUCUCAAAAAUGCUGGGGCCACCUAUCAGAGGCUGGUGAAUAAAGUCUUUAAGCCGUUGAUCGGGAAAACCAUGGAGGUGUACGUGGAUGACAUGAUCACCAAGUCCAAAAUCCCGAAGGAACAUGUCGGACACCUCGAGGAGACAUUCGGGCUUUUGAGGAAGUAUAAAAUGAAGCUUAACCCGGAGAAGUGUGCUUUUGGGGUCAAGUCAGGGAAAUUCCUUGGAUUCAUUGUGAGCCAUAGGGGAAUUGAGGCAAAUCCCGAGAAGAUCCAGGCGAUCGUGCAGAUGAGGUCUCCUCAUAGCCUAAAGGAGAUGCAGAGCCUCACGGGGAGGUUGGCGACAUUGAGCAGAUUCAUAUCUAAGGCUACAGGUAAGUGUCAGCCGUUCUUUCAAGUGAUAAGGAGGGGAAAGAAAAUAGAAUGGACUCCAGAAUGCGAGGAAGCCUUCUAGAACUUGAAGCAAUACUUGCAGCAAGCACUUCUGCUGUCCACACCGAGGGUUGGGGACAAGUUAUUUCUGUAUUUGGCGGUAUCAGAUCGGGCCACAAGUUCUGUUCUGGUGAGAGAGGAAGAAAGGGUUCAAUAUCCGAUAUAUUACACUAGCAAGGCCCUGCUCGACGCUGAGACCAGAUACCCACCGUUGGAAAAAUGGGCACUUGCCCUUGUGGUUGCUGCUCGGAAGCUGAGACCAUACUUCCAAGCAUUCCCAGUCUCGGUAAUAACAAACCAGCCAUUGCGUCAAACUCUGCACAAGCCAGACGCCUCUGGUCGGCUCGUCAAGUGGGCUGUAGAGCUGAGCGAGUUCGACAUAGACUACAAACCCCGAGCAGCGAUAAAGGCUCAGGCAAUGGCCGAUUUCGUAGCAGAAUUCACAGAGCCCGAAGUAUGUUUGGACCAACGAGAGGUAGCUACAGACAGUGGCGAAGCCCAAGUAUGGCAAAUGUUUGUAGAUGGGUCAUCAGGGGAGCAGGGAUUGUCUUGGAAGGACCGGAGGGGGAGCAGAUCUCUUAUGCUGUAAAGUUAGAAUUCGCAGCCACAAAUAACCAGGCAGAGUAUGAAGCCUUGAUAGCAGGUUUGGAAUUGGCUAAGGCCGUGAAAGCAGACAGAGUGAAGAUCAGAACUGAUUCCCAGCUGGUUGCAAAUCAUGUCAGUGAAAGAUUUCAACCAAGAGAGGAGAAGAUGGAGCAGUACCUGAAGAUAGUCAGGCAGAUGAUGGGGAAAUUUGAAGCAGUGGAGGUGGUACAAAUCCCCAAGGAGCAGAAUAGUCAAGCAGAUAUUUGGCCAGGAUGGCAGCGGUAGCAGACCCAAAAAUGCCAAAGUCGAUCCCUCUGGAGGUGAAGUCCAGCCCGAGCAUCGAACAGAAUUUGGGGGUGCUACGGAUAGAACAAAAAUGCUCGUGGAUGGACCCAAUAAUUUCGUACCUUAGAGACGGGGUAUUACCACCAGAUAAACUGCGAGCUCGGAAGGUUAGAGCCCAGGCCUCGAGAUACACGAUGAUUGAUGGGGUACUGUAUCGGCGAGGAUAUACACUACCUUUCCUUCGAUGUUUGGAUGAGGACGACGCGGAUUACGUACUAAGAGAAGUACAUGAAGGGAUUUGCGGAAAUCAUUCUGGUGGGAGGUCCCUGGCCCACAAGGUUCUAAGACAGGGAUAUUUCUGGCCAACAAUGCACCAGGAUGCGCAAGGGAAGACCAGGAGCUGUGUAAGCUGCCAGAGUUUUGCAAGUUUCUCCAACCAACCACCAGAGAAGCUCACCUCUAUGGCCUCCCCAUGGCCAUUUGCUCAAUGGGGAAUUGAUCUGAUCGGCCCGUUGCCAAAGGGACGAGGAGCAGCAACGCAUGCAAUAGUUGCUAUAGACUACUUCACGAAGUGGAUAGAGGUAGAAGCCCUUAGCAGGAUCACAGAGAAGAAAACAACAGACUUUGUGUGGAGAAACCUGGUUUGUCGAUACGGGAUCCCUUAUGCCUUGAUAACGGAUAAUGGUAGGCAGUUCGAUAAUCACAGCUUCAGGGAUUUCUGCUAGAACCUCGGGAUAGAGUUGAAGUAUUGCUCGCCGGCUCACCCUCAAUCUAACGAACAAGUAGAAGCAACCAACAAGACAAUCAAGAGGCUUUUGAAAACCAGGCUUGGAGCAAAGAAGGGUGCUUGGGUUGAUGAGCUAUCAGGCGUACUAUGGGCAUACAGGACAACCCAUAAGACAGCAACGGGGGAGACACCGUUCGCCUUGGCUUUCGGACAUGAAGCGGUCAUACCAGCUGAGAUAGGAACCACCACAUACCGAACAGAUCAUUUCAACGAGCAGGACAACGACGAGCAGAUGUGUUUGAAUUUGGACUUGCUAACGGAAAAAAUGGAGCAAGCAACCGAGCGAUAAGUCAUUUACCAGCAGAGGGUUGCCCGAUAUUAUAACCAGAAGGUGAAUGUACGGCAGUUCAAGGUCAGAGAUUGGGUGUUAAAGAGAGUGAAUCAGAACACCAAAGACUCAACUCAAGGAGUGCUCGGACCGAAUUGGGAGGGGCCAUACAGGGUCAAGCAGCUAGUUGGACCAGGAGCUUACAAGUUGGUUCGCAUAGAUGGCCACGAGGUGAAGCGCCCAUGGAACGCAGCACAUCUCAAGAAAUAUUUCCAGUAAGAGUCGUUCAUAUUUUCAAGUUCUUUCUGUUCGUGUUCGUUGUUAUUUAUUUUAUGUCAAAACGAUCUCAUGUAAGCCGAAUUCAACAAUAAAGGGAUCAAUGAGGAAUUUCAGUCAGCUAUACUGUCAUCGAAGAAUUUUCUAAGGCAUGCAAAGGCUCAUCAAGUCUCAAAGCCUGUUUUAUGGCGAGACAGAAGCCAAGCGUGCCAGGGUUUGCUCGACCGCGCGAAGGUGAGCAGAACCCCCAAACAUCGAAAUAUUUUCUAAGGCAUGCAAAGGCUCACAAAGUCUCAAAGCCUGUUUAUGGCGAGACCAGAAGCAAGCGUGCCAGGAUCUGCUCGACCGCGCGAAGGCGAGCAGAAUCCCAAGCAUUGAAGAAUUUUCUAAGGCAUGCAAAGGCUCAUCAAGUCUCAAAGCCUGUCUAUGGCGAGACAGAAGCCAAGCGUGCCAGGGUCUGCUCGACCGCGCGAAGGUGAGCAGAACCCCCAAACAUCGAAAUAUUUUCUAAGGCAUGCAAAGGCUCACCAAGUCUCAAAGCCUGUUUAUGGCGAGACCAGAAGCAAGCGUGCCAGGAUCUGCUCGACCGCGCGAAGGCAAGCAGAAUCCCAAGCAUUGAAGAAUUUUCUAAGGCAUGCAAAAGGCUCACUAAGUCUCAAAGCCUGUCUAUGGCGAGACCGGAAGCCAAGCAUGCCACGAUUUGCUCGAUCGAGCAAAGGCGAGCAAAAUCCCAAGUCAUGUAGAAAGACCAUAUUCUAAGCCAAAGCCUGCUCGACCAAGUGAAGGCGAGCAAACCUUCAAAUGGAAAAAUAACUUGUAAAUACAAACGCAAGAAAGUAAUCAAAAACAGUUUUUAUUAAUUUAUCAAUAACCAACAAAGUUGUUCAUUACAACGCAAGAAAUAUGUUCAAGAAGAUGGCGGAUCAGUAAGCCGAGCAGCUUCGGUUGGCUGGACCUCCUCAGGUGCAGGGGGGUAUCACCAGUUGCGUCCGGUGGGGUGCUCGCCUCGCCAACAUCAGCAGGGAUUGUACGAGGAGGAGAGUUUUCCUCCUCAAUCACGAUUGGCUCCACCCCUUCGGCAUCUUCCUUGGCCGCCUCCUCGUCUAUAUGUUGAGCAACACCAGCUGCUAGGUCAUCCAUCUUCAUAUCAGGAUACUGCUUCCCGAGGACGGCCAUGAUGUAACGAUAGGAAUGCCGAAGUCCCUGGUCGUAUUGAUUGUCGGCCUCCUUCUCCAAGUUCUCGACCUGAACUCGGUGGGAAUCGCGGAGAGAUUCGAGCUGAGCCUCAUACAUAGCCUUCUGCCUUUGAAGAUCCUCCUUGACCUUGGUCAACUCCUCCUCGAGGGUAAUGGCUUUUGCUUGAGCAAGAGAUUCUUGCUCUAUCAGCUUCAGGUUCUCGACAUUCAGCUCCCCUGCUUUCUUCUCGGCAUGGUCAGCUCUGGUCAUCGCCGACUGAAUGUCCUCCUUCAUCUUCCUGUCAUAACGGCCAACCUUGGCCUUAUAGUAAGUGGUCAUGCAGUUGAGAUGGAAAGCGCUAUACUGCAUGGCUCCUACCAGCUCGCCCAGGGUGUAGCCAUCAAAGUCCUCCAGGUCCUUCUUGCUCACGAGUUUAGAUAACUCAUUGAGAUAGAGGACCAAGUGUUCUGCUCGGUUGUCAGGUAAGCGAGACCGAGGCCGACAGGAGGAGAAGAGGACGCAGGAUCUAUGGCUGCUCCACUAGUUUCCCCGACUUUGGCAGGAGCAGAAGGUAAAGUCUUCAAGGGAGAGACCUGCUGUACGAUGUUGGCCCGCUUUGCAGUAGGGGCGUCCUUGUUCUGGUCCGUCUUCGUGGUUUGAGGUCGAGAACGUUUCCUGUUCAGAGCCCCAAUCACAGCGUCCUCCAUCUUAUGGCCAGGGAGUAUCAAGCGAGACUCGAGCAAGUUGUAAGUAGUUAUCAGUUCUCGGCUCGAGCAGGAAUUGACUAGUACAGCCUCAACCCGUUUGAGCUGGUCAGGUUUGAGCGGGAAGUGAACACCCCACGAACCUGCAAUACAAACAGACACUUGGUUAGAGACAAACCAAUAAAGCGAGAACAAUUAUGGAUACAAGACAUCUAAAGCGAGCAGGCAACCUGGGACCGUGAAACGGGAUGGGACACGAUAAUCCUUCCCGUCCAUUUGUGCAACCUGACCCCAAGGACCCCCAGCAAAAAAGAAUUUUCUCUUCCAAGCCCCACCACCACCAGUUGGAAGAUCAGUUAUGGGUUUCAUGCUCUUGGUGCUAGAUUGGAAGUAGUACCAGCCGGCAUCUUUGGGGCUGCUCUUUAGUUGGUACAGAUGCUUAGUCAUCUGAAGUACAUGUUUUUAGGAGAUGAUGAGACACUUCCGGUGAUCAUCUCUUCAAAGCUUAGUACUUUAGAGGAAGAGAAACUUAUUAGAGUGCUAAAGGAUUACAAAAAGGCUAUUGGGUGGACAAUUGCAGAUAUUAAAGGGAUAAGUCCGUCCACGUGCAUGCAUAGAAUACUACUGGAGGAAGAUGCCAAACCUUCAAUUCAAGCUCAAUGCCGUUUGAAUCCACUCAUGAUGGAAGUAGUGAAGAAAGAAAUUCUAAAACUUCUUGAUGCAGGUAUAAUCUAUCCAAUUUCGGAUAGUAAAUGGGUAAGUCCGGUACAAGUGGUACCGAAGAAAACUGGUAUAACAAUUGUUGAGAAUUCUUAUGGUGAGUUAGUACCUACCCGAGUUCAGAAUGGGUGGAGGGUUUGUAUUGAUUUUAGAAAGCUUAAUUCACUCACUAGGAAUGAUCAUUUUCCUAUUCCUUUUAUUGAUCAGAUGCUCGAUAGGUUGGCAAGAAAAUCUCACUUGUGUUGUCUUGAUGGCUAUUCAGGUUUUCAUCAGAUACCAGUUGCGCCCGAGGAUCAGGAGAAGACUACCUUCACAUGUCCUUUUGGAACCUUUGUGUACCGACGUAUGCCAUUUGGUCUUUGUAAUGCUCCCGCCACUUUUCAGAGGUGCAUGGUCAGUAUUUUUUCAGACUAUGUAGAAAACACUAUAGAGGUAUUUAUGGACGAUUUUACGGUCUAUGCUGAUUCUUUCGAUGAUUGUCUCUAUAAUCUGAAGAAAGUGCUUGAAAGAUGCAUUGAAACAAACCUUGUCUUAAAUUAUGAAAAAUGUCAUUUUAUGGUAGAUCAAGGCAUUAUUUUGGGUCAUGUAGUCUCUGCUAGAGGAAUUGAGGUAGAUAAAGCUAAAAUAGAUGUUAUUAAAUCUUUACCUUAUCCCACAUGUGUGCGGGAAGUUCGUUCUUUCCUUGGUCAUGCAGGUUUCUAUAGACGAUUUAUCAAGGAUUUUUCGAAGAUAGCUCAGCCUUUAUGCAAGCUUCUUCAGAAAGAUGUGACAUUUGAUUUUAAUGAAGCAUGCAAGGUAGCAUUUGAUAAACUUAAGGAGUUAUUGACUUCAGCUCCAAUUAUACAGCCACCAAACUGGAGCCUCCCUUUUAAGAUAAUGUGCGACGCCAGUAAUUAUGCUGUUGGUGCUGUUCUCGGACAAAGGGUUGGAAAAGCUGCUCAUGUGAUAUAUUACGCAUCAAGGACACUUGAUAGUGCUUAGUACAAUUACUCAACAACGGAAAAAGAACUUUUAGCUAUUGUUUUUGCUUUAGAAAAAUUCCGUUCAUAUUUAUUGGGUACCAAAGUGAUUGUUUUUUCUGACCAUGCAGCUCUUAGAUAUUUGCUCGCCAAGAAGGAAGCGAAACUGAGACUUAUCCGCUGGAUCCUACUGCUUCAAGAAUUCAACUUGGAGAUCCGUGACAAGAAAGGAACAUAAAACUUAGUUGCAGACCACCUUAGUAGAUUGACCACGAGUGAAGAAGCAGCACUUUUGAAAGAUGAUUUUCCAGAUGAGCAUCUCUUUGUAACUCAAGGUAUGGUUCCUUGGUACGCUGACAAGGACACUACCUAGUGAUCUGACGAGGGCUCAAAAAGAUAAAAUUAAGAGCGAUGCUAAAUACUAUGUUUGGGAUGACCCUUACUUGUGGAAACAUUGCUCUGACCAAGUCAUCAGAAGGUGUGUAUCUGAGUUUGAAAUUCCUUCUAUUCUUCAAUUUUGUCACUCAUAUGCAUGUGGUGGUCAUUUUGGUCUCAAAAUGACAGCAUCCAAGGUGUUAGAAUGUGGUUUAUUUUGGCCUACUUUAUUUCGUGAUUCAUAUAUGUUUUGUAAGUCGUGUGAGAAUUGUCAAAAGACUGGUAAUUUAAGUCAUAGAAAUCAAAUGCCACUUACCCCUAUUCUUGUAUGUGAAAUAUUCGAUGUGUGGGGCAUUGGUUUUAUGGGACCUUUUCCCUAAUCUUUUGGCAAUGCUUACAUUCUUUUAGCAAUGGAUUACGUUUCUAAGUGGGUAGAGGCUAAGGCCACCCGGACUGACAAUGCUAAAGUUGUUGUAGAUUUUGUCAAGUCUAAUAUUUUUGCCAGGUUUGGUGUACCGAGAGCGAUGAUAAGUGAUAGAGGCACUCAUUUCUGUAAUCGAGUGGUGGAAGCUUUGUUCAAAAGAUAUCAUGUUACCCACCGAGUGUCUACCGCUUAUCAUCCACAGACAAGUGGACAAGCUGAGAUAUCAAACAGAGAAAUCAAGUCUAUUCUUGAAAAGACAGUUAGUCCAAAUCGAAAGGAUUGGAGUUUGCGAUUAGAUGAUGCAUUAUGGGCGUAUCGCACCGCUUACAAAACUCCCAUAGGUAUGUCUCCUUAUCGUUUGGUAUUUGGUAAGCCUUGCCAUUUACCUGUAGAACUUAAGCACAGAGCAUACUGGGCGGUUAAGCAAUGCAAUAUGCGGAUGGAUGAAGCGGGAAAGCAGAGGAAGUUGCAGCUGCAAGAGUUGGAGGAGAUUAGAAAUGAAUCCUACGAGAGUUCGUGAUUUUACAAGGAAAAGACGAAGACAUUUCAUGACAGAAUGAUUUUCAGAAAGGAGUUAUCUGUUGGUCAAAACGUUCUUCUUUUUCAUUCUAAACUUAAACUUUUUCCUUGUAAAUUACGUUCUCGUUGGGUAGGACCUUUUAUUGUUACUAAUGUUUUUCCUCAUGGUGCAGUUGAGAUUCGGAGUCCAACCUCUGAUAAAGCCUUUAAGGUAAAUGGUCAUCGUUUAAAACCUUUUUAUGAAGGUUUUUCGGUGAAUAUUGUAGAGGAAAUGGCUCUCGAGAGUCCUAUUUAUGGAGAUUGAUGCAUAAAUGUGUCUAGCCAAAGACAUAAAACAAAAGCGCUUUUUGGGAGGCAACCCAAAUGAUUUGUUUAUUUUGGUUUUUGUUUUAUCUUCUUUUAGUUUUGAUUCAGAUUUUUUUUAAAAUAAUGUGUUUGCUUAUUUUGGCCAGAAGAAAAUUUUUGAUAAGGCGUGCCCACGUUUUAACUAAUAAGUACUUCUGUAAUUUUUAAAGUAAAAUAGUUUUAAGGCGUGCCCACGUACUUAUUAGAAAAGUACUUCUGAAAUUUUUAGUUCUCAAAGUGAAAAAAAAAAAAAUUAAUGUGUUUGCUUAUUUUGGUCAGAAGAAAAUUUUUGAUAAGGCGUGCCCACGUCAUAACUAAUAAGUACUUCUGUGAUUUUUAAAGUAAAAUGGUUUAAAGGCGUGUCCACGUGCUUAUUAGAAAAGUACUUCUGAAAUUUUUAGAGUCUCAAAGUGAUUCAUUAAAAAAAUAUAUAUUUUUUAAAAAAAAUAAUUUUAUUUUAUUUUUUAAAAAACAAAAAAUGAAAAAAAGAGCUUUUCUUUUGUUCUUCUUUUAUAUAUUUAUUUAUUUAUUUAUAAUAAAAAAAUCAUCAUUGUUCAAAAAAAAAAAAUUUACUGUUCACAAAAUCCCUAAUUUUCCAGAUCUUGUUUUCUUCUCCAGCCGCUUGCAGCACACCAGCAGCAAACCAGCCCGCCGGAAAAUGCAAGCCCCGCAACGCAGCGCGAACCAGCAACGCAAACCACCAGAGCGCAACGCAAGCCCCCGCGCGCGCAGCACCAACAGCCCACGAAGCAGCCGCAGCAACACGAAGCAUCUCUCACGCACAACAGCCCCGCAGCGCAACGAACCAGCAACGCGAACCAGCUCUCGCGUGCAACAGUCCCGCAGCAACAAGCCGCCCCGCGCGCGCAACACAGCCACGCACCAGCAUCCCGCACGCAACCAGCAGUGCGCAACCAGCCCCAAGCUGCGCAGCAAGCUCAAGCCGAGCAGCAAUGCAACGCAACUAGCCUACGCCCUGUAUUCCAGCCGGGUAAAUUGAAAUCCGUGAGUGCAAUUAUUGUAACAAUGCCAAAGAGGAAAGCAUCUACUUCCAAGUCAUCGAAAAAGACACCCGUCGCAAAGAAAUCUAAGAUUGCCGCUCCCACUACGGUUCCAUGGAACACAAUUUCAUAUUCACGCCAAGCCGUGAGACAAAGAUCGAAACAUGGAAAAGGCAUGAGUGUUUUGCCACUUACGGAAUCCAAUCUCGGAGGGUGCCUCGCAUUCGCGACUCAACAAGAGAAAGAGAGGUACAAAGAUAUUUCCACGCGCAAAAUACUUCCAGCUAAGUAUAUUCAUUACCCGACUCUUGAAAAAUUGAAUGUUAAGGAUAAUUUUGAUUCUUUGAUAGAUAAGAUUGGGUUGCGUAAAUUUUUUGAUGUUGAUUGUUUGGGUUAUGUUGAGUUGAUUAGGGAGUUUUAUGCUACUUUUCAAUUUAAUAUGCCGAAUGAUUUUACUUUGCAUACCCUGGAUGUCAUUAAGUUUAGGUUAAUGGGAUGAAAUUUUUCACUCUAUCACGGAUUUUAACUAGCUUUAGGAUUCAUUGAUGAUGAUUAUUCUUCUAGUGAUGCAUAUUUAGGAACAACUUGUGACUUUAGCGAAAAUUUUGAGCCUUAUGGUCUUUGGCGUAAUUUAUCUGUUGAUCACAAUGCCUAUGACCCGAGCAAAUCAAAGAGUUCUUUCUAACGUGAUCCUGUUUUGAAAUGUGUGCAUCGAUUCUUAGCAUAUAAUUUUUUAGGCAAGAAAGAUCACUCAUGAGUUUUCUCUAAAACUGAAUUUUAUUUUAUCUGGUGCAUGUUAAAUGAUGUGAGGCCUAAUUUAGGUUUUUGGUUAGCGGAUCAAUUUCAAAGUGUGCUUAAACGGUAUAGGACUUUAUUUCUUGGUCCAUACAUUACUCUGUUAGCUAUAAACCUAUGUGUGCUUGAUCCCAAUAAUAAUGAUUUGCAUCCUGCUUGCAAAAAGGAAUUUUUUGAUAUGUCUGUGUUUGAAAGAACAGGUGUGGUCGAAUUCAAGGAGGGGAGAUUUCAAUUUACUGAACCAGGACCCACUCAAAUUCCAAAGAAGCUUUAUGCUAGGAGUGCUGCUACCUCUAAUGACGAGUUUGACGACGACACUGCUGCCCCGCCAACUAUUCCUUCUACAUCCGCACCACCUUUGAGCAUUCAGUUAGAGAAAAUGGAGCACAAGCUGAACAAGAUGGAGCAUAAUUUGGCCGCAUACUUCGAGAGUGUGGGAUUUACCCCACCAUUUCCGCCAAGCCCAUAAACGUUAUGUGGAUCAAAGCUCACAAUUCAGGGAAGUUUCUUUUUGCCUUUAAUCUUUUAUCCUUACGCUUUAAUUUUUAUGUGAGCUUUGAUUAUCUUACAUUAGGGACAAUGUAAGUUCUUGGUGUGGGGGAGGGAUUUUUGCAUUAUUGAUGUCUAGAAGUAGUAUUUUCACUCUACUCAUCCUUAAAUGAUUUUGGAGUUAGUAUGCUUCAUAUAUUAUUAUUUUUUUUCUUUUCUUUUCUUUCUCACUACUCUUUUCCCAUCUAUCUCAAAUUAUUUACAUCUAUUUUUAUUCUAUCAUGCUCUUUCAUCACUCACAUUUUAUCUUUCACUUUUCAUAUUACUACAUACAUCUUUCUCACUUCUUAUCAUUUUUACAUUUUUUUUUAUAUAUCACUCAUACCUUCUUCUCAUUCUACACCACUAUUGAUGGUUGAUUCAUUUGAAGAGUGUACAUGAUUUGAUGGCAAAUUUACCAACUUUGUGAGGAUUUGAGCCUAUGAGCAACCACUUUGCUCUAAUAUUUUUGUUAUGUGAAUAUCAAUCUUAGUUUGUUUAUUCUAGAACUUGCUUUGUUAUGCAUGUUGAAGCCGCAUUACGGGAUUUUAUGCAUUAAAAUGAUAAGGGCAAACCCUUUUCCAUUUUUCUAUUCUCGCAUUUUUUUUUUCUCUACCCGAAGACCUUUAUUUGCUAUCUUUGUUUGAGCCUUAACCAUUACCCAUCUAAUUUUCUCCGUCUACUUAACCAUUUUUCUUCUUUUUUAGCCUCAAUUUAAGGAGAUUUUUGGACUCAUUGUGUGGAUAUAUUUUGUUGCUUUUUCUACCUUGUAAUAAAGUUUCUCAAUUAGAUCAACAAGCAUUAUGCUUGAAUUAAAUUGUGCAAGGUUCGUUUCUUUUGUUUGAUUCAAAAACAACAAAAAAAAGAAAAAAAAUUGAAAAAAAAAGAGAAAAAAAAUGUUUACAUUCUUGGUGACUUGAGUAGAAAUAAGCAUUUUGAUAUCAUAAGUUCAUUCAAUGAGUUCAUUCUUCUCAUUUUGAUCUCUUUUUCUUUCGUAAACCUUUCUUUUUCAUUCAACCUAUUUAACCCCAUUACAACCCUUUUAAGACCCUUAGAUUUUUGCAUUUUAUUCAUGUUUUGUGGAUUGAGAUGUGAUAUAUGAGCAAGCUUAUGGUAAUAGCAUUCUUUGAUUUGAUUUGAGUGAAUAAAUGACACCUUAAACACUUUGAGUGCAUGGAGUGAAGUUAUUGAGAGGGCUAUUAAAUCUUGUUGCACUUGAAUUUUGAAUGGAUCUUCUUGGUGGUUGAAUGUUCUUAUUCUAUCUUAUGAAAUUCUAUGCUUUAAAAUCCUUGUCUCUCGAAUGUUGAUCGACUUAAUUUCUUGAGGUAUGCUUGCUUAAAAUUGUUUUUGGAUGAGUUGAGAUGAGAAUUGAGUGGAGAUUUGAGAUUAAUCUUGAGUUAUAUGCUUGAGGACAAGCAUCAUCUUGGUGUGGGGGAAUUUGUUAGAGUGCAAUUUAUGCACUAGUUUUGCAUUGUUUACUUCUUUUAAUAUCGAUGUUUUGCACUUAAUAAUAGUGAUUUACUUGUGUUUUACUUUUGUAGGUGCAAUUCUAUUGAUUAGUGAUAAAAUUGAGCUACAAGAUGAUGUUUAAGGAUGAUUGUUCUCUUGGAGAAAUUAUGAGCGGCAGAAGAACUUUGUUGAUAAGGCGUGGGCGCAUGCUGUCAACUGUAAACCUGCAGUUUUUAGUUUAACGUGUUUUGUAUUUUUGGUUAUUUUUGUAAUUACGGAUUUAAUAUUUCAGAUAUUAGUAUUUUAUUUUAAAUAGAAUUCUAGAGGAGAAGAGAGAGAGAGUAUUUAAGGGAGUAAUCUAUUGUGAAAAAGGGGGGAUUUUGAUUGGAGAAAAAGAAAGAAACCCUAGAUCUAAUUUUUCUCUUCUCUCUAUAAAGAACUAAACUUAUUUUUCUAGUUGAAGGUUAAUGAAGCUUUGAUUCAUCACUACUGUGAGAUCUUUCUUAUGCUUUAAUUAUUUUAUUACUUUUUGGGUAUUUGUUUAUUCUCUGAAUUAGUUUCAUGAUUAUGUUUGUUAAUUAGGUAAUUGGCCACUAUUUAAUUAUCAACUUAAUCUAUUGUCAAUUAAAGGAUUCAUCGUAUGAAGAUUUUAAUGUUUGUGACAAAUAACAUAGCAGAGAGUUGUGUUGUGAGAAUAAACAAUCUAAUUUAAAUGAAUCAUCAUAUGUGUUGAUUAGGAUUUGGGUCUCUCUGGUUUUUCAGGCUGUCAAUUGAUUAAUUCCUAUGAUCGUAUCUAGGGUUGUCUAUUGAUUAGGGAAAUAACCAACGGUCGUACCUUGGUUAUCGACUAGUUAAGGAGAGAUUGGCUAUUAGAGGGUCUCAAUAGCUAUAACCGGUCUAUUCAUAAGUAAUAAUAAUCUAUAUUUGAAUCAAUGAUCAGUAGUCGAAUCAAGCUGAGUUAAUUCCUUCAACCAGAGCUUUCUUCAAUUUGAAUUACAACUUUAAUUUGCAUUCUUGUUAUUUUAAUUUGAUUUUUAUUAUUGUCAACAAUUCCCCCAUUUUAUGUUUUGCGUUUCAAAAGGAUUUAAAUAAUUACCAAUCUCUGUGGACACGACCCUGCUCAAUCACUAUACACAAUUUAUUUAGAGUAGGAAUUUAUUUUUGUUGGCUUCAACAACCAUCAGGCAUUCCCUUCUUGAAGAAAGAAUGCAAAGAGCCCAAGAAAGCACUAUCCAUUAGACACGUUAAGAAUUAUUUUGCUUUUCAUUAAAAAUGAUAAUAAUUAUAAUAAAUUAGAUUGAAUUAAUAAUAUUUGCAUGUGGUAUAUAAAUAAUCAGUUUAGUCACUAAUUAGUCACUGUCCGAUUAUCUUCUCUUUCAUCGACUUCGAAACUGGGACUUCUGAGUUGGAUUAAGAAUUGAAAAAAAUGUUGCAACCCAUAAAGCGCGUAAAAUUAAUUAAAGGGCGCGUAAACUAAUUCUUCUUCUUAAAAGAAAAGUUUUGCAGGGAGAUUGAAAAAAGGCUAAUUCGUAUUGAAGAUCAUAAAUGAGUAUCUGUCACAAAUAGAUCCUUCUGGGCAAAAAUAUUAUUUUAUCAUCUAUCACUAUAAGAAUGAGAUGAAAAUUGUCCUCAUUUAAAGUAUUGACAACAAUGUUAUACUCAAUAUAAUGUAUAAAGCACGCAUAAUUUAAUAAUUGGGGCUGCUAAUAUCUUCCACGUAAUUGGAAGCUCAAAGAGUUUCCGUAUUAGCCGAAUCUAAGCGAUAAGUGUUUCCAUGUGAGCCAUAAUUUGGGAAAAAGACCAAUUCAAGUUAAAGAUCAUGGAAAGAGAUCCUUCUGUCUUUGGCGUAAUGCUUGGGCAACGUAAAUUGACUUUACAUUAAAACAAAACAAAACAAACACUGUCAACAAGCAUUAAUGUCAUUUGAUGCAUGAAAGACAAUUAGUCCCAUUUUUUGUCCUGUUUACUUGACUUGGGCAAUUUACCGUCAACUUUUCUCAUCUACGUCAGGUAAUGUGGCUUUUAUUUGGAAUGAAGAAGCCAAUACUUGGACCGAGUGUAGCAUCACUGAUUUGUAUAUUUUUCAGGACUAAGUAAAUUAUCUCAAUUUAAAAAAAUAUAUAAUUACAAUUAUCGAUCGAACACCACUGAUUCCAACAAUUUAUCCAAAACUAUCUUUGAGUUUUAAGGAAUGUAACAUUUAUGAUAGAAUGGUCAAGUCUUUCAACUUUUUAGAUAUUUGAUAUAUGCCAUGUUCUAACUUACAAUGAGAAUAAAAUUAUAGUAUAAUUUUUUUAAAUUAGUGGAAUUAUUUUACGAUAAAACUAUCACAACAACAUUUAAAUAUAAAGUUAUUCUUUAAUUUUUCACUACUUUUAGUGAUAUUCUUAAACUCUUUUCUGAAUGGAGCAUGAAAGGACUACUUAUCUAGAUACGUUUUUUAUGCUUUCACUUCGCUUGAGCCUAGAACUUACAACUCGUAUUUUACGUUUCUCUUACUUUCUCUUCCAUUUUCCCGACUCCCAAACACCAUCAAUCCUUGAUGUUGUAGAGUAUUGGCUGUCUAGUUCUACAAACAUAAUAAAGAAAACAAGAGACAGCUGCCAUAUAUAUUCCAUAUUAAUUAGUCACCGUCCGAUUGUUUCCACUCCCACUGACUCUGUCGAUUCAUGCUCUGAUGAAGUGAAACGCUUAACGCACUAUUGUGAUGCGGAGGAGAGGAGGAAAAACACAAUUUUAUUAUUGCAAUCCUGACACGCGCAAAGAGCUUUCUUACUCGGCUCGGCGGCUAAUUCUUUAUAAUUUGUUAAAACUCAUUUAAUUGAUGAAUGUGACAUGAAGCUCUAUAAAUAGUUUAAUUUGUAAAAUUGUUAAAAUUUUAAAUUUCAAGUAAAGUAGAUAAAAUUAUUAACGUUUUUCAAUAUUUAGAUAAUUGAUAUACGUCAUUUACUGUGAGCGAAUGGCUGAAAUUUUUCAUAGAAAACACAAUGCUUGUAUUAAAAAUUUUAAGUGCGAAUCCAUUUAUUGUAAUCAGAUGAUGUGAUUUAAUUAUUUUUUCCUUUUGCUUGAUGUCCUGAAAAUUAUGAAUGCUUUGCAGGAUGUGGAAUAUUAAAAUUUUUAAUGCAUAUUCAUAUUGAAAACUGAGUAAACAUAACAUUAUUGCUUCUAUAAAUAGAUCAUUUCAACUUAAAACCUGUUACUUGUAUUUUACAUUUCUGUUCCUUAUCAUAAAGUUUUUCUCUGUUUUUUUUUUUUUUGGGUUUCACUUUUUCUUCCACUUUCCCGACCCACAAACACCACCAAUCCUUGAUUCUUUUCCUAGAGUAUUAGCCGUCUAUUGUUACAAACAUAGACAUACUGUUUGUCUAAUUACUAUUAAGAAACAACAUACUCUGUUCUGGGGUCUCUUCGUUUACUGACUUAUGUGACACGUUAAGAAUUAUUUUGCUUUUCAUUAAAAAUGAUAAUGAAAGAAUGCAAAGAGCCCAAGAAAGUACUAUCCAUUAGACACGUUAAGAAUUAUUUUGCUUUUCACUAAAAAUGAUAAUAAUUUUAAUAAAUUGGAUUGAAUUAAUAAUAUUUGCCUGUGUGAUAUAAAUAAUCGCUUUAGUGUCGCCCCAUCAUUAAUGAGUGACUGUCCGAUUGUCUUCUCUUUCAUUGACUUUGAAACUGUGACUUCUGAGUUGGAUUAAGAAUUGACAAAAACUGUGACUUCUGAGUUGGAGAUCAAUAAUUUUGUAAACAAGCCACCGUCUACGACCGUGGGUUGAAAGGAAAGAGGAUUAUGUUUUCAUUGUUUUGUACUUUGUUUCUGUUAAAGUAAGGUAAACAUCUUUCUUUUGCUUUGGCCUUUACUCUUGACUGUAUUUCAUGGUCAUAUUCAAUCUCAAUCUUCUGUAGGUUUGUGGCUGUUUUAUGAGUUACGAUUUUUUAUAGGGUUGCAUGUAGAUGAUACAUUUAUAUACAUUUUUUCUUUUUUCUUUUCUUCUUCGGUGAAGAUACUAAAAUUUAGUUUUUGUUAUCAUGUGAAAUGAAAAUAGUCCUCAUUUCAAGGAUUAAUGGGCCACUAAUUUCGUCUUCUUAAAAGAAAAUUUUUUGCUGCGAGGUAAUUGGAAGCUCGAAGAUUUCUAUAUUACAUAGCCAAACCUAAGUGAUAAGAAUUUCCGUAUGAGAUAUAAUUUGGAGAAAAAAAAAAACCAAUUCAAGUUAAAGAUAAAAAAAUCUGUGUUCCUUAAAAAACAUAAUUCAAGCCACACAAUUUUUCUUGUUUUAUUUGAAAAAAAGAAAAUUGUGUUCCUCACAAAAACACUUUAACAUUUGUUGUCUCAUAGAGGGAAAUGUCCUUCACUCUUUGACGUGUCCCUGGGGCAAUGUAAACAUUAAAACAUUGUCAUGUAGUUAAAACAUUGUCCACAAACAUUGUCAUGUAGUUAAGAAAAAUUUAAAUUUGACAAGUGCAAGAGAUUGGUGGGACUCAUUUGAUUCAAGAAAAACAAUCAGUCUCAUUUGAUACGCAAAGGGCUUUUUUACUCUGCAGCCAAUAUUUUGAUGAAUGUCACAUUACUGGUUUGUAUAAUUUUUCGGACUAAUAUAUUAUCUCAAUUUUAAAAAAAAAAUGCAAUUGCGAUUAUCAAACACGACUAAUCCCAACAAUUUAUCCAAAAAUUUGAGUGUCAAGAAAUGUAGUAUUUAUGAUAGCAUGGCUAGUUUUUUCAAUCAAACUUUUUAGAUAAAUGAUAAAUCAAUAUAUGACAUGUUACUAUCUUACUAUAGGAAGAAAAUUAUGGAAUAAUUUUUUGAAUUAAUAGAAUUAUUUUACGACAAAACUUUCACAAUCUAUUUUUAAAAAUAAACUUAUUCUUUAAAUUUCUCGUUACUACUCCUACUUGUCCUGUUAUACUACUUAAUGGCACUGGUGAAGCCUUGAAUUAUCAAACAAAAAGCAAAAACACUUCAACAUCUGUUCCACUGAGCACUGUUAAAAUCAUACGAUAAAAUGAGUACUUAUGUUAAAAAAAAAAAAAAGAAAAACAAUCAGUCUCAUUGCGUCCUCUUUCAUUGACAUAGGCAAUUUGCGGUCAACUUGUGGUACCCUUAUUGACACAUAAAGAUCUUUCUUACACUACGGCCAACACUUACUUUCAGGACUGGUAAAUUUUUCAAAUGUAACAGAAAAAAAUACAGAAAUAUAAUUUCAAUUUAUCCAAAAAUUUGAGUUUCAAGGAAUAUAGCAUUUCUUAUGUGUCAUGUUAAUAUAGAGAAGAAAAUUUUAAAAUUUAUUUUUUGAUAAAAAAACUCACAAUCAUAUUUACAAAAAAAAAGUUUUAUUUAAAAAAAAUUCACUCCUCUUCCUACAUAAUUUAAGAAUUUAACAUUAUAAAUUAAGCUUUUUAAUCAAAGUAAUAAUCUCUCCUUCGGUGCGCAAAUGCUAAAAUUUAAUAUUAUAUCCGUUGACGAUAUUUGAUCCAAAUUCAGAGAAUAAAAAUUCUAACAGAAUUAUGAAAUUCGUUACUAGAAAUUUGUAUAAAAGUCACGAGAAUAGAAGGUUUGAUCAUAGGAAAUUAAUAUGUCCCUAUCCGAUGCAAAAAUGAUUAAAAAGAAAAACAAAAGUCAUGGGCUUAUUUAGAAAAAAGAAAAAAUUACAUUUCAGCUUAACGCAUGCCAGUCUUUUUCUCCUCUACUUUCUUAGAAAUUUUGGUUUCACUAUAAAUUCUUGGUAUAUAGCAAUCUUAAGAGUGUCUUGCAUUACCAAUCCAAUUAAGCACACACUUACAAUCUAAAAUACUCUCAUCUCAUGGAAAAGCGUCAUUCACUCAGCAUUAUGAGCAGAUUUCUCUUACUCCGUUGUUUGAUUCUUAUUUCCUUAUUUAUCGCAGCUGCAACAGCCAACACAAGUACUAUUACCACAGACCGAGAUGCUCUGCUUGCCCUGAAAGCUCACAUAACUCAUGAUCCAACCAAUUUCUUCGCCAAAAAUUGGAAUACAAGUACUCCGGUCUGCAACUGGACAGGCGUCACUUGUGAUGUCCAUAGCCAUAGAGUCACAGUUUUGAAUAUUUCUCGCUUAAAUCUCACCGGCACCAUCCCUUCUCAGCUUGGGAAUCUUUCUUCUCUGCAAUCACUCAAUCUCAGUUGUAACCGACUUUCUGGUUCCAUUCCCUCUGCCAUUUUCACCACGUACACACUGAAAUAUGUUAGUUUCCGUAAAAAUCAGCUCUCCGGCGCUUUUCCUUCUUUCGCCUUCAACACGUCCUCUUUACAAUAUCUUGAUUUUGGUUUCAAUACACUGUCUGGUGAAAUUCCUGCAAAUAUUUGCAGUAACCUUCCUUUUCUGGAAUACCUUGCUUUGUCCCAAAACAUGUUUCAUGGAGGAAUACCGUCCGCUCUAUCAAAUUGCGCAUAUUUGCAACGAUUAGGUUUGUCAAGCAAUGAUUUCUCGGGGGUCGUACCUAAAGAAAUCUGCAAUUUGACCAAACUUAAGGGAUUAUAUCUUGGCGGUAACAGACUCCAAGGUGAGAAUAAUCACGGAGUUUAAUUAUGAAAAUUGUUCCAUAAGUUGUGAUAUGAAUAAUGUUCCAUACGACAAUUUGCACGCGUUGAUUAAUUUGCAGGAGAAAUUCCUCGAGAGUCUGGCAAUCUUGCCGAAUUGGAGCUGAUGUCGUUAUCAGAAAACGAACUCCAAGGUAUGAUAAUGAACUUUUUGCAAUUUCAUUCUAGCCUCUGGUUGCUUCUGUAUUCAUUCGUUUGUUCGUCAAUUAUGCUCCAUGUUUUAUUGCUCAGUCUAGUGGAUAAUGUUCAGUCUCAGAAUUUAUAAUACCUUGAAGGUUAGUAGCUUUGAAAAUAAGAAACUGCUCAUCUGCUAAAAAGUUAACUUAGUAUUUAAGUUUUUGAAUUGAACAUUUUGAAAAAAGUCUUGAGAACUGGCCCUCCUUAGUAUUUCAGCUGAUAAAUAUGAAAAAUAGGCUAGAAGAAAUUAUUGCUGUGUGUGCUUAACUGCUUAUUCUACUUGGGCUUCUGGCUUGAUUACAUGGUCGAGCACUUACACCUGUUAUAAUAAUAGGCUUUUACUCUCACCACACGUUCGAUAAUUUCUUAACCUUCCCAAUUAGGUUAUAGCAAUUUAUAUAUAAAUAAUUAAAGCAUACUAAAGCUAGCAUACAAUACUCAUGACUUAGGCUUGCUGCGUUACCCAUUACACACGGUCGAACACUUACACCUGUUAUAAUAAUAAUAGCAUCCGCCGAUCGACUAUGAGUGAUCAAAUUGUUUGCACAUAUGUAAUUUGCAGGAGCAAUUCCACGGGAGUGGGGAAAUCUUACAGGAUUGGGGAUCUUACAGCUGUCUGAUAAUUUUUUAACCGGUAUCACUCCUUCAUCUAUCUACAAAUUGCUUUUCUCUAUUAAAUUUGGAACUGUCAUUUAAUAACUUAAUAGGUAACUUCCCUUACAACAUGUCUGUGUGACAUGUUUUGCUUCUCAAUUAAAAUAUUUCACUUCUCUCAUUAUAAAUUCUCAUAUGAGGAUGUGUUGUUAUUACUAUUUAACAUUAUCUCGUUUUUUAUUAGAAAUUAAUUUGUGUUUAUGCAAAAAAAAUUGAGCAUUUAAAAAAAGUAUAAAAACACGUGGAAUAAAUCGAAAAUCUUUCUUCAUUCGUGAAUUUGGAUUUCUAAAAAAUUAUCAUGACAGCUAUGUUAGUGUCUUACUAAUGAUAUGCAUGUGUGACAGCUUCAUAAAUUAUUUUACAUGGAAAAUAUGAAAAAUAGACUUGAAAAAAAAAUUAUUUUACUGAAAUAAUAGUUAAAAAGGGAGGAGAAGUACAGUACUCAUGAAUUAGGCUUGCUGUGUACUUAUUUUACUUGGGCUUCGGGCUUGAUUACACACGGUUGAAUAUUUACAUCCCCCGACAUAGGCUUUUAGGGAUGAGUGGCGUCAAAUGUGUAUCUGCUUUUAUGUAUUAUUAUUCUUUGAAACAAAUCUGAUUAUAAUUCUUUUAAAAUACAGAUUAAAUAGCACGUGAAAUCGGAAAAUAUUUUACUGCGAUAAGAAUUCAUAUAUUCAUUGUACUAGCACAUAUAAAAUAGACUAUAAAUUUAGUUCCAAAAUACAUUCUUAUCUUCAUAUAAAUUUUACAUUAUUAAUUUAAAUUAAUAUUAAAAUAUAUUGUUUCUUUCACUAUGUUAUUUUAUUUACACAAUGAUGUGACAAUUGGAAUGAAUAAUACUUAUAAUUAUUUUGUAAAAAUAUAAAUUUAAUACUUUGUUAACAUUUUAUCUACAUAUAAUAAUUAAACUGAAACUUGUAUUUAAAAAAUUCUAGUUACGCAUAUUCAUUUCAUGACAUAAAAGUGUAUAUUUAUGCUAAUUUACCAUUAUCAACAAAAUGCUUUGAGAGACAAAUAAUCUAAUUUAUAUUUUUAUAUUUAAAAUACUUGCAUUUAUUAUAUUUUGAAAAAAAUUUAUUUGCAAUUAUUUUAAACCGUUGGAUUCAAAUUUUCGUAGCUAUUAAAGUCAAAGGGUAUAAAUGUAUAAUAGUCAAAAACAGAUUUGUAUGAUCAUUUUUCAAUGUAUAAAUUUUCUUAGUUAGUAGGAAAAUUAGAAAUUGUUGAUUUACUCAUAAAUAAAUUUCAUGUUUAGCAUUUCAAUUUUGGAAAACUUGAGCUAAACGUUGAUAACUUCGAAUCGGUCGAGCCGAGUUUCGCUUCCUUGACCCACGGACCCAUUGAAAGUUCUAUUUGAAUUGAGUUUCCCGGUGCUUAUAAAAACCAUUUCUUUUCCUUGUCGCAGUAAUUUAUUCACAAAUGAGUUGAUUAGCAUCAAAGUUACCUGAGAGUCUGAGACCAUGCUAGUAGGAGAAAUUUGAAAAGAAAUUAUUUUACUAAAUUAAUUUAUUUUAUCUUGUUGUAACUGAAAUACUACUUUUUUUUUUGGGCUGUCACUUGGGCUUGAUUUACUUUAAUAGUAGCAGCCACCGACUUAGGCGUUUUUUACUUCUCACCACACAAUUUGAUCUUUUAAUUCGUUUUAACCACAUAAUCUAUCUAUUUCUCACCUAUUGCUUACUUAAAUCGCAUACAUAUUUUACCUACAAAUGUUUAUAAAUAUUAGUCAAAUAUAUUUUAUUACGUUUCUCUCGUAACUGCUCCAAAUGUGUACUAUUAAUACUUAACCCUCCCUUUUAAUUUACCGUGCAAUCUAUCUAUCACUUAAAUCACAUAUAUAUUUUACCUAUAUUUUACCCCAAAAAAUAUAAAAAUAAAAGAAAAAGAAUAUGUGUAGCAAUUUGCAUAUAACUAACAAAGCAUUGACGGUGUGUAGCCUUUCAAUACUUCACGAGUGGCUUUUCUUGUGUGUUAGUACUUGUAAUAAUUGUGUAGUGUAUAAAUGACAUUUUAUUAUUAAAGUGCGUCCAUUUUUAUAUAUUACUUAUUAUUUGAAAAAUAAUCUGAAUAUAAUUCUUUUAAAAUACAGGGGAGAUACCACUUGAAAUUGGUAAUCUCCAAAAUCUGGAGGAGUUGGAGCUUGGUCAAAACAAAUUAAUUGGUACUGUCCCAGUUGCAAUCUUUAAUGUGUCAACACUCAGAUUUCUUGAUUUUCAAGAUAAUUCUCUCUCGGGAAGUCUUUCGUCCAUCGCAGACGUCCGACUACUAAAUCUUCAAGAGCUUCUUUUGUGGGGUAAUAAGUUUAGUGGCACAAUUCCUCGUUUCAUCUUUAAUGCUUCUAAGCUCUCUAUACUAGAUUUGCAAGACAAUUCAUUCUCCAGUUUUAUUCCCAACACAUUUGGCAACUUAAGAAACCUUCAGCGGCUGAGAUUAUAUGAUAAUUAUUUGACAUCUUCAACUCCAGAAUUGAGCUUUCUAUCCUCGUUGUCAAAUUGCAAGUCUUUAACACAUCUUUCCUUAUCAAAUAAUCCACUAGAUGGCAUUCUUCAAAGGACGUCUGUUGGUAAUCUAUCUCAUUCUUUGAAAGAAUUUUACAUGUCCAAUUGUAAUGUUAGUGGCGGCAUCCCUGAAGAGAUCACCAACUUGACCAACUUGACAACCAUUUAUUUAGGGGGCAAUAAAUUGAAUGGAUCAAUUCCGAUUACUCUCGGCAAAUUACAGAAGCUUCAAGGUUUGGGUCUUGAAGAUAACAAAUUACAAGGAUCAAUCCCAGACAAUAUUUUUCGUUUGACUGAACUGUAUGAGUUGGAGUUGGGUGGCAAUAAGCUUUCUGGAUCAAUCCCUGCAUGCUUCAAUAAUCUGGCUUCUCUGAGGAUACUGUCGUUGGGUUCCAAUGAGUUAACUUCUAUUCCCUUAACUUUUUGGAACCUUAAGGAUAUCUUGCAACUCAACUGUUCAUCAAAUUUUUUGACUGGCCCACUCCCAUCGGAGAUUGGAAAUUUGAAGGUUUUGGUUAUAAUUGAUUUUUCGAUGAAUAAUUUUUCAGGCGUUAUCCCAACAGAAAUUGGAGGCCUAAAAAAUCUAGAAUAUCUCUUCUUAGGAUAUAACAGAUUGCAAGGAUCAAUUCCUAAUUCAUUUGGUGACUUGAUAAGUUUGAAAUCCUUGAAUUUGUCUAAUAAUAAUCUCUCUGGAGCUAUUCCUGCAUCUUUAGAGAAACUCUCAUAUCUUGAAGAUCUAAAUCUUUCUUUCAACAAGCUGGAAGGAGAAAUUCCUACGGGAGGAUCUUUUGGAAACUUCUCAGCUGAAUCAUUUGAGGGAAAUGAAUUAUUAUAUGGUACACCCAAUUUACAAGUCCCGCCAUGCAAAACUAGCAUCCACCGCACAUCAUGGAAAAAUUCUCUUCUCCUCAGGAUUGUCUUGCCAUUGAGUACUACAUUUAUGAUAGUAGUCAUUUUGUUGAUCCUAAGAUAUCGACAGAGAGGAAAACGGCCAUCGAAUGAUGCUAGUAUGCCACUAGUAGCAAUGUGGAGAACGUUUUCAUACCUAGAACUCUGUCGAGCAACAGACGAAUUCAGUGAAAACAAUCUAAUCGGCACAGGGGGUUUUGGCUCUGUUUAUAAGGCGAGACUUGGGGAUGGGAUGGAGGUUGCAGUGAAAGUUUUCAAUUUGCAAUGUGGAAGAGCGUUCAAGAGUUUCGAUGUUGAAUGUGAAAUGAUGAAAAGUAUUCGUCAUCGAAACCUUAUCAAAGUUAUUAGCAGUUGUUCAAAUGAAGAGUUUAAAGCGUUGGUAUUAGAAUACAUGCCUCAUGGAAGUUUGGAGAAGUAUCUGUAUUCAAGUAACUGCAUUUUGGAUAUUUUUCAAAGAUUGAACAUAAUGAUAGAUGUUGCAUCAGCUUUGGAAUAUCUGCACUUUGGUUAUUCAGCUCCAAUAAUUCAUUGUGACUUAAAGCCCAACAAUGUAUUAUUAGACGAUAAUAUGGUUGCUCAUUUGAGUGAUUUUAGCAUCGCAAAAUUGUUGGCUGGAGAAGAUCAAUCUAUGACUCAAACACAAACAUUUGCCACAAUAGGCUAUAUGGCACCAGGUUUGUCAAUAUAAAAAUUUUCUAUUUCUUGUAAACUUCCUAAUAAGUUAUUUACGUUUCAUGAUCUUCAUUAGAUGAGGAAAUUCUUAUUAAUGAUAUAUCUUACUAUGUAACUAUUGCAAUUCAUAGAGUAUGGAAGAGAAGGACGAGUAUCCGCAAAUGGAGAUGUUUAUAGCUUUGGGAUUAUGUUAAUGGAAACUUUUACUAGGAAGAAACCCACAGAUGAAAUUUUUAACGGAGAAAUGACAUUAAAGCAUUGGGUUAAUGAUUGGCUUCCCAUUUCCACUAUGGAAGUUGUUGAUGCUAAUUUACUAAGUCAGGAGGACAUACAUUUUGUCGCAAAAGAGCAAUGUGUGUCAUUUGUCUUCAAUUUGGCUAUGGCGUGCACUGGGGAAUCUCCUGAGCAGAGAAUCAAUGCAAAAGAAAUUGUGAAAAAGCUCUUAAAAAUUAGAGACUCAUUACUUAGAAAUGUUGGAGGCAGAUGUAUAAGACAAUCAAAUUUAAAUUGAUUUUGCCCCUCCUUCAUUGCUUGCUAUCCUUUUCAGAGACUUGAACGGUUAUCCUUCAUACAAGUUUUUUUGAUAUGUUUUGUUAUUGCUCUUGCUCAUGUUUAUUUCUCUCUUUCUUUAAUUUGCAUGCAUGUAUUUUUUCAUGCUCUUUUCUGUUUUUGUUGAUUUGUAUGUAGUUUGUUUUUAGGGGUAAGGUUGAUUAUGUCCUCCCCUAAUUAGACGUAUCCUUUUUUUUUUAUUCAAUAAAGCUUCUCUAAUACUAUCGAGGUUCAUCAAAAGACAAUUUUAAAUUAAUUUUCUUUUCUAUGUUAGAUAAUGAAAUUCUAAUCUUCUUAGUGAAUAACUUCAAUAAUAGAGUGUAAGAGUAUUAGUAGUUAUGGUAGUUUUCUGAACCUGGAGUCAAGACCAAUUUAACAGCAACAAACAAGUCUCUUGUAUUAUAGGCAAAAUUCUUUUCAUUAAUCUUAUUUGUCUACAUGUUCUCCUAUUUUCUCCAUUAAUCUUCGCUCAAGGUUUCAUGCUUCCUCUUUGAUAAAGGAAAAUAUUACUUGCGAAUAUUUCAAUUUGACAUAAGAGACUGUUUUGCCAACCAUUUGAUAAAAUGGAUAUGACUGGAGCUUUCAAUCAUUGCCUCCACCAAAAUCCUUACAACGCCACUUUUAAAUUUUAUUUUUUAAAAUACAUUCAGUUUAAUUUAUAAAAAAUAAAUCCAUUUGUUAAAAUUAAUCUUUUUCUCAUAAAUUUCAACCUAAAAAAUAUAUUUCUUUUAAAUUUUUAAUUAUAAAAUACAUACAAAUUCUAAAUUAUUUUAUUAUUUUCUUCCUAUUAUAUAGUUUAUAUCUCCAUAACUCUAAACUCCUAUAAUUUUUAAAAAAUAUUUUUUAAUUUAAAAUAUAAAUAUAAAAUAUAGAAUGGAGUGAGUAUAAAAAAACUUGUUAAAAGAAUAAUGCAUUUAAGUAUUUAACUGAAUUUUAAAUUAAAAUAAGAAAUAAAUUAAUUUAUUUUUAUUAGUUAAGUAAUUUUCAAUUGAAAAAGAGCUUUUAGUAACAUUAUUGAAAUAUGAUUAAAAUUCUAUGAAUUAAACAUUUUCGUAUAAGUACUAGUGAUAAUUACAGAGAAAGUACGAUGAAGUGAAAAAACUUAAAUAUAAAUACUCUAGUAUAAUUUUACACAUGCAACUUAUGAACCAGUGAUCUGUAGAGCAUCAUAAAAUUGUUUUAACACAAUUAAUUGGUUUGAAAAAUUGCCAAUAAUGUCUACAGUGGGAUUUAAAAGAUUAAACUACAUAUAUAAGACAUGAUAUCAUUUAAGACGGCUUACAGAUUAUGAGAAAUAUUUUGAUCUUCCAAAUAUUUAAUAUGUCAAUUAGACUGAGUCUAUACAAUGAAAAUUUCAAAUAAAAAAUAAACCCUUUAUUUUCUUUUAAUCAAAAGUGUGAUCUUAAUUAUUAAAGUCAUUUAAUGUCCAUUACUUAUUCAUUUUUUUAAUUACCUAAAUGACAUUGAAAACUCUACCCAAUAUUAAUUCAUUCAAAUGUUUUGUUUUAAGGUAAUCGGAAACUGCAAAUGAAACAAAUGCUUGAAAUCACAAACGGCCUAAAAUUAGAUUUUCAUUUUUCAAUGUUGCAGUGACUUUGAUCUUGAUAUUGAAAUUUUAUUUGUAACUUAUAUAAAGGCCUCAAUUUUAUCAUAAUUGGUUAGUAAGGCUACGUAGGGAGCAUCGAUAAAUUUUGGGAUUGGAUUAUAUUUUUGGAACUAAAAAAUUAAUUUCAUCCAAUGUUAUGUUUGGCUGUUAGGACUAGCAACUUAGUCUAAAAUUAUUGAAAUUAUUGAUGUUUUAUAUUAUAAUCUUUUCAUUACCACUUUAAACAUUAUUGGUAACUUAAAUCAUUUUUUAAAUUAAAUAUAAAUUUUAAUUUAAUUAAUUAUAAAAAUUAAUUUAAUUAAAUAUAAAAAUCAUUUAAAUUAAAUAUUAACAUUAAUUUCAUAAUUUUUUACCUAGAAUUUUAUAUUAUAUUAAAUACUAAAAUUCUAUUCGAUAAUGUACUAUCAUUUAUUUAAUAAAUGUUUAGUAUGUUAUAUUAUUAUUUAAAUUAAUUUUUUAUUUACAUAUAAACAUAAAUUAAUAUUUACUAAUUAAAGUUAUUAUAAUUUGUUAAAUAAUAAAAGCUAAAUGAUUAUAUUGAAAAUAUAAAUAGUAUUCUAAUGUAUUAUAGUCUAAAUCUUACCCCUAUGAGUUUAUUUUAUACACCUUUUAUUAUAUUAACCACAUUUAUAAUGCAGUGCAAUGUAACAAAAAAUUAUAACCAAAUAUGAGUUAGCAUGAAAAUAAUAUUUUAGUGCAAUAUAAUACAAUGUAAUGUAAGCUAACAAAUGGAUAUUUAAUGGAAGCAAAAAUUGCAUAUGACUUGUGGGUCUCUUAAAAGACAACAAAAAAACCAAUAUGAUACAUUGAUUCUGUCCUCUUUAAUGGUGUCUUUACUAAAUGGGAAUAAGAAUAAGUUAGAAUUGGAGUGAGCUUGAAUCGAAAUAAGGAAUUAUAAUCAAAAUAAGUUGUUUAUUUAAGUUGUAUGAAUUAGAAUCAAAAUAAAUUUUAUUCAAAUUGAUGUGUUUAUUUUCUAUUGAAAUUAGAAUGGACUAUUACAAGUUGCUAAAAAACCAUUUGGUAAUUGUUGUCUCUAGUAUUAUUUGUAUAUGUUAUAAUGGUAACAAUAAUAAGAAUAAAAAUAGUACUAAAAAUGAAAAUAAUAAUAAUAGUAGAGACAAUAAUAAUAAAAUUAAUAAAUUAUUAUUAUUAUUAUUAUUAUUAUUAUUAUUAUUACUACUACUACUACUACUACUACUACUACUACUACUACUACUACUACUACUACUACUACUACUACUACUACUACUACUACUACUACUACUACUACUACUACUACUACUACUGAAGAUCGCUCGGUGAAGAUUGGAUAGUGAAGAUGAAGACGACGAAGAUCCCGGCAACCAACUGCUGUUCCAAAGAUGAUGUGCCCAAAUGGAGACAACCAAUGAUGACUAGCCAACUAGAUCCCAAUCUCGAUGUUGUGAUCUCGUAUGACCACAGAUAAAGCUAUGUGUGAUGUUGGCGUUAUGAUUUCUUUUUUAUUUAUAUUUUUUAAUUUAUUAGUGGUAUUUUCAAAUUUUUGUAAUUUUAAUAUGGACAAAUUGGAUAGUCCAGUAAACAGGAGACUGAUUCGCAACCAUCCUAAGAAUUAGGGCCCGUUUGGUAUCAUUUUCAAGGGCUUAUUUUCAUUUUCGUUUUUGGAGUUUAAAUGUAAUACCCGUUUGGUACGCUGAAUUCAAAAAUAAACUGUAAAACAAAUAAUUCAGAUUUCCAUUUACAGUUAUAAAAUUGAGAACGUGUUUAACACGUUCUCAGUGAAUCACAAACCAAAUUUUAGAAUAAAUCGCAAAACAAAACCCGAUCAAAAUACACCUUUCUCUCAUCUCUCUCAUCCACAGCUCUCUUUCUCUUCGUGACAGUUCUCCAACCAAAAUCAGCUACUGUUACUGCGUCUCAGCUCCAUCUCGACUAGUGGUGGUGGUGGUGGUGCGUCUCUGCUCUGCUUCGGCCAUGGUGGAUCGACUGAUACUGCUGUAUCUCUGUUGAGGAUUGAUUGGUGCUGCUGCUGUUGCGUCUCGGCUCCGUCCCGACUGGUGGUGGUGCGGCCGUUGCUGCUGCAUCUCUGCUCUGCUUUAGGGAGGGCUUAAUUUCAUUUUCUGCUUAACCGAUCGAAUCUAUUUUUCGUUUUGAAUGAUUGCUCGAAGCAUGCCUUCGAUUUUGCAUUUAAUUGGGCAAACAAAACAAAAAAAAAAAUUUAUGGAUUCAUUCGUCAUUUUCACAUGGAUUGAGAUUGACCAUUACAUUUCUUAUUAUUUGUUGGCAGUACAUUAUAAUGAUGACACAUAUAUAAAUCAUAUAAUUAACAUUAUAUUAAUAAUAAAUUUAUACCUAAUAAUAAUAUUGAUACCAAUUAACAUUUUAUAUCAAUUUUUAAAAAUUUUAAAAUUAACAAUUUUUGGGCAAACUAACAAUUGUUAAAAAAAGAACAAAAAGUUACUGAUUAGAUAGAGUUGCUUAAUGCGCAUGGUGUGUUUGUGUAUGUAUUAGUUAAAUUUUUUAGUAAAAAUUAUUUCUGAAAAAAAUAUUACCAAACGCAUAUUUUCUGUUUUUAUCAUUUUCAAUUGUGUCUACCAAACGCAUAUUACUGUUUUCAAUUUUAAAAUAUAGGAUAUAGAAAAUGAUACCAAACGCAUAUUUAAAUUCGAAAUACAGUAACUGUUUCGUUUUUAUUCUCAGAAAAUACAGAUUCAAAAACAAUACCAAACAUGCCCUUAGUCUCUCAUUUUCUAUUUCUAAUUUGAUGUGAGUUCUACUAUUUCGAUUCCAAUUCUUACAUUUAUUUGUGAGACAAAACUAUGGUGCAACUGUAGACUGUAGUACCAUUGGAUCCAGCCACAAUAUCAUCAUGACUGGAUCUAAUGGCUGAAACCUGAAAGUAAUUGUGGUAUGGUACCACAGUUGCACCAUAGUUGAACCUUUAUUUGUGAAGUAAAAUGAUGUUAAUAAUUUCGAUUUUCAAUUCGAGAAGUAAACACAUCAUAAUAUUUUUUUAGAUGCUUCCAUGGCAUAAUCUCAUUGGUCCAUUUUUCUUCACGCCUUAGAUUCAACUUCAAGAUUCAAGAUUCAAUUUGAAGCAAACACAACUGCAAAACAAAUAUAAUAAGCGUUAAUAAGCCUGCGGCUGACUGGCUGUGGCCAAGCAAAUGUAACAUAUAGUGACCGAAUCAUAUCUUAUUAUCUUACGCCUGAAGCAAAACAAUGUUCCCAUUCCACGUGUCACUCUUUGACCAAUCCCCGAACUUUCUUCAUAUUUCCAAAGAAACCCUUACAAAGUCAAGAUAAUUACCUUCACUCUACUCAUCCUUACGGUCUUCAUUUAAAAGGAAAAAUUAUAAAAAAUUCUCCUCAUUCCUUAAAAAUCUAGGGUUUCUCAAGAAUCGCUAAACAUAUAUCCCAAUCAUUCAAAAUCUCAAUUUAACCUCUCUAGGGUUUUGAUUGUCGAGGAUUCGCUUGAAAAUUUAGUAUUUUUUAGUGGAUUUUGCUUGUCUCGUAUGCUUCAAUUGUUGUUCGGUUCUGAAAAUAAUUUGGAAUUUUAGGGAUUUUCAGAUUAUUUAGUUUUUUUUAGUGCAAUUUCCUCUAGUUACGGUUUCAGUUUGAAGGGUUAAGUGCAAUUUCGAAUUUUUUUAUAAAAUUAAAAUUAAAAUUCCUAAAACGAUUGGGCGCUUAAUAAUUAAUUGAUGGCUAGCGAUACUACAACUGCGGCCGCAGCUGCGGAAGAAGCAGAGGCGAUGGAGGAGUAUGAUAGCAAUCCAAAUGAAGUGAAACGCUCUCUUGUGAUGCGCAGAAGGGAUGCCAGCGAUGAGGAGGAGGCGGAGGAUGAGAGAGAUUCAGAGCUUCCAAUCGCUCAAAGUGUCUACAUUCCUGCGGGAGAAGCGGAGGCUGUGGAUGAGUAUGAGAGCGAUCCAGAUGAAGUGAAACACUCUCUCGUUAUGAGCAUAAGGGAAACAAGCGAUGAUGAGGAGGAGUGGACAGAAUUUGAGCGUCGAAUAAAUUGAAGGGUCCAGAUUCACUCUUACAUUGAAUCUGAUGGCCUAAGUGGUGCUCCAGCUGAGUAUGAUGAUGAUGAAGAGGACGAAGAGGAACAUGACAGAGAAUUAGAAGAAGAAGAUGAAGAAGGGGAUGUUUAUGAGUAUGAAGAGGAAGACGAGUUUUAUGAAGAAGUGGAGAGGAAUGACGAGGCGGUUAAAGUCAAAGAAACAGAGGGUAAUGAUGCAAGAGGAGUACAGAGGGCGCAGUGGAAGUGAGUAAAGGGAAUUAUGAUAAUGGCAAUGGUGCUAAAACAAUGAUGCAGCGAAGGAGGGAAUGGAGGAAGGGGAGAAGGAGAGUAAUGAGCCUUUUGCACAGCAGCCGGGGCUUUUUAUAUGGGACAAUGUUGCAGGUCGACACAGGUAUUAUUUGAUUUGAGUCAUCUAUAAAUAACUGAUAGCUGUACUUUCAUUAGGCUUGUCGAUUAGUCUAGUCUCGUUUUUUGGUGCUGUCUAAUGAUUGUUUGCUGGAAUCUGUGUAGAAGGCUUUUGGCGUAGUAGGUUGAAAGGAGAGAAAGUUCUCAAGUAAACAUCUGUGCUUUGUGGAAUAUAAUUAAUAGGGACAAAGUAUACUAAAUUACUUGAUAGAUAGAUGCCGAGCUAAUCAUGAGCUAUGAUAGCAUUAUCCGUGCUUUGUGUAUUUUUAUUAGGGCUUGUCUAUUUCAAAGCGUGGAGUAUAGAAUUUUUGGGUUAAGUUUGAGUGAUGAAGUGUUAGAUAGGUUUCUGUUUUGCAUAGUUAAGCCGUCAAUACGAGCUAUCGAAGCAAAUAUGGAGUAGGAUAUCUAGUUUUGGCUUUGGUCUUAGUUUGAAGAUGGCUACUGAUUAUGCAGCUAGGUACGUAUUAGUGUUUGUGGAUUUCUAAAUGCUUUCUUUUAAAUUUGACUAGAUUAUUACUAGAAGUGCAUGGAUCUUACACUUAAUUAAUUAUAUAUCCAUUUGUAAUGUUCAAAAUGAUAAUGUACUAUUGCUUGAAAUUAUGCUUUCAAGACAUCAUUUUGAAAAUCCAUGGUUAUAAUGUGUCUCUAAAUUCAGUAAUACAAGUUCUAUCAAUUGCUGUUGGAUGCAGUGACCUGAAUAGUUUAAUAUUCAUUUGCAGAAGAGUUGAGAAAGAAAACUAAAAAUUUCGGUGCGUUCUGCUGGAAAUUUAAUUAGCUUCAUUUGAGCAUUAAUUACCGGCAUGAUCUCUUAGACUUCUCAUUGCAUUGAAUGAAUGGAUGAGUGCUAAUCCAUGCAAAGACUUCCAUGCAUGCACAAUGAAUGCUACAUCAAAGGUAUGGGAAAAUGUCAGCAAGCUUGGCCCAAAUUAUCUAGCUGGUUUGGUGGCUGCUAGAUUUGUUCAUCCGGAUUUUGGACCAUUUUCCUUGACAAUGAGAAAAGCUCCAAGAUCUGUAAAUCAAAAACUCAUUGAAGUGCCAAAAGAGAGAUGGAAGUGAAUAACUAGAGAGUUAGUGAAAAGAGGGUGCAGUGAUUGUGUGGGAAUCUUUGGGUAUAAUUGGGGUUUGGAUGUGAGAUAAAAUAUUUUGAGAGUGAGGUUGUAACAAUUUUUCACGUAGGGAAAUUUUUUAUCUCGUUGUCCUUGGCAACUGUGGUUUUUUAUUUGGGUAAUAGAGUUUUUCAGGUAACUUUUUUGUUGUGUGAUCUGAGUAUUCUCUAUUGUAUUUCUUUUAUUUGUUAUUUAUUUGAUGUAUUGCUAGCAGAGAUCUUGGGUGGGAACCAAAAAUUCCCAACAAUUGUCAGUUGUUUUAAACGCUAUUCCGAACAGAGCAUGAAGGGAUUCACUUAUCUAAUUAUGUCAUUUAUGCUUUAACUUCACUUCAUUUCAUCUUGUCCGUCACCUUUACUAAAGUUGUGUAUGUUUGAGUAUUAGGUUCAUCACAAGGAUCAUAUUAUGUUUGAGUAUUUGGAUUCAAGACUGUUAUAAGGUUGUUACAGAUGCAAUGCUGUUGCUGUGUAACUGUAUGCCAUGCUCGCAAGUGCGCUGUAACAGAUUGCUCAGCUGGCACCGGAUAUUUUAAGCUAAUUUUGGUAAUUAGUCUAGAGUGUUCUGAUUUAUUCUAUAAAUAGCUCAUUUGAGCGUAGAACCUUUAAGGUGUAUCGUACAUCUCUGUUACUUCUAAUAAAGGAUUUCUUUAUUCCUUUUUCUUUCGCUUUCUCUUUCAUUUUCAUGAUCCCCAAACACCAUCAAACAUAGAAUUGCUGUUUUAAGAAACAAAGUACUCUAUCCUGUCACCCAGCGGUCUCCUCGUUUAUCGACUUGUGAACAGGGCUAAAUAAAGGGCAAAGAUAUUAGGCAAAUGGACAUAACGUGACAAGUUCUUGAAUUGAAUGGCUCCUCAUUUCUUCAUAAAUCUUUGCUUAAUUUUUUUUGUUCCCUCAACCUUUUUUGACCUUUUGCGCUAAAAUUCUUUUUUUUAUACAUUAUGCAAAAAUUGAUGAAAAUGAGUUACUUUAGAACAUCAAUAAAUUUUUAUUACAUGAUAAGACAAUAUCAAUAAAUUUUUAUUACAUGAUAAGACAAUUAUACUUAGAUUACUCUUAUUUAGUUGAAUUAUAUGUAAUAAAAUUAGUUUAACAAAAUUUAACCCGCAAAUAUUCCUCAUCAUAUGAUUAACGUACUUAAAAAAUCAUAACUGAUCGGCCGCUUGUUUUACUAUAAAAGAUUGGUGUGAUUUAAUUAUUUUUCUUUUUGCUUGGUGACUGUAAAAUUAUGAAUACUUUGGUAAAUAAGAUAAUUAUAAACACCAUUUUGAAAAUCCAUGGCCAUGGUUGUGAUGUGUCUUUAUCAAUCACGGAUACAAAAAUUAAUCAAAAUUAUCGAUUGUUUUAAAUUCUGUUUUUAACAGAGCAUGAAGAUGUCGCUUAUCUAGAUUUACUUUUUAUGCUUUGACUUCACUUAAUACAGCUUCUUCCUCCUUUAACUGUAUGCCAAAUGAUUACUACCAAAUUAAUUUCACAAAUUAAUAAGCUAACCUAAUUAAUUUGCAGCAAGGUAAUUGGAAGCUCAGAGAGUCUGUAUUAGCCGACUCUAAGCGAUAAGUGUUUCCAUGUGAGCCAUAAUUUGGGAAAAAGACCAAUUCAAGUUAAAGAUCAGAAAAGUCUGUCCCGCACGAAUACAAUAAUUCGAGCCACACAUUCAUCAAACGCUUGCAUUGCAAAUACACUUCAACAUGUUGUCUCAUAGGGAGAAAUCCUUCACUCUUUGACGUAAUGCUUGGGCAACGUAAAUUAGUCCCAUUUUUUGAUGCAUGAGAGAUAAUUAGUCCCAUUUUUGUCCUGUUUACUUGACUUGGGCUAUUUGCCGUCAACUCUUCUCAUCUACGUAGGUAAUGUGUCUUUUAUUUGGCAUGAAAAAGCCAAUACUUGCACGAGUGUAGCAUCACUGAUUUGUGUAAUUUUCAGGACUGGUAAAUUAUCUUAAUUUAAAAAAAAUAUAUAAUUACAAUUAUCGAUCGAACACCACUAAUUCCAACAAUUUAUCCAAAAAUAUCUUUGAGUUUCAAGGAAUUAAUGUAGCACGAAUGGCCAAGUUUUUCAACUUUUUCGAUAUUUGAUAUAUGUCAUGUUCUAACUUAGUACGAGAAGAAAAUUAUAGAAUAAACUUUUUAAAAAAUUAGUGGAAUUAUUUUUCGAUAAAAUUAUCACAAUCACAUUUAAAAAUAUUCUUUAGAUUUUCACUAUUUCUACUGUUAUUCUUUAAACUCUUUUCUGAACAGAGCAUGGAGGGUCACUUAUCUAAAUAUGUUUUGUGUGCUUUCACUUCACUUGAUUCAUCUUGUCCCUCUUUUAUAGCUUCUAUCUCGUGUGAGCUUUGAACCUGCAACUCGUAUUUUACGUUUCUAUUACUUUCUCUUUCAUUUUCCCGACUCCCAAACACCAUCAAUCCUUGAUGUUAUAGAGUAUUAGCUGUCUAUUUGUACAAACAUAGAGCUACUGUUCGUACUUUAGAUCUUCAGAUGGUUAGCUAACUAUUGUUUGAAUAUUAAAAUUAAUUUGUUAAAUAAAUGAAGAAAACAAGAGACAAUUACCAUUCAUAUUCCAUAUUAAUUAGUCACUGUCCGAUUGUCUCCGCUUCCAUUGAAUCUGUUGAUUCAUGCUUUCAUGAAGUGAAACGCUUAACACUCUGUUCUGAUCCGCAGGAGAGGAGGAAAAACACAAUUUUAUUAUUUCAUUCCUGACACGGGCAAAGAGCUUUCUUAGCCGGCUCGGCAGCUAAUUCCUUAAAAUUUGUUAAAUUUCAUUUAAUUGAUGAAUGUGACAUGAAGCUCUAUAAAUAGUUUAAUUUGUAGAAUUGUUAAAAAUUUAAAUUUCAAGUAAGGUAGAUAAAAUGAUUAAUGUUUUUCAAUAUUUAGUAAUGAACAUGUGUCGUGUUACUAUGAGUGAAUGAAUGAAAUUUUUGAUAGAAAAUACAAUGCUAGUAUUAAAAAUUUUAAGUGCGAAUCCAUUUAGUGUACGUUAUCCAUAAAAGCAAUUGCGAGUCUUGUUUCCCAUUUUGUUUAAUUUUCAUAAAUUUGACUCACGAUCAAUUACGAGUGAAGAGUUUGUUGGAAAAAUCUGGUCUUCCAUUUAUUGUAAUCAGAUGAGUGUGAUUUAAUUAUUUUUUUCUUUUACUUCAUGUUCUGAAAAUUAUGAAUGCUUUGUAGGAUGUAGGAGAUUAAAAAUUUUAAUGCAUAUUUAUAUUCAAAACUGAGUAAACGUAACAUUAUUGCUUCUAUAAAUAGGUCAUUUCAACUUAAAACCUGUUACUUGUAUUUUACGCCGUUUCUGUUUCUUAUCAUAAAGAUUUUCUAUGUUUUUUUUUUUUCACUUUUUCUUCCGUUUUCCCGACUCCCAAACUCCACCAAUCCUUGAUUCUUUUCCUAGAGUAUUAGCUCUCUAUUAUUACAAACAUACAGUCUGUCUAAUUACCAUCAAGAAACAACAUACCUUGUCCUGGGGUCUCUUCGAUUAUUGACUUGUGUGACUUGCGAACGGGGGGCAUUCCCUUCUUGAAGAAAGAAUGCAAAGAGCCCAAGAAAGUACUAUCCAUUAGACACGUUAAGAAUUAUUUUGCUUUUCAGUAAAAAUGAUAAUAAUUAUAAUAAAUUAGAUUGAAUUAAUAAUAUUUGCAUGUGGGAUAUAAAUAAUCAGUUUAGUCACUAAUGAGUGACUGUCCGCUUGUCUUCUCUUUCAUUGACUUUGAAACUGUGACUUCUGAGUUGGAUUAAGAAUUGAAAAAAAUGUUGCAACCCAUAAAGCGCGUAAAAUUAAUUAAUGGGCCACUAAUUCUUCUUCUUAAAAGAAAAGUUUUGCAGGGAGAUUGAAAAAAGGCUAAUUCGUGUUGAAGAUCAUAAAUGAGUAUCUGUCAUAAAUACAAGUCAAGCUACACAAUUGUUCUUGUCAUACUAUUUAUUGGCACUUGUGAUCCUUGAAUUAUCAAACGAAUAGCAACAACACUUCAACAUCUGUUGUCACAUGGAGGGAAAUCCGCUGCCUCUUUGAUGUAAUACUUGGCAAUAUACAUUGACUUUUCAUUAAAACAAGCAUUGGCAUAUUGUCAUUUUCAAAUUUUUAACGUCUUGUAAUUAAAGAUUCCUAUAUCACAUUAUAAUUUUCAAACAAAUCUAAGUGAGUCAAAUCAAAUUUAGAAAUUUGAGGUCUACUAUAGACUUUUGACAUAUUAAAUUUAAGACAAUUAAGUAAAUGCUAGACAAAAUCUAACUUGCAAAUAUACCUUACCACAUGAUGAACGUACUUAAAAAUCUUAAUUGAUUGCUCACCAAUUAAUUGUUGUUUUACAGUUUGGUUUGAAUGGUUAAGUUCAAGUUCGAAUUUUCUUUUUGUAAUUUAAAUUAAAAUUGAUAGAACAAAUGGGCUGAUCAGUAUGAUGAUGAAGAAGAAGAAGUAAAAGCUAUUAAGCAUUAUCCUAUCACCAUAUCAAAUGGACCGAAUUCAAUCAAAUGAAAUCUAGAAAAUAGAGCAGCUCAUAGAUGUACGUCGCUAAGUGGAGGUUCAUUUGGAAGUACUUGGUCGAAUUGCGACUUGCGCCGGAGGCUUCGUUUCGUUUUAGAAGAGUGCAGAGCAGCUGCCUUGUCCAUUAGGCACGCCAACGACUUUCUAUUGACCAAUAAUUUUGAAAGCGAUAUUAUUAAUUUACCGUCUAAUUUUUUUUAUAUUAUCAUUUCCCCAUCAAAAUUUUUUUAUAAUUAUUUUUUUCACUUUGUAUUUUGGUUUUUAUUAUUUUACUACCGAAAAAUAGUAAACACACCCGUAAGAUAGGUUAUCCACAAAAAUGAUUACCAAAUUGUCUUGUUUCUCCUUUUGUUUAAUUUUCACAAAUUCGACCCACGAUUUAAAUGUGAGUGAAGAGUUUUUUUUUGGGAAAAAAUAUGGUCUUCCAUUUACUAGAAUUAGGUAUUUGUGAUUUUAUUAUUUUUCUUUUGCUUAAUAUGUAUCUGGAAAAUUAUGAAUACUUUGCAGGAUUUAGAAUGAUUUGAAUGUUUGAACGCAUAUAGCUUUCUGUCCAUCAGCUAAUGCAUAUUCUGCAUUUUAUGAAUAUCAGAGCUGGUAGAUUGGAAGAUGGAUCUUAUUACAUGUCAUAAGAUACUUUGCUCAAAGCUGCAAUUGGGCAACGCCGUGCUGUUCUUAUCGGCCAAUGCAAGCCAUUUACUAUUCUUUCUAAUGGAGCAAAAUAAGAUGAUUCUUACCUGCAUAGAGAAUUAGAAAAGAAAAGGAGGAUUACUGAUCCACAGAGCUGUCAUUUGCUAGAGGCACAUAAAAUCUUACACUUAAUUCAUUAACCAUAUGUACGUUCUAAUGAUACUUAAGUAUUACCUAAAUUGGCCUUUCAAAAUUUCAAUUCGAAAAAAUCCAAGGUUGUGAUGUGUCUGUAUAAAUUCGCUAAUACAAGUUCUCUCUAUUCCCAAUUGUUUUAAACUCUGUUCUGAACAGAGCAUGAAAGGAUAUAUUUGUUUAUCUAGUUAUAUUUUUUAUGCUCUCACUUCACUUGAUUCACCUUCUCCAUCUUUUAAAACAGUUGUAUAUGUCGGAGUACAAGUUCAUCACAAGGAUCAUAUUAUGGCCUAAGGAAGGAGCACAGUUUAUUGUCUGCACUCAAGCUUAGCAGAGUAUUUUGGGAUUCAAGAGUGUUAGUAGGCUGUUGCUGUAAAACUAUAGGCCAUGCUGGCAAGCGUGCUAUGACUGAUUGCUAUUUGCACGUAAAAUUUACCCAAAACAAAUAGAAUGAGAAUACUUGUACAAAAGGACAAGAUUAAUAAAGUGAAUAAAUUUUAUCUUUUAGUGAAUGCUUCUUGUCUUUUCGAGUUUUAGUGCAUUUUCGUGUGUAAUUUUAUGUGCAAAUAGCAUUACUCGUUAGUAAUUAGUCUAGAGUGUUCUAAUUUCUUCUAAUAAGUAGCUCAUUUGAGCUUAAGACUUGCAUUUUAAGUUUUUAUUACUUUCUAAUAAAGAUUUUCUCUGUUCUUUUUUACUUUCACUUUCUCUUCCAUUUUCCCGACUCCCAAACACCACCAAUCCUUGAUUUUCUAGAGUAAAGCUAUGCAGUUCUACAAACACGAAACUACUGUUGGUCCAAUUACUUUCAAGAAACAACGUACUCUGUGGUUUAUUGACUUGUGACAUGGGCAAAUUAGUCACGGUCCGAUUGUCUCCUCUUCCACUGACUCUGUCAAUUCAUGACUUUGGCACACAGUAGACGCUGGCUGCCUGCUUCAUUUGACGUGCAAAAAACUUUCUUGAGUCGGGUUAAAAUCGAUUGAUUAGUUUGUUUGGUGAUGAUGAGUUAGUCGUCAAUUCAUGAGUUUGAUGCAGUGAAACGCUUAACGCUCUCUUGUGAUGCGCAGGAGAAAAGCCAGUGAUGAUGAAGAGGGCGAAAAACAUUAUUUUGUUAUUUACAAUAAGGCUAUCAAUUAUAUAAUCCAAAAUAAUUGGGUUUGGAUGGUCAUUUUGUUUUCUAAAAUAUCCAAAUGAAAACAGAAUUUAUAAAGUGGGAAAAUCAAGAAAUACUAUACUCUUCGUAUAGUGGAAGGAGAUUUGGUUGCCAUUAUACUAAAUAAAAGAAAAAUAAAAUAAAAUUACAAUACUUUAAUAAUCUCAUUCCCAAUCCUACUGGAAAUAAAAUUUUCUGUAUAUUUAUGAAAUAAUUACUGAUUUUACUUUAGUGAUUUUUUUUUAGGAUAAAACUGUAGUGCAACUGUGGUACCGUGCCACAGUUGCACCCAACCGUUGGAUUUCCACUUAUUCAAGUGGACCCAACUUAUUUGAGUGAAUCUAACGGCUAGUGCAACUGUGGCACAGUACCACAGUUGCACUGUAGCUUGACCUUUUUUUUUUUAAAGUAAGGUAAGCAGCUUUAUUUUCUUUGCAUACGAGCCUUCUUUCUUUUGCUUUUGCCUUUACUCUUGACUGUAUUUCAUGGUCAUAUUCAAUCUCAAUCUCCUGUAGGUUUGCGGCUGCUUUAUGAGUUACGAUUUUUUAUAAGGUUGCAGGUAGAUGAUACAUUUAUAUACAUUUUUUCUUUUUUCUUUUCUUCUUCGGUGAAGACACUAAAAUUUAGUUUUUGUUAUCAUGUGAAAUGAACAUAGUCCUCAUUUCAAGGAUUAAUGUGUUAGGAAUUUGGUGGGUGAAGCAGACACGCAGCUAAAGUAAAAUUAGAAGAAAAUAGAGAACAAACACAAAAGAGAAUACCAGAAAUUACGUGAUUCGGCUUUUAGCCUACGUCUACGAGCGAAGACAAAAGGAAAAUAUUAUACUAGUGAAAAUGAGUUACUAGUAUUGUAGUAUUUUAGAUCACUACCCAAAACCCCAAUACACCCAAACUCUCAAAUCACUAAGCACACAAAAUUCUUUACUCUGCAAGAAUUACUUCUCACAACUCUCAACUCUCUCUACAAAAUUGGAUGCUAAAUGAAAUGGGGAGCUCUCUCUUUUAUAGCCAAAAAAUGGCUAUUAAAUUAAUUUUUUUUCCUUUGGGCGGUACCAAAUUCUUCUUUUUCUUCUUUCUCUUUUGUUUCUUUCUUUGGGCAGCACCUCCCGACCAAGACUUUAACUCUUUCUUUGGGCGGCACCUCCCAACCAAAACUUUAACAUUCUCCCACUUGGAGAUUUGAUUGAGAAUCAAUCAAUCUCCACACCAUCCUUUCUGCUCCGUCAUUGUUAUGUUGCCUACGUUUCUGCUAGGCCACAAGAGGAUCUACUCCAGAAAAACUUAUCAGUAUUUAUCGGCUUGGUCAAAACAUCUGCUAGGUUCUCCUUCGUAUGGAUUUUCUAUAAAUCCACACUUCCGUCUUCCAAAACUUCUCGAAUGAAGUGAUACUGAACUCCUAUGUGCUUUGUCUUGGAAUGAAAAGCUGGACUCCUUGCAAUGUGCAAGGCACUCUGACUAUCACAAAACACAAAAAAUUUCUCUUAUUUGAGCCCGAGCUCCUCCAAUAAUCUUUGUAUCCAAAUAGCUUCCUUACAAGCUUGUGUAGCUGCCAUGUAUUCUGCUUCUGUUGUAGAUAAAGCCACAACGGUCUGCAGUUUCGAAACCUAGCUUACAGCUGCUCCCGCAAGUGUAAACAUAUAACCAGUAGUAGAUUUUCUUUUAUCAAGUUCUCCUGCAAAAUCUGAAUCCAUAUAGCCUCUGACAGUAAAUUCUGAUCCUCCAUAACAUAAUGCAACAUUUGAGGUUCCUUUGAUGUAUCUUAGAAUUCUCUUCACAACUAUCCACUGCUCUCCACCAGGAUUUGUCAUGUAUCGACUAACUGCUCCCACUGCUUGUGCAAUGUCUGGUCUUGUGUUGUGCAAAUUUUAAUGUACUCGCAAGCGCACGAAUCUAUUGUAGUGUAGAUCAAUGGUGACGAGUGUCGAUCCCACGAGGAGGAGGAUUUUAAUUGUGUAUAGAAUUAAUUUUGCAAAAUGGGUGGUUGGAAUUAUGGUGGAAGUGAUUUAAGUUAUCCCAAAAUUGGAAUUGAAAUUGCGAUAAUAAAUUCUAAAAUUGGAAUUGCAAUGGCGAGAAUAAGUUGAAGCGAAAUCUAUUGAAAUGACGUACUUGGGUAUCUGGAUCCGUAUCAACAUGCAUCAUGGGCUAAAUAAUCCGUAUUAAUGCCAAUUAAAUCAUGAGGGGGGAAUCCACACCUCAUGAACCACGCUCUAAUCAAUAUGGUGCUAAGGGCUUAUCGUGCCAAAUAAUAAUAACCUUAUACUAGAGAGCCGGUGUAACCAAGGCGGUAUCUAGACAAGAUCAGUAUUAUUUGUCGACGAUAAGUCAAAUCAUCCACAAAAACUAGAGGGGAAAAGAAAAUAAAUUUACCAAAUAAAGCCCAUGACACAUGUUGAGACUUCACCUUCAACCCAAGCUUGAAAGGAAAUUAGCUACUCAUAAUUGAACUAGGGGCAAAAUGGGAAUUUAUUAAAAUACAAAGAAAAUACAAGAUGGAGAGGGAAUUACAGAAAAUGGAUCCCAAAAAUGGAUUCAGAGCUAUCAAAUUAGGGGGGGGAGGCCCCCUUUUUAUAGAUACAUGGAGUAAAUCAUGGCCAUUGGAUUAAAAACAGUUUGGACGCUCAGGAUUGCGCCACGUCAUCAGUCAACAGUCCACUGUUUGACCACGCGGAUGAACAGUAAUGCGGUUUGACCCGGAUGAACAGUAACGCGGUUUGGUUGAAAAUAAUCCUGUGUGAUGCAUGCACCGUACGUGAGAUUUUUCGUCCACUGAUAUGCUGCCACGUCACCAUCAACAGUACAUAAGAAUUUUAGUCCAACAGGAUCGUGACACCUCAUCAGUCAAUGCCACAUCAUCGGUCAAUGCCACGUCAUCGAUUCGUUUAUGUGAACAGUGCCGUGAACAGUAACAUAUACAGUACCGUAUACGUGAAUAGUACCGUACAUGUGAAUAGUGCCAUUUUUCCUUUUAUGCUCCUCCUAAGGUUUUCGACCGUCCUGAGUUCAAAAGUGAUGUCCGUUUUGCCGUCUGAUCUCUCCUUUAUUGUGAAAUGACUAUAAUGCCCCUAAAAUACAUAAAAUACUUAAUUAAAAUAACACACGCGUAAUUACAUCACAAGAAGGUUAAAUACAUAAAAGUAAGAGUUGUUAGUAAGACUUGAAAUGUAAAAUGAUGGUUUUCUCCUUUAGAAAUAUAUAUUUUCUAACACUCAACAUCUUGUACAUAUCACAGCGAACAUCAAACUUUCCACUGCUGAUGCAUACGGUACUCAAGACAUCUCCUUCCUCUCUGCUUCAUUGCUAAGACAUAUACUUGAGGAUAAUUUGAAAUUAACAGGAAGUGGGGUAGAAAUUGACUUACAAUCUUGCAUGUUGAAGCGCCGUAAGAUUUUCUUCAAGUAAUUCUUCUGUGAAAGCCAAAUCUUCUUGUUAUUUCUGUCUCGAUGAAUUUGCAUCCCUAGAAUCUUGUUUGCUGGUCCCAAGUCCUUCAUUUCAAACUCCCUAGCCAAUUGUGCCUUCAAUUCUUGGACUCGAUCUUUGUUGGGGCUUGCUACCAACAUGUCAUCCACGUACAACAACAAAAUGAUGAAAUCAUUAUCUUCAAACCUCUUACAAUAUGCACAAUGGUCUGAACUGAGUCUGUUGUAUCCAAGGCUCAUGAUGAAGGAAUCAAAUCUCUUAUACCAACACAUUGGCGCCUGUUUGAGACCGUAUAGAGAUUUGUUCAACCUGCAAACCAAGUUCUCCUUUCCUGUUUCUACAAAACCUUUUGGUUGGAGCAUAAAUAUUUCUUCUUCAAGUUCUUCAUGAAGAAAUGCAGUUUUCACAUCUAACUGCUCUAGAUGUAGGUCAAAUGUAGCACACAUUGCCAAGACUAUUCUGAUUGUUGUGAGUCGAGCCACCGACGAAAAUAUCUCGUUGAAGUCAAUACCUUCUUUUUGAGCAUAUCCUUUCACCACCAAUCUGGCACGAUACCGCUUCACUUGGUCAUUGUCAUCACGUUUAAUCUUGUAGACCUAUUUGUUUCCAAUGGCUUUUCUUCCACAUAGUAGUGGUACAAGUUCCCAUGUCUUGUUCUUGUGUAGAGCUUCAAUUUCUUCCUGCAUUGCUGUCAUCCACAAAUCAACAUUUGAGCUUUCUAAAGCUUCAUAAAAAGUUGAUGGCUCUCCAUCCUCUAUUAGAAGACAGUACGCAACAUUGAUCUCUGUGACAUACUCUGAGUGCCACGCCGGCGGUUGUCUCUCAUGAGUUAACCAAUGAACUUCUGGAGCCUCAGACUCGACUGGUUCUUGUUCUUCGUGCUCUAGUGCUGCUUCAGAAGAAUCUGAAUCUUCUGGAUUAUUUUUGACAUAUACCGGCACAGUUUCUGACUUUUCUUUUACAGUGUCAUCAUCUCCAUCUUUCAUUUGCAGUUGAUCUUCUACAAAGAUAACAUCUCUGCUGAUGACAAUCUUGUGGGCAGUGGGGUCCCACAGACGAUACCCUUUACUCCAUCAACAUACCCCAAGAAGAUACACCUCCUAGAUUUUGGAUCUAACUUUGUUCUUUCUUGGGCAUUGUACAUUACGUACACAGGACAUCCAAAUGCAUGUAGGUAGGAAUAAUCAGCUGGCUUUUCAGUCCACAUCUCCAUCGCCGUCUUCAACCCAAUAGCUGUAGAUGGCGACCGAUUUACUAUAUAACAGGCAGUUUUGCCUGCUUCUGCCUAGAAUGAAUUGGGUAGACCAGCAGUCCUCAACAUAGCUCUUAUUCGUUAUUUAAGAGUUCUAUUCAUCCGCUCUGCCACUCCAUUUUGUUGAGGAGUGUAUGCCACCGUGAACUGCCUCUGAAUACCUUCUUGCUUACAGAAAGCAAGAAACUUGCCGUUUGUAUACUCUCCACCAUUAUCUGUCCUUAAGCACUUGAUCUUUUUACCAGAUUCAAGUUCCACCCGUGCUUUGUAUUCUUUAAACACUGGAAAUACAUCUGACUUUUUCUUAAUUAGAUACACCCAACAUCUUCUGGAAUAAUCAUCAAUGAAAGUCACCAUGUACUUUACACCUCCCAUGGAUAUAUCCGGUGAUUCCAAAACAUUAGAAUGAAUCAAGUUUAUAAUGUAUUAACUUCUAGCAAUAGAUCUACUGAAUUUUAAUCUAUACUGCUUACUUGUAACACAAUGCUCGCAAAAUGGUAAAUUUACCGAUUUAGGCCCUGGAAGCAAUUUUCGCUCAGAGAGAAUCUUCAAACCUUGUCUGACAUGUGGCCAAGUUUGAGAUGCCACAUCAUCGUUGACUCUUCUCUAUUUGAUGCGACACACGCAUCAACCUCCUGUAGUGUUUCUCCUUUAAGCAUGAAUAAAUUAGCACUGAUCUUUUCUGCUUUCAUCAAUACAAGCGCUCCUUUAACAAUCUUCAUAAUUUCAUUCUCCACAGGCGUUUUGCACCCAUGACUGUCUAUUUGUGCUAAAGACAAUAGAUUUUUCUUCAGGCCAUUAACAUGUCGUAACUCUCCAAUUGUGUGAAUUGUACCAUCAAAUAUUUUUAUUUUGAUAGUACCAAUACCAGCGAUCUCUAAGGCAUGAUCAUCUCCUAUAUAUACAGAUCCUCCUGAGAUAGGUUCAUAUGUGUGGAACCAUUCUCUCCGAGAGGUCAUGUGCCAGGUAGCUCCUGAGUCUAUAAACCAGACAUCAGAUAGUCAUUUUCUGCUUUCUGAAAUAGUUGUUGCCUCGCUGUAGAGAAUUUCGCCAUCAUCCGAGGUACUUGCUACACACCCCUGAGCAUUUGAUGACUCAGGUUCAUUACCCUCUCUUCUCUUUUGGUUACUCCAACACACUUUCUUGAUGUGCCCUUUCUUGCCAUAGUUGUAGCAUUUAACAUUUUUCUUACUUUUGAAUUUUGAUCUACCAUUAUUGUGACUCCCACUGGGGCCACGUUCCGUUGAUCUCCCUCUCGUCACCGAUAGCGCCUCCACUUGCUGCGAACUUGCUUGUCUGUUUUCCUUAUUUUUCCACCUGCUCUCCUCAUUUAAUACGGAGGCUGCAACAUCGUCGAAAACUAGACUGUCCACUGGAUUGUUGUUCGUCAGGUUAAUGAUGAGCUGAUUAUACGAAUCUGGUAGACUUUGAAGUAGAAGCUCUGCAUGUUCAUUUUCCUCUAUAUUAUGACCCAACGUUGUGAGUUGUGAAAAUAGAGUUUUCAAGGUGUUGAUAUGGUCGGUCACCAUUGUAGAUUCUGCCAUUCGAAGAGUAUAGAGUUUCCUCUUCAAAAAGAUUUUGUUGUGUAGUGACUUGGCCUCGUACAAUUUUGUGAGAGUAUCCCAUAUUUCCUUCGCUGUAUUUUUCUCUGCCACACUGGAUAAUACUCCAUCCGCAAGUGCCAAGUCUAGAUCAGAAAUGGCGUUGCCGUCUACCUCGUUCCACUUGUCAUCAGUUAUCUCCACGGGCCUUUCUCUAAUUGCUGCCAAACAAUUAUUUUUCCUCAAUACAGCUUUUAUCUUCAUUUUCCACAACGAAAAAUUAUUUCUAUUAAACUUCUCAAUUUCAUAUUUUACUGCCAUUUUGAUGAUAAAUACCGCACACAAGCUAGUGUACCACCUUGAAUAGUUGUGAGUAUGUGUAAGAAUACACACCAAGAAAGUUCCUAGUAAAGACUGGAGGGGUCACAAUGGUCCCACUUAAAACCCAGACUCCUUAAGCUCUUAUCGCCUUUGUAGCAGAACUUUCCUAUACAUGUACAAAACCACACAGUUGCUUUACUCACACCACUAUUCUGAAAUACAAGUAUGCAACCCAAGAUGGGGGUGAAUUGAGAUUCUAAAAAUUAUUCAAUUUAUAAAGAAAAACUUAAAACAAAUAUAAUCCAAAUUCAAAGCAAUAACAAUUAAGUUGAUCACAAUAUAAAAAGAUAAGGGAAGAGAAAUUCAAACACAGAGAUUUUUACGUGGUUCGGCCAACCUCGCCUACGUCCACGCCUCCAAGCUUUUCGGGCUUGAGGAUUCCACUAAACAAGCCUCCAAGGCUUCAAAUGCUUACACUUGACUUCCAAGGUGUCAAUAACCUUUACAACAAGAGAUUAUCCCAAUCUCUUUAACCCAAGUGAAUCCCAACACUUACAACCACUCAAAACAAAAGAUUUCAAAUUUGUUUUGCCUCUCACAAUAUAUAAGAUUACACAAUGAUGCCCAAUAUGUGAAUAGAUGAAGUAAGAAUGUGUUCUAAGCUAUAUGAAGAUUGUAUUCUCGAAUAUAAGCUCAAUAGUCGUGUUGUGAUCAAUCUUCUUUGAAUUUGAAUGAGCUUAUUUAUAUUUGGAGCUGAAAAACUAGCCGUUACAAACUAUCGGCCCUAAACGGUUUGCCGUUAACUAUUAACGGUUAACCGUUUAAGCUGGUCAAAAGUUACCGUUGGGCCAAAUUUUAAAUAAACGGUUUGCCGUUUUAUGAUUACCCUUUCGCCGUUAAAUUCCAGAGACCUGCAAGAUGAACAUCAGUUAUCCGUUUACAUUAAACGGUUAAGGAUUUGCAUGAAGUGACUUCUCUGGAUAUUAUCGGUUAACCAUUUGUAAUAAACGGUUCGCCGUUUGUUUUCAGUAACCUGCAAAACAAUUUAGGCUUAUUCGGUUUUGUUAAACAGUGCCAGAGGAGUACAACCUUCAAUUCUGGAUGUUAUCGGUUAACCGUUUCAAUAAACGGUUCACCGUUAAAUUCCAGUAGCUUUCCCAUCUUUUGUGUUUUCCGUUUUUCACAAACGGUUAGAGCUUAGGCAAUAUGUUGCUUUCUGGUAUUAAUCGGUUAACUAUUUAAAAGAAAACGGUUCACUGUUUAUUUUCAGAAUCACAUUUUAAACCAGUUUUUGCAGAGAAUCUUUUUCUAAUUUGAAAGUCCAUCUUUUAUGAAUAUGAAUGGAAUGAUUAUUAAGGCUUUCGUUUAUUAAGGAAUAGCUCCAACAUUUUUAUCAAAAACCAUUUAAAGUUUGUUAUCAUCAAAAUCAAUAUUAUUAAAAAAUUCAUGUUAACAAUCUCCCCUUUUUUUAUGAUGACAAACUUCAUUCAAUAUAUAGCUCCCCCUUAAUAUGUACUCCCCCUAAAUGUAUGGCCAAAUUAAGAAAUGUCCAAUAAAAAGAUUUUUGCUCAAGAAAACAUUUUUAAAUUCAUUUAAAUACAUUCUAAAUCUCCCCAUAAUUCUCUCCCCCUUCAUCAUCAAAAAGAAAAGAGAGAAAUAAAAAAAAAACAAAAAACGCAAGUCCGUUAAAGAAGUUACCCGGUUUUGGUGAGCGAAAAUUUUGGCAGAGUUUCCCUUUAAAAAUGAGCAAAACCACUAAUACAAAAUGAGAUUAAAACACUUCCAAAAUAUAUUAACAACAAUUCCAUCUUUCAACAAACCAACAACGCCAUGAACAAACAAACCAACACUUCAAUAUCCAAGAAACCAACAAUUUCAUCAACCAAUUACCAAGUCAUCCAACAUCAAGAACAUCACAAAAAUAUGUCAUCAAAAUCCAGAAAGAGCAUAUAGAGGUAACAGUGUGUAUAAAAAUAUAAAUGGAAACACGCAAACAACCAAAAUAUGAAAUGUAUGUGCGAAAAUAGAACUCAGAAACUAUGGAGGUGGAGAAGAUGUGCUCCCCGGAUCAUAGCCGAAAUAGCGGAGAAGAGUGCGCUGUCCAGCAAUAAGCUCAAGCUGCUGAUCAAUGCUCUGCUGCUGGAAGGUCUGAAAGUCAGAACGUAGCUGCUGGUGGGUGAGGCAGACAUGCAGCUAAAGUAAAAUUGGAAGAAAAUAAAAAACAAGAACAAAAGAGAAUACCAGAAAUUACGUGGUUCGGCUUUUAGCCUACGUCCAUGGGCGAAGACAGAAGGAAAAUAUUAUACUAGUGAAAAGGAGUUACAAAUAUUGUAGUAUUUUAGCUCACUACCCAAAACCCCAAUACACCCAAACUCUCAAAUCACUGAGCACACAAAAUUCUUUGCUCUACAAGAAUUACUUCUCACAACUCUCAACUCUCUCUGCAAAAUUGGAUGCUAAAUGAAAUGGGGAGCUCUCCCUUUUAUAGCCAAAAAAUGGCUAUUAAAUUAAAAAAAAAAUUUCCUUUGGGCGGUACUAAAUUCUUCUUUUUCUUCUUUCUCUUUUGUUUCUUUCUUUGAGUGGCACCUCCCAACCAAGACUUUAACUCUUUCUUUGGGCGGCACCUCCCAACCAAGAAUCUACAACUUCAGCCCCAGGAACAGAAUCGAUCCCACUUAAAAUUUCAAUUUUGCAAUGCAGCUGAGGGGCAUGUGCCCUGUAAGAAUUGAUCCUAAAAUUGCCAUUGACAUGGACCCCACGAAGCUUGAAGAUUUCUAUAUUACAUAGCCAAACCUAAGUGAUAAGAAUUUUCAUAUGAGAUAUAAUUUUGGGAAAAAAACCAAUUCAAGUUAAAGAUAAAAAAUCUGUGUUACUUAAAUUCAAGCCACACAAUUUUUCUUGUUUUAUUUGAAAAAAAGAAAAUUGUGUUCCUCACAAAAACACUUUAACAUUUGUUGUCUCAUAGAGGGAAAUGUCCUUCACUCUUUGACGUAUCCCUGGGGCAAUGUAAGUUGACUUUACAUUAAAACAAAACAAUUGAAACGUUGUCCACAAACAUUGUCAUGUAGUUAAGAAAAACUUAAUUUUGACAAGUGCAAGAGAUUGGUGGGACUCAUUUGAUUCAAGAAAAACAAUCAGUCUCAUUUGAUACGCAAAGAGCUUUUCUACUCUGCGGCCAAUAUUUUGAUGAAUGUGACAUUAUCUCAAUUUUACUUCUGUAGGUUUGUUGUUUGUAUAUUAUCUCAAUUUUUUAAAAAAUGUAAUUGCAAUUAUCAAACAUGACUAAUCCCAACAAUUUAUCCAAAAAAUUUUGUUUCAAGAAAUGUAGCAUUUAUGAUAGAAUGGCUAAUUUUUUCAAUCGACUUUCUGGAUAAAUGAUAAUUUUUUGAUAGAAAUGUUACUUACUUAUUACAAGAAGAAAAUUAUAGAAUAAUUUUUUGAAUUAAUAGUAUUACUUUACGAUAACACUAUCACAAUCUAAUUUUAAAAAGAAAUAAAGUUAUUCUUUAAAUUUCGCAUUACUAUUCCUACUUUUCUUGUUAUACUACUUAAUGGCACUGGUGAAGCCUCGAAUUAUCAACCAAAAAGCAAAAAUAGUUCAAUAUCUGCUGUCCCACUGAGCAUUGUUAAAUUCAUACGAUAAAAUGAGUACUUAUAUUAAAAAAACAAUCGGUCUCAUUGCGUGCUCUUUCAUUGACAUAGGCAAUUUGCUGUCAACUUGUGGCACUUUUACGAAUUUUCAAGACAGGUGAAUUUUUCAAAUUUAAAAGAAAAAAAUACAGAAAUGUAAUUUCAAUUUAUCCAAAAAUUUGAGUUUCAAGGAAUACGGCAUUUAUUAAAUGUCAUGUUAAUAUAGAGAAGAAAAUUUUAAAAACUUAUUUUUGGAUGAAUAAAAGUAUUUUCUGAUAAAAUAUUUCACAAUCAAAUUUAAAAAAUUUCACUCCUCUUGGUACAUAAUUUAAGAAUUUAACAUUAUAAAUUAAUCUUUCUAAUCAAAGUAAUAAUCUCUCCUCGGUCUGCAAAUGCUAAAAUUUAAAUAUUAUAUCCAUUGACAAUAUUUGCUCCAAAUUCACGAAAACAAAAUUUCAAACAGAAUUAUGAAAUUCGUUACUAGAAAUUUGUAUAAAAGUUGUGAGAAUAGAAGGUUUGAUCAUAGGAAAUUAAUAUAUCCCUAUCCGAUGCAAAAAUGAUUGUAAAGAAAAACAAAAGUCACGGGCUUAUUUAGAAAAAAAGAAAAAAUUACAUUCCAUUUUCCAGUUAUUAAAGUAAUUCUAAAAUCGCUAGGAUCACAAAGGAUAGGCUUUGGUUGACUGAGGUCAGCCUUAACGCAUGCCGGUCUUUUUCUCCUCUACAUUCUUAGAAAUUUUGGUUUCACUAUAAAUACUCGGUAUAUAGCAAACUUAUAAGUGUUCUUGCAUUACCAAUCCAACUAAGCACACGCUUACAAUAUAAAUACUCUCAUCUCGUGGAAAGAGUUCAUUCACUCAGGAUGAUGAGCAGAUUUCUCUUACUCCAUUGUUUGAUUCUUAUUUCCUUCUUUAUCGCGGCAGCAACAGCCAACACAAGUUCUACUAUCACAGACCGAGAUGCUCUGUUAGCCCUGAAAGCUCGCAUAACUCAUGAUCCGACCAAUUUCUUGGCCAAGAAUUGGAACACAAGUACUCAUGUUUGUAAUUGGACAGGCGUCGCUUGUGAUGUCCAUAGCCAUAGAGUCACAGUCUUGAAUAUUUCAAGCUUAAAUCUCACAGGCACCAUCCCUUCUCAACUUAGGAAUCUUUCUUCUCUGCAAUCACUCAAUCUCAGUUGUAACCGACUUUCUGGUUCCAUUCCCUCCGCCAUCUUCACCAUAUAUACACUGAAAUAUGUUAGUUUCCGUGAAAAUCAGCUCUCUGGCGCUUUCUCUUCUUUCAUCUUCAACAAGUCUUCUUUACAACAUCUUGAUUUUAGUCACAAUACACUGUCUGGUGAAAUUCCUGCAAAUAUUUGCAGUAGUCUUCCUUUUCUGGAUUUCCUUUCUUUGCAAGAAAACAUGUUGCAUGGAGGAAUACCGUCCACUCUAUCAAAUUGCACAUAUUUGCAAAAAUUAGGUUUGGUAUACAAUAAUUUCUCGGGGGCCAUACCUAAAGAAAUCGGCAAUUUGACCAAACUUAAGAUAUUAUAUCUUGGCGGUAACAGACUCCAAGGUGCGCAUGAUCACAGAGUUUAAUUAUGAAAGUUGUUCCAUAAGUUGUAAUAUGAAUAACGUUCCAUAAUACAGUUUACACACGUUGAUUAAUUUGCAGGAGAAAUUCCUCGAGAGUUUGGCAAUCUUGCCGACUUGGAACGGAUGUCGUUAUCAGAAAACAAUCUCCAAGGUAUGAUUUUAAACUUUUUGCAAUUUUAUUUUAGCGAUGCUUGCUUCUGUAUUCAUUCGCUUGUUCUUUGAUUAUGCGAUGAUUUAUUGUUUUUCUUUCAGAUAGAGAUAAAGCUCCAUGUCUCCCCUCACUCAUUUCAUUCUUUAAUUUAUGCAGAUAAAAAUAAAAAAAAUGUUUUCUAAUUUUCUUUUGUCAUAUUGCCACUUCCAUUUUGAAGCUCCCAAUUAAGUCGAUGAAAAUGAAUGAUGUUUCAUUCUUAUUCUUGUCAGCCUAAUUCUUAUAUAAUUGAAGAAUAAAUUGUUAUUACGAUAUUCGUCAGCCAAUAAAUUCUUCUUUUUUUUCCCCCCAAACAUGAGUGAUCAAAUUGUUUGCGCAUUUAUAAAUGUACUUAAUUUGCAGGAGGUAUUCCACGGGAAUUGGGGAAUCUUACAAAAUUGGAGAUAUUACAGCUGUUCCGGAAUAACUUGACCGGUAACUUUCUUUACAAUAUAUAUAGAGACAUCUUCCGCUUUUUAUUAGAAAUUAUAAAUUCAAGUUAAAUCUUAAUUAAAAGAUUUCAAGUCUCUCAUUAUAAAUUCUCAUAUGAGGAUGUGUCGUUACCACUAUCUAACAUUAUUCUGUUUUUUAUUAGAAAUUAGUUUGUGUUAAUUCAAAAUUCUGUAGCAUUUAAAAAAAUUAAAAACACGUGGAAUAAAUUGUUAAUCUUUCUUCUUUACUGAAUUUGGAUUUCUCAAAAAUAAUCUUGACAAGUAUGCUUCACUAAUGAUACGCAUGUGUGACAACUUCAUAAAAUAUUUUACAGGGAAUCACUAAUUAUGUUUAAAUAAUUAGAGAUGCCAGCAGUGAUACAUAAUUUCUUAACAAGCACCAUACCAAAAGAAAUCAACAAUUUUAUUAGUCUUAAAGAGUUACAUUUUCACUGCAAUUAUAACAUAAAUUUUUAGUCAUCAAUUGCAUAAUAUUUUAUCUUAACGGAUGAUGUUUAGUCUUGGAAUUUAUAAUAUCUUGAAGGUUAGUAGCUGUGAAAAUAAGAAAUUGUUCAUUUGCUAAAAAGUUAACUUAGUAUUUAAGUUUUUCAAUUGAAAAAUAGGCUUGAAGAAAUUAUUGUUGUGUGUGCUUAUUCUACUUGGGCUUUGGGCUUGAUUACACGGUCGAGCACUUACACCUGUCGUACUAAUAGGCUUUUACUUUGACCACACGUUUGAUAAUUUCUUAACCUUCCGAAUUAAAUCUGAUUAUAAUUCUUUUAAAAUACAGAUUAAAUAGCACGUGAAAUCGGAAAAUAUUUUACUGCGAUAAGAAUUCAUAUAUUCAUUACACACGGUCGAACACUUACACAUGUUAGAAUAAUAAUAGCAUCCGCCAAUCGACUAUGAGUGAUCAAAUUGUUUGCACAUAUGUAAUUUGCAGGAGCAAUUCCACGGGAGUUGGGAAAUCUUACAGGAUUGGGGGUCUUAGAGCUGUCUGAAAAUUUUUUGACCGGUAUCAUUCCUUCAUCUAUCUACAGAUUGCUUUUCUCUAUUAAAUUUGGAAUUGUCAUUUAAUAACUUAACAAGUAACUUCCCUUACAACAUGUCUGUGUGACAUGUUUUGCUUCUAAAUUUAAAGGUCUCACGUCUCUCAUUAUAAAUUCUUCUAGGAGAUGUAUUGUUACUACUAUUUAACAUUACCUCGUUUUUUAUUAAAAAUUAAUCUGUAUUUAUGCAAAAAAAAUUAUUAUCUAAAAAAGGUAUAAAAACACGUGGAAUAAAUCGCAAAUCUUUCUUCAUUACUGAAUAUGGAUUUCUCAAAAAUUAUCAUGAUAGCUAUGUUAGUGUCUUACUAAUGAUAUGCAUGUGUGACAGCUUCAUAAAUUAUUUUACAUGGAAAAUAUGAAAAAUAAACUUGAAAAAAAAUUAUUUUACUGAAAUAAUAGUUAAAAAGGGAGGAGAAGUACAAUACUCAUGACUUAGGCUUGCUGUGUACUUAUUUUACUUGGGAUUCGGGCUUGAUUACACACGGUCGAACACUUACAUCCCACGACAUAAGCUUUUAGGGAUGAGUGGCGUAAAUGUGUAUCUGCUCUUAUGUAUUAUUAUUCUUUGAAACAAAUCUGAUUAUAAUUCUUUUAAAAUACAGAUUAAAUAGCACGUGAAAUCGGAAAAUAUUUUACUGCGAUAAGAAUUCAUAUAUUCAUUGUUCUAGCACAUAUAAAAUAGACUAUAAAUUUAGUUCCAAAAUACAUUCUUAUCUUCAUAUAAAUUUUACAUUAUUAAUUUAAAUUAAUAUUAAAAUAUAUUGUUUCUUUCACUAUGUUAUUUUAUUUACACAAUGAUGUGACUAUUGGAAUGAUUAAUACUUAUAAUUAUUUUGUAAAAAUAUAAAUUUAAUACUUUGUUAACAUUUUAUCUACAUAUAAUAAUUAAACUGAAACUCGUAUUUAAAAAAUUCUAGUUACGCAUAUUCAUUUCAUGACAUAAAAGUGUAUAUUUAUGCUAAUUUACCAUUAUCAACAAAAUGCUUUGAGAGACAAGUAAUCUAAUUUAUAUUUUUAUAUUUAAAAUACUUCCAUUUAUUAUAUUUUGAAAAAAAUUUAUUUGCAAUUAUUUUAAACCCUGGAUUCAAAUUUUCGUAGUUAUUAAAGUCAAAGGGUAUAAAUGUAUAAUAGUCAAAAACAGAUUUGUAUGAUCAUGUAUAAAUUUUCUUAGUUAGUAGGAAAAUUAGAAAUUGUUGAUUUACUCAUAAAUAAAUUUAAUGUUUUGCAUUUCAAUUUUGGAAAACUUGAGCUAAACGUUGAUAACUUCGAAUUGGUCGAGCCGAGUUUCGCUUCCUCGACCCACGGACCCAUUGAAAGUUCUAUUAAAAUUGAGUUUCCCGGUGCUAAUAAAAAGCAUUUCUUUUCCUUGUCCCAGUAAUUUAUUCACAAAUGAGUUGAUUAGCAUCGAAGUUGCCUGAGAGUCUGAGACCAUACUAGUAGGAGAAAUUUGAAAAGAAAUUAUUUUAUUGAAUUAAUUUAUUUUAUCUUGUUGUAACUGAAAUACUACUUUUUUUUGGGAUGUCACUAGGUCUUGAUUUACUUUAAUAGUAGCAGCCACCGACUUAGGCUUUUUUUACUUCUCACUACACAAUUUGAUCUUUUAAUUCGUUUUAACCACAUAAUCUAUCUAUUUCUCACCUAUUGCUUACUUAAAUUGCAUACAUAUUUUACCUACUAAUUUUUAUAAAUAUUAGUCAAAUAUAUUUUAUUACGUUUCUCUCGUAAUUGCUCCAAAUGUGUACUAUUAAUACUUAACCCUCCCUUUUAAUUUACCGUGCAAUCUCUAUCACUUAAGUCACAUAUAUAUUUUACCUAUAUUUUACCCCAAAAAAUAUAAAAAUAAAAGAAAAAGAAUAUGUGUAGCAAUUUGUAUAUAACUAACAAAGCAUUGACAGCGUGUAGCCUUUCAAUACUUCACGAGUGGCUUUUUCUUGUGUGUUAGUACUUGUAAUAAUUGUGUAGCGUAUAAAUGACAUUUUAUUAUUAAAGUGCGUCCAUUUUUAGAUAUUACUUAUUAUUUGAAAAAUAAUCUGAAUAUAAUCUUUUAAAAUACAGGGGAGAUACCACUUGAAAUCGGUAAUCUCCAAAAUCUGGAGGAGUUGGAACUUGGUCAUAACAAAUUAAUUGGUACUGUCCCAGUUGCAAUCUUUAAUGUGUCAACAACACUCAAAUUACUUGGGCUUCAAGAUAAUUCUCUCUCUGGAGGUCUUUCGUCCAUCGCAAACGUCCGACUACCAAAUCUUGAAGAGCUUUAUUUGUGGGGUAAUAAUUUUAGUGGCACAAUUCCUCGUUUCAUCUUUAAUGCUUCUAAGCUCUCUAUACUAGAUUUGGACAAGAACUCAUUCUCCGGUUUUAUUCCCAACACAUUUGGCAACUUAAGAAACCUUGAGUACCUUGAUUUACAAUAUAAUUAUUUGACAUCUUUAACUCUAGAAUUGAGCUUUCUAUCCUCGUUGUCAAAUUGCAAGUCUUUAACACUUAUUGGCUUAUCAAAUAAUCCACUAGAUGGCAUUCUUCCAAGGACGUCUGUCGGUAAUCUUUCUCAUUCUUUGAAAUAUUUUAAAAUGCACAAUUGUAACAUUAGUGGCGGCAUCCCUGAAGAGAUCAGCAACUUGACCAACUUGAUGACCAUUGAUUUAGGAGGCAAUAAAUUGAAUGGAUCGAUUCCGAUUACUCUCGGCAAAUUACAAAAGCUUCAAUGGUUGAGUCUUGAUGAUAACAAAUUAGAAGGAUCAAUCCCAGAUGAUAUUUGUCGUUUGGCUGAACUGUAUUUAUUGGAGCUGGGCGGCAAUAAGCUUUAUGGAUUAAUCCCUGCAUGCUUCGGUAAUCUGGCUUCUCUGAGGAUACUGUCGUUGUGUUCCAAUGAGUUAACUUCUAUUCCCUUAACGUUUUGGAACCUUAAAGAUAUCUUGCACCUCUACUUUUCUUUAAAUUUUUUUACUGGCCCACUCCCAUUAGAGAUUGGAAAUUUGAAGGUUUUGAUUGGAAUUGAUUUUUCGAUGAAUAAUUUUUCAGGCGUUAUCCCAACAGAAAUUGGAGGCCUAAAAAAUCUAGAAUCUCUCUUCUUAGGAUAUAAUAGAUUACGAGGAUCGAUUCCUGAUUCAUUUGGUGAUUUGAUAAGUUUGAAAUUCUUGAAUUUGUCCAAUAAUAAUCUCUCUGGGGCUAUUCCUACAUCUUUAGAGAAACUCUCAUAUCUUGAAGAUCUAAAUCUUUCUUUCAACAAGCUAGAAGGAGAAAUUCCUAGGGGAGGAUCUUUUGGAAACUUCUUAGCUGAAUCAUUUGAGGGAAAUGAAUUAUUAUGUGGUUCACCCAAUUUACAAGUCCCGCCAUGCAAAACUAGCAUCCACCACACAUCAUGGAAAAAAUCUCUUCUCCUAGGGACUAUCUUGCCAUUGAGUACUACAUUUAUGAUAGUAGUCAUUUGGUUGAUCCUAAGAUAUCGACAGAGAGGAAAACGACCAUCGAAUGAUGCUAAUAUGCCACUAGUAGCAACGUGGAGAAUGUUUUCAUACCUAGAACUUUGUCGAGCAACAAGCGGAUUUAGUGAAAACAACCUAAUCGGCAGAGGAGGUUUUGGCUCUGUUUAUAAAGCAAGACUUGGGGACGGGAUGGAGGUUGCAGUGAAGGUUUUCAAUUUGCAAUGUGAAAGAGCGUUUAAGAGUUUCGAUGUUGAAUGUGAAGUGAUGAAAAGUAUUCGCCAUCGAAACCUUAUCAAAGUUAUUAGCAGUUGUUCAAAUGAAGAGUUUAAAGCGUUGGUAUUAGAAUACAUGCCUCAUGGAAGUUUGGAGAAGUACCUGUAUUCAAGUAACUGCAUUUUGGAUAUUUUUCAAAGACUGAACAUAAUGAUAGAUGUUGCAUCAGCUUUGGAAUAUCUGCACUUUGGUUGUUCAACUCCAGUAAUUCAUUGUGACUUAAAGCCCAACAAUGUAUUGUUAGAUGAUAAUAUGGUUGCUUAUUUGAGUGAUUUUGGCAUCGCGAAGCUCUUAAUUGGAGAAGAUCAGUCUAUGACUCAGACACAAACACUUGCCACAAUAGGUUAUAUGGCACCAGGUCUGUUCAAUAUAAAUAUUUUCUAUUUCUUGUAAACUUCCUAAUAAGUUAUUUAUGUUUCAUAAUCUUCAUUAGAUGAGGAAAUUAUUAUUAAUGAUAUAUCUUUCUAUGUAAAUAUUGCAAUUCAUAGAGUAUGGAAGAGAAGGACGCGUAUCCACAAAUGGAGAUGUUUAUAGCUUUGGAAUUAUGUUAAUGGAAACGUUUACCGGGAAGAAACCCACAGAUGAAAUUUUUAAUGGAGAAAUGACAUUAAAGCAUUGGGUUAAUGAUUGGCUACCCAUUUCCACUAUGGAAGUUGUUGAUGCUAAUUUGCUAAGUCAGGAGGACGUACAUUUUGUUGCAAAGGAGCAAUGUGUGUCAUUUGUCUUCAAUUUGGCUAUGGCGUGCACUGUGGAAUCUCAUGAGCAGAGAAUCAAUGCAAAAGAAAUUGUAACAAAGCUCUUAAAAAUUAGAGACUCAUUACUUAGAAAUGUUGGAGGCAGACGUAUAAGACAACCAAAUUUAAAUUGACUCUACCCCUCCAUUGCUUGCUAUCCUUUUCAGAGACUUGAACGGUUAUCCUUUAUACCAGUUUUGUUGAUAUGUUUUGUUAAUGCUCUUGCUCAUGUCUGUUUCUCUAUUUCUUUAAUUUGCAUGCAUGUAUUUUUCGUUCUCUUUUAUGUUUUUGUUGGUUUGUAUGUAGUUUGUUUUUAGGGGUAAGGUUGAUUAUGUCCUCCCCUAAUCAGGCGUAUCCUUUUUAUGUUUAUUCAAUAAAGCUUCUCUAAUACUAUCAAGGUUCAUCAAAAGAAAAUUUUUAAUUAAUUUUCUUUUCUUUGACAGGUAAUGAAAUUCUAAUCUACAUAGUGAAUAACUUCAAUAAUAGAGUGCAAUAGUAUUAGUAGUUAUGGUUGUUUUUUUAACCUGGAGUCAAGAGCAAUUUAACAGCAACAAACAAGUCUCUUGUAUUAUAGGCAAAAUUCUUUUCAUUAAUCUUAUUUGUCUACAUGUUCUCCUAUUUUCUCCAUUAAUCUUCGCUCAAGGUUUCAUGCUUCCCCUUUGAUAAAGGAAAAUAUUACUCGUGAAUAUUUCAAAUUUUCAAUUUGACAUGAGCGACUGAUUGUCAGCCAUUUGAUAAAAUGGAUAUGAGUGGAGUUUUCAAUCAUUACCUCCACCAAAAUCCUUACAACGCCACUUUUUAAUUUUAUUUUUUAAAAUAUAUUUCUUUUAAAUUUUUAUUAUAAAAUACUUACAAAUUCUAAACUAUUAAAUUAUUUUCUUCUUAUUACAUAGUUUAUAUCUCCAUAUCUCUAAACUCCUAUAAUUUUUUAAAAAAUAUUAUUUAAUUUAAAAUAUAAAUAUAAAAUAUAGAAUGGAGUGAGUAUAAAAAACUUGUUAAAAGAAUAAUUCAUUUAAGUAUUUAACUGAAUUUUAAAUUAAAAUAAGAAAUCAAUAAAUUUAUUUUUUAUUAGUUAAGUAAUUUUCAAUUGAAAAAGAGCUUUAUGAGUAAUAUUAUUGAAAUAUGAUUAAAAUUCUUAUGAAUUAAACAUUUUCGUAUUAAUACUAGUGAUAAUUAUAGAGAAAAUACGAUGAAGUGAAAAAACUUAAAUAUAAAUACUCUAGUAUAAUUUUACACAUGCAACUUAUGAACCAGUGAUCUUCAGAGCAUCAUAAAAUUGUUUUAACACAAUUAAUUGGUUUGAAAAAUUGCCAAUAAUGUCUACAGUGGGAUUUAAAAGAUUAAACUACAUAUAUAAGACAUGAUAUCAUUUAAGACGGCUUACAGAUUAUAAGAAAUAUUUUGAUCUUCCAAAUAUUUAAUAUGUCAAUUAGACUGAGUCUAUGCAAUGAAAAUUUCAAAUAAAAAAUAAAUCUCUUAUUUUCUUUUAAUCAUAAGUGUGAUCUUAAUUAUUAAAGUCAUUUAAUGUCCAUUACUUAUUCAUUUUUUUAAUUACCUAAAUGACAUUGAAAACUCUGAAUAUUAAUUCAUUCAAAUGUUUUGUUUUAAGGUAAUUGGAAACUGCAAAUGAAACAAAUACUUGAAAUCACAAACAGCCUAAAAUUAGAUUUUCAUUUUUCAAUGUUGCAGUGACUUUGAUCUUGAUAUUGAAAUUUUAUUUGUAACUUAUAUAAAGGCCUCAAUUUUAUCAUAAUUGGUUAGUAAGGCUACGUAGGGAGCAUCGACAAAUUUUGGGAUUGGAUUAUAUUUUUGGAACUAAAAAAUUAAUUUCAUCCAAUGAUAUGUUUGGCUAUUAGGACUAGCAACUUCGUCUAAAAUUAUUGAAAUUAUUGAUGUUUUAUAUUAUAAUCUUUUCAUUACCACUUUAAACAUUAUUGGUAACUUAAAUCAUUUUUUAAAUUAAAUAUAAAAUUUAAUUUAAUUAAUUAUAAAAAUUAAUUUAAUUAAAUAUAAAAAUCAUUUAAAUUAAAUAUUAACAUUAAUUUCAUAAUUUUUUACCUAGAAUUUUAUAUUAUAUUAAAUACUAAAAUUCUAUUCGAUAAUGUAUUAUCAUUUAUUUAAUAAAUGUUUAGUAUGUUAUAUUAUUAUUUAAAUUAAUUUUUUUAUUUACAUAUAAACAUAAAUUAAUAUUUACUAAUUUAAAGUUAUUAUAAUUUGUUAAAUAAUAAAAGCUAAAUGAUUAUAUUGAAAAUAUAAAUAGUAUUCUAAUGUAUUAUAGUCUAAAUUUUACCCCUAUGAGUUUAUUUUAUACACCUUUUAUUAUAUUAACCACAUUUAUAAUGCAGUGCAAUGUAACAAAAAAUUACAACCAAAUAUGAAUUAGCAUGAAAAUAAUAUUUUAGUGCAAUAUAAUACAAUGUAAUGUAAGCUAACAAAUGGAUAUUUAAUGGAAGCAAAAAUUGCAUAUGGCUUGUGGGUCUCUUAAAAGACAACAAAAAAAACCAAUAUGAUAUACUGAUUUCGUCCUCUUUAAUGGUGUCUUUACUAAAUGGGAAUCAGAAUAAGUUAGAAUUGGAAUGAGCUUGAAUCGAAAUAAAGAAUUAGAAUCAAAAUAAGUUGUUUAUUGAAGUUGUAUAAAUUAGAAUCAAAAUAAGUUGUUUAUUUAAGCUGUAUGAAUCAGAAUCAAAAUACAAAUUGAUGUGUUUAUUUUCUCUUGAAAUUAGAAUGGACUAUUACAAGUUACUAAAAAAUCAUUUGGUAAUUGUUGUCUCUAGUAUUAUUUGUAUCUGUUAUAAUGGUAACAAUAAUAAGAAUAAAAAUAAUACUAAAAAUGAAAAUAAUAAUAAUAGUAGAGACAAUAAUAAUAAAAUUAAUAAAUUAUUAUUAUUAUUAUUACUACUACUACUACUACUACUAGUGCUGAAGACCGCUCGGUGAAGAUUGGAGAGUGAAGAUGAAGAUACGAAGAUCCCGGUAACCAACUGCUGUUCCAAAGAUGAUGUGCCCAAAUGGAGACAACCAAUGAUGACUAGCCAACUAGAUCCCAAUCUCAAUGUUGUGAUCUCAUAUGACCACAGAUAAAGCUAUGUGUGAUGUUGGUGUUAUGAUUUCUUUUUUAUUUAUAUUUUUUAAUUUAUCAGUAGUAUUUUCACAUUUUUGUAAUUUUAAUAUGGACAAAUUGGAUAGUCCAAUGAACAAGAGACUGAUUCCCAACCAUCCUAAAAAUUAGUCUCUCAUUUUCUAUUUCUAAUUUGAUGUGAGUCCUGCUAUUUCGAUUCCAAUUCUUACAUUUAUUUGAGACAAAACUAUAGUGCAACUGUAGUAUCAUUGGAUCCAGCCACAGUUAUCACCAUGACUGGAUCUAAUGGUUGAAAGUAAUUGUGGUAUGAUAUCACAGUUGCACCAUAACUGGACAUUUAUUUGUGAAGUAAAAUGAUGUUAAUAAUUUUGAUUUCCAAUUCAAGAAGUAAACACAUCAUAAUAUUUUUUUAGAUGCUUCCAUGGCAUAAUCUCAUUGGUCCAUUUUUCUUCACGCCUUAGAUUCAACUUCAAGAUUCAAGAUUCAAUUUGAAGCAAACACAACUACAAAAAAAAUAUAAUAAGCGUUAAUAAGCAUGUGGCUGAAUGGCUGUGGCCAAGCAAAUGUAACUCAUAGUGACCGAAUCAUAUCUUAUUAUCUUACGCCAGAAGCUAAACAAUGUUCCCAUUCCACGUGUCACUCUCUGACCAAUCCCCGAACUUCUUCGUAUUUCCAAAGAAACCCUCACCAAGUCAAGAUAAUUACCUUCACUCUACUCAUAUAAAUGCUGUCCUCGAUUCGACUGAUGUCUGAUGACGACAUAUCCUUAGUCUUUAUUUAAAAGGGGAAAUUAUAAAAAAUUCUCCUCGUUCCCUAAAAAUCUAGGGUUUCUCAAGAAUCGCUAAACCUAGAUCCCAAUCCUUCAAAAUCUCAAUUUAACCUCUCUAGGGUUUCAAUUGUCGAGGAUUCGCUUCAAAAUUUAGUAUUUUUUAGGGGAUUUUGCUUGUCUCGUAUCCUUCAAUUGUUGUUCGGUUUUGAAAAUAAUUUGGAAUUUUAGGGAUUUUCAGAUUAUUUGGUUUUGCUUGAGUGCAAUUUCCUCUAGUUACGGUUUCAGUUUGAAGGGUUAAGUGCAGUUUGAAGGGUUAAGUGCGAUUUCGAAUAUUUUUAUAAAAUUAAAAUUAAAAUUCAUAAAACGAUUGGACGUUUAAUAAUUAAUUGAUGGCUAGCGAUACUACAACGGCGGCCGCAGCUGCGGAAGAAGCAGAGGCGGUGGAGGAGUAUGAUAGCGAUCCAGAUGAAGUGAAACACUCUCUUGCGAUGCGCAGAAGGGAAGCCAGCGAUGAGGAGGUUGAGGAGGAUAAAGAUUCAGAGCAAAACCAAAUCAAGGUAAUUACCGUCACUCGGCUCAAAUAAAUAGUCUCCUCGAUUCAACUGAUGACGACAUAUCUCAUAGUCUUUAUUUAGAAGGGAAAAUUAUAAAAAAAUCCCAUCGUUCUCUAAAAGUAUGGUGUUUCUCAAGAAUAGCUAAACCUACAUCCCAAUCCUGCAAAAUCUCAAUUUAACGUCUCUAGGGUUUCAAUUGUCAAGGAUUCGCUUCAAAAUUUAGUAUUCUUUUAGGUGGUGUUUGGUUGGAAGGAGAGGAAGGAGGAAAGUGAAGUAAUUUAAUUUUUUUUUUAUUUCUUUUGUUUGAUUUACCAUAAUUUAUAAGAAUUUAAUUUUCAUUAAAAUUUAAUAUACAUCAUGAUGUAGAAUUUAGAUUCCACCCCAAAGAGUGAUGAAUUUGAAUUCCUCCUCUAUUGAAAGCCAAAAUAUCCAAAAUUGCCCUUUCAAUUUUUUAUUAACUUGUUUAAUAUUAUCAAAUUAUUAUUAUUUACAAUUUUAUUUUAUCAAUUUAAUAUUGUAAAUAAUUAAUUUUGUAAUAGUAAAAGUUAAAUAAUUAAUAAAAUCACUUUAUUUAUUUAAUUAAUUUUAAAAAUAGAAAUACAAAUUUAACAGUCGCCGGAUCGCCGCUGCUGCUGCUAACAACCUCGCGUGAGACGUCACCACCUGUACUGUUGGAGUCGUUGGACGACAAGAAACGUCAUUUUACCGUCACGUAAGUGAAAAAAUGAAUUUAUGUUCCUCAAAUUCGGUUAACAUAAAUUUAAAAACUUUCUAACUAUCUCAGAUCCGGAUAGCAUUCGAGUUUUUUGGCCAAAUAAGUUGUUUCAAUCCAUAGAUCGUCAAGUUCUGAAAAUUUUCAUGUAAUUAGCGAGUUGAAAUGACAUGAUGCAGUGGUGGCCGACGGCGAGAGGCGGCAGCUCCGACAGCGGCGGCAACUCUUUUUUUUUUGUUGUUCAAAUAAAAUUUUAAAAUUAUAAUAUAUUAAUUAAGAAAUUAUUUGUAUUAUGUCAUAAUUUAUUUAGAAAUAAAUUAAAUUAAACUAAUUUUAAAAUAAAAUUAUGUUAAUAAACUUUUUAAAUAGAGUUUAAUUAUAAAUAUAAUUAUACUACUUAAAUAAAAUUUUAGUAGUUAUUUAUAUAAUAUAUUAAAUAAAUUUAUUGUUUAAUUUUUGAAUUAUAUUUUAUGAUAAAUAUUGAAAGUUUAACCCUAAAGGGUGAAAUUGUCCAAAUAAAAGUUAAGACAUUUUCUUUCUUUGUAUAAUUUUAUAACAAAUCAAACAUUAGAAAAGAAUUUUAAUGUACUCUCUCCUCUCCUCUCCUCUCCUCUCCCUCUUUUUCUUAAAACCAAACACCACCUUAGUGGAUUUUGCUUGUCUCCUAUCCUUCAAUGGUUAGUUCAUUUCUGAUAAUAAUUUGGAAUUCAGUUUGAAGGGCUAAUAAUUAAUUGAUGGCUAGUGAUACUACAUCGGCGCCCGCGCCCGUAGCUCCGGAAAAAACGGAGCCGGUGGAGGAGUAUGAUAGCAAUCCAGAUGAAGUGAAACGCUGUCUUGCGACGCGCAGAAGGGAAGCCAGCGAUGACGAGGACGUGGAGGAGGAGAGAGAUUGAGGGCUUCCAAUGGCGAAGUUUCCACAUUCCUCCGGGAGAAGCGGAGGCUGUUGAUGAGUACGAGAACGAUCCAGAUGAAGUGAAAUACUCUCUCGUGAUGGGCAGAAUGGAAGCAAGCGAUGAUAAGGAGGAGGAGGAUAAAGAAUUUGGGCGUCGAAUGAACCGUAGGGUCCACAUUCAUUCUUACGAUGAAUCUGAUGGCCAAGGUGGUGUCCAGCUGAGUAUGAUGAUGGUGAUGAUGAAGAACAUGACAGAGAAUUAGAAGAAGAAGAUGAAGAGGGGGAUGUGAUAUGACUUCAUAUCAUUUAAUUUGUAUAACCGUGACGCCAAUCCCAUUCAUCCUGGUCCGAUCCGAACGGAUCUUGUUGAAUGAAUUGAUCCAUUGUUGUAUGCCUUACUUCUUAGUGAUUUUUUUCCUACUUGGAGCCGCCUUUGAGUACUCCUGAGAGAUAGAGUGGAAGCAUUUUGUUAUGGUGGAGAGUGGGGAGUGAAAAAGCCCAAUUCAGCAGAGAACGACAGCAUGAAUCGGAAUCCACUUAUAUUAUUAAGACAGACGACCGAGAAAGAAAGGCUCCACGUUCUCCAAGUGAUUGAUCUUAGCGUAGCGCGCUAGCCGCUGCUUCAUUUCGUAUAGUGACAACGCUUUCUUAGCGCUCCGCCCCCCCCCGGCGCAUAGUAAGGGGGACUCUGGUUGCGCGGCUUUCUCUUACAGUGGUCUAUUUUCUCUGACUUUACUCAACUUGUGUCGGUUAGAGUAUCGCUUUCGUACGGCGAGAGUUAUUGAUUCAAAUCCAAUAGUAGUUAAAACCGGGGGAAACCCCUGCUUUUGCCAGCAUGACAGCAAGCACGGACUGGCAGCAAAUGUGGUGCGGGUUCAUCUCUCUCGAGCAGUUCAGGUUCAAGGGAAGGGUGCUCGAGGGGUACUUGUCUUGUUUAUCAUUUUUGUUUAAUUUUCAUAAAUUCGACGACCCACAAUUCAAUUAUGAGUGAAGAGUUUGUUAAAAAAAUGUGGUCUUCCAUUUACUAUAACUAAGUCCGUGUGAUGUAAUUAUUUUUCUUUCACUUAAUGUCUUGAAAAUUAUGAAUACAUUGUAGGAUUUAGAAGGAUUUUAAAGUUUUAAUGCAUAUGGGUUUUUUAUGUCCAUCCACUUAUGCGUAUCCUGCAUUUUAUGAUUAUCGUUGUUGGUAGAUUGACAAAUGGACCUUAAUUACAAGUCAAAUAACCUAAAUACUUAUCGGCCAAAGGAAGCCAUUUACAGUACUUUCUAGUGAAGCAAAGUAAAAUGAUUCAUACUGGCAAAGAAAAUUAGAAAGAAAAGGAGGAUUACUGAUCCACACAGUGUCGUUUACUAAAAGUACGUUGAUCUUACACUUAAUUUAUUAUAUAUCCAUUUAUAAUGUUCAAAAUGAUAAUGUACUAUUUCUUAAAUUAGGCUUUCAAAACAUCAUUUUGAUAAUGCAUAGUUGUAAUGUGUCUCUAAAUUCAGUAAUACAAGUUAUUUCUGUUACUAAUGGAUGAAGUGACUUGAAACUUGCAUGGUCAUUAAAUGCUGGCAUAAUCUCUUUGACUUCUCUUGCAUUUGAAUGAAUGGAUGAGCGUUGCAUUUGAAUGAAUGGAUCAGUGUUAAUGCAGGCAAAGAUUUUCUGGACUUUCAUGGAUUCACAAUAAAUGCUACGUCAAAGGCCUGGUAAGAUGUCAGCAAGCUGGUCGAAGAUAUCAACCUGAUUUGGUGGCUGCAAGAUUUGUUCAUCCAGGACCGUUUUCUUUGACAAUGAGAAAGCCCCAAUGUCUAUAAAUUGAGAACUCACUGAAUUGUAGAGAGAGAGAGAGGAAAGUGAAUGACGGGAGAGGCAGUGAAAAGAGAGAGUGGGAAGAUUUGGGCGUAAUUGGGGUUUCGGAGUGAGAUAAAAUAAUCAGAGAGUGGUUGUAAUAAUUUUUUAUACGGUGAAAUUUUUUUGUCUCGUGUUGUUUUUUGCAGUGGUGGUUUUUUACUCUAAUAAAAUAGUCUUCCAAGUAAAUUUUGUGUGUUAUGAUUGGGAUAUUCACCAUUUUAGUUUUCUAUUUAUUAUUUGUUUUACAUAUUGCUAGCAAAAAUCUGGGGCGAGAACCGAAAAUUCCCAACAAUUAUUAAUUAUUUUAAACUCUGUUCUGAACAGAGCAUGAAGGGUUUCACUUACCUAGUUACGUUUUUCAUUCUUUCACUUCACUUGAUUUCAUCUUGUCCCUCUCCUUUAUAAAAGUUGCAUAUAUUGGAGUAUCAAGUUCAUCACAAGGAUCAUAUUCUGGCUAACGAAGGAGCAAAGUUCAUUGGCUGCACUCAUGUGUAGCAGAGUAUUUGGAUUCAAGACUGUUAGAAGGUCGUUACAGAGUAUUUGGAUUCACUCUCCAAUUUUCAUUAAUUUAGUGUAGCCAAGCUUUAACUAGAUAGGUAGAUAACGUGGUCAUGAAAACUUGAUUAAGAGUUUAAUGCAAUCAAAUCUACUUUAAUGAUUAUUUAAUGCACGGAGAUUUAACAUCAAUUAUCAUCACGUUAGUCUAACAACGAAAUUGCAGAGCUUGGAUCUUUACUCGAACAGUUUCACUGGCUGUAUUUCUGACACAUUGGGCAAGCUGAUGGAAUUGCAAUUCCUGUAUGAUCAUUUCCCCAACUAUUAUUUGAAUAAUUAUUUAAUGCCAUUAUUCCAGCUCUGUUUGGCUGUUAACUUUAUUUAGUUAUUUAUGAGGAGAUUCAUUUCUCACCUGAAGCUAGAAAUUUACGGAUCAAUGACUUUUUAUUUUUUCUUUUAUAUGAUAGCUUGCAAUCCCUGGUGUGUGUUGAUAGUGCCUUACAUGAAUACAAAAAUGAACAAAUUUUUUUUUUUUUUUUGGGGCCAAUUGCAGUUUUGAUAACAACUAAAAUCUGUGUGGUCCGGUUACCACAAAGCCUUGCCCCAGAUCCCUGCCAUUUUCUCCUCCACCUCCAUUUGGGGAAAUUACUACUUACUUUUUGCAAGUUUUUCGUGAAAUAUUUAUUUUGAGAAGAAAACCAACAAUACAUUUUAUGAUUUGGGCUGUUUCAAAGAUCUUCGCUUGAUGUCUCUGCUACUGGUUUUCAGCAGAGUGCCCAAAAAUAAUCAGUGCACGCACUAUAGGCUCUAUUAUUAUUAGUAAAAAGCGUUAAUGAUAUAUUGGGAUCGACUUUUUUAUUUGGGAGUGGAAGGAUGCUUGAAAGAGUAGAGUGGUGCAUCUUGUUCAAACAUGCACCGUAGAGCCAAUUCCAUUUUAUGAAAUAGGAGUUAGACUGAACAACGUUAUGUCUUCGUUAUCAUUUCAGAAGGAAACAAAUCAAAUGCAGCAAUUGAUGUAGGAGUUGCUGUUGGCGCUGCUAUAUUUUUUACGGACUCUCAUACCAUGGAAAAACUCAGCUUUAAAGAAUGGUAUGAUGCUUUGAUAUAUGAAGUAAUUGGUAUAUAUUUUGUACCUUGCAUACAUUUUGCUCUGUUAAUGUUAUUAUUUGAUAACAUGUUUGUCGAGUUGCACAGUGUCUAGAAUUUUGAGAUUAAGAAGAGUAUAAAUGUUAUACAAAUACACUCCUUUCAUUUUAUACAACUUUGAUUGAUCAAGUUGUAUCUCUUUGAUAAAAGAGCAGUAUGACAUUUAUGUGCAAGCAAAGUUGCAUUCUGUUUUGGGAUCCUGGAAAAAAUAAAAGAAAGAAAACGCGGUACGACGCUGAUACUGUGCUCUUUAAUAUUUUUCUAGAUGCUUCAAUGGCAGAUUCUCGUUGGUUCAUUUUUCUUUACGCCUUAGAUUCUAUGAUUCAAUUUCAAUCAUAUACGACAAACAAAAGAAGCCUUUGGGAAAUUUACAAUAAUAACCAUUAAAGUUUUGCCUUUUUUCAUCUUAACCCCCCAAAAAUAUUUCUAUCAACAUUAGCCAUUAAACAACUUUUGAGACGAAAACACCCCUCCCUCAUCUCUCCCCCAACACUCCCUUUCACUCAUCUCUCCCAAACCGAUCCAACUUCCAUCAUCGGCGGCGACAUUAACCCUCGUCGGCGGCGGCUCCAUCUCUCACCGGCAUCCGAUCUACGAUCUACAACCUUCAACAAAACCUAGGUUAGUUAUUUUUCUUAUUUUCAUUAAUUUAAAAUGAAAUUUUAGAAUAAUAAUAGUUAUAGCUUGAGAAUAAUGGUGGUGGUGGUGGUGUUUGUGGUGGUUGGUGGUGUUUGGGAGUAUUGUUUUUCGAUUUUGUUGUGGCUUAAUUUUGGGGGUGGAGAGGGAGGGGGGCAGGGCGCGCGCCCAUGUGCGCCCCACUGUCGCACCAGCUUUGGUGCGACAGGCGCCUGUCGCACCAAAAAUUAUAGUGUCUUUUUUUUUUUAAACGAGUAUUUUUUUUUCUGUAAACGUAAUGUAAUAAUUUUAUAAAUAUUACAGAUACAUGGUGAAAUCAGAUUCACCGGAUAUUGAUGUAGGCAAGAUGUAUUUUAGUUAUGCCGAUCACUUUCCUGGUCGAAUUUCGAGCAUGUGUAAGUUAUCUUCGGUCAUAAAAGCCAUCGAGGAAAAAUUAACAAAGCGACAGUUGACUAUGUUCAAAAAGGAUAUAUUUGGGCAUUUCUUGGAGUGUCGAAGUUUUCCAUUUAGUGGGGUAAUUUUGCACAAUCUUUUACUGAGGCAAGUGGCCCAUGAAGAAGAUAGCCGUGAGGAUCAGUUAUGGUUUCAAAUUGGUGAGCAUUUGAUUCGCUUGUCAAUUGUCGAAUGGUGCUUGGUUACUGGACUUUCAUUUGGUGUUGAUACCAAUCAAAAAAAUGAAGAAAUGGAGCAGAGGCUACGGAAUACGUAUUUUGGUGGUGUUCAUCGUAAGAUUAAUGUGAAGGAAUUCGAUGCAAUAUUUAAGGAGUUGAAAUUCGAGGAAAUGGACGAUAUGGACGCAUUAAAGAUUGCGCUGUUUUAUUUUGCGGACCAAGUACUAAAUGCAAGAAAAAAUCACUGUCAAAUCAAUUUCGAUUGGCUUGACAAAGUUGAUGAUAUACAGUACUUCUGAAAGCGUCCAUGGGGUCUGUUGUCAUGGGAAAUGAUUUACGAGAGUCUUGACAAUGCACUGUUCGAGAAAGACGAGAAAUUUAAGAAGACUCGGUUGAAAAAUCCAGAUCAUAACAUUGAAAAAUACAAUCUUUACGGCUUUACGUCUAGGGUUCAAGUGUGUUUUUGUUUUUGUUUAUUAAUAAGUUUUAUAGUAUUAAAUAUUUGAUAUGUUGUUUUAUUUGAUUUUUCAAUUUGGUUGUUGUAGGCUUGGAUUUACGAAGCAAUCGGAGGGUUGCCAUCAACAUGGGUCGUCAAAACGAAGAAUAAGAUUCCCCGCAUUUUGCAAUGGAAGCCCAUGGCGUCUUCGAGAAUCAAUUUUGCGGAGGUUUAUUCGUUCUUCAAUGACGAAUCUCGUCUUGUAAGCAAUAUGUAUUACUUAUUUUUUUAACUUUACUAAAUAUAAGUUAUGUAUACUUACUUAAAAUUUUCAAUUUAAUUUAUGGCAGGGGGACGUUUUACAAACUCUUGAGCCAAAUUCAAAGGAGAGUAGCAGAAAUUAUUGGGUCUCUGUGAAGGAUUACUUGCCAAGCAUUCCAGGCUGGGUUCUUAAGGUUGGUAUACUCUAAGUACUAAAAAUUAUUUAAUUGAAAUUUUUGACUUUUCAUUUACAAAUUUUAAAUGAUACUUUAUACAGCACCAACCCUCAAUCAACCCGAUGCCGUCGGUUACAAGGCAAUCAGACGAGCAUGACGAUCAUGACGACAUACUAAACCCAAUACCAGAGCAGCGUCAUGACACUUAUGAGGAUGAGGUGGCUGUUGAUGACCAGCAGCAGCAAACAAACAACUCUGAUGACGCACGGGAUUCUGAGGUUAUAAAUAAUAUACGAUAUUUUUUCUUUAUAAAUUAUUAAUUUUUUUUUGUUUUUCUAAAGUUUUCUGUUUUUUCUUUUGUAAUAGUCGAGGACAAAGCAGUUUAAUGAUUACAUACGACGACGGCUGGAUAAGAUUGAUCGUAACGUGUACGAAAUAAAGUCAGAAUUAAAAGAUUUUAAAGAAACCGUUGUUGGCUUUAUCGACACAUUUUCUAAAUGUCCAAAUAAGGAUUCUCCCACUGCACACUCGUAUGCGGUGAGAAAAUUUUUAUUUAAUAAUUAUGUUCGUUUAACGUUUAAUUUGAUAGUUGUUUAAUAUGUUCUUCUUGGCGAAUGGACAGGCCCCGGAUGACUAUGGAGUGUAUACUAACGUGGGCAAUGAAAAUUUGUCUACGCCCACGUCAUUGUAUAGUUUCUACGGGGAUGUUAGUGGGGAGAGCGUGCAGGUGUUCUCUGAGGUGCCUCCCGGCGUUAGUAAGUUCGGCCGCGCGUACAUACCGUCGUAUGUUUAUAACAUUCCUUACAUGAUUCCUCCAGUCAAGCGAAGACAGAACAUCCGGCCUUUGCCUCGACCCCAAAUUUUGGAGCAUGCGAUUGUCAUGAGUACGACUGUGGAUAUAAAUCCACUGAGAGGAUUGGAAGACUCUAGUAUGUUUGCUGAGUUUGAUCGAUGGUUCGCUGGUGAUAUGAUAGUGGUUCGGAGAGUCCGGCACCCGCGGUCAUUCUUUGAAAUACUUUUGGGUUUAACUUCGAUGGGAUGGCUAGGCGAUGAGGUAAUUAUAUUUUCGAAGUGCUUUGAGUAAUGUGGAUUUGUAAAUAAAUAUUUUCUUUUAAAUCGUAAUGUUUAUGUUUCUCUACAGCAUAUUCACGAGUAUUUUUGCUUGAUUAGCGAGAAACAACGGCAGUAUCCGAAUGCCUUACUUCAACGUGUCACACAUACCGACACAUUUUUUUGGGUAACGUGCCAACAUAACGAACAUAAAUACUAUUUAUGUUUUUUUUAAUUAUCGCCUUUAAGUUUUGUUAAUUAAUGCAUUUUUUUGGUUAUCUAUGUAUUAGGUGUUCUUGACUCAGUUAUGGAACAAUGGGCAUUGUGCGGUCAAUUCAUUAGAAUUUGACGACCGCUUGAAUAGCUAUCUCUGUGGGCGACAGCACACAAUGUCCAAAUCGAUGACGGAUGUCGAUAUGGUAUGUAGUUUAUUGUAUUUCGUAUACAAGUUGUCGAUUUUUCUUAGUUGUUUUUCAAUUUCAUAUAUAACGAAGAUGUUUUUGAAUUUUUAUAUACAGUUACUCAUCCCUGUUAACUUGGACGGCGAGCAUUGGGUACUAGCACGAGUAGACUUUCAGAAAAACAAAGUCUGGAUUUAUGACUCAUUACUCACAUGCCGCGACGACAAAAGAUACAGGUUGAAAUUCAAGCCACUUGAAGUUAUCUUCCCUCGAUGGUUGGAAUAUGUUGGGUUCUACAACAUCCGACCUAAGUUGCAGAGUGCUGACCCCUGGAAAGUUCUCGCAGUUAGGAGUGCGCCACAACAAGAGCGCGGAACUGGCGACUGCGGUGUUUUUGUAUUGAUGGUUACGAUGUAUUUAAUGGUCGGGCUUACAUUAGAGUUUACCGCUAGUCAUGUCGAGUACUUUAGAAAGAAGAUUGCGGUUGACAUAUUUAAUGACGAUAUUGUAUUGUAAAAUGUUGUAGUAAUUUCAAUGUUGAAAUUUAAAUUUUUAUUCUAAUUUGCGCACUUAAGUUUAUAUAAUUUGAAUGCUCACAUUUUAAUAUUAAAAAAAAAUACACUCACAUAUAAGUGUACAAUACACUAAAAAAAUAUAGCAGUUUUAACCAACGAAUUAUUGAAACAAUACAACUAACUUCGAUUCGACGCAAUGGGAUUCUUACACCGCUUGCGAUUAUGGCCCAGUUCAUGACACCGCCCGCAUCUUACAGUCCGCCGGUUAACGUCCUCGCCAGCCAAGGGUAUUCUACGCUCUUUACGACGGUCAGGUGGUGGUGCCUCAACUGGAGGGUAUACUUGCAUCUCCUGAAUUUCAUCUGGAACUUCCCAAUCAGCCACAUCGCCAACUGGCUCCACUGGUUGUGCAUAAGCCAUUGCCAACCAUUCUGUAGUGUAAAAGUCCAAGCAAAGGUUAAUAUAAUCCACCCGGUGUGUUAGACACGCCGCAAUUGCAUGAGCACAUACAAGCUGAUCAAGCUGAAAAACUCUACAGGAGCAAGUUUUCUUUUGCAAGUCAACCAAACCUUCCUUAAGCCCACCACCUAUAACUUGAAAUCGAUGCGGAGACACCGGCCGAACUAUCAUUCUUUCAGCUAUAGUUCUCCGCUCAGUGACUAUUUCAUCUACCCAUGUUGUUAGCCGAGUACUCAUUGAUUCAGCCAUAAUUUUUCUAUCAUAAAACCAUUGCUGCAGCGUUUUCCUAAAGUGAUCAACAAGAUGAGUAACAGAAAAUUUUCGCGGUUCUCUCAUGAAAGAAUUAACACUCUCCGCGAUGUUGGUGGUAAGUAUGUUGUACCUCCUACCUUCAAACUGAGACCUUGCCCAAUUACACGUACCGACAUUAUUUUCUAGGUAGUCAGCCGCACCCGAGUGGAUCAUCCACAACCCUUCAAGUUGUCUCUUAAAUUCCUCGUGGCCAUAUGCUUUUGCUGCAUUAAUAAAGGCAGGCUCAAAUUGAUCCCAAAGAACUUUUGACAUUCUAAACUGUGACUUAAUGUUACCUUUCACGUGGUAAAAACAAACUCCAUGAGUUGCAUUCUGAAAUACUUUAAGAACGGCUCUCCUUAUGGCAGUGCAUCGAUCAGAUAUAAUUACCAACUCAGAUCUAUCGCCAAUCACUCCAUGUAACUUCAUCAUAAACCAUUCCCAAGCAUCAUUGUUUUCUGAAUCCAUGAUCCCAAUGGCUAACGGAUACAAUUGAUUGUUACCAUCAAGACAUGUUGCCAUGAACAUGCUUCCACGAUAUAGCCCCUUGAGAUGAGUACCAUCUACAACAAUGACAGGCCGAAUGUACUGCAUAAAACCCUUGAUGGAAGAUCCGAGUGCUACAAAAUAGUACAAGAAAUUACCAUCUCCAUCCUGCUCGAUGUGAGUGACUGUACCCUCAUUCGCUGCAGUUAGUACGUGAGAGUAUUUAGGGAGCAAGUUGUAUGACUCUGCAGGGUUGCCUCGAACUAUUUCAAGACCAACUUCUCUCGCCCGAUAUGCCUGCUGGUAUGUUAACUGAACACCGUAUUCUUGUUGCAUAUCUGCUCUUAUGUCAUUCGGAGUAUAAAUUCUCUUGUCUUGAAUAUAUUUAUCUGCAAUAAUAUGACCGACAACCCGGCUCCUGACUUGAUGACGUCCAGCAAACAAUACCUCAUUAUGACAAGUGUGCACAUUAUCAACUCUCCGCACCACACAAGGAACAUUUUCCUCGUUCGAACAUCUAGUUGCUCGAAUAUGCCAUUUACAUGAUUCUGAACUACAGUGAGCCUCGAAACGUGUCGUAGUAGACCGUGCAAUCUUGAAAUCAAACUUAUCCCGGAAGGCAACCUUGCGUAGUUGUAAUAUAAACUCAUUCUUCUCAGCAAAUAGCUUACCCACACUGAUAUCAUCUGAGUCACAACUGCUAAUAAAGCUUGGAGCAACCAUGUUCGAAGGCAAAGUUGGAGCAAGACUUGUGAGAGGGUCAAUUCUCCUUCUCGAUCGAACCAUUGCUGGAAUAGGUCUAUUGCCUCUGUUAUUCACUGGAGUAUUGUCUUCACACUCAUCCUCAUGCUGAAACGACGGAACAUUCGAAGGACCGGCUCCUCCAUCAUCACCAUCAUUAUUGAAAUGAGUGCCCCUCAUAUUAUUAGAAGGUUCUGCACAAACAUUAUCCCCCUCUGUCUCAGCAUGAAAAUCAUCAUUGUCCCGAAAAUCAUUAUUGUGAUACGGAGAAUACCGUUGCUCCAACGACGUCGUUAUUGAAAAUACCGUCGCUCCAACAUCCUGUAACGUAACGCCAUCAUCAUCAAUGUUGUCAUAAUUGUCGUGGAUUGGAGAGUAAUAUUGCUGCAGUGAUAUUGUCCUUGGAAACACCUCUUCUUUAUUAUCGGGGCCAGACAUAUUUGCUCUAAACGAAGUUUCUGUAUCGACAUGUGGCUCAAUACCUCCACUCGGAACUCGAGGUGAUGUGGUAAUAAAUAUAGGAAUGCAUCCAAAAUUAGCUACGUCGGAUGCCAUAUGUAACACAACCCUCACCAUUUCAUCAUCAAAUAUAUCCAUGGGCAGUGCACAUACACGAUAUAAUGUGUUACUAGACCUCAAAGUUGUCUUCAUUGUGAUAUUAUAUUCAUUAGGAUUAAUUUGUAACACAUCGUAUACUCUUGCCAAUAACUGAUCAAAAAGAUAAUUUUUUCCAACCAAAAAAGCUCUAUUUUUACCGUUGACAUACUCCAUACGCCCAUCCUCUAAUGUCUCCCAGCAACCAUCGUAACACAAUUCAAGUACAACUGAAUCCAUUAAGCUUGAAAUUAUAAAAAAAUAAAUUAUUUCAGCCCUAUCAAAUUAAUAGUUAAUUAUAAUGAAUCUGGCUUUUGGUGCGACAGACUGACUGUCGCACGAAACUUGGUGCGAAAGGGAGCCUGUCGCACCAGGCCUGGUGCGACAGACAACCUGUCGCCAGAUUCACCCAUGAAAUCAUCCGCAGUUCAGUCAAACUCACAAGCAAGAAAAUAACUCAUACCACUAUGUGAUGCCGAUUAGUGUUGGAUCCGAAUAAAUUAUGAUCGGAUUUCACUUUUUAUCGUUGCCUUUUGCCGUUGCCGUUGGUUGAUGAUUCAAGAGUGGAAGCUGCCUUUGUUUGACGAAAGGGGAGAAAGAAUGUUGCUUUUGGUUUGUAAAGAAGGGUAAUUUAGGGAGAACAGCAUGUGUUUGGCUAAUGUUGAUAGAAAAAAGUUGAGAGAGUUAAUUGUGAAAAUAAUAAAAAUUUUAUAAUUAUUUUUGUAAAUUUCCCGAAGCCUUUAAGCCUGCAGCUGAAAUAGAUGGUACUUUAAUUUUCAGCUGAACAUAUAUAUGGUAAGAUUAUUAUUAUUGAGCUUGAUGAGGCUAUAGAAAAUUCAAUAUCGAGAUCGGAUAAGGGUCCAAUAAAUUAUAAAAAUAAAGCAGCUCAAAGCCCAUAUGAUCAUGGGCCAGGCCACUACUUGCUCAUGCUUUGAAUCAAAAUUAGUGACGUUGGAAGCUGAAAGGGGCAAAUGAUGAAAUGGGGUUCAUCAUAUACUAUGCCCAACGGGAUAAGAUCAUCAUUUAAUUGCCUCCUCCUCUCCUCGAUAGAUAUUUGCCGAAUUUUUCUAUUUCAAAAUUAUUAUAUUGGUUAAUAUAAUUAGAAGUUUUACAAAAUAUAAAUAUAAUUUAAAAAAUUUAUAUUUAUUAAUCUAAAAUUUCCAUUUGGUGUUUGAGAAAAAUUUUAAGUAUAUUCGGAUAUACUUUCUCAUUGUUUAUUGAUUUUGGACAUUUAGACAUAUUAGUAUUCAGUAUUCUUAGGUAAUUAGCUAAGAAGUAUACGUGACAAAAGUAUAACACGUGAAAAAAUACACAACAAAAUUAUCUACAAUUUUCCAUUGACUUAGUCAACUCUCCAUUGAUUUCAUUGACUUAGUCAACUUAUGAUCUAACUCAACAACUUGAAAAUUAAAUUAUGCUAGUAAUUCCGUAAAAUUAAAAUUUAUCUCCCAAAAUUGAUAAAUACUAUGUCACUUUGUCAAAUUACUUAGGGUAAAAGUUCUGUGGCUAAAAACUUUUAAGAUGAGUUGUAUGCUAAUUGAGAAGGACAAGACACAAAAGAAUUCAAUGAAUGCUACAAACUUCUAAAAAAUAUUUUCUCUGCUCUUUUUUCUUUCACUUUCUCUUCCAUUUUGCCAAUCCCCAAACACCACCAAUCCUUGAUUUUUUGAGUAUUAGCUGUCAAUUUCUACAAACCUAGAACUGCUGUUUGUUUGUCUAAUUACUUUCAAGAAACAAAACUCUUUGUCAUGUGGUCUCUUCGUUUAUUGGCUUGUGAGCAAAUAAGAUAUUGGGCCAAUGGGCUUAACGUGACAAGUUCUUGAAUUGAAUGGCUCCUCUUUUUUUCAUAGAUCUUUGCUUAAUUUUUUUGUUCCCUCAACCUUUUUUGGCCUUUCGCGCUAAAAUUCUUUUUUUGAUACAUUAUGCAAAAAUUAUGAUGAAAAUGAGUUACUUUAGGACAUCAAUAAAUUUUUAUUACAUCUAUAAUAAGACAACUAUAGUGAGAUUACUCUUAUUUAAUUGAAUUAUAUGUAAUAAAAUUAGUUUAACAAAAUCUAACCCGUCAGUAUUCCAUAUCACAUGAUUAACGUAUUUAAAAAAUCUUAGCUAUUCCGUCGCUUGUUUUACAAUUCUUUUAUAUAUCUUUGAAACUUUCAGCUUCCCAACACAUCAUAUUGUUCUCAAUUCGUCUAAAUUAUUUUUUUCUUCAAACACUGCAGCAACAACCGGUAUAAAAUAGACUGAACUCAUUUAAUGGGAAUUAAAUGAUAUUUCUCUUCUCACCUUAAGAGACGAUAUUUCUCUUCUCACCUUAGGUUCCUCUAACAAACUUAAAAGAUGUUCCCCAUCCCACCUGUCCCCAAAUCUUCGUAUUUCCAAAAUAGAGAAGAGGAAGGCUUUUAUUGCAAACUGUAUGAGCGUUAUGGCCAUGGGAGGAUCAAAAUCAAACCAAUGGAUUGUAAAGCAAAAUUACCGAUUAAAAAUUCAACCAAUUGAAUCGGUUUGGUGUCACUUAAAAAAUAAAUAAUAUAUAAAACAACACAAUUAUCAUAUUAAUGAGCCUCUGUUAAAUUCAUUCAGUCAGUAUUUUUCUUUUCCCAUUUUCAAUGAAUGCUUAAUAUGGAAAACAAUAUGUCCCAUUGAGCACUGUUUAAAUCAUUCCCUAGUUUGUUUAACACGCAAAGAAUAUUCUUAUUCGGCUCUGCAGCCAAUCCGUUAAAAUUUGUUAAAAUUCAUUUAAGUGAUGACUGUGAUAUGACUCGAUCAGUAGUUUAAUUUGUAUAAUUUAUAAAAAUUUGGGCUUCAAGUAAUGUAGAUAGAAUGGUUAAUUAUUUUAAUAUUCAGAUAAAUUGAUAUAUGUCAUUAUAUUAUGAGUGGAUGAAAUAUCCAAUAGAAAAAAAAAAUGUUUGUAUUCGUCAUUUUUAGUGGGAAUCUAUUUAGUGUAACUUAUCCACAAAAAUGGUUGCCGACUUAUCUUGGUUCUCAUUUUGUUUAAUUUUCAUAAAUUUGAAUCAUGAUUAAUUGUGAGUGAAGUUUUUUUGGAAAAAAUCUGGUCUUCCAUUUAUUUUGUAGGAUUUAAAAGAUUAAAAAACUUUAAUACAUAUAAUUUUAUGUUCGAAACUAAAUACUCGUAGCAUUGCUGCUUCUAUAAAUAACUCAUUUGUGCUUCCAACCUGUUAUUUGUAUUUUACGUUUUUGUUUCUCUUCAUAAAGAUUUUCUUUUUUUUUCUUUUUUCCAUUCACUUUUUCUUCCAUUUUCCCGACUCCCAAACACCACUAAUCCUUGAUUUUCUAGAGUAUUAACUGUCCGUUUCUACGAACAUAGACCUACUGUUUGUCUAAAUACUAUCAAGAAACAACAUACUCUAUCGCGGGAUCUCUUCGUUUAUUGACUUUUGACUUGUGAACGGGGCUAAUUAAAGGGCAUUCCUUUCUUCAAGAAAGAAUGCAAAUAAAGUACUAUCCAUGAGACACGUUAAAAAUUAUUUUACAUAAAAAAUGAUAAUAAUCAUAAUAAUCGGUUUAGUGUAACCCCGUUAUUACUUAGUGACUGUCCGAUUGUCUUCUCUUUCAUUGACUUCGCAACUGUGACUUCUAAGUUGGGUUAAGGAUCGACAAAAAUGUUAUAACCUAUAAAGCAUGGAUAAUUAAUUAAUGGGAAUGCACCUCUCAUCUUUACCAUUCUCUUUGUCAUUUUCAUAAUUCAGCUGUUUAUUAAUAAAGUGAAUAAAUUUGUCUUUUAAUAAUAUGUUUCUUGGCUGUUUUUUGUGUAUUUUUGUGUACAAUUUUGUGUGCAAAUAGCAUUAUUCAUUAGUAAUUAGUUUGGAGCGUUCUAAUUUCUUCUAACAAGUAGCUCAUUUUAGCUUAGGACCUGUAACAAGUAUUUUAUGUUUCUGUUAAUCUUUAAUAAAGAUUUUCUCUUUUUUUUUUUUCCUUUCACUUUCUCUUCCAUUUUCCCCGACUCCCAAACACCACCAAUCCUUGAUUUUCUAGAGUAUUAGCUCUCUAUUUCGACAAACGCAGAACUGUUGUUUGUCUAACUACUUUCAAGAAAUAACGUAGUCUGUGGUUUAUUGACUUGCGAACGGGGCUAAUUAGUCACGGUCCGAUUGUCUGACUUCUCCAUUGACUCGGUCAAUUCACGACCUUGACCUGCACAGUUGAUACAAACGGCCUUCUCCAUUUGAGGUGCACAAAACUUUCUUGAGUCAUUUUGUUUGGUGAUGAUGAAUUGGAUGUCAUGAGUUUCAUGAUGAAGAGGACCAAAAACAUUAUUUUAUUAUUUAAAGAAGACUAACAAUUAUUUCGAUGGUCAUUUUAUUAUUAUUUUUAAAUAUCCAAAUGGUGAAAUUUUAAAGAAUUAAGGUGCUUGACUUCUUUACACAGAAUUACAAAGCAAAACAAUUAAGAAAUUAAAUACUCGUCAUCCAAGUGAGAAGAGAUUGGGUUGUUGAUACAUUAAAUAAAAGAAAAAUCAAUUAAAAGCACAACAAUUCAAUAAUUUCAUUCUCAAUCAUAUCAAAAAUAAAAUUUACUGUACAUUGUUUUUCGGUUCUGUAAAAAAAAAAAUUAUUAGGGAUUUGCAGUUUUUUUUAGUGUAAUUUUCGUUAAUUAGAGUUUGGUCUGAAGGGUUAAGCACAUGGAUCAUAAUCAUGUUAUGGCCUAAGGAAGGAGCAAGUUCAUUGGCUGCACUCAGUUUACAAAAUAUUUUGGGAUUCAAGACUUUAGGUUGUUAAAAAUGCAACUUGCAAGGCUGUUGCUGUGUAACUGUAUGCAAUGCUGGCAAGUGUGCUAUUAUUGGGAAAAUAUGCUCUUUAAAAGCAUAUGUGUUUAUUUAAUUGUAAUAAACAAUUUUUCUGAUUAAUAAAAUAAAUGAGGUAUUCUAUUCAAAUAUCUUAAUUGCAUUAAUAAUUUUAUUAAAGUCCAUUUAAUCAUAUUAUAUGUAUUUAUGUGAUCACCAUGUGGAUUCACAGAAGACAUAAAUACAAGUUAUCUUAUAAUUAAAUAAAUUUAGUUCGCAGUUGAUAAAUAAAGUUGGGCACUUUAUUUAGGUAUAGACUGUAAUAAAUUCAUUGAAUGAUUUGUCUUAAUCAUGUAUGAAUUUAUUGAUGUAGUACGACUACAUUGAACAGGAUCACAUAUGAGAUUUAAUUUUCUUUGUAAUAACUGUCAGACUUAUUAAAUCUCAUAGGCAUUGAUUUUACUGCAAUCUUAAUCUUGAGUUAAUUAUGAUUUCAUUAUUGUAAUUGUUAUUCUAUUUGAGUUACCAAUGGGCACGACACAUCCUUGUGGUCAAGAUUACCCGGUAUCUUGGUGGGAGCAAUUAUAAGUAUUGGAGUUAUGGAUUAACAAUAUAGAAUUUGUACAACACAUCUCUUGAUGGGUUUUCGGCACUUGAUCAUAGAAUUCUCUUGCCAGAGUGUGUCAACAUAUUUAGUAUGUUGAAAAUGAUUAUUAGAGAAAACUAGUAAGGAUCAAGGAAUAAGAUGUUAUUAAAUUGAUUGGACAGUUGAGAUAUCAAUUUAAUUAACAAUGUGGUACAAAGGAUUGUGCAGUAAAAAAAAUCAAUGUGGCUUGGGACGAAUUAUUAUUCGAGCAUACAAUUAUGGAAGUCAGUUCCAAUCUUUUAGUGGAGGAGAUUUAGAAUUAAAUAAUUGGGCUAGUUUAAUUACAGGCCUAAUUAUUGUAGCCACUAUUGUAUGUUCCCAAAUGAUCCCCGGGUUAGCUCAUUUACUUGACUGCACCACUACUGGACUAAAAAGUAAGAUAACUAGCUAUUUGGGUCAAAAGCCUAAAUAUAUCAUUUAGUGGGAGGCUCCAUUUAAUUAGCUUUUGUGUAAGGGACCUUAUGUUAUUUUACAAGGUGGGUCCCCUAUAGAAAAAGCAAAUAACGUGAAUUUUGUUUUUUAUUUAUUUGGAGCCUAGGGUUUUCACUAAUGGGUGAUAUAAAAGGCUUAUUUUCUCUAAAGAAAAGAGAGCAGCCACUUUAUACAGAUCAGAGAAAAAGAUUUUUCUCUCUAUUGUUGAGAGAAAAAUUUUCUCGUACUAGUUGCUUUGGUAGUGAUAAAGGCGCCCACAUGUCAAGUGCAGAUCGAACCUGAGUCAUAACCUGGAAGAUCAUUGGUGACAGUUCGUGAUCUAACAAGCGUGGUGGUGAUGGAUCGUGAUCCAAAAGGAGUGGUGGUGGCGGAUCGUGAUCUAGGAGCCUAAAUCACUUCAACGGAAAAAGCUAAAUCGGAUUUUCAAGGUACGAUUUCUAGAUUACAAAUUCUUAUAUAUUAUAUGAGAGCGAUCUUCAAAAGGUUUUAUAAAAAAUUUAAAAACCUGAUUUUUUCCCAACAGCUAUAACAUAUUGUUGAGAUGGCACCAAAGAUUGUAAACUAAUUAGUACUGGAAAAUCCUAUUUGCACAUAAAAUUGCACAAAAUAAAUAGAAUGAGAAUACUUGUGCAAAAAAAAAAAAAAGAUUAAUAAAGUGAAUAAAUUUAUCUUUUAAUAAAAUAUUUAUAGUCUUUUAUUUUUUUGUGUAUUUUUGUGUAAGUACAAAUAGCAUUACUCAUUAGUGAUUAACGUAGAGUACUCUGAUUUCUUCCAAUAAGCAGCUCGUUUGAGCCUAGGACCUGCAAUUAUGUUUUACCUUUCUGUUACUUUCUCUUAAAUAUUAUCUCUGUUCUUUUCUUCUUUGCUUUCACUUUCUCUUCCAUUUUCCUGACUCCCAAACAUCACCAAUCCUUGAUUUUCUAGAGUAUCAGCUAUAUAUUUGUACAAACACAAAACUGCUAUUUACUUUCAAGAAACAACGUAUUCUGUGGUUUAUUGGCUAAUGCCUUGUGAAUGGGGCUAACUAUUUCCAUGAAACAACGUACUCUGUGGUUUAUUGACCUGUGCCUUGCGAACGGACCUAAUUGUCUCCUCUUCCAUUGACUCUGUCAAUUCACGACUUUGACGCGCACAGUACGUAGAUGCUAACUGCCUUCUCCAUUCGACGUGCAAAAACUUUCUUGAGUCCGGUUAAAAUUAAUUGAUCAUUUUAUUUGGUGAUAAUGACUUACUUGUCAAGUCAUGAGUUUGAUGAUGAAGAGGACGAAAAAUAUUAUUUUAUUAUUUAAAAUAAGACUAUCAAUUAUUUCCAUGGUCAUCUUAUUUUCUAAAAUAACUAAAUGGAAUCUUACAGAAUUAGAGUGCUUGACUUCUUCAUACAGUGCUUGACUUCUUUUUACAGAAUUAUAUAGUGAAAAAAGAAAUUAAGAAAUUAAAUACUUUUCAUGCUAGUGGAGAAGAUUGGGUAGCGAUUACAUGAAAUAAAAGAAAAAUAAUUUAAAAGUACAAAACUUUAAUAAUCUCAUUCCCAAUCAUAUCAGUAUAAAAAUUCUGUAGAUUUAUUGAAUAAGUAUUGAUUUUACUUUGGUAAUAACAUUUUUAUUUUCUUUGCAUUCGAGCUUUCUUUCUUUUGCGCUGGUCUUCACUCUUGACCGUAUUUCAUGGGGCACAUUCAAUCUCAAUCUUCUUCGGCAAGUUUGUUGCAGUUUUGUUAAUUACGAACUGUUGUAGGAUUUUAUGGAGAUGAUACUUUUAUAUACAUUUUUCUUUUCUUUUUUUCUUCGGUGAACAAAUUAAAAUUUUAGUUUUUGUCAUCAUGACUAGUGAAAUAAAAAUUGUCCUCAUUUCAAGGAUUGACAAAAACGUUGUGCUCAUACCGAUUAAUGGGGAACUGAUUUCGUCUUCUUAAAAGAGAAUUAUUUGCAGCGUGGUAAUUCGGAGAUUUCUGUAUUAAAGACCAGGAAAUCUAAUUUGGAGGGAAAAAAUUCAAGCGGCGCAUUUUUUUUGAUUUAUUUAAAAAAAUUGUUUUCCUCCCAAAAACACUUCAACGUAUAUUCUGUCAUAGAGGGAAAUGUCCUUCACUCUUUGACGUAUCCCUGGGGCAAUGUAAGUUGACUUUACAUUAAAACAAAACAUAAUUACAAUCACAUAAUUACAGUUAUCAUCACUGAUUUGUAUAAUUUUCAGGACUAGUAAAUUAUCUCAAUUUUUAAAAAAACAUAAUUACAAUUAUUGAUCGAACACCACUAAUUCCAACAAUUCAUCCAAAAAUAUCUUUGAGUUUCAAGGAAUUAAUGUAGCACGAAUGGCCAAGUUUUUCAACUUUUUAGAUAUUUGAUAUAUGUCAUGUUUUAACUUAGUACGAGAAGAAAAUUAUAGAAUACGUUUUUUUCAAAUUAGUGGAAAUAUUUUACGAUGAAACUAUCACAAUCACAUUUAAAAAUAUUCUUUAAAUUUUCACCAUUUCUACUGUUAUUCUUUAAACUUUUUUUUCAACAGAGCAUGGAGGGUCGCUUAUCUAAAUAUGUUUUUUGUGCUUUCACUUCACUUGAUUCAUCUUGUCCCUCUUUUAUAGCUUCUAUCUCGUAGGAGCUUAGAACCCGCAACUUGUAUUUUACGCUUCUAUUACUUUCUCUUCCAUUUUCCCGACUCCCAAACACCAUCAGUCCUUGAUGUUAUAGAGUAUUAGCUGUCUAUUUGUACAAACAUAGAGCUACUGUUCGUACUUUAGAUCUUCAGAUGUUUAGCUGACUAUUGUUUGAAUAUUAAAAUUAAUUUGUUAAAUAAAUAAAGAAAACAAGAGACAAUUACCAUACAUAUUCCAUAUUAAUUAGUCAGUGUCCGAUUGUCUCCGCUUCCAUUGAAUCUGUUGAUUCAUGCUUUCAUGAAGUGAAACGCUUAACACUCUGUUCUGAUCCGCAGGAGAGGAGGAAAAACACAAUUUUAUUAUUUCAUUCCUGACACGAGCAAAGAGCUUUCUUAGCCGGUUCGGCAGCUAAUUCCUUAAAAUUUGUUAAAUUUCAUUUAAUUGAUGAAUGUGACAUGAACUCUAUAAAUAGUUUAAUUUGUAGAAUUGUUAAAAGUUUAAACUUCAAGUAAGGUAGAUAAAAUGAUUAAUGUUUUUCAAUAUUUAGUAAUGAACAUGUGUCGUGUUACUAUGAGUGAAUGAAUGAAAUUUUUGAUAGAAAAUACAAUGCUAGUAUUAAAAAUUUUAAGUGCGAAUCCAUUUAGUGUACGUUAUCCAUAAAAGCAAUUGCGACUUGUCUUGUUUCCCAUUUUGUUUAAUUUUCAUAAAUUUGACUCACGAUCAAUUACGAGUGAAGAGUUUGUUGGAAAAAUCUGGUCUUCCAUUUAUUGUAAUCAGAUGAGUGUGAUUAAUUGUUUUUUUCUUUUGCUUCAUGUCCUGAAAAUUAUGAAUGCUUUGUAGAAUGUAGGAGAUUAAAAAUUUUAAUGCAUAUUUAUAUUCAAAACUGAGUAAACAUAACAUUAUUGCUUCUAUAAAUAGGUCAUUUCAACUUAAAACCCGUUACUUGUAUUUUACGACGUUUCUGUUUCUUAUCAUAAAGAUUUUCUAUGCUUUUUUUUUUCACUUUUUCUUCCGUUUUCCCGACUCCCAAACUCCACGAAUCCUUGAUUCUUUUCCUAGAGUAUUAGCUGUCUAUUAUUACAAACAUACAGUUUGUCUAAUUACCAUCAAGAAACAACAUACCUUGUCCUGGGGUCUCUUCGAUUAUUGACGUUUGUGACUUGUGAACGGGGCUAAUCAAAGGGCAUUCCCUUCUUGAAGAAAGAAUGCAAAGAGCCCAAGAAAGUACUAUCCAUUAGACACGUUAAGAAUUAUUUUGCUUUUCAUUAAAAAUGAUAAUAAUUAUAAUAAAUUAGAUUGAAUUAAUAAUAUUUGCAUGUGGUAUAUAAAUAAUCAGUUUAGUCACUAAUUAGUCACUGUCCGAUUAUCUUCUCUUUCAUCGACUUUGAAACUGGGACUUCUGAGUUGGAUUAAGAAUUGAAAAAAAUGUUGCAACCCAUAAAGCACGUAAAAUUAAUUAAUGGGCCACUAAUUCUUCUUCUUAAAAGAAAAGUUUUGCAGGGAGAUUGAAAAAAGGCUAAUUCGUGUUGAAGAUCAUAAAUGAGUAUCUGUCACAAAUACAAGUCAAGCUACACAAUUGUUCUUGUCAUACUAUUUAUUGGCACUUGUGAUCCUUGAAUUAUCUAUUUAUUGGCACUUGUGAUCCUUGAAUUAUCAAACGAAUAGCAACAACACUUCAAAAUACAGUAUUGUAAUACUUGGCAAUAUACAUUGACUUUUCAUUAAAACAAGCAUUGUCAUAUUGUCAUGUUCAAUUUUUUAACGUCUUGUAAUUAAAGAUUCCUAUGUCACAUUAUAAUUUUCAAACAAAUCGAAGUGAGUCAAAUCAAAUUUAGAAAUUUGAGGUCUACUAUAGAUUUUUGACAUAUUAAAUUUAAGACAAUUAAGUAAAUGCUAGACAAAAUCUAACUUGCAAAUAUACCUUACCACAUGAUGAACGUACUUAAAAAUCUUAACUGAUUGCUCACCAAUUAAUUGUUGUUUUACUAUUUUUAUAUAUCCUUUCUUUUCCCUAAAACUUCUGGUUUCCUAACAUCUAGUUCUCAAUUGGUCUAAGUAUAAUAUAAUUUUUUAAAUAUAAAUAAAUUGAAUUUAUUUAAUGGAAAUUUGAAAAAGAGACACUUAUCUAUGCAAGUAAAGUUGCAUUCUGUCUGUGGGGACCUUAAAAAAAAAAGCAUAAUGAUACACUGAUGACGACAAUCCUUAAGUAUUUGUUUUCUUUAGUUACAGUUUGGUUUGAAUGGUUAAGUUCAAGUUCGAAUUUUCUUUUUGUAAUUUAAAUUAAAAUUGAUAGAACAAAUGGGCCGAUCAGUAUGAUGAAGAAGACGAAGAAGUAAAAGCUAUUAAGCAUUAUCCUAUCACCAUAUCAAAUGGACCGGAUUCAAUCAAAUGAAAUCUAGAAAAUAGAGCAGCUCAUAGAUGUACGUCGCUAAGUGGAGGUUCAUUUGGAAGUACUUGGUCGAAUUGCGACUUGCGCCGGAGGCUUCGUUUUAGAAGAGUGCAGAGCAGCUGCCUUGUCCAUUAGGCACGCCAACGACUUUCUAUUGACCAAUAAUUUUGAAAGCGAUAUUAUUAAUUUACCAUCUAAUUUUUUUUAUAUUAUCAUUUCACCAUCUAAUUUUUUUGAUAAUUAUUUUUUUCACUUUGUGUUUUAGUUUUUAUUAUUUUACUACCGAAAAAUAGUAAACACACCCCUAGGGUAGGUUAUCCACAAAAAUGGCUACCGAAUUGUCUUGUUUCUCAUUUUGUUUAAUUUUCAUAAAUUCGACUCACGAUUCAAAUGUGAGUGAAGAGUUUUUUUUGGGAAAAAAUCUGGUCUUCCAUUUACUAGAAUUAGGUAUGUGUGAUUUUAUUAUUUUUCUUUUGCUUGAUAUGUAUCUGGAAGAUUAUGAAUUCUUUGCAGGAUUUAGAAGGAUUUGAAUGUUUGACCGCAUAUAGCUUUCUGUCCAUCAGCUAAUGCAUAUUCUGCAUUUUAUAAAUAUCAGAGCUGGUAGAUUGAAAAAUGGACCUUAUUACAUGUCAUAAGAGACUUUGCUCAAAGCUGCAAUUGGGCAACGCCGUGCUGUUCUUAUCGGCCAAGGCAAGCCAUUUACUAUUCUUUCUAAUGGAGCAAAAUAAGAUGAUUCUUACCUGCAUAGAGAAUUAGAAAAGAAAAGGAGGAUUACUGAUCCACAGGACUACUAAAAUAUGUGUAAUUAGUUGCAUCACUAGGUGGUGUCAAUAAGCAAAAUAAGAUGUUCUAAUGAUACUUAAGUAUUACCUAAAUUAGCCUUUCAAAAUUUCACUUCGAAAAAUUCCAAGGUGGUGAUGUGUCUGUAUAAAUUCGCUAAUACAAGUUCUCUCUAUUCCCAAUUGUUUUAAACUCUGUUCUGAACAGAGCAUGAAAGGAUAUAUUCAUUUUAUCUAGUUAUGCUUUUUAUGCUCUCACUUCAUUUCAUUUAUCUCUAUUCCUUGUCCAUCUUUUAAAACAGUUGUAUAUGUCGGAGUAUCACUCAAGCUUAGCAGAGUAUUUUGGGAUUCAAGACUGUUAGUAGGCUGUUACAGAUGCAACUUGCAAGGCUGUUGCUGUAAAAUUAUAUGCCAUGCUGGCAAGCGUGCUAUGACUGAUUGCUAUUUGCACGUAAAAUUUGCCCAAAACAAAUAGAAUGAGAAUACUUGUACAAAAGGACAAGAUUAAUACAGUGAAUAAAUUUUAUCUUUUAGUGAAUGCUUCUUGUCUUUUAGAGUUUUAGUGCAUUUUCGUGUGUAAUUUUAUGUGCAAAUAGCAUUACUCAUUAGUAAUUAGUCUAUAGUGUUCUAAUUUCUUCUAAUAAGUAGUUGAUUUGAGCUUAAGACUUGUAUUUUACGUUUUUAUUACUUUCUAAUAAAGAUUUUCUCUGUUCUUUUUUACUUUCACUUUCUCUUCCAUUUUCCCGACUCCCAAACACCACCAAUCCUUGAUUUUCUAGAGUAUAGCUAUGCAGUUCUACAAACACGAAACUGCUGUUGGUCCAUUUACUUUCAAGAAACAACGUACUCUGUGGUUUAUUGACUUGUGACUUGGGCAAAUUAGUCACGGUCCGAUUGUCUCCUCUUCCACUGACUCUGUCAAUUCAUGACUUUGGCACACAGUAGACGCCAGCUGCCUGCUCCAUUUGACGUGCAAAAAACUUUCUUGAGUCGGGAUAAAAUCGAUUGAUUAUUUUGUUUGGUGAUGAUGAGUUAGUUGUCAAUUCAUGAGUUUGAUGCAGUGAAACGCUUAACGCUCUCUUGUGAUGCGCAGGAGAAAAGCCAGCGAUGAUGAAGAGGACGAAAAACAUUAUUUUGUUAUUUAAAAUAAGACUAUCAAUUAUAUAUUCCAAAAUAAUUGGGUUUUGAUGGUCAUUUUGUUUUCUAAAAUAUCCAAAUGGAAUCUUACAGAAUUAGAGUGCUCGACUUUUUUAUACAGAAAUUAUAAAGUGGGAAAAUCAAGAAAUUAAAUACUCUUCAUAUAGUGGGAGGAGAUUUAGUUGUCAUUAUGCUAAAUAAAAGAAAAAUAAAUUAAAAGUACAAUACUUCAAUAAUCUCAUUCCCAUUCAUACCGUAAAUAUAAUUUUCUGUAUAUUUAUGAAAUAACUAUUGAUUUUACUUUGGUAAUUUUUUUUUUUUAAAGUAAGGUAAACGUCUUUGUUUUCUUUGCAUACGAGCCUUUUUUUCUUUUGCCUUGGCCUUUACUCUUGACUAUAUUUCAUGGUCAUAUUCAAUCUCAAUCUUCUGUAGGUUUGUAGCUAUUUUAUGAGUUACGAUUUUCUAUAGGAUUGCAUGUAGAUGAUACAUUUAUAUACAUUUUUUCUUUUUUCUUUUCUUAUUCGGUGAAGAUAUUAAAAAUUUAGUUUUUGUUUGCACAUGAAAUGAAAAUAGUCCUCAUUUUAAGGAUUAAUGGGCCAUAAUUUCGUCUUCUUAAAAGAAAAUUAUUUGCAGCAAGGUAAUUGGAAGCUUGAAGAUUUCUAUAUUACAUAGCCAAACCUAAGUGAUAAGAAUUUCCAUAUGAGAUAUAAUUUGGAAAAAAAAUUCAAGUUAAAGAUAAAAAAUUUGUGUUCCUUAAAAAACAUAAUUCAAGCCACACAAUUUUUCUUGUUUUAUUUGAAAAAAAAAAUUGUGUUCCUCACAAAAACACUUUAACAUUUGUUGUCUCAUAAAGGGAAAUAUCCUUCACUCUUUGACGUGUCCCUGGGGCAAUGUAAACAUUAAAACAUUGUCCACAAACAUUGUCAUGUAGUUAAGAAAAAUUUAAUUUUGACAAGUGCAAGACAUUUGGGACUCAUUUGAUUCAAGAAAAACAAUCAGUCUCAUUUAAUUUUGACAAGUGCAAGACAUUUGGGACUCAUUUGAUUCAAGAAAAACAAUCAGUCUCAUUUGAUACGCAAGGGGCUUUUUUACUCUGCAGCCAAUAUUUUGAUGAAUGUCACAUUACUGGUUUGUAUAAUUUUUCGGACUAAUAUAUUAUCUCAAUUUUUUUUAAAAAAUGCAAUUGCGAUUAUCAAACACGACUAAUCCCAACAAUUUAUCCAAAAAUUUGAGUGUCAAGAAAUGUGGUAUUUAUGAUAGCAUGGCUAGUUUUUUCAAUCAACUUUUUAGAUAAAUGAUAAAUCAAUAUAUGACAUGUUACUAUCUUACUAUAGGAAGAAAAUUAUGGAAUAAUUUUUUGAAAUAAUAGAAUUAUUUUACAACAAAAAUUUCACAAUCUAAUUUUAAAAAUAAACUUACUCUUUAAAUUUCUCAUUACUACUCCUACUGGUCCUGUUAUACUACUUAAUGGCACUGGUGAAGCCUUGAAUUAUCAAACAAAAAGCAAAAACACUUCAACAUCUGUUAUCCCACUGAGCACUGUUAAAAUCAUACGAUAAAAUGAGUACUUAUAUUAAAAAAGAAAAAGAAAAAACAAUCAGUCUCAUUGCGUCCUCUUUCAUUGACAUAGGCAAUUUGCGGUCAACUUGUGGUACCCUUAUUGACACGUAAAGAUCUUUCUUACACUACAGCCAACACUUACUUUCAGGACUAGUAAAUUUUUCAAAUGUAACAGAAAAAAAUACAGAAAUAUAAUUUCAGUUUAUCCAAAAAUUUGAGUUUCAAGGAAUAUAGCAUUUCUUAUGUGUCAUGUUAAUAUAGAGAAGAAAAUUUUAAAAUUUCUUUUUUUAAUGAAUAAAAGUAUUUUUUGAUUAAAAAACUCACAAUCAUAUUUACAAAAAAAAGUUUUAUUUAAAAAAAAUUCACUCCUCUUCCUACAUAAUUUAAGAAUUUAACAUUAUAAAUUAAGCUUUUUAAUCAAAGUAAUAAUCUCUCCUUCGGUGCGCAAAUGCUAAAAUUUAAUAUUAUAUCCGUUGACGAUAUUUGAUCUAAAUUCAGAGAAUAAAAUUUCUAACAGAAUUAUGAAAUUCGUUACUAGAAAUUUGUAUAAAAUUCACGAGAAUAGAAGGUUCGAUCAUAGGAAAUUAAUAUGUCCCUAUCCGAUGCAAAAAUGAUUAAAAAGAAAAACAAAAGUCAUGGGCUUAUUUAGAAAAAAGAAAAAAUUACAUUUCAGCCUUAACGCAUGCCAGUCUUUUUCUCCUCUACUUUCUUAGAAAUUUUGGUUUCACUAUAAAUUCUUGGUAUAUAGCAAUCUUAAGAGUGUCUUGCAUUACCAAUCCAAUUAAGCACACACUUACAAUCUAAAAUACUCUCAUCUCAUGGAAAGGCUUCAUUCUCUCAGUAUUAUGAGUAGAUUUCGCUUACUCCAUUGUUUGAUUCUUAUUUCCUUAUUUAUCGCAGCUGCAACAGCCAACACAAGUACUAUUACCACAGACCGAGAUGCUCUGCUUGCCCUGAAAGCUCACAUAACUCAUGAUCCAACCAAUUUCUUCGCCAAAAAUUGGAACACGAGUAUCUCUUUCUGUAAUUGGACAGGCGUCACUUGUGAUGUCCAUAGCCAUAGAGUCACAGUCUUGAAUAUUUCUCGCUUAAAUCUCACCGGCACCAUCCCUUCUCAGCUUGGGAAUCUUUCUUCUCUGCAAUCACUCAAUUUAAGUUUUAACCGACUUUCUGGUUCCAUUCCCUCUGCCAUUUUCACCAUGUACACACUGAAAUAUGUUAGUUUCCGUGAAAAUCAGCUCUCCGGCGCUUUCCCUUCUUUCAUCUUCAACAAGUCUUCUUUACAACAUCUUGAUUUUAGUCAGAAUACACUGUCUGGUGAAAUUCCUGCAAAUAUCUGCAGUAAUCUCCCUUUUCUGGAAUACAUUUCUUUGUCCAAAAACAUGUUUCAUGGAGGAAUACCAUCCGCUCUAUCAAAGUGCACAUAUUUGCAAAUAUUAAGUUUGUCAUUCAAUGAUUUCUCGGGGGCCAUACCUAAAGACAUCGGUAAUUUGACCAAACUUAUGGAAUUAUAUCUUGGCCGUAACAGACUCCAAGGUGCGAGUAAUCACGGAGUUUAAUUAUGAAAAUUGUUCCACAAGUUGUAAUAUGUAUAAUGUUCCAUAAUACAAUUUAUACACGUUGAUUAAUUUGCAGGGGAAAUUCCUCGAGAGUUUGGCAGUCUUGCCGAAUUGGAGCUGAUGUCGUUACGGGAAAGCAAUCUCCAAGGUAUGAUUAUAAACUUAUUGCAAUUUUAUUCUAGUCUCUGCUUGCUUCUGUAUUAAUUCGUUUGUUCAUUAAUUAUGCUGUGAUUUAUUGUUUUUCUUUCAGAUAGAGAUAAAGCUCCAUGUCUCCCCUCACUCAUUUCAUUCUUUGUUUUUUGCAGAUAAAAAUAAAAAAAUGUUUUGUAAUUUUCUUUUGUCAUAUUGCCACUUCCAUUUUGAAGCUCCCGAUUAAGUCGAUGAAAAUGAAUGAUGUUUCAUUCUUAUUCUUGUCAGCCUAAUUCUUAUAUAAGUGAAGAGUAAAUUGUUAUUAUGAUAUUCGUCAGCCAAUAAAUUCUUUUUUUUUCCUCAAAUAUGAGUGAUCAAAUUGUUUGCGCAUAUAUGAAUGUACUUAAUUUGCAGGAGGUAUUCCACAGGAAUUGGGGAAUCUUGCAAAAUUAGAGAUGUUACAGCUGUUCCAGAAUAACUUGACCGGUAACUUUCUUUAUAUAUGAGACAUCUUCCGCUUCUUAAUUAAAAGAUUUCACGUCUCUCAUCAUAAAUUUUCAUAUGAGGAUGUGUCGUUACCACUGUCUAACAUUAUCUCGUUUUUUAUUAGAAAUUAAUCUGGGUUUAUGCAAAAUAUUUUAGCACCUUAAAAAAGUAUAAAAACACGUGGAAUAAAUCGAAAAUCUUUCUUCAUUACUGAAUUUGGAUUUCUCAAAAAUUAUCAUGACAGGUAUAUCGCACUAAUGAUACGCAUGUGUGACAACUACAUAAAAUAUUUUGCAUGGAAUCAAUAAUUAUCUUUAAAGAAUUGGAGAUGCCAUCAGUGAGACAUAAUUUCUUAACAAUCACCAUACCAAAAGAAAUUAACAAUUUUAUUAAUCUUAAAGAGUUACAUUUUCACUGCAAUUAUGACAUAAAUUUUUAGUCAUUAAUCACAUAAUAUUUUAUCUUAACGGAUGAUGUUCAGCUUGGAAUUUAUAAUAUCUUGAAGGUUAGUAGCUAGGAAAAUAAGAAAUUGCGCAUAUCUGCGAAUCUUAGAUUUGUCAUACAAUGAUUUCUCAGGGGCCAUACCUAAAGAAAUUGGGAACUUGACCAAACUUGAGGAAUUAUAUCUUGGCAUUAAUAGACUUCAAGGUGUGUAUGAUCCCGGAGUUUAAUUUUUAAAAUUGUUGCAUAAGUUGUAAUAUGAAUAAUGUUCCAUAAUACAGUUUAAACGCGUUGAUUAAUUUGCAGGAGAAAUUCCUCGAGAGUUUAGCAAUCUUGCCAAAUUGGAGAUGAUGUCGUUAUCAGAAAACAAUCUCCAAGGUGUGAUUAUCAAUUUUUUGCAAUUCUAUUCUAGCUCUGCUUGCUUCUGUAAUCUGUAUUCAUUCGCUUGUUCUUUAAUUAUGCUAUGAUUUAUUGUUUUUAUUUCAGAUAGAGACAAAGCUCUAUGUCUCUCCUCACGCAUUUCAUUCUUUAAUUUAUGCAGAUUAAAAAAAAAAUGUUUUGUAAUUUUCUUACGUCAUAUUGCCAAUUGCAAUUUAAAGCUCCCAAUUAAGUUGAUCAAAAUUAAUGAUGUUUCAUUCUUAUUUCUGUCAGCCUAAUUCUUAUAUAAUUGAAGAGUUAAUUGUUAUUAUGACAUUCCUCAGGCAAUAAAUUCUUUUGUUUUUAUUUUUAUUUUCAAAUAUGAGUGAUCAAAUUGUUUGCGCAUAUAUAUGUAUACAUAUUACUUAAUUUGCAGGAGAAAUUCCACAUGAGCUGGGGAAUCUUUCAGGAUUAGAGACGUUAGCGCUGUACAAUAAUUUUUUAACCGGUAUCAUUCCUUCAUCUAUCUACAAAUUACUCUUCUCUAUUCAAUUUGGAAUUUCCGUUUAAUAACUUGAUGGGAAACUUCCCUUACGAUAGAUAUAUGUGACAUGUUUCCUUUUUAAUUAAAAGAUUUCACGUCUCUCAUUAUAAAUUCUCAGGAAAAGGACAUUCACACCCCCAAGGUUUAGCAAAAUAAUCACCAACACCCCUAAGUUUUUAAAACAAGACACCAAAACCCCCUUUUUUUACCAUUAUACCCUUUAAAAAUUUGACUUUAAAAUUUUUAAUAAACAUAAGUAUUAUAUAAAAUAAUGUAAUCUAUGCAGUAGAAUAACAAUAUUAAAAAAUUUUAAAAAAUUUAAAUAUGUAAAUUGUUAUAUUUAUUUUAAUAAUAUAUUUUUAUUUAUUAUAGAUAUUUUAAAUAAAUAUUUGCAUUAGCCACUCGGCCACAGGACUUGGAGGGUAGCAGUUCGAACCCCCACAAGUGCAAUGUGGGAGUAUUUCCUUCCUUAAUUAUAUUGUAUAAUUGAAUAAAAUUGAGUGAAGGUAGUUUCUCCUUUACCCAAGAGUGAGUGGAGUAGACAUCUCUCGAAUAUUAGUGAGGGUUAAAAUCUGGGCAGAGCUCCAUUAGCAUUGAUAUAAGUUGGUCUCAGUAAUAGUCUGAUUUGUAAAUAUCAGUUAUACUCUCAUGUAAUAUGAGUUGUAGUUUGAGCAAUAGUCUCAUGUAAUCAAAUAAAUAAAUAAAUAAAUAUUUGCAUUAAAUACAUUUUACAAUUAAAAAAAAUCUCGCAUACUAAUGCUAGCAUUAUUAUUUUACAUAAUAUUCAAAUAAUUUAAUUUUUAAUACACUUGUUCUAAUAUUAUGAUUCUACUUUUUAUAAAAUUUAAUAUAAUAGAAUAUAAUAUAUCUAAUAGAUUGUAAAAUAUUAAAAUAUUUUUAAAUAUUGAAAUUAUUUUACAAUAAAUAUAUUAUUACAUUUAUUUUAAUGUUAUAUUUCUAUUAUUAUAAAACAAUAGAGUUGAUCUUUUUUGGGAUAAUAAAGGCAAAGGGUAUUAUGGUCAAAAGAGGGUCUUGGUGUCCCUUUUUGAAAACUUGGAGGUGUUGGUGACCAUAUCUCCAAAUUUUUGGGUGGGUAUGUCCUUUUUCCUAAAUUCUCAUAUGAGGAUGUACUGUUUCUACUAUCUAACAUUGUCUCGUUCUUUAUUAGAAAUUAAUCUAGGUUUAUGAAAAAAUUUUAGCAUCUAAAAAAAGUAUAAAAAAAGGUGGAAUAAAUCGAAAAUCUUUCUUCAUUACUGAAUUUGGAUUUCUCAAAAAUUAUCAUGACAAGUAUGUCUCAUUAAUGAUAUGCAUGUGUGACAACUACAUAAAAUAUUUUACAUGGAAUCAGUAAUUUUCUUUAAAUAGUUGGAGAUACCAUUACUAAUAAAUAAUUUCUUAAAAAGCAUCAUAAUAAAAUAAAUCAAUAAUUUUAAUAAUCUUGAAGGGUUACAUCUUCACUGCAAUUAUGACAUAAUUUUUUAUCUAACUAAAUUUUUAGUCAUCAAUCGCAUAAUAUUUUAUCUUAACGGAUAAUGUUCAAUCUUGGAAUUUAUAAUAUAUUGAAGGUUAGUAGCUAUGAAAAUUAUAAAUUUUUUUAUUUGCUAAAAAAAUUAUCUUAGUAUUUAAGCUUUUCAAUUGAAAAAUUUGAAAAAAAUGUUGAGAACUGGUCCUCCUUAUAAUUUCGGUGGAUAAAUAUGAAAAAUAGACUAGAAAAAGCUAUUUUACUGAAAUAAUUGUUAAAAAGAGAGAAGUACAGUACUCAUGACUUAGGCUUGCUGUGUACUUAUUUUACUUGGGGUCCGGGCUUGAUUACACACGGUCGAACACUUAGUUGCACCCAUUAUAAUAAUAGCAUCCCCGACAUAGGCUUUUACUUUCACCACAUAUUUGAUAAUUUCUUAACCUUCCCAGUUACGUUACAGCAAUUUAUAUAUAAAUAACUAAAGCAUACUGAAGCUGGCAUUGAUGUACGGAUGAGUGGUGUCAAAAGUGUAUCCGUUUUUUGUAUUAUUGUUCCCCGACACAAAUCUGAAUAAUGGAAUAUAAUUCUUUCAAAAUACCGAUGAAAUAGCACAUGAAUUCAGAAAUAUUUUACUGCGACAAGAAUUCAUGUAUUUAUCGUAGCAUCACAUACAUAUAAAAUAGACUAUAAAUUUAGUUCCAAAAUACAUUCUUAUAUUCAUAUAAAUUUUACAUUACUAAUUUAAAUUAAUAUUAAAAUAUGUUGUUUCUUUCACUAUGUUAUUUUAUUUAACAAUGGUGUAACUAUUGGAAUUAGUAAUACUUAUAAUUACUUAGUAAAAAUAUAAAUUUAACGCUUUAUUAAUACUUUGUUAACAUUUUAUCUACAUAUAAUAAUUAAACUGAAACUCGUAUUUAAAAAAUUUUAGUCACGCAUAUUCAUUUCAUGAUAUAAAAGUGCAUAUUUAUACUAAUUCACCAUUAUCGAUAAAAUGCUUUGAGCCGAGUCAUCUAAUUUAUAUUAGUAUAUUUAAAAUACUUACAUUUAUUAUAUUUUGAAAAAAAUUUAUUUGCAAUUAUUUUAAACCUUUGGAUUCAAAUUUUCUUAGUCAUUAAAGUCAAAGGGUAUAAAUGUAUAAUAGUCAAAAACAUAUUUAUAUGAUCAUUUUUCAAUGCGUAAAUUUUCUUAGUUAGUAGGAAAAUUAGAAAUUGUUGAUUUACUCAUAAAUAAAUUUAGUGUUUAGCAUUUCAAUUUUGGAAAACUUUGAACUAAAUGUUGAUAACUUUGAAUCGCUCAAGCCGAGUUCGCUUCCUUGACCCACAAAUCCAUUGAAAGUUCUAUUCGGAUUGAGUUUCUAGGUGCUUAGAAAAAACAUUUCUUUUCCGUGUUGCCAUAAUUUAUUCACAAAUGAGUUGAUUAGCAUCGAUGGUGCCUGAGAGUCUGAGACCAUUUUAGUAGGAGAAAUUUGAAAAGAAAUUAUUUUACUAAAUUAAUUUAUUUUACCUUGUUGUAACGAAGACUACUUUUUUUUUUUUUGCUAUCACUGGGGCUUGAUUUACUUUAAUAGUAGCGGCCACCGACCUAGGCUUUUUUACUUUUCACCACACAAUUUGAUCUUUUAAUUCAUUUUAACCACAUAAUCUAUCUAUGUCUCACCUAUUGCUUACUUAAAUUGCAUACAUAUUUGUCAUGAUCCAACCCAGAUCUGGCAAGAUAUUGUCCGCUUUGGGCCUUAACAAGGCUCGCACGGUUUUGUUUCUGGAGCACCCAUUCACCCCAAAACGCGUCUUGCCAAUUAAGAUGUGGAUCACCCCUUAUAAACCCAGCAUCUCUCCUGUGUUUUGCCAAUGUGGGAUUUGCCUAGAGUGUUACAUACACCCCCCUUAGGGACUUAGCGUCCUCACUGAGGUUUGCCUUACCAUUACCCAAGAGGACGCGCGGAGCCGCUCUAAUACCAUAAUGUCAUGAUCCAACCCAGAUCUGACAAGAUAUUGUUCGCUUUGGGCCUUAACAAGGCCUGUACGGUUUUGUUUCUGGGGCGCCCAUACACCCUAAAACAUGUCUUGCUAAUUAAGAUGUGGAUUACCCCUUAUAAAUCGAGCAUCUCUCUCACGAUUUCUCGAUGUGUGAUUCGCCUAGAGUGCUACAAUAUUUUACCUACUAAUUUUUACAAAUAUUAGUCAAAUAUAUUUUAUUACAUUUUCUCGUAAUUGCCCCAAAUGUGCACUAUUAAUACUUAAACCUCCCUUUUAAUUUACCGUGCAAUCUAUCUACACUUAAAUCACAUAUAUAUUUUACCCAAAAAAAUAAAAAUAAAAGAAAAAGAAUAUGUGUAACAAUUUGUAUAUAAUUAACAAAGCAUUCACGAUGUGUAGCCUUUCAUUACUUCAUGAGUGGCUUGUCUUGUGUGUUAGUACUUGUAAUAAUUGUGUAGUGUAUAAAUGACCUUUUAUUAUUAAAGUGCGUUCGUUUUUAGAUAUUAUUUGUUAUUUGAAAAAUAAUCUAAAUAUAAUUCUUUCAAAAUACAGGGGAGAUACCACAUGAAAUCAGUAAUCUCCAAAAUCUGGAGGAGUUGGACCUUGGUCAUAACAAAUUAGUUGGUACUGUCCCAGCUGCAAUCUUCAAUGUGUCAACGCUCAAAGGAUUCUCCGUUUCAAACAAUUCUCUCUCGGGAUGUCUUUCGUCCAUCGUAGAUGCCCGACUUCCAAAUCUUGAAGUGCUUUAUUUGUGGGGUAAUAAUUUCAGUGGCACAAUUCCUCGUUUCAUCUUUAAUGUUUCUAAGCUCUCUAAGCUAUCGUUGGAAAAGAACUCAUUCUCGGGUUUUAUUCCCAACACAUUUGGCAACUUAAGAAACCUUAAGUGGCUGAUUUUAUAUGAUAAUUAUUUGACAUCUUCAACUCCAGGAUUGAGCUUUCUAUCCUCGUUGUCAAAUUGUAAGUCUUUAACAUAUAUUGACUUAUCACAUAAUCCACUAGAUAGCAUUCUUCAAAGGAUGUCUAUCGGUAAUCUUUCUCAUUCUUUGGAAGAAUUUCAAAUGUACAAUUGUAACGUUAGUGGUGGCAUCCCUGAAGAGAUCCGCAACUUGAGCAACUUGACACUCAUUGAUUUAGGAGGCAAUAAAUUGAAUGGAUCAAUUCCGAUUACUCUCAGCAAAUUACAAAAGCUUCAAGGUUUGGGUCUUGAAAAUAACAAAUUAGAAGGAUCAAUCCCAGAUGAUAUUUGUCGUUUGGCUGAACUAUUUAGAUUGGAGUUAGGUGGCAAUAAGCUUUCUGGAUCAAUCCCUACAUGCUUCAGUAAUCUGGCUUCUCUGAGGAUACUGUCGUUGGGUUCCAAUGAGUUAACUUCUAUUCCUUUAACUUUUUGGAACCUUAAGGAUAUCUUGCAACUCAACUUUUCAUCAAAUUUUUUGACUGGUCCACUCCCAUUAGAGAUUGGAAAUUUGAAGGUUUUGGUUGGAAUUGAUUUAUCGAUGAAUAAUUUUUCAGGCGUUAUCCCAACAGAAAUUGGAGGCUUAAAAAAUCUUGAGUAUCUCUUCUUAGGAUAUAACCGAUUGCAAGGAUCGAUUCCUAAUUCAUUUGGUGAUUUGAUAAACUUAAAAUUCUUGAAUUUGUCUAAUAAUAAUCUCUCUGGGGCAAUUCCUGCAUCUUUAGAGAAACUCUCAUAUCUUGAAGAUCUAAAUCUUUCUUUCAACAAACUAGAAGGAGAAAUUCCUAGGGGAGGGUCUUUUGGAAACUUCUCAGCUGAAUCAUUUGAGGGAAAUGAAUUAUUAUGUGGUUCACCCAAUUUACAAGUCCCGCCAUGCAAAACUGGCAUCCACCACACAUCAUCGAAAAAUUCUCUUCUCCUGGGGAUCGUCUUGCCAUUGAGUACUAUAUUUAUGAUAGUAGUCAGUUUGUUGAUCCUAAGAUAUCGACAGAGAGGAAAACGACCAUCGAAUGAUGCUAAUAUGCCACUAGUAGCAACAUGGAGAAUGGUGUCAUACCUAGAACUCUGUCGAGCAACAGACGGAUUCAGUGAAAACAAUCUAAUCGGCAAAGGAGGUUUUGGCUCUGUUUACAAAGCAAGACUUAGCGACGGGAUGGAGGUUGCAGUAAAGGUUUUCAAUUUGCAAUGUGGAAGAGCAUUUAAGAGUUUCGAUAUUGAAUGUGAAAUGAUGAAAAGUAUUCGCCAUCGAAACCUUAUCAAAGUUAUUAGCAGUUGCUCAAAUGAAGAGUUUAAAGCGUUGGUAUUAGAAUACAUGCCUCAUGGAAGUUUGGAGAAGUAUCUGUAUUCAAGCAACUGCAUUUUGGAUAUUUUUCAAAGAUUGAACAUAAUGAUAGAUGUUGCAUCAGCUUUGGAAUAUCUGCACUUUGGUCAUUCAGCUCCAAUAAUUCACUGUGACUUAAAGCCCAGCAAUGUAUUGUUAGACGAUAAUAUGGUUGCUCAUUUGAGUGAUUUUAGCAUCGCAAAAUUGCUAAUAGGAGAAGAUCAAUCUAUGACUCAUACACAAACACUUGCAACAAUAGGCUAUAUGGCACCAGGUUUGUUCAAUAUAAAUAUUUUCUAUUUCUUAUAAACUUCCUAAUAUGUUAUUUAUAUUUCAUGAUCUUGAUUAGAUGAGGAAAUUAUUAUUAAUGAUAUAUCUUAUUAUGUAAUUGUUGCAAUUCAUAGAGUAUGGAAGAGAAGGACGAGUAUCCACAAAUGGAGAUGUUUAUAGCUUUGGGAUUAUGUUAAUGGAAACAUUUACCGAGAAGAAACCCACAGAUGAAAUUUUUAACGAAGAAAUGACAUUAAAGCAAUGGGUUAAUGAUUGGCUACCCAUUUCCACUAUGGAAGUUGUUGAUGGUAAUUUGCUUAGUCAGGAGGACAUACAUUUUGUUGCAAAGGAGCAAUGUGUGUCAUAUGUCUUCAAUUUGGCUAUGGCGUGCACUGUGGAAUCUCCUAAGCAGAGAAUCAAUGCAAAAGAAAUUGUAACAAAGCUCUUAAAAAUUAGAGGCUCAUUACUUAGAAAUGUUGGAGGCAGAUGUAUAAGACAAUCAAAUUUAAAUUGAUUCGGCCCCCCAUUCAUUGCUUGCUAUCCUUUUCAGAGACUUCAACGGUUAUCCUUCAUACCGGUUUUGUUGAUAUGUUUUCUUAUUGCUCUUGCUCAUGUUUAUUUCUCUAUUUCUUUAAUUUGCAUGCAUGUAUUUUUCGUUCUCUUUUAUGUUUUUGUUAGUUUGUAUGUAGUUUACUUUUAGGGGUAAGGUUGAUUAUGUCCUCCCCUAAUUAGACAUAUCAUUUUUAUGUUUAUUCAAUAAAGCUUCUCUAAUAUUAUCGAGGUUCAUCAAAAGAAAAUUUUUAAUUAAUUUUCUUUUCUUUGACAGGUAAUGAAAUUCUAAUCUUGAUAGUGAAUAACUUCAAUAAUAGAGUGUAAGAGUAUUAGUAGUUAUGGUUGUUUUUUGAACCUGGAGUCAAGAGCAGUUUAACAGCGACAGACAAGUCUCUUGUAUUAUAGGCAAAAUUCUUUUCAUUAAUCUUAUUUGUCUACAUGUUCUCCUAUUUUCUCCAUUAAUCUUCGCUCAAGGUUUCAUGCUUCCUCUUUGAUAAAGGAAAAUAUUACUUGUGAAUAUUUCAAUUUGACAUAAGAGACUGUUUUGCCAACCAUUUGAUAAAAUGGAUGUGAGUGGAGCUUUCAAUCAUUACCUCCACCAAAAUCCUUACAACGCCGCUUUUAAAUUUUAUUUUUUAAAAUACAUUCAGUUUAAUUUAUAAAAAAAUAAAUCCAUUUGUUAAAAUUAAUCUUUUUCUCAUAAAUUUCAACCUAAAAAAUAUAUUUCUUUUAAAUUUUUAAUUAUAAAAUACAUAUAAGUUCUAAACUAUUAUAUUACUUUCAUCUUAUUAUAUAGUUUAUAUCUCCAUAACUCUAAACUCCUAUAAUUUUUUAAAAAAUAUUUUUAAUUUAAAAUACAAAUAUAAAAUAUAGAAUGGAGUGGGUGUAAGAAAACUUGUUAAAAGAAGAAUUCAUUUAAGUAUUUAACUAAAUUUAAAUUAAAAUAAGAAAUAAAUAAAUUUAUUUUUUAUUAGUUAAAUAAUUUUCAAUUGAAAAAGAGCUUUAUGAGUAAUAUUAUUGAAAUAUAAUUAAAAUUCUUAUGAAUUAAACAUUUUUGUAUAAAUACUAGUGAUAAUUAUAGAGAAAGUACGAUGAACCAAAGAAAACUUGAAUAUAAAUAUUCCAAUGUAAUUUUACACAUGCAAAUUAUGAACCAAUGAUCUUUAGAGCAUCAUAAAAUUAUUUUAACACAAUUAUUUAUUUUGAAAAAUUGCCAAUAAUGUUUAAAGUGGGAUUGAAAUGAUUAUGCUACUUAUAUAAGACAUGAUAUCAUUUAAGACGGUUUACAGAUUAUGAGAAAUAUUAUGAUCUUACAAAUAUUUAAUAUGUCAAUUAGACUGAGUCUAUGCAAUAAAAAUUUCAAAUUAAAAAAUAAACCCUUUAUUUUCUUUUAAUCAUAAGUGUGAUCUUAAUUAUUAAAGUCAUUCAAUGUCCGUUACUUAUUCAUUUUUUUAAUUACUUAAAUGACAUUGAAAACUCUACUCAAUAAUAAUUCAUUCAAAUGUUUUAUUUUAAAGUAAUCGGGAACUGCAAAUGAAACAAAUGCUUGAAAUCACAAACGGCCUAAAAUUAGAUUUUCAUUUUUCAAUGUUGCAGUGACUUUGAUCUUGAUAUUGAAAAUUUAUUUGUAACUUAUAUAAAGGUCUCAAUUUUAUCAUAAUUGAUUAGUAAGGCUAUGUAGGGAGCAUGGAUAAAUUUUGGGAUUGGAUUAUAUUUUUGGAACUAAAAAAUUAAUUUCAUCUAAUGUUAUGUUUGGCUGUCAAGACUAGCAACUUAGUCUAAAAUUAUUGAAAUUAUUAAUCUUUUAUAUUAUAAUCUUUUUGUUCCCACUUUAAACAUUAUUGGUAACUUAAAUCAUUUUUUAAAUUAAAUAUAAAAAUCAUUUAAAUUAAAUAUUAACAUUAAUUUCAUAAUUUUUUUACCUAGAAUUUUAUAUUAUAUUAAAUACUAAAAUUCUAUUCGAUAAUGUAUUAUCAUUUAUUUAAUAAAUGUUUAGGUUUUUAGUAUGUUAUAUUAUUCUUUAAAUUAAUUUUUUAUUUACAUAUAAACAUAAAUUAAUAUUUACUAAUUUAAAUUUAUUAUAAUUUAUUAAAUAAUAAAAUCUAAAUGAUUAUAUUUAAAAUAUAAAUUGUAUUUUAAUGUAUUAUAGCCUAAAUCUUACCCCUAUGAAUUUAUUUUUUCCACCUUUUAUUCUAUUAACCACAUUUAUAAGGCAGUGCGAUGCAACUAAAAAUUAUAACCAAAUAUGAGUUAGCAUGAAAAUAAUAUUUUAGUACAAUACAAUACAAUGUAAUAUAAACUGACAAAUAGAUAUUUAAUGGAAGCAAAAAUUGCAUAUGGCUUGUCGGUCUCUCAAAAGACAACAAAGAAACCAAUAUGAUGCACUGAUUCUGUCCUCUUUAACAGUGCCUUUACUAAAUGGGAACAUAAUGGAUUAGAAUCGGAAUAGAAUGGAAUCGAAAUAAGGAUUUAGAACAAGAACAAGAUAUAUAAUUAAGCUGUAUGAAUUAGAAUCAGAAUAAACUUUAUUCUAAUUGAUGUGUUUAUUUUCUCUUGAAAUUAGAAUGGACUAUUACAAGCUACUAAAAAAUCAUUUGGUAAAUGCUGUCUCUAAUAUUAUUUGUAUAUGUUAUAAUGUUAACAAUAAUAAGAAUAAAAAUAAUACUAAAAAUGAAAAUAAUAAUAAUAAUAAUAGAGACAAUAACAAUAAAAUUAAUAUAUUAUUAUUAUUAUUAUUAUUAUUAUUACUACUACUACUACUACUACUAUUACUACUACUACUAGUAGUAGUACUGAAGACCACCCGGUGAAGAUUGGAUAGUGAAGAUGAAGACGACGAAGAUCCUGGCAACCAACUGCUGCUCCAAAGAUGAUGUGCCCAAAUGGAGACAACUAAUGAUGACCAGCCAACUAGAUCCCAAUCUCAAUGUUGUGAUCUCGCAUGACCAUUAAUAAAGCGAUGUGUGAUGUCGGUGUUGUGAUUUCUUUUUUAUUUAUAUUUUUUAAUUUAUCGGAGGUUUUUUCAAAAUUUAAUAAUUUUAAUAUAGGUAAAUCGGAGUCUAGUGAACAGGAUUCCUAACCAUCCUAGGAAUUAGUUUCUCAUUCUCUAUUUUUAAUUUAAUGUGGGUUCUAUUAUUUCGAUUCCAAUCUUAUAUUUAUUUAUGAAGUAAAUGAUGUUAAUGAUUUCGAUUUCCAAUUUGAAAAGUAAACACAUCAUAAUAUUUUUUUAGGUGCUUCCAUGGCAUAAUCUCAUUGGUCCAUUUUUCUUCACGCCUUAUAUUCAACUUCUAAGAUUCAAGAUUCAAGAUUCAAUUUGAAGCAAACACUACUACAAAACAAAUAUAAUAAGCGUUAAUGAGCCUGUGGCCAAGCAAAUGUAACUCGUAGUGACAGAAUCAUAUCUUAUUAUCUUACGCCAGAAGUUAAACAAUGUUCCCAUUCCACGUGUCACUCUCUGACCAAUCCCCAAACUUUCUUCAUAUUUCCAAAGAAACCCUUACCAAGUCAUGAUAAUUACCUUCACUCUGCUCAUAUAACUACUGUCCUCGAUUCAACUGAUGACGACAAAUCCUUACAGUCUUUAUUUAAAAGGGAAAAUUAUAAAAAAAAUUCUCCUCGUUCCCUAAAAGUCUAGGGUUUCUCAAGAAUCGCUAAACCUAGAUCCCAAUCCUUCAAAAUCUCUAUUUAACCUCUCUAGGAUUUCGAUUUUCGAGGAUUCGCUUCAAAAUUUAGUAAUUUUUAGUGGAUUUUGCUUGUCUCGUAUCCUUCAAUUGUUGUUCGGUUCUGAAAAUAAUUUGGAAUUUUAGGCAUUUUCAGAUUAUUUGGUUUUGUUUGAGUGCAAUUUCCUCUAGUUACGGUUUCAGUUUGAAGGGUUAAGUGCAAUUUCGAAUUUUUUUAUAAAAUUUAAAUUAAAAUUCCUUAGACGAUUGGGCGUUUAAUAAUUAAUUGAUGGCUAGCGAUACUACAACGGCGGCCGCAGCUGCGGAAGAAGCAGAGGCGAUGGAGGAGUAUGAUAGCAAUCCAAAUGAAGUGAAACGCUCUCUUGUGAUGCGCAGAAGGGAUGCCAGCGAUGAGGAGGAGGCGGAGGAUUAGAGAGAUUCAGAGCUUCCAAUCGCUCAAAGUGUCUACAUUCCUGCGGGAGAAGCGGAGGCUGUGGAUGAGUAUGAGAGCGAUCCAGAUGAAGUGACACACUCUCUCGUUCUGCGCAGAAGGGAAACAAGCGAUGAUGAGGAGGUUUUUGUUUGGCAUAGUUAAGUGGUUAGUUUGAAGAUGGCUACUGAUUAUGCAGCUAGGUACGCAUUAGUGUUUGUGGAUUUCUAAAUGCUUUCUGUCAGAUGUGACUCGAUUAUUACUAGAAGUAUAUGGAUCUUACACUUAAUUAAUUAUAUAUCCAUUUAUAAUGUUCAAAAUGAUAAUGUACUAUUGCUUGAAAUUAUGCUUUCAAGACAUCAUUUUGAAAAUCCAUGGUUGUAAUGUGUCUCUAAAUUCAGUAAUACAAGUUCUGUCAAUUAGUGUUGGAUGCAGUGACCUGAAUAGUUUAAUAUUCAUUUGCAGAACAAAUUUCCGUGCGUUCUGCUGGAAAUUUAAUUAGCUUCAUUUGAGCAUUAAUUAGACUUCUCUUGCAUUGAAUGAAUGGAUGAGUGCUAAUCCAUGCAUGCACAAUGAAUGCUAAAUCUAAGGUAUGGUAAAAUGUCAGCAAGCUUGGCCCAAAUUAUCAAGCUGGUUUGGUGGCUACUAGAUUUGUUCAUCCGGAUUUUGGACCAUUUUCCUUGACAAUGAGAAAAGCUCCAAGAAAUUGAAGACUCACUGAAAGCUCCAAGUUUCAGGUAACUCUUGUGUUGUGUGCUCGGAGUAUUCUCUAUUGUAUUUUUUUGUUUGUUAUUUAUUCGACGUAUUGCUAGCAGAGAUCUUGGGUGGGAACCAAAAAUUCCCAACAAUUGUCAAUUGUUUUAAACUCUAUUCUGAACAGAGCAUGAAGGGAUUCACUUAUCUAAUUAUGUCUUUUAUGCUUUAACUUCACUUGAUUACAUCUUUUCCAUCACCUUUAUUAAAGUUGUAUAUGUUGGAGUAUUAGGUUCAUCAUAAGGAUCAUAUUAUGGCUAAGGAAGGAGCACAGUUUAUCAGCUGCACUGAAGUGUAGCAUAGAAUUUGGAUUCAAAACUGAUGCAAGGCUGUUGCUGUGUAAUUGCAUGCCAUGCUUGCUAGUGCGCUCUAACAGAUUGCUGAGCUGGCACCGGAUGUUUUUAACUAAUAUUAGUAAUUAGUCUAGAGUGUUCGAUUUAUUCUAUAAAUGGCUCAUUUGAGCUUACAACCUUUAAAGUUGUAUCACACGAUUCUGUUACUUCUAAUACGGAUUUUCUCUAUUCCUUUUUCUAUCACUUUCUCUUCCAUUUCAUGAUCCCCAAACACCAUCAAUCCAUGAUUUUCUAGAGUAUUAGCCGUCAUUCCAUGAUUUUCUUGUUAUUUUUUCUUUCACUUUCUCUUCCAUUUUCCCACUCCCCAAACACCACCAAUCCCUGAUUUUUGGAGUAUUAGCUGUCUAUUUCUACAAACAUAGAAGUGCUGUUUGUUUGUCCAAUUACUUUCGAGAAACAAAACUCUCUGUCCUGUGGUCUUUUCGUUUAUUGACUUGUGAGUAAAUAAGAUAUUGGGCCAAUGGACUUAACGUGACAAGUUCUUGAAUUGAAUGGCUCCUCUUUUCUCCAUAAAUCUUUGCUUAAUUUUUUUGUUCCCUCAACUUUUUGGGCCUUUUGAGUUAAAAUUCUUUUUUUGAUACAUUAUGCAAAAAUUAUGAUGAAAAUGAGUUACUUUAGAAGAUCAACAAAUUUUUAUUACAUGACAAGACAAUUAUACUUAGAUUACUCUUAUUUAGUUGAAUUAUAGGUAAUAAAAUUAGUUUAACAAAAUCUAACCCGUAAAUAUUUCUUAUCACAUGAUUAACGUACUUAAAAAUCUUAACUGAUUGGUCGCUUGUUUUACAAUUCUUUUAUAUAUCUAUGAAACUUUCAGCUUCCUAACACAUCAUAUUGUUCUCAAUUCGUCUAAAUUAUUAUUUUUUUUUCGAACACUGCGGCAACAAUCAGUAUAAAAUAGAAUGAACUCAUUUAAUGAAAAAAUUUCUAGAUGCUUUCAUGGCAGAAUCUCAUUGAUCUAUUUCUCUUCACACCUUAGGUUCCUCUAACAAACUUACCUCUUAACUCUCAUGUCCGAAUUUAAACUUGAAAGAUGUUCCCCAUCCCACGUGUUCCCAAAUCUUCGUAUUUCCAAACAAACCCCUGCCACAUAGAGAAGAGGAUGAUUCCUACAAAGCCACGUAAUCAAGUGAUAGGAUGGCUUUUAUUGCAAACUGUAUGAUUCCUCUAACAAACCCAUUAAUUAUACUCACCUUAUGCCAUGUUUCUGGUGUGUCUUCACAAAUUCACCGAUACAAAUUAAUUUCUACCAAUAUUACCAAAUGAUUGUAUUUUACGUUUCUAUUUACUUGUAAUAAAGAUCUUCUGUGUGUGUGUGUGUGUGUGUGAUAUAAGUGUUGAUUUUAAAGUAAGGUAAACAUAGGAGCUUUCUUUCUUUUACUCUGUAUUUCAUGGUCAUUCAAUUUUAUUGGUUACAAAAUUCUCUAGGAUUGCAUGUAGAUUAUACUUUUAUAUACUUUUUUUUUUCUUCUUUCGCAUUAUUUUUCUGGGUGAACAUAUUAUUUUCGUCAUCAUCUCUAUAACAAUGAAGUGAAAAUAGUCCUCGUUUAUAGUAUUGACAGCAAUGUUAUACUCAAUAAAACGCAUAAAGCACGCAUGAUUUAGCCGAAUCUAAGCGAUAAGUGUUUCCAUGUGAGCCAUAAUUUGGGAAAAAGGCCAAUUCAAGUUAAAGAUCAGAAAAGUCUGUCCCGCACGAAUACAAUAAUUCGAGCCACGCAUUCAUCAAACGCGCGCAUUGCAAAUACACUUCAAUAUGUUGUCUCAUAGGGAGAAAUCCUUCACUCUUUGACGUAAUGCUUGGGCAACGUAAAUUAGUCCCAUUUUUUUAUGCAUGAGAGACAAUUAGUCCCAUUUUUUGCCGUCAACUCUUCUCAUCUACGUCAGGUAAUGUGUCUUUUAUUUGGCAUGAAAAAGCCAAUACUUGCACGAGUGUAGCAUCACUGAUUUGUGUAAUUUUCAGGACUGGUAAAUUAUCUCAAUUUUUAAAAAAAUAUAAUUACAAUUAUAUAUCGAACACCACUAAUUCCAAUAAUUUAUCCAAAAAUAUCUUUGAGUUUCAAGGAAUUAAUGUAGCACGAAUGGCCAAGUUUUUCACCUUUUUAGAUAUUUGAUAUAUGUCAUGUUCUAACUUAGUACGAGAAGAAAAUUAUAGAAUAAUUUUUUUUUUUAAAUUAGUGGAAUUAUUUUUCGAUAAAAUUAUCACAAUCACAUUUAAAAAUAUUCUUUGGAUUUUCACUAUUUCUACUGUUAUUCUUUAAACUCUUUUCUGAACAGAGCAUGGAGGGUCACUUAUCUAAAUAUGUUUUGUGUGCUUUCACUUCACUUGAUUCAUCUUGUCCCUCUUUUAUAGCUUCUAUCUCGUGUGAGCUUAGAACCUGCAACUCGUAUUUUACGUUUCUAUUACUUUCUCUUUCAUUUUCCCGACUCCCAAACACCAUCAGUCCUUGAUGUUAUAGAGUAUUAGCUGUCUAUUUGUACAAACAUAGAGCUACUGUUCGUACUUUAGAUCUUCAGAUGGUUAGCUAACUAUUGUUUGAAUAUUAAAAUUAAUUUGUUAAAUAAAUAAAGAAAACAAGAGACAAUUACCAUACAUAUUCCAUUAUAAUUAGUCACCGUCCAAUUGUCUCCGCUUCCAUUGAAUCUGUUGAUUCAUGCUUUAAUGAAGUGAAACGCUUAACACUCUGUUCUGAUCCGCAGGAGAGGAGGAAAAACAUAAUUUUAUUAUUUCAUUCCUGACACGGGCAAAGAGCUUUCUUAGCCGGCUUGGCAGCUAAUUCCUUAAAAUUUGUUACAUUUCAUUUAAAUGAUGAAUGCGACAUGAAGCUCUAUAAAUAGUUUAAUUUGUAGAAUUGUUAAAAAUUUAAAUUUCAAGUAAGGUAGAUAAAAUGAUUGAUGUUUUUCAAUAUUUAGUAAUGAACAUGUGUCAUGUUACUAUGAGUGAAUGAAUGAAAUUUUCUAUAGAAAAUACAAUGCUAGUAUUAAAAAUUUUAAGUGCGAAUCCAUUUAGUGUACGUUUUCCCGACUCCCAAACUCCACCAAUCCUUGAUUCUUUUCCUAGAGUAUUAGCUGUCUAUUAUUACAAACAUACAGUUUGUCCAAUUACCAUCAAGAAACAACAUACCUUGUCCUGGGGUCUCUUUGAUUAUUGACUUGUGUGACUUGUAAACGGGGGGGCAUUCCCUUCUUGAAGAAAGAAUGCAAAGAGCCCAAGAAAGUACUAAUAUAUUAUCUCAAUAUUUUGAUGAAUGUGACAUUACUGGUUUGCAUAAUUUUUUGGACUAAUAUAUUAUCUCAAUUUUAAAAAAAAUGUAAUUGCAAUUAUCAAACACGACUAAUCCCAACAAUUUAUCCAAAAAAUUUUGUUUCAAGAAAUGUAGCAUUUAUGAUAGAAUGGCUAAUUUUUUCAAUCGACUUUCUGGAUAAAUGAUAUUUUUUUGAUAGAAAUGUUUCUUACUUAUUACAGGAAGAAAAUUAUAGAAUAUUUUUUUGAAUUAAUAGUAUUACUUUACGAUAACACUAUCACAAUCUAAUUUUAAAAAAAAAAAGUUAUUCUUUAAAUUUCGCAUUACUAUUCCUACUUUUCUUGUUAUACUACUUUUCUUGUUAUAGUUCAAUAUCUGCUGUCCCACUAAGCAUUGUUAAAUUCAUACGAUAAAAUGAGUACUUAUAUUAAAAAAACAAUCAAUCUCAUUGCGUGCUCUUUCAUUGACAUAGGCAAUUUGCUGUCAACUUGUGGCACUUUUAUGAAUUUUCAAGACAAGUGAAUUUUUCAAAUUUAAAAGAAAAAAAUACAGAAAUGUAAUUUCAAUUUAUCCAAAAAUUUGAGUUUCAAGGAAUACAGCAUUUAUUAUGUCAUGUUAAUAUAGAGAAGAAAAUUUUAAAAACUUAUUUUUGGAUGAAUAAAAGUAUUUUCUGAUAAAUAUUUCACAAUCAAAUUUAAAAAAUUUCACUCCUCCUGGUACAUAAUUUAAGAAUUUAACAUUAUAAAUUAAUCUUUUUAAUCAAAGUAAUAAUCUCUCCUCGGUCUGCAAAUGCUAAAAUUUAAUAUUAUAUCCAUUGACGAUAUUUGCUCCAAAUUCACGAAAAUAAAAUUUCUAACAGAAUUAUGAAAUUCGUUACUAGAAAUUUGUAUAAAAGUUGUGAGAAUAGAAGGAAUGGUCAUAGGAAAUUAAUAUAUCCCUAUCCGAUGCAAAAAUGAUUGUAAAGAAAAACAAAAGUCACGGGCUUAUUUAGAAAAAAGAAAAAAUUACAUUCCAUUUUCCAGUUAUUAAAGUAAUUCUAAAAUCGCUAGGAUCACAAAGGAUAGGCUUUGGUUGACUGAGGUCAGCCUUAACGCAUGCCGGUCUUUUUCUCCUCUACAUUCUUAGAAAUUUUGGUUUCACUAUAAAUACUCGGUAUAUAGCAAACUUAUAAGUGUUCUUGCAUUACCCAUCCAACUAAGCACACUGUCACGGGACAAGAGGUUUCGAGCCCGUGCGGCACUCUCGCAUCCCAUACUACGAGAGUAAGCCUAGUGGAAGUGGCACAAUUUCGACUGGUUUUGCCCUGCCUUAGGCUCGUCAGGAGAACGGCUUCAGUUCCCAACCAGUGUGCGUCAGGAUUUUCCUAGACCCCUCUUCAGCGUUAAGUCCUCGACUAGCGACAAGCUCCCCAAACUCAACCGGGUCGGCCUGCCUGAACUCCAAAGAGUCUAGGGCGUUGUAUUCCCCACACACACAUUCCUGAAGCACGUCUCCAACAAUCAGCACAACUGUCAUCGACACUAGCGUACAAGCGCAUAUCUUGGGUGUCACGAUUGCGGUCCGUGACAUUCUCCCACCGCCAUAACCAUGCACGUCCUCGUGCAUGCAGAGUACGCCUCGCAAGUGUGCACUUCCGCGCGAAAACGUGAAGAUCGGCUUGCCAAUCUCAACCCAUGAACUCCCUGCCUACUCGUCCUUGAUCCGUGGAGAGGACCCGCGUGCAGACACUAUCCACUUAGUGCGAAUGCUUGGGGGUAUGAGAACCCGCCUGUUCGUCCCGCUUGUCGACCCUUGCGCUCAAAAGGGUGGGGACCUGCGUGGUGCGGCAUUGGAGCGCUUGGCGAGCUCGCGACGAGGGCUUCGAGAGAUGACAAGCGCGGCUCUGAUACCAUUUGUCACGGGACGAGAGGUUUCGAGCCCGUGCGGCACUCUCGCAUCCCAUACUACGAGAGUAAGCCUAGUGGAAGUGGCACAAUGUCGACUGGUUUCGCCCUGCCUUGGGCUCGUCAGGAGAACGGCUUCAGUUCCCAACCAGUGUGCGUCAGGAUUUUCCUAGACCCCUCUUCAGCGUUAAGUCCUCGACUAGCGACAAGCUCCCCAAACUCAACCGGGUCGCCCUGCCUGAACUCCAAAGAGUCUAGGGCGUUGUAUUCCCCACACACACAUUCUUGAAGCACGUCUCCAACAAUCAGCACAACCGUCAUCGACACUAGCGUACAAGCGCAUAUCUUGGGUGCCACGAUUGCGGUCCGUGACAACACGCUUACAAUAUAAAUACUCUCAUCUCAUGGAAAGAGUUCAUUCUCUCAGGAUGAUGAGCAGAUUUCUCUUACUCUAUUGUUUGAUUCUUAUUUCCUUAUUUAUCGCGGUAGCAACAGCCAACACAAGUUCUACUAUCACAGACCAAUAUGCUCUGUUAGCCCUGAAAGCUCACAUAACUCAUGAUCCGACCAAUUUCUUGGCCAAGAACUGGAACACAAGUACUCCUGUCUGUAUUUGGACAUGCGUCACUUGUGAUGUCCAUAGCCAUAGAGUCACAAUCUUGAAUAUUUCUGGCUUAAAUCUCACGGGUACCAUCCCUCCUCAACUUGGGAAUCUUUCUUCUCUGCAAUCACUCAAUCUCAGUUGUAACCGACUUUCUGGUUCCAUUCCCUCCGCCAUCUUCACCAUAUAUACACUGAAAUAUGUUGGUUUCCGUAGAAAUCAGCUCUCGGGGCAAAUUCCUGAAAAUAUUUGUAGUAAUCUUCCUUUUCUUGAAAUUCUUUCUUUGUCCCGAAACAUGUUCCAUGGCGGAAUACCGUCCACUCUAUCAAAUUGCACAUAUUUGCAAACAUUAGGUUUGGUAUACAAUAAUUUCUCGGGGACCAUACCUAUAGAAAUCGGCAAUUUGACCAAACUUAAGGAAUUAUAUCUUGGCGGUAACAGGCUCCAAGGUGCGCAUGAUCACGAAGUUUCAUUAUGAAAUUUGUUGCAUAAGUUGUAAUAUGUAUAAUGUUCCAUGAUACAGUUUACACACGUUGAUUAAUUUGCAGGAGAAAUUCCGCGAGAGUUUGGCAAUCUUGCCGACUUGGAGCAGAUGUCGUUGGCGAUAAACAAUCUCCAAGGCAUGAUUUUAAACUUUUUGCAAUUUUAUUUUAGCUAUGCUUGCUUCUGUAUUCAUUCGCUUGUUCUUUGAUUAUGCGAUGAUUUAUUGUUUUUCUUUCAGAUAGAGAUAAAGCUCCAUGUCUCCCCUCACUCAUUUCAUUCCUUAAUUUAUGCAGAUAAAAAAAAAAAAAAAGAAUGUUCUGUAAUUUUCUUUUGUCAUAUUACCACUUCCAUUUUGAAGCUUCCAAUUAAGUCGAUGAAAAUGAAUGAUGUUUCAUUCUUAUUCUUGUCAGCCUAAUUCUUAUAUAAAUGAAGAGUAAAUUGUGAUUACGAUAUUCGUCAGCCAAUAAAUUCUUCUUUUUUUCCCCCCCCAAACAUGAGUGAUCAAAUUGUUUGCGCAUAUAUAAAUGUACUUAAUUUACAGGAGGUAUUCCACGGGAAUUGGGGAAUCUUACAAAAUUGGAGAUAUUACAGGUGUUCCAGAAUAACUUGACCGGUAACUUUCUUUACAAUAUAUAUACGAGACAUCUUCCGCUUUUUAUUAGAAAUUAUAAAUUCAAGUUAAAUCUUAAUUAAAAGUUUUCAAGUCUCUCAUUAUAUAUUCUCAUAUGAGGAUGUGUCGUUACCACUAUCUAACAUUAUUCCGUUUUUUAUUAGAAAUUAGUUUGUGUUAAUUCAAAAUUCUGUAGCAUUUAAAAAAAUUAAAAACACGUGGAAUAAAUUGUUAAUCUUUCUUCUUUACUGAAUUUGGAUUUCUCAAAAAUAAUCUUGACAAGUAUGCUUCACUAAUGAUAUGCAUGUGUGACAACUUCAUAAAAUAUUUUACAUGGAAUCACUAAUUAUCUCUAAAGAUGCCAUCAGUGAUAUAUAAUUUCUUAACAAGCACCAUACCAAAAGAAAUCAACAAUUUUAUUAAUCUUAAAGAGUUAAAUCUUCACUGCAAUUAUGACAUAAAUUUUUAGUCAUCAAUCGCAUAGUAUUUUAUCUUAACUGAUGAUGAUGUUCAGUCUUGGAAUUUAUAAUAUCUUGAAGGUUAGUAGCUUUGAAAAUAAGAAAUUGUUCAUUUGCUAAAAAGUUAACUUAGUAUUUAAGUUUUCCAAUUGAAAAUUUUGAAAAAAGCGUUGAGAACUGGCACUCCAUAGUAUUUCAGCGGAUAAAUAUGAAAAAUAGGCUAGAAGAAAUUAUUUUACUUUAAUAAGAGUUAAAAAGAUAGGACAAGUACAGUACUCAUGACUUAGGCUUGCUGUGUGUGCUUAUUCCAAUUGGGUUUUGGGCUUGAUUACACCUGUUAUAAUAAUGAGCUUUUGCUUUCACCGCACACUAAUAAUUUCCUAACCUUCCAUUUAGGUUAUAGAAAUUUAAAUAUAAAUAAUAAAGCAUACUAAAGCUAGCAUUGAUGUACGGAUGAGUGGCGUCAAAAGUGUAUCUGUUUUUAUGUAUUAUUUAUUCUCUAAAACAAAUCUGAAUACAAUUCUUUCAAAAUACCGAUGAAAUAGAACAUGAAAUCGGAAAUAUUUUAUUGCGAUGAGAAUUCGUAUAUUAAUUGUAGUAGAACAUAUAAAAUAGAGUAUAAAUUUAUUAUUCUUUGAAGCAAACCUGAUUAUAAUUCCUUCAAAAUUAAGUUUGUCAUUAAAUGAUUUCUCAGGAGCCAUACCAAAAGAAAUCCGGAAUUUGACCAAACUAAAGCAAUUAUCUCUCUACAGUAACAGGCUCCAAGGUGCGCAUGAUCACAGAGUUUAAUUAUGAAAAUUGUUGCAUAAAUUAUAUGGAUAUCCUUAAUAACCGCAGCAAGCAAACAAAAUCAAAUAAAAGCUAACUGAGACUCGAAUAUCCUAAACCCUGAAAAGGAAUGGUAAUGGUAUAAUAUGGAUUCUGUAGGCAUAUUUCACUGGACUCAACAUUUAUGGUUAAUUUACAACUCUUUGUUGGAAAGUCUGAGAAAUUGCUCUAUAUUAGGGGUGGGGAAAAUAAUGCUAGGCCACGAAUUUCAGGCAGAAUCCAGAUUGGGCCCAAUUAGACUUAUAGCUCAGCUCUGUGUCGAUAUCUGGGCCUUUACAAAUAAUUAAUGGGCCAAUUAAUAAUAAUAGAUAAAUUGAGAAGGGUGCGAGUGAAAUUAGAUAUGAAUGAAUCUGCCAGUGUAUGUACACAUUUUUCUAAUUAAUGCAUUAUGAGCCUGCCGCUGCCAGCAUGGAAAUUACAGAAACUAAGGAGAGAAUUGACCCAUUAAUUAAAUUAAAAAGAAUACUGAAUAUAUAAGCAGUCAAAAUAUAGGUGAAGUAGGCAUGAAUUGUCACAUAACUAAAUUUGAGAGUAAAACCGUGACUUGGGUUUGAAUGUUUGAUUAAGUUACUUCUAUUUCUAAGUUGCUUAUUUUGCGUGGGCUUCGGGCUUAGUUACACACGGUCGAACACUUACACAGUUCCCCUGACAUAGGCUUUCACUUUCACCACACAUUUGAUAAUUUCUUAGCCUUCCCAAUUAGUUUAUAGUAAUUUAUAUAUAAAUGACUAAAGCAUACAAAAGCUACCAUUGACGUACGGAUGAGUGGUGUCAAAAGUGUAUCUUCUUUUAUUUAUUAUUGUCCUAUGAUACAAAUCUGAAUAAUGGAAUAUAAUGCUUUGAAAAUACCGAUGAAAUAGCACAUGAAAUCGGAAAAUAUUUUACUGCAAUAAGAAUUCAUAUAUUCAUUGUAGUAGCACAUAUAGAAUAGACUAUAAAUUUAAUUUUAAAAUACAUUCUUAUCUUCAUAUAAAUUUUACAUUACUAAUUUAAAUUAACAUUAAAAUAUGUUGUUUCUUUCACUAUGUUAUUUUAUUUACACAAAGAUGUGACUAUUGGAAUUAAUAAUACUUAUGAUUAUUUUGUAAAAAUUAAAUUUAAUACUUUGUUAACAUUUUAUCUACAUAUAAUAAUUAAACUGAAACUUGUAUUUAAAAAAUUCUAGUUACGCAUAUUCAUUUCACGACAUAAAAGUGUAUAUUUAUGCUAAUUUACCAUUAUCAACAAAAUGCUUUAGACAAAUAAUCUAAUUUAUAUUUUUAUAUUUAAAAUACUUGCAUUUAUUAUAUUUUGAAAAAAAUGUAUUUGCAAUUAUUUUAAACCGUUGGAUUCAAAUUUUCGUAGUUAUUAAAGUCAAAGGGUAUAAAUGUAUAAUAGUCAAAAAUAGAUUUGUAUGAUUAUUUUCAAUGUAUAAAUUUUCUUAGUUAGUAGGAAAAUUAGAAAUUGUUGAUUUACUCAUAAAUAAAUUUAAUGUUUAGCAUUUCAAUUUUGGAAAACUUGAACUAAAUGUUGAUAACUUCGAAUCGGUCGAGCCGAGUUUCUCUUCCUUGACCCACGGACCCAUUGAAAGUUCUAUUCGAAUUGAAUUUCCCGGUGCUUAUAAAAAGCAUUUCUUUUCCUUGUCGCAUUAAUUUAUUCACAAAUGAGUUGAUUAGCAUCGAAGUUACCUGAGAGUGUGAGACCAUGCUAGUAGGAGAAAUUUGAAAAGAAAUUAUUUUACUGAAUUAAUUUAUUUUAUCUUGUUGUAACUGAAAUAUUAUUUUUUUUUUGGGCUAUCACUGGGGCUUGAUUUACUUUAAUAGUAGCAGCCACCGACUUAGGCGUUUUUUAAUUCUCACCACACAAUUUUAUCUUUUAAUUCGUUUUAACCACAUAAUCUGUCUAUCUAUCUCUCACCUAUUGGUUACUUAAAUCGCAUACAUAUUUUACCUACUAAUUUUUAUAAAUAUUAGUCAAAUAUAUUUUAUUACGUUUCUCUCGUAAUUGCUCCAAAUGUGUACUAUUAAUACUUAACCCUCCCUUUUAAUUUAACCCAAAAAAUAUAAAAAUAAAAGAAAAAGAACAUGCAUAGCAAUUUGCAUAUAACUAACAAAGAAUUGACAGUUUGUAGCCUUUCAAUACUUCACGAGUGGCUUUUCUUGUGUGUUAGUACUUGUAAUAAUUGUGUAGUGUAUAAAUGACAUUUUAUUAUUAAAGUGCGUACAUUUUUAGAUAUUACUUAUUAUUUAAAAAUAAUCUGAAUAUAAUUCUUUUAAAAUACAGGGGAGAUACCACUUGAAAUUGGUAAUCUCCAAAAUCUGGAGGAGUUGAGUCUUGGCCUAAACAAAUUAAUUGGUACUAUCCCAGUUGCAAUCUUUAAUGUGUCAACACUCAAAAUGCUUGAGCUUCAAGAUAAUUCUCUCUCGGGAAGUCUUUCGUCCAUCGCAGACGUCCGACUACCAAAUCUUGAAAAGCUUCAUUUGUGGGGUAAUAAUUUUAGUGGCACAAUUCCUCGUUUCAUCUUUAAUGCUUCUAAGCUCUCUAUACUAGCUUUGGGAGACAAUUCAUUCUCCGGUUUUAUUCCCAACACAUUUGGCAACUUAAGAAACCUUGAGUGGCUUAAUGUACAUGAUAAUUAUUUGACAACUUUAACUCCAGAAUUGAGCUUUCUAUCCUCGUUGUCAAAUUGCAAGUCUUUAACAUUUAUUGGCUAAUCAAAUAAUCCACUAGAUGGCAUUCUUCCAAGGACGUCUGUCGGUAAUCUUUCUCGUUCUUUGAAAGAAGUUUACAUGUCCAAUUGUAAUGUUAGUGGCGGCAUCCCUAAAGAGAUCACCAACUUGACCAACUUGACAACCAUUUAUUUAGGGGGCAAUAAAUUGAAUGGAUCAAUUCCGAUUACUCUCAGCAAAUUACAGAAGCUUCAAGGUUUGGGUCUUGAAUAUAAUAAAUUAGAAGGAUCAAUCCCAGACAGUAUUUAUCGUUUGACUGAACUGUAUGAGUUGGAGUUGGGUGGCAAUAAGCUUUCAGGAUCAAUCCCUGCAUGCUUCGGUAAUUUGAUUGCUCUGAGGAAACUGUCGUUGGGUUCCAAUGAGUUAACUUCUAUUCCCUUAACUUUUUGGAACCUUAAGGAUAUCUUGUACCUCAACUUUUCUUCAAAUUGUUUUACUGGCCCACUCCCAUUAGAGAUUGGAAAUUUGAAGGUUUUGGUUGGAAUGGAUUUUUCGAUGAAUAAUUUUUCAGGUGUUAUCCCAACAGAAAUUGGAGGCCUAAAAAAUCUAGAAUAUCUCUUCUUAGGAUAUAACAGAUUGUAAGGAUCAAUUCUUGAUUCAUUUGGUGACUUGAUAAGUUUGAAAUCCUUGAAUUUGUCUAAUAAUAAUCUCUUUGGGGCUAUUCCUGCAUCUCUAGAAAAACUCUCAUAUCUUGAAGAUCUAAACCUUUCUUUCAAACAAGCUGGAAGGAGAAAUUCCUAUGGGAGGAUCUUUUGGAAACUUCUCAGCUAAAUCAUUUGAGGGAAAUGAAUUAUUAUGUGGUUCACCCAAUUUACAAGUCCCGCAAUGCAAAACUAGCAUCCACUGCACAUCAUGGAAAAAAUUUCUUCUCCUCGGGAUUGUGCUGCCAUUGAGUACUAUAUUUAUGAUAGUAGUCAUUUUGUUGAUUCUAAGAUAUCGACAGAGAGGAAAACGACCAUCGAAUGAUGCUAGCAUGCCACUAGUAGCAAUGUGGAGAACGUUUUCAUACCUAGAACUCUAUCGAGCAACAGACGAAUUCAGUGAAAACAAUCUAAUCGGCAAAGGGGGUUUUGGCUCUGUUUAUAAGGCAAGACUUGGGGACAGGAUGGAGGUUGCAGUGAAAGUUUUCAAUUUGCAAUGUGGAAGAGCGUUUAAGAGUUUCGAUGUUGAAUGUGAAAUGAUGACAAGUAUUCGCCAUCGAAACCUUAUCAAAGUUAUUAGCAGUUGUUCAAAUGAAGAGUUUAAAGCGUUGGUAUUAGAAUACAUGCCUCAUGGAAGUUUGGAGAAGUAUAUGUAUUCAAGUAACUGCAUUUUGGAUAUUUUUCAAAGAUUGAACAUAAUGAUAGAUGUUGCAUCAGCUUUGGAAUAUCUGCACUUUGGUUAUUCAGCUCCAAUAAUUCAUUGUGACUUAAAGCCCAACAAUGUAUUAUUAGACGAUAAUAUGGUUGCUCAUUUGAGUGAUUUUAGCAUCGCAAAAUUGUUAGCUGGAGAAGAUCAAUCUAUGACUCAAACACAAACAUUUGCCACAAUAGGCUAUAUGGCACCAGGUUUGUCAAUACAAAAAUUUUCUAUUUCUUGUAAACUUCCUAGUAAGUUAUUUAUGUUUCAUGAUCUUCAUUAGAUGAGGAAAUUCUUAUUAAUGAUAUAUCUUACUAUUUAACUAUUGCAAUUCAUAGAGUAUGGAAGAGAAGGACGCGUAUCCGCAAAUGGAGAUGUUUAUAGCUUUGGGAUUAUGUUAAUGGAAACUUUUACUAGGAAGAAACCCACAGAUGAAAUUUUUAACGGAGAAAUGUCAUUAAAGCAUUGGGUUAAUGAUUGGCUACCUAUUUCCACUAUGGAAGUUGUUGAUGCUAAUUUACUAAGUCAGGAGGACAUACAUUUUGUCGCAAAAGAGCAAUGUGCGUCAUUUGUCUUCAAUUUGGCUAUGGCGUGCACUGUGGAAUCUCCUGAGCAGAGAAUCAACGCAAAAGAAAUUGUAAAAAAGCUCUUAAAAAUUAGAGACUCAUUACUUAGAAAUGUUGGAGGUAGAUGUAUAAGACAAUCAAAUUUAAAUUGAUUCUGCCCCUCCUUCCUUGCUAUCCUUUUCAGAGACUUGAACGGUUAUCCUUCAUACAAGUUUUGUUGAUAUGUUUUGUUAUUGCUCUUGCUCAUGUUUAUUUCUCUCUUUCUUUAAUUUGCAUGCAUGUAUUUUUCGUGCUCUUUUCUAUUUUUGUUGGUUUGUAUGUAGUUUGUUUUUAGGGGUAAGGUUGAUUAUGUCCUCCCCUAAUUAGACGUAUCAUGUUUAUUUUUAUUCAAUAAAGCUUCUCUAAUACUAUUGAGGUUCAUCAAAAGAAAAUUUUAAAUUAAUUUUCUUUUCUAUGUUAGAUAAUGAAAUUCUAAUCUUCAUAAUGAAUAACUUCAAUAAUAGAGUGUAAGAGUAUUAGUAGUUAUGGUUGUUUUCUGAACCUGGAGUCAAGAGCAAUUUAACAGCAACAAACAAGUCUCUUGUAUUAUAGGCAAAAUUCUUUUCAUUAAUCUUAUUUGUCUACAUGUUCUCCUAUUUCUCCAUUUAUCUUCGCUCAAGGUUUCAUGCUUCCUCUUUGAUAAAGGAAAAUGUUACUCGUGAAUAUUUCAAAUUUUCAAUUUGACAUGAGCGACUGUUUGCCAGCCAUUUGAUAAAAUGGAUAUGAGUUGAGUUUUCAAUCAUUACCUCCACCAAAAUCCUUAGUCCUUACAACGCCACUUUUUAAUUUUAUUUUUAAAUACAUUCAGUUUAAUUUAAAAAAUAAAUCCAUUUGCUAAAUUUAAUCUUUUUCUCAUAAAUUUCACCCUAAAAAAUAUAUUUCUUUUAAAUUUUUAUUAUAAAAUACUUACAAGUUCUAAACUAUUAAAUUAUUUUCUUCUUAUUAUAUAGUUUAUAUCUCCAUAACUCUAAACCCCUAUAAUUUUUUAAAAAAUAUUUUUUAAUUUAAAAUAUAAAUAUAAAAUAUAGAAUGGAGUGAGUAUAAAAAACUUGUUAAAAGAAUAAUUCAUUUAAGUAUUUAACUGAAUUUUAAAUUAAAAUAAGAAAUAAAUAAAUUUAUUUUUUAUUAGUUAAGUAAUUUUCAAUUAAAAAAGAGCUUUAUGAGUAAUAUUAUUGAAAUAUGAUUAAAAUUCUUAUGAAUUAAACAUUUUCGUAUAAAUACUAGUGAUAAUUAUAGAGAAAGUACGAUGAAGUGAAAAAAAAAAACUUAAAUAUAAAUACUCUAGUAUAAUUUUACACAUGCAACUUAUGAACCGGUGAUCUUUAGAGCAUUAUAAAAUUGUUUUAACACAAUUAAUUGGUUUGAAAAAUUACCAAUAAUGUCGACAGUGGGAUUUAAAAGAUUAAACUACAUAUAUAAGACAUAAUAUCAUUUAAAACGGCUUACAGAUUAUGAGAAAUAUUUUGAUCUUCUAAAUAUUUAAUAUAUCAAUUGGACUAAGUCUAUGCAAUAAAAAUUUUAAAUAAAAAAAAACCCUUUAUUUUCUUUUAAUCAUAAGUGUGAUCUUAAUUAUUAAAGUCAUUUAUUGUCCAUUACUUAUUCAUUUUUUUAAUUACCUAAAUGACAUUGAAAACUCUACUCAAUAUUAAUUCAUUCAAAUGUUUUGUUUUAAGGUAAUCAGAAACUGCAAAUGAAACAAAUGCUUGAAAUCACAAACGGCCUAAAAUUUUAUUUUCAUUUUUCAAUGUUGCGGUGACUUGGAUCUUGAUAUUGAAAAUUUAUUUGUAACUUAUAUAAAGGCCUCAAUUUUAUCAUAAUUGGUUAGUAAGGCUACGUAGGGAGCAUGGACAAAUUUUGGGAUUGGAUUAUAUUUUUGGAACUAAAAAAUUAAUUUCAUCCAAUGAUAUGUUUGGCUGUUAGGACUAGCAACUUAGUCUAAAAUUAUUGAAAUUAUUAAUCUUUUAUAUUAUAAGCUUUUCGUUCCCACUUUAAAUAUUAUUGGUAACUUAAAUCAUUUUUUAAAAUUAAAUAUAAAAAUUAAUUUAAUUCAAUAUAAAAAUCAUUUAAAUUAAAUACAAAAAUAUUUAAAUUAAAUAUUAACAUUAAUUUCAUAAUUUUUUACCUAGAAUUUUAUAUUAUAUUAAAUACUAAAAUUCUAUUCGAUAAUGUAUUAUCAUUUAUUUAAUAAAUGUUUAGUAUGUUAUAUUAUUAUUUAAAUUAAUUUUUUAUUUACAUAUAAACAUAAAGUAAUAUUUACUAAUUUAAAGUUAUUAUAAUUUGUUAAAUAAUAAAAGCUAAAUGAUUAUAUUGAAAAUAUAAAUAGUAUUCUAAUGUAUUAUAGUCUAAAUCUUACCCCUAUGAGUUUAUUUUAUACACCUUUUAUUGUAUUAACCACAUUUAUAAUGCAGUGCAAUGUAAUAAAAAAUUAUAACCAAAUAUGAGUUAGCAUGAAAAUAAUAUUUUAGUGCAAUAUAAUACAAUGUAAUGUAAGCUAACAAAUGGAUAUUUAAUGGAAGCAAAAAUUGCAUAUGGCUUGUGCGUCUCUUCAAAGACAACAAAAAAACCAAUAUGAUACACGAUUUUUGUCCUCUUUAAUGGUGUCUUUACUAAAUGGGAAUCAGAAUAAGUUAGAAUUAGAAUGAGCUUGAAUCGAAAUAAGGAAUUAGAAUCAAAAUAAGUUGUUUAUUUAAGUUGUAUGAAUCAGAAUCAAAAUAAAUUUUAUUCAAAUUGAUGUGUUUAUUUUCUCUUGAAAUUAGAAUGGACUAUUACAAGUUACUAAAAAAUCAUUUGGUAAUUGUUGUCUCUAGUAUUAUUUGUAUUUGUUAUAAUGGUAACAAUAAUAAGAAUAAAAAUAAUACUAAAAAUGAAAAUAAUAAUAAUAGUAGAGACAAUAAUAAUAAAAUUAAUAAAUUAUUAUUAUUAUUAUUAUUAUUACUACUACUACUAUUACUACUUCUGAAGACCACUCGGUGAAGAUUGAAUAGUGAAAAUGAAGAUGAUGAAGAUCUCGACGAACCAACUGCUGUUCCAAAGAUGAUGUGUCCAAAUGGAGACAACCAAUGAUGACUAGCCAACUAGAUCCCAAUCUCGAUGUUGUGAUCUCGUAUGACCACAGAUAAAGCUAUGUGUGAUGUUGGUGUUAUGAUUUAUUUUUUAUUUAUAUUUUUUAAUUUAUCAGUAUUUUCAAAUUUUUGUAAUUUUAAUAUGGGCAAAUUAGAUAGUCCAGUGAAUAGGAGACUGAUUCCUAACCAUCCUAAGAAUUAGUCUCUCAUUUUUUAUUUCUAAUUUGAUGUGGGUCCUGCUAUUUCGAUUCCAAUUCUUACAUUUAUUUGUGAGAUAAAAUUAUGGUGCAACUGUAGUACCAUUGGAUCCAGGCAUAGUUAUCACCAUGACUGAAUCUAAUUGUUGAAAGUAAUUGUGGUAUGAUACCACAGUUGCACCAUAGCUGGACCUUUAUUUGUGAAGUAAAAUGAUGUUAAUAAUUUCGAUUUCCAAUUCGAAAAGUAAAUACAUCAUAAUAUUUUUUUAGAUGCUUCCAUGGCAUAAUCUCAUUGGUCCAUUUUUCUCCACGCCUUAGAUUCAACUUCAAGAUUCAAGAUUCAAGAUUCAAUUUGAAGCAAACACAACUAAGUGCCUGUUUGGUAUGGCUUAUUUAAGAGUCAUAAGUGCUUAUUUAAUCGCAUAAGCACUUUUUAAAAAAUUUUAUGGUGUUUGGUUAUUUUUUUAGUAGAGUUUUUUUAGCUUAAAUAAGCUAAUUUACCUCUACUAGUAAAAGCCCAAAAUUUGAGCUUUUGGGAGUAGAGGUUAGAGAGCUUAUCUAAAAAAUAUAUAAUAAAAAAAAUAUCAUACAGUUUAAUGAUUCAAAAGUGUUUUUUUUAUUGACAACCAAACACCCAAUGACUUUUUGUCCAAAAACUCUAUUGGUAUAAACUCUACUGCUAUAAGCUCUAUUGUUAUAAGCUCUAUUUAAUAAGCUGUACCAAACGGAGCCUAAAAAACAAAUAUAAUAAGCGUUAAUAAGCCUGUGGCUGACUGGCUGUGGCCAAGCAAAUGUAACUCAUAGUGACCGAAUCAUAUCUUAUUAUCUUACGCCAGAAGCUAAACAAUGUUCCCAUUCCACGUGUCACUCUCUGACCAAUCCCUGAACUUUCUUCAUAUUUCCAAAGAAACCCUCACCAAGUCAAGAUAAUUACCUUCACUCUACUCAUAUAAAAACUGUCCUCGAUUCGACUGAUGUCUGAUGACGAUAUAUCCUUAGUCUUUAUUUAAAAGGGGAAAUUAUAAAAAAUUCUCCUCGUUCCCUAAAAAUCUAGGGUUUCUCAAGAAUCGCUAAACCUAGAUCCCAAUCCUUCAAAAUCUCAAUUUAACCUCUCUAGGGUUUCAAUUGUCAAGGAUUCGCUUCAAAAUUUAGUAUUUUUUUAGGGGAUUUUGCUUGUCUCGUAUCCUUCAAUUGUUGUUCGGUUCUGAAAAUAAUUUGGAAUUUUAGGGAUUUUCAGAUUAUUUGGUUUUGCUUGAGUGCAUUUUCCUCUAGUUACGGUUUCAGUUUGAAGGGUUAAGUGCGAUUUCGAAUAUUGUUAUAAAAUUUAAAUUAAAAUUCAUAAAACGAUUGGGCGUUUAAUAAUUAAUUGAUGGCUAGCGAUACUACAACGGCGGCCGCAGCUGCGGAAGAAGCAGAGGCGGUGGAGGAGUAUGAUAGCGAUCCAGAUGAAGUGAAACGCUCUCUUGCGAUGCGCAGAAGGGAAGCCAGCGAUGAGGAGGUUGAGGAGGAUAAAGAUUCAGAGCUUCCAAUAGUUCAAAGUGUCCACAUUCCUGCAGGAGAAGCCGAGGCUGUGGAUGAGUAUGAGAGCGAUCCAGAUGAAGUGAAACACUCUCUCGUGAUGCGGAGAAGGGAAACAAGCGAUGAUGAGGAGGAGGAUAAAGAAUUUGAGCAUCGAACAAAUCGUAGGGUCCACAUUCACUCUUACAUUGAAUCUGCUGGCCAAGGUGGUGCUCCAGCUGAGUAUGAUGAUGAUGAUGAUGAAGAAGAGGAACAUGACAGAGAAUUGGAGGAAGAAGAAGAAGAUGAAGAAGGGGAUGUUUAUGAGGCCGUAGAGGAAGAAGAAGUUUAUGAAGAAGAGGAGAGGAAUGAUGGGGCGGUUAAAGUCAAAGGAAUAGAGGGUAAUGAUGCAUGAGGAGUACGGAGGGUGCAGUGGAAGUGAGUAAAGGGAAUAAUGAUAAUGGCAAUGGUGCUAAAAGAAUGAUGCAGCAGAGGAGGGAAUGGAGGAAGAGAAGAAGGAGAGUAAUGAGCCUUUUGCACAGCAACUGGGGCUUUUUAUAUGGGACAAUGUUGCAGGUCGACACAGGUAUUAUUUGAUUUGAGUGACAAUUUAUAAAUAGCUAAUAGCUGUACUUUCAUUAGGGCUUGUCAAUUAAUCCAGUCUUGUUUUUUGGUGCUGUAUAAUGAUUGUUUGCUGGAAUCUGUGUAGAAGGCUUUUGGCCUAGUAGGUUGAAAGGAGGGAAAGUUCUCAAAUAAACAUCUGUGCUUUGCGGAAUAUAAUUAAUAGGUACAAAGCAUACUAAAUUACUUGACUGAUAGAUGCCGAGCUAAUCAUGAGCUAUGAUAGCAUUAUCCGUGCUUUGUGUAUUUUUAACAGGGCUUGUCUAUUUCAAAGUGUGUAGUGUAGAAUUUUUGGGUUUAGUUUGAGUGAUGAAGUGUUAGAUAGGUUUCUGUUUGGCAUAGUUAAGUGGUUAAUACGAGCUAUUGAAGCAAAUAUGGAGUAGGAUAUCUAGUUUUGGGUUUGGUCUUAGUUUGAAGAUGGCUACUGAUUAUGCAGCUAGGUACGUAUUAGUGUUUGUGGAUUGCUAAAUGCUUUCUGUCAAAUGUGACUAGAUUAUUACUUGAAGUGCAUGGAUCUUACACUUAAUUAAUUAUAUAUCCAUUUGUAAUGUUCAAAAUGAUCAUGUACUAUUGCUUAAAAUUAUGUUUUCAAGACAUCAUUUUGAAUCCAUGGUUGUAAUGUGUCUCUAAAUUCAGUAAUACAAGUUCUGUCAAUUGCUGUCGGAUGCAGUGACUUGAAUAGUUUAAUAUUCAUUUGCAGAAAAAAUUUGAGAAAGAAAACUAAAAAUUUCUGUGCGUUCUGCUGGAAAUUUAAUUAGCUUCAUUUGAGCAUUAAUUGCUGGCAUUAUCUCUUAGAUUUCUCUUGCAUUGAAUGAAUGGAUGAGUGCUAAUCCAUGCAAAGACUUCCAUGCAUACACAAUGAAUGCUUCAUCAAAGGUAUGGUAAAAUGUCAACACGCUUUGCCCAAAUUAUCAAGCUGGUGUGGUGGCUGCUAGAUUUGUUCAUCCGGAUUUUGGACCAUUUUCAUUGACAAUGAGAAAAGCUGCAAGAUCUGUAAAUCGGAAACUCAUUAAAGUGCCAAAAGAGAGAUGGAAUUGAAUAACUAGAGAGUUAGUGAAAAGAGGGUGCAGUGAUUGUGUGGGAAGCUUUGGGUAUACUUGGGGUUUGGAUGUGAGAUAAAAUAAUUUGAGAGAGAGGUUGUAUCAAUUUUUUGGUAAUAGAGUUUUUCAGGUAACUCUUGUGUUGUGUGAUUGGAGUAUUCUCUAUUGUAUUUUUUUAUUUGUUAUUUAUUUGACGUAUUGCUAGCGGAGAUCUUUGUCAAUUGUUUUAAACUCUAUUUCGAACAGAGCAUGAAGGGAUUCACUUAUCUGAUUAUGUCUUUUAUGCUUUAACUUCACUUGAUUUCAUCUUGUUUGUCACUUUUAAUAAAGUUGUAUAUGUUGGAGUAUUAGGUUCAUCACAGGGAUCAUAUUACGGCUAAGGAAGGGGCACAGUUUAUCAGCUGCACUCAAGUGUAGCAGAGUAUUUGGAUUCAAGACUGUUCGAAGGUUGUUACAAUGCAAGGCUGUUGCUGUGUAACUGUAUGCCAUUCUCGCAAGUGCACUCUUAACAGAUUGCUGAGCUGGCACCGGAUGUUUUUAGCUAAUAUUAGUUAUUGGUCUAGAGUGUUCUGAUUUAUUCUAUAAGUAGCUCAUUUGAGCUUAGAACCUUUAUAGUGUAUCAUACGU